rnacentral:lncRNA from 1 species
UUGAGUUUGUGGCAUUAGAUAAUUCUGGAAAGAAUUAUCUUUCAUGGGUACUCGAUGCUGAGAUUCACUUGGCUGCUAAAGGUCUUGAUGCCACUAUUACUCAGGGAAAUGAAGCAUCGAGUCAAGAUAAGGCGAAGGCUAUGAUUUUCCUUCGUCAUCAUCUUGAUGAGGGCCUGAAGAUUGAAUAUCUGACGGUGAAAGAUCCACUUGAAUUGUGGACUGAUUUAAAGGGGAGAUAUGACCACCUAAAGGCAACAGUGUUGCCAAGAGCUCGUUAUGAGUGGAUGCAUUUACGGUUUCAAGAUUUUAAGACCGUAAUUGAAUACAACUCUGUUGUAUUCAGGAUAACCUCCCAGUUGAAAUUAUGUGGGGAGACUAUAAAAGAUGAGGACAUGUUGGAAAAGACACUUACUACUUUUCAUGCCUCGAAUGUGAUAUUGCAGCAGCAAUAUCGUGAAAAGGGUUUUCAGAAAUAUUCUGAACUAAUCUCAUGUCUUUUGGUGGCUGAGCAACAUAAUGCUCUUUUAAUGAAAAAUCAUGAAGCUCGUCCCACUGGAGCUGCUCCAUUACCGGAGGCAAAUGUGGUGGAAGCACGUGAUCAAUCUGAAGUAAAAAGAGAUGAUCAUCGGGGCUAUAAUAAUGCACGGGGACGUGGCAAAGAUAAAAGACGAUACACUAAUCGUCAAGGUGGUGGUCAUAAUAAAAGGGAGAACAACAUGAGUUCUCAAAAUAACCCCUCAAAAAGUAAUUGUCGUCGUUGUGGCAUGAAAGGCCAUUGGAAGAAUGAAUGUCGCACACAUGAACAUUUUGUAAGGCUCUAUCAAAAUUCCUUUAAAAAGAAAGGAAAUAAAAGUGGUGCUUCCUCUUCCAAUGCUCGAGCUGAGUCACAUAUGACUCUUAAAGAUGAUGAUAAGCCGGGAACAUCUCAAAAAUAUGAUAAGGAUAUUGAAGCAAAUUUGGCUUUAAAGGAUGAUGUUUUUGAUGGCCUUGGUGACAUUACUCAUAUGGAAGUUGAUGACUUCUUUGGAGAUCGAAACUGAUUUUGAUCUUUUAGCUGGGGAAUGAAGUUUGUUAAUAUUUUACUUAUGUAUUUUUAAUUAUCAUGUUAUUUAUGUUGAAGUAUUUAAAUUUCCGUUGUUAAUUUUGUUUCUUUCCUUCUUUUGAUGUAUUUUAUUUUAAUGAAAAUUAAUAGAAAUCCCUAGUUGUCAGUUGGAUUCAAGAUGAGUAAUGGAGAUGUAUGCCUUCUUGAUAGUGCUACAACGCAUACAAUAUUAAAAGAAAAGAAAUAUUUUUCUAAUUUGGUUAUGAAAAUGGCAUAUGUCAACACAAUAUCAGGUAGUACAAAAUUAAUUGAGGGCUCUGGAAGAGCGACCUUAUUACUACUCGGAGGGACAAUAUUAAGCAUUGAUAAUGCAUUAUAUUGUAGUAAGUCUCAAAGAAACUUAUUAAGUUUCAAAGUUAUUCGCCAAAAUGGCUAUCAUGUUGAGACGGCUAAUGAAGGAAAGGUUGAAUACCUUUACAUUACUACAAUUAAUGUAGAGAAGAAAAUUGUGCAUGAAAAAUUACCUGCAUUUUCUUCUGGGUUGUUCUAUACAAGUAUAAGUACAGUUGAAUCACAUGCCGUAGUAAACAAAAAGUUUACUAAUUUUAAUGAUUUUAUCAUUUGGCAUGACCGGUUGGGCCAUCCCGGAUUUAAUAUGAUGCGCAAAAUCAUUGAGAAUUCACGUGGGCACACCUUAAAGAGCCCAAAUAUUCUUCAAUCAAAGGAAUUCUCUUGUGCUGCUUGUUCUCAAGGAAAGUUGAUCAUUAAACCAUCAACAGUUAAGGUUGGAAUUGAAUCCCCUGCGUUUCUGGAACGUAUACAGGGUGAUAUAUGUGGACCAAUUCAACCUGCAUGUGGACCCUUUAAAUAUUAUAUGGUCUUGAUAGAUGCUUCUACAAGAUGGUCACAUGUGUGUUUAUUAUCAACUCGCAACAUUGCUUUUGCGAGAUUGUUGGCUCAAAUAAUAAGAUUGAAAGCACAAUUUCCAGACUAUACAAUAAAGACAAUCCGUCUAGAUAAUGCUGGUGAGUUUACAUCUCAAGCAUUUAAUGAUUAUUGUAUGUGUACUGGUAUAACAGUUGAACAUCCAGUUGCUCAUGUUCACACUCAAAACGGUCUAGUAGAAUCAUUGAUUAAACGUCUGCAAUUAAUAGCUAGACCAUUACUAAUGAGAACAAAGUUAUCUGUGUCUAUGUGGGGGCAUGCUAUUUGGCAUGCAGCAACACUUGUGCGCAUAAGGCCGACCAAUUAUCAUGAAUUCUCCCCAUUACAAUUGACUUUUGGUCAAGAACCAAACAUUUCCCAUCUUAGAGUUUUUGGAUGUGCGGUGUAUGUCCCAAUUGCUCUACCACAACACACAAAGAUGGGACCCCAAAGAAGGUUGGGGAUAUAUGUUGGGUAUGAAUCUCCUUCAAUCAUAAAAUAUUUGGAGCCUAUGACUGGAGAUUUAUUUAAGGCAAGAUUUGCUAAUUGUCAUUUUGAUGAAUCAGUAUACCCAACAUUAGGGGGAGAACAUAAGUCAUUGGGAAAAGAGAUAGAUUGAAAUUCAUCAUCUCUAUCUCAUCUGGAUCCUCGAACAAACCAAUGUGAGCAAGAAGUUCAAAGAAUAAUUUAUUUGCAGAAUAUUGCAAAUCAGCUACCAGAUGCAUUUACUAAUCUUCCAAGGAUUACUAAAUCGCAUAUUCCAGCUGUUAAUGCUCCAGUUCGAGUUGAUAUCCCGACGGGACAAAUUGUUAAGGCAAAUGAGUCUAGACCACAUUUGAAGCGUGGUAGACCAAUUGGUUCCAAGGAUAAAAAUCCUCGAAAGAGAAAAGGAAUAAAUGAUCAAGAUGAUCAUGGGUUGAAAGAAAUUUCUCAAGAUAAGACCCAAGUCAUAACACAUGAUGAUGAGGAGGUUCGAACUUCUGAAAAUAAUGAAAUUUCAAUGAAUUAUGUCUCGACGAGAAAGUUGUGGAACCGAAAUAAUAUUGUGAUUGACAACAUAUUUGCCUAUAAUGUUGCUAUUGAAAUAAUGCAACAAAAUGAAGAUUUUGAGCCAAAAUCCGUUCACGAAUGUAAACAGAGAAAUGAUUGACCAAAAUGGAAGGAUGCAAUUCAAGCUGAAUUGGCUUCACUAGAAAAACGUGAAGUUUUUGGACCGAUAAUCCGAACACCUGAAGGUAUCAAGCCAGUGGGGUACAAAUGGGUUUUUGUACGAAAAAGAAAUGAGAAAGGUGAAGUCAUGAGAUAUAAGGCCCGACUCGUUGCUCAAGGUUUUUCUCAAAGACCUGGCAUUGAUUAUAUGGAGACAUAUUCUCCAGUGGUAGAUGCAAUCACCUUCAGAUAUCUCAUAAAUCUGGCUGUUCAUGAAAAACUUGAAAUGCGUCUAAUGGACGUUGUCACAACCUAUCUAUAUGGCUCAUUGGACCACAACAUUUUCAUGAAAAUUCCUGAAGCAUUCAAAGUGCCUGAAGCAUACAAAGAUUCAAGAGAAACUUGUUCAAUAAAACUUUAGAAAUCUCUGUAUGGAUUGAAACAAUCAGGAAGGAUGUGGUACAAUCAUCUGAGUGAAUAUUUGUUAAAGAAAGGGUACAAAAAUGACCCGAUUUGUCCCUGCAUUUUCAUUAAACGGUCGGGGUCUGAAUUUGUAAUAAUAGCUGUGUAUGUUGAUGAUUUGAACAUCAUUGGCACUCAUAAAGAGCUUUUAGAAGCUGUUGAGUGUCUAAAAAAAGAAUUUGAAAUGAAAGAUCUCGGCAAGACAAAAUUUUGUCUUGGCCUACAGAUUGAGAAUUUGUCAAAUGGAAUACUUGUUCAUCAAUCAACGUACACAGAAAAGAUACUAAAGCGUUUUUACAUGGAUAACUCACAUCCAUUGAGUACUCCAAUGGUGGUAAGAUCUCUUGACAUCAAUACAGAUCCAUUUCGACCUCAAGAGAAUGAUGAAGAGCUUCUUGGUGAUGAAACUCCUUAUCUUAGUACGAUCGGGGCACUAAUGUACCUUGCUAACAAUACUCGACCAGAUAUCUGUUUUGCAGUAAGUCUACUGGCAAGAUUCAGUUCCUCCCCAACAAAAAAACAUUGGAAUGGUGUUAAACACAUACUUCGAUAUCUUAGAGGGACCAUGGACAUGGGUUUAUUCUAUUCCAAUGAAUCCAAAUCAGAACUGAUUGGUUACGCAGAUGCAGGGUAUUUAUCAGAUCCGCAUAAAGCUCGAUCACAAACAAGCUAUUUGUUUACAUGUGGAGACACGGCAAUAUCUUGGCGAUCAAUGAAGCAAACAUUGGUAGCCACUUCUUCAAAUCAUGCAGAAAUAAUAGCCAUCCAUGAAGCAAGUCGAGAGUGCGUCUGGUUGAGAUCAAUGACCCAUCAUAUUCAGAAAAUGUGUGGUUUUUCUUUGAAAAAGAAUAUACCAACCACAAUGUACGAAGAUAAUGCUGCAUGUAUAGCUCAAUUGAAAGGAGGAUACAUCAAAGGAGACCGGACAAAGCAUAUCUCACCAAAGUUCUUUUUCACGCAUGAUUUUCAACAAAAUGGUGAGAUAGAAGUUCAACAAAUUCGUUCAAGUGAUAAUCUUGCUGAUUUAUUCACUAAGGCAUUGCCAACAUCAACGUUUGAGAAAUUGAGAUACAAGAUUGGAAUGCGCCGUCUCCGAGAUAUCAAGUAAAUUUUUCAUCAGGGGGAGCGAAAUACGCGUUGUACUCUUUUCCUUAACUAUGGUUUUGUCCCAAGUUGGGUUUUCCUGGUAAGGUUUUUAACGAGGCAACAUUCAAAGCGUAUUAUGAGAUAUGUGUACUCUUUUUCCUUCACUAGGCUUUUUCCCACUGGGUUUUUCCUAGUAAGGUUUUAAUGAGGCACAUAAUCUAUGUAUAUCCAAGGGGGAGUGUUGUAAAUCCAUUGUAUAUGUGGAUGAUCCAUUAGAAUUAUCCAACAAUUAAUUGGAUUCAUGAUUAGUGUUUCCAAUGUGAUAAGAUAUCAAGGUGAUAUGAACCUUGAUGAUAACUAUGUAAAAUUUCAAGGUGACCUUUGACUAUGAUAUCUCAAUACUAUAAAUAGAGAUAUCAUUCACCAUUGUAUGAUAUACUUGAAUAAGAAAAUUAUCUCCUCAAUCUUAUACUUCUUGUCUUUUUCAUCUUAUAUUCUGAGCUUUCUUUACAACAGAGCGGAUAAUUAAAUAAUUAAAAUAGAUAUCUUAUUAUUUCUUUAAAAAUAGUGUAAGAUAAAAUUUAAUGAAAAAAUUAUUUAAAUUGAUUGAGUGACUUUAUAAGUGAAAUAUAAAUAAUUGGGUGACUUUCUAAGUUAACAACUUAAAAUUGAGCGACUUUCUAAGUAACAAUUCAAAGUUAAGUGACCAUAUAAGAUAUUAACUCAAUUCAAUUUGCUCAAUUUCAUUAAAUUUGAAUUAUUUUAUUUAUUCCUUUUACAAAUAAAAUAUUUCAGAAAAUAAUUUUGACAAGAUUUCAUAUCCAAUUUUUAUGAGGUGAAAUGAUUUGUGUCGAAAUAGAUUGAGUUAAAAAAAAUGACAGAGUUGUUCCUAACUUGGAUAAAUUAUGUCCUAAUUUUGUCACAAUACUGGUGAAAAUAUAAACAUAUGCACAAAACAUAAAACAAAGGAAAAAUAAAUUAUACAAGACAGUUCACAUAUAAUUAAGAGUUUGUUUGAUAAUGCUGUUAAAAAAAGGAAUUCGAAAUUAAAAGGGCAGGUAUUUUAUUUUGAAAAGCAAAAAUGGUAUAUUAAAAAAGUUUUAACCAAAAGGGCUAAAUUACUUCGGAUGGAGUGAUUUUUUGACGUCUUUCUGUUAAACGAAAAAAAUUCACCGCCCUAGCAACUGUUUUCUCCAAAAUAAUAAUUUCUUCUUUUCUUUAAAAUCGUUGCUAUAGCAAUGUUUUAAUUAAAAUAAAUAAAUCAAAAAGGCUGCUUAAGAAACCAAAAAAAAAGUCAUUGCCAUGACAACGAUUUUGUAUAACUAUUUUUUUUAAAAUCGCUAUGGCAGCCUUUUUAUAAAAAAAUCAAAAAUUUUAAUGGUAAUGUGUUGCUAUAGUAGCAAUUUUGUUUAAGAAAUUAAUUUUUGUCAUUUACUUAUUUUAUCUUGAGAUAAGUUAUUCCGAUAUUACUAUACCACCCAAAGGGAGGAAUAACUUAUCCGGUACUAAUUAUUAAUUACGGGAUGAGUUAUCAUGAACAUAUCAACCAAACAACAAAUUAAGUGACAGUACAAUUUAGGGUAUAUUUGGUAGGAAGAAAAAUGUUUUCCUAGAAAAUGUCUCCCGAAAAACAAGUAGAUUUUUGACUUAUUUUCUCAUGUUUGGUUGGUGAAUAUAAAAUAUUUUCUGAUAGAGAUUUAGUGUUUGAUUUUUGAGAGAAAAAUAUUUUUGAGAAAUAUCUUUUAUUUUUUUACUAUAGUAGAAAAUAAUUUUUAAAAACAAACUUAAAUUUUUUGGGGUGGAUAGGGGUGGGAGGGGGGAGGGGGAUCAAGGGUGUGGGUGAAAAAAAAUAAAAAAUUUUAAGUUUAAAUUAUUUUUUAAAAACAAACUUAAAACUUUUUGGGGAGUGGGGUGGGGUUGGGGGCUGGUAGGGGUGGGUGGAUGGUCGAGGAUAUGGGUGAAAAAUGAAAUUUUAAAGUUGAAAACAUUUUUCUUAAAUUUAAGAAAAAUAAAUUGAUUUAGAAAAUUUUUUCCAAAAUUAUUUAAUCCAACCAAAUUUGAGAAAACAUUUUUCGAAAAAUAUUUUAAUUCAUACCAAACAACCCCGAAUAUAAUAAGGAUAUGCCUGUGUUUUCAACAAGUUUUAUCCGAUAGGUUGCAGAUAUAGAAGCACAUAUUCAAAAAAAAAUUCUUAAUUUGCUAGAAAGGAUGAUGAUAUUAUUUGGAAAAAUAAACCCCAUAUAGCACCAACAUUUUACAUUGCCAAUAAAACUGAAUCUCUAGCAUUCGAAACAGAACAAAAAUUUCCAAGAAACCCAUCAAUCUUUCCAAGUUUAACUCCUUCACAAGCAUUAGUAAUACAUAUCACACUAUUAUAAGGAACUAAAGAGGAUGAUUAACUGAUCAAUACGUUCCUUAAGCAUGAAAUCAGCUGAAGAAUCUGGCAAGAAUUUAGCGAACUCAUCAAGUAAAUCUGAAUGAUCCUUGAAAAGUAUAGCAAUCUACACAUGAAUGUAAAAUAAUAAUCAAUAUUCAUAAAUUAAAACAUGAAGAUCACCUAAUAUAAAUUGUGUAUCCAAAUUGAAAGAUGUUUUAUCACCUUAUGGUAGAUAUCAUAUUUGUUCUCGUGCUCCCUGUUGUACAUCCUCAAAAUGUUCAAAAAUGAUUCAUACACAUGGUUGUCCUGUCGAAAACGUUCCUGCACAAAGCGAUGACCCCAACAAGUAAGUCAACACUCAUAUUUUAUCCAUCUAUCUGUCUGUCUAACAAAAUAUCUUGUCAGAUUCUUUAUGAAUUUAGAAGAAAAGAAAGCUUAGAGAAUAACCUUUACUUUCUCCACAAAACUAACAGCUUCUUCAAACUUAAUUCCCUGUGGACGAGCCUCAUUUUCUUGUUUUAUUUGAUAAGUUGAAGGAGCCUCAGUUUCUUGCUUUACUUGAUAAGUCGAAGGAGCCUCAGUUUCUUGUUUUACUUGAUAAGUUGAAGGAACUUCAGUUUCUUGUUUUACUUGAUAAGUUGAAGGAGCUUCAGUUUCUUGUUUUACUUGAUAAGUUGAAGGAGCCUCAAUUUUACACUUCUUCUCUUCUUUCUUUACUAACUUGGAAUCAUUCCACUUAGUCAUUACACCUACAAGAAAUCCAACUGCAAAGCAAUAACCAUUCAAAUUACAAUCUCACAUAUAUAUAAGCAUUAUGUGUGUGACAGAAUUCGUUAAAGACUUACCAGCUCGUUCAUAACAAUCUAUAAAUACAUUGAAAUGCUCCAUAAGAGAACGAUGUUUCCCAAGUACUCUAGCAACCUGAAAUGAGUGGUUAAAUCUAUGAUGCUUAAACAACAAACAUAUCGACUUGUACAUCAUUUAAAAGAUAUUAGUACCACAAAAUCCUGUAGAAACAUUAGGUCUAGCCUAUAAUUUGCAUGAACAUCAACCAAACCAUAGAUAGUAGAAUUUAUAAGCAAAGAUUACUGUCACAUAGGAGCAAUAAAGAUAAGAUUAGAUGCAUGAUACACGUACCAAAGAUUGUAACUGCUCCCUUGUAAUUAAUAUUCUGCUGUAAUCAUGAAGACAUUUCAAGAAUGUCUGAUAAUCAGCUGGACUUCCUAGUCUUUCCUUUACCUCUUCACAGAAAGUGAACCCAUUUGUAUAUGUAUCUGCCAAGAUCAAACAAAUACUAUUAAAAAGCACAAUAACCAAACUCAACAACUCUAUGCUAAAAACAGAUGCAUACAUCAAGAACUUAAGCAAAAAUGGAGUCAAACAGACUGAAUGUUUAGCAACAUACUAAUAAAAUAUUAAUCAUGACGAAUUCUGAUAUGUCUUGUUGGAGAUUUUUUUUUACGAAAUUUCAAUUGUUGUCUUGUAUAGUAAUGUAAAGUACUUGUAACAAAAUCCUAAUGAAAAAUUGUUCAAGACUUUCUCUAGCUCAAUACAUCGGUAAGUAUUCCAAUUGUCAAGCAGUAACCAAUCUUAAUGGCACAAAAGUUUUAUAAUCAUGAAAUUUUAACUUACCAACUCGAUCAUAAAGAUCCAGAAAUUCAUUAAAACCCUCCAUAAGAUCAGGAUAUUUUCCAAGUAUUUCAGCAACCUGAAAUUGAUAGCUUGCUUCAAAUUAAUGAUGCUUUAACAACAAGAUCGACUUGUAUAUCAUUUAAAAGACAUUAGAACCACAAAAUCCUAUAAAAUAGGAUUUAGUACCCCUGUUCCUCCCUUUUCUUAGCCAAAACUCAUAAGAGAGCCCAACCAAACCCCAAAUAGCAAAUAUUACAAACAAUGAUAAAUGUCACUUUGGAACAAAAGGGGAUUAAUAGUAUGAUAGACGUACCAAACUUUGUAACUCGUUCCUUGUGAUCGUUUCUGUGCCGUAAUGACGGAGACAUGUUAAGAAGUUCAGAUAAUCAGCUGGACUUUGUAGUCUUUCCUUUACCCUUUCACGGAAAAUGAACCCUUUGCUACACGAAGCUGACAAGAUCAACAAAAUCAAAUUAAAAAGCAUACUAACAAAACUCAGCAACUCUGCUAAAAUCAAAUGCAUACACCAAGAACUUUACCAAAAAAAUAAGUGAGAUAAACUGAAUAAUAAAUUAAUAUAUAUUUACUAAUAGAUCAGUGUCAUUACAAAGUAUAUAGCUAAUAGUGGAAGAUUCUAAUGCAGCACAUCAAAUACAAAUAUUCAGCUAACCAUGAACUCACAUUUCAGGGCAUCUUCAAACUCUCCAAAAGAAUUCAUUUUACCAGUAUGCUGCUGCUUGCUUAGAUCCUCUUUGUAGUUGGUAUCUGGCAAGAACCUAGUAAACUCAUCUAACAAAUCUGGAUGGCCAUUGAAAAGUAUGGCAACCUAAACAUACGAUAUGACAAAAAGUAACAAAAAAUUAAAACAUAAACAUCAUCUAUUGUAUACCAAUUUUAAAAAGAAACUAUUACCUCUCGGUACACCUCAUCGAUUCCCUUAUGCUCUUUCUUAUACACGUUCAAGAUGUCUAGAAAGUAUCUGUAGACUUGAUCAUCAUUUUGGAAUCGUGUCUGCAGAAUAUGAUAAAUUAAAUAAAUUAGGACUAAAGUAUUUUAAAGAAGAAAAAAACAGACCUAUAUUAUUUAAACUGGAAGUGUAACCCUUAUUUUAUUCACAAAGUUGACAGCAUCUCCAAAUUCAACUCGAGGCUUAUCUUCUUGAUUGGGAGUUAUCGUAUAUCCCUCGGGCAAGAAAGUGUUGAAUCCAAUGAUCAACCUAGGGUACUCUUUGAACAAAUCUUUCACUCUUUCUAUGACAGUAACAGUAUCAAUUCUGUAAAAAAAUGGAAUUAUUCACUGAUAAAACAACAAAUAUGAGAAUGAUGACACUAAGGCAAAUAGUAGUAACAUACCUUUGAGCCUUAAAAUGUUUCAUAAUAUCAAGGAACAUUUCAUACUUCACUUUGCCUUGAAACGUGUCCUUAACUUCCUUCAAAUAAGACAAAGCAUCCUCUGUUCUAAGAUUUGGGUUACAAGGGCUAAGAAAAGUUAGCCCUCUACCAGCAAUGCGGCUGCCCAAACCAUUUUCAACUACUUGUGAUGAACGACGCCUACUUCACACAACAAAAAAUUCAUAUACCAUAAGUAGUCACUACUACCAAAAAUGAUAUCAUGUAUAUAAUGAAAAAUCAGCCCAUUUUUUUUUGAUUUUUAACCUAAAUUAACACACUAAUUUCUUCACGAGAAUUCAAUAAAUCAAAAUAAUUGAGAAAGUGAAUAGAGCUUACGGCUCUCUACGAGAAUAAUUGAUUCGCCGCCUAAACCUCUCUUUACCACCAGAUACUUCUCCUCUCAAUCGGGCCAUGCUGCAAAAAUUGUACAUCAACAAGAAGUUGUGCUAGUAAAUAUAAAUUUUAUUAAGAAUUAAUAAAAAAAUCAAUUCAAUCAUAAAAAUUACUCAGACAAAGGGGGAAAAAAUUAGAAACGGCUGAACCCUAGUAUUUUUCUCUAUACCUUCUCUACUUGGAGAAAAAAAUGUUGUGUAUGUAGUAAUGAGACUACACAUAUAUAUAGUACUAAUUCUUGUAACGUAUGAUGUUGGUCAAACUUUAAGGGCAGUUUAGUCUUUCUCUAAUAUUUUUAGUCAUUCACUAAAGUUAUGACUAUUUAUUGACCGGAUUCAAUUUGUUGAAUUGAAAAUGAUUAAAGUAAAAGCAGUGAAUCCAUAUUUUAUGAAUUAUUAAUUAUUUUUCUUAAAAUAUCAUGUAUUUCUUCUCCUUAUUUUUCCGUAAAUAUGCAACUCAUUUGUAGUUUUAGUAUUAUUAUUGUCACAAUCAGAAUCUAGACUCUAGACGAGACCGGCGUCGUUGACCUCUCAGAGGUCGCAAACAAGCCAACUUACGUCAUUCUUACUUUACAUAGAUUAAUUUUAGCGAAAAAUUUGAAAUUUUUGAUUCUUUAAUCAUACUUGCCAAACAUUCUUUAUAUUUCGUAAUCGUUCAUCAUCAACCAUCUAACAAUUAAGAGAUAAGCAACUGAAAGAAAUAAUUCGUUAAGUAUUAAUUGUAUAUCGGCCAAAAUAACACCAAUACAACGUCUGAACCAAAACAGGAAAGAAGCCCCAGCGAAACAUGCUCCACUAGCUCAACUCUAAAACUACGCUAGAAUGUAAAAAGUAGCAUCCUCGAACGCAUGAGGACCUACCGAACUCCGGAUGAAUGCUGACGUCCGGAUAGUUGCAACAACAAACCUGUAGCUCUACCGUCCACCUGUGUCUGCACCUAAAAGUAGAUGUUUGUAUGGAAUUAGUACACACUUGUACUAAGUAUGGGUAUAUGCAAGCACACACCAGGGACAUGCAUGAGGAAGAAUAGAUCUUUCCUAACAACAUGAUGUUUGGAAGUCAAGUCAGUGGACUUGCUAAAUUGAGAUUUGGAAAGUUAUGCCAUGAGAGUGACAUGCAUCAUUAUAAUUAUCGUAUGACACACAACACAUAACAUCUUCAUAUAGCACAUAACAUAUAACGCAUAGUUUCUUUCAUAUUAUUCAUUCAUAUACCAUGAGACCUUAUUAUCAUAGACUUAACCUUAAGACUUCCAAAAUGAGGGCUCAACAUAUGGGACCUCAACUAGGGAGCCUUUUUUAGCAAACACAGAGUUUUCUUCAUUCAUUCAUACGUACCUCGUUUCAGUUCAUUCAUAGGCCAGUGUGAACACCAGCUAUACCUAGGGUGUAGUUUAAGACUUUCAUCGGGUUUGCUGUGCAAUGAUCAGGAAUAACCUAAUGUCAUUACCUGAAUCUAGCUCACCUCUUGAUUAUCCUAUCCUAACACCUUCGGUGUCAUUCCUUUAUUUAUAUGAUUUAUAUUCAUUCAUUGGGAACUUUAACUUUAACCGACAUAGAUCAUGUGAGCAUCAUGAAAUCCAGUGUCUCCCCCACACCGAAAAGAGGUGAAAUCACCGGCCAAAGCGAUUCAAUAACAUGCUAGCGUAUAUGGGAAUUUAACCCUGCCAGGUCCCUAUAGUGGCAAUAUAGGUUCAAAGACUAGGAGAUGUAUGGAGACCCAUACCCGGCAAGCCUGACAGUCUCAUCUCAUGAGAGUUACGUAAACCUCCGCCCUUCCCGAAAGAAGGCAUCACCGCUCAUAGCUAGCCUAUCGGUGCUCGGUAUAAAGUUCCAUUACAUUCAACUCAUACAUUAUGGAAGUUGGCUUCUAGUAUGAGGACAUCAUAGCUCAAUAGAUGAUUUCUCAUCUCAUCAUUAGUAUUAAGUGUUUUAAACUCAAUAUUUUCAUUAGAGUGUUCAUCGAGACUGGUCUCUUCAUUAUCUUACACUCUCAUUGGUGAGUACGUAUUGGUAACAUUUACUUAGGCUUAUUUGAGAUUGCUCUCAUCAUAUACAUUAGCCUCAAAUCAUGAUUGUCACCACAUUCUUCAUUAUUAGCACCUUUAUUUUUCAUAGUUACUCACCUCUUAUUACGUGGAUGUUCAUUUCUUCAUUUCAUUACGUAUAUCUUAGGUUCACUUAUAUUUGAACGUAUGUUAAACUUAUGUGUCUAUACAUACAAGCCAUGGGGCUUCAUUUAUAGUUCGUUAAGUAAUUCUUAUUUUCCUAAGAUUAUGUAUUACAAGACUUAUGUAUCUUGUAUAUAUACCAGGAUCUUGAUUUUUUAUCUAAGUAGAUGACAUUAUUCUUGAAUAUUUUUACUCACGUAUGACUUAUGUAUCAAUAGGGAGGUUUGGGCACGCAAACCCAACUCUUGAAUCAUUUUGAUAGCAUUUAUAUUUUUCAUUGACUUUAUUUUCUAAUAUCAUAACAUUAGAACUCUAAAUUAAAUCUCAACAUUUUCAUAAAAUAAUUAAUUUUUUAUUUUAAUUAGAAUUCUAAAUCAAAUCUCAAUAUUUACAUAAAAGAAUUAAUUUUCUAUUUUAAUUAGAAUUCUAAAUUAAAUCCCCAUAUUUACAUGAAAGAAUUAAUUUUCUAUUUUAAUUAGAAUUCUAAAUUAAAUCUCCAUAUUUACAUGAAAGAAUUAAUUUUCUAUUUUAAUUAGAAUUCUAAAUUAAAUCUCAAUAUUUACAUGAAAUAAUUAAUUUUCUAUUUUAAUUAGAAUUCUAGUUCAAAUCUUUUUUUUAAAAAAAAUAAAAUUAAAAUCGCUUCAUUAGGGAGGUUGUGGGUUCGAACCCAACCAACCCCCUUAUUUUCCUCUCUUUUUCGCUGAAGAGGAGGCUGUGAGGAGGUGGGUUCGAACCCCCACAGCCCCUCUAUCAUUGAUUUAAUUAAAUGGGGCGUGCAACAGUGAGGUUGUGGGAUCGAAUCCCCACAGCCUCACUUCUUUUCUUAAUUAAAUUCGCCCCUCCUUCAGCCUUGAGGUCGUGGGAUCGAUUCCCACGCCUCGCGUCUCCUUUUUCUCCAUUUUCCCUUCCUUCACGCGUAGCUGAAGGUCGUGGGUUCGAAUCCCACUUAUCUUCUUAAUUAAUUUUCUCCUCCUCCUCCCCCCAGGUCGCGUGUUCUAUCCCCCCAGACCCCACUUCUUUUUCUUCUCUUUUUUUUUCCGCGCAAUACAGGGGCGAGGGUUCGAUUCCCCCCCAGCCCCCCCUUUUUUUUUCUUGGCGAAUUUCGCCGGCCCCCCAGCCCCAGGUUCGAGCCCCAUCUGGCACAUUUCUUUUAUUAAGGCUUACUUUGGUGAGGUCUCGGGUUCGAUCCCUGCAGACCUCACCUAUUUUUAUUUAUUUAUUUUUUUGUUCAAAAUUUCCAGAAUUCCUCUACAACUUAUUCAUAGGUUCUGGGACAUUACUCCACAAUUUUUUACAUCAUUUUUACAGGUUAAUUUAUCAUUUGUUUCUUAUAUAUUCGUUAAAGUUCUUAAGACAAGUUUAGAGGGAUGGUUUGAUCAUUUGUUUUAACUAGAAUUUAUAUCCCUUCAACCAUGUGAAUAUACGAUUUUAAGAGCCUCUAAUUGCACACAAAACACGAAUAACCCCUAUGCUAUUAGCAUGCUAAAGAAAAACUCAAAAUCAUGAUCACAAUCUUGCACAAAUACAUACGUAUUUACAUACAUAUUCCCAAAAGACACAAAAUAUAAACACAUAGUUAUGAACACAUACUCGAAACGAGAUCAUCACCACAAACAAGCAUCCCUCAAUUCUACCAACAAGAAUACCCAACCUAAGAUCAUAGGGAGCUAGUGAUAGGGGCAUGCAACGGAGAACAACCUUAGUUUCGAGAUGAAUAGUUUGAAUCGUAAGGGGCCUCUUGGGAAAGGAGCCAAGAGAGAAGAAACUCAUACCUUUAUUGAUGUUCAAACAAAGAAUUUGCUACCCAAAACUCUCUCCAAAAAUCAGUCCAAGUUACCUCAACGUCCACACCACUCAACGAACAACUUCUCUUCGCCUUAAUAUUUUGUUUGUUGCUUUGUUUUUCUUAAAAUUUCAUGUGAGUUCUUCAAGCGUGAAGAUCUGUUGAUAUUUGGCAGAACAACGUGAGAAAGAUGGAGAACGUGAGAGAGAGAGUUAAGAAGCGUGAGAGAGAGAUCUAUUAGGAUUAGGAGACUAAUUCAAGAAUUAGUCAAAUAGAAUUUAAAAUAAAUUAAUACAAAUCUGAUUUAUUUUAAUUAAUACGCGAAAGGACCAUUAUACCCUUAAAUACCUGUUUAUUCUUAUUUAAUUAAUUUUUUUUCCUGAUAGUUACAUUUAUUGUACAAUAUCACUUAUUACUUUUUCACCAAUAAUGAUUAGAAAGUCAAAGUAGUGUAAUUCAUAUCUUAAUCCCUUGUGCUCCUUCCUAUACAUGUUCAAAAUAUCUAGGAAGGAUUUGUAAACGUGAUCAUCAUUUUGGAAAUGGGUCUGCAGAAAAUGAUAACCUAGUAAGGUAGGACUAGAGUUUUUUGUAAAGAAGAAAAAGGCAGACCUUUAUUGUUUAAACUGGAAGGUAACAGAAAUGUAACCUUUAUUUUGUUCACAAAGCUAAUAGCUUCUUCAAACUCAACUUUCUUUGGAGGAGUCUCAUCUUCAUCAUUGAGGGUUGUUUCAUAACCCCUGGGCAAGAAGGUGUUAAAACCAAGGAUCAACAUAGGAUGCCCUUUAAACAAGUCUUUUACUCUAGCUAUGACACCAACAAUAUCAAUUUUGCGAAGAGAAAAACUGAGAUAAGUCCCACAAAAAUCACCAAAUCGAAUAGGAAUGAAAAUAGCACUAGGAAAAUUAAAGGAGCAAUCCUUUGAGCUUUAAAGUCUUUCAUAACAUCAAGGAACAUGUCAUACUUAUCCCUUUGGCAUCGAAACAUGUCCUUGACUUCCUUCAAAUAAGACAAUGCAUCACCAGUUGUCAGAUUUGAAUUACUAUCACUAGCUCCACCAGCACUGCUGCCACCACCAACUCCACUCUUACCACUUCCUGGAACUUGUGAUGGACUGUAGCUUCAUCCGGGAAAAAGAAAUGAAGAAAAACAUUACAUAGAGAACCACAUCAAAAAUUUGUCAGACAAAUUUAUUGUCACAGGCCUCCUCCUAAUAUGCUCUAAUAGGUUAAAUUAUACUCUCAUCCACUUCAAACCAAUGAUUUUUAUAGUUCAUUCAAAAUUGAAAAAAUCGUUGAUACGAUAAAGCAAAUAAAUAAUGGUUGUGGUGCUAAGUUAAAGCAUUUGCCCUAAAAAUGAAUUAACAGAUAAACAAAAAGCAACUAGACCCACCCAAACAAAUGCAACAUGGAUAAGGAUAAUCUUUAUCUUCAAUUGUGCUUGAUAAUUUCGAGUAGUGCAAGAAAAAUGAUAGAACCUACCCUAAAACACAAGAUAAAGCAGAAAAUGGCAUCCAAAUAUUUUCUGAUAGCAUAAUCACACACAACACACCACAUGAUGAAAAACUAAAAAUUACUGAUUUACCUAGAAUUACCAAAAAUUCAGCAAAUUCAUAGUUCAUUCAGAAUUUGACUAAUCCCUUGAUUUGAUACAACCAAAUAAAUAAAGGUUAUAUUGUGUUUAUAGCGUUUGCCCUAAAAAUGAACUAACAGAUAAACAAAAAAAAAAGAAGCAAAAACACUCACCCAAACAACAUGGGUAAAGAUCCAAUCUUUAUUUUCAUAUCUGCUUGAUAAUUCUUGACUGAUGAAAAAAAAAAUGAUAAACCUAUUCUAAUUCAUUAAACAUUUUUUGAUCACAAAGUUAGACAAUACACACAAAGAUAUAACAACUAGAAAUCACUGAUUUACCUAGAGUUACCAAGAAUUCAAUAAAUUAAAAAAGUCCAUCACAAACAAGUACAUACAAAAAAAUUAUCAGAUACAAAAUGGACACAAGCCAAACAACAUACGUUUCUCCUUUAUUGGAUUCAAAUGGCCGCUUAAAUGAAGGGCUAUCAUACACAUCAUCUCUCAAUCGUUUCAUCCUAUUAAAAAAAAAACAGCAAGAAGAAGUUUUUUAACAUCAACAAACAAAAAAAAAAGAAAAAAAUCUGCUUCCAUUUUCAAAACAACUCACUUUAGAGAUUAUCCUCUGAUUUUCUGAGGAUGAGAAAAGAGAAGUCUUAACAGAUCUAUCAACACAAAACAAAGAGUUAAUCCAAUGGUUUAGAUCAGAUAAAAAAAUUAUGUCAAUUCAUUCUUGGUGGCCUUUUUUUCCCUUUCCAAUGUUCUCUUUCCCUCCUCUCCAACUCAGAAUUGUAACACACAACACAUAAGACAAGUUUUGAGAAACAAAGAGGUAAAUGGCGAAGAGGUGAGGCAAAAAAAAAUGAUUUGAUAAAAUAAUGUUGGUGUUGUUAUAUAUAUUAUGUAACGCGACCUCAGUUACACAAAUGUACUUACAAUAUCAGACUAUUGCACGUAUACUUCUUAAUUUACCCUUAUCACUAAUUAUAAUAAUUUAUCUAUUAAUUUUUUUUCAAGAAAUUAUACUUAUUAUAUUUCAUUUUUUAGGAUCGGAUUUUAUUUUUCACCCCCAAUUGGAUUGAUACUGUUUUAACAUUUUGAGUUAUAUUGAUAAUAAUCUUAAUCUCAGUUUAAACGUUAACCUAAUUAUAUGUGUUUAUGUAAAAGUAAAAAAAGCAUGCAAGAUAAUGUUAUAACUGAAUUAACGAUUUAUUACUGUAGUUAUAGUUACCGCCACAACCUGUGACGGUUAUAAAAUGCACGCGUCCUAAUCACUUAAGAAAUAAUAUGUAUUUCAAUAUAAUUAUAUAUUUAUGCAAAUCAUGUUUCCUUGUUUAGUUUGGUAAGUAAACUCAUGAAUAUUGUAACCGAGUAUGUCCAAAUUACAUAACGACAAAAAAUUAAUUCUUACAUUAUACUGAAAACCUGCUCUAGAUCUAGAUCGAAUAAUUAUUAAUUAUUGGAAUAUGAUGCAACGUGGCACGUAAAAAUUGAUAAAUUCGAGCUGAUAAAUUAAUUCAAUUUAUAUCGACUUCAAUAUUUUAUUCACUUUCUUUCUUUCAAUUUUUUGAUUAUUCAUUGUUAUUUAUUCUUCUUCUUCUUUUCAACAUCCACUAGUUUUGUUCAUAAAUUUCAUCUUAAAUGCAAAUAUGUCUAUAUUGUUUUAAGAGGAAAAAAAAGAUAAAUUUCAAAGUAUUCUUUCAUUUAAUAUUUAUUAAUUUAUUGAUUAAUUAAUAUCUCUAUAAAAUGAUACUAUUUUAAAAUUUGAAUGACAUAAUAUUAAUUUAGAGAGAUUUUACUGUAAUUAUAUCCAUAUUGAAUAAGUACUACUAGUUUUCAUGAAAUUAAAAACAUUUAAUGAAGAUCUAUUAUUUUCUACUUAUAUUAAUUUAUCAAAUAAUAUUUUCUUAAGAAUAUUCAAUGAUGGAUAAAAUAAUUUUUUUUAUCUUAAUUUAAUAAAUUAAUAAGUAAUAUCAGACCAUUGCAAAUAUAUAAAUUAAUAAGUAAUAUCAGAUCAUUGCACAUAUAUAUCGCCCUAAACAUUUAGUUGAGGGGCAAAAAAGGAAAAAGUCUUGAAAUGGGCUCAAAUAUAGUGAGUCACAAGUGUACACAUUUGAGCCCAAGUUUUCAUUUGUUAUGCCCAGGUCUUAUUUUUCAAUGUAUUACCCCCAAUUUGAUUGAUAGGUUUAAAUCUAUGAAUUAUAUUUAUAAUAAAUGUUCUUCUGAGUAUAGAGUUUAACCAAAUAAUAUGCAUUUAUCUUAAAGCCGAACGAUAAUGAUAUAACGAUAUUAACAAUUUAUUAUUAUAGUUAUAAUAAUUUUUACUUCCAUAACUUCUGAAUGUUAUAAAAUGUACGCGCUCUAAUCUUUUAAGAAAUGAUAUGUAUUUCAACAUAAUUAUAUAUUUACAUUUGUUUAUAUGCAAAUCAUGUUCCUUGUUUAGUUUGGUAACUAAACUCGCAAAUUUUGUAACCGAAUACGUUCAAAUUACACGACGAAAAAAAAAAUACUUACUUCAUACGGAAAAUCUGAUCUAGAUCUAACCAAACAAUUAUUAAUUAUUGAAAUGUUACGUGGCGUGUAAAAAUUGAUUUUGCUGAUACAUCAAUUAAAAUAUAUGUAAUUUUACGAGCAAUUGAAAUAACGAGAUAUACAUAUAUUCAUAUUCACAAGUAAUCUACUACUAUUUCCAUUCAAUAAUAGUUGUCCACUAUAUUAUUUUGGAAUGUCUAACAAUACUUGUCUACUUUAUGAAAUCAAUGGAUAAUUUUAAACUUAGUUCCUAAUUACCCCUAUCACUAAUUAUAAUCAUUUAUGUAUUACUUUUUUCAAGUCAUUGUAUUUAUUAUAUUCAAAUAGUUAUAUAGUAAAAUAAUAAAUAUAUUUGACACGAUUAUUUAGGCCCAAAUUUAACAUGACUUUACUUUUGAAAUUAUUUUCGUAAUUAGUGGGGGCUGACAAACAUAUUGCUGUAAAUUCAUUUUUUUUCACCCAAAAUGUCGUCUAAAGUAAAUUCACUAAGAAAAAUCAUAAAUCACUUGAUGGUUUCAAGAAAUUACACUAUCCAAUAUGUUUUUCCUUUUAAAUCAAAAUCUUUGUCAAAUAAAGACAUUUAUUUAUAUUCAUUUCAAAACUCUAUUCACUCUCUUUAUUCCAAUCUUUUAAUUUUCCAUUAUCAUUUAUUCUUUUUCUUUUUUAACAUCCCACUAUUUUUUGCUCAUAAAUUUCAUCUCAUAGGCAAGCAUUAAUUUCAAAAUAUUCUUUAACUUAAUAUCGAUUAAUUAAUACUUAUGCAAAAUAAUAGUAUUUUAUAAUUUCAAUAUUAUAAAUUAAUUUAGAGAGAUUUUAUUGUAAUUAUUUCCAUAUUGAGUAAGUACUACUAGUUUUCAUGAAAUUCAAAAUAUUUAAUGAAGGUUCAUUAUUUUCUAGUUAAAUUAAUUUUUUACGAAAUAUUUUCUUACGAGUAUUAUUUGUAGGGAUAAAAUGAGAAAAAAGUUAAUUAUUAUUUAUCUUAAUUUAAUAAAUUAAUAAGUAAUACCAGACCAUUGCACAUAUAUAUCGUCCAAAACAGUUGGUUGAGGGGCAAAAAAGGAAAAAUACUUGAAAUGGGCUCAAAUAACGAGACAAGUGUGUACAUUUUCAAGUUUAUGUAUGAGCCCAAUUUUUCAUUGAUAGGUUUUAAGAUUUGAGUCAUAUUUAUAAUAUUUUCUAAAUUUAGAGUUUAAUCUAAUAAUAUGCAUUUACCUAAAAGCCAAAAAUAAAGUAUGCACAACAAUGUUAUAACGGCACUACUGAUUUAUUAUUGUAGUUAUAGUAACUUUUAUCGUCAUAAUUUAUGACGGUUUUAAAAUGCUUUCAUUUUAAUUACUUAAAGAAGAUUAUUUAUUUCAAGAUAAUUAUAUAUUUAUACUCUUUUUUGUGCGAAUUAUGUUUCCUUAAUUAGUUUGGUAACCAAACUUGUACAUAUUGCAACCGAGUACGAUCAAAAUAUGUGAUGAUAUUUUUUUUACUUUGAACCGAAAAAUUUAUUCAAAUAUAAACCAAAUAAUUAUUAAUUAUUGGAAUUUUAUGCAACGUGACACGUAUAAAUUGAUUUCACGGAUACAUUACGAGUUUGUUUGACUUUUCUAUUGGAAAACUUACUUUUGAGAAAAACACUUUUAGUGAAAAAUUAUGUGUUUGACAAAUUCGUAAAGUGCUUUUAAAUAUAAGAGAAACAAUUUUAUAUUUUUGUUGGGAAUAAUUUUUAUUCUUAUUAAAAAACAAAAAGCAGAAACAAAAAAAUAUGUUUUUUCUCAAUAUUACAAUAUCCUUUUACAUACACAUAUUUAUCAAUAUAUCUCUUAUGAAUUAUUAACGUAUCUCAUAAGUUUGAUUACAUUUCAUCGGAUAAAUUUAUCUUUUAUUUUUAGAUGAUAAAUUUAUAUUUUAUUUUAUGAUACUAUAUUACUAUUUUAUAUUUUACAUAUACUUUUACAGAAUUAUAAAGAAUUAGAAAAAAAACGAUAAUAAUAGGAGUAAUAUUUUUGCAAGGUUAGAAAAAAGAUAAGAAAAUAACAAUUAAAGAUUUUAACCCUCUCAAAAAAGGUAUAAUAUUAAUUGAAAAUUUAAAUAUGUACAUUUUAAUUUUAAAAAUGUAAAGUUUAAUUAACUUUUUUUAUAAUAGAUAUUUAAUAGUUACUAUCUAUAAGUAAUUUUAAUAUUAAAAGUACAUCAAUAGCUAACAUUUUUCGUAUUUGACUCUCAUAAGCAUAUUUUAAUUUUAAAAAAAUCAGUCGAACGCAAAUUAUUUCAAAUGAAUAGUCAAAAUUAUUUUUUUUUCAAAAACAUUUUUCUAAAAAGCCGUUUAAAAAGUGAUUAUAAAAAUAAAUUAUUUUUAACAACAACGCCAACACAUGCUCUAAGUAAGAGAUAAGUAAUUUAUUCCGUAAGUUGUGCUUUUUGAGUAAUAUCUAUAUUAUUUUUCAAAUUAAUAUUAGUCUGAGAUGGAAAUUUUACCUAUAUGUAAUAAAUUUACUACGACAAUUUCAUUAUAUAAAUCAAAUAUAUGUUUAUUAAUAAUCCAAGCACAUUUGUUUGUGUUGCGUUACUUUUGAAAUAAUUUAAAAAAGAAGAUUAUAAUACUUAUUAAGUUGACUCUGUCUCUGUAUAUAUUUAUUGCUGAAAAAUCAUAAGCCCCAUUCCUUAUUCGUAGUUCUGCCGGGUUGUUGACAAUAAGUCAAACACGGGUAGAUUAGUCUUUCUCUUAUUAUGUUAACUUGAUUCACUUUUGUAUAUACAUACUUUACUUGUGUUCACUAGUGAAAUGUUGAAACAGACAAAUAAAAUACAAAUUGCAUUCUUCGUAGCAAACAAAAUUACUAUUAUAAAACAGAAUUAUCAAAAUUAUAGCUAUAAAGCCUUAUUAUAUCUAUUAUCUUAACUAUUUCUCAUAUUUUCUCAUUAAUUUAUUGAAUUAAAAAUUAUUCAUUAGAUCAAAAUAUGGUAAUUGGACAAUAAAAGUAACCUCGUUUGUAAUUUUUAUUGUUUUUUCUUCUUCUUAAGAUUCCACAAAAAAAGUGGAGUUUUGAGAUGGACACAAAAUUAGUGACCGUAGACAUUUUUGAAGUUCAUGAAUGAACUCAAAUUUUAAUUUGUUAUUUUGCAGCCUCCUUUAUCAAUCAAAUUUCCCCAAUGUGGUUGAUAAAUUAUUUGUUUAAUUUUGAUAUAAUAUGUUUAUACGAGUUUAUAUAAAAAUAAAAUAGCAUGCAUACGCGAUAGUUUAUACUAACAAAUUUAACAACUUGUUGUGAUAAAUUAGUAGUAAUUUGUAGAGUGAUAGACACAAAAUGCUAAAGCUAUAAAAGGCACGUCACGACCUAUUCACUUAAAGAAACAAUUAUAUAUUGCAAUAAAAUGUCAUUAUAAAUUUAUUGCAUAUCAUCAACACUCUUGAUCUUAAUUAGUUUAGAUUUAACUGCAAUCAAUUUCAAGAAUAAAAAAAUCAUCAACCCUUUUUGUAAUUUUUGAACUUCUCCAUUCGCGAGUUUAAAUGCAUAUUAUUAUAUGAGAUAAUCUAUUUUAGAAUUUUUAACACAAACAUACCGAGAAACUAAUAUUUUCCAGCUAAUAUAUACAAUGUAUCUAUAUUAUUAUAUAAAUAAUUUAUAUCCAUGUAUAUAUGAUGUAUAAUUAUAUGUAAGAGACGUAUAUACAUUUAUACACAUUGUUAUACAAUAUUUAUACAUUGGCAUAUAAUAUCUAUGUAAUAUUAUCUAUAUUGUAUAAAUAUUGUAGACCCAUGCAUAUAUAAUGUAAUACACAAAAUCAAAUGAAGACAAAAAGAAUGAUCAUUGAUUCAACAAAUAUAAGUCAAGAACAUAGAAAAAACAAACAUCAGAGAAAUAAAUGAAAAGUAAAGAGCUUACGAUUUUCAACGGGAUGAACCACGUACAUUACCAUCCAAUCGCCUCAUGCUGCAAAAAUAACAAGAAGAUUUGAAAAGAAAUGUUUCAGUAUAUCUUUCAUUAGAAAAAGAAGUUAAAUCAAUUGUCUAGAAAUACAAAAAAUCAUCCACACUCAUUUUUCUCUACCUUUUCCUUUUCGUCUCUUCUAUGGGCUCAAAAUUAAGUUCACGAUGAGCCCAAUUCCUUGAUUUGUUAUGUUCCAAUCUCCUUUACCAACUUUUAUAAUUUGGACAUUAUAUUAUUUUCGAUUAAAUUAAAAUUAUUUUAUGCUAUAUUUAACUAUACGUAUAUUAAUAUUCCAAACAAGAACUAUUGAUUUUUUGUUAGCAUUUUGGGUAAAGUUAAAAAUUUGUGGUCAAUGAAUCUAUCUCCAAAUGAAAAUAUAAUUUAAGUGGUAUACGACAAAGUUCUAAGAAUAUUUUGAAAUUAUACUUCAAUUUUUGAGAAGAGGAAUUAGAAUAUAUAUAUUCCCUCCGUUCCUAAUAAUUUAUUAUUUUUUUACUAAUUUAGUUUGACAUAUCAAAAAAUAAUAAUUUUUUAAACUUAAUAUAUCCUCAGAUAGUCACUCAACUUUGAAUAGCUUACUUAGAAAGUCACUUAAUUUUGGGUUGUUUAUUUCAAAAGUCACUCAACUUUAUUUUUUAACUCAAAAGUCACUUUACUAUUGGUGUUUCACUUAGAAACUCGUCCAACUAUUUAUAUUUCACUUAGAAAGUGACUUAGUUAAUUUAAAUAAAUUUUUUUUCAUUAAAUUUUAUAUAAAAAAUUAUUUUUAAAAAAUAAAUAAGAUGCUUAUUUUAAUUAUUGUUUUUUUUUACUAACUUUUUAUUAAAAAAAUAGUAGAAGAUCGUUAAUACCCCCUUUCUUUUAAUGAUUUCUUAUUAAUUCCAAUUUUUCUUUAUUGAUAAUCUUUUAAAAAUUAAUUUCUAGUUUCACAAUUACUAGAAUCGAUUUUUUUUUGGGGGGGGGGGGUUGCAUUUAUUACUCUACGUUUUUUUUUAGAAAAAUUGUAAUAAUUAAAUAAUUAAAAUAGAUAUCUUAUUAUUUCUUUAAAAAUAGUGUAAGAUAAAAUUUAAUGAAAAAAUUAUUUAAAUUGAUUGAGUGACUUUAUAAGUGAAAUAUAAAUAAUUGGGUGACUUUCUAAGUUAACAACUUAAAAUUGAGCGACUUUCUAAGUAACAAUUCAAAGUUAAGUGACCAUAUAAGAUAUUAACUCAAUUCAAUUUGCUCAAUUUCAUUAAAUUUGAAUUAUUUUAUUUAUUCCUUUUACAAAUAAAAUAUUUCAGAAAAUAAUUUUGACAAGAUUUCUUAUCCAAUUUUUAUGAGGUGAAAUGAUUUGUGUCGAAAUAGAUUGAGUUAAAAAAAAUGACAGAGUUGUUCCUAACUUGGAUAAAUUAUGUCCUAAUUUUGUCACCAUACUGGUGAAAAUAUAAACAUAUGCACAAAACAUAAAACAAAGGAAAAAUAAAUUAUACUUCACAAUUCACAUAUAAUUAAGAGUUUGUUUGAUAAUGCUGUUAAAAAAGGGAAUUCGAAAUUAAAAGGGCAGGUAUUUUAUUUUGAAAAGCAAAAAUGGUAUAUUAAAAAAGUUUUAACCAAAAGGGCUAAAUUACUUCGGAUGGAGUGAUUUUUUGACGUCUUUCUGUUAAACGAAAAAAAUUCACCGCCCUAGCAACUGUUUUCUCCAAAAUAAUAAUUUCUUCUUUUCUUUAAAAUCGCUGCUAUAGCAAUGUUUUAAUUAAAAUAAAUAAAUCAAAAAGGCUGCUUAAGAAACAAAAAAAAAAGUCAUUGCCAUGACAACGAUUUUGUAUAACUAUUUUUUUUUUUUAAAAUCGCUAUGGCAGCCUUUUUAUAAAAAAAAUCAAAAAUUUUAAUGGUAAUGUGUUGCUACAGUAGCAAUUUUGUUUAAGAAAUUAAUUUUUGUCAUUUACUUAUUUUAUCUUGAGAUAAGUUAUUCCCAUAUUACUAUACCACCCAAAGGGAGGAAUAACUUAUCCGGUACUAAUUAUUAAUUACGGGAUGAGUUAUCAUGAACAUAUCAACCAAACAACAAAUUAAGUGACAGUACAAUUUAGGGUAUAUUUGGUAGGAAGAAAAAUGUUUUCCUAGAAAAUGUCUCCCGAAAAACAAGUAGAUUUUUGACUUAUUUUCUCAUGUUUGGUUGGUGAGUAUAAAAUAUUUUCUGAUAGAGAUUUAGUGUUUGAUUUUUGAAAGAAAAAUAUUUUUGAGAAAUAUCUUUUAUUUUUUUACUAUAGUAGAAAAUAAUUUUUAAAAACAAACUUAAAUUUUUUGGGGUGUAUAGGGGUGGGAGGGGGGAGGGGGAUCGAGGGUGUGGGUGAAAAAAAAUAAAAAAUUUUAAGUUUAAAUUAUUUUUUAAAAACAAACUUAAAACUUUUUGGGGAGUGGGGUGGGGUUGGGGGCUGGUAGGGGUGGGUGGGUGGUCGAGGAUAUGGGUGAAAAAUGAAAUUUUAAAGUUGAAAAUAUUUUUCUUAAAUUUGAGAAAAAUAAAUUGAUUUAGAAAAUAUUUUCCAAAAUUCUUUAAUCCAACCAAAUAUGAGAAAACAUUUUUCGAAAAAUAUUUUAAUUCAUACCAAACAACCCCGAAUAUAAUAAGGAUAUGCCUGUGUUUUCAACAAGUUUUAUCUGAUAGGUUGCAGAUAUAGAAGCACAUAUUCAAAAAAAAUUCUUAAUUUGCUAGAAAGGAUGAUGAUAUUAUUUGGAAAAAUAAACCCCAUAUAGCACCAACAUUUUACAUUGCCAAUAAAACUGAAUCUCUAGCAUUCGAAACAGAACAAAAAUUUCCAAGAAACCCAUCAAUCUUUCCAAGUUUAACUCCUUCACAAGCAUUAGUAAUACAGAUCACACUAUUAUAAGGAACUAAAGAGGAUGAUUAACUGAUCAAUACGUUCCCUAAGCAUGAAAUCAGCUGAAGAAUCUGGCAAGAAUUUAGCGAACUCAUCAAGUAAAUCUGAAUGAUCCUUGAAAAGUAUAGCAAUCUACACAUGAAUGUAAAAUAAUAAUCAAUAUUCAUAAAUUAAAACAUGAAGAUCACCUAAUAUAAAUUGUGUAUCCAAAUUGAAAGAUGUUUUAUCACCUUAUGGUAGAUAUCAUAUUUGUUCUCGUGCUCCCUGUUGUACAUCCUCAAAAUGUUCAAAAAUGAUUCAUACGCAUGGUUGUCCUGUCGGAAACGUUCCUGCACAAAGCGAUGACCCCAACAAGUAAGUCAACACUCAUAUUUUAUCCAUCCAUCUGUCUGUCUAACAAAAUAUCUUGUCAGAUUCUUUAUGAAUUUAGAAGAAAAGAAAGCUUAGAGAAUAACCUUUACUUUCUCCACAAAACUAACAGCUUCUUCAAACUUAAUUCCCUGUGGACGAGCCUCAUUUUCUUGUUUUAUUUGAUAAGUUGAAGGAGCCUCAGUUUCUUGCUUUACUUGAUAAGUCGAAGGAGCCUCAGUUUCUUGUUUUACUUGAUAAGUUGAAGGAGCUUCAGUUUCUUGUUUUACUUGAUAAGUUGAAGGAGCUUCAGUUUCUUGUUUUACUUGAUAAGUUGAAGGAGCCUCAAUUUUACACUUCUUCUCUUCUUUCUUUACUAACUUGGAAUCAUUCAACUUAGUCAUUACACCUACAAGAAAUCCAACUGCAAAGCAGUAACCAUUCAAAUUACAAUCUCACAUAUAUAUAAGCAUUAUGUGUGUGACAGAAUUCGUUAAAGACUUACCAGCUCGUUCAUAACAAUCUAUAAAUACAUUGAAAUGCUCCAUAAGAGAACGAUGUUUCCCAAGUACUCUAGCAACCUGAAAUGAGUGGUUAAAUCUAUGAUGCUUAAACAACAAACAUAUCGACUUGUACAUCAUUUAAAAGAUAUUAGUACCACAAAAUCCUGUAGAAACAUUAGGUCUAGCCUAUAAUUUUCAUGAACAUCAACCAAACCAUAGAUAGUAGAAUUUAUAAGCAAAGAUUACUGUCACAUAGGAGCAAUAAAGAUAAGAUUAGAUGCAUGAUACACGUACCAAAGAUUGUAACUGCUCCCUUGUAAUUAAUUCUCUACUGUAAUCAUGAAGACAUUUCAAGAAUGUCUGAUAAUCAGCUGGACUUCCUAGUCUUUCCUUUACCUCUUCACAGAAAGUGAACCCAUUUGUAUAUGUAUCUGCCAAGAUCAAACAAAUACUAUUAAAAAGCACAAUAACCAAACUCAACAACUCUAUGCUAAAAAUAGAUGCAUACAUCAAUAACUUAAGCAAAAAUGGAGUCAAACAGACUGAAUGUUAGCAACAUACUAAUAAAAUAUUAAUCAUGACGAAUUCUGAUAUGUCUUGUUGGAGAUUUUUUUUUUUACGAAAUUUCAAUUGUUGUCUUGUAUAGUAAUGUAAAGUACUUGUAACAAAAUCCUAAUGAAAAAUUGUUCAAGACUUUCUCUAGCUCAAUAUAUCGGUAAGUAUUCCAAUUGUCAAGCAGUAACCAAUCUUAGUGGCACAAAAGUUUUACAAUCAUAAAAUUUUAACUUACCAACUCGAUCAUAAAGAUCCAGAAAUUCAUUAAAACCCUCCAUAAGAUCAGGAUAUUUUCCAAGUAUUUCAGCAACCUGAAAUUGAUAGCUUGCUUCAAAUUAAUGAUGCUUUAACAACAAGAUCGACUUGUAUAUCAUUUAAAAGACAUUGGAACCACAAAAUCCUGUAAAACAGGAUUCAGUACCCCUGUUUCUCCCUUUUCUUAGCCAAAACUCAUAAGAGAGCCCAACCAAACCCCAAAUAGCAAAUAUUACAAACAAUGAUAAAUGUCACUUUGGAACAAAAGGGGAUUAAUAGUAUGAUAGACGUACCAAACUUUGUAACUCGUUCUUUGUGAUCGUUUCUGUGCCGUAAUGACGGAGACAUGUUAAGAAGUUCAGAUAAUCAGCUGGACUUUGUAGUCUUUCCUUUACCCUUUCACGGAAAAUGAACCCUUUGCUACACGAAGCUGACAAGAUCAACAAAAUCAAAUUAAAAAGCAUACUAACAAAACUCAGCAACUCUAUGCUAAAAUCAAAUGCAUACACCAAGAACUUUACCAAAAAAAUAAGUGAGAUAAACUAAAUAAUAAAUUAAUACAUAUUUACUAAUAGAUCAGUGUCAUUACAAAGUAUAUAGCUAAUAGUGGAAGAUUCUAAUGUAGCACAUCAAAUACAAAUAUUCAGCUAACCAUGAACUCACAUUUCAGGGCAUCUUCAAACUCUCCAAAAGAAUUCAUUUUACCAGUAUGCUGCUGCUUGCUUAGAUCCUCUUUGUAGUUGGUAUCUGGCAAGAACCUAGUAAACUCAUCUAACAAAUCUGGAUGGCCAUUGAAAAGUAUGGCAACCUAAACAUACGAUAUGACAAAAAGUAACAAAAAAUUAAAACAUAAACAUCAUCUAUUGUAUACCAAUUUAAAAAAGAAACUAUUACCUCUCGGUACACCUCAUCAAUUCCCUUAUGCUCUUUCUUAUACACGUUCAAGAUGUCUAGAAAGUAUCUGUAGACUUGAUCAUCAUUUUGGAAUCGUGUCUGCAGAAUAUGAUAAACCAAAUAAAUUAGGACUAAAGUAUUUUAAAGAAGAAAAGACAGACCUAUAUUAUUUAAACUGGAAGUGUAACCUUUAUUUUAUUCACAAAGUUGACAGCAUCUCCAAAUUCAACUCGAGGCUUAUCUUCUUGAUUGGGAGUUAUCGUAUAUCCCUCGGGCAAGAAAGUGUUGAAUCCAAUGAUCAACCUAGGGUACUCUUUGAACAAAUCUUUCACUCUUUCUAUGACAGUAACAGUAUCAAUUCUGUAAAAAAAUGGAAUAAUUCACUGAUAAAACAACAAAUAUGAGAAUGAUGACACUAAGGCAAAUAGUAGUAACAUACCUUUGAGCCUUAAAAUGUUUCAUAAUAUCAAGGAACAUUUCAUACUUCACUUUGCCUUGAAACGUGUCCUUAACUUCCUUCAAAUAAGACAAAGCAUCCUCUGUUCUAAGAUUUGGGUUACAAGGGCUAAGAAAAGUUAGCCCUCUACCAGCAAUGCGGCUGCCCAAACCAUUUUCAACUACUUGUGAUGAACGACGCCUACUUCACACAACAAAAAAUUCAUAUACCAUAAGUAGUCACUACUACCAAAAAUGAUAUCAUGUAUAUAAUGAAAAAUCAGCCCAUUUUUUUUUUAUUUUUAACCUAAAUUAACACACUAAUUUCUUCACGAGAAUUCAAUAAAUCAAAAUAAUUGAGAAAGUGAAUAGAGCUUACGACUCUCUACGAGAAUAAUUGAUUCGCCGCCUAAACCUCUCUUUACCACCAGAUACUUCUCCUCUCAAUCGGGCCAUGCUGCAAAAAUUGAACAUCAACAAGAAGUUGUGCUAGUAAAUAUAAAUUUUACUAAGAAUUAAUAAAAAAAUCAAUUCAAUCAUAAAAAUUACUCAGACAAAGGGGGGGAAAAUUAGAAACGGCUGAACCCUAGUAUUUUUCUCUAUACCUUCUCUACUUGGAGAAAAAAAUGUUGUGUAUGUAGUAAUGAGACUACACAUAUAUAUAGUACUAAUUCUUGUAACGUAUGAUGUUGGUCAAACUUUAAGGGCAGUUUAGUCUUUCUCUAAUAUUUUUAGUCAUUCACUAAAGUUAUGACUAUUUAUUGACCGGAUUCAAUUUGUUGAAUUGAAAAUGAUUAAAGUAAAAGCAGUGAAUCCAUAUUUUAUGAAUUAUUAAUUAUUUUUCUUAAAAUAUCAUGUAUUUCUUCUCCUUAUUUUUCCGUAAAUAUGCAACUUAUUUGUAGUUUUAAUAUUAUUAUUGUCACGAUCGGAAUCUAGACCCCAGACGAGACCGGCGUCGUCGACCUCUCAGAGGUCGCAAACAAGCCAACUUACAUCAUUCUUACUUUACAUAGAUUAAUUUUUGCGAAAAAUUUGAAAUUUUUGAUUCUUUAAUCAUACUUGCCAAACAUUCUUUAUAUUUCGUAAUCGUUCAUCAUCAACCAUCUAACAAUUAAGAGAUAAGCAACUGAAAGAAUAAUUCGUUAAGUAUUAAUUGUAUAUCGGCCAAAAUAACACCAAUACAACGUCUGAACCAAAACAGGAAAGAAGCCCCAGCGAAACAUGCUCCACUAGCUCAACUCUAAAACUACGCUAGAAUGUAAGACAGUAGCAUCCUCGAACGCAUGAGGACCUACCGAACUUCGGAUGAAUGCUGACGUCCGGAUAGCUGCAACAACAAACCUGUAGCUCUACCGUCCACCUGUGCCUGCACCUAAAAGUAGAUGUUUGUAUGGAAUUAGUACACACUUGUACUAAGUAUGGGUAUAUGCAAGCACACACCAGGGACAUGCAUGAGGAAGAAUAGAUCUUUCCUAACAACAUGAUGUUUGGAAGUCAAGUCAGUGGACUUGCUAAAUUGAGAUUUGAAAAUUUAUGCCAUGAGAGUGACAUGCAUCAUUAUAAUUAUUGUAUGACACACAACACAUAACAUCUUCAUAUAACACAUAACAUAUAACACAUAGUUUCUUUCAUAUUAUUCAUUCAUAUACCACGAGACCUUAUUAUCAUAGACUUAACCUUAAGACUUUCCAAAAUGAGGGCUCAACAUAUGGGACCUCAACUAGGGAGCCUUUUUUAGCAAACACAGAGUUUUCUUCAUUCAUUCAUACGUACCUCGUUUCAGUUCAUUCAUAGGCCAGUGUGAACACCAGCUAUACCUAGGGUGUAAUUUAAGACUUUCAUCGGGUUUGCUGUGCAAUGAUCAGGAAUAACCUAAUGUCAUUACCUGAAUCUAGCUCACCUCUUGAUUAUCCUAUCCUAACACCUUCGGUGUCAUUCCUUUAUUUAUAUGAUUUAUAUUCAUUCAUUGGGAACUUUAACUUUAACCGACAUAGAUCAUGUGAGCAUCAUGAAAUCCAGUGUCUCCCCCACACCGAAAAGAGGUGAAAUCAUCGGCCAAAGCGAUUCAAUAACAUGCUAGCGUAUAUGGGAAUUUAACCCUGCCAGAUCCCUAUAGUGGCAAUAUAGGUUCAAAGACUAGGAGAUGUAUGGAGACCCAUACCCGGCAAGCCUGACAGUCUCAUCUCAUGAGAGUUACGUAAACCUCCGCCCUUCCCGAAAUAAGGCAUCACCGCUCAUAGCUAGCCUAUCGGUGCUCGGUAUAAAGUUCCAUUACAUUCAACUCAUACAUCAUGGAAGUUGGCUUCUAGUAUGAGGACAUCAUAGCUCAAUAGAUGAUUCUCAUCUCAUCAUUAGUAUUGACUGUUUUAAACUCAAUAUUUUCAUUAGAGUGUUCAUCGAGACUGGUCUCUUCAUUAUCUUACACGCUCAUUGGUGAGUACGUAUUGGUAACAUUUACUUAGGUUUAUUUGAGAUUGCUCUCAUCAUAUACAUUAGCCUCAAAUCAUGAUUGUCACCACAUUCUUCAUUAUUAGCACCUUUAUUUUUCAUAGUUACUUACCUCUUAUUACGUGGAUGUUCAUUACUUCAUUUCAUUACGUAUAUCUUAGGUUCACUUAUAUUUGAACGUAUGUUAAACUUAUGUGUCUAUACAUACAAGUAAUGGGGCUUCAUAUAUAGUUCGUUAAGUAAUUCUUAUUUUCCUAAGAUUAUGUAUUACAAGACUUAUGUAUCUUGUAUAUAUACCAAGAUCUUGAUUUUUUAUCUAAGUAGAUGGCAUUAUUCUUGAAUAUUUUUACUCACGUAUGACUUAUGUAUCAAUAGGGAGGUUUGGGCACGCAAACCCAACUCUUGAAUCAUUUUGAUAGCAUUUAUAUUUUUCAUUGACUUUAUUUUCUAAUAUCAUAACAUUAGAACUCUAAAUUAAAUCUCAACAUUUUCAUAAAAUAAUUAAUUUUCUAUUUUAAUUAGAAUUCUAAAUCAAAUCUCAAUAUUUACAUAAAAGAAUUAAUUUUCUAUUUUAAUUAGAAUUCUAAAUUAAAUCCCCAUAUUUACAUGAAAGAAUUAAUUUUCUAUUUUAAUUAGAAUUCUAAAUUAAAUCUCCAUAUUUACAUGAAAGAAUUAAUUUUCUAUUUUAAUUAGAAUUCUAAAUUAAAUCUCAAUAUUUACAUGAAAGAAUUAAUUUUCUAUUUUAAUUAGAAUUCUAGUUCAAAUCUUUUUAUUAAAAAAAAAAUAAAAUGAAAAUCGCUUCAUUAGGGAGGUUGUGGGUUCGAACCCCCACAACCCCCAUAUUUUCCUCUCUUUUUCGCUGAAGAGGAGGCUGUGAGGAGGUGGGUUCGAACCCCCACAGCCCCUCUAUCAUUAAUUUAAUUAAAUGGGGCGUGCAACAGUGAGGUUGUGGGAUCGAAUCCCCACAGCCUCACUUCUUUUCUUAAUUAAAUUCGCCCAUCCUUCAGCCUUGAGGUCGUGGGAUUGAUUCCCACGCCUCGCGUCUCCUUUUUCUCCAUUUUCCCUUCCUUCGCGCGUAGCUGGAGGUCGUGGGUUCGAAUCCCACUUAUCUUCUUAAUUAAUUUUCUCCUCCUCCUCCCCACAGGUCGCGUGUUCGAUCCCCCCAGACGCCACUUCUUUUUCUUCUCUUUUUUUUUCCGCGCAAUACAGGGGCGAGGGUUCGAUUCCCCCCCAGCCCCCCCCCCUUUUUUUUCUUGGCGAAUUUCGCCGGCCCCCCAGUCCCAGGUUCGAGCCCCAUCAGGCACAUUUCUUUUAUUAAGGCUUACUUUGGUGAGGCCUCGAGUUCGAUCCCUGCAGACCUCACCUAUUUUUAUUUAUUUUUUUUUGUUUAAAAUUUCCAGAAUUCCUCUACAACUUAUUCAUAGGUUCUGGGACAUUACUCCACAUUUUUUUACAUCAUUUUUACAGGUUAAUUUAGCAUUUGUUUCUUAUACAUUCGUUAAAGUUCUUAAGACAAGUUUAGAGGGAUGGUUUGAUCAUUUGUUUUAACUAGAAUUUAUAUCCCUUCAACCAUGUGAAUAUACGAUUUUAAGAGCCUCUAAUUGCACACAAAACACGAAUAAUUUCUAUGCUAUUAGCAUGCUAAAGAAAAACUCAAAAUCAUGAUCACAAUCUUGCACAAAUACAUAACGUAUUUCCUAAUAUGUCCCAACUGGUGAAAAUAUAAACAUAUGCACAAAACAUAAAACAAAGGAAAAUAAAUUAUCACCACAAACAAUAUAAUUAAGAUGUUUGAUAACUGUUAAAAAAGGGAAUUCGAAAUUAAAAGGGCAGGUAUUUUAUUUUGAAAAGCAAAAAUGGUAUAUUAAAAAAGUUUUAACCAAAAGGGCUAAAUUACUUCGGAUGGAGUGAUUUUUUGACGUCUUUCUGUUAAACGAAAAAAUUCACCGCCCUAGCAACUGUUUUCUCCAAAAUAAUAAUUUCUUCUUUUCUUUAAAAUCGCUGCUAUAGCAAUGUUUUAAUUAAAAUAAAUAAAUCAAAAAGGCUGCUUAAGAAACAAAAAAAAACAUUCAUGACAACGCCUAUAACUAUUUUUUUUGUAAAAUCGCUAUGGCAGCCUUUUUAUAAAAAAAUCAAAAAUUUUAAUGGUGAGUUGCUACAAGCGUUAAGAAAUUAAUUUUUGUCAUUUACUUAUUUUAUCUUGAGAUAAGUUAUCCCAUAUUACUAUACCACCCAAAGGGAGGAAUAACUUAUCCGGUACUAAUUAUUAAUUACGGGAUGAGUUAUCAUGAACAUAUCAACCAAACAACAAAUUAAGUGACAGUACAAUUUAGGGUAUAUUUGGUAGGAAGAAAAAUGUUUUCCUAGAAAAUGUCUCCCGAAAAACAAGUAGAUUUUUGACUUAUUUUCUCAUGUUUGGUUGGUGAGUAUAAAAUAUUUUCUGAUAGAGAUUUAGUGUUUGAUUUUUGAAAGAAAAAUAUUUUUGAGAAAUAUCUUUUAUUUUUUUACUAUAGUAGAAAAUAAUUUUUAAAAACAAACUUAAAUUUUUGGGGUGUAUAGGGGUGGGAGGGGGAGGGGGAUCGAGGGUGUGGGUGAAAAAAAAUAAAAAAUUUUAAGUUUAAAUUAUUUUUUAAAAACAAACUUAAAACUUUUUGGGGAGUGGGGUGGGGUUGGGGGCUGGUAGGGGUGGGUGGGUGGUCGAGGAUAUGGGUGAAAAAUGAAAUUUUAAAGUUGAAAAUAUUUUUCUUAAAUUUGAGAAAAAUAAAUUGAUUUAGAAAAUAUUUUCCAAAAUUCUUUAAUCCAACCAAAUAUGAGAAAACAUUUUUCGAAAAAUAUUUUAAUUCAUACCAAACAACCCCGAAUAUAAUAAGGAUAUGCCUGUGUUUUCAACAAGUUUUAUCUGAUAGGUUGCAGAUAUAGAAGCACAUAUUCAAAAAAAAUUCUUAAUUUGCUAGAAAGGAUGAUGAUAUUAUUUGGAAAAAUAAACCCCAUAUAGCACCAACAUUUUACAUUGCCAAUAAAACUGAAUCUCUAGCAUUCGAAACAGAACAAAAAUUUCCAAGAAACCCAUCAAUCUUUCCAAGUUUAACUCCUUCACAAGCAUUAGUAAUACAGAUCACACUAUUAUAAGGAACUAAAGAGGAUGAUUAACUGAUCAAUACGUUCCCUAAGCAUGAAAUCAGCUGAAGAAUCUGGCAAGAAUUUAGCGAACUCAUCAAGUAAAUCUGAAUGAUCCUUGAAAAGUAUAGCAAUCUACACAUGAAUGUAAAAUAAUAAUCAAUAUUCAUAAAUUAAAACAUGAAGAUCACCUAAUAUAAAUUGUGUAUCCAAAUUGAAAGAUGUUUUAUCACCUUAUGGUAGAUAUCAUAUUUGUUCUCGUGCUCCCUGUUGUACAUCCUCAAAAUGUUCAAAAAUGAUUCAUACGCAUGGUUGUCCUGUCGGAAACGUUCCUGCACAAAGCGAUGACCCCAACAAGUAAGUCAACACUCAUAUUUUAUCCAUCCAUCUGUCUGUCUAACAAAAUAUCUUGUCAGAUUCUUUAUGAAUUUAGAAGAAAAGAAAGCUUAGAGAAUAACCUUUACUUUCUCCACAAAACUAACAGCUUCUUCAAACUUAAUUCCCUGUGGACGAGCCUCAUUUUCUUGUUUUAUUUGAUAAGUUGAAGGAGCCUCAGUUUCUUGCUUUACUUGAUAAGUCGAAGGAGCCUCAGUUUCUUGUUUUACUUGAUAAGUUGAAGGAGCUUCAGUUUCUUGUUUUACUUGAUAAGUUGAAGGAGCUUCAGUUUCUUGUUUUACUUGAUAAGUUGAAGGAGCCUCAAUUUUACACUUCUUCUCUUCUUUCUUUACUAACUUGGAAUCAUUCAACUUAGUCAUUACACCUACAAGAAAUCCAACUGCAAAGCAGUAACCAUUCAAAUUACAAUCUCACAUAUAUAUAAGCAUUAUGUGUGUGACAGAAUUCGUUAAAGACUUACCAGCUCGUUCAUAACAAUCUAUAAAUACAUUGAAAUGCUCCAUAAGAGAACGAUGUUUCCCAAGUACUCUAGCAACCUGAAAUGAGUGGUUAAAUCUAUGAUGCUUAAACAACAAACAUAUCGACUUGUACAUCAUUUAAAAGAUAUUAGUACCACAAAAUCCUGUAGAAACAUUAGGUCUAGCCUAUAAUUUUCAUGAACAUCAACCAAACCAUAGAUAGUAGAAUUUAUAAGCAAAGAUUACUGUCACAUAGGAGCAAUAAAGAUAAGAUUAGAUGCAUGAUACACGUACCAAAGAUUGUAACUGCUCCCUUGUAAUUAAUUCUCUACUGUAAUCAUGAAGACAUUUCAAGAAUGUCUGAUAAUCAGCUGGACUUCCUAGUCUUUCCUUUACCUCUUCACAGAAAGUGAACCCAUUUGUAUAUGUAUCUGCCAAGAUCAAACAAAUACUAUUAAAAAGCACAAUAACCAAACUCAACAACUCUAUGCUAAAAAUAGAUGCAUACAUCAAUAACUUAAGCAAAAAUGGAGUCAAACAGACUGAAUGUUAGCAACAUACUAAUAAAAUAUUAAUCAUGACGAAUUCUGAUAUGUCUUGUUGGAGAUUUUUUUUUUUACGAAAUUUCAAUUGUUGUCUUGUAUAGUAAUGUAAAGUACUUGUAACAAAAUCCUAAUGAAAAAUUGUUCAAGACUUUCUCUAGCUCAAUAUAUCGGUAAGUAUUCCAAUUGUCAAGCAGUAACCAAUCUUAGUGGCACAAAAGUUUUACAAUCAUAAAAUUUUAACUUACCAACUCGAUCAUAAAGAUCCAGAAAUUCAUUAAAACCCUCCAUAAGAUCAGGAUAUUUUCCAAGUAUUUCAGCAACCUGAAAUUGAUAGCUUGCUUCAAAUUAAUGAUGCUUUAACAACAAGAUCGACUUGUAUAUCAUUUAAAAGACAUUGGAACCACAAAAUCCUGUAAAACAGGAUUCAGUACCCCUGUUUCUCCCUUUUCUUAGCCAAAACUCAUAAGAGAGCCCAACCAAACCCCAAAUAGCAAAUAUUACAAACAAUGAUAAAUGUCACUUUGGAACAAAAGGGGAUUAAUAGUAUGAUAGACGUACCAAACUUUGUAACUCGUUCUUUGUGAUCGUUUCUGUGCCGUAAUGACGGAGACAUGUUAAGAAGUUCAGAUAAUCAGCUGGACUUUGUAGUCUUUCCUUUACCCUUUCACGGAAAAUGAACCCUUUGCUACACGAAGCUGACAAGAUCAACAAAAUCAAAUUAAAAAGCAUACUAACAAAACUCAGCAACUCUAUGCUAAAAUCAAAUGCAUACACCAAGAACUUUACCAAAAAAAUAAGUGAGAUAAACUAAAUAAUAAAUUAAUACAUAUUUACUAAUAGAUCAGUGUCAUUACAAAGUAUAUAGCUAAUAGUGGAAGAUUCUAAUGUAGCACAUCAAAUACAAAUAUUCAGCUAACCAUGAACUCACAUUUCAGGGCAUCUUCAAACUCUCCAAAAGAAUUCAUUUUACCAGUAUGCUGCUGCUUGCUUAGAUCCUCUUUGUAGUUGGUAUCUGGCAAGAACCUAGUAAACUCAUCUAACAAAUCUGGAUGGCCAUUGAAAAGUAUGGCAACCUAAACAUACGAUAUGACAAAAAGUAACAAAAAAUUAAAACAUAAACAUCAUCUAUUGUAUACCAAUUUAAAAAAGAAACUAUUACCUCUCGGUACACCUCAUCAAUUCCCUUAUGCUCUUUCUUAUACACGUUCAAGAUGUCUAGAAAGUAUCUGUAGACUUGAUCAUCAUUUUGGAAUCGUGUCUGCAGAAUAUGAUAAACCAAAUAAAUUAGGACUAAAGUAUUUUAAAGAAGAAAAGACAGACCUAUAUUAUUUAAACUGGAAGUGUAACCUUUAUUUUAUUCACAAAGUUGACAGCAUCUCCAAAUUCAACUCGAGGCUUAUCUUCUUGAUUGGGAGUUAUCGUAUAUCCCUCGGGCAAGAAAGUGUUGAAUCCAAUGAUCAACCUAGGGUACUCUUUGAACAAAUCUUUCACUCUUUCUAUGACAGUAACAGUAUCAAUUCUGUAAAAAAAUGGAAUAAUUCACUGAUAAAACAACAAAUAUGAGAAUGAUGACACUAAGGCAAAUAGUAGUAACAUACCUUUGAGCCUUAAAAUGUUUCAUAAUAUCAAGGAACAUUUCAUACUUCACUUUGCCUUGAAACGUGUCCUUAACUUCCUUCAAAUAAGACAAAGCAUCCUCUGUUCUAAGAUUUGGGUUACAAGGGCUAAGAAAAGUUAGCCCUCUACCAGCAAUGCGGCUGCCCAAACCAUUUUCAACUACUUGUGAUGAACGACGCCUACUUCACACAACAAAAAAUUCAUAUACCAUAAGUAGUCACUACUACCAAAAAUGAUAUCAUGUAUAUAAUGAAAAAUCAGCCCAUUUUUUUUUUAUUUUUAACCUAAAUUAACACACUAAUUUCUUCACGAGAAUUCAAUAAAUCAAAAUAAUUGAGAAAGUGAAUAGAGCUUACGACUCUCUACGAGAAUAAUUGAUUCGCCGCCUAAACCUCUCUUUACCACCAGAUACUUCUCCUCUCAAUCGGGCCAUGCUGCAAAAAUUGAACAUCAACAAGAAGUUGUGCUAGUAAAUAUAAAUUUUUCUAAGAAUUAAUAAAAAAAUCAAUUCAAUCAUAAAAAUUACUCAGACAAAGGGGGGGAAAAUUAGAAACGGCUGAACCCUAGUAUUUUUCUCUAUACCUUCUCUACUUGGAGAAAAAAAUGUUGUGUAUGUAGUAAUGAGACUACACAUAUAUAUAGUACUAAUUCUUGUAACGUAUGAUGUUGGUCAAACUUUAAGGGCAGUUUAGUCUUUCUCUAAUAUUUUUAGUCAUUCACUAAAGUUAUGACUAUUUAUUGACCGGAUUCAAUUUGUUGAAUUGAAAAUGAUUAAAGUAAAAGCAGUGAAUCCAUAUUUUAUGAAUUAUUAAUUAUUUUUCUUAAAAUAUCAUGUAUUUCUUCUCCUUAUUUUUCCGUAAAUAUGCAACUUAUUUGUAGUUUUAAUAUUAUUAUUGUCACGAUCGGAAUCUAGACCCCAGACGAGACCGGCGUCGUCGACCUCUCAGAGGUCGCAAACAAGCCAACUUACAUCAUUCUUACUUUACAUAGAUUAAUUUUUGCGAAAAAUUUGAAAUUUUUGAUUCUUUAAUCAUACUUGCCAAACAUUCUUUAUAUUUCGUAAUCGUUCAUCAUCAACCAUCUAACAAUUAAGAGAUAAGCAACUGAAAGAAUAAUUCGUUAAGUAUUAAUUGUAUAUCGGCCAAAAUAACACCAAUACAACGUCUGAACCAAAACAGGAAAGAAGCCCCAGCGAAACAUGCUCCACUAGCUCAACUCUAAAACUACGCUAGAAUGUAAGACAGUAGCAUCCUCGAACGCAUGAGGACCUACCGAACUUCGGAUGAAUGCUGACGUCCGGAUAGCUGCAACAACAAACCUGUAGCUCUACCGUCCACCUGUGCCUGCACCUAAAAGUAGAUGUUUGUAUGGAAUUAGUACACACUUGUACUAAGUAUGGGUAUAUGCAAGCACACACCAGGGACAUGCAUGAGGAAGAAUAGAUCUUUCCUAACAACAUGAUGUUUGGAAGUCAAGUCAGUGGACUUGCUAAAUUGAGAUUUGAAAAUUUAUGCCAUGAGAGUGACAUGCAUCAUUAUAAUUAUUGUAUGACACACAACACAUAACAUCUUCAUAUAACACAUAACAUAUAACACAUAGUUUCUUUCAUAUUAUUCAUUCAUAUACCACGAGACCUUAUUAUCAUAGACUUAACCUUAAGACUUUCCAAAAUGAGGGCUCAACAUAUGGGACCUCAACUAGGGAGCCUUUUUUAGCAAACACAGAGUUUUCUUCAUUCAUUCAUACGUACCUCGUUUCAGUUCAUUCAUAGGCCAGUGUGAACACCAGCUAUACCUAGGGUGUAAUUUAAGACUUUCAUCGGGUUUGCUGUGCAAUGAUCAGGAAUAACCUAAUGUCAUUACCUGAAUCUAGCUCACCUCUUGAUUAUCCUAUCCUAACACCUUCGGUGUCAUUCCUUUAUUUAUAUGAUUUAUAUUCAUUCAUUGGGAACUUUAACUUUAACCGACAUAGAUCAUGUGAGCAUCAUGAAAUCCAGUGUCUCCCCCACACCGAAAAGAGGUGAAAUCAUCGGCCAAAGCGAUUCAAUAACAUGCUAGCGUAUAUGGGAAUUUAACCCUGCCAGAUCCCUAUAGUGGCAAUAUAGGUUCAAAGACUAGGAGAUGUAUGGAGACCCAUACCCGGCAAGCCUGACAGUCUCAUCUCAUGAGAGUUACGUAAACCUCCGCCCUUCCCGAAAUAAGGCAUCACCGCUCAUAGCUAGCCUAUCGGUGCUCGGUAUAAAGUUCCAUUACAUUCAACUCAUACAUCAUGGAAGUUGGCUUCUAGUAUGAGGACAUCAUAGCUCAAUAGAUGAUUCUCAUCUCAUCAUUAGUAUUGACUGUUUUAAACUCAAUAUUUUCAUUAGAGUGUUCAUCGAGACUGGUCUCUUCAUUAUCUUACACGCUCAUUGGUGAGUACGUAUUGGUAACAUUUACUUAGGUUUAUUUGAGAUUGCUCUCAUCAUAUACAUUAGCCUCAAAUCAUGAUUGUCACCACAUUCUUCAUUAUUAGCACCUUUAUUUUUCAUAGUUACUUACCUCUUAUUACGUGGAUGUUCAUUACUUCAUUUCAUUACGUAUAUCUUAGGUUCACUUAUAUUUGAACGUAUGUUAAACUUAUGUGUCUAUACAUACAAGUAAUGGGGCUUCAUAUAUAGUUCGUUAAGUAAUUCUUAUUUUCCUAAGAUUAUGUAUUACAAGACUUAUGUAUCUUGUAUAUAUACCAAGAUCUUGAUUUUUUAUCUAAGUAGAUGGCAUUAUUCUUGAAUAUUUUUACUCACGUAUGACUUAUGUAUCAAUAGGGAGGUUUGGGCACGCAAACCCAACUCUUGAAUCAUUUUGAUAGCAUUUAUAUUUUUCAUUGACUUUAUUUUCUAAUAUCAUAACAUUAGAACUCUAAAUUAAAUCUCAACAUUUUCAUAAAAUAAUUAAUUUUCUAUUUUAAUUAGAAUUCUAAAUCAAAUCUCAAUAUUUACAUAAAAGAAUUAAUUUUCUAUUUUAAUUAGAAUUCUAAAUUAAAUCCCCAUAUUUACAUGAAAGAAUUAAUUUUCUAUUUUAAUUAGAAUUCUAAAUUAAAUCUCCAUAUUUACAUGAAAGAAUUAAUUUUCUAUUUUAAUUAGAAUUCUAAAUUAAAUCUCAAUAUUUACAUGAAAGAAUUAAUUUUCUAUUUUAAUUAGAAUUCUAGUUCAAAUCUUUUUAUUAAAAAAAAAAUAAAAUGAAAAUCGCUUCAUUAGGGAGGUUGUGGGUUCGAACCCCCACAACCCCCAUAUUUUCCUCUCUUUUUCGCUGAAGAGGAGGCUGUGAGGAGGUGGGUUCGAACCCCCACAGCCCCUCUAUCAUUAAUUUAAUUAAAUGGGGCGUGCAACAGUGAGGUUGUGGGAUCGAAUCCCCACAGCCUCACUUCUUUUCUUAAUUAAAUUCGCCCAUCCUUCAGCCUUGAGGUCGUGGGAUUGAUUCCCACGCCUCGCGUCUCCUUUUUCUCCAUUUUCCCUUCCUUCGCGCGUAGCUGGAGGUCGUGGGUUCGAAUCCCACUUAUCUUCUUAAUUAAUUUUCUCCUCCUCCUCCCCACAGGUCGCGUGUUCGAUCCCCCCAGACGCCACUUCUUUUUCUUCUCUUUUUUUUUCCGCGCAAUACAGGGGCGAGGGUUCGAUUCCCCCCCAGCCCCCCCCCCCCUUUUUUUUCUUGGCGAAUUUCGCCGGCCCCCCAGUCCCAGGUUCGAGCCCCAUCAGGCACAUUUCUUUUAUUAAGGCUUACUUUGGUGAGGCCUCGAGUUCGAUCCCUGCAGACCUCACCUAUUUUUAUUUAUUUUUUUUUGUUUAAAAUUUCCAGAAUUCCUCUACAACUUAUUCAUAGGUUCUGGGACAUUACUCCACAUUUUUUUACAUCAUUUUUACAGGUUAAUUUAGCAUUUGUUUCUUAUACAUUCGUUAAAGUUCUUAAGACAAGUUUAGAGGGAUGGUUUGAUCAUUUGUUUUAACUAGAAUUUAUAUCCCUUCAACCAUGUGAAUAUACGAUUUUAAGAGCCUCUAAUUGCACACAAAACACGAAUAACCUCUAUGCUAUUAGCAUGCUAAAGAAAAACUCAAAAUCAUGAUCACAAUCUUGCACAAAUACAUACGUAUUUACAUACAUAUUCCCAAAAGACAAAAAAUAUAAACACAUGGUCAUGAACACAUACUCGAAACGAGAUCAUCACCACAAACAAGCAUCCCUCAAUUCUACCAACAAGAAUACCCAACCUAAGAUCAUAGGGAGCUAGUGAUAGGGGCAUGCAACGGGGAACAACCUUAGUUUCAAGAUGAAUAGUUUGAAUCGUAAGGGGCCUCUUGGGAAAGGAGCCAAGAGAGAAGAAACUCAUACCUUUAUUGAUGUUCAAACAAAGAAUUUGCUACCCAAAACUCUCUCCAAAAAUCAGUCCAAGUUACCUCAACGUCCACACCACUCAACGAACAACUUCUCUUCGCCUUAAUAUUUUUUUUGUUGCUUUGUUUUUCUUAAAAUUUCAUGUGAGUUCUUCAAGCGUGAAGAUCUGUUGAUAUUUGGCAGAACAACGUGAGAAAGAUGGAGAACGUGAGAGAGAGUUAUGAAGCGUGAGAGAGAACUAUUAGGAUUAGGAGACUAAUUCAAGAAUUAGUCGAAUAGAAUUUAAAAUAAAUUAAUACAAAUCUGAUUUAUUUUAAUUAAUACGCGAAAGGACCAUUAUGCCCUUAAAUACCUGUUUAUUCUUAUUUAAUUAAUUUUUUUUCCUGGAUAGUUACAUUUAUUGUACAAUAUCACUUAUUACUUUUUCACCAAAAAUGAUUAGAAAGUACAAGUAGUGUAAUUCAUAUCUUAAUCCCUUGUGCUCCUUCCUAUACAUGUUCAAAAUAUCUAGGAAGGAUUUGUAAACGUGAUCAUCAUUUUGGAAAUGGGUCUGCAGAAAAUGAUAACCUAGUAAGUUAGGACUAGAGUUUUUUGUAAAGAAGAAAAAGGCAGACCUUUAUUGUUUAAACUGGAAGGUAACAGAAAUGUAACCUUUAUUUUGUUCACAAAGCUAAUAGCUUCUUCAAAUUCAACUUUCUUUGGAGGAGUCUCAUCUUCAUAAUACAGUGGUCACCUUGGUCUGAGUGGGCACAACUUCAUGAUGGUAACCAACACUGGUCUAUCAGUGAAGGGUUAUUUCAUAACCCCUGGGCAAGAAGGUGUUAAAACCAAGGAUCAACAUAGGAUGCCCUUUAAACAAGUCUUUUACUCUAGCCAUGACACCAACAAUAUCAAUUCUGUGAAGAGAAAAACAAAGAUAAGUCCCACAAAAAUCACCAAAUCGAAUAGGAAUGAAAAUAGCACUAGGAAAAUUAAAGGAGCAAUCCUUUGAGCUUUAAAGUCUUUCAUAACAUCAAGGAACAUGUCAUACUUAUCCCUUUGGCUUCGAAACAUGUCCUUGACUUCCUUCAAAUAAGACAAUGCAUCACCAGUUCUCAGAUUUGAAUUACUAUCACUAGCUCCACCAGCACUGCUGCCACCACCAACUCCACUCUGACCACUUGCUGGAACUUGUGAUGGACUAUAGCUUCAUCCGGGAAAAAAGAAAUGAAGAAAAACAUUACAGCGAGAACCACAUCAAAAAUUUGUCAGACAAAUUUAUUGUCACAGACCUCCUCUUAAUAUGCUCUAAUAGGUUAAAUUAUACUCUCAUCCACAUUAAAUCAAUGAUUUUUAUAGUUCAUUCAAAAUUGAAAAAAUCGUUGAUACGAUAAAGCAAAUAAAUAGUGGUUGUGGUGCUAAGUUAAAGCAUUUGCCCUAAAAAUGAAUUAACAGAUAAACAAAAAGCAACUAGACCCACCCAAAUGCAACAUGGAUAAGGAUAAUCUUUAUCUUCAAUUGUGCUUGAUAAUUUCGAGUAGUGCAAGAAAAAUGAUAGAACCUACCCUAAAACACAAGAUAAAGCAGAAAAUGGCAUCCAAAUAUUUUCUGAUAGCAUAAUCACACAACACACCACAUGAUGAAAAACUAAAAAUUACUGAUUUACCUAGAAUUAUCAAAAAUUCAGCAAAUUCAUAGUUCAUUCAGAAGUUGACUAAUCCCUUGAUUUGAUACAACCAAAUAAAUAAAGGUUAUAUUGUGUUUAUAGCGUUUGCCCUAAAAAUGAACUAACAGAUAAACAAAAAAAAAGAAGCAAAAACACUCACCCAAACAAUAUGGGUAAAGAUCCAAUCUUUAUUUUCAUAUCUUCUUGAUAAUUCUUGACUAAUGAAAAAAAAUGAUAAACCUAUUCUAAUUCAUUAAACAUUUUUUAAUCACAAAGUUAGACAAUACACACAAAGAUAUAACAACUAGAAAUCACUAAUUUAGCCAGAGUUACCAAGAAUUCAAUAAAUUAAAAAAAAUCCAUCAAAAACAAGUACAUACAAAAAAAUUAUCAGAUACAAAAUGGACACAAGCCAAACAACAUACGAUUCUCCUUUAUUGGAUUCAAAUGGCCGCUUAAAUGAAGGGCUAUCAUACACAUCAUCUCUCAAUCGUUUCAUCCUAUUAAAAAAAACAGCAAGAAGAAGUUUUUUAACAUCAACAAACAAAAAAAAAAGAAAAAAAUCUGCUUCCAUUUUCAAAACAACUCACUUUAGAGAUUAUUCUCUGAUUUUCUGAGGAUGAGAAAAGAGAAGUCUUAACAGAUCUAUCAACACAAAACAAAGAGUUAAUCCAAUGGUUUAGAUCAGAUAAAAAAAUUAUGUCAAUUCAUUCUUGGUGGCCUUUUUUUCCCUUUCCAAUGUUCUCUUUCCCUCCUCUCCAACUCAGAAUUGUAACACACAACACAUAAGACAAGUUUUGAGAAACAAAGAGGUAAAAGGCGAAGAGGUGAGGCAAAAAAAAAAAUGAUUUGAUAAAAUAAUGUUGGUGUUGUUAUAUAUAUUAUGUAACGCGACCUCAGUUACACAAAUGUACUUACAAUAUCAAACUAUUGCACGUAUACUUCUUAAUUUACCCUUAUCAAUAAUUAUAAUAAUUUAUCUAUUAAUUUUUUUUCAAGAAAUUAUACUUAUUAUAUUUCAUUUUUUAGGAUCGGGUUUUAUUUUUCACCCCCAAUUGGAUUGAUACUGUUUUAACAUUUUGAGUUAUAUUGAUAAUAAUCUUAAUGUCAGUUUAAACGUUAACCUAAUUAUAUGUGUUUAUGUAAAAGUAAAAAAAGCAUGCAAGAUAAUGUUAUAACUGAAUUAACGAUUUAUUAUUGUAGUUAUAGUUACCGCCACAACCUGUGACGGUUAUAAAAUGCACGCGUCCUAAUCACUUAAGAAAUAAUAUGUAUUUCAAUAUAAUUAUAUAUUUAUGCAAAUCAUGUUUCCUUGUUUAGUUUGGUAAGUAAACUCAUGAAUAUUGUAACCGAGUACGUCCAAAUUACAUAACGACAAAAAAUUAAUUCUUACAUUAUACUGAAAACCUGCUCUAGAUCUAGAUCGAAUAAUUAUUAAUUAUUGGAAUAUGAUGCAAUGUGGCACGUAAAAAUUGAUUCGGCUCAUAAAUUAAUCAAAAUUUUGUAAUUUUACGAGCAAUUGACUUUAAUAUUCAUAUUCAUAAGUAACUUACUACUCUCCGUUCAAUAAUAGUUGUUCAUUUUGCUGUUUUGGAAUGUCCAACAACACUCAUUCACUUUAUGAAAUCAGUGGAUAAUUUUAAACUUAAUUCCUAAUUUACCCGCGUCACUAAUUAUAAUCAUUUAUCUAUACUUUUUCACCUUAUUAUAUUCAAGAGUUAUAUAGUAAAACAAUGAAUAUAUUUGACACGACUAUAUAGGCACAAAUUUGGCAUGACUACACUUUUGGGGUUAUUUUUCAUAAUUAGAGGGACUGACAAGGGUGUUGAUAUAAAUUAAUUUUUUCAUCUAAAAUGUCAUCUAAAGUUAGUUGACUAAUAAAAGUCAUAAAUCACUUGAUGGUUUUAAAAGUUACAAUGUCUAAUAAUUUUUUCCUUUCAAAUAAAAAUCUACCCAAUAAAAUAUUUAUUUAUAUCGACUUCAAUAUUUUAUUCACUUUCUUUCUUUCAAUUUUUUGAUUUUUCAUUGUUAUUUAUUCUUCUUCUUCUUUUCAACAUCCCACUAGUUUUGUUCAUAAAUUUCAUCUUAAAUGCAAAUAUGUCUAUAUUGUUUUAAGAGGAAAAAACAAGAUAAAUUUCAAAGUAUCUUUUAUUUUUAGAUGAUAAAUUUAUAUUUUAUUUUAUGUUACUAUAUUACUAUUUUAUAUUUUACAUAUACUUUUACAGAAUUAUAAAGAAUUAGAAAAAAAAGAUAAUAAUAGGAGUAAUAUUUCUGCAAGGUUAGAAAAAAGAUAAGAAAAUAACAAUUAAAGAUUUUAACCCUCUCAAAAAAGGUUUAAUAUUAAUUGAAAAUUUAAAUAUGUACAUUUUAAUUUUAAAAAUGUAAAGUUUAAUUAACUUUUUUUAUAAUAGAUAUUUAAUAGUUACUAUCUAUAAGUAAUUUUAAUAUUAAAAGUACAUCAAUAGCUAACAUUUUUCGUAUUUGACUCUCAUAAGCAUAUUUUAAUUUUAAAAAAAUCAGUCGAACGCAAAUUAUUUCAAAUGAAUAGUCAAAAUUAUUUUUUUUCAAAAACAUUUUUCUAAAAAGCCGUUUAAAAAGUGAUUAUAAAAAUAAAUUAUUUUUAACAACAACGCCAACACAUGCUCUAAGUAAGAGGUAAGUAAUUUAUUCCGUAAGUUGUGCUUUUUGAGUAAUAUCUAUAUUAUUUUUCAAAUUAAUAUUAGUCUGAGAUGGAAAUUUUACCUAUAUGUAAUAAAUUUACUACGACAAUUUCAUUAUAUAAAUCAAAUAUAUGUUUAUUAAUAAUCCAAGCACAUUUGUUUGUGUUGCGUUACUUUUGAAAUAAUUUAAAAAAGAAGAUUAUAAUACUUAUUAAGUUGACUCUGUCUCUGUAUAUAUUUAUUGCUGAAAAAUCAUAAGCCCCAUUCCUUAUUCGUAGUUCUGCCGGGUUGUUGACAAUAAGUCAAACACGGGUAGAUUAGUCUUUCUCUUAUUAUGUUAACUUGAUUCACUUUUGUAUAUACAUACUUUACUUGUGUUCACUAGUGAAAUGUUGAAACAGACAAAUAAAAUACAAAUUGCAUUCUUCGUAGCAAACAAAAUUACUAUUAUAAAACAGAAUUAUCAAAAUUAUAGCUAUAAAGCCUUAUUAUAUCUAUUAUCUUAACUAUUUCUCAUAUUUUCUCAUUAAUUUAUUGAAUUAAAAAUUAUUCAUUAGAUCAAAAUAUGGUAAUUGGACAAUAAAAGUAACCUCGUUUGUAAUUUUUAUUGUUUUUUCUUCUUCUUAAGAUUCCACAAAAAAAGUGGAGUUUUGAGAUGGACACAAAAUUAGUGACCGUAGACAUUUUUGAAGUUCAUGAAUGAACUCAAAUUUUAAUUUGUUAUUUUGCAGCCUCCUUUAUCAAUCAAAUUUCCCCAAUGUGGUUGAUAAAUUAUUUGUUUAAUUUUGAUAUAAUAUGUUUAUACGAGUUUAUAUAAAAAUAAAAUAGCAUGCAUACGCGAUAGUUUAUACUAACAAAUUUAACAACUUGUUGUGAUAAAUUAGUAGUAAUUUGUAGAGUGAUAGACACAAAAUGCUAAAGCUAUAAAAGGCACGUCACGACCUAUUCACUUAAAGAAACAAUUAUAUAUUGCAAUAAAAUGUCAUUAUAAAUUUAUUGCAUAUCAUCAACACUCUUGAUCUUAAUUAGUUUAGAUUUAACUGCAAUCAAUUUCAAGAAUAAAAAAAUCAUCAACCCUUUUUGUAAUUUUUGAACUUCUCCAUUCGCGAGUUUAAAUGCAUAUUAUUAUAUGAGAUAAUCUAUUUUAGAAUUUUUAACACAAACAUACCGAGAAACUAAUAUUUUCCAGCUAAUAUAUACAAUGUAUCUAUAUUAUUAUAUAAAUAAUUUAUAUCCAUGUAUAUAUGAUGUAUAAUUAUAUGUAAGAGACGUAUAUACAUUUAUACACAUUGUUAUACAAUAUUUAUACAUUGGCAUAUAAUAUCUAUGUAAUAUUAUCUAUAUUGUAUAAAUAUUGUAGACCCAUGCAUAUAUAAUGUAAUACACAAAAUCAAAUGAAGACAAAAAGAAUGAUCAUUGAUUCAACAAAUAUAAGUCAACUUUGAAUAGCUUACUUAGAAAGUCUCUUAAUUUUGGGUUGUUUAUUUCAAAAGUCACUCAACUUUAUUUUUUAACUCAAAAGUCACUUUACUAUUGGUGUUUCACUUAGAAACUCGUCCAACUAUUUAUAUUUCACUUAGAAAGUGACUUAGUUAAUUUAAAUAAAUUUUUUUUCAUUAAAUUUUAUAUAAAAAAUUAUUUUUAAAAAAUAAAUAAGAUGCUUAUUUUAAUUAUUGUUUUUUUUACUAACUUUUUAUUAAAAAAAUAGUAGAAGAUCGUUAAUACCCCCUUUCUUUUAAUGAUUUCUUAUUAAUUCCAAUUUUUCUUUAUUGAUAAUCUUUUAAAAAUUAAUUUCUAGUUUCACAAUUACUAGAAUCGAAUUUAUUUUAUUUUUUUUUGGGGGGGGGGAGGGGAGGGUUGCAUUUAUUACUCUACGUUUUUUUUUUAGAAAAAUUGUAAUUAAAUAAUUGGAGCCGAUAAUUAAAUAAUUAAAAUAGAUAUCUUAUUAUUUCUUUAAAAAUAGUGUAAGAUAAAAUUUAAUGAAAAAAUUAUUUAAAUUGAUUGAGUGACUUUAUAAGUGAAAUAUAAAUAAUUGGGUGACUUUCUAAAUUAACAACUUAAAAUUGAGCGACUUUCUAAGUAACAAUUCAAAGUUAAGUGACCAUAUAAGAUAUUAACUCAAUUCAAUUUGCUCAAUUUCAUUAAAUUUGAAUUAUUUUAUUUAUUCCUUUUACAAAUAAAAUAUUUCAGAAAAUAAUUUUGACAAGAUUUCUUAUCCAAUUUUUAUGAGGUGAAAUGAUUUGUGUCGAAAUAGAUUGAGUUAAAAAAAAUGACAGAGUUGUUCCUAACUUGGAUAAAUUAUGUCCUAAUUUUGUCACCAUACUGGUGAAAAUAUAAACAUAUGCACAAAACAUAAAACAAAGGAAAAAUAAAUUAUACUUCACAGUUCACAUAUAAUUAAGAGUUUGUUUGAUAAUGCUGUUAAAAAAGGGAAUUCGAAAUUAAAAGGACAGGUAUUUUAUUUUGAAAAGCAAAAAUGGUAUAUUAAAAAAGUUUUAACCAAAAGGUCUAAAUUACUUCGGAUGGAGUGAUUUUUUGACGUCUUUCUGUUAAACGAAAAAAAUUCACCGCCCUAGCAACUGUUUUCUCCAAAAUAAUAAUUUCUUCUUUUCUUUAAAAUCGCUACUAUAGCAAUGUUUUAAUUAAAAUAAAUAAAUCAAAAAGGCUGCUUAAGAAACAAAAAAAAAAGUCAUUGCCAUAACAACGAUUUUGUAUAACUAUUUUUUUUUUAAAUCGCUAUGGCAGCCUUUUUAUAAAAAAAAUCAAAAAUUUUAAUGGUAAUGUGUUGCUAUAGUAGCAAUUUUGUUUAAGAAAUUAAUUUUUGUCAUUUACUUAUUUUAUCUUGAGAUAAGUUAUUCCGAUAUUACUAUACCACCCAAAGGGAGGAAUAACUUAUCCGGUACUAAUUAUUAAUUACGGGAUGAGUUAUCAUGAACAUAUCAACCAAACAACAAAUUAAGUGACAGUACAAUUUAGGGUAUAUUUGGUAGGAAGAAAAAUGUUUUCCUAGAAAAUGUCUCCCGAAAAACAAGUAGAUUUUUGACUUAUUUUCUCAUGUUUGGUUGGUGAAUAUAAAAUAUUUUCUGAUAGAGAUUUAGUGUUUUAUUUUUGAAAGAAAAUUAUUUUUGAGAAAUAUCUUUUAUUUUUUUACUAUAGUAGAAAAUAAUUUUUAAAAACAAACUUAAAUUUUUUGGGGUGGAUAGGGGUGGGAGGGGGGAGGGGGAUCGAGGGUGUGGGUGAAAAAAAUAAAAAAAUUUAAGUUUUUAAAAUAUUUUUUAAAAACAAACUUAAAAUUUUUUGGGGAGUGUGCUGGGGUGGGGGGGCUUGUAGGGGUGGUCAGGGAUAUGAGUGAAAAAUGAAAUUUUAAAGUUGAAAACAUUUUUCUUAAAUUUGUGAAAAAUGAGUUGAUUUAGACAAUAUUUUCCAAAAUUAUUUAAUCCAACCAAAUAUGAGAAAAAUAUUUUUCGAAAAAUAUUUUAAUUCAUACCAAACCACCCCAAAUAUAAUAAGGGUAUUCCUUUGUUUUCUACAAGUUUUAUCCGAUAGGUUGCAGAUAUAGAAGCACAUAUUCAAAAAAAAAUUCUUAAUUUGCUAGAAGAGAUGAUGAUAUUAUUCGGAAAAAUAAACCUCAUAUAGUACCAACAUUUUACAUUGCCAAUAAAACUGAAUCUCUAGCAUUCGAAACAGAAUAAAAAUUUCCAAGAAAUCCAUCAAUCUUUCAAAGUUUAACUCCUUCACAAGCAUUAGUAAUACAGAUCACACUAUUAUAAGGAACUAAAGAGGAUGGUUAACUGAUCAAUACGUUCCCUUAGCAUGAAAUCAGCUGAAGAAUCUGCAAGAAUUUAGCGAACUCAUCAAGUAAAUCUGAAUGAUCCUUGAAAAGUAUAGCAAUCUACACAUAAAUGAAAAAUAAUAAUCAAUAUUCAUAAAUUAAAACAUGAAGAUCACCUAAUAUAAAUUGUGUAUCCAAAUUGAAAGAUGUUUUAUUACCUUAUGGUAGACAUCAUAUUUGUUCUCGUGCUCCCUGUAGUACAUCUUCAAAAUGUUCAAAAAUGAUUCAUACACAUGGUUGUCCUGUCGGAAAAGUUCCUGCACAAAGCGAUGACCCCAACAAGUAAGUUAACACUCAUAUUUUAUCCAUCCAUCUGUCUGUUAAACAUAAUAUCUUGUUAGAUUAUUUAUGAAAUUAGAAGAAAAGAAGUCUUAGAGAAUAACCUUUACUUUCUCUACAAAACUGGCAGCUUCUUCAAACUUAAUUCCCUGUGGACGAGCCUCAUUUUCUUGUUUUAUUUGAUAAGUUGAAGGAUCCUCAGUUUCAUGUUUUACUUGAUAAGUUGAAGGAGCUUCAGUUUCUUGUUUUACUUGAUAAGUUGAAGGAGCCUCAGUUUUACACUUCUUCUCUUCUUCCUUUACUAACUUGGAAUCAUUCCACUUAGUCAUUACACCUACAAGAAAUCCAACUGCAAAGCAGUGCUAUUCAAAUUAGAAUCUCUCUCUCUCUCUCUCUCUCUCUCACACACACACACACACACACAUAUAUAUAUAUAUGUAUUGUGUGUGUGAUAGAAUUCGUUAAAGACUUACCAGCUCGUUCAUAACAAUAUAUAAAUACAUUGAAACGCUCCAUAAGACAAGGAUGUUUUCCAAGUACUUGAGCAACCUGAAACGAGUGGUUAAAUCUAUGAUGCUUAAACAACAAACAGAUCGGCUUGUACAUCAUUUAAAAGAUAUUAGUACCACAAAAUCCUGUAGAAACAUUAGGCCUAGCCUAUAAUUUGCAUGAACAUCAACCAAACCAUAGAUAGCAGAAAUUAUAAGCAAAGAUUACUGUCAUAUAGGAGCAACAAAGAUAAGUUUAGAUGCAUGAUACACGUACCAAAGAAUGUAACUGCUCCCUUGUAAUUAUUUCUCUGCUGUAAUCAUGAAGACAUUUCAAGAAUGUCUGAUAAUCAACUGGACUUCCUAGUCUAUCCUUUACCUCUUCACAGAAUGUGAACCCUUUUGUAUAUGUAUCUGCUAAGAUCAAACAAAUACUAUUAAAAAGCUUACUAACCAAACUCAGCAACUCUAUGCUAAAAACAGAUGCAUACAUCAAGAACAUAACAAAAAUGGAGUCAAACAUACUGAAUGUUUAGCAACAUAGUAAUAGAAUAUUAAUCAUGACGAAUUCUGAUAUAUCUUGUUGGAGAUUGUUUUUUUGAAAUUUCAAUUGUUGUCUUGUAUAGUAAUGUAAAGUACUUGUAACAAAAUUCUAAUAAAAAAUUAUUCAAGACUUUCUCAGGCUCAUUACACCGGCAAGUAUUUCAAUUGCCAAGAAGUAACCAAUUUUAAUGGCACAACAAUUUUACAACCAUGAAAUUUUAACUUACCAACUCGAUCAUAAAGAUCCAGAAAUUCAUUGAAACCCUCCAUAAGAUCAAGGUAUUUUCCAAGUAUUUCAGCAACCUGAAAUUGAUAGCGUGCUUCAAAUUAAUGAUGCUUUAACUAAUACAUCGACUUGUAUAUCAUUUAAAAGACAUUAGAACCACAAAAUCCUAUAAAACAGGAUUCAAUACCUCUGUUUCUCCCUUUUCUUAGCCAAAACUCAUAAAAGAGCCCAACCAAACCCAUAUAGCAAAUACUACAAACAACGAUAAAUGUCACUUUGGAACAAAAAGACUUGAUUAAUAGCAUGAUAGACGUACCAAACUUUGUAAUUUGUUCCUUGCGAUCGUUUCUGUGCUGUAAAUAUGGAGACAUGUUAAGAAUUUUAGAUAAUCAGCUGGACUUUGUAGUCUUUCCUUUACCCUUUCACAGAAAAUGAACCCUUUGCUACACGAAGCUGACAAGAUCAACAAAAUCAUAUUAAAAAGCAUACUAACCAAACUCAGCAACUCUAUGCUAAAAUUAAAUGCAUACACCAAGAACUUUAUCAAAAAACGAAGUGAGAUAUAUUGAAUGAUGAUUUAAUACAUAUUUACUAAUAGAUCAGUGUCAUCACAAACCAUAUAACUAAUAAUGGAAGAUUCUAAUGCAACACAUCAAAUACAAAUAUUCAGCUAACCAUGAACUCACAUUUCAGGGCAUCUUCAAACUCUCCAAAAGAAUUCAUUUUACCAGUAUGCUGUUGCUUGCUUAGAUCCUCUUUGUAGUUGGUAUCUGGCAAGAACCUAGUAAACUCAUCUAACAAAUCUGGAUGGCCAUUGAAAAGUAUGGCAACCUAAACAUAGAUAUGACAAAAAGUAACAAAAAAUUAAAACAUAAACAUCAUCUAUUGUAUACCAAUUUAAAAAAGAAAUUAUUACCUCUCGGUACACCUCAUCGAUUCCCUUCUGCUUUUUCCUAUACACGUUCAAGAUGUCUAGGAAGUAUCUGUAGACUUGAUCAGCAUUUUGGAAUCGUGUCUGCAGAAUAUGAUAGACCAAAUAAAUUAGGACUAAAGUAUUUUAAAGAAGAAAAAACAGACCUUUAUUAUUUAAACUUGAAAUGUAACCUUUAUUUUGUUCACAAAGUUGACAGCUUCUCCAAAUUCAACUCUAGGCUUAUCUUCUUGAUUGGGAGUUAUCGUAUAUCCCUCGGGCAAGAAAGUGUUGAAUCCCAUGAUCAACCUAGGGUAUCCUUUGAACAAAUCUUUCACUCUUUCUAUGACAGUAACAGUAUCAAUUCUGUAAAGAAAAUGAAACAAUUCACUGAUAAAACAACAAAUAUGAGAUGACGACACUAAGGUAAAUAGUAGUAACAUACCUUUGAGCCUUAAAAUGUUUCAUAAUAUCAAGGAACAUUUCAUACUUCACUUUGCCUUGAAACGUGUCUUUAACUUCCUUCAAAUAAGACAAAGCCUCCUCUGUUCUAAGAUUUGAGUUACAAGGUCUAAGAAAAGUUAGCCCGCUACCAGCAAUGCGGCUGCCCAAACCAUUUUCAACAACUUGUGAUGAACGACGCCUACUUCAUACAGCAAAAAAUUCAUAUACAUCAUAAUUUUAUACCAUUAAUAGUCACUACUACCAAAAAUGAUAUCAUCUAUAUACUGAAAAAUCAGCCCAAUUUUUUUAAAUUUUUUAUUUUUAACCUAAAUCAAAAAACUAAUUAUUAAACUAGAAUUCAAUAAAUCAAAAUAAUUGAGAAAGUGAAUAAAGCUUACGACUCUCUACGAGAAUAAUUGAUUUGCCGCCUAAACCUCUCUUUACCACCAGAUACAUCUUCUCUCAAUCGGGCCAUGCUGCAAAAAUAGUACAUCAACAAAAAGUUGUCCUAGUAAAUACAAAUUUUAUUAAGAAUUUAAAAAAAAAACAAUUCAACCAUAAAAAUUACUCAAACAAAGGGGGAAAAAAUUUAAAAAUGACUGAACCCUAGUAUUUUUUUCUAUACCUUCUCUACUUGGAGAAAAAAAUGUUGUGUAUGUAAUAACGAGACUACACAUAUAUAUAGUACUAAUUCUUGUAACGUGUGAUGUUGGUCAAACUUUAAGGAUAAUUUAGUCUUUCUCUAAUAUUUUUAGUCAUUAACUAAAGUUAUGACUAUUUAUUGACUGGAUUCAAUUUGUUGAGUUAAAAAUAAUUAUAAAGUAAAAGCAGUGAAUCCAUUUUUUAUUAAUUAUUUAUUAUAUUUCUUAAAAUAUCAUGUAUUUCUUUUACUUUUUUUUCAUAACUAUGCAACCAUUUAUAGUUUUAGUAUUUUUAUUGCACAAUAUCACUUAUUUCUUUUUCACCAAAAAUGAUUAGAAAGUCAAAGUAGUGUAGUUCAUAUCUUAUUGGUUAUUAAUUGUUUAUUCUUAAAAUAUCUUGUAUUUCUUUUUUUUUCACCAUAUCUAUGCAACUCAUUUGUAGUUUUACUAAUUUUAUUGGAAAAUAUUAUUUAUUUCUUUUUCACCAAAAAUGAUUAGAUAAUCAAAGUAGUGUAAUCCAUUUAUUAUUUAUUAUUUAUUAUUAAUUGUUUUUCUUAAAAUAUAAUGUUGUAUUUCUUUUUUUCACCAUAUCUAUGCAACUCAUUUGUAGUUUUACUAUUUUUAUUGGAGAAUAUCAUUUAUUUCUUUUUCGCCAAAAAUGAUUAGAUAAUCAAAAUAGUGUAAUCUAUUUAUUAUUUAUUAUUAAUUGCUUUUCUUAAAAUAUAAUGUUGUAUUUCUUUUUUUCACCAUGUAUAUGCAACUCAUUUGUAGUUCUACUAUUUUUAUUGGAAAAUAUCACUUAUUUCUUUUCCACCAAAAAUGAUUACAAAGUCAAAGUAGUGUAAUCCAUAUAUUGUUUGUUAUGAGUAAUUGUUUUUCUUAAAAUAUCACGUGUUUCUUUUUUUUCAUCAUAUCUAUGCAACUCAUUUGUAGUUUUACUAUUUUUAUUGGAAAAUAUCACUUAUUUCUUUUCCACCAAAAAUGAUUAGAAAGUCAAAGUAGUGUAAUCCAUAUAUUAUUUAUUAUGAGUAAUUGUUUUUCUUAAAAUAUCACGUGUUUCUUUUUUUUUCACCAUAUCUAUGCAAUUCCUUUGUAGUUUUACUAUUUUUAUUGGAAAAUAUCACUUAUUUCUUUUCCACCAAAAAUGAUUAGAUAGUCAAAGUAGUGUAAUUCAUAUCUUAUUAAUGAUAAUUUUUUUUAAAAAAAAAUAAUGAUUAGUAAGAUAUGGAUUGCACUUUUUUUAAACCAAAAAAGUCUAAUCCAUACCUUAUUAAUCAUUUAUUGUUUUUCUUAAAAUAUCAAACCAUAAAAAGUCAAUACUAUUUUACAAAAUAGUAUAUAUAUAUACUAUUUUGUAAAAUAUGAGCAAAUUUUAGUUUUAGCAAACAUAAAAAUCAUAUUUGUAUGAUAUAGUUAUAAUUUGUAUAAUUGAAUUUCAUUGAGCAAACUUUAUGUUUGCUACAACUAUUUCGGUAUAUCUCGAUUUACUUAUACAUUAAAAUCUUUAUUUGUAUAUUUCGAUAUACAAACUAAAACAUAUUAAUUGUAUAUAAGUAAAACUACUACAAAUAUACAACACAUGUGUAUACAUGAUGAGUAUAUAUUUGUAUAUUUACAAAUGGGUACUGUAAUUAAUUUUUAUUCAAAACAUAGUAUAUUGAAUGGAUCUAUUUGUAUAUUUGUUAUAUAAAUGAGUCCUGUAAUUAAUUUUUAUACAACAUAUAUGUAUAUUGAAUGAGUCUAUUUGUAUAUUUCGAUAUAUAAAUGAGAUGACAAAAAACGUGAAACGUUUUGCUGCUGAUUACAAAUUAAAGAAAUUAUUACUAUUGUAUUUAAUUUGAAUUAAUAGUUUGUUAUUUCAUAAUUUUCUCAACAUUAAUUAUUAAUUAUUUUUCUUUAUUAGGUACUUUUUCUAUUUCAUAUUAACAGAAUAUUUGAGAAUUUUUUAUUGUUCAAAGUAAUUGAAUCGUUGAAAAUUUAAGAUGAAUAUUUAAUUUUUUUUCUAUAGCCCUUUUCUUUCACUUUUGCGUUGACGUGAUGUAAUUGGUUGAAUUUCAUACAAGUACGUAUAACACAAAAUCUACAAAAUCAGCUUUAAGAGGUGAAAAUGUAUAGUUCAUUUUAGUUAUUUUUAAUUAAUUAAUAUGUGUUUUAAUUUAUUAAUAUAAUAAUAAAAAUUAAAUUAAUUUGAUAUAAAUAAUUUUUUUAAAAAAAAGUUUAUAUGAUUUUAAAUGUCCGAUGCCAUUCUUUUCCAAGAUUCUCUCACCCAAAACAUAAAAAUUACUAACAUUAUGAACAUAAACAUAAGUUGAUUAAAUAGAAACAUAGUGAAUUAAAAUAUUUAUGUACAUUAGCAGAUUAAAUAUAUAUUGACAAAAAAAAAUACAACAUUUAUGGUAAAGAACUUUUUGACUAUUUUUAUUUUGUUUUUUAUCAUUAAAUUAAUUUUAAAUUCAUAUAGUAACAGAACGCUUGAAUUCAAGAAAUAUUUUUUAAAAAAUAAUUUAUCGCUCCAUCACAAUUGUAAUUGCAAUCUUUGAUCAUUUGAACAUGCCUUACAGCAGUUCUUCUUUUGUUUUUUCAGUUGUGUUUGAAGCACAACUAAAUUUAAUACACAAAAUUUAUUUAAAAUAAGAGAAGAUGCCCAAGUACCCUUUCAACUUAUGCCCGAAAUCUCAGAGACACACUUAUACUACUAAGGUCCUAUUACCUCUUGAACUUAUUGUAUAUGUAAUUUUCUACCCCUUUUUAGCCUACGUGGCACUAGUUCAAAAAAAAAGUCAAUCAUCAUUGGGCCCACAAAAUAGUGCCACGUAAGCUAAAAAGUGGUAAAAAAUUAUUAAUAAAAUAAGUUCAGGGGUAAUAGGACCUUAGUAUAGUAUAAGUGUGUCUCUGAAAUUUCGAACAUAGAUUAAGGGAGUACUUGGACAUUAUCCCUUAAAAUAAUAAUACUUCAUAUCUAGAACUCGAAUUGAUUGAUUUAGUGAAGUGAAUAGAUAUAAUAUCUUAUCCUAAAGGCAUCCAUCUCAUAGGAUUAUGGAGAUGUUCAUGGCCAUUCAAAAGAAAGAGCGCCACCAAAUCUCUUUCCCACUUCUCCAAUGGAUGCUCUCUUUGUCAAUUCAUCUCUCUCCCGACUCAAACUCAAAUUCUCUUCUCAAUUUCCUACAUUCUCUCCCCUGCCCCAUCACUCUUAUCUCCCACUUAAAAAACUUAAUUUACCACUUGUAUUUGCCACGCUUCAGAACCAACACCAACAACAAUCAGCAGCCGAAGAAGUAGCACAAGAAGAAUUUGAAGAUUACGAUGCCGACGAAACGUAUGGAGAAGUUAACAAAAUCAUUGGGAGUCGAGCAAUUGAAGGUGGGAAAGGAAUGGAGUAUUUGAUUGAGUGGAAAGAUGAACAUGCCCCUACCUGGGUUCCCUCUAAUUUCAUCGCACAAGAUGUUGUCGCUGAGUAUGAAACCCCUUGGUGGAACGCUGCGAAAAAGUCAGAUGAAUCGGCUCUUCGGGAACUUAUUGAAGCCGAGGACGACAGAGAUGUGGAUGCUGUUGAUGACGAUGGACGAACGGCUUUGCUCUUUGUUUCGGGACUCGGGUCGGAGCCUUGCGUCAAGCUGCUCGCUGAAGCCGGCGCCGACGUCAAUUACCGCGACAGGAGCGGCGGUUUGACGGCUCUGCAUAUGGCUGCAGGAUAUGUGAAGCCUGGAGUCGCUAAGCUGUUAAUUGAGCUCGGCGCAGACCCCGAGGUGCAAGAUUACAGAGGGCAGACGCCGCUGAGCUUAGCGAGGAUGGUCUUGAAUCAAACACCUAAAGGAAACCCAAUGCAAUUCGCGAGGAGAUUGGGAUUAGAGAAUGUGAUUAGGGUAUUGGAGGAUGCAAUUUUUGAGUAUGCACAAGUGGAGGAGAUAUUGGAGAAGAGAGGAAAAGGUGAAAAUGUUGAGUAUUUAGUGAAAUGGAAGGAUGGGGAGGAUAAUGAAUGGGUUAAAGCAUGGCUGAUAUCUGAGGAUUUGGUGAGAGAUUUUGAGGCUGGAUUGGAAUAUGCAGAGGCAGAGUGCAUCUUGGAGAAGAGAGAGGGUGACAACGGGAAAGGCGAGUACUUGGUUAAAUGGACUGAUAUUGAGGAGGCUACUUGGGAACCAGAAGAAAAUGUUGACCCCCUUCUGAUAGAAGAUUUUGAAAAAGGUCAACAGAAAGUAGUAAGUUGAAUUCAUGGUUUCUCUUUUGGCUUGUAUUUUUCUUUUUCUGUGGUAAUAUAAUGCUCUUUUGUUUUAUAAACUAUAGUUGUGGUAAUGUAUGUAAUUCUGAGGUUGUCUAACAGGUUGAGGAUAAUUUCCUUUUAGUGAUCCAAAUCUGGAAAAUUGAAGAUCACCCUUUAGCAUAUCUUAAUUCUUAAAUGAUACUAACCAAUCAAAUAUUACGUUCUAUUGGUGAUUGUCCGAAUCCUCUGUAAAGGUGGAUGUUUUUAACAAUUGAAUUGAUAUCUUUGUUGAAUGAAGUGAAAACCCUCUGAAGGGUCAUGAAGAAGAUUCUAGGAGAUAGUUUUAAGUGAAAAGGUGGUGGUAGUUGUGAAUUACUUUUGCAAAAUGUGCCACUGCGGAUUCAUCCAUGUCUGAAGCCGUAGUGGUGUUAGAAUUCUGACUUCUGAGUACGCAGUCUGAAGCUGAGAGUUUUAGCAGACUUGUAUUGUUGAGUUAGGUUUUGAUGUCUGGCUGGCUGAUAGCUUUUACCAAUCUAAUAUUAGUACCUGAAGCUAUCCCUAUUUGAGGGAGUACUCCUAUUCGAGGUUGUAUGGAUGAUGUUUUCUGUUGUUUUGUAUUGACAUCCAAUCCAUGGGAGGCACUGAAAUCGUGAAAAUCCUGAUUUUCAAUCUCUCAAGAUUCAGGUAAUAACAUUAUGUGAGAAUCUAUUCCCCUUGAUCCUAGAACUUUGUUGUCUGCUUCGUUCUCUACAUUUUCCCUUCCUGUUUUUAGUGUAACUUGUUUCAAUGAUGACAAUUGUUCUUACUUGAUUAGUGUUUAGGUUGUUAAUAUGUUUCACUAUGCUGGACUUCUAGUUUCUUCUGGCCUUCUGGGGUCUUUUAGUAUUAAGGUCAUAAGAUUUUACCUUUAAUACUGAUCGAACAAUUUAUCUAUGAAGCUCUUCUCUUACAAGAUGAAACACAAAGCUCAAUUAAAUGUAUUGCUAUUUGCUAACAAUACCAAAAUAUCUAUACAUUAAAAUGGGACAGAGAUUUCCAAGCAGCCAACAAAUCUCCCAAAGAGUUGUUUGGGAAAGAAAGUAGGAAAACAAGGAGAAAGAAGAGGCUGUUUAGCUUCAAGAUUAUUGGGGAAUAUCAACCCAUGUCAUUUGAUGAUGAGAUUAACUGAUGAAGGUGUUGUUAGAGUUCGGUGCUCUUUGAAGGCUAACAAGAGAGUGGUAAACUCCACUGGGUCCUUUAGCUAACAAAGAAGAGUGAGUCCCUUUCUCCACAAUUUUGCCUUUGUCCAAUACAGCAAUUGUGUCACAAUUCUGUAUAGUACUUAGCCUGUGUGCCACCACCACACUUGUCCGCCCAACCAUCACUCUCUCAAGUGCAUCUUGCACUACUUUCUCCGACUGACUGUCCAAUGCACUUGUUGCCUCGUCCAAUAAUAGCACCGCUGGAUUUUUCAAUAUUGCACGUGCUAUAGCAAUUCGCUGUUUUUGUCCUCCUGACAACUGCAGUCCCCUGUCACCACACCAAGUUUCAUAUCCGUCUUUUAAUGCUGAGAUGAAAUCAUGUGCAUUUGCUGCCUUUGCAGCCUCAAUUAUUUCUGAUUCGUCCACUUCUUCUGAUGCUCCAUAGGCUAUGUUUUGCCUUAUGGUUCCUGCAAAUAAUGUUGGUUCUUGGCUUACAAGUGCAAUGUGUUUCCUCAAUGAUCUCAAGUGGUAUGAUCUUACGUCCCGGCCAUCUAUUUUCACUUCCCCUCUUAAGGGAUCAUAGAAUCUUUCUAUCAGACCAAUUAUAGUGGACUUCCCUGAUCCGCUUUGUCCUACCAAUGCUGUUGACUUUCCUGCUUCGAUUUUUAUUGAGAACCCCUUGAAAAUGAUCACAUUGGGCCUAGCAGGGUAUGCAAAAUCCACAUCGCACAGCUCGACAUUGCCUGUUAUUUUCUUGGGCUUGUAACCAUCUGAGUCCUCUGGCUCGAUUAAAGAAUAUCGAUCCAACACUGCAAAGACCGACCCAACAGCAUCUGCACUCUUUGCGAGAUCAUUAGUCAUGGUUCCAGCAUCUGCAAUGACACGCCCAGUGCUAACCAGAAUCAUGAAUGUCUGGAAGAGGGCUUGAGCUCCUAUGAGGCCUUCUGCCAUGAGUUUGCCACCAUACCAGAAAUCAAGAGCCCAAGUACAUGUCAUGAGACUGUUCGAAGUGCCAAGUCCAAUUCCAGCAAACCACGACUGACGUAUACUUUCUCUUAGUGGGCCUUCUUGGGCUUUCUUGAGCAUUUGGAGAAUCCGGGACUGGGAGGAGAAGGCUGUUACUGUUCUGAGAUUGGAAACUGCUUCAGCAGCCAACUUGCUGCUUUCUUCUUGGGCCUUGAUGGACUUUUUAGACAUGUUUUUUAAUAGCACCCUCUUGAAAUAGUAGCACACUAUGAUGAGAGGCUGGACCGCUAUCAUGACCCAUGCAAGUCUCCACGCGAUAACUAGGCCCAUGGUGCAAGCUAUAGUCACUGCAGAAACCGUUUGAAUGAGUAAUGCCAUCCUGUCCCCAACCAAUGAUCUCACCUGCACAUUUGUAUAACCAGCAACUGUUAUCACUAGAUCUUACCUGAUUCUAUAAAAAAUUCUUUACGUUGUUUGUGUAUGAAAGUUAAACUCUAACAGUACUAGUGGACGUACCACAUUGGCAUCCUUAGCUAGUCUAGAGCAAACAGCACCGGUGGAAUUUUCUUCCUUGUCGUACCACCCAAUUUCAAAAGUAAGCAUCUUGGACAACAUCCUCUCCCGGAUCCUUUUAGUCAAUUUCUCUCCCAUGGCUGCAAAGUUAUAGUGCUGAAGUACAUUGACAAAAAGUGAAAAGAAUGCCAACCCCAGAAAACACAGAGCAUAUAUCUUUGUCUUCUCCUUAAUCUCAUCAUGACUUGGUAAGAAAUAGACAGAUAUCAUUGACCCCAUUGCAAAAGCAUACACUGGUUGAACCCCACCAAACAAUAUUGCUCCUAUGCAUCCCAAAGUUGCCUCCUUCCAUUCUGGCAAAUUCAUUGCCAGCAGCCUUUUGAAUGAAGGUACUGGAAAGACUUGUUCUGGAGUAUUGGAAAUUGUUGCAUUUUGAUCAAAUCUACAGCUUUGCGCAGCUGAGUUAGCUGAACUCGACCUGCUCACAAUUGAUAGCCUUCUGCUGCUUGUAUUUUGUACUUCAUGGUCAGAGGUGAAUCCAGAAUUUAAAUUUGAUGGAGCAAAAACUGUGUUUCUAUUUGUUGGUGCAAUUGAGAUUUCAUCACUGGGAUUUUCAGUUUGUUGGAGACGGACUAAGGAAGUGUAUAGUCCAUCUUCAUCUUCUAUUAGCUCAUCGUGUGAGCCAAUUUCCUUGACUUGGCCACUUUGAACCACAGCAAUAAGGUCAGCAUUGCGAAUAGUGGAAAGGCGAUGGGCUAUGAUGAUUGUAGUGCGGCCAACAGCGGCCUUGUCCAGAGCUUCCUGCACCACUCGUUCAGAUUCAGAGUCGAGUGCACUGGUUGCUUCGUCGAGGAGGAGUAUUCUGGGUGACUUGAUUAUGGCUCUUGCUAUAGCUAUCCUCUGCUUCUGUCCCCCAGACAUUUGAACACCUCUCUCUCCCACCUGUACGCAUGCACGCAGAGAGUUAGAUCUAAGAUUUAAUUAUUUAUGAGUUCAAAGUUCAUAAAUUUUUGUUUUGAUAUGGUAGUAUAAACUUAGUUGAGUAAAGUUCUUUUUGCACUUCAUUUGAGUUUAGAGAUUCUACCCUUUGAUAGUAUCAUGAAUCAUAGAAACGAAAGUAUUAAACUAAAAACUAAUUAGUAAGUAAUUUUGUGAUCUCCUGAAUACUGAUUUUCUUAAAUCGAGGAUUCAAUGGAAGCAAUCAGGUAAGGUAGGAAUAAGGUCGUGUCCACUCCACUCUUCCUAGACCCUGUUUUAUGGGACUAUAUUGGAUAUGUUACUGUCUUAGAUGUCCCAAAUAGAAAUAAUGGAAUUUACUUAAUUGUAGCAUAUUAAGCAAUAAUUUUCAACUGAUUGAGAAAAAAAAGUCCUUUAACUAAAGAGAGACAAAACGUUUGCAGCACCAUUAUAAAAAAAAAAAAAUUGGAUUAGUUUAAUUUGGUCAAAACCACUUGAUGACAUACUCCACAGCAGAAUCCACUUGUUUGACAAUGAUAGCUAAGAAAAUUCUCUGAACUGGGACAUUUCAUUUAUAAUCAAUAAUAAAGCAUUAGUUAAGUGCCCUUUAAAAUUCUUUGAACACUAAAGAAUUAAUCAUUUAAACUGAAUAAUGGGAACAAAGCUAUUCAUUAACAGCGACUUGUUUAUAGCCAAAGUGGAAAUCAGCGUGAUAACAUUUUUAGCUAGACAAGAAUACUAUUCAAUCGUGCUAGCGUGUCAAAUACAUAAUAUUUCAUUUUCAAUCUAUACGUCUAGUUAAGUCAACGAAUGAGUCAUUAACCUAACUGGUUUGAAUUUGAGCGGUCAUUUAUUCCAUCACCGAUUUUUGCAAGGAUAAGGACAAACUAAAUAAAGGUAAAGUAUAAAAGGGAACACACAGAUACCUGGGUAUCAUAACUCUGAGGCAACUGACAGAUGAAGUUAUGAGCAUUAGAAGCUUUGGCAGCCUCAAUUACUUGUUCCAUAGAUGCAUCCUCCUUCCCAAAAAGUAUAUUUUCUUUAAUUGUAGUUGCAAAAAGUGCAGGUUCUUGACUCACUAGACCCAUUUGUGACCUUAGCCACUUGAGUUGCAGCUUAUCAAUAGCGAUCCCAUCGAGAAGAAUUUCACCCCCAAGUGGGUCAUAAAAUCUCUGAAGUAGUGCUACUACAGUAGAUUUUCCUGACCCACUUCCUCCCACUAAUGCCACGGUUUUACCCGUUGGGACUUUUAAGCUAAAAUCGUUUAAAAUUAUGCUUUCAGGUCUUGAUGGGUACGCGAAUUCAAUAUGUUUGAAUUCCACUUCACCCAUCACGUUAUCCAAUGUUUGGCCCUCCAAAUUAUCCGAAUCUAUUUUCGGUACCCUUUUUAUCACUUGCACUACACGUUCACCAGCUGCACUUGCUUCAGAAAAAUACUUGAGAUUGGACAAACCGGAACCCAAUGAUCUGUUCAGCCAAAAAAAAAAAAUAUAAUAAAAUAAAUAAAUCAUGUUUUAAAAAUUACUCAAAAAUCUGAUAAAAACAUAUGAAACAAUACGACCAUAAACUACGGAGCAUAUAAAUAAUUUAGGAAUUUGUCUUAUUUGGAAAUAAAUGAACAGUCCAAAAAAAUGAAUUAUCACACAUUUCCGAGGUUUAUCCAACUUGUCCUAUUUUUCUGAAGUUUGAAAUAACUUCCUCAAUUCAAUGUGUUAGUCGACGAAUUUUUUUUCAAAAAUACGUUUUCAAAUAUAAUUCGUUUUUAUUAAAUAUUUUAUUGAAAAAUACAUUCUCAAUGUAUGGUUGGAGAUUGAGAAAUAUUUUAAGAAAAAAAAACUACUUAUUUAUUGAAGAAGAGAUUGUUUAAUUCAAAUAAAAUUAUACCAUACCACAGGAAUACAAUAAUUCAGAAAACUUUCAUAAUAUCGAUAAAGUGUUUUAUUCAAGUUUUAUCUAAUACACACUAUCAAAUAUAACAAAAUAUAUAUUCUAUUGAGUUAAUCCCUGGAAAAUCCUUCCAAUUGUGAAUGAAAAUGAAUAUUGUAUCCUUCCUUUUUCAAUUUAUUUAAUUGAUUUCGAAAAAAAUCAAUCUAAAUAAGAUAAAUAAAAUGAAAUCCAACGAGUCGAUACUUACAGUCCACCGAUGGCGAUUGCAGCGCCAACGGCAAAAACGGUGCCACCAUGUUCUCCAUUGUACAUGACCAUUCUGCUACCAUAAUAAGACAUAAAGGACCAAAUUGCAAAAACAAUGCCAUUACUUCCAAUAGCCAAUCCUUUAGCUAAACCUUGCUUUAAUCCCAAAUCUACUGUUCCUUGAAGUGCAUUAGAAUACUCUGCUAAAGUUUUAUUUUCUCCAACAAAUGAAUAAACUGUUCUUACUGAUGAAAUUGCUUGUUCCACAAUUAUUCCAGCUUUUCCAUAUUCAUCCCUGAUUUUUCUUGCUAUUCCCAUUAGAGCCCUUCCAUACAUAAGACCCGGUAUCACUAGGAAAAUAAUAAAAGGGAAUCCCACUAGUGCCAGCUUCCAUAUCAUCAAAAAUCCUACCACAUAUGACCCAGUAAAUGUUGCUACGUUCAUCAAGAAAACUGGUACCUGUAUAUUCGAAAUCAAUAGCAACAUUGUCGAUAAUUAAUUACAGAAUUAGAACGAUUAGUAAUAUAUAUAUAUAUAUCGAAAAAUUUAAACUAACCUUUUCACUUAUGCAUUCUUGAAUGACAAGACUGUCACUAGAGACACUAGCAAUGACAUCGGCGGUACUGGCAACAUGUAGAUCAAAGUAUCCCACAUCUUGUCUUAGAACUGCUUUUAAGUAUCUUAUUCGUAGCCUUGACGCUUGCCUCUCUGCUGUCCUUGUCCAACAAAAUCCCUCUAAAAAAGAAUAUCAUAAAUAAAGAGACCGUUAUCUAACCACUCAACUAAACCAAUUUGACGAUAAUGAAGAAAUUUGAGCAAAAAUAUUGAAUUCAGUUACAAAUAAAAUAAAAUUAGUUGAUAUAUCAAUUUUUACGAAUGAGUUUCAUUUUCUCACCUUAUUUUCCCUAACCCCAAUAAAGUAAAAAUAAAUAUGCCUCCGGCUCACAAGUAGAAACCAUAUGAAUCGUUGAAAAGUAGCAAAAAGAAAUUAGACAAACCUAAAAAACACGCGACCCAUUGUCCACAUGCCAGGUAAACCAGAGCUAAAGCAUUCUACAAAUCACAUAAAUAAAACAAAAAUUUCUUGUUACCAUUAGUUCCAUAUUUAUUUCGUCACGGCUUACUGAUAUAAAAUACAGAUGAAAAUUAAUUAAUCCUGUAAGUUAUACCUCAUUGAUAUGAUGCGUGAAAGUAUCGGAAGAGUCAUUACCACCAAGAUUGUUCAUGAGUUUGCUGGUGACUAUAAGCAUCACAGGCAUAGAAACUCCAUCGCAAAUCGCUCCCAAAAAUCCUAAAACCAUCAACAAGAUAUCGACGCUAUCGGCAUGCAUGAAAACUGACUGAAAAGAACCAUACCGUUUCUCUUGGAUCAUCGUUUUACUCUUUGAAGUACUCAUGAUAAAUUUUUUUCUUCAAACUAUCCUUUUGUUGCUAUGCUGAUUAAACACAAAACAAAUAUUGAGAAAGUUCAUAACUCAAUAAAACAUAGCUCAUAUAUGUGACUUAUUUAUAGAGGAGAUGAGACCUCUGUGUCAUGCGGAAUGAAAGGCCUUCGCACGAUUGGUGCUACUAUUUUAAAUUAUUAUUUUUCAUUUUCAUUUCUACUCAUUUUUAAAAUUACAUUAAAUAUAACUUAUUUAAUCUAUCUAAUUAAAUGUUUUGAAAGUUAUUCCAAAAACACUAUAAGUAGUAAUAAUCUUUCUUGAAAAUUGUUGGUCAAAAUUCAUAUGAUUUUGACUUGAAUUGUAAAGUUUAUAUAGUUUGACUAAAAUUGUAAAUAUAAUUUGCCUAAAAUUAAUUGUGGAUUUUCUCAUAUGUAUAUAAUGAAAAAAUACAUCUAAAAAUAUUAAUCAAAAUUCACCUAUUUUGACUUUUAAAAGAUAUACAAAUGAAAUCAAAAUUCUCCUAUUUUGUCUUUUAAAAGAUAUACAAAUGAAAUGGACAGUGAAUAACAGCUAUAUUAAGUUCGUAUUUAAUGGAAAAUUUUCUUCCAUGAUUCAUUUAUGAAUAAUUAUUUAUCAAUCACCUUUUUUUUAGUAUUCUAAAAUUUAUGAAUCUCUUAAACGACAUCCAAAGAUCAAUCAAAUAUUUAGUCAAUAUCAAGGGUUAUAUUGGAAUAAAUUUUUUUCAAAAAUAAGUAAUGACGUAAAUCAGCCCAGUGAAAUAUUGAAAAAUAGAAAUACUAAUAAAAUUAAAAUAUAUUUAGAUUGCUAAUAUAUUAAUUUUUUGUUAAAAUGCAAAAUAGAUGUGCUGGAGAGUGUAUUGCGGUUGACUUUUCGAUUUUUUUCCAAGUAUCGUCAUUAAUGACGCUCGUAGCUCGAAUGAUUUUUUAUUUUUAGCGUCACUAAUGAUCUCCUUCACUCUUGUAGUAUAUAGCUGGAGCAGUUCAUCUUUUAUUUAAUUAAAUAUAAAUAUAAUAACUAGUGUUCGACUUAAUUAAAUUUAUUAAAAAUAUCCCUUUGACAUAUUUAAACCCAAGUUUACGAUAACUAAUGAGUCCUCGUGAUUACGACUUGGUAUAAAAUCACGUUUAAUAAUUUAUAUCAAUAUAUAUCGAAGAUGAGAAUAUAUAUUCAAAACUCAGAAAAACACACACGUAAAUAUAUAAUACACAUAUAUUGUCUGGCUGUUAGAAACUUAGCAAAGACACACGUAAAUAUAAAAUACAAAUAUUUUUGUCUGGCUGUUAGAAACUUAGCAAAAGUCUACCAUCAAUUGUUUCUAAUUUUAUUUGCGUUCUUAAAUUUUUGUUCUAGCAACUCUAGGUGGGGAAAAUGUUCGUAUAUAAGCUGACUUUUUUAAUCAAAAAAUUUGGAUAUAGCUUCUUUUUUUUAACUUAUGAGUUGACUACUAUGUAAAAGGACAAAAUGCAUAAAUCAAAGUAAUUCUAUAAUGUAAAAGGACAAAAUGCAUAAAUCAAAGUAAUUCUAUCUCUAUAUAUAGGUGAGGGAUGGUCUACCAACACUAAAAUAAAAGUCAUUUUUUUAAGUGGAAAUAAAUAUAUAUAUUAAAAAGAGUAAUAAAAUAUUUAUGAGCAAUAGCUAAUUCUCAUCAUAUUCAGUGCAAUAUGUUUAGAGACACUUAUAAAGAGAGUUAAAUAUUGCUAAGGAUAUUAUAUUAGCAGAAAAUUAAACUAUUAUUAUUAAUUAAUUAUCGCUAAUUUUCAUAUAAUAAAAAUGACAGAAACAGACAUAUACUCCCUUUGUCCAAUAGUAUUUGUUCACUAUCAUUGCCCAAUCCUUAACAAAUUAUAAAUAGAAUGGUUAUUUUACCAUAUCACACUUUAAACAUAAUAAUUACAAUAUCUUGAAAAAUGUAAUAAGAAAAUGAACUAAGUAUAAACUUAUUCAUUCGAAAUGUCGAAUAUUGUUGGACAUCUCAAAAUAAUAUGGUAGACAACUAGAUUCUUUCAUCAAACAAUAAUUGUCCACAAUAUUAUAUUGUAAAAUAUCUAACAAUAUUGGUCCAUUUUUUCCACUUAGUUUCCAAUUUACCCUUAUCGAUUAUUAUAGUCAUUUUCUAUUGUAUUUUACAAGACUCUAUAUUUAAUAUAUUUAUAGUGUGAUAGAAUAAAAUUAUCCUUAAAUUUAUAGUAUUUGAAGAAGUGUGUAAAGUCAAAAAAAAUUAUUAUUGAAUAGAUAAACUAUUUAAAUGCAAAGGUAAAAUAAAUACAUAAAAUAAAUUAUCUUUUAAUUUUUUUAAAAUUUAAUAAAUAUUAUUGAACGAUUAUAUUUAUUAUAAUGAAUAACUAUUAUUAAAUAAAUAAAAUAUAUUAUUUUAUUUUUAUCAAGUCAAAAAUCUUACUUUGCUUUGAUUAUUACAUACUUUAAAUAUGGCCGAAAUUUUAUAAGAGUCUUGCAUAAAAUGUGAUAGGUCUGCCAUGUCACAUUUUAGCUGAAAGUAUGUCACUACUUCGGCUGAAAUUAUUUAGGUGAGUCAAAAUAACGUAAAUGAAUGUCACAAAAAGCUGUACAAGCACCCCUGAUAUAUUUUUUUUUCAGGAAUAGUCGUUCUUCUAUUUUUUUUUUAAAAAAAUAAUCAUAAUGCUCAAUUUAUUUUUACAUCUUAAUUAAUUUUAUGAAUUAUCUUUCGUCUUUUUUUAAAAAAUUUGAUAUUAUUUUUGUUUACCAAAAAGCUCACAUACGUAUCAAAUAAGUAACAGGUAGGAGUGUACAAAAUUAAAUCGAAAAUAAAAUUAAAUUGUAAAUCAAAUCGAUUCGGGAAAAAACACGAUUAGUAAUUUUCUUUGACUAAGUUUGGUAUAAGAAAAAAAAGUACGACUAUAUUUGGUUGAUUUGGUUCUAACUAAAAAAAAUAACUCGAGACCAAAUCAACCAGACAUUAUAUAUAUUUUUUUAAUAUUUAUUUUAUACAUAAAAAUAUUUACUUUGACAUAAUUUUAAAAAUAUUUCUUAUAGAUGUAUAUUCUACAACAACUUUUAUGUACUUUUUAAAUAGAAAAAAAUGACACAAAUUUCACCUUUAAGUUCUCUUAUUACCAUUAUCCCCAUUACUUAUACAAAUUCUUAAAAUACCUCAUUUUCACGUAUCAGAUUAAUGUAUCAGCACAUCAAAUUAAUGUAUAUCGCGUAUCAAAUUAGUGUAUCAUGAAUAUAAUGUAUUUUACUUAACGAGUGAUGUAUCUCGUGCAUCGGAUAAAUAUAUCAGCGCUUAUAUUAUUAAAUUAAUUUUAAGAAAUUUCCAUAAUUAUAAAUUUAUAAAGGAUAAAUAUUAAUUUUACCUUAAAAAUACGUGAUAUUCGUCUUUCGUUCCCUCUUUAAAUUUCCAUUUUGUUUUGUGCGUAUAAAUUAACUUGCGACAGAUGAUUGGCAAUGACUCUUAAAGAGCAAGAAGUCAAAAUAAGGUGAAUCAUCAAUUGAAUAUCGAACAUACUCGAAGAACGAACUUGAAAGAUUAUUUCUUGUUAGUUUGAAAAAAUGACAUCAAUAAAUUAAUUAGGAAAAUAUAUUAUUAUUAUACGUGUUUACGUGGAUAUUUACUAUUUAUAAUGAUGCAAUUUCAUAAUAUUUAUAGAGAUAUGUAUAUCUUAAAAUACACUAUUAAACAGUGUCAGAGAUAAAAAAAAUCUUUUUCAAAAUUUAAUAUUAUCACAAAAAUUUCGAUCAAAGUUCAAAAAUAGUAAAAGUUGAAGUUAACAUAAAUAGUCAUCUAACAAAAUAAUAAUCAAUAUAUAUAUAUAUAUAUAUAUAUAAUACAAGUAAUAAAUACAUUAUGUAUUUUUAUAUUUAACUAGUAAAUAUAACUAUUUCUCACUUAUGUAUAAUAAAAAUACUCCAUAUGUAAUUUUGUCGUAUAUUUACGAGACAUAUCCCAUUAAAUUUGCAUCUGAAGAAAACAAAGGUUAAGUUUCUAGUACUUUCAAUUUUAAUAUCUUCUUCACCCAGCUUUAGGAUUAAUUGUGCAUGCGUUUCCAUAGGAUAUGCAUUAAUUUUUGUAUUAAGUACUAGUCACAAAUAGACUGAUCGAUGUCAUAGCAAAAGACAAGUAAAGUGAAAAUAAAGAAAAAGAUUCUGCAAAUAAUGAAUGUAUAUUGCUUUUCGACUCAAUUAUUUAUAAUCUUUAGUCACAUAUUUUCAAUCAUUGAAGUUAGUGCAAUUGGCGAUGAGAAAGUUUACUACCUAAUUAAGCAAGCAAAGAUUAAUUUAUGCUUCCUUGUUGUAUAUUUACUUAUUCAGUAUUGUUUCAGCAUAUAUAUUAUUUGUUAUAAUUUUUUUUUAAUGUUAAAUUAUAAAAAGUUUUGGAUCAACAUUUUUAGAUAUAUUUUUUCAUUAUAUUAAUAUGCAAAAAAUUGUAAUUUAUAAUACUUUUCAAAUAGUUUUAAAAUAUUUAAUUUUUUUUAAAAGAUCAAAUUAAUAUAAACUAAUUUACCUUUAAAAAUUAAUAUAAUUGAUUUUUGAUAAGCGUAACAUACUAAACAAUUUCGGACGGAGAGAGUAAUUUUUAACUAGUAUAAAAUAAAAUAUCAUAAUUUUUUCAUUUUAAUAAAAAAAAGUAGAGUGAGGAAGUAUUAAUAUUCCGCUUCUUCUAAGAAACCAGUAACUCUGUAAAACCCUCAACCAAAGGAAAAAAGAUAUACUAAAAAAUAACCUUGCCACUUAGGGAUUCUAAAACAGACAAAUAAAUAAAUAUAAUUUCGUAAAGAUAUAUAUGAUGCUUCCAGUGGUCAUGGUGCUCUCUACAAAAAAUAAAAAUAAAACUAACAGAUUCUAGUAAAAAAAAUAAAAAUAAAAAUAACACUACAUAAUAAAUAAAUAAAUAGAAGCUAGUGAUGAACAUUAUGUGACUAAAAUGAUAAGUAGUAAGAUAUAUAUCUUGUAAAUCUUAUAUUAUUACAAACUUAUGUGAGAUACGAUCAAAUAAACAAUAAUUUUAUAACUAAUUUCAGUUGUUUUUUCAAUUAAAAGAACAUCUCAUAGAUUAUUCCCUUUUUUUCAAUUGCGACAGAGAAUUCAAAAAAGAAAAGAAAAUAGUGUCUAAUUGUAAGUUGCUUCUAUCUUUUUAAUCCUGUACGAUUCCAUCUCCAAUAAGAAUUAAAAUUGAUUUAAAUAACGUCGUUUUUGUUAUAAAUUUGAUAAACAGGAAAAAUAAAUCUUUUUCGAAGAAAAAAGAUACUCUAUUACCAUAACAUUGUGUCGUCCACGAUGUUGAGAUAGAAAAAACGUCAUAAAUUAAAGUGGAGGAUAUAUAUUUUCAUAAUUAAUGAACCUGAAACUUUUUAAUUAAAAGUGAGAAUAUGUUUUCAAUAGACAUUUAAAAGUUACUCAAUUUUUUUUUUUAAAAAAAGGCUCCAAAAGUACCAUUAUAAAUCUGAAUAUAUGGAAUCAUUUAUAUAAUUGCAUCAAUAUGUCGUUGACUUGAAGAUCCACUUAAUUACCUUCUUCUAAUUACCAACAUAACCUUGAAUUACUAUUAAUUAAUUCCUUGAUCAUAUAAGUUAAAAUUAAAGAAAAAGUGAUUUCUAAUAGGCAUUUUUAGAUGCUCGUGCAUUAUUUUAGCUAUUCCUAAUGUCUUGAACAACCAGGUUCUUGAAACUUCAUUAAAAAAAAAAAGUAAAUUGUAAAAUGUCACAUGAAUAUAUAUGAUAUUGACAUUUUAGAAAUAUCCCGGAACACAUGUGUAUAAAUUAGGGAUGAUUAUAUAUAAUAUUAAAUUAAUGACCUAAAAUAAAUAGAGUAGCUAUUGUUUGAUUUAAUUGUGCCCCACAAUAAAUGUUUGUCAAAGUUUGUCAGUCGCCUCUCUCUCAAAACUCUCGCUCGUCACUCUCCUUUUGCUCGCCUCUCUCGCUUUAUACAACAGAAGUGUAUAAAUUAUAUUUUUGUGUUGUAUAAAGCGAGAGAAAAUUGUAUAUACACAUGCAAAAACAUAUAUCUUCGUGCUAUACACUUAAUUAUACAAUUUACAAAUAUUUUACUUCGAUUCAAUUGUAUACAAAUGUAAAUUUUAUACAAAUAUUGCAGCGAAAAAGGCAAACGAAUUAUACAAUUGUAGUGACAUACAAUUUUCUCUCGUUUUAUACAAUAGAAUUAUAUAAAUUGUGUUUCUGUUUGUAUAAAGCGAGAGAAAAAUAUAUAUCUUCUUCCUAUUCACUUAUAAUUAUACAAUAUAUUACUUCGAUUCAAUUGUAUGCAAAGCAAAUUUUAUACACAUAUUGCAGCGAAAUUGACCAACGAAUUAUAUAAUUAUGCAUUAUACAAUUGCAGUGAAAGUAGACCAGCGAAUUAUACAAUUGCAGUGAAAUAGGCUAGUAAAUUUUAUAAUUUAGGCCAGCAAAUCAUACAAUUAUAUAUAUAACAAAACUAGCAAAUUAUACAAUUUAAAUUAACAAAUUAUAUAAUUAUAUAUAUAGCAAAUUAUACCAUUAUAUAUUUAUUAUAGAACAUAACUAUAAACUUUAUUAUUGCAUGCAAAUAUAAAUUUAAUACUUGCUUAUGUGAAAGGUGUACCCUAUAUUAAGCAUAGUAUGCAAUUGCAACGUCAAAGUAUGCAAACGGUUACCAUUUUUUUUUUUUUGUCCAAAUAUAGAAUUUAGGAUUUGACAGAAUAUGCAACAAAUCAAAAUCAACAAUUCAACAUUAGGGGCGGAGUUUGUUGCCUAUUUGUCAGUAGUUUUCAUCAUACUCUUGACGAUUUAUACAGGAUAUAAGACAAUAAAAAGUAAAAACGAUAUCUAGUCCUCUGAAUAAAUAGUUUAAUAUUCACUCAAUAUAUUAUUUUUUUUAGGUAUAAUAUAUAAAUAUAUUUUUUAAUUUGAUUUCAAAUUACAUUUAUAUUCUUAAUUUUGGAUGUAUAUAAUUAGACACUUAAAAUUGUAUAAAAUUGAACAAAUAGAUACACAUGUCCUACAUGUAAUUAUACAUAUCAUUUUUUAUCCUACAUGAUGUCUUACGUGUAUUGUGUCAUGUAGGGUUCAUGUGUUUAUUUAUUUAAAAGUUAGAUAAUUAAAAUAUCUAUUUGUGCAUUAUAAAAAUUGAAGACCAAAAUUAAAAUUUGACCAAAAUUAAAAUUUGAAGUUAAAUUUAAGAUGUAAUAUGUAUUUAUGCCUUCUUUUUAUUGCAUGAGCGUUAACAUAUCAUUUCAAAGAAACCAUAAAUUCACAUACCAUAUAUUUAGCCUAUAAAUUUGCCCUCGUCAAGUAUUGGAGCAAAAAAAGUUGGUUUCCUAUACUAGCUCUUAAAAUCAUAAUCCGCUUUAAAGACUACACUUUAACUGAUUAUUAACCUACUAAUUUAUUAUUGAAUCCAUUUUAACCCAAUUUACUCAUUUAUUACCACCUAAGCUAUUGACGAUUGUCUUAUAUAUAGUGAUGAUAAAAGAAAGUUCACAGGUGAUUAAAUAUUGUUGGUUUAAUUUUUAUUUUAUUAACAAUUCUUUAAAUUUACGUUUCCUGUUCUGCCAGAAAGUAGUGGACGUGGACAAAUUUGCAGACGUAAAGUUAUAAGUACAUUAUUCACAUUUUUCAAAGAUAAUGAUAAAAUAAGAUAAAUAAAGUAAAAUAAAAACUAACGGUAGAUAAAGAUCUGCUCAAGUAUAAUUAGAUCAAAUAAUGUUUAAUAGUCUUAUAGAUUCAUGACAUGUAUACUGUAUAAUAAUUUAUGGUUAAGAUUGAUUAAAAUUAUAUAUUCAUCUUAAAAAUGAAAAUAACAAAAGCGUUAAUUUUUUUUAAUACUAUCAAAUAAAACAAUUAAAUGCACCCUAACUAAUAUUUUCAAGAAAAAAAUAAGACUGACAAAAAUAUGUGGGACUUUCAACGUUUUACCUGUCAAACGUUGUACUUGUAUUGAAUUUUUUAUAUUAUAGUAGCAUGCGUGAAACUACUCCAGAACAAGUUUUCGGAUAAAAAGUCAAAAAAUUUGCAUAUUUUUGUCAAUCUUAAUUUUUUUCCUUGAAAAUAUUAGUUUGGGUACACAUAAUUACUUUAUUUGAUAGUUUUAAAUAAUAAAAAAGUUGAUAACUUUGUUAUUUUUAUUAUUAUAAUUAAUAAGUAUAUAAUUCAAAUGAAUCUUAACCAUAAUUUAUUAUAUAGUAAACAUGAUAUGAAUUCAUAAGGUCAUUGAACAUUACUUGGCCAAAUUAUACUUAAUCAGAUCUUUAUCCGUCAAUAAUAGCCGUUAUUUCUCUCCUGACCUACUUCGUCAAAUAUUGGAGCAUGCAAAAACACAAAUAAAAGAUUUAAUUUAUAUAUCAUCGAUCGAUCAAUUUGAUCAUUAAAGAAAUUUUGGGAUGAUAAUAAUUUUAAUCCAUUAUUUUUAUAGAUAAACAAACGUAGUAUUCAAUUUGUCAAUCCUAUUUUUGUUAAAUGUGAUAUGCAUUAUUAUUUUAAAUGAUCUGAUCAUAUAAGUAGUUCUUAACUUAACCAUUGCUUAGAAGUCAAUUAUAAACUUCUAAAUAAAUUGAAUUGAAAGGAAUGAUAAUGGGAAGCUCCGGACAUUCCUAGAUUUGAAUAAUAUGGCAAUUGCGACUUAAUUCAAAAGGAUACACUUGUUCCUCAUUAAUUAGUUGUGAAAAAAAAUCUUUUAAACGAGUUUUUUAUUAUUAUUUUUCUUUCUAAACGAGUUUAUAUUAUAAUGUUCAAGUUUUAUUUUAAGAUUUUGGUUUGAAUCGUUUCAAGAAAUGUGUUUAAGUAAAUUUUACUCUUUUAUAUUCCUUUCUAAGACUCUUAAAAGAAGGGUAAUUAAGUGCUAAGGUGAUCUUUUUAGUGUAAACCCUUUUUUUAAAAUUAUUUUACUCUUUAGUGUAAACUCCUCCGCAACUAAUUAAUCUUUUAAUAACCAUCAUAGAAUUAAGCCUAGAAUUAAACUACUCCCUCCGUUCUUUAUUAUUUGUCAUGAUCUAUAUUUCUAGAGUCAAUCUACAGUUUGACUUAUAUUAUAAGAUGUAUUUAUUCAUCAUAUUGUUAUGCAAAAAAUUAUAAUUUAUAGUAAUUUUCAUAGGGAAAAUUACGCCGAUAAGCAAACAUAUACUAUUUAAUUACUCAUCAUAGCUAUAGUUUGCUAUAAUUACCACUCGCGACUAACAAUAUAAUUAAUUACGUGGGUUGACUUCGAGUUUGUAUAAUUAGUCAUGUUUGUAUAUGUAUAAUUCGCCAGGAUAUACAAAUAAAUAUGUAUAAUAUACAAUUUUUUAGUCUAUAUACAUAUACAAUUCACCUCUCUCCUAUUUUCUGCCUCUUUCGCUCGCCUCUCUCCUGCCUCUCCCAAUCUCGCUAUACAGUUAUAUUCACUUAUAUACAUUUACAAUUCACCUCUUUCCCACUAUCUGCCAUCUCUCGCUGGCCUCUCUUGAUCUCGCUCGCCUCUCUCCUCUCUCUCCCAAUCUCUUUUGCCAUAUAUACAAUUACAUAUGAAUAAUAUACAAUUAUCUGACUAAUAUACAUAUACAAUUCACCUUUCUCCCACUCUUUUCCCCCUCUCUUUCGCCCCUCUCCUUUCUCUCCCAGUCUCACUCGCCUCCCUCCUCCAAAUAACAUGUAGCUAUAAACUGUAAUUAUCAAACUAUAGCUAUAGAGAGUAAUCAAUUAUUUUUAAGUGGCUAUAUGUGAAAAUUUCCCAUUUUCAUAUAGUUUUUGAAUAUCUAAAUCUUUUGUUUAAAAUAUCAAAAAUAAAUAUAAUCUAUUUUAACUUUAAAAUUAAUCAAAUUAACUAUCGAAAAGUGUAAUUUAAUAACUAAAAAUGGACGGAGGGAAUAAUAGAUAUGUUGUUGCUGGCAAAUCAAUUGCUAGAACAUAGAGAAUCGUCCAACUAAUCAACAAUAUCUCUAUAUAUUUAUUGUACUCCCUCCGUCCCGAUAUUGUUUGUCAUGAUUUUUAUUUUUGGAGUUAAAUUAAAAAACUUUGACUAAUAUAUUAAAAUGUAUUUUUUCAUCAUAUUAAUAUGCAAAAAAUUGCAAUUUAUAAUACUUUUGAUAUAGUUUUAGAAUAUCUACUUUUUUUGUUUAAAAUAUCAAAUUAAUGUAAUCCAAUUUACCUUUGAAAAUUAGUCAAUUUGACUUUCGAUAAGCAUAACAUGACAAACAAUUUCGGACGAAGAAAAUAUUAAGUAUUAUUGGGAACUACACUAUUUAUACUGUUGAUAUUCAUAUUAGGUAGGAAUUUUUUUUUUAAAAAAACAAUCAAAGUAUUAAAAAUAACACGAUAAAAAACCACAUAGUCGUCUCUCAUCAUUAGGUAAUGUAUAAUGUAUGCUAUAAUUUAUAAAAACUAUCAAAAUUUUUCCAAAUUCCAAUUCUUAUAUAAUUUUAUUAAUAAGAUAUCGAAAUAUUCUAAAGGUGCUCUUUUUAUAUAUAUAUAUAUAUAUAUAUAUAUAUAUAUAUAUAUAUAUAUAUAUAUAUAAAAUGCAUAAGUACCUCCUAGUCUAUGAUAAAAAAUUGAGUGACACGCCUAAACUUAAUAAAGAUCCUAUUACCUUCCUAACUAAUUUUAUUCUAUUUUUGUGCAUUUUUUGUGCUGAUGUGGCACUUUCAACCAUCCAAGUUGGUUGUGUUUGAACACACUUGCUCAUCAUGUGUGCAAGUAUAUAUAUUUAUGUUUUUUAAUUAAAAAAUAUUUAUUAAAAAAAUUUAUUUUUUUUAUUAUUUAAAAGAUAUUCUUAUUUUUUUAAUCUUGUAUUUAGAUUAAGUUAAUACACAUUUUUUUUACCUUGUAUCAAAACUAUUUUUUUUAUUUACAUUCAUUUUUUUGUCUCUUUUAUUUUUUAUUGAGUUUAUUUUCUUUGUCUUUCGUUUUAAUUUUAUUUUAAAUGUCUUGUAUUUAAAAUAAGAUAAUUUUAUUGGAUAUCAAAAGAAGUAAAGAAAAUUGAAUCAAACAUAAACAUAUUAAAACAUUAAAAGUAAAGGAUACUUUUAAAUUAUUUUUUAAAAUACACACAAUUUAUUAAUAAUAAUUAAAAUUGAAAAGAUAAUAAAUUAAUUGAAAAAUAUUUAAAGCGAAAAGAAAUUUAAAAAAAUAUUUUAUAAAGAAAGAAAUAAAAAUAAUUAAAUAUAGAUAAAUUUUAUUUAGCACUAACUAAUUAUAAAGUUAUCAAUUAAAAAAUGACAUGUUUCCAAUUUAUGCAGUCAUCACUUAUCUUCAAGAGAGUGUGCACACUCUCUAUAACAUGUUCUCGUUUAUAAUAUUUAUUCCAUUUUAAAUUAGUUCAUAAUAUAAUGGGUAUUUAUGAAUUUUAUCAAAAAAAAAAAUUGAUUGCAAUUACAAAACUUUCAAAUCAACAUAAUUUUAUAAAAAUACACAAUUCAAUAAAUCAUCAACGAAAUUAAAUUUGAUUUCAUUCUUGCAAGUGAUAUGAACCAUCUAUUCACGCAAAGUAUGAAUAUAUUUUUACAUAAUUUAAAAUGAAUUGCACGCUUCGAAAAGACAGUAUAAUCUUGCAACCAGUGACACUAUAGCUGUUUUACAUCCAAGUAAUGUCUGUACCUUUUCUUGUUGAUGAUCUGAUCUCAGUCAGUGUAUGGUGGUGGGGUUGGGUAUAGAUGAAUAAUAAUCAUCAUAGUAGUGGCAAAAAAAAAUAUUCUUUUCGUUCGGAUUAAAUUUAAAUAUUUUUGGUUUGUCUAAAAAAGAGGAAUAUUUCUUUAUAUGCAUAUUAAAUUUUUUCAAGAUCAUAAAAUUUAGAAAUCUCCCUUUACUUUUUAAUGUUCGGAUCGAAAAAAUUGCAUGAACAAGAAAUCUCGGUAGGGCUGAUUUACAUUAUUCUCGCAAUAGGAAAAAGGUAUGAAUAGAUAGACAUGGGCACACAUCUUAGCGUAUGCAAAAUCUUUGCAAUCAUGUGCCAGGUUUGUUUCUUUUUUCUUUUCACAAAACAUAUACUUUACAACUUCAACAAUGGGCACACACAGAUAUAGCUUACCACUUAAGCAAUUUAGACUGCUUAGUUUUAAGUUAAAAGUAAGUUUUAGAUGUCGAGUUAUAUAUGUUAAAUGUUCUGAAUAUAGAAUAUGAGAUUUUUUUUAGGAAAAUGCACAAGUACUUUUAGAUUAACAUCAAAAUUUCAGAGGCAUAUCUUAACUAAACGAAAAUUGUAUUACCCUUUGAAUUUAUUUUUUUUGUAAUUUUAUGCACCUUUUGUCUUACAUAGCACAUUGCGUGACUCCACGCAAUUGAGGUGCGUGGAAAAUAUUUGAAUAUCACGUGAGUCAAAAAGGUGUACAAAAUUAUAUAAUAAAUAAGUUCAGGAGGAUAAUAAAACCUUAAAUAGUUAAAGUGUGUCUCAGGAAUUUCGAUCAUAAUCUACGGAUACUUAUAUAUUUUUUCUUCUUUUUAAGCAAAUUAAUAAGCUUGUGUUUAAAUCCAAAUCAUAAUUUACCAUUUUAUAUCAUAUGUCUAAACGAAUUCUAAUAAUUAAAAUACAUCACACCUAAUAAAUUUGCAGGAACAUGAGGAGGCACAAGAAGUGGUGUAGAGGCUAUAGAAUAUGUCAUGAAGAGGUAAUAAGAGUGAGGUAAUUAAAGUAAAAGCGAUAGUGAUCAAAACCAUGAAAUCACGUCAUUGAAAAAUGAAAAGCCUUGGGGCACUUUAAUAAGUUGAGAAGGACAAAAGAACAUCGAUCAGUGACAUUUUUUAAAUAAAGUUCAGAUUUGUGUAUUGAAUACGAAAAAACUCUUGAUAGUUGGCAUUUUCUUUCGAAGAAAGUUCUAUACAAUAAAAAUUUAAAAUAGUCAAGACUCUAAUAUAGAAUGAGAGUUUACACAAUACAGAUUUAAAAUAGUCAAACUUCAAUACAGAUAUUAAACACGAAAUCAAAAAUCAAAAAUAACAAUCGAUAAAGAGUGGGUGGUGGGGAAGACGAGACACUCAGUAGUAGUGUGUCAUUAUCUUAUCAUUCUCUACAUCGAGUGGAACUCAGCUCCAGAAAAAAAGACAAAAUUUGUCGACUUUAAGAUACUCUUUCACUUUGCAAUGAUUUCAUGCGCACAAAAGUAAAACAAUUCCCUAAAACUAAAUUUGACAUUUACUUCAAGAUUAAUUAUGUAAAGAACUAAUUCAUUCUAUUUUAAAGUAAGUGAUCUUCUCCUUAUUAAAGAAAAAUCAAGUAGGUCUAAUGAACAAAUCACGUCAUUAAAUUUAAAACUGAACUCAAAAUAAAUAGUUUCUUCUUCUUCUACAGCGUAAGAGCGUGCCGAUCGGAUCUGGAAGUCUAAUUAUAAAUUUUCGUGAAUUUCAUAGUUUUUAUUUAAAUAUUUAUCUGUCGUUUCAAUUAUUGCUAUAAUAUUUAUUUGAAAUCACAAUAAAAUUUCAUAAAUAUUAAAUUUUGAAUUUGCCUUUGUUCACACGUGUGUUAUUAAAGUAGAAAAUGAAAAUGACAUCGACUAAUGACACAUGAAGAAUACUGUAAAGGCACACCGCACAUCUAUCGGUUUUGUGCUGCUUAUAAAUUUGGUUUUCAAGGAUCACGCAUUAUAAAAGCAAAAGGAUAUAUAUAUAUAUAUAUAUAUAUAUAUAGUCAUAUAGAUAUAUAUAGAAAUAGAAAGCCAUGUUGUUUCCUUAACAAGUAUAUACUCUAGAGUUUGAAUUCAUCAUCCUAAUGCGUUUUUUCCGUAGGUCAUCUUCACUCUUGAGUAGUUCUUAGUCUUUCUUUUUAUUUAUUUUUUCAUUCGAUAUUCGAUAUCCAUAUUAAACUCUGAUUAAUUCGAAUUAACACAUCCAAGGCCUAUUUUUGGCCUUGAUAGAUUAUUUUUUUUCAUACUCAGAGCUCGAAUUCGGAAAACCCUAUAAAUGAAUUAACGGUAAAUUUUGACUUGUUGGUUCUAUUGUAUUAUUGGGACAUUAGAGUUUUAGUGGUUGCAAUAAUUAUGGACGUUAAACUUCACUUAUGGAGACAGAGUAGACUUCCAUGUUAGGAAGGAGUUGGCAACCAUUAUGCAAUGGAAUGGAUGUGCAAAUGCACAAAAAGAAGAAAGAGAGAGAUGCAAAUACGCAGAGGGUAUGGCAGACCCGAGAAAGACGGAAUUAAUUGUGACCGCCUGCUGAUUUGUGCAAUUAUUACUUGUUGGGUUUGUUUGUCUUUAUCCCACGAGCCAAGCGAGAACCGGAGGGUUCAAAUUACAUUCUAAAUUUCACUAGUUAAAAUUACUAUAGUUUUAGUUGCAACUUAAGAUUGGACAGACAUUUUUGCCGAAUGUGUUUUUUUGGAUGGUCUUCUAACAUUUUUCACUCGUAACUUAUGAACGUUUUAGAUCAAUGUUUGAAAGUCUCUUUGAGCAAAUUAUAUGAAAAAUCAUGCUCUAAAAAUUAGUAGACAUUAGAGAUAGUCUAAUAUUUUAUCAGUUUCAAGGAUUAUGUAUGCUCAUCUUUUAUAAGUAUUAAAAAGAGAAACUUUCACAUAUAGCAAAAUUUAUAAAAUUACGCUCCUUAGCGAAUAUAAAUAUGUAUAAUUCGUUGUACAUAUAAAAAGAAAGCAAUUGUAUAAUUCGAUAUACAUAUAAAAAAGAAAGCAGUUGUAUGCAAAUCAAUUGUAUAAUAUGUGUAUGUAUAAAACGAGAAAGAGAGAAAUACAAAAGAAAAUUGGGCAGGGGAUAUUUCUAUUGUAUAAUUAUAAGUAUAUAGGAUGAAGAUAUAUAUAUUUGCAAGUGUAUAUAUAAUUUUCUCUCACUUUAUACAAACGGACACACAAUUUAUACAUUUCGUUUCUGUUUGUAUAAGCAAUAUAGGUUAGGGUGACGAGCGAGAUCUGACAGAGGGGAACGAAAAUAUAUGUAUAUAUACAUUUUUUUCUCGCUUUAUACAAACAGAAACACAUUUUAUACAUUUGUGUUUGUAUAAAAGUAAAAAGGGAGCGAGCGAGAGAGGGAGAGUGACGAGUGAGAGUUUGAGGGAGAGAGGUGAUUAACAAUCAGCUUGCUAUAGGAUACAAUUGAAUCAAAGUGUGGUAUAAUAUUUAAUUUAAUUUAUUAAUUUGUCAUUAUAUAUAAUUUUUCCGAUAAAAAAAUGAUCAUUUUCGUAAAUCAGCUUGGCUCGGAUGGGCUGGAAAAUCUUGGGCUCGCGUAAAUUUGUGAUGGGCCAAUUGAGUCAGACUACGCGUAAAUGGUCCACUAUAAAACAGGAAUUCGAAAUUUUGAGAUAUCUUCUCAGAGAAAAGAAGAGAUGGCGGGAAACGAUUCACAGAAGCAAUUUCUAACUCUUCUCCGCGAAUUCGCAUCUGAAAAAUCUCAAGGAGGUUAGUUUUUUCUUCUGAUGAUUCGACGGAUUUAAUAUUGUAAGCUAAUUUUUCGAAAUUUCCAGAGCGAAGAAUAGUAAAUCACAAGAAGCGAAAUCAACAGCUGCAAUCAGAGCUUCAACUUGCAUAUGCGGAGGUAGAAGAGGCGAAGAAUCAGAAGGAGACUGCUGAGCAAGAGCUCAAAGUCUAUGAAGUAGAAUUGGCCAGGAAUGAGUCUGCAAUUCAAACCCUAGAGGUUUUUGAUUUCAUUUGUAUUUAUAUCCGCUUUUUUUUUUUGUUGGUUGAUGCUUUGAGCUAAUGAAACAUAUCUAAUUAACUGAAAUUUGAACUCCAGAAACGCACUUGUUCUCGUUUAUCUAAGAGAUCCGUUUCAAUUACGUUAUAGGAAGGGAUCCUUUGGAUUCAAGAUGAAUUGUCAGCGUAUGGAUCUAAUGUUGAGUCUCUCAAGGUAAAAAUCUACUUGAGAUUUUGUUCGGCUCAUUUGAUGCUCUGUUUUUCUGGUCAUAAUUGUUGAAGUUUUAACUUCUUAAUUGUUAGAUAUGUAUUAUUUGUACUUAUUUAUAUUUGUAAAUUUGAACAUUAUUGUAUUGGUUUGCUAACAAGGCCACUUUUUCUUCCUACGAAUUCGCUGAUCGACUGAUGAUAUUUGAACCGUCAAAAGAAUAAAGAAGCAGAAACUCGGUAAUGAGAUGCUUCCUUCAGUUAACCUCUAGACUCUUUUUGGGCAAUUACAAGCACUUAAUUAUGCACAAAAGACGUCUUUCUCUCCAUUUAGUGUUCUGAAAUAAUCUGAUUGCAUUUCCUUUUCUCAUUGUGUCUAUCAUUGCUUAUGCAGAGAUGACUUCAUAGAGAAAAUGUUUGAGCUCAAUGCACAGAUAAGGUACAGUUUGUUUGUGUGUCCUCAAUAGGCCACCUUUUACUAUUGAAAUCCACUGGAUGAAGUCGGACUAAUAAGGUAGAGUUCGUCAAUAUCUUUUUGAAAAAGUUAGAGAUCAUGUUUAUAGCUCCAAUCCUGUUGCUUUGUAAAACAUACAACUGCUAAGUACAGACAGAGAUAUAAACCAGUCUCAGGUCAAUCCAUGUCCGUGCUGUGCUGAUGUUAAAAUAGCUAACUUAGUCACCAUUCUUCUUCUAAUGUGCAUUUUACACAUACCGUACGAGAAUACCUACCUUUUUUUUCGGUUUCUCAUCCGGUGUUCGGUACCCACAUUGGAGUCCAACUAAAUUUGAAUUUGCGCUGGGAAGCCCAUCAUUGGGGGGUAAAGCUCUCCCUAACAAAGGCGACUCCGGACCAAGAAUACAUACUAAUUUAGCAUUACUUGGCUGCUGCAAAAUCUUCUGGAUUGCGUUUACACAGACCAUGGCCUAAGUAACUAACUUUGCUUUACUCUUAAAGCUGAUUCAGUCUGUAAUACUUGAAGAUUAAAGAUUAUCGACCAAUAUUUUUGUUUUAUAUGCUUAUAAUCUUUGAUGUCAUGAAUACUAUCAACAAGAAUUUGUGCUUGGAGAGUGAUCAUAUCUGUCUAGCAUCAAGUUAUAUGCGAAAGAGAAACAUUUUGACCUGAUGAUUUAGCAUCUACAGUGAGUACAAUGAUUAUGUGGUUUUUCGUUUGCUUUUCAAAAAUAAUUUGUUGCGAUUGUAUGGUUAUCGCAUGGUCACAGAAACAAGGAUUUUUUUAUUGAGCUGCCAGUCCUCUAGCCCAUAUCGUAUUUCAUUGUUCAGUUCUUACUUAGAAACUACUGAACUACAAAUACUAUAAACUGGGUAUGAUUCAGUCGUCUUAUCACUGAACUAGUACAUAUACCUUUGAGACUUGUGCACAUUAACUGUUCAACUGGCAAAGUCUAGACAUGGAGUUCCAAAGACGGUAAAUAUUCUUCUCUGUUGUGGUCGACUGGCCUUGUUUCUUUAGCUUGGCAGGAAAAAUUGUUAUUUGGUUUGUCUUAUUAGAAAAGUUCUUUCCCUGAGGGCACUGGAUAUCUACAAUAUAGUAAUCAAAGUGACACUAUAGGUCGACCAUAGAAAAUUUAGUGGCCAGAUAUAAACCUAUCUAUUUUCAUUCUAACUCUGAGACUCAUUUCAUUUUAAUUUGUGACUACACUAAUAAUUUAGCUGCCUUGCUGCUAAAUGUUUGAACCGUUUUCUGCUGAACUGGAUGCAGGAAAUUCCAUGAGUCAAUAGCAUCUAUAUUCCGAAAUGAUGAUUGCAGCACGUCAGCAUCAAAGCCUGGUCUGUUAAUGCACAUAGAUAUGCACUCUUCUUUUUCUGAUGUGUUGGGGAGUUUCUUCUGUUAUACGUGAUGUUCAAUUCUGAAGAGUUCAAAAAUUUGAUUGUUGCUUUUCUUAGCUUCUUCAAGCUGAAUAAGAAUUGUUUUACACCUUCACGUGCAGGUUCAGCUAAAGCCAAAGCAGAAGAUGCUGAAGCUUUCAAAGGAGACCUCCAGAAUAAGCUAGCUCAGAUAGUUUCUCAGAUCACUAAGGAAGAAGAGGAAUACCAAGUUGAACAGAAUAUUCAUCGGCAGGCAAGUCAUUGUGUUUUUGUUAGACCAGUCUAUUCAUAUACCAUUGUUCUGUUGAUGUUGUCUGGUUAUUAGUAUUAGGAGAAAUUACAUUGAUCAGUGUGGUGAUUUUCAGGUUGCAGAAGAGUUGAAUAUUUUGGAAAGUAAAGCAUCACUGAUAGAGGGAAUCACAAAAGAAAAUAUGGAAAUGCAGGAGUUAGCCAGAUAUCCUUGAAUUUCUGUUGUUUGGUCUUUGUCCUAUUUAAUGCUAAUUAUAUAUUAUGUUCAGCUCAUUUGUAGAAGAAAAAUCAGUCAACAGGGGAUCUAAAAAUUUCAUGAACUAUUCCACAUUUAGACAAUAGUCUCAUUAUAUGUUUACUGUAUUACGGAGAAACUCUUUCACACCUCAAAAAAAUACAUAUGAAAUCGGCACCCUUGCUUUAGAUUUGUCAACAAUCGUUGUGUCCUUGACUGGAAGUAAGCAGACUUCUGAAUUGGAAAACAAAUGUGCUUCCCUUGGAGAUGAGCUACAGAGGAGGUCGGUAUGUCCCAAAUGUCACAAGGACAAUACAGCUGCAUUACGUCAAAUUCUUCAAGCAGGCGAUGAAAAUUAGCUUCUUGUAAGUAGUCCCUGACAUUUUAACUGAUGAUGGUCAAAAGUAAGACACUGAGGUGCUUACACUUCUGCCCUCAUGUCUUCCAUUGGCUUAUGUGUGACUAAGCUUUGGUUUACUACAAAUAGGGCUAGUUUGCAUAAUUGACACUCCUAGUUUUUCUACUCACUCUCCCCUAUACAUCCCAAAGAACAAAUGUAAUGGAAGCUGUAAAACGAGACAUACUUUUACCACAAGGAUAAUUGUGUUCCUGUUCUUUCAGCUGUCUAUGGUAUUGCUAAAGAAAAAAGUUAAAGGUACUUGCCUCUAAAUCCCAAUAAAAUUUUCGUCACCGCCCAUGUUCCACCUCCCUUUACUGGAUGUUAAGAGAGGCUCCAAAAGUGGGGCUUUAAAGUGAAUCCACCAGAAUGCUUUUUUGAUGGAUUGGAACUGAUUGAGAUGUAAAGAGAUGAAUUGUUUGUUCAGUUUAAUAGGAAGUCAUCUUCAUGAUUUUCCUGUGUGCACAUAUGUUGUUAAUCCUUCUGUAUCCAUCACAAUCAAUGAUAAGAGUGGAGAUCUAGCUUUUAUAUUACUCUUGCCUUAUAGCUGCCACAUAAAAUUAGCUCUUGUAAAUUGACAUUUGCAAAAUCAUCCAUAAUGAGCUAGAGAUUAAAGAAACUACAGUGAACACUGAUUUGGGUACUUACAUCUUUACUAGGAAUUUCGGAGGGGACUGAAAGGAGGAAACGGAACCAAACUUGAAUGGGCACACUUUUGAUCUUUAACUAGUACAGAGAAUAAAGCAGACACGGGCCGAUGGUCUGAGAACUUGCUUUCACUGCGGAAAUAGGAAAGCUGUUUCACUCCCUUUCCAUACCAUAGGAUUCUAUCACACCUGCCAUUAACAUUCCAAGUGUCAUGAUAGCAAGUAUGAGCCACAUAAUGGCUAGCAAUGACCAGUACUUGGUCAGUUUCCUUUUUUAAUUUUAAUCAUCAGUUUUGAGAAAAGGACUAAACCUGACUCUCGAUGUUUUCAAUUUUCUGAUGGAUGGAGUGAUGUGUGCCUUUUUAUGGGAGGUGGGGGGAUGAGUCACUCACUGGUGUUUAAAUCACGAGAGUUCUAGAUAAAAAUGUAAAGUGAUGACUGUACCAUGCUGGAGUUCUUUGCUUCUCCCCUGCUCUGCUUGGAAGUCCACCAGAAUAUCGAUUGCAAUUGGAAGAAGAAUAUUUGUAUGUGGGAGCGAAUUCUAUAUCUCCCUCUUGCCAACCCUGAAACACUCCACCAUCUUCUAGUUCCUUCCCCAACUGGUCAAACUCUUGCAGCGCACUCCAAUUUUUCCUUUUUAUUAAUUCCCUCGCUAAAUUGUCUUCCAAGUACAGUCUGUAGUUGAGAUCUCCAAACCAAAAUAUCUGGCUGUUCUACAAGAAAAUACAUCUUGUCACUUUAGGUGGAAAAAUCUCAUCAUGGAGUUCUAAUAGUUAUAAGAAAUCUUCUUAGCUUCUCAGCUCGAUAUCUUUACUAUGAAUCCAAUUACUGUCCAACUCUUUGUUAUAAUUGUCAUUAUUUUUCUUGUAGUUUUGAUUCAAAAGGAAAUUCCUUUACCAGCGUUUUUAUAAAUCCGACUUAUCUCUAAUGUUGAAACAAAAUAUGUUGAAUAUAUGUUAAAAAUGCGUAACUAGUUGGGUAUGAGAAAUAUGACUUACUCAUGUCCUAAGAUGGUGAGAGGAUGAUUUUUAUGGCAGUCUUCUGUCAGCCGGGGGAAAGACGUUCUCCUAAAAAUCUCGGUGACUUGACGGUUCCUCUUCCCUUCAUCACCUUUCUUUUCUCCUGAGGCUAAGUGAGCUGCCACAAAGCAAAAACUAGUUCCUCCUAUGGACAUGCUCACAGAGACGGAUCCUUUGUUUCCCAAAUAGCCCAUAAUGCCGCAAGCUACUGAAGAGACCUUUACUUCGGAGACACAAUACUUCUUUAGCAAUGUCCUUCUCAUCCACACACUAAUGAAGACACCAACCAUCUUCUUGCUAGCCAUCAAUUUGUAACUACCAACACAAUCUGAGAGCUUAUAUUCAGUUCUAGACUGACCUCUUGCUGAAACUAUUUCGUAGUCAUUCCUCAGUCUACUAUCUGAUUCAGUGGCUUGAUCAUAUCGAUAAUUAUCAUUGGUGAUUGGAUUGACCAUGGGUGUUAACCAGGCACCACCAUACUUGCUAUUUAGAGUUUUACCGACGAGCACAUUCCAGUUAGUAGCUUCUGUUGGAUCUUCUGCUCCAAUUACAGUUUUAGGCUUUAGAGGGACUAUUUCCUGGAAGCUGCUAGUGGAAAAGUUUCUUCUUAAAUGACCAAGUCCUCAUUGAUGAAAAAAGAAGGUCAUACUUUGAAAUUUAUACAUACCCAAGAACAUAAAUAUCUGCUGCUUCUUUCAGAUUUAGCCACUCAUCCAAAUCUACAGCUAGACUUCCCACAGGAGAUCUUCCGGCAACAUUCCACGUACCCACAAAGAUUCUACAGCAAAAAGAUGGUCAAAAUAAGUAUUAUCCUGUUAAGCUUUAGAGGUCCAUAACAUGACAUUCCAACAGGUGCUCACCUCAAUUCAUUGUUUAGGAUGCAUGGUCUUCUGUCCAGUGACAUAACAGAAAGACCAUUCAUGUACACGUCAUCUUGUCCGUCGUCAUCUGUUGAAAGCAAUCAAAAAAAGAAUAUAAGAAGGUAAUUUGAAUACAUAAAAAUGAAACUAAACGAAUAAAGUGGAGGUGCUACGGCUACGCAAUCCAGAUUACCAAGAAACGAAAUAAACCUGAAAUUUCGCUUAAAUGGGAUGCUGCAUCAGCUCUGCUUCUUCUCUUGCUAAACCACAACCGAAACACUUUCCGUCUUGAUUUUCUUUCCUUGUUACCCAUGAUUUGAAAUAAAGUCCAUUCCAAAAAUGACCAGUUUCGUCAAAGAGAUGACAACAUCUUUUCUUGUCAAGUUGGAUGGCUGAAGAAUAUCCACAUGGCUGCCUUUUAGGUUCUGGGUAAAGCUAUCAUUGUAUUGGUCGCCUUGAUGGAAAAUGUUGUGGAAUGGACGAAUGAGACAAACCCAUAAUAUAUGCGAUAAUACCAAGAUUUAAAGAGAUAGAAAGAGAAGGAAAAGUCAAAGGUUGUUGAAUUGCACAUUUGAGAAGCUUCCUUAAUAGUCUUAAUUUAUUUUCACUGAGUUGUUCAACCAAGAGUAAAUUAUUGGCCGCACAAGUUUCCAUCAGUUUUGUGAUUGUGGGGUUGUUUACAAGCACAGUUCAUAUAAGUCUUGUGUGUUAACUCUUUAUCCGUGACUACAAGUUAUCAUACCACAUGGCCAGAUCAAUUCAUCAAACUGUUUAAGUCGUGCAUUAGUUAAUUACACUCAUUCUCAAGCACGACACCUAAGCCAUCUUUACAACCGUACAUCAUUGUGUCAUUGCUGACUUUACAUAACCCAAGCCUCAAAAUUCAUCACGUCUUAAUCUCCUACCAAGUUUACCGUAAGUUCUACAUAGUUGCUUGGACUUUUCAAAAAUGUUGAAGUUGUAACGGGUUUUCCGAAAAUUCACUGCUUUGGAGGAUCUAACACACUCACACACACAUGUCAUUAUUUUUAAGAGUCCGAACAACAUAAAGUUUCACCACCACAAGCAUGGAUGGAUGAAGAAUAGGGCAACGAACAAAGUCUCACAUUUAAUUAAAGAAAUAAGCAAAAAAAUGUGGGAGCACCUGGAAAGGGUAAAAAAGAAGAAGCAAACUUCUCAAUUGUGUGGUAUUAUUUGGGGAAAUAUGAGUAGACUUUGUCGAAGCAAGUAAUAUCAGACUAGCCCAGUACCCAUUACCUCGAGUUAGACAUAGCUCCAGCCUCCAGCAUUCAAGUGAAUAAAUGUAGACUUCAACAUUUUAAGCUACCUGAUUAUACAUAUUCUUGGACAAUUUAAAAUUUAGUUUUUUUUUUUACUUAUACCAUUUACACCUCUUUUAAUGAAAUGUUACUUGGUUACCAAUCCUCUAUUUUAGAUUAUCCCCAGCCCAAGAAAAGAGUGUGUGGCGGUAAUUAGAUCCUAAACAGAUUGAGGCAAACAAUUUCUUUUCCAAAUUCGUUUAGAAUUAUCAUCCUCAAUGGUGACAGAUUCAUCCUUCUUGAAAUGGAAUGUAGAAUGGUUCUUCGUUUUUUUUUUCGAACUUAAAUAGCCGCCCACCUAACUGUGGUUGAAAAUUUGAAGGCAUUUGUUAGUGUUCCGUGCAGUAACAAUGAUUUUAGUACUUGUUUAAGUACUACUACAUGGUGUAUGGAAUAUUAAGAUGACCUUAGGCUGAGGGACGUGAACAAUAAAGUGGUCCAUUGAGAAUUAGAGGGCCUAAAUUGCUUAAUUGAAAGACAUAAUACAUAUAUUGUAUUUUAAAUUUUAACUUUGAUCUUCAAUUUUUAUAAUGCAGAAAUAGACAUUUUAACUAGUCAAUUUUAAAUAAAUAAACACAUGAGUCCUACAUGACAAAAUACACGUAGGACACCAUGUAGAACAAAAAAUGACAUGUAGGACAUAUCUGUUUUUUUGUUCAACUUUAUACAAGUUUAAGUGUCUACUUAUGCACACCCAAAGUUGAAGGGCAUAAAUGUGAUUCGAGACCAAGUUAAAAGGUAUAUUUAUGUAUUAUGCCUAAAUGAAAUGUAUUAUUUAUUAUUUAAAGAGGAUGAUGUCGACUUCCGACACAUAAAUAUCUGUACCUUUCUUAGGUUGUGACAUUCUACCAGAAUUAAUUAUAGCUUUGAUUGGACUCACACCGGCUUUUGCGGACACCUCUGGUACUUCAUCAACCAUUACAAUACUUAAUACGAUGGAGUCAAAAUUAUAUUUAACGUUAUUUACCCUUCAUUUGUACAACCCAGCCAAAUAGAGAAAAUAUUACCUUUAACAUCUCUUAAUAAUAAUUCCUAUAUAAAUUAUAUGUUAUAUAUAAUAAGAUAAUAGCCUUUAGUAUUUGAGGAUCUAAGGCAAUGACAUUAGUAGUCUAACCCAUCAACCGCCCUGCUAUAUUAAUAGGAGAGUAAAUAAUAUUAAAGUUUAUACGUGCUUGUCUUUGUCCCCAUUUUCAAAGGCUACUAGCGUACAAGCAACAUAAGUUGAAAUUUAUUAAAUAAAAUUAAAAAAAGUGCAAAUGGAUUACUUAUAUGAAUAAUAAUAGGUGUGGAAGUGGUAAGGAAAUGUGAGUUUUCCUAUUUGAGAUUAAAAAAUACUUGUUGCUUCCACCUCUCUUUUAAAAAAUGUUUGUCAACCCACAUCCCCCUUGAUUCCCUCGAGGGAAUUUAUAAAAUUUUAUUGAUUAAGGAACAAGAAAGAUAGACAAUAAAUUUUUUUUAAAAAAAGGGGCUUUGGUUGAUGAUUUAAUGCAAACAGAGAUGAGAUGUUCAUGCUGGUAAGUCAAAAUUUAGGAUAUAUGCUUGGCUGGCAGAAAUCUAGUUGGGACCGACUAAUUCAUUAUAUAUCCACUCAAAAAACAAUCACUAGUAUUAUUUCGUAUAUUUCAAUUUAUAUGAUACUAAUUUCUGAGGAAGAAUGAUACAUUUUUUUAUUUGGAAGCAUAUAACUAUAAAUUUAGGUUGCAAAUGCUAUGACAAAUUUAAAAGUUUAUGAAAUUUCGCAAGUUUAUUUUUCUUUUUUCUUUUUAAUUCCAUGAAAAAGCUAACCUGUAUUAUCAUCAUCAUUAUUAUUAUUAUUAUUAUUAUUAUUAUUAGCUUUCAAACUAUAAACAUGAAAAACCAUUCUGGUCCAUAGACUAACGACAAAAAGUGUCACAACUUUGUGGUGGUAUAGUGCUUAAGCUACACUUUGAUAAUUGAAGGUUUACUCUUUAGGCCCAAUAUUACUGUUCCUAGAAUAGAUAAGACUAUAAUUUGGGCCCAAUAGGCCUUCCAAUUAACAUUUUUGUAAGUUGCUCUAUUCAAUUUACAUUGUCCCACUUCUCCAAACUAUUUUUCUUUCAACCCCAGCGACUCAUCCACUAAAGCUAGGUAAGAAAUGAAAGUAAAAAAGAAUGGCAGGGCAGUCGGGUGCACGAAGCAGCUGGGUUUGAAAAAGGAUCACGCUCUAGAGUUUUUGUAAAGUUUUCUAUAAUACUUGAGGCUUGACGUUAACUUAGGUAUUUAUUUAUAAAAAUAUAGUAUUGAUGUAUCCAACUAUACUUGUAUUGCCUAAUCAAAUUGGAUAAAUUACUUAUGUAUCCAAAUACAUUUGUAUUCACAAAUCACCAUUUUAUUAAUAUUACAAUACAAUUAUCUAUGUAUAUAAGUAUUAUUAAAUAUAAACAUUUGACAUUUGAUUGAACCACAAAUAUAAGUAUAAUGAAUUAAACCACAAAAAUCACUCCUACAAUCUUAUGAUAUAAAUAGUUUAUUCUUAAAUAUUUUUUUUAAUUAAUAUAUUAUCAAUUGAUGUGCUAUAAGAUUAUAACAAUAUGCUAUAAAUAGUUUAUUUUUAAAUAUCUUUUUUAAUUAAUACAUUGUGCUAUAAGAUUAAAACAAUAUGCUAUAAAUAAUUUAUUUUUAAAGAGUAUGAUUACAACUUGAUAUUUAUCCUCUUAAAUAUGUGUGAAAGUUUUACCUGAAGGUUUACUCUUUAGGCCCAAUAUUACUGUUCCUAGAAAUAGAUAAGACUAUAAUUUGGGCCCAAUAGGCCUUCCAAAAAGUUAUACUACAAAGGUUCCAUUUUCAUUCUCCCUCUUCAAAUGUAAUAGAUAUUUUUCUUUCAACCCCAGCAACUCGUCCACUAAAGCUAGGUAUGAAAUGAAAGUAAAAAGAAUGGCAGGGUAGUCGGGUGCUCGAAGCAUCAGGGUCUGAAAAAGGAUCACGCUCUAGAGUUCGUGUUCUUUUAUUUUCCACCAUGUGUUUGGAUAUUUUUGUUUAAAAAUAAAUACAAGUGUUCAUCCAUUUAGAUGAAAAUAUGUGUACCCAAGCUCUAAUUAUGUAAACAUAUUCAUGAGAAGAAUAAAAAUGUUUGGAUCAAUUGAGUAGGCUAGAGAAUAAACAUGAAAGUAGCAUUGCGCGUGCUGUUUUUACUGCAGGCCACACAAUGUGGGACUUAUGAUAGGUGCAAAGAUUUAUACUUUAAUUAAUUAGCCUCAUGCUUUACUUGAAGCAAAAAGGUGUGCUUUGGUGAAGCAUGUAAAGUAAAAAAGACACUACUAAUCAUGUCAUUUUAAAGUUGUCCAACUUAAAUUAUUAAAUUUUUACUCCAUUAGUUAAAAAAUUAACACUUUUGUCCUAUAAUAGAUCAUUCGAAUACAAAAGUUUCAAAGAUGUCAGCUUUUGUUUUCAAGGUUGUAACUGAAAUAUGUUUAAAGGAUAAACAUUGCUUCAAAUUUGCGUGACAGUAAAUAUAUAGAGACAAAUUUAGGCUAGGUUUUAUGUUUCAAUUGAACCUAUCGUUUUAUACUUCUAAUUAUGUUUUAUGUAUGUUCAGCAUGAUAUUACUGAAACUAGAUUCAAAAUUCACCUCAUAAAGUGCACAUGUAUAAUGAAAUCACACUCAUAAUGAAUUUUUUUACUACCUCUAGAUUGUGACAGUAUCACCUCUUGUGAACAACCUAGCUACUAAAAAUAUAGUUUUAAAAGAAAAAGCAACUAGUAAUUAAAGAUCAAGAUAGGUCUUUCUAUUCAGAAAAUCUUUAGCACUACAAAAUUAAAAAUGCUUUUGAAUGAAAAGAACCACCUUGAUUUUCUUUUUUUUUCUCUCUCAACUAGAAUAGUUGGUCUAAUUUAAUUAGUAAAUGGGUCUACGCUUGGGAAAAUUUUUGUCACCUCCUUUGAGUGAAAUUGAAGUUCGAAUUCUACAGCUUUUGCUAUAACUAUAAGCCUUUGCAUCAGAUAUUAAAUGUUGUCUGAACAUUGCUAUAAAUGCCUCUGCUCUUUCAUUCAAUUCCUCCAUUGAAAUUUGUUGAGCCUCUUCUACUGAAUCAUCUAAUAAUUGUUCUUUUUUGUUUUCCUUCUUGUCUGUUAUUUUUGGAUAUUCCUCUUUCACAUCCUUUGUAAUUGCUUCUUCUAAUAUGCUAUCUUCAACACAAGGCACUAUAGGUUUCUUGCAUUCUUUCCCCACCUUUACCUGUUUUAACAUAAAAUUAAAUAAUAAGAAUAAUUCCAUGUGUUUGCACUCAAGAACGUGACCUAAUAGUCACUUUUUGGUUAGAGAAGUGACAUGAGAACUAUGAAAAAAUACUUGGUGAUUUUUUUUUCAUAUUGAUGGAUUACAAAUAAGGUAUCCUAUAGAAUUAAUCGAGUUGCACAUAAGUUUGACUCAGACAAUACGAUAUAUUUAAAAAAUCAGACAAGAAUUCAACAAAUAUGUAUAUCAUCUAAUUCAUGUCCAAACGUCUAAUGAUGAAAUAGUCAUAACAAUUUCUCACCUCAAUCUUGGAUUGAUUAGUAGUGUUGCUGGUGGUUUCAACAAUUGGAGUUGUGGGAGUAUUCGUUGUAGAUGUAAAAAGAAUAGCUAAGAGUAAGAGAUUAAGAGCAAGAAAUGCUAUAAGUCGCCAUUGUUCCACAAAAGAAACUAAAAUUGCACGUUCUAAACAUGCCAUUAAAGCAGCCACUCCUGCUGCAAACCAUACUGCUUGUAAUGUAUCUUCUUUUUUUACUACCAUCACCAUUUCUAUUUUCCUUUUGAAUUUUGGACUUUGAAUUAGUGAGUAGCCCAAGAGGGGGAUUUUUAUAGAGUGAGGAGAUAUAGGGUUGGUAAUACAUGAACUUUAGGGUAUAUUUACAUGAAAUGCCACUGGAUUUGUGGGUCAUAGUUUAAUGAUCAAGUGAUGUGACUAGAGAGGAUGUUUUUUGAGGGACAAGGAAACAUUCUCAUCUGCACUCUCUCUUUUGUUUCUUACUGUUUGGCUUUUUAAAAAUCUCAGGCGUGCAACCGGCUUUAUCACAAUUUUGCAGUUUAAACAAGUAAAAGCACACAAGAAAUUGAAGCAGAUUUUUAUUUUGUUUGCUUAGUUUUUAUUCGAUGUUCAAUAGCUAUAUUUGAAUCCAAGUAAGUUUGAAGGAAAUUCUAUAUUAAGAUAAAAUGCUUUUUAACAAAAGCGAUUUCAUAGGAAUCGUACUCAAACAUUGAAUUUCCUCGUUCUUGUAUAAAUUUGAGAUCCAACAUGUGUAGGAAGUUGCCUAGAAAGAAUACAUCUUGUUUUUCACCAAAAAUGAUAACAUAAGAGGUCUGUCAUAUGCUACUGAAUACUGUCUAAACACUCAAAAUGUGACAUAAUUAGUCCAAAUAUUCUAGUUAUAAGCUGAUGCUUUCGAAUAUUGUAUUGAUCCAUUCUAAUAGUACUAAUCACCACUUCAAAUCCUGCCCCUCUAUUACGUUGACCCUAUUCCGUGCAGUAACCACUCUUAUUUUACUUUCAUCUAACCGAUUUCGCCUUUUCUCGAGAUUUUUGCUUUUCAUCUGAGAACCAACAUAGAAGAUGAUUGGGAUUCGUCCAUUUUUAAUCAGAGGACUACGAAUGUAAGAAAAGACAAUUGAGAGUGUCAGCCCAUAAUGGUCUUGCACGGUGUGAAUUCGGAUAUUUUUGAGGAACAAUUAAUGUAGAUAUUGAACGUCGAAGGAAAACCAAAAAGGAAAACUGCUAUAAAAUUAUUUUUCGACUCUCUCGUGAAAUCUUUCCUAUUUCAAUACAUUUGAUAAGUGAGUUUUUAAAUUGAUAAGUAGAGCUAUCAAAGGUAAAAUGACAAGUAUUAAUUAAUUAAUUAAUGAUAAUGUGUAUGAAUUUUCAAAAAAUGAACAAGAAGGGAAUCCAAUGGUAAAAAGAGAAAUGAAUGGAAUGUGUCACUGGACAUGAGGAGUGUAAAGGCACGCUUGAUGUUUACCAUUUAACACAAUUGGGACCCAACUGCUCUCCGAUAUGUUCACAUCAUUACUAUUACUAUCCAAACAUAUUUUGUUUCUUUAGGUCAACCAUCUUACUUUCUUCAUUUCAAUUUUUCUUAGCAACAAAACAUCACACUAUGGUCCCGCCAUUGGAAUUUGGAUUGAACAAAAAGCGAUUACUAUAACCAUACAUGAUCCAACACCUAAGAAUGUAAAUCAUGAAAAUACUUUUCUCUUUACUAAAGAUUUCAGGUCCAAGCAUUGAGUAUAGAGAAGUCCUUGUUAGGAGCACUAUUCCUGAAUGGAGCCAUAUAUAUUUAGAGUGAAUUCAGAUUAGUCAGACUCUAAUGAAAGUACCGAAUAUCGAUAGAAAUCCCAAAUUUUUUAAAAGAAAAUUAUGAAGAUUAAUUAAGUUCAAAUCUUGGUAAAUUGUUAGGCAAAUGCUUCUUGUCUAUAAAUCAAGGUGUGCAACCACGUUAAUGAAAAAAAAAAAUACACAUGCCCCUGUGGUGUUUCCUAGUAGUCUCAAACUAUGUUUUGAAUAACUUAUUGCAUUAAACUCACUGUUUUGCAACGAAAAUGAAGAGAUUUCGAUACUGGCAAGUGAAUUACCAUUUACUGAAGAGUUGAAUGAGUAAUAUACAUCAGCAGAAAAAACAUUUCAUAGAAUUUUUCAUUUGAAAAGUUAUAUUAAGGUAAAAAUAAAUAUAAAAUAUAGGGAGUAUAUCUUUCUUUAAAAAACUGGGAUGGGGGAUUGUUCUCUGAUUUGUUCAAAUUUUAACUGGUGGUGAAUGGUUAUGGUCAAGGGCUCAAGGCAAUAAACAGAUUAAUACCCAUCAAAAUGAGUCAUAAAAUUGACCCUCCUCUCUAGUGUAAAUCAUGAAUAUAACAUCUCCCACAAAUAAAACAACAAAAUAAAGAAAAUUCUGUCGAGAAAAAUUACUCAUGAUUAUGUAAAAUUAUGUUUCUGGGAAGCAAGCAAGCAAACAUUAGGUUCACCACUUUGCUUGUACCAAAAGAAGUUUGUCACGGACACAGCUUACAACUAAAGACAAAUUGGCUUAUACACCUUUAGUAAGUUGAAGCCCAUUUAUGUCACUUUAGAGACAAUUAGCUGUAUUAACACACUUUAAAGAAGAAAAGAAUAGAUAAUGACACUUUCAGAAAACAGCUGAACUAUCAUAUUGCCAGGAUAAUAUAGGAAAGAACAACUCUUCGAGUAUAUAUUAAGCCAUUGCUGCUGUACCCAAAAAUUGAAUAAAUAUGUAAUUACAUUAUUCCUCAAAAGCCUUAUAAAUUUAUGUUCUUCAACAUCUAUAGGGACUGCAAAACUAAUGCCACCAGCUUCUUCCAGACAGAGAGAUAAGCUGCAAGAUUGGAGGAAAACAAGAUAGCCAUGAAUUUCAGACAUGAUUAUGCUUUAAUACAUGAAAGCAAUCGUGUAGAUAUGGGUAAGAAUUGAACUACCAGUUCAAACAAUGCUAUUGUCAGCAGCUGAGAAGAUCUCUGACUAUUUCAACUAAUUGGUUCUUUCAUUUUAAACAUAGAACUUCCCUUGAGAAAUUCAAGUACGCAUCAGUUCUAUGUAACUGCUGUUAUUUUCUAUAUUAUAUAAAUAUGAUUACAAAAUUAUUUGGAAAUAAAUGGUAAAAUUCAAGAAAGCACUACUACUUCCAAAAUCACAUGCCUCUGUUAACUUACACCGGCUAUUGGGAUUUGGGAUGUUGAAAUCUCAACUUAUCUUAGUUGUGACAUCAGAACACAGUAUAAACUUUAAGCGCCAUUCAUGAUAGAGCAAAUAAUGCAGAAUCUAUAAAUUAUUGAGUUGUAUACAAUAACUAACCUGAUGAGCAACCUGGACCAAAUGUUUACUUCUUAAAGGCGAAUCUUUCAACGCUUCUGAAUCCUGCAAUCUUGGAUCAAUGUUUUCAAUCUCUACAGACUUUUUUUUCACUAAGCAGUCUGGAGAAGAGUUCUCAUUUGGGUUCGACAAGUUAUCUUUCUUACGCUUCCUGCUGAACAUAUACUUGAGAGGCGUCAUAUUGUUACCUUGAAGAUUUGAUUCAUUACUUCCUUCAGAUGCUUUGGUGUCUCCAAAAAUAGAUUCAACUGGUAACACGCCAAAGUUAAGCAGCGGUUGACCAUCACCCUCCUCUACCAUCACUGAGACAUCUACCAAUUCUGCGUCCUCCUUGUGUGCAUCAUUAUCUGUACGUGCAAACUUUCUAUGUUUCUUGUUUUCUACAGUGAAACCUGAGGAUGCCCCUUGAAAACCAGUACCCUCUUCAAUACCACCUUCACCUCCUAAUUUCGUGGAUUUGACAGUGCAUUCAGCUGCAUUGGACUUGCUAUUAGGAAAUGAUGAACAUUGCAGACCAGGUCUCAUUGGCUGAUUAGAAAGGGAGCUAUGUGACAAUGAUGGAGGGAAAUUAACGUCUAGGUAUUUGACACGUCUUUUCCUAAUGCUUCUACGAGCAACAGCAACAGUUAAGCCCUUGUUUUGUGGCCCUUCUUUACCUGACACAAAAGAACUUCCUGCUACAUUAUUUUUCUCAGUAUUGAUGGAAGGACAAUUAGGACUGUCAUACAAAGUGUCUGUAUGCAAGUAUCUUGCAGAACAACGGGAAAUUGCUGGCAAUGGUCGUUGAGAAAACAUGAGCUUAUUAGAACGAGCCUUGCAAGAGCUAUUUUUGGUUUUGCCAUUUCGAGCUUUUCUUCUCCUUUUCCCUAGGAUUGUAUAUGGCCCCUGCAUAGUGGCAAUGCCCUUAAGUGGUUCUUCGCCAACUAAAUUCUCUGCUUUUAUAGCUUUAGAUGAUGGUAGAAUACGUGCUUCACCAUCUCGUCCACUAGGUUCAGUGACCUGUGUAACUUUAAUAGGAAAACUUGGAUCAUCUCCAGAAUGCAAUCUAUCGUCUGCUAAGCUCAUCGCUGUUGCAGACCAUCCAUUUCUAUAAAUCUCUGGCUCAUUAAGGUUGUCCUUUGAGUAAUUGCACAAUGCUGUGUCUGACAUGUCUGCUGAUUUGCAGACCUUGGAUCCCAAUUCAGUAGGGAAUUUUAACGACUCUGAAUUAUUUACAUUUGACUUGGCCAUGAUACUUUUGCGACAAUUCAAAACCUCUUUAGCAUGUGGUCUCAGGUGAUGGAGAGGCUUAUUUUUUGCUUCAUUCAACUGCUCGUGCACAUCAUGCAAUUCUGCUCUAAGAUCAAUUAUCAGCCCUUCAGCUUCAUUAAGCUGAGCUUCUAAUUCAUCAAUUCUUCUUUGCUGAUUUUGAGACAAACUUUCAGCUUCAGCUGUCUGCAUUAAGGGUUACACAUAUCAGUUUCUUUAAACUGUGAGAUAUGGGAAUCAACAUCCUCUAUCAUAUCAUUCAUGUAAAAUCACUCCCAGAAUACAAAACCAAUAGACAGAAAUGUAUGUACUAUAAUUAUUUCACCAAAAUGGGGUUCACUUAAUCCGAAAGGGAACCUCUUGCCAUGCUGAUCUAGUCUCCAAUUUCUGAAGGGAAGAAGCAUUGCCCAGCUACAAUAUUAGCACCUCAUAUUUUUAAUUUGUGAUAGAUACUUUUAACAGUUUAACUUCAAGAAUUAUAGAAAAUGGAUUAUAUAUGAACAAGAAUAAGCUUUAAAGUCUUAUCUUGGACACAAUGAUAAGUUUUAAAGUCUUGUAUUGGACACAAUGAAGUCUUUAUAACAUUUACUUCACCUUCCUCUGAUUUUCUUUCAAAUUCAAGCCUAGUUGCCACGCAACUUAAAAUUCUAAUACUUUCGGAAUAAGCAUUGGGAUGCAGCACUCAAUCUGUUCUGAGUUCUGUCCCGUAUAAUACUACAUUCCAACAGAAUUUCUAAAAGUCAUAUCUUUUUAAGGGUGCUAUACGAUCGAGUAAACCUAUCAAUUUUAUAACUGAUGGAAAGAAAAAUAUAUACUAUUACUCUCCUAUAGAUCGAGCUAACCUAACAGAAGAAAACAAUCGUAAUGUUUAUCAAUAAAAGCCUUUGCUCAAGUCAAGCACACCACAUUUAACUUGGAUCCCACCAGUAAAUCAAACCUUAAAACCAAAAAUAUCAAAUGCACUUUUCCAAUUUCUGUAGAUAUAAUAUCUCAAAAAAUUAAGUUCCUUUUCCACAUUAGUUUCCUGACAUUAUUAGUAAUGUUUUUCAUAAUAAUUGCGUUAAAAAUAUACACGAUAAAUAAGUCUUCAAAGCAAACAAAUUUCGAUUAAUCAAACAACUAGGCAGCUUAACAUGAAAAAUCACAAGUUGAAUACUACCUUAGCAUCAAUCAUUAAUUUCAAACGAAGCAGCAUACGAAGGGCUUCCUCUUUUGUAGAAUGCAGAUCCUGCUGAAACUUAAGAGCUUUUUUCUCCGAUUCCAUGACACGAGCUGCCGCCUCCUUUGCCAUGUUCAAAAUUAUUCCCGCAUAUGCUUUCUUCACAACCUCCAUUUUUCUAUAAUAAUCCAAAUUGAUACCAGAUCAAAUUACAAAUAGUUAAAAAAUUAAUAACAAAGGGGAUCGAGAUGUAGUGAUGAAAAAUGUUAAAUAUGUUUGUGUAGCUCAUCCAUGGCGGUUAGCAGUGAAGUGAAAAGGCAAAUAUGGGUGAUUUGGUAUGAAGCGAAUCGACGCUUGCAAUUCUCACUAUUUUAUUUUAUUUUAUUUUUCAGUUACGGGCUGGUAUAUGGUACAAAGUCCAAAAGCGCGCAUAAUAUGAGAAAGUGGGGCCAUCUAAGCGCGUAAUGCUUUUGAAAAUUUUCAAAUUUUGAAUUACUAACUCUCAAAUCCUCCUCCUUAAAAAGUUGGUACAAACCCAUUUAUCCUCCAUUUAAUUAGUUUGAUUUAGCACAAAUUUAAAGAAAUAGAAAGACAUACUUAAAAUUUACAAUCUAAAACAAAUAAUAAAUAUUUAUAUAGUUAUAAAUUAUUUUAUUAUUGAUAAAAAUAAACAUUUUAAAUAAAAUUAUUGUCUGAUAUUAGAAAUAUAUUAUUCCUUUAAACUAACUAAAAAUGAAAGUAAAUCAUAUAAAAUAGAAUAGAAAGACUACUAUCUUUUUUCUUUUUUCUUUUUAUUCCUAUUAGAGAUUUAAAAAUAUAUAGUGAGUUCUUAUAUCAAGUUACAAUUCUGAUCGCUAAUAAUUAAAUAUCAAAUACAUUUAGUACACAUAUUGAGAUUAGAUUAAAUUAUAAUUUACUUUGGAGAAUGUUAUAUCGGAGGUGAAUGCUUUUCUAACAUAAGUGAUCCCAUAUAUAAAAUUCAAACAUGAAAGUUUUAAUUCUUAAUGAGAAUUACUUAACACUUUAUCAUCUUUAGCAGAGUUAUAAUUUUUAUUAAGAGGUCGAGAUAUAAAAAGGUAAACAUACAAAUAAAUCAAAGAGAUUCAAUAUAUAUUAAAUAUGUCCAUAAAAAAAAAUUUACCUUAUAUAAUAUAAUUUUUCGAUAAAAAAAAUUUAGGCGAAAUUCUACACUUGUUAGUUUGGACACUUACUCUUAACUUAUACAUUUGUAUGCAUGUUUUUAAAUUGCAAAUCAUACGUCGUAAUAAUGUUAAAUUUGAAUAUGUUCUCUCUACCAAAUGCGGCUUAUUUCACUACUAGAAACAAAAUAUUUUUCCAAUCAAAAAAUCAAUGAAAAUUUUUCAUUAUCGAACAUUAUUUUUCAUUUAUUUUUUCUUUAAACCAGCUUAUUGGAAAAAUUUUCUUUUUUAAUUUUUUAUAUAAAGAUAUUAUUAUUAUUAUUGUUAUCACUAUUAUUAUUAUUAUUAUUAUUAUUAUUAUUAUUAUAUUUUUUCCCAUGAAACUCAAGGUUGCAUGCUAUAAUUAUUUUAUUUUUUAAAGAAUAAUAACAAAUAUUUGUGUGCUUAUACACAUAUUGCAACCCCAUUUUUAAGCGCAUUCCUGUUGAGUUUAUGAAUAAAAUCUUACUUGUAUUUGAUAUUUUAAAUGGAUUAAAAAAACAUCUUUGUUGCCUCGUGACAUGUUUAUCGUAGUGAACACUUCAUUUAAUAUAUGAUCUAAUAAUUACUUGAAUAUAAACAAAGUAAGAAUGCUAAUACUAAUGUCGAGAAUAAUCACCUAGAAAUCAAGAAAAAACAAAUUACAUAGUAACUUAAUAAGGUGCUUUUAACGUUUUAAAUGUAAUAUACAUAGUAUUAUAAUUUCUAUAGCUUCGAUAGAAUUAUAAUUCACUAUAUCUUAAAAUGAAGUUACUUGUACUAGCAAAACAAAACCAAAAAUACUAUACUCAUUAUGUCUCUGAAAACUUAGCCAUAUUUUACUUAUUUGAUAGUUAAAAUAAAUCUGUCUUAAAGUGAUUGAAGAAGUAUAUAUUAUAGCAAUGACACAUUCAGAAGUAUAAAAGAAAGGAGUUGUAUAUAGUGUCGCUUCGAAAAAUAUGGUCUUGAAAUCUUAAAAAUUUGUAGUUUUUUUUUUAAAAAAAAAAAAUUAAAGCAAUUCGUGCUACAUGCAUGAGCUUCGGAUCACCAAAUAUGAACUGAUACCAUAUGAACCGGAAAAUUUUGGAAUCGCUUACUAAAUUCUAAAGUUCUUUUUUUAGUUUUCCUCUCGAUAUUCAAAGCUCACAUUGAAGCCCUGCUAAAUUUAAACCGCGAACUGCAUAAUUCAUUUAAGAAUGACACUCUUAAAAAUAAAAUAAAUUUAACACCGCACUAUAACUCAUGUCGAUCGACCAAAUUGUUGUUAAUGAGAUGUAAAUCAGUCGUUCUGUUUGAACAAGAACCAAUAAAACAUCUAAUAACGUAAAUUAGGUGAAAAUAAAAUAUAUUUGAAAAUUAGGUGCAGUCCAAUAAAAUAGUCAAACUACAACGUGCAAUAUGUUUUUCAAAAAAUGUUUUUAAUAUUUAAUUAAUUUUGUUCCCAUAAACUAUCUCCAUAUCCUAUCUAAAUUGUGAAAGUAGGUCAAACUGUCACAGCAGAAUUUUAUUUUUUUUUAAAAAGAUAAUGCAGACAUUAGGUGGGGGAAUAUUACAGUACAUAAAUUUGGACCUGAAUGAAGAUUCAGUACAGUAUGGCCCCUCCUUUUUCACCUAUUUUAGCAGCAUGGCCAUAUGGAAUUAGACCACCAUUGGCCAUCAUGAACCAUAACCAUUGAGGCCCGUUUGAUUAUGCGAUACAAUAUUAUAAUAUGGUAUUAUAAUAUGAAAUUAUAUUAUGAUAUAAAUAAAAGUUUUGUUUUGAUAUGUGAAAUGAAAUUUUGAUAUUGUAUAUUUUUCAUAAACAUAAAAAUUUUAUAAGUUUUAAACUAUAAAAAUAGUCCUAAUUGUUUUAUUUAAUAUUAUCAAAUAAAUAAAUAAAAUAUAAAAUCGUAUAAUAAAUUAUUACAAAGUUAUUUAUUCUUUACUUAAGUAAUUGUUUUAUCAAUAUAUUUGAGUAAAAAUGAAACAUCUUUCACGGGUUUUUCAAGAUUUUAUUACUCAACAAUCGUGAAGUGUGAAUUAAAGUGACUAUAUGUUAGUGAAAAUAAUAAAUUUUAUGUUAAUGAGAAUAAUAAAUUUUAAAAAGUAAUGAUUUGAUUAUAAAUUUUAUUUACAUGUGAAAUAAAUGGUUAGUAGAUAUAAAUGUAGGGUUGUUUUAACAAAAUAUAAACUCGUGGAUCAAUUUUUGUAUUAAAAUAACUCAAAUCAUGAUAUUGUAUUUCCAUAUGAUUUCAUAUCAUGAUUUUUGAAGAAUAUGAUAUCACAUCUUGUGAUAUGAAAUCAUGAGAUGGAAUCAGAAUAAAAUCACAUAUCCAAACGCUGAUUCCAUCUUACGAUACGCUAUUGUAAUAUGGUUUCACAUGGACAAACGCCUACUAAUGCUUCAUAUCAACUUGACUUAUCGCCAGUGUUUUAAUCAACGAUUCAUCAUGUUCUAUUCUGAAAUUAUAAUUUUUUAAUUUAUUUUUAGAGUGAAAAUUAUAUUUUGAACAUAUAAGUUGUGUUUUGUCAAAAUGAAGUUGUUUUUGAUUUAUUUUUUUUUUGAGAAAUUUGUAGUGCGCAAGUUAAAUACCUUUUUGUUAUUUUUUCAAAUUCUUAAAUAUUUAAUUGAGUUCCAAAAUUUUAUCAAACAUAUUUACAAAAUUUUACAAAUAUUAUCAUGUUUAUAUUUAAUAGUUGUAAUUAUAUUUGAACUAUGUUUUCUAGGAGAAAAUUACCUUUUCAGCUUCUGAAAGUCAGUUUCUAUUAUAACUCAGAGGUAUUAGUGUAUUGAUUAGACUAUUAAUUGGCUAACUCUCAAUAACUAACUAUCUCAUCAGACUAAUUUAAAUAAAGGUUUAAUUAAGGUGCUUGACCAAGUUAUAUAUAUAUAUGAAAAUAUAGUUCAGACACUCUUAAAUCAAAUUUAAAAUCAGAAAUAACAAUUUAGCUAGUGUUUGGUUAUGGAUUUUCAAAUAUUUUUUGAUAAAUAUUAUUUAGGUGAAAUUUUACCCUGUAUUUGGCUAUAGUAUUUGAAAAAUUCAUUUCACAUUUUUUUAAAAAAUGAGUUAUAUCCAUAACUUUUAAAAACUAUUAAACUAAUCAUAAGUGAGUAUACAAGUCAAUUAGAUCUUUGUUGCAACAAAAAACAAAUAGUGUCCAUGAUACUGGAGCAAACGUGUUAGUUUGGAGUGAGUGCAAAUCAUUCAUACAUCGUGACAAAACACAUGGAGAGAAUACUAUAGAGGGUGUUUUUCUAAAAAAUAAUAUAAAAUUUUAAUUUUUAAAAGAUCCUAAAUAAUGAGUAUGACACAAAUACUAAAAAAGACUAGUAUUUAAGAAUUUACCAAAAUAUUUAUUAAAUAAUGACAAAUCUAUGAAUAAAUACUAUUUGUCUAAAAAUUUUCAAAUUUUACUUAAAAAAAUCUAUGACUAAACAGGUACUUCGCGUAAGUUUACACAUGUAUCACCUUUGUCUUUGUGGAAUAAAGUGGCCGAUUGGGUAUUUAAGGCUCAGCCAUAUAAGAUGUUAUAAAAGGAAUAUUUAACUUAGAAAUAUUAACUUUUUUAAAAAUUUAACACAAACAAUUUAAAAGUAAAUAAAAUUGUUAAAAAUUAUUAUCUUUAAAUAUGUAUAUCAAAAUGCUUUCCAACUUGUGCUUUGCAUAUGUUAUUAAAAUUACUUAAAAGAAAGUAACACGAAUAAAUUAAUAUGAAAAAAAAAUAUAAAUUUUUACUAUAUAAGAUAAGCAUGGUUUAUUAGACUAAACUUUAGUAUAUCAAACAUGGAUGCUUUCAAAAGAUUUGUCAAAAGUUGCUUCAUUAAGCGAACCUUUUUUUUUUUUUUGUAUAUUCAAAGAUAGUUUUAAGUCAUUGGCAUUUUGUAUUUGUUCUUAUUUAUGCAUUAAAAUAAUUUGUUAGUACCUUCUAAAGGCUCCACUGAAUACUUGUAAAAUAACAGACUGGGUUUUCAUUUGUCAAGUCAAAUGCCUCACCAGUCUUCAUCUUCCUUAUUUCCUAUCUGUUUCUCUUGCGCAUAUUAUCAAACAGCUUGUGCCAAUUACCCAAAACUGCUGUUGAAUCCCUAAACCCCAGCCAACCGAUGGCUCGUUUCAGAUUUCUCCUUUCGCUAGUGUUGAUUCUGAUUCCACUUCUUCUUCCGCUCCUUGAUGCUGCUGUAGCUGAAGAUGAUCUCAAGUGUUUAGAAGGAUUCAAGAAGUCUUUGGAAGAUCCAGAUGGGAAUCUGAAUUCAUGGAACUUUAAAAAUACUACUAUCGGAGCUAUCUGUAAAUUUGUGGGUGUUACUUGCUGGAAUGACAACGAAAAUCGCAUCAACAGCCUCUCUCUUCCGGCUAUGAACCUCGGAGGGAAGGUUACGGAGCCUGUACAGUAUUGUGCCAGCUUGACAGCCCUUGAUCUCUCUGGUAAUAGCUUUUCUGGUCCAAUUCCUUCUCAAAUUUGUACUUGGCUACCUUAUUUGGUAACCCUAGACUUGUCCGGUAACGAUUACUCCGGUCCUAUCCCUGCCGAUCUUGCUAAAUGCACUUUUUUGAAUAAAUUAUCGCUCAGUGAUAACAAGCUUACUGGAAAUAUUCCUCCUGAAUUUUCUAGUUUAAGUAGGCUUAAUAGUUUUUCUGUGGCAAAUAAUCAACUCUCCGGUAGAAUCCCCGCAGCUUUCGAUUCGUCUAAGUUUAAUUUUGAAGGAAAUAGUCUCUGUGGUGGACCUUUGGGGAAAUGUGGAGGUCUAAGUAAGAAAAGCUUAGCUAUUAUUAUUGCAGCAGGAGUCUUUGGUGCUGCUGCUUCUAUGUUGUUGGCUUUUGGUGCGUGGUAUUGGUUUUUUACCAAAGCUGGAAAGAGGAAGAGAGGGUAUGGAGUUGGGAGAGACGACUCUGAUAGUUGGGCUGAUAAACUGAGGGCUCACAAGCUCACUCAGGUUAUGUUGUUCCAGAAACCGCUCGUCAAGGUUAAAUUAGCUGAUUUGUUGAUUGCCACAAAUGGUUUCAGGACGGACAAUGUUAUCAACUCAACUAGAAUGGGUACUACUUAUAAUGCUGUGUUACGUGAUGGUUCUGCACUUGCCAUUAAGCGGCUUAAUACUUGCAAACUGAGCGAGAAACACUUUCGUGAUGAGAUGUAUAGGCUAGGACAACUUAGACAUCCUAAUCUGGUGCCACUGUUGGGGUUUUGUGUUGUUGAAGAGGAGAAGCUUUUGGUUUAUAAACACCUGUCAAAUGGUACUUUGCACUCAUUCUUAAAUGGGAAUGCAAGUGAACUGGAUUGGCCUACUCGCUUUAGAAUUGGUUUGGGUGCUGCUAGGGGCCUUGCUUGGUUACAUCAUGGUGUUCACCCACCUAUCUUGCACCAAAACAUAUGUUCUAAUGUUAUUUUCCUCGAUGAAGACUUUGAUGCUAGAGUAAUGGAUUUUGGGCUGGCAAGAUUGAUGACGUCAGAUGCAAAAGAGUCUAGUUAUGUGAAUGGGGAGUUGGGUGAAUUUGGCUAUGUAGCUCCAGAAUACUCUAGCACAAUGGUGCCUUCACUGAAAGGGGAUGCUUAUAGUUUUGGGGUAGUGCUUUUGGAGUUGGCUACUGGACAAAAACCUCUUGAAGUUACUGCUGGUGAAGAGGGAUUCAAGGGUAAUUUGGUAGACUGGAUGAAUCAGCUCUCUGCUUCGGGUCGCAUUAAAGAUGCAAUUGACCAGAACAUGCGUGGGAAGGGGCAUGAUGAAGAGAUUGUGCAGUUCCUAAAAGUUGCUUGUAAUUCUGUGGUUUCUCGGCCCAAUGAUAGGUGGUCUAUGUAUCAGGUUUAUGAAGCACUUAAGAGCAUGGCUGAAAAACAGGGUUUCUCUGAACAGUAUGACGAAUUCCCGUUACUAUUUGGCAAAGAAGGUACUAUUAGAAGCCCUGUUUGAAGCCGGAAUUGCGAAAUUAUUACUAAAUGUUCACUCCAAAUGAACAUGAUGCAUCCUGUUGUAAGUUUUCAGUUCCUAUUGGUGUAAGUGGCAUGGCACUGUUUUGAUUGGCUCAGAAGUACACCCUUUAAAUAUUUCUGUAUUAUAUUUGCAAAAUGCACAAAUCAUUCUCAAGUAUUUGCUUGCUUGAUAUUUGUAGUAUAGGAAGCUGAUAAUUAUUGUUCAUGUUUGUGAUUACCGUUGCCUAUAGCAUUAGAUGUUAUGUAUUCAAAGGAUUCUCAACUGAACGUCUCUUUUAUUGGAAACUGGUCUAUAUUACUAUUUACUGAUUGUCUAGCUCUUGUUUGGAAGCCAAUGGGGACGUUUGCUUAUUAGUGUUGCAUGUAUGCCUUUUUUCAUUUGUUUGUUGAUCACAACUAGUUCUGUAUGCCAAAAUAUCGGAUCAAACUGACUGAAAGAUCUGACAUCUGAUUGGUUUGAUUUGAGAAAAAAAUCAAGCCAAACUUUGACGAAUAAAUGUGUUGUAUGUGUAUAUGUUUAUUAGCAAAUAUCAUAUAGCUUCUCUCUUGAAAAUUUUCAACAUCCUUGUUUGGAAUGUGUAAUAUAUUCAUUAUAGAUGAUCCAUUUCGGUCUGUUUGAAUGUUUCAUUAUAUGGUCACUUUGUUAUCAUGUAUUUGUUGAAAUGAAUCAACAUUCCUUGUUCUUCCAUUUUACAAGCCAAGUUUCAUCAAGGUCUCAAGUUGAGUUUUGUAUUCUCUAUUGAUGUUUAUAUUAGUCAUUUCUUAGUGUUUAACUAUUCAAAAUCUGUCUAACGUAAAAGCAUAUAUGAAUAUGACGUAUGGUGUUAGCCAGUAAAAGCAUCGAUCUGCCGAGGAAUAAGCUAUGAGGAAACUGCAGUCACUUUCAGAAUUCCUGGUUUUUUCGUCUUGACACCUCCAUUUCGGCUUUUCGAGGGACGAUUAACAUGCACCACAUCUAGGUAAGCAACAUCUAUAAGAAGAUAUCUCGAAUAGAAUUGAGUUGGUCAUUGGACAUCCCACGUCCAUAGUGAUUUCCAAGGUAGAGCAGCUUUCUUUUGUUUGACUGAUGGCCUGGGUUCCACAAACACAAAUCACACGUGUUACAAAAUACCUUUCAGCUCUAGCUUCCAUUAAAUUUAUUGACCAAAUGGCAUCCACGCUAUCAAGGAAGUUUAUACAUAGAAACUUAUUCCAUCAAUAUUUGUGUUUUUCCACAUAGUGUAGGAGAGAGCAGAAAAGGGACAACCAAUUAGGUUAUUAAAAUUGACCUCGUGGAUUUGAAAUGUGGAUUAUGGACUCUUUAGGGGUCGUUUGGUAUCUAAACAAGUUCAACACAUGCAUGUGCAAUCGCUCUAUGAGAGUCUGCCUGAGUCGUGCAGCCCCAAGUAACACCUAAUUUAGUGUAGCAACUGGGUUCAGCCUUCUUUUUGCUCUAAGAGUCUCUAGUUUGUUACCUUCUAUGAUUGAUCUUUCAGAUUUAAACAUUGAGGAUAAAAUUUAAUAAUUGCAGUUUAGUAGACAUCAUACCUGGCUAAAAAGGUAAAACUUUUGUCUCGUGCAGGAGCUUUGCUUUAUAAAGUUACUUUUGUCUUGAAGAAAAAUUAAUUUCAUUCAAACCAGAAAGCAAAAAGCUUUCUCCUUUGAACCGUCAAAAGUUCCUACAUAAUAAAUCAUUCAACAAAAUUCCCCUAAAGUAAUUAAUAUUUCUGUAGAUCUUUUACAGUGUCGCAAUCAUAGAUUAAAUAAGACUACCUAACAUAAUAAAGAAGAAAAAAAGUGAAUAGCUUUUACAUUCAAAUCACAUCCUUCUUUCAUCAGUCAUGAAAAGUUUUGCUGCCAAUCUACUUUCUCAUUGCUUAGAAUUCCAUUCAUGUGAUCUCAAACAUCAUCGGUACAUCAGAAAUAUGAAACAAUAUAUAAAUUUGAAAACUACAUAAAGGGUAUAUAUACUAGUUAAUAAUUCAAAAUAUUUAAGAAAAUCGUACUCGUUUUCACUGCAAUGUCUGUUGUAAAUAUGAUACUUUCAAGUGUCUUCCUAAACUCAAGCUCGACUGGGUGGCACUCUAUACUCUCCUACUUUCCUGAAAUCCAAGUAACAUCAACUUUAUUAACUAUAAAGUUUGUUCUCUUGAAAAUAAAAAAGAUGGUAUGGUAUAUGUAGUUAUAAAUAUACCUGUUGUGAAUGGCAUUUGGUCCAGUAGGCACUCUUCUUUUGCUCACAUAAUUGAUAUUUGGAUUUCUUUGAAGAUAUUGCUUCUCAGCUUCUAUUAGUACAUGUUUGAUUGCUCCAGCACUUACAUUUUUGGUGGCAGCCCUAGUUCCCUUCCCUGCUUUCCUGAAUAACAAGUAUAUAAUUACAUACAAGAAUUUGACUUAUAUACACUCGCACAGUCCCAUUUUAAGUCAUCUAAAUGUAACUAUACACUUUUUAACGCUAUCAGAUCAUUGAAAAGAUUAUUACAUGCAAUUGUUGUCUAUAGUAUAUGUAUGAGAUUACAAGACUUGGAGAAUAAGGGAGAUCACAUCGUGUUUACCUGUUUGGAGUGCCAUUGAUUUGAAUUCUUUUGUUCACAUAAUUGAGAUCCUUUUGAAGAUCAUACCUUUCUGUUUGUGUUAUCUUCCAAAAAUCUAAACGAUCGAUCGUCGCAGCAGUGAUUUUUUUAGUUUCCUGAUUGACUAAAAUACCAUGCAAAAUGAGCCACAGUAAACUAAGUAAAACAAGAGCACCCAAGAAAGCCUUCAUACCACCCAUAUAUAACUUUAUGUUUUUCCUUUUUUUGGUACUAAUUGGAUAUUUGACCUGCAAUACCCAUUUGUUAUCUAGCUGCAGAUUACUUCAUUAAGUAAUUUGGAGCAGUUUAUACUUUAUAGACAUGAUAACAGAAGAAUAUAUAGGCAUAUUUUAUGUUGCUCUAAUCCCUUUUUAUGAAAGACUUCUCUUGGACUUCGGUUGAAUAUUUAAUAUGGGAAAAGUUAAAGUUUGUUAAUGUCCAAAAGCCAAAAAAGGAGGGAGGGGGGCGGGGUGAUAAAGGCGAAUUCAGAAUUUAAAUAGGUUUUCGCGUUGAGCCCUUUGAAUCUCUUAAACGAAAAAGGGCCAAAAAUACUUCUAAAAUAUGCGAAAAUGUUUAAAUAAUAUACCCCUAUACUAUGCAGAAAUGUUUAAAAAUUGUGAAAGCUUAAUGUUUAAGCUUGAGAAACACCAUUAAUGGUGGACAAUGAAAGAAUGAAAACGAUGCUAAGAGAGAAAGCAAUCUCAGAUUUCAUAUGUUGAGCAAAACUAUCUCACGUGAAUACAAUGCUUAAGCCAUAUAUAUACACACACUACACACUUCUAGAUCCUAACAGAAUUUGAAACUAACUCUAACAGAUUGAAUAACUAACUAAUAAUAUAACUAACUUCACUUCAUGCAUUCUGUAAUUCUAAGUCUCAAUACCCCCCCUCAAGUUGGAAGUGAGGGAGCAGCCACAGACAACUUGGACAGAACAUUGGAGUGUUUGAUUCCUGGUAGAGCUUUGGUUAGGAUGUCAGCCAACUGUUGAUCAGUAUGUACAUAGUGGAGAGUGAUGAGCCCUUCUUGAAGUUUAGUCCUGACGAAAUGGCAAUCAAUCUCAAUGUGCUUAGUACGCUCAUGGAAAACUGAAUUUCGAGCAAUGUGUAAUGCAGACUGGCUAUCACAAAACACUGAAAAAGAACCUGUAGAAGGGAUGGUUAAUUCAUUGAACAACCUCUGUAACCAGACUAAUUCACCAACAAGCUUCCUAAGAGAUCUGUAUUCAGCCUCAGCAGAAGAUAAGGAGAUGGUUUCUUGCUUCUUAGACUUCCAACUCACAGGACAAUCACCAAGUAAAACUAGAUAUCCAGUAACAGAUUUUCUAGAAUCUGGACAGGAAGCCCAAUCAGAGUCGCAAAAGGAACGAACAGUGUAAUCAGCUGAGUUAGACAUGAAGAUUCCCAAUGUAGGAUCUUGUUUAAGAUACCUCAACAGAUGAAAUGCUGCUUUCAAAUGUGGUUCGCGAGGUGCAUGCAUAAACUGGCUAAGAUGUUGAACACCAUAAGCAAUGUCAAGUCUUGUGUUUGUGAGAAAAUUCAGCUUUCCAAUAAGUUUUUGAUAAUAUGCAGGGUCUGAGAGUAAAGAACCAUCAUCAGCUCUUAAUUUGAUCAGGGGAUCAAGAGGUGAAGAUAGGGGAGUAAGCUGAGCACAAUUAUACUCCUUAAGUAGAUCGAGUGCAAACUUUCGUUGAGAUACAAAAAUACCAUCAUGUGUAUACAGAACCUCCAAGCGCUUUCCUAGGUCUUUAAUUUUGAAUGUAUAAUGAAGAAAAGACUUUAAGUCAUUAAUUUCGACUAAGUCAGUCCCAGUGAGCAAUACAUCAUCCACAUAAAUAGCCACAAAUACAAUGGAGGUUCUUGAUUUCUUGUAGAACAAAGAGUAAUCAUUCAUAGAGUGAGUAUAACCUCUAGAGUUGAGAGCAUCAGUCAGUUUUGCAUACCAUUGUCUGCUAGCUUGUUUAAGUCCAUACAAGGAUUUAUUCAACUUGCAAACAAGCCUAGAUUGACCAGUUCCUACACCUUCAGUAAUAGCCAAACCUUGGGGAAUGUCCAUAUAAACUUCUUCAUGUAAGUCUCCAUGGAGAAAUGCAUUAUUAACAUCUAAUUGAAAAAUAUCCCAAUGUUUCUUAGCUGCAGUGGCAAGUAAAGUUCUCACUGUUGUCAUCUUUACGACUGGGGAAAAUGUUUCAUUAUAAUCAACCCCUGCAUGUUGUGUAUAGCCCUUCACUACCAGCCUUUCUUUUAGCCUCUCUACACUACCAUCUGCUCUAUGUUUUAUCUUGUACACCCAUUUACAUCCAAUAGGUUUCUUGCCAGGGGGUAGAGGUACCAGAUCCCAUGUAUGAUUGUCAUGCAGUGCUAAGAACUCAUUUGUCAUAGUUGUUUGCCAGCCAGGAUUCAUUGUUGCUUCUUCAUAAGAUGAGGGCUCACAAUCACAAGAUAUAUUCAUUACAAAAGACUGACUAGUAGGCAAUAAAUCCUUAGGAGCAACAUGACUAGUGUGCUGAGAAGGGACACAAAGAGAACUGGAUGAUGGUGCAUAGUGAAUAAAAUCUUUCAAGGAUGAUGGUGUUUUAUGAACUCUAGAGGAUUUUCUGAGAACAGGUUGUGUAUUUGUGGGUGGUGAUGUAGAAGUAUGCACAGGAGAUGUAGAACUAGACAUAGAGUUGUUAUCAUGAUUAGUAGGACAUGAAGGAGUUGUAGAAGAGCUAUCAGGAAUGAUAGUUGGAGCAGUUUCUUGUUGAGAAUCAUCAGGAAUGUUGGAAUAAUAGAAAGGAAAUGAAGGAAAUGAAGCAGUAUCAGUUGUCAAGGAAAAAGGAAAGACUGUCUCAUGAAACACUACAUCCCUUGAUAUAUGGAUUUUCUUAGUGGCUAAAUUCAAUACUUUAUACCCUUUGGUAUUAGGUGGAUAUCCUACAAAGACAUGAGGACUUGUCUUUGGAUCAAAUUUGGUUCUGUGGACCUUUGGUGUGGUAGGAUAGCAUAAACAACCAAAGCUUCUUAAGUGAGAAUAAGAAGGUACUACUUGAUGUAACACUUCAAUAGAAGAUUUAUUGUGAAGAAUUGGUGAAGGGAGUCUGUUUACUAUAUAAGUUGCUGUUAGGAUACACUCACCCCAAUACUUGAUUGGUAGUUUGGAUUGAAAUAACAAGGCCCUAGCAGUUUCAAGAAGGUAUUUAUGCUUCCUUUCUACAACACCAUUUUGUUGUGGUGUGUGUGGGCAAGACUUUUGAUGUAUAAUUCCUUUUGACUGAAAGAAUGAACUUGCCUCAUUGUUGGAGAAUUCCAGACCAUUGUCUGAUCUAAUGAUCUUGAUUGUAGUGUGAAAUUGGGUUUCAAUCAUGAGUACAAAAGCUUGGAUUACACUAAGGGCAUUACUUUUGCAACUUAACAGAUGUGUCCAGGUUGCCCUACUGUGAUCAUCAACUAAGGUAAGAAAGUAUUUGUAGUUAUCAUGUGUUUUGAUAUGAUAUGGUCCCCAGAGAUCUAUAUGCAUUAGAUCAAAACAAUUUGGUGAAGUAGUGGUGCUAUUGGAAAAUGGUAGCCUAGACUGCCUAGCCAUAGGACAAAUUGGACAAAGGAAAGGUUGCUUUGGUGAAAAUUUUACAGGUAUAGAGGUUAAUUUCUUCAUUUUUAUGAAAGGAACAUGUCCUAAUCUAUAAUGCCAUAACAGGUCUGUAGUAUUUUCAUGAGACAUAAAAGGAUUAACAACAGAAUUAGCAUGAGACACAGAAGAAUUGGAAAUGUUAUUUCUAUUAUCUUCAAACAACUUUGUUACAUCAGAAGUGCAAGAAUGGGAAUGAGAACAAAGGUUUUUAUUUUCUGUAAAGAAACAAGGAAUAGAAGAAUUUUUCUUUUGCAGACAUUGAGAACAUAGUAGAUACAAACCAUCAUGUAUUCUACCAAUUUCCAGAGGCCUCCUCAGUGAAGGGGCCUGCAAUAGACAUAAAGAAUUAGUAAAGAAUGCAGUACAUUUGAGGUGAUCUGUCAAGGCACUGAUAGAGAUAAGAUUGUAAUGAAAGGUAGGUAUGAAAAGUACAUUGUUGAGUGUGAUCCCAGAAGUCAAUAUUGUUUCUCCUACUUGUGUUACCUUAACUUUGUAUCCAUUAGGUAAGUUUACAAGUAUAGGAUAUAGUAUUGUGAUAAUUUUGGAGAGGUAACUCUUAUCAAAAGUAAUAUGAUGUGUUGCUCCAGAAUCUAGUAUCCACAAGUUAGUUUUUGUUUUGAAACAACCACAUGAGUGUUUGCCAUGAUCAAUUGAAGAAUUACAAGCAAUUAUACCUGCAAAGUUGGCAGCAGCUCCAGCAGCUCCAUUGUGAGAUGAUGUUGAUGCAGAUGUAGUGAAAGGAUCCUUCAUAUUUCCUCCUCCUCCUUGGAAGGUUUGUAGCAAGUUGAUCAAGUGAGUGUAUUGUUCUGUUGACAGGUUAUUUAGAGAUCCAUUUUGAGAAGAAAUAUCUUCUCUUUCGCUCGAGCAUUCUCCAUGAACAUUUGCUGCAGUUCCUCUUCCCUUAUACUUUCUGUAACUUGGAGUAAAGUUUGAGUUGGAGGUACCAGAUCCUGGACUAGGAGAUGGCUUCUCAGGGUAACCAUGUAACUCGUAACACUUAUCUUUUAUAUGUCCCAAUCUCCUACAAUAUUCACAGAAAGGUCUUGUUCCUCUUCUCCCAGUGUUUUGUGUGUAGUUAGUCUGGAAGCCUCGUCCACCUGAGUUGCCGCCAUUUUGUCGUGACUGUCCAAUUGAAGAGCUAGCACACAUUGAAGGUGGAUCUGCGAAAAAUUGGUUGUUAGGCUUAAAUUCUCGCUGCUUCUCCUCCUGAAUUAGGAGAGCAAAUGCUUGACCCAUGGAAGGUAAUGGUUUCAUCAUGAGUAUGCUGCCGCGAAUGAUGGUAUAUGCUUCAUUAAGCCCCAUGAGGAAUUGAAUUAAUCGUCUAUCAUGUUCUGCUUUGUAUACAGUAUCCUUGGCACCACAAGUGCAUAAACAAUUGCACUGAUUCUUUACACACAAGUUGUUCAGUUCCUCCCAAAGUUUCUUCAUCUUGGUGUAGUAGGAAGUGAUAUCUAGAGAUCUCUGACUUAGAUCGUUAAUCUCCUUCUGGAUCUGAUAUAAUCUUGCACCAUUUGUUUGAUCAUAUCGAUCCUUUAGUUCACUCCACAAUUCCAGUGAAUCGAAAACGUAUUCAACACUAUCAGCAAUGUCCUUGCUUAGAGAGUUGAGGAUCCAUGAAGUAACCAUGGCAUCACAUCUUUCCCAUUGGCGAUAAUUUGGAGAAGUUGAUGAUGGUUUCAAGCACUCUCCAUUGAUGAAGCCCAACUUAUUCUUUACUGACAAGGAACGAAGAACACCUCGCUUCCAUGAGCUAAAACCUAUUCCAUCGAAAGGAACAGGUACCAACACUGCACCUGCACUAUCAGAAGGAUGAAUAUACAGCUGACCUCCCACAUCAAAAGAAGGAGGAGGAGGAACAGAGGAAUCAACAUUUGUUUCAAUUACUUCAACCAUUAUGAGAGUUGUGAAGAUCAGAAGCUAGAUCAAGACAAAAUACAACCAAUGGAUUGAACACGAAGAUAGAAACAGAUCACGAUUUGAAGAAGAAGAAUUCUGUGAAUUGAAACUUGAUCGAGAUAAGAACACGAAGGCAAGAACAGAUCACAAUUCAUCGUGGCUCUGAUACCAUGUGAAAGCUUAAUGUUUAAGCUUGAGAAACACCAUUAAUGGUGGACAAUGAAAGAAUGAAAACGAUGCUAAGAGAGAAAGCAAUCUCAGAUUUCAUAUGUUGAGCAAAACUAUCUCACGUGAAUACAAUGCUUAAGCCAUAUAUAUACACACACUACACACUUCUAGAUCCUAACAGAAUUUGAAACUAACUCUAACAGAUUGAAUAACUAACUAAUAAUAUAACUAACUUCACUUCAUGCAUUCUGUAAUUCUAAGUCUCAAUAAAAAUACCCCUCGGUUAUUUUUUUGGUCCAAUAUUAUCCUUUAAACUAAUAUUUUUUAAUUAUUAUAUCUAUUAUUUAUUACGUAACGUCUUUCUAUUGGAUAAAAUUAAAUUCCAACACACCAAAUUUUGGGAUCUCCUGCCCACCCAACCCACAUUGACAUUCUUUUACCCAAAUCCAAUUAAAAGAUUUUUUUUGUUAUUUUUUAUUCUUUUACCCAAAUCCAAUUAAAAGAUCUUUUUUAUUUUUGAUGGAUCUUUUAAUUGGGUUUGGAUCAAGGAGUGUCAAUAUGGCUCAGGUGAGUAAGAGAAAGUUUAGUGGGUUGAAAUUUAACUUUAUCCAAUAAGAAAAUGUCAUGUAAUAAUUAUUAUAUAUAAUAAUUAAUAAAAUAUGAUGUUAGUUUAAAGAGUAGUAUUGGACCAAAAAAGUUCCUUAUUUCUAUAUUGUUUAUUUGAUUUUUACUUUGACAUAAAACUUAAGAAAAUAAAAAUAUUUUUUAAAAAAUAAGACAAAAAAACAAGGAAACUGAAAAGACCUAUGAUUAUGGAUGACAAAAGAUUUGCCACCGCACUGCAACUCUUAUUGGUACGCCAUCCGAAAUCUUAUCAUAGCUAGACGUUAACAUAAAUUAAAUAAAAUAUAAGACACAUUUUUCACAUAUAAAUUUGAUUAAUUUAAACGUCGCGCGGUCAAGCGGAGGAAAGUAGGUCAUCAAGUACAGUAAAGUGAGAUUUUUUUUUUCUUUUUUUAAAAUUUCGACAUGUUUGUUUAGAGAAUGUUAACUGAUCAAUCAUAAAAAAAAAAAAUUGUAAUUUUUCUUCCAUUAACUUUACCACCAAUUUUGUAAAAAAUAAAAUAAAAUAUUACAAUUGAUAUGUGUUUUCAUUUUCAAACACGCAUUUCCAUGCAACUUAAUCAAUUGGGGACCUCAACUUACUGCUUUAUUACGCUAGAAUUAGCCACACCCUUAAUUAUUGGUGUUAACUAAAGUUGUAGGACAUAGCAGUACUGACAUUAGGAGGCAAGACUUUUAAGUAAAAUACAAAUUAAAUUUAUCAACUUUUAAUCCGCAAAAAUAGACACCAUUUUAUUUGUUAUUAACAUUUCAUGCCCUAGUAUGCACUUAAUUUGUCAUGAUCAGAAGAAAGAAAAAGAGGGUCUUGUUCUUAUUUUUUUCUAGAAUUUUUCCCAUGGAAUUGUGACAUCAUAAACAGUUGUUGUGUGGUAAUAUAGUAUGAAUUAACCAUUUAAAAAAAUUAGAAACAGCAAUACAUUUUUUUUUUAAAAAAAGGAUCAAAUUCACCAGUGCAUUAUUGAUGAAAAAACAUUAAUCAAUAUACUCGUAAUAUCCAAUUGUGUACUACUCUUAUGUCAGAUCAAAUGAUUGAACAAGAAGUCAGAGUUUGACACUCACACAUUGUAUCAUUUUUUUAACACCUCAUACAUAUUAUUGCAUCAACGAAUUAUAUAUUGGAUGAAUUUAUGAGUGUACUUUAAUUUAUCUUGACGUUAAAUUUUUGUUAAUGUGAUAUUAGAGUUAGAUUUACCUUUGUUUUUAACAAAUAAUUCAAUGUUGAGGUCUCAUUUAUAUUAUUCACAUUAUGAACAUUGUCAAGGAUCUGUUUGGAAAGUCACAUGUAAUUGAAAUUGAUGUAAUUAUUAAGGUAAUAAAUAUUGAUCUACUAAUUACACGAUCUAGUAAUUACACAAACUUGUUUGAUUGUCAAAGUGUAUCUAUAAUAUAAUUACACAUGUUGUGUUUGCAUGCACAAUCACAAUCAUAAAAUUAUAUUAAAUUUUAAAAAUAAAAAUUGAUUAUUUAGAAUUUAUAUAAACUAAGAAACUUUAUAAAUAAUAUUAAAUUAAAUAUUUAAGAAAUAUGUUCUUAACUAAUAUUAUGAAAAAGUUAUUGUUUUAUAUUUAUUCAAAUUAAUAUAUUUCGAAUGAAUUGAUCAUAAAAAAUAAAAGUAUGAAGUUUCUAUGAACAUCGUGAAAUGCAUGUUAUAUAAUAAUAUCAUAAAUUAUUAAAUAUUCGACAAAAAUAUAAUUUAUCAAGUCUAAUUAAAAAUGACUUGCAAUGCGAAUUCAUUAUUACUAAAACAAACGAAACUGAAAAUAUAUCAUAAGUUAUAAAUUUAAAACAAAAAAUUCAACAUAGCAUACAUAAAUAUAAUUUAUUUUAUAUUUUGUUUUAUUUAAAAAAAAAUAUAAAUCUAUAACCUUACUUAAAAAUAAAUCUAUUUUAUUAAAAAUUAAAAUAGUAAUAAAAUUAUGCUAAUGAAAAAAUAAGCAUGGCAUAAAGAAAUAAAUAAUAUGAAAAAAAUGACAUAAAAUUCCGUGAAGUAAGGUUGAGAACGAGAAUAAAAUAAAAUAUUUUAUAAUAUAAAUAAACAAUAAACUUCUAGAAAAUUUUAGAAUAUUAAGAAUAAAAAGAGACCUUAAAAUAAUAUAAGUGAAAAAAAAAACGAAAAAACAAUAAUAGAAUUUAAAAAAAUAAAGGUAAUCAAUUGAUAAUUACCCCUUUUACGAUCUCUUUAUGUAAAUUGAAGAGUCCUUUUACGAUCUCUGUUUGUAAAUUGAAGAGUGUAAUUACCCCUAUCAAUUAUACCAAUUACCUGCCGAUCAAGUAAUUACUUUGUUCAACUAAGCAUGACAGACAGUGUUACUACACCAAUUACACUAAAUCCAAUUAUUAAGGUGUAUUUCCAAACGUUUCGGAUAAAACAUCUUCAUUUGUCAGGCUUGAACCUAUGUGCCUCUGCCAUUGCAUAUAUAGUCCCAACGCAUCAGCUAGACAAAGUAACUGAUUUUACGACAAGAGUCAAAUAAAAGACAACUUUUGAGUAAAAUCACCAUCUAAUAAAUAGUUUAGGGUCAUUUUGCACUUCUGUUACUAUUUUGGGCUAGUCUUUUAAUUUAUUCUUAAGGUAAAUAAAAUAAAAAUAAAAAUAUGCAGAUUAUAAAUUUAUAUUUUUGUGUCAUGUGUGAGAAUAAAAUGUUGCAUAUUACCGUUUUUUUUUAAAAAAAAACAACCAAAUUAUGCAGAAAAUAUGUGAGGCCAUUUCCGACAGCUAGACAGGUGUUGUCAUUACUACUUUUAUUUAGUUUAGAAAAAAUAAGGAAAUUAUACAUUUAUUUCUUCUUCCAUCUUGUGCUGACUUUGGACCAAAUCACCAAAUUUGAUAUUUAUAAAUUUGAGCAACUACCACUGUAUCUCUUAUAACGACAUCAACACUCACUCCCUCCACGUUAACCAAUCACCAUACUAUUUAUAAUGAUACCAUCAGAGAUUAUGGUAAAAUGAUAGUUGUUAGUCAAUGAUCGUAGAUUUGAAUUUUCUAAUUAAAGAAUCUUCUUUAUUAAAUAACGUUUAAUUAUUUUUAAAUUUAAUCAGACUUUAAUAUAAAUAUUAAACAUCGAAUAAAAAAAUAUAUUUAUAAUGACUAUUCACUAGAUGCACUUGAUGAAGGGAUCAAAUGAUAGCAUCAAAUCAAAUCCUAUAUGCACUAUCUCCGUUUGCCUAAAGAUCUUAUUAUUAUUUUAUAUCAAAUAAGUAAGUAGUAGUAUUUGUUUAUAAUAUUCUCUUGUUAUUUUAAGUUUAAACUUGAAAUAUAAAAUUCAUAAUCUUUUUUUUACUCCUUAAACUUCAAUUAUGUUUUCAUAUUCAAACACACAACUUCAAAUUUCAAAUACAUUUUUUUAAAAAAACUUCACUUUAAAAAAAAUUCAACAGUAUAUAUGUUUGCCCAUAGAUCUUAUUUCUCAAAUAAGUAGUAGUAAUUGUUUAUAAGAUUGUCUCGUUAUUUUAACUUCAAACUCGAAAUAUAAAAAUUUAAAGUUUUAAAAAAUAGAUUAUUUUAGUUUACACUCUUGAAACUUCAUUUGUAUUUCUAUAUUCAAUCACACAACUUUAAUUUUUAAAUAUUUAUUUUAAUACUUGAUAUAAAAUAUAUCUCUUUUUUUUUUUUCAAAUAUCAACCGAAUCAUGUUAGUUAGAAAUAAGAUCCUCAAACUGGUCGAAGAGCUCGUAGGUUGGUACUACAUCUAAGAGCCCAACUGGUCCAAGGUCUCUUUAAUGGGCUGGCCCAUAUUGAGCAAAAAUACCGAGAAGUGGGUCCACAAAUUAAAUAACAACACGUGGGACUGACUUACAACGUUGUUCCCUCUUCCUUUUUAUUAAAGAAACGAACGCGUUAGUUUCACGGACCAUUUCUUCGACUCUUCAAAGGUCGUGCAGGUCACCUAUUUUAAACCUAACAACUCCCACUCCUAACGUAAACAUACACACCUUCACGCGCCAACUAAUUUAUACCACCUCCGUUUAUAAAAGGAUGAUCUAAUUUGACUUAGAACGGAGUUUAAAAAAAAAUAAUUUAAUUUCGUGGUUCAAAAUUAAAGUUAUGUUAAAUGUACCAAAACAUCCUUAAUUUUGUGGUUUUAAAAACAUGACACAUGAAAAAUUAAAGUUAAAGAUUGCUAAAAAAAAUGGGACAUUCUUUUAAAACAAACAAAAAAGAAAAUAGGGACGUUCUUUUUCAAAACGAAAGGAACAAUUAUUUACUCUGUUCGUCUAUAAUUAAUUUUCAUGAUUUUCUUUUAUAGAGUCAAACUAUAAGAACUUUUAUGAUGUAUAGUUUUUUGAAUAUCUAUUUUUUUUAAAAAAAAUAUAUUAACUUAAUAUAAUUUAAUUUAACUUUAAAAAUUAAUCAAAUUAACUUUCGAAAAACGUAACGUGAAAAACAAAAGGUGAACUGAGGGAGUAAUACUUAAUUGUGAUCAUUUAGUAAGCAGAAUAUUUUUUUGUACAUAUAGUGAGUUAAUAUAAACAUGGAAUAUGAAUAAAUUCUUUAGUCUUUUAGCCAAAUUCAUUGUGUCUUGUUUUUAAUUUGCUUUAUUAAUAUUAUAUUAACUUUUCCAAAAGCUAAAGCGGUAAUGGGUAGAUUAUUAAUUUGCAUUUAUUUAGAGAUUCGACGAUUCUUAAACUUUAUCUAUUAUUUAUACUCUAAUGAUAAAUUAACUUAUUUUAUAUACAUAAAAUAAUUUAUAUCAAAAUACUAUAUCUCGAAUCAACCAAAUUGACCCUAAAGAGUAAAGAAUCUAUGUAGGAAAUAACAUGUGAAAAAUUUCUUAAUUAGUUGUAAAAUUGCACGAAGUCAUUUGUGAUGUCUGAUUCUUGUGAUUGUGACAAAAACGGAAAGGUAAUUAAUAAAUUAGUUGUCUUCUAAUUUAAAGGGAGACUCCUUUUGCCCUUUAUUUAUGUUGUCACUUCACGUACGUUAGCUUCAACUAGUAAAGAAUAAAGUAAAAUAGUUUUCCUUUUAAAUAAUAAAAUACGAUAGUUCGAUUUGUUAUUUUUAUUUUUUUUAUUAAUAAUAUAUAAUAUUGGUUUUUGAGUUAGCUGGUAUACUUCAACUAACUCUAUGGAUUGUAAUCCAGCAACAAUUGUAAUACAAUAUAAAUUUAAUUAUUCACAUCUUUAUUUUAUUGGAUUAAAGUUUGAUUUUAAUCAUUCCUCCUCCAUUUUUUCUCUCUCUGCUCGCAACUUUUUUUUUUUUUUUUUGUCUUUUUUAACAAAAGUUGUAGUACAAUAAAUUACUGAUUUAUUUUUAAAAUUUCUCAAAUUUGAGUAGAAAACGACAAUACUUUUUAAAAUCCAAACCAAUAAAUAAAAGUUUGAUCUCUUUGGAUGUUUGUGUUUCUGGCCGGUGCUGACAUUCUUGCGGUGAUUUGAGAAAACUACAUAUUAUAUGUCGAUGUCGGAAUGAAAUAAAAAAUUUCACGGAUUAAAUUUAAGAUUAAUAAAAAAAUAAUUUUAUUAUUUAUAUGUAAUAUAAUUUUUUAAUGAAAAAUAUUCAGUGUUUUUUAGUUUAUCUACGUAGCUAUGCCAAUUGCCAAUGCAUGUCCCAACAGAUUAAUAUUUUAAAAAAAAAGAAUAUCCCGUCAAUAUACCUAAAUCAACUUUUCUUUUAAAAAAAUUACUGUUUAGCCGUCGUAUUAUAAUAUAAAUUUACGAUACUUAUUUUCAAAAAAUGUGUUCAAAUUCAACAUUUUUGUGCUAUUUUUGUACAGCCUCUGUCCAUUCUGUUGAGCUUAUUACUUGUAUUAAACGUAAUUACUUCAAAAAUACUUGUCUUUUUUUUUUAUAACAAAAAUAAGAGAGGAUUACUCCUUUCCAUUUUGUAAUUUUAAUAGUCCAUAAUCUAGUAGUUGUGGAAAAAGAUUAUGUGGUGAAGCAAGAGGCUUGACUCCGUUUAUUAUAAUUUAAGUAUUAUAGUUUAAGUAGUCACUACGAAAAUAAAAUUCAUUUUGUAAUUUUAAACUAAAAAUUCUUGUAAUGCAUCAAAAGCAUCAUUUGAUUCUUAUCAUAUUAAACAAAUCGUGUAAAAAUAUUAAUAGUAAUUCUUAUUAUCUCAUAAACCAGUUUCCUAGUUGAAGUGAGGAUAAAGAAAAAAAUUUGCAUGUGAGGUAUUAAUUGAGUGACUUAUAAUAAAUCAAUCCAAUUAAAAAAGUUAUCAAAUGCAGAAAGAUGCAGUGUUUUAAAAAACAGACUAAAGCAAAAGCAAAAUAAUUAAAUUGAAAAGCAACAAAGUAAUUAAUGAGAACCAAGAAUAAAAUAAGGUUAAUUUCACUCUCACCAAAUUAUUCUUUUAGUUAAUGUUUCCUCUUUUUUUCUUUCUUUCUUUUUUUUAAGGCAGAAGGUGCUCAAAAAGAAAUUGAAACUUCUUGACUACUUAUAUGUUUUUCCAGAAUUUAUAUAUAUAUAUAUAUAAUUUAUAUGUAAAAUUAAAAGUAUCCUACAAAAAAUUGUAGAAAGUAGUAAUAAGUUGUUGGUAAAAUAAGUUCUUUCCAAAAAAUAAAAAUGUAGUUGCAAGUCAUUUUUAUUUUCUAUGAGAUAUCUUCAUCUGAUUUUCAACAUAAUUCUAUUCGUUCCUCGUCAUUUUAAACGUGAUUAUCUUUUUAUUAAUUAAAAUGAUCGUUCAUUUAUGGACACGAACCGAACUACUUAAGCAUAUAUUCUCUCAAUACACAUAAAGGAAGAUAAGUUUAUUAUUCUCUCGGUAUAAAUUUAUUUCUUCAUAUUUAACCUAACACGUUUUUAGAAAAUAAUACUUCAAGUAUUAUUACAGUUCAUAAUAAUUAAGUCGUCUGAUUUAUUACAAAUAAAUAAUACUUAAUAAUAAAAAGAGAAAUAAUAUAAAAUAUUAACUUGUUUAGUUUGCUAAUCUGAACAAAUAAAAAUAAAUAUAUAUUCUUUGUAGUUUGUACCGUAAAGAAGGAGGAGGGAACAAAAUGAGUAAUUUAAAAAGUUGUUUUUUUACCCUCUCCUGAAAGCUUUACCUACCCUCUUUGUUUCUUAUAAAUUCAAAUAAAGUGUAAAAGAGAUAAAAUUGAAAAAAAAAGAGUAUAAAGGGGUAAAAAUUAAAGCGCGUAGUGGUGAAUAUUGGUAGGUACAUGGCAUUUAUAUAGGAAGAGCUGGAACGUUCGUACCCAAUACUAAUCAUCCAGAGUCGGAAGCAUUUUGUCGUUGACGAAUCAUCCACUUUCAGGUCCUAACUCAACUAUUUACUUUAAACCCAUUUUUAUAUAAACUUCUCUUCUCGCCAAAUUGUUGCAUUUCAGAAUUUUAUACCAAAACCCCAAAAAUUAAUAAUCAACAAUCUGCUAUCGGGGACAUUUUUUUUUUUUUUACAGGUGAAAGAUGGGAGCAUGUGCAUCGAAACCUAAUGGGUGUGUAGGAAUUAGGGGUCGGAGGCUUGUUCGUCGGAAGAGACACAGAGUUAGUAGAAAGAGAAAUGUAUCGAAGACUCAUUCGGCUUCUCAAAAUCUCAGUAAGAUUGAACCAUCUUCUUCAGCUGAUCAUUCUUACUCUAAUCCUGCUUUUCAAGGUAUUAUUACAAAUCAUCAGUUUUAAUUCAAGACAUUUUCAAAUGAAUUUAGGAUUUGAGGUCUCAAAUUAGUUUACAAUGAUAACUGGGUUCACAAUCAAAUAGUUAUAAAAUUUAAAUGAAAUUUUAAUACAAUCAAUUUGGUUGAGUUUCCAAUCUGUUGUGACGAAUAGUCAACACCCUAAUGUAAUUGUUUCUAUUUAUAUAGAGCAUAACUCGAUUUUGUGCCCUAAACAGGAAAUGCAGAGUCUUGGUUCGACCCGGAGAUGGUGGUUGAAUCUGACUGUGAGGAUGAUUUUCAUAGUGUACAAGAUGGUAAGUCAUCUGCCUCGUUAGAACUUUGUAGUCAUUGCAUUGGUUGGGCAGGAAGAUCUCUAAUCAAUGUUAUAUAUAUAUAUAUUUCAAAAUGUGCAGUUUUUUCUCAAAAUGGAUCUUUUUCAACUGGGGUUUCUCCAAGGUUUUCUGAUUUUGUGUAUCACAAUGGCAAUGCUGCUUCUGACCUCUCCGAGAAACAUGAACAGCCAAAUGGAAGUGAAGAAUCAAGUGUUGUUAAAGAGGGUGUUGUAAAGAGAUAUUUUUCAGCAGAUUCUCAACUUAAGUCCAAUUCUCAAACUGAGAUGGAUGACCCAAGUCUUAAUGAUAAAACACCCCGAAGCAUGGAUGGUGGUGCUAGGGUUGAAACAGGAAUUUUCCACAAUUGUGGAAGACAAAAUCCGUGUCUGCCUUGUCUUGCUUGUGUUGCCUCUUCGGAUGAAAAGAAAAAGUCUCUAAACCCGAUCUCACCACGCAGCCGGAAAAAAUCAUCCCUAACCCAGAUGUUAUCUUUUAAAUGGAGAGAAACAAAUUCAAGUUCUGCAUUAUGUAAGCUCUUUUACCUUGUAUAUACUGUUAAUGGCAGCCAGUGUGUGAAAUUGACUACUUUCCUUGCCUAAACCACGUUUGAAAUGUUUAUAGGAUUUUGAGAUUAAAAUGUUGGACUGAGAUGAGUGUAAAUAGAACAACAUGGUUAGGGUUCGUAUAGCCGAGGCCAAAAUGUUAGGGACUGUGGCAUAGUUGUAGCAGCAGCAGUAGUUGUUGUAAUCAACCUUGAACUUAUGGAAUCGUAUAUUAAGAGAAUAAACCAUUAUAUUAGGUAAUUUGCAUUAAGUAGAAUAGAAAGAAUGUACUAUGCUGAUACUUCAUCUUGAGUUGAUAGUCAUAUUUGUGACCCACACAUAAAAGCUGUAACUUGUCUAAGCGUACAUUGAAUCAUAGACAACAAUUGAAGGUGUUGAUUGUAUCUACAUAGUGCUACAAGCUACAACUGGAUUCACUUUAAUUGUUUUAUGUUACUGACUUGUCUGCUUUUCAUACUCCAGUGUCACCAAAGACUGUUCUGCAAAGACCAAUAGCUGGUUCUCAAAUUCCUUGUAGCCCGUUGGGACGGAAAAUGGCUAACUGCUGGUCAUCCGUUGAGCCAAAUACUUUCAAGAUCCGUGGUAAAAAUUUCUUCAGGUAAGAGAAUACUACUGAUGAGGGUCUCCAUCUGUGAGAUAAUUUUUUUUUUUUCUAAACAAGAUUUGUGGCAUAUGACUAUAAAUCUAUAAUAGGCAUUUCUCCGACUCUGCCAUUUCUUUUUCAAGUAUAUUCCAAGUUUGUUUUGCUCAAUUGAAUAUUAAGUUCAAUCCCUCUUAAUUCUUUGACAGGGAUAAGAAGAAAGACUUUGCUUUAAAUUGUGCUGCAUUUUAUCCUUUUGGUGCUGAUUUAUUCUUAUCACCACGGAAAAUUGAUCAUAUUGCACGUUUUGUGGAACUUCCAGCCAUCGAUUCAUCCAGUGAAGUUCCAUCCAUUCUUGUUGUAAAUCUUCAGGUAUUUGGAUGCCACUAAUUUUUCUUCACAUUGUUAUAUCAGUGUAUACUUCAAAACACUGUUGAAGUAUAUUGUCUCAUAUUUGAUGCACAAUUACAUCUUCCUCAGAUAUUAGAUUUGUUUUUUAUUGCUCAGAUUUGGCAUUUAAAACCUGCCCCAGAGAAGAUGCUGGCAGUAUUUAUUUAUUUUUUGGAGAAUUCAUACUACUAAUGAUUUGCAUUCCCCAAACAAUGAUUGACUGCUUUUACAUCUCAGAUACCAUUGUACCCUCCUGCAAUCUUCCAAAAUGAAUAUGAUGGAGAAGGGAUGAAUUUUGUUCUCUACUUCAAACUUUCAGAAAAUUACUCCACGGAAAUGCCAGUCCAAUUUCAAGAAAAUCUCCAGGUAUGAUGGUGAAUUUUCUUUACACAUUUUGUGAUUUCUUAACAAGUAGCACUUAGCAAGAUUACCUCUUCCUGUAACGAGAUAGGAGUAUAUUUGAUUUUACUGUGUACAUACAUAAUUUUCUAUUUCUAUAUGAAUUGCUGAUUCGUUAUUCUUUUUCUUGCUAUCUGUGGGACAGAGGUUAAUACAUGAUGAAAUAGAGAAGAUCAAAGGCUUUCCCAGGGAUACAAAUGCACCCUUCAGGGAAAGAUUGAAAUUCUUGGGCCGAGUUGUAAACACAGAGGAUCUUCAAUUAAGUGCGGCUGAGAAGAAACUCUUGAAUGCAUACAAUGAAAAGCCUGUGCUCUCACGUCCUCAACAUGAAUUCUAUUUGGUAAGUUAAUUUAGAAACUCUGUAUUACAGUUUUUUCUUAUGACUUGGUUAUAUCUAGCCUCUGGAAAUAGCGAACUCUGAUCCACCUUCAGUGAGACCAGCGGUGGAACCAGAAUUUGAAGCUUAUUCUGAAUUCUUCAGUCUUUAAGUUAUUGGGUUCUAAAUUGAUAAUUUGGAAAUAUUCAAUGGAUUUUUAAUACUAAUAUAAAGUUCGAACCAAAGUUACUGGGUUUGGCCGAAUCCUAACCAAUACUCUCCCUCUAUCCCUGCAUGAGUAAAAGAUGAUAUGUUGUAUCGCAUAUAAACUACAUCACCUUCUAACUUCUAUGGAAAGAUAAUGGUUUCAAUAGUACUUACCAAAUAACAAAAGUAAGCACCGAACCAAAGCGCCAAGAGGGAUCCAUUGUCAAGUAAUUAAAAUAUAUAGUAGUCAAAAUUUCCGAUGAAGUGAUGUCUCUUAACACCCCCUUUGCUCAACGUGGGUCUGCCCCUGGUUGUGGUGUCUGGACAAAAGAAUAUUCAAACAAAUCUUUCCAAUUACAUUUUCUUGAUGCAUAUAGAUUGACAGCUUAUACUUUUUACCUUUUUGCAAGGACAAUCACUCCUUUUGUGUACAAACAUUCAUGUAUUUGGCACAUAAGAUCAAACAUAUUUCCUUCGUGUUCAUACUGAAAUUUUUUAAUGUUGGCUAUGCAGGGAGAAAACUAUUUUGAGAUUGAUUUGGACAUUCAUAGAUUCAAUUAUCUCGCAAGAAAAGGAGUGGAAUCAUUUAAAGACAGAUUGAAAAACUGUGUCCUUGACUUCGGUCUGACAAUUCAGGUAGCUAUUAACAUUUCUAAGUUUGGAUUUGAUUACCUCUUGAAGAAUUGUAUCUGAUAUUACUUGGUAAAAUGUGGUGCAGGGAAACAAGGCAGAGGAUUUACCAGAAAAUAUGUUGUGUUGUAUUAGAAUGAAUGAGAUCGAUUACGCCAAGUAUCACCAACUUGGCUUCUAAACCAUGGCAUACUAUAGGGAAUUUUUCUCUUCCCUUCUAUUAAAUUAAAUUUCCAUCUGAAAUGUAUAGCCAUUGGCCAUUUUUGGGUCUCUAUCCUGUAAUGUAAUGCUAACGCAGUAAAUGAAGAAGAAUAUUUCUUCAAUAUUUGGUGUUACAGAUCCCAUGUUGUAGCAUUUUGGAGACAUGUUCUCAACUCUUCAUGAGGAUUUUGCUUACUGGAUCCAACUUUGUCCAUUCGAUUCAUUUCAUUGAAUGAAAAAAGGAAAUUGACAAAUAAUUUUAUCAUUGUGUAUUCGUGAUUCAUGCUUGGUCUCAAAUUCAAUUUAACGCGAUAACAAUUGAAACAUGAAUAUAUGGCUAUGAAUCUUUAAGAGACGGGAGUUUUAGCGCAUCGUCCAAAAAUGGCAAUAAAAGAACACCUCGGUGUCUUACUUUGGGAUGCUUUCUCAUUUGUUUCCAUUCCGACAGAAUUGGUUGCAACAUUUGAUGUUCCAUGAACCGUUGUUGUUGUUGUUGGUGGUGGCGGCUCGCGUCCCGCGGGUCUAUUGUCCCAAAUGUGUCCGGAUGAUCCUUGUCGCCGGAAUGAGUAUGCUGAUCUCUCUAAUGUAGUCAUAAAUUUAUUUAUCAGAAAAAGUUGGGAUGUUUGAUAGAAUAUUUCUAUCUGUUUUUCUGGGUUUAUGUUUUAUAACUUCAUUAGUUCUUCUUAAUCUAAUUUAACGAUUUUUUGUGGGCUAUUCCAUCUUUACACCUGUUUUCCCCUGCUUUAUCUCUGUGCUUGGCACUUGGCAUAUUCUUGCACAUGUUUUUUCCUUCCAUAUUUUGUAGUAUGAAAUAAUUUAGCAGAUCUUGCACAGUUAGAUUGGGGGCACAUGGACAUUCUUUUAUCCUAAGUUGAUUCUUAUCCAUUUUAUCUUUUAUCUAUUUUUGUGUAUUUGCAAUUACUAUGUUUUUUUAUACCAAAAGUGAUAGGUAUUAAGAAUGUUGAUAAUUCUAACUAGCGAGCGAGACCCGUAACAAGUUACGGCUUUAAUUAGUAGCUUAAAACCAAAAUAAAUUGGAAGCUUAGUUUUUUAAUUUUUUUUAUAGUAUACCAAAUUGUUUUUUUAAUUUUGUGGUUUUAAACUCAAAUUUAAAAAUUGACCCAAAAAAUGAAACAUUCUUUUAAGAUUUCGAAACAAACUAAAAAAAAUACACAAUAAAAUUUAUUGCUUUGGAGCAUUUUUAAAAGGCGUUGAGCUGCCCCUGAUUCAUUCAAGUGCACAACUGAAUUUAGCUUUAGUUCUAUGUCUUGAUACACAUUAAUUUAGGAUGUGUUGUGCUAAAAGAUGCAGAAAAUGCAUGUAUAGAUUUCUAAUUUUCUAUCAUGAACAAACAUUACAGCUCUUUCUGCAUUGACCUACAUGUUGUUCAGUGCCAACCAUGUAUAACGGAUUUUCAUCACAUUCACCAGUAGCAGCCCAACUGGAGCAAUCAGGAUGCGCAUCGAUACACUUGUCAGCUGAUGGAAUACUGUCAUAGGACCUUACAUGAAUCCACUUUGUAGCAGACCACUUCUCACCUUCAAUCACUGGGCAACUUCCGUGCAAGCUCAAACGAUCAGUUGUUGCAUUAAUAUGUAGAUUGAAAAACAACAACGCAUCGCCUUUCCUUGGUUUUACUGCAAAUUUAUGUCAGAAUAAAGUCUAGUCUCACUUAAUUUGUGACACUUUGUAUUUCAGUAGGUUCAACUGUAUCUAGUGUUUUCAAUAUACUGAAAUUCACUACAAUUUCAAUGAAUAUGCUGAUGGACACUGACUAGUCUACAGACUUUACAUUAAAAUGCACCGUACCUGCAAAGCCAUCUUUAGCACAAUUAGACCAAUCAUCACCCUUUGGCUGAGAAUCUGCAGCCUGUAGUUUUAGAAGAAAGGAGAAUUAAUAGUCUCAAGUAGUUGAAGCGAAAAAAACAGGAAAAUCAUACAAAAUUGGAAAUACCUCUGAUCUAGGAAAAACUGUUUCUCCACCCUUAUCAACAUCUGACAAAUACAUAAGGAGAGUAGCUAUACGAUGACCGCCUAUCUCUUUAUUAAUUUUGUCCGUAAAAAAAUCAAAAUGUGGCUCGUAUUUUUGCCCAUGUUCAUAAUGCAAUAUCUGCAUUGGUUCUCCAUUCUCUGAUUGACAAGUUCGCGUAAAAAUAAGAAUUUAUAGAGAUGAAGCCUAUCAAUGUCACAGAUGUAGUGUUAAAGUACCUUCAGGGAGAAAUGUCCAGGCAGCUAUUCUGGCUUCCACAUUAGCAACAACUUCAUCCUUUAAUAAAGAUCAACAAAAGUUUCAACACUAACAAAAUAGUUGAAAUGAAAUUGCAGCAUAGAAAAGAGGUAUGUAUAGCUCAUGAACCUGAGCUUUGUUGAGAAAUGUGCCACUACUUGUCCGAUAUUCACUCUCUAUGCUCUUCCCUGUUUCAAGGUCAGUUACCAUGGAUUUCUCCAGAUGAUCUUUAGCCUUCUCGUACAGAUUCACCAAAGCCAAUAUGAUUCAAAGGCAAAAAAUUUCAGAAGUGAAAUAGUUUCGAGAUGAUUAGGGCUCGAAUAUAUAUAUACAUAUAGAAGACACUAACUUUACAUCCAAAUUCCAAUGAUAUAUGUAAUCUCACAUGUGAAGUCUAGUGGGACUUGUAAAAACGUAGAUAGGAUAUUUCAGAAAGAUCCUCGACUUAAGUAAUAGUUCAUAAGAAAUUAUUUUCUCUCAAAAUGACCUUUAUUUGCAUAACUAAAACUCCCACUCAUUUCAGAACGAAAGAGAGGGAGCAGAGUAAGAAAAAGGCUAACCAGAGAGAUGAAAUGAUCACACUCUUCAUUUGUCAAAAAAUUCCUAUAUAUAAAAACUCUGCAUAAAUUCAAAAUCAUUAUCAGGGCUCCAUAACAUAAAUCUUCAUUCUCAGGAAAUCAGCCAUAUGUAAUUUAUAUAAACAAACCUUGGGUGCCAUGAAAUUUGAGUUACCCUUGUUGGAUCAAUUGGAGUCGACAAGGAAUUAGUCGUCAAUUUCAAAAUCGACGUUUUUCUAUAAGGAAAAAAAAAAGCAUUCAUCAAAGCUGUAAUCAGUAAAAGAUGAAGAGGGAAAGUGGAGAUAGAAUGAGUACAUUUCUUUAUUGCCAUUCCAUAAGGAAAAUUGAGGUGAAGAAUGAGAUAGAUGAGGAAAAAGGGCAAUGAAACAGAGGGAGAAUAGAAGACAACAAUCCAUCGAACAACACAGAGUGUUACACCAAGUCGUCAUUUCAAAUUUUUUCAAUAAGAAAAGUGAUUUUGCAACUCUUAAUGAUCAUAUGACAAAUCUAAUUCAAAAGUAAAUUAGUUUUCAUUGGAGAGAUCUUUCGUGGAUUACUUUAAUUUUCUGUUAUUAGAUUAAGGUAAGUUUCUUUUAUUGCCAGAGUACAAUGUGAAAAAAAGGAGAUUACUUUUUUGGUAGAUGACAUUGAACAUAAAAAGGGAAAAUACUUUAUGCUACUUCAUAUCUUUUUUUGGGAAAAAAAUAUGUGUUUUUUAUACUGCAAAUUGCAAACAGUCAAAUAUUACUUAAAUUAGUAUUAACUCUGGCCAACAAUAUUUAUUCUAUAUUGAUUUUAUAUAUUUUUAAAAAACUUAUAAAUAAAACAAUAUUAUUUUUUAAAUAUAAUAUUUUAAAAUAUAUAAUAGAGAAUUUAUUAUAAUUAUGAUAAAAUUAAAUAAAAAAUUAUUUAUUAACUUUAUAAAGUAAACAAGUAUUGUAAGGGAGAAAAAGUAAUUCUUUUUUUCAUUUUUUUGAAGCAAUAAAUACACUACCGGCGUGGAUGAUAUAGUGGAUUUAUUGGACCUAACACUGUGAAUUAAUUACCCUAGGGAAAAAAAUUGUAAUUGACUGAUCGGUGAAAUUUGAUUCCGAAAAUUAUGUUUUGGUGAUUUUUCCAAUUUAUCAACAUUACGAUAAAUUCAUGAUUCUAAAGACUAAAAGAUGAUAUUACCUAUCAUUUCUUGUAAUGUGAUGAAACGUAUAAAAUAAUUUUUUAACAUCUAUUUAAAUUUUUACAUAUUUUUAUGAAGUAAUUUUGUACAUCUCGAAAUAUUUUAUCCAUCCUUAUAUUAAGCCAACACCUAUACUACUAGUUUAUUUCGAUUUUCUUUUAAAAGUACUAACUACAUAUGCCUAUAAAAUUUGGGAAAACACUAAAUUAGAACUCUUGAAGACAAAUCAUGAACUUUUUUCUCUGUUAUUAGCAGCCCGUCGUUACUUUCUUGCUUGCAAAUUCAGAUUUUGUAGUCACUGUUCCAUCAUUUCCAGCCAAAGCCAUGUACUUAUCCUUCCUUGUAAAAUUGGUGCACUCAUACGAUAAUGUUGCGGCGAUCGUCCUCUGUAUAUAAUUUGCCACAUCAUGGCUUGAUUUUCCAGCUUUACAAGUCAAUUCAUGUGGCCAUUUGUUCAAAAAAUUCACCUCAUAGGAUGGGCUAGGAUUCAUGAAGAAAUAAAAAGGGUCCAUUCCUUUCCAACCCCUAGCCGUCGUGCCAUGGAACAUGCUCAUUUUAUUACACAUCGCCACGGGGACAAGCUCGUUGGUCAAUUCCGCGAAUAACGCCGAAAAUCUCAGUAAAAAUGGUUCUCUACAUGUUGUUCCUUCCGGACAUAUAACCAAAUCACCUUCUUGUAAGAGUUUUUUUAUCAUGUUAGCGUCCGUUAUACGAUCACGACUAAGACGGACGGUUUUAAUAGGUGAAAUAAUCUCAGAGAGUCGUGACAAUGAAUAAGUGACCGCAGGGAUGGGCCUACCAAGGGCCGUUGAGAGGAAAAUUGGGUCAAGAAGGGUUCGAUGAGAGCAAAUAAAUAGGACACCGGUUCGGCCCGUGGAUUUUCGGGCUGGAAGAGGUGGGUUCCCUUUGAUUAUGACUCGAACCCCAAGGGUCCAAAAGGCGUAAUAGACUAAAGGCAUCGGUAAGAGCGCACCCGCAGCUAUGCGUAAGCAUGCUAAGAGGAAACCAACAGGGAUCCAAAGAAUAAUCAUGAGUGCCAUUAAAGGGCUUGGUUUUUGAACAAGUCUGCCGUCAUGAAAAACAAUGGGCUUUGGUAACUUAUCUUGGCCCAUGGGUUUCACAUCGGGCUCACGUGGUACUAUGUAACUUUCCUGCAAAAAGUAAUAAGAGAAGAUUUAUAUUACUUUUUAGUCUAUCACAAUUAGUAUUGGUAUUAGUGUAAUUUGAUAUAAAUAAACAAUUUACUCUUUUUUGUUUCCUUUUACCUAAUCUUAUAUAGUGAAAAUAAACUUGUUUUCUUUUAUCUAUCAGCUUUAUCUCAAUUACGAGAGAAUUCAUUCUUACUUAUCAUUAAGUAAUCAUUUCUCAAACUUAUUGGAAUAUUCGAAAUCAUUUUUUUAAAAGUAGAACUAAUAAUCAAUGUUGUCUUGAAAUUAAAGGAAAAUGCAUGAUUGACAAGUAAAAAAGAACAAAAGGAGGGAGUACUACUUUCAUCAAAAUAAUACUCCCUUCAAUCCAAAAUAAAUGAACUUUUAAGAUGUAAAUUAAUAACUGAUACUAAUUAAUUAAAAAUAAUUUAUCAAUAUCAUCCUUUUGCAUAAUAUAUGUUUGACUGGAAAGAAUAGUACUCAUAAAAGUUUACCUAAUAACUACUACGUACCUUGUUGUGACUUUUUGUGUUUAAAAUGUUUUACACCACACACUAAUGCAUUGAAAAACUUACUAUUUCACACUGAAUGACUUAUGAAUGAAUGGACACAAAUUUGAAAUUGAAAAACUAUUGCAUUACAUAUGCAUGCCAAUUCUAUGAAAACAAGAGCAUGCCAUAAAGGAUCUAAUAAGUUUUUUCUUUUUUAAAAAAAUAAUAAUAUAAAAACGUAUCACAGACUAAAACGAAAAGAAUAUCAGAGAAAAUUUACAAACCUUGCAUAAAUUCAUGAAGGGAAAAUCAGUUUUGCGAUCACCAAGUCCAAUAUGAGGUGCAAAUUUAGAACCAAAAGCCUUUAGAAGUGCCUUAGCCUUGUUAUUACCAACAAGAACUCCACAUUCAUUAACAAAUCCAGUAGCUCUUCCUUUAUAUGUACAUAUUUCUGUCCCAAUAACAAUAUCAACACUUAAAUAUUCCUUCAAAAAUGGUUCAACCAUAACCCUAGGAUUUGCGGUAAGAACACACCUUUUCCCACAUGAUGAAAAAACACGCCAUGUCUCAGGAUGCAAAUCACUCGAAUAAAACUUUGGUAGAACAGCUCGUGCCACGGAUUCUAUAUCAGAUACUUUCAUACCAAAAAAUGUUGCAAAGACUAGGACUCUAAUCCCCGCGGAUUCAGAGAUGAAAUAGUAUAAAAAGCCAGCCAACGGAGAUGCUAAGAUUAAAAAUAUAAGCCUAGAAAUACCACCCACUUCAAAAGCAACAAGUGCAAAAUAAGGAAAAGAGCUACGUCCAACUAGUAAUGUUCCAUCCAUGUCUGCUACUACUGUUUGAUCUUCACGUCCCUUUGAUUCACAUUGUUGAAUUGUUGGAAACUUUUUUGAAUCUUUUUUAGCCAUUGGCUUUGAGUUUGUGUUAAAGUUUUGGUAACUAAUUAAUUAGAGAGUGUUAAGUUGGAUUGACUUUCUUGCAGCUUAGAUAUAUAUACAAGUUUGUUACGGUAAAAACAAGCUUGCGUUCCAUAUGAGGACAAACAUUUAGCGUGAGUUCCUAAAUCGUUUUCACUUUGAAAUUUCCGAGAUGGUUAAUGUCAAUUUUUCAUACGCAAACUUAUAUUUAGCUUCUCAAAAUUGAAUUAGAUUAACGUGUGAAAAAUACAAUUAAAUUUUUUCAAUAUUAAUAUAAUAAAAAAAUAUAAAUUCUAAAAUACAGAUAAAAAAUUAACAUGAUUGACUCUUGAAUUUUUUUUUUAAUCAAAGUGCACGUCUCCAAUUAGUAAUUACUCACAUUCUCUGUUCAGUAUAUUAAAAAUAGAUGUUUAAUUCUUUUUAAAAAGAAUUUAAUUUAAUUCUAUAUAUUAACUAAAGUCAUUUCAACCUUUUUUAUUCUAUAAGAAAAUGAGAUGAACAUUUUAUUUUGGUAGCAAAUACUCCAAGGAGAGGCACAAUAUUGUUGAAACCUCCAUCUUAAUGAGAUGCUAUAAAUAAAGUAGUAGUUGAAGAAUUGACUAUUUGUACUCCAUAUUCGAUAACCAUCUUUGAUGAACUCGCCAGAAUUUGUCAGCUUCCGGCCUUGAAACAAAAUGCAUUAUGCAACAUCUUAAUAAGUAUACAUUUUUAAAUGAAAAAUAUUUCCCUAUCUUAUUAAAACAUGUACUUAUUAACGUUAAUUUUCGACGUAAAAAUACUUAAAUCUUAUACUUAUUGGACUCUAAUUACCUAACAUUCGUUUUAAUUCAAAAAUGUCCCUUAUUUUUUCUUGAAUAUAUAAUUAUGAGAUGAAACGUGUGGUGUAGUGAGUUUUAUUAGUAAUCUGUUACCAUUCAUCUCAUAAACUAACUUUCAGAAUGAAUGUGCGAUAGCGGGCAGAUAGCAGCUAGGGCGUUGCCAUAUCUUAAUAAAUGUUUAACUGAUAUAAUCCAACAGAAGACAAGAGGUAACAGGUUGCACGCAAUGCUAAGUUCAUCUAUGAUACGAUUCAUUGUAUUAUAUUUAGCUUUUGAAUGAUGGAUGACAUGUGAGUUUGGAAUAAGGUUCAAAAGGAACAUGCAUUAAUGUCUCUUUGAAAUCAAAUACUACUUACACACAUAUCAUUAAAUAUUUGUUUGACCGUGAAGUCGAGCAUAUUUUGAAAAUCAAAUCUUCAAAUAUUUUUAAAUUUUUGGACAUUCACUUGUCACUUUAAUAUUUCAAAUUUUCAAAUUUCAACUUCAAAAUUUACGGUCAAGAACAUGUUAUUCCCUUGUUCCAUCCAUGUAUAUCUAAGAAAAUGCUUUUUGGAGAAAAGAGUGUGUAUGAUGAUUCUUCUGCACAUUGAAGAGAGAAAUUGGUUCCACUUUAAUCCGGUACCUAGACUGCACAACCCUGAACAGAAUGUCGGCAUCCAACUCAAGAUAAUUUACUGUUUCUGAGGAAAAAGCCAAAUGCAUCUUAUAACAAUAUUAUUAACCCAAUAACCAAAACAAAUAGAUUUUUCUUCCAUCAGUUUUUCAAAAGAAAAAUAUCCAAAAUAAACAAAACUUUGUAGCUAGCACUGACAUAUAUUAUUAGCUUGAAAACUACACUAACUCCACAUUGCAAAACAUGUAACGCUAAUGUUAAGUUAUUUUGUUUCCAUCUGCGCUUGACUAAUUCAAAUUUGUGGCGGACUCUCUAUUAGAAACUUUUGAUAAAGAAAGGAACAACUCCAUCUACUGCACCACCACGUGUUAAGUUGCUUAAGAAACAAGAGGAGAAGGAAGUUUUUAUAGGAAAAGUUCUUGUGUUGUCUUUGUCUUGUGCUCUGUAAAAGGGUGUCCUGGAAAGUGGUUAAAACACCUCAAACGAAGUAUCUAAUUAACAGAACAAAAGAAAAGGUAUUUAUUCUGCUACUUUUAUAUUCCUUUCACUUUUUCUGAAAGUAUUGACAUGAAAAGGAAACCCCAUUUUCAGGAGAUUCCAAUGCCUUCAUCUUUUUGUAAGUUUCUAUAAAAAAAAAAACAGUUAAAAGAAGAAAGUUGGUGAGAGAACUACUACGUGUAUACUCUGGAUUCUCUAGUACUAUAAUAAACAUUUAGUAAAAGAUAAUUGUAAAGUUAAAAUAAAUAUUUCUUUAGCAAAAUCAAAGUGUCACCUACAAAUUCACCCUCCAAAAAUUUAUUUAGAAAAAUUCAAAAUCUAAAUAAGGACCAGAUGAUGACCUAUCAGAAUCAGAAGCAGCUUUAGACGAUUGUUUAAAAAAUGUAAGAUCAACUGGUUUAGGGAUCUCUGGAGGAUGAGUGCUUCGGAUGAGAGCCCAGUUAACGUUUUCAAAGAAAGGAUGUUGUUUUAUCUCCGUGGCACCUCGUUUAAAUCCUAAUCUUUUUUGAGGAUCCUUCACAAGUAGACCUCGCACCAAAUCCUUUGCAGCAAAACUAACUGUGGAUCCCUCGGGAAAUUUAAGAGGUUGACCAACAACGUUAAACAAUGUCUCUCUAUUUCCAUUGCCUUUAAAUGGUGUCUUCCCAUGUAGUAACUCGUACAGAAAUAUCCCAAAUGUCCACCAAUCAACAGCACUACCAUGACCAUCUCCUCUUAUUAUUUCAGGGGCUAAAUAUUCAUGGGUUCCAACAAAGGACAUGGACCGAGCUGUAGUUGGCUCUGCAACCAGCACGGGCAGUGAAUCAGAAGAAAUCAUGGUUGCACGAUCACCCCUUGUUUUCGUUGUUUUAUUGUUGAACAGGCGAGGCUUAAAACAUGAAGGUUGAAAGCAAGAAGGCUCCACACAAACAGGUAAUUUGCAUGCUGGAUCAAUGCAAGAUGGCUGGAUACAAUAUGCAGAGAUAGCACAAGAAGGUUCAUCACUUGAUCUAACAAGGGUAGGAUUGACACAACAUCUCAAUGAUAGAUCAAAAUCCGACAACAUUAUAUGGCCAUCUUCCCUCACCAACACAUUUUCAGGCUUUAGAUCUCUGUAUAUAACUCCCAUCAUGUGUAAAUACUCGAGGGCAAGCAACACCUCUGAAGCAUAAAACCUGCCACCCAAAAAAGGAAACAAACUCUUUAAUAAUCUUCAAAUUUUACACAGGAGAUAUUGAAUUAAGAUUCAAAUUAUUUAUCAAAUAAUAUACACUAUUGCUCGGCAUUAAGAUUCAAAUUAUUUAUCAAAAAAUAAAGACAAAAAAGGCCUAGCGCCAAGUUAGAAUAGAUCAUGCUUAAAUAGUUCGAGUAAAUUACAAUUUUCUAAAUUUCAAAUUGGAAUCAUGGAUUCAUGAAAGCAAAGUGAAUAGUGGGGGUGUUAAUACUAUGUUCUUAAAGGAUUUGAAACUGGGGAUUGAGAUACAAUGAGUAAUCACCAUAAAUAUUCCUCACACACGCUACACAGGAAAUUCGAGAAAAACCAGCUAGCCAGAUGGGUGAUGAGGUGACUAGCAGCAGGGGUUUACAUUUAUCAAACAGCCUCUAGCAACAUAAUACACUUAAUCAAAGACACCAGUGGCUCUACUUCAAACAAAGAAGCAAUUAUAUCUUUUGAUAGCUAAUGAGUUAGAGAUGAAAGAGACUAUUCAUCUCUUAACUAGUGAAACAUAUAAAUUGAAAACUUUCAUACAUAUGCAGUAAAAUUGCCAAACCACACCAGUUGAAAAACAGAACAUAGUAUAAAAGACAGACCUUGCUGCUUGUUCUGUAAAAUGCUUCCCGGGCUGGCGCUGCCUGAGCAAAUGAAGAUCUCCGCCACUGCAGAACUCCAUCAACAAGCACGAAAACUUGUCCGUUUCAAAAUGUGAAUAAAGGGUUGGUAGGAAUGGAUGGUCCAACAAACCCAAAAUUUCCCUCUCAGUUUGAGCUCUCACCACCUUCUUCCUCCCAGCUAACAUCCCUUUAUCCAUAACCUUCAUUGCAAACAAGCAUCCCAUCCCUCUUAACUCCGCCAAAUAAACGCUCCCAAUAUCGCCAAAUCCCAAUUUUUUCAAAAGCCUAAAAUGUGCCAAGCCCAACUCCCCAUCUUUCCCCUUCACACAUUGUAUUGCAUCCCACCGAAUAUCGUUACCCUUGUGAGGUUUCGAUGGACAAAUCCCCCUAUAACUAACCUCAUUCGGGUCAGCACUGUUACAAUAACUAACUGAACUAAAACUAGUAUUCUCACUCUCAACAAAUUCCACAUUCUUGUCAAUUUCAACAUUCAAAGAAUCCAUCCCUUUUCCCGCAAAACCACCAUCACUCAACUUACUUCCUACACUAUUAUUCUCAGACAAGGUAAAACUAGUGCUACAAAGUUCAAUGCUAGUACUGUUAGUAUUGCUAACACUAAGUUCUUGAAAACUGACCUUAAGAGAAGUGGCAUCAGUGUCUAUACUAUUAUUGGCUUCUCUAUUCAUCAUGAAUGAAAGGUGUUUGAUACAAUGCCUGAAAGAGCUGAGAUUUGGGGUUUAAAGAAAUUGAAAGAUGGUCAAAUGGGGUUUUUGUUGACGCCGAGGUAGUCAAAAGAGAAAUAAGAGAACUCAAAAAAGGUACUCAAAUUGAAUGUAUUUUACAAUAUCCUAGAAAUCAAACAGCUUAGAGACAAAAUAUAUAGAACACCAGUUAUAAGUUAUAGUUAUAUAUAUACACCCACUCUAUUUAAUAUUAGAGUGAUUUAUGUGUUUUGUGUUGGGAGUAACAGGGAUUACAAAAGCCUAGCACAUCUUUUUACUAUAAAUAUAUCCAACUCACAAUUUUUAAUAAGUCUGUCACCCUUUGUUGCACAUUAAGACCAAUGUGGGCCAAUCAGGCCUUCUUCAAUUUCUAUUGGGUCCUUUUUAUUUUUUUAAUAAAAAAAAAUAAAAAUUACCGAAAUCUCAUAGUCAAUUAUAUCAUAUUACAGAAGGUUUUUUAAUUAUAAAAUUUUAGAUUUCAGUACUCUCAUAUAUAUUCUUUUGUUGUCAAAUACAUUGCAGAUGAUACAGUAUCCGAGAGGCUAUGGAUGUAUCAGAAGGGUAAAAAAUGUUUCAAGAAGCAAUUUUUGUAUUUUCUUAAAUGGUGGAAAAUUAUAAAUAUUAUGAUAUCUUUUAUUAUACUUCUCAUUUGUCUACUUACUUAUGAUAUUUCGAAUAUGAAUUUUGUUUGUUUUCACAUGACACCUGAUUAUUUGCAUAACAGUUUAGGUUUUGAUUUAUAUUGUCAAAGAUAAUUUGAGUCCUUUAAAAUUUAAAUAUUUCUUGAAAUUUAUCGACAUACGGAUAACAAGUUUUCAGUAUGGACCAAGAAAAAAAGUCCCUUGUUCAGAUUCAAUAGUCUUAAUUUCCAUUCUAAUUCCAUUGGUGAGGCUACUAAGUGAAUAUAAAUAUUUACCUAUUCAUUUGAUACAAUUUUUAAAUUCACAUGUUCCUAACUAUGCUCAAAAUAUCACUCAUUUGUUUACGAUAUUCAACUUGUGAAAUCAGUCUCUUAACUCUAUUAUUUCUUACUAUUACGUUAAUAUACGAAAUAGAAAACGGUAAAAACACCCAAGCAAAAGAAUGAUAAAAUGGUUAGGAUCAACAAUAAAAGCUACUCCCUUGCUCCAACUAAUGUGGUGCCGUUUGAAUAUCGACAAUUAAUUUUUGAAAAUAGUAUCUAAAUUUUAAAGUUAUAAUAAUUAAAACGUACAGUAUUUUCAAAGACAUAUAAAAAAGCUAUCGUUAAAUUUUUUUCGUCUUAACUUUCAAAAUUCAAAUGGUGUCAGAUAAGAUAAAUUGAGAUAGGAAAGUUUAGCUAUCAAUUUUGAAUGCACUGAUAAAAGAGAUGUUAUGUAUGAAGCAAAGAGUGAAGACGCGCAUUGAAUUAAUGAUUGGUUUAAUUGGGAGUCAAACGGCGCUGAUGCUAUAAGGAGAUGGAUCCACUAGGCUUUGCUGCUCCUAACAGGCAGAUAUUUAUUUAAUAAUAAUAACUAUAACCUUAAUAACUAUACUACUAACUAGCUUACUAGUACAAUUAAUUAAACAAGUUAAAAGUUAGAAAUUAGUUGAAGCAUCAAAUAUCAGCCCCACUUUAAUUAUUAUAUUACUGUACAAUUUACAUGAGUCAUUUUGUGGCAGUGUAGCUUUAGUUAACAGUACGAACGCUGAAUGAAAUUGUAUAUAUACGAACAAAACUCAGUCCAGUUGUAGAGUCAGAAGAGAAGGAGAUUCAAAAAUUGAAGAAGUAGACAUAUGAAAUAGCCGAAACAGAUUCGACAUCUACUAUAUAUAUAUAUACCUAAAAAAAAAAUUUAUUUUAAUCAUAUAAAUAUGAUAUAAUUUUUCGCCGAAGGGAAAAAUGUAGCUCCACCCAAUUACAAAAGUAAUUAAUAAUAUAAUUUGAAUUUCAAAUUAUUCGUAGUUUUGUACAAUUUUUUUUUUAAAAAAAAAAGCAUCUUCAUUUCCUAAUUCCUAAUAUCUCUUUAAACUAUUUUCUCAAAAUAUAUAUUCUCUCAUGCAUAUGUCUAGAAAUAGAAAGUCCAUGUCUUUCACUUCUUACUAUAGACAAUAUAUACACUCCAAUUAAUAUGUAAAAAAGUGGUACAAAGAAGAGGUGAAAUUAAGAAAAAGCUAGUAAGAUACAUUUUCAUUUGGUUGGUAAGGAAGUAAAUGAGAAGGGAGUCAAUUCAUUUCCACAUGACACAUGUUAAACAAGACUUUAAGAGGUAAAUAAUAGUAUAAAAUUGAAUGCUCAAUUAUUUGAACUUUGAAGUAAUAUAAUGAGAUUUUAUAUCUUUUCCCGCUGCUCCGGAAUACAAAAAUAAUAAUAAUAUAGGAGGUAAGGUAAUACACACACAUCUCUCGUGAUUUCAUUAAUAAUAUAAACCACUCUUUCUAUAAACUUCUUUUAUAUAAGUUUUUGAAUUUUGUUGAAAAAUAGUUUUCAGAAUUUAAAGUUGUGUUUGGGGAUAUGUAUAUAAUUUGAAGCUUUUGUGAAUAGAACUAAAAUUUCAACCAAAAAUUGAUGUGUAUCACUUUAUGGAACUUAGAAAAUUAUUUGAAUAUAGAUAAUUAAAAAACUAACCAUAUUUAAUGGACAAACGGGGUAGUUUUUUUUGAAAAAUCUAUAAGUCAUUUUAUGAGUGUAUGGUUUAUGUGUUAAUGGUGUAAAAUAUAUGUAAGCAUUCACGUCACUUGUUAUGUAAUUAGAGAACUCUUAAUUAAGCACUUGGUAAACAUUAAUUGUAGUCCGAUAAGAAAUUAGUAACUAUAAUUAACAUAUUAUAAGAUGUUAAAUUUCUCUUAUGGUACCAUAAAUGAAUCUUUACCAAUAUUAAUGUAUAUAACUUAAAUCAUAAUUUGUACUUACAAAUGAGACAAAUCUAAUUAAUUAACUUUUGUAAAUGUCUUCGGAAUCAAUCCAAUUGACAUUCAUUCAUCCAAUUUCUUCAAUUAAUUUUUGCCUUAUAAAUAGUAGUAAUAAAUAAAAAUGAAACAGAGAAAUAAUACAAGAAAAUAUGGCAGGCUACAAAAAAGAAAUACAGGAAUAUUUUUCUUUUGUUUAAAAGGAGCAGAGCUUUAUUUUUUAUUUAUAUAACAGAGGUUACAAAGUCCCAACUUGUGGAUGCGCCACAACAAAACUGUUUGUUUUACUCACCGUUAGUUGUUAAUAAAGGGAUAAGCAAAUUGAUCAGUGGUAUUAAUUAGGUAUGCAAGGAUAAAAUCCUUCUACAAUUCAAAAUGAAUUGCAAGAUACUUUAGUUUUUUGUUACGCAAUUGAAAAGAAAAAAUUGAAAAUUAAACAGAAAAUAGAUAAACUUGUCCAUUUUAUUACUUGCAAAAUAAUUUUGGUACACAAAAAAUGGAAGAGUUUUCUUUAUAAUAUUGAUACUUAGAAACUAAAUAUGUGAAGAUUUUUUGCGAAUACUUAUAGUAUAAGCUUACAUCUAUAGUGAAAAUAUAGAGUUAAUUUCUUGUAAAAUUAUUCAACUUUGACUAGUUCAUUUAAAAAAUCACUCAACUUCAAGUAGUUUACUUAAAAAGUUACUCAACUUUGUUUAAUAAAUCAAAAGGUCUUCGUGGUGGUUUUGAUAAUAACAAUAACAUAUUUAUUGUGAUCUUCGGACGAAUGAGAAUGAAGUAUAUUUAGACUUAAUCCUUAGCCUGCUUGAUAGAGAUAUUACUGAUUCGAUAGAGAGAUUAUUUUCCAUGGGCCUGCCUUUGGGAUUCUUUUCACCAUGUACUAUAAUCUUUUCUUAUUUGACAUUCUAUUUGUAGUUUAAAAGCUACUCAAUAUAAUUUCUUUCUCCUUUUAUUUACAGGUAUUAUUAUUUCUUAAAAGCAAUUGAGUGCAUCAUUACACCUAAUUAGUUAAAUUCUACAUCUGCCACCUCAUUUUAUGUUAACUGGAAGAAAAAUAAUAGUACUACUUUAAGUGAGAUAGGCACACAUCUAAUAUCGUCAAGGUUAUUUAAUUUCUUCUUCAUAAAGAAAGGCAAGCUGUUAAACUUGAAGUAAAAUCAAAGAAGGAUUUGGACCACUUUCUAUUAAUUAAUUAACAUAUAUAUAUCCAAGCUAUUAUAAAUAUUUCUUUAACUCCUUGUAUUUGUCAAAAAAAAAAAAAUGCAAAUUACGAUGAAUUUUUCACGGAUAUCUUUUGCUCUCCAGCUCUUCUUUAUAUGCCACUUCAUUACAUCAGGUAUUUUAGUCUUUGCCACAUCUCACUAACUAAUUAAGCACAUUUAAUCUUCAACUAAUUAAAAUAUACACUUUUGAUUCUUUGCUCGUGAAUAUUUAAAACAAUUUCAAAAUAAUUAAAUCUGUUAUAAAAUCUAAGGUCAGAAUAAUAUAAGUAUUAAGAAAAAAGAUAAGAGAAGUAGAUGUACGAGAAGACUUUUUUCUUAUUCAAGUGUAUUAAACAAAAGGUGAAUGAUAUCUCUAAUAGAGUAGAAAUAUUACCCCAAAGGCCUACAUGAUAAAUCUCCAAUUAAUAGGUACAUAAUUAUCUACAAAGGUUCAUGUCACCUUGAAAAUAUAGAUACAUGAUAGAAUGAGCUCAUGAAGAAAGCAAAUGGACAAUCCACUAUUCAAUGGAUUUAUAACAAAAUCAAAUAGAUUAAUGCAUUACUCAUUUUUAUGUUAUGAUUUUGUUGUCGUUACUCUUUUUUUUUUUUUAAGAUAAUCUAAUAAACUUUCAAAAAUGCCCACAAACUUUCAAAAAAUUUAGAUAAGGAAAUUAUAUUUUUCAGUUUAUUAACCAAAACAUGAUAAAAUAAAUUAGAAAUUCACUUAUUUUUCGGAAAAAACAUUUUUUGCGAACCCGUUGUUACACAGAGUUUAUGCGGUACCAUAUAUUCAACAUGGAACAAUUUUUGUGCAGGUAAACUAAGAGAGGUGGAGGGAUGCAGUAUUUAUAUUAGUAACAAAUGCCCCUUCCCUAUCUGGCCAGCAACUGCCCCAAACACGGGCCAUCCAGUUUUAUCUAACGGUGGUUUCUACCUUCCAUCCGGCGGAGUUCGCCGAAUUGGAGCCCCAGGAGACUGGAGUGGACGCAUUUGGGCUCGAACCGGCUGUAAUUUCAACGUUCCCACCAAUCACAAACCAGCCUGUGAAACAGGCGAUUGUGAUGGAAAACUCGAAUGCGAAGGAACUAUAGGCCUUCCUCCAGCUACACUCGUAGAAAUGACAAUACAAUAUGAUAAAAAGCAGCCAAGUUUCUACGAUGUAAGCUUAGUUGAUGGAUAUAACCUUCCUGUUUCGGUAACAAAUAAGCCUUCAUCAACAAAAUGUCUUAUUAGAGGGUGCACCAAAAACUUGAAAGACACAUGUCCACCUGAGCUUCAGGUACGUUAAUAUGUUGAAGUGCAUAACCAUCUCAUAUAGAUAUUUUUUUUUUAAUUCGAGUAGUUGAUUAUGAUUUUUUUAAUAGGUCGUAAAUGAUGGAGGACAAGUGGUGGCGUGUAAAAGUGCUUGCUUAGCUUUCAAUCUCGACUCGUUUUGUUGUAGGAACAAAUAUGGAAGUCCUGAAAAAUGCAAGCCGAGUGUGUACUCAAGUUUGUUCAAGAAUGCUUGUCCCUCAUACGUUAGUUAUGCUUUCGACACGCCUUCGCCUGUGCUCAGCUGUUCAUCCGAUCAAUUUAUUAUAACUUUCUGUCCAGAUAAAUGGGCUACUCAUCAUUUAUCUGCUUCAUCAAUUAUUUAGCUGCAAUAUUGUCAUAUGUACACGAAAUAAUCCUUCACCCUAUAUUCAUAAUAAAGAGUUUAAAGUUAUCUGGGUCGUAUCAUGAUCAGAUAACCAAUUUCUGGUAUCUGAGCCUAAUCAUUGAAAGCCCAAAUUUUAUGUAACUGGGCUUAAUUGGUUCUUAGAUUGAUCCGACCCUUCUUGAGGUUCAUUGGUGUCGAUCAAUUUAGAAUAUUAAGUAAUGUUCAAUUUUGUUAUGAAACAAUUAUAAAAACUACUUUCAUUCAAGUACAAAUUCAACUUCAAAAAACAGAGAAAAAAUAUCUUGAGAAGUUUUUUUAUUAUUUUUAUUCCAAAAAACAUCAUAAAUACUCAAUAAACUUAGCUAGCGUUUGGUCAUAGAUAUUCAAAAAAAUUUGACAAAUAUUAUUUGGAUGAAAAUUUGGGUGAAAUUUUACCAUGUGCUUUGCCAUAGAAUUUGAGAAACAUAUUUCAUUUUUUUAAGAAAUAUGAUUUAUACCCAUAAGUUUUUAAAACUAUCAAACUAACCAUACAUUUGUAUUACAUAGCACAAUAGAAAUCUCACGUAACAAGAUUUAUGACUUCCGCAACAAAUUCAACAAGACAUUACAGUAAAUAUUCGUGUAGUGAAAAGGUCUUGGUACAAAUCAUGAUAAUGAAAAUACAACUAAUAUAAAUUCGGGGAAAAAAAGAGAAGAAAACAAAAGGAAAUAAAUAUUGCAAUCACUGAAAAACAUAUGCUUUCUCAUCUGAAAGAGUUCAACCUAUUCUUUAAUAUAAUCUUCCCACAUUUUAUGAACAAUCUCUUCUCGAUGAGCUUACAUUUUCGAAUCAGACGAUCGAGAAGAUGAAGCAAUGUUGUUACCCUGAGCCAGUAGUUCGUCACUUUCAUCAACAACCAUAUCAUCAUUUUCAUAUUCAUUGAAUAUUCCAUCACUACUUUGGUGUUCACGUAAAAAAUUAUGCAAUACAGCGCAAACAAUUACUAUUUUCACUUGCAUGUCACAUUCAUAGUUGUUCAUGCCUUGUCUUAGUAUUCUGAAUCUACUUUUUCAUGCACCAAAAGUUCUUUCAAUUACAUUGCGGAGAGAAGUAUGCUUAUAGUUAAAUAGCUCCUUUCCAUUCUUAGGCUCUCUUUCACUUCCUCGGUAGUCCUGCAAAUGAUAGCGCAUUCCAAUGAAUGGAGCUAAAAAUCCUCUUGUAUUCCGUAGACCAGCAUCAACAACGUAAUAUUUAUCUACCAAAAUAAAAUAAAUGCAAUUCAUGUUUUAUUUAGUAGCUAGUUCAUUAAGACUAACUGUAAUAAAGGAAUGUAUGAAAUCAAAAGAAUGCAUGUAGAAAGGAGCUAAUUGAAUUGGUUGGUGUCAAUAAAUAUAUUAUUUUUGUAAAAUAAAAAGUUAAGGGUAAAAAUUGAAUUUCUAAAACUUUCCAAAUAAUGAAAUUUGGCCCAAAUACUAGUUUUUUCUAGUAUUUGGAAAUUUGGAAAAUUUGCCAAAUAAUAAAAAAGUGUAUGGACAAACAAAAUUUGCCAAGUUUUUUCCCAAAUUUUACUUGCAAAAUUUAUGGCCAAACGGGCCCUUAGUAUUUCCUCUUUAAUUUACGUUAGAAUUUUUGUAAACAAAUUGAUUCCAAAUCGCAAAAGGUAGUAAUUUUAGGAAUCGAUGACAGUUUCUUUCCUUGUUGAAAAGGUUUUCCUCUUCUUUUUAUAUAUAUAGUAGGAAUAGAAGACAAUUUGUUUGAUUUUAUAAUUUAAAAACAGAAUACGAUAAAACUAGAAACUUACCAAUUAUAAUAGUUUGAACUAUAUUAAUAAUGUAAAGAAUUAUAAUUUUCAGGAAUAUAAUUCAAAUGCUAUUACAAUACGACUUGGGAAACUAAUAAAUUUCCUUUUUCUACAUGAACUUGGGCAUGACCUCUAUAUAUACACACAUCUUCAAGGAUACCAAGUCACAAAAUUAAGGUAGGGAAAACACAAUGGGAGCUUCAUUGACUGAAGUAGGAUCGAAGCUUGCUGGACUAAUGUUCAUAUGGGGCACAAUUCAGUAACUAUUCCCUCAAAUACUCUGCAAACGAAUCGAAUCCUUCUGGAAUCGACUCGAAAAUUACUUGUAUCCUCAUGUUCAGAUUACGAUUGACGAACUCACCAAUGGAAAAAUGAACCAAGUUUACAGACAUGUCGACACUUAUUUGUUUAGCAAGUCCGUCGACACUGGUGCUAAGUAUCUCAAAGUUGAAAAACCCAAAAACAGCAAGUCUUUCUGUGUUAUGUUGGACGAAGGAGAAGAAAUCAUUGAUGAAUUCGAAGGAGCUACAUUCUGCUGGCGCUCUCACAUUGAAACGUUCGAUGAUAAUUCUCAGGGGAGUAAAAAAAAAAACCCAGCCUAGUCAGAAGAAAAGUUACAUAAUUACAUUCAAUAAGCAACAUCGAGAGAUUGUCAUCGGAAAAUACUUGAAACAUGUGAUUGAAGAAGGCAGGGCAAUUGAGUUCAAGAAUAAGAAGCAGAAGAUUUAUUGUAACGAUAGAAUGCCUUCUUGGUGGGCGUGUUACAACUCAAUGUGGAAGCAUAUCAAUUUUGAGCACCCUGCAACUUUUGAUACUCUGGCUAUGGAUCCUAAGAAGAAAGCGGAAAUAAUCGACGAUCUCAUUGCUCUCACCAACGGGAAGGAUUAUUAUUCCAAAGUUGGAAAGGCGUGGAAGCGCGGUUAUCUUCUUUAUGGCCCACCAGGAACUGGAAAAUCAACUAUGAUUGCAGCAAUUGCAAAUUACUUGAACUAUGAUAUUUAUGAUCUUGAGCUAACUUCUGUAAAGGAUAACUUAGAACUUAAGAAGUUGCUCAUGGAAAUAACAAGCAAGUCUAUUAUUGUCAUUGAAGACAUUGAUUGUUCCGUUGAUCUCACUGGAAAGAGAAAGAAGGCAAAAAAGAAUAAGAAGAAGGAUGACUCAGAUUCCGACUCAGAUUCCGAUUCUGAUUCAGACUCAGACUCAGACUAUGAAGGCAAAAAAAAACUCACACUAUCAGGGUUGUUGAAUUUCAUUGAUGGCAUUUGGUCAGCUUGUGGUGAAGAGAGAAUUAUUAUAUUUACCACUAAUCAUGUGGACAAACUUGAUCCAGCUUUGAUACGUAGAGGACGCAUGGAUAUGCACAUUGAGAUGUCGUAUUGCAGAUACGAAGCAUUCAAAGUGUUGGCUAAGAAUUACUUGGGCAUUGAUACACAUCCUUUGUUUCAAGAGAUUCAACCUUUACUAGAGGAAGUAAACUUGAGUCCUUGUGAUGUCGCUGAGACCUUGAUACUAAAGAAUACUUCGGGAGGGAUUGAGAUUUGCUUGAAUAACUUGAUUCUGGCUUUGAAAGAUUCCAAGGAGAAGGCAAUACAAGAGGCCAGGGAGAAGGAAAAACAAGAUUCGGAAGAAAAACCAAAGAAGAAUAAAAAGUUAAAAAAAAUUUAUGGCCGUUUUAAAAAGCUUUUCAGAUGAUGUUUUCAUAUUUUAUCUUAGGUACUAGUAGUUUUAUUAUAUUGUUAUGUAGGAGUGUACUCAGUUUUGUUUAUUAUGAUUCAUUGUUGUUUAUAAUUUUGAUUGUUUUCUUACUUGCAAACUCAGUACAGUAAAUUUUUGGAUCCUUAAUUAUUUAUCCUCGAUUUUCGCCUUCUGAACGAUUAGUUCAUGAUCCAAAUAAAACUUUUCUGUUCAUUACAGUGACAGCUGAUGAUUCUACAUGACAAAAAUGAUCAACAGAGAAAGCUUUAGCAAUAAUUUAAAGAGUAUGUUUGGUUAGACAAACACAAGUGUGAAAAUACAAAAGGAAAAGAGUACAACGUAACAGCAUCUUAUUUUUUCUAGAACUAGAACUGAUUGUUGGAAGCAACCUCUCUACUAUCUACCCUACAAAGGUAGUAGGGAUAAGGUUUCGGUACACUCCACCCUCCCCGAAACCCAAACUAGGUAUGUUGUGUUAUUGUUGUUGUAUACAAGGAAAAAGUCUACCUCCGGACCCCCAACAAGUGAAAAAAGAGUUAAGAAUUAAAGGUAAAAACAUCAUUGAAACAGCUUUUUGAAACGGCCAUAAGUUAUGAUUAGUUUUGUGGAGGAUUUUUUGUUCUUGUGGGAAUUCAAGCUGGCCUUUCUCUUGGCCUUUAUCAAAACUUUGACUAAGCUUUCCAAGCAAAUCUCAGGGUUUCCUGAAGCAUUUUUGGGCAUCAAGUUCUCAGCCACAUCACAAGGACUCACGUCUACUUCCUCUAAUAAACUUUGAAUCUCUUGAAACAGAGGAUGUGUUUCGAUUCCCAAGUAAUUCUUAGCCAACACUUUGAAUGCUUCAUAUUUGCAAUACGACAUCUCAAUGUGCAUAUCCAUCCGUCCUCUACGUAUCAGAGCUGGAUCAAGUUUGUCCACAUGAUUAGUCGUAAAUAUAAUAAUUCUCUCUUGACCACAAGCUGACCAUAUUCCAUCUAUGAAAUUCAAAAGCCCCGAAAGAGUAAGUUUGCUAGAUUCAUUCUUGUCGUUCUUUUUCUCUGUGGUCGAGUCUGAAUCUUCUUCCUCCUCCUCAUUCGUUGUUUCCUUUUUAUUUUUCUUCUUUCUCUUGCCCGUGAGAUCAAUAGAACAAUCGAUAUCUUCAAUGACAAUGAUGGACUUGCUUGUUGUUUCCAUGAGCAAUUUCUUAAGCUCUGAGUUAUCCUUAACUGAGGUGAGCUCGAGAUCAUAAAUAUCAUAGUUCAAGUAAUUCGCAAUUGCUGCAAUCAUAGUUGAUUUUCCAGUCCCUGGUGGACCAUAAAGAAGAUAACCGCGCUUCCACGCCUUUCCAACCUUGGAAUAGUAGUCCUUCCCCUUGCUGAAAGCAACGAGAUCAUUGAUUAUUUCUUCCUUCUUCGUAGGAUCCAUAGCCAGUGUAUCAAAUGUUGCAGGGUGCUCGAAAUUUAUGUUCCUCCACAUACCUAUAAAUGGUACAAAAAAAACAAAUCUUUUUAGUAAUUCAUCCAAGUUGUUUCACAUACGUACUCAUUUACCACAUGAUCUAUAUACGUACUUACCUUUACCAUACCAAUACCUCUCCCCUUCUUCGUUAGAGUAGAUCUUCUGCUUCUUGUUCUUGAACUCAAUGGCCUUCCCUUCUUCCAUCACAUGUUUCAAGUAUUGUCCGGUGACCAUCUCUUGAUUUUUCUUAUUGAAAGUUAGCGUAUAACAUUUCUUUUCAAUCGGAAGUUGAGAACGCCCCCCUGAAGAAUUAUCAGGGAAUGUUUCCGUGUAAGAGUUCCAUUUGAGCUUCACACCAUGAAAUUCAUCAAUUACCUCUUCUCCUUCAUCCAAGCUAACAGCUAAAAACUUGCUCUUCUUGAACAUUUCAGCUUUAAGAUACUUUGCAUCGUUAGUGGACUUAGUACCUAAAUAAACUUUUAUAAGAGAGUAAACUUCAUUUCUUUUAUAGUUGGAGUAUUCAUCGAUGGUAAUUUGGACAUAAGGGUAGAAAUAAUUUUCUAUUCGAUGCCACAAUGUUUUGAUGCGCUUGUAGAAAGAAUGAGGGACAAGUUGCUGAAUUGUACCCAAAAUGAACAUCAGUCCAGCAAGUUUGGAGCAUAAUUCAGUCAAUGUAUCUACCAUGUUUGUGUGCAAUAUUUUGAAUGAAGAAAAGAAGUGUAUUAUGAAGUUAGUGAUAUGGGGCUUAAUACAACUAUAUGUAGCAGGGAAACAAAGGCCCUUCGUGCGGCACUAGUACAAAAAAAGUUGGCCGGUGCCCGGUUGAACGCGGUCCCCUUAAAGGGAACUUCACUACAGUUGUGUAUUUUUAUGGAACUUUCUGUGCAUUUGCUAUCGUGUAAUAGCUGGCAAAUCAUAAAGAAGAUGUAAGUCACACUAGACAAGCUUGGUAAGAUGAACUUUAUGUAAUUCUCGAACUUUAUUUAUGAAAGUAAUCUUAAUUGAAUAUUAUUUCCCAAAAACAUGGAUAUUCCUUGGGACUCAAGUAAAUUACCAAUGAAAAUAUAAAACCAAUAUGUUCGUUUCCGACUUAAUUUCCUCAACUUUUUGGGGAAAAAGGAAGACAAAAAACUGAAAAGAUUGUCCAACUCGAGCUAUUAACUAAUCCCAUCACUUUUGCUUUUUCAUUCAAUACAAAUUUCUCAUGUAAGUGGGGCUUCAAUCUUCAUUAUAAAAUUGGGCAUUCUACACGUUCCAAUAUUCAUGGAUCAAUCAAUUAGUGCAAAAAUAAUAUAUGUUAUAAGACGGAGUAUGAAAGAGGGUCGAUUUAUUUUUCUCGCACACCACUCUAGGCAGUCUUACAGCGUCUGUAAUACUUCAGCCUACUUACACCCACAGAAUUGACUAAGUAUAGAAAUACUUAAACAGCAAUGUCAAACAAUAAACAGGCAGCGUUUACAGGACUAAGUCCCAACCUUUAUUAAUCGAUAAUUAAUACAAAGGAAGGCUUCACAAAUCAGUCUAAGGCUAAAGAACUCUCUGUACCUUGCCUUAGACGAAUUUCCACCUUAAAUCAAAAUUCUGCACAAUGGCAGUUACAAGCGGUUACAUGCGGCGGUUACACAUGACACCUGUCCGACACAUGUCAGCCCAGGGUUCAAAACUAACUUUCCAACAGCUAUAUUUCCAACAGAUAGAAUCUAAUUCAAAUUACAUUCUUAUCUACACGAAAUACUAAUAUUCUAACACUUAGAAUAUUUCAGGCUUCAUUCCAACACUUAGAAUAAUCCUGCCAGCUUCCAACACUUAGAAUAUUUUAGCUGUCUUCCACACUUAGUUUUAUCUCAGCAAUUUCGGGUGAACUGCCUUUGUCUUUGACCUUGCCAAGUCUUCACAGCCUUGCUUCAUCAAGUCAACAUGAUGUCUUGCCAACGCCCUUAGCCCGCACGUAAACCAUGCACGUUCAAGCUGCCUUGCCAACACCCAAGCACCUUGAACUUGUGUUGCACUGUUUUGCCAUCAUCCAUGCCAAGACCAAUGCCCAAAUCCUUGGCAUGUCUGCACGUAGUUAGAUCAAGUAGAUUGCGGGUCUAACAGAGUACUUCCUUGGCCACGAAGCAUUUCAUGGAAAGAGUUAAAAGCUAUGUACACUAAUUAACUAAUGUACACAUUUUCGUUACACUAUUAAUAUUUUAUAGCAUACUGCUUUAUCAUUUUCGUUACACUAUUAAUAAAAAUAAAUGUUUAUUAACUGUUUGUACGUAUUUUCUCUAUCCUAAUGUAUUUGACGCAUUUUUUCUUUUUAGUUCAGCUAUAAAAGAAAUACAUUUUUAUAUUUGAUAAUAACUAAAACUUUUAAUAUAUUUUUCUUUUAUUCCAAUUAAAUAAUUUAUAGUUACACAAUAAGUUUUAAUAGUUUUUUUAAAAUUAUUUAUCAUGUCAGAUUAUUUUAGAAUUGAGACGGAGGAAGUAAUUAUUUACUGAGUGACAUGGUCUUGUUGAACGUAUAUUCUGGAAGAAAUCUUGUUUGGCUAAUUUAGUAGUUACCACAACUACACAUUCUUCAUUGUAGCAAUUAUACACUAUUACUUUGUUUUUCUUUAAAACACAUUCCGUGAGCUAAUUUUUGAAUUUUUUUUUUAAUUAGUUUGAAUAUAAUUUUUUUAUUGAUAUCAAUCUAUUAUAUUUAAGAUUAUGAAUUUAAUUAUUAAAAGCUAGUAUAUUAUUGAAACAGAUAUUAAAAAUGAAAUUGUUGAGUACCGUCAACCUCAACAAGCCCAUAAAAAGGUUGAGGUGCCCCGAUCGAAUGAUAGAAGAUGACUCUUGAAAAUAAUCAAUGAGUACGUAUUGGAAGUUGGAACCUUCUAAAAGCAUAGUUAUUGGACAACGUUUUAAAUGAAAAAUAUUCCGUAUGUCUUUCUGAUUAAUUAUUCAUAUUUUUUAUCGUUAUUUUUUAAAAAUAUUAAUAUUUUAAAUUAUUUAUUUUAUAAUAAAUAAAACAAAAUAAUAAAUUUACUAUAUCAAUUAUUUAUUUUUAAUAAAUAUAUCAACAUAAAGUAAAUACAUAAUUAAUGACAGAGAGUAAUUAAAGAAAUAAGGUCAAAGAACCUUCCGUUAAAAUGUGGAAAGAAUCUUUCUACCGUUUCGAGGAAAGAGAGGGUAUGUGUCACAAUUUGAUAUAAGAUGUAUCGACUUUGGGUAAAAAAUGUUCUUCUUUAAAUAAUUAUUACAUUGUUUUAUUUUUUUAAAAUACGUUUUUUUUUAGUAAAAAGAAUUGUAAUCCCGUAUUUAUUAUAUAUGUAAGAUCAUGAUAAUUUAUCAAUUAUUAUAAUUUUGAUAGGGUUGAUAUGACCUAAUUCGUAUUUUGACAAGGCUAGACUAGAAUUUUUUAACUUUUUCUUAGUUUUCUAGCUCUAAAUAAAUCAGGUUUGAAAAAUAUGAAUAAAAUUAAUCGGUGAAUAAAUUUGUCAAAAAUUUGAAAUAUUACCAUUUAUAUAUAAAUUAUAUUUAUAAAUAUGCACGGCAUAAAAUAAUAAUUUCUUGAAAUUUCUAGGGUAUCACUAUGGAAUGUUAUGAUAACUUUUUUGUUUUAUUAUAAUCACUAAAACAAUUAUGCUAAUAUUUUUAUUUACCUAUUCAUCUUUUUACUUAAAAUCAAAUUUAAUAAUUAUUAUAAAGAUAAUUUUAUUUGAAAAUCUGAUUAAUAAGUAGUAUCAGUAACACCUUGUUAUAUUAUUUUGUUGAUAUUUAUGAUAAUAAUUUUAAAUUAUAAUUAGUUAAAAAAUUCUUGAGUAUGAUGCCUACAUUUUUAAUUAUACGUGUUUUGAAAUAAUUGUUGAUGUUGAUUGCAAGUAUUUUGACAUAAAUCAACUGUUAAUUGAUCACGAUAUUGAAGAAACAAACAUAUUUUACAUAGACAGUUUAAGCAAAGUAUUUUUUAAACAUUAAAUUUGUCACUAUAUACUUUUUAUUUUUUUACAAUGUUUAAUCAAUCAUGAUAUUGAGAAAUUAACAAAAGAAAAGCGUCAUAUCCAUUUCUUUUAACAAAAAUAAAUAAAAUAUUUAAAAAUAAUAGUGCCAUAUCCAUUAUUAUUACUUUGUCAUGUUACAAAAUAGAAAAAGAAGGGAUUAGGGUAAUGUUUGUCGAAUUUAAGCUUUGUGGGCUGACAAUUCCUAAACAUCUUUACAUUAUAUUAAGCUGGUUGAUUUUAACUAAUAUUGGUCUAAAACUAUAGUAGUAGAAAUGUUUCUUGUAAUUAGAAAGACAAAAAUCAUACGGGAUGAGGCAUGUUGGUUUUGGGUUACGUGGCCUUACUAGCUAGGUUAACAAUUAAAACAAAAAGAAUGUUAUACUAAAUUAUUUGUGACGUUAGGGAGUGCCACAUUGUCAAAAAAGACGGUCCAAAGUGUGAAAAUUACAGCUAUUAAACAAACAUGUAUCACUAAAAUCCGUCACUUUCGAAUCACUCGUGUAAAACUAACAUGUCUACGUGUUUUCAUUUUAUUUAUAGGAGUGAAACUUCGAAGAUAUGAUAUGCUUUUUCAGUUGUAAAUACAAAUAUUAGUUAGUCAAAAUUACAAUGUCAAUAUCUACCAGCGUGAAGCAAACUAAAAAGAAACAAGUACAUAUGGAAGUUUAUUUAACACUUGUAUUAUCUUGUGAAGAAUUUCAUAUCGGAAUCUAAUUUCCCAUACCUUUAACCAAAUGCACAUUAAAAGAAAGAAGAAGAAAAAUCCAAUUUUACUAAAUUUGUCAAGUCUCAAAUAUAUUUUAUGUAAGUUUAGGGAAAAAAUGAAAAGUUGAACAAAAGAUUGUAUAAAAUGUACAGGUUGAGCGCGUCUAUUUGAUACUUGGUCACAAAAGAGAGAAACUGUAUCAGCCACCAGGAUUGUUUGAUUGACUAAAACAAAUAUACAUAAAUAAGUUCAUGAAUUUCUUACAAAAUAUCGAAUUGAGUAUGAUGCUACAGAUUUCAAGUUAAGGGUUUCAAAGCAGUUGUUGAGGUUGAAUUGCAAGUAUUUUGAAAUAAACCAACUGGUGAAGUUUAGAGAAUAAUGGAUGAUUAUGUUAAAAAUUAAUUAGUAUUUAUAAAGAACCAUGUAACAACAUCAGUAGUACAGUAGUGCCUAAGACAUUUCUGCAGUUGCUAAAGCCUCAAAGAUCCAACAUCAUCUUAUUCUUACUGGAGGCUACAAUAUAUACAUGGAGAAUCCCAAACCCCCAGGCCACCAACAAUAGAAAAAAUGAUGGGGCAAUUGAAGUUAAAAUUUAUCAUUUGAUCAACUUUUUUACACUGCCAAAACUUCUGAGAAAUUUUGAGAACUUCUUAAUUUUCAUGGAAUUCUGCUUGGUUUUUUCCUUGGAUUCCUUUGAAUCCUUAUUUGCCUUUUUCUUGGCCUCUUGCAAAGCCUGAAUUAAGUUAUCCAAGCAAGUUUGAGGCCCUCCUGAAGCAUUCUUGAGAAUCAAGUGCUCAGCCACAUCACAAGGACUCAUGUCUACUUCCUCUAAUAAACCUUGAAUCUGUUGAAACAAAGUGUGCGUUUCCAAAUUCAAGUAAUUGUUAGCCAACACUUUGAAUGCUUCAUAUCUGCAAUAAGACAUCUCAAUGUGCAUAUCCAUACGUCCUCGUCGUAUUAGAGCUGGAUCAAGUUUGUCCUUGUGAUUUGUCGUAAAUAUAAUAAUUCUUUCUUGACCACAAGCUGACCAUAUUCCGUCGAUGAAAUUCAACAGCCCAGAAAGUGUGAGUUUGCCUGUUUCCUUGUUUUCCAUACUUUCUUUUUCUUUUUCUGUUGAUGAGUCAGAAUCUUCUUCCUGAUCUUCACUGGUUGUUUCCUUUUUCUUUUUCUUCUUUCUCUUGCCAGUGAGAUCGAUAGAACAAUCGAUAUCUUCAAUGACAAUGAUGGACUUGCUCGUUGUUUCCAUAAGCAAUUUCUUAAGCCCUGAGUUAUCCUUAACAGAGGUUAGCUCAAGAUCAUAAAUAUCAUAGUUCAAGUAAUUCGCAAUUGCUGCAAUCAUAGUUGAUUUUCCAGUUCCUGGUGGACCAUAAAGAAGAUAACCGCGCUUCCACGCCUUUCCAACUUUGGAAUAAUAAUCCUUCCCCUUGCUAAAAGCAAUGAGAUCGUUGAUUAUUUCCGCUUUCUUCUUAGGAUCCAUAGCCAGAGUAUCAAAUGUUGCAGGGUGCUCAAAAUUGAUGUCUCUCCACAUACCUUUACCACACCAAUACCAAUCAUCACUACAAUUGUUUGAGUAAAUCUUCUGUUUCCUGUUCAGGAACUGAAUUGCCUUGCCUUCUUCCAUGAUAUGGUUCAAGUAUUUUCCGGUAACAAUUUCUCUGUCUCCUUGAUUGAAAGUUAAUCUGUAACUUUUCUUUUCCAUUGGAACGGAAUUAGACCGGGUAGACCGAUGACCUGAAAAAUCAUCGGACAAUUUUACAGAGUAAUUGCGCCAACUGAAUUUAGCACCUUGAAAUUCAUCAGUAAUUUCUUCUCCUUCAUCCAAGCUAACAGCAAAAGACUUGCUGUUCUUAGACUUUUCAACUUUGAGUAACUUAGCAUCCUUUUUGAUGGACUUAGUACCCAAAUAAGAGUUGAUAUGACCGUACAUUUCGUUUUUUUUACCAUUUGAGAAAUCAUCAAUGGUAAUUUGUACGUAAGGGUAGAAAUAAUUCUCCACUCUGCGCCAUAAGUAAUCGAAGCGCUUGCUGAGUGCAGGGGGAAAGUAUUGCUGAACUAUGCCCCAUAUUAACAUCAGUCCACCUAGCUUAGACCAUAAUUCAGUCAAUGAUGCUGUCAUGGUGAAGAUUAUGAAUGAGGAUGAGAAAUGAAAAAUGGGAGAUGAGUAAUUUUGUUUAUGAUUUGAGAAGUCUGUAAGUUCAACUAUGUAUAUAUUAAAUAAAAAUUGGCUAAAGUUAUACUUUGAAACAGUGUUUGCAGCGUGUAACGCAAGAAUAUUGACCGGUUCAACGCGGCCACAAUGAAGUGCUAAAUGGCGAUGGUAUAUUUGUAUUGCGAAUGGCGUCAUCAAACUGCAUCAUCCAACUCCACGAAAACUAUCGGUGGCGUUAACUUGGUCUCAUAUGAUAUAUUAUAUUCUCUAAUUUUAAAUUUAUAUAAAUAAAUAUUAAAUUAUAUAUAAUUGAACAAAUAAAAGAAUAUUAUGUUAUAUAGAAUAUAUGUUUAUUUGCUUAACUUUAUAUAAAUUUAAAUGAUACUUUUAUCUAUUAAAAUUGGACCAUAGAUAUUAUUAAAAAAAAGAUAAUGCAUAUUUUUAUGCAUUGAUACAUACCAACUCUUAAAAGAAAGACCACAAAAGAUAGUCCAAAAGUCCAGCUAUGCCUCAUGUUUUCAUUUACAAUUUACCAAUGUGAGCCAAAGCGCGCACUACACUGGAAACUUCAUAAGCUAAAGUUUUUCCAACUUUUUUCAGUUUGUAAGUUGUAGUGGGCGUCGGUCAGGGCCGACUUAGGUCUCUAAAACUUAUCUACAACAAAAUACGUGUUACUAUUUUUUAUCUACCGGAGAAAAUUGAUUGUUUAUGAAAAAAAAAAUAGAUUUGUAAUUUACAUUUGUUAACUUGUUAUUUAUAAAAUUAUAUUAACGAUUUUUGUGUCUUUGUGAAAAGAUGUUUUAUUAACAAAUGAAUAAAAACUUACAGUAAAAAAAUUGUUUAGUUAUAAUUUUGUAUCUAAAAAAUUUUAUGAAGUUUGUUAGGUCUUAGGCCUUUAGUUAAAAUUUUGCUUGAGGCGCCCUUGGCAUUGGUUGGUUUUACAUAUUAAUUAUGUUUAAAAUUAUAAUACAGAGUUAAUUUAUGCGAUGACUAAAUGGGAGGACAAUUGAAUUGUGAUUUACCACAAAAAGAUUGUUAUACUUUUUCUAUUUCAUCUUAUUUGAACUUCGUAAGACGUUGUCUGGGCCAAGAAUCAUAGUUAGUUGCUGUUUCUGGUUGUUUCUUCCUUGUUGUUGAUACCGGCAAGACCCAGCCAGAUGAUGUCCACUAGUUGGUAGUGUUUUUAAAAAGAAUUUAGCUAUUUUAAUAAAUUAAGAGAUAUCUAUAAUUCUUUUCUUCAAUAUCACCAUUACCGUAAAGUAAAUAUAUAAAAUAAUAGCGAUUAAACUUAGCUUUUCAAUACAAAAGUCAUAUGAAUAAUUAUUUUUUUUAAAAAAAAACUCCUAUUAAAUAUUUUUUAUUUAUUUAAGUCAACAAGGAUUAAGGCUUAAAUGAGACAGAGACAGGGGCGGAGCCAUCUUCUAUGAAGUCAAAUUUCCUUGGGUAAAAAAUUAUAUUAUAUAUGGUUAAAAUAAUUUUAUAUAAUGUAUAGUAGAUAUCGAACCCCCUUCGACUAUUUUUUAUGUCUAUUUCUACAGAUUUUGAACCACUUGCUGAAAAUUCCGACUCCGCCUCUUUGGACGGAAAGAAAGUAUGAAUCACCUAUUAGGGCAGUUUCAUCUUUAAAUAAGUUUAUCCCAACACUAAUUGAUAAUACAUAUAUAAUCGAGAGAAAUUUGUGUACAUCUCAUUUUUUCUAAAGUUAACUUGUGAAAUUAUAUUGACUUUAUAAUACUAUAGUUUUUCGUAUAAUUAACGCAUGAAGGUUCAUUUAGUAUAUUGUCACCAAAUACAACAUCAUUAUGAAGUAAUUUCUUUAUUGUACGUGGCCGACUGAACCCUAUAUUAUCUUAUUCGAAAUUUCAUAUUGGAAUAAUUUUCCCCUAUGCCUUCAACCAGAACAUUAAAAGAUUGAUGAAUUUUGCAAAAUGUCCAAAAUAUUUUGUGAAACAAAUAUAAAUUGAACAAAAGUCUAUAACAUGUAUUAAUUAUUGAGUAAAACAGGUCGAGUGCCGAAUUAUAUUCUUGCGACAAACAAGAGUACAUAAUUUGUAGCAUUGUUAAAUUGACCAAGAAGACAAUUAGAUAAAUCAACGAUAAAAAUAAUUUGCAAGACUAUUGAGAAUUUAUUCCUAGAAAAUCAUAAGUGAACUUCUUCGAACAUCCUAUAUGCAUAAUUUAUAUAUAUUUGUUUUUGUUUUUGAAUAUAUAAGUACGAAGCAGUUAAAAGAAAGUGUGAAAAGAACCCUCUCUUUUCUUUUCUUUCUUUUAUUUCUAGAUGAAAGAUUUAAAAAAUAAUAAUUUGACAUGUUGACUUAUCUGUCACAUAUUUUCGCCUCCAAAGUCCAAACUGAUAAGAUAUACAAAUUAUAGUAUUUUAAUAUAAAAUUUAAAAGGUAACCGUAUGAUUAAUCGGUAAAAAUUUAAAGAAUUUGAUUUAAAAAAGGUAAUUGAAAAAAUAAAAAUAAAUAUUUAAACAUAUUUAUUAUUAUUGUUUAAAUAAUUACUUAUAAUUUAUUUUUAACUAAUAUAUUUUUAAUUGAUAUACUAUAACUCGAUAAUAAUUUGUUAUAAGUAGUUCAUUUUACAAAAAUAUAUUUAUAACUUGAUGUAUAUCAUCUUAAAUAUGUAUGUAGCGUUUUUUUUUUCUAAUUUUCGUUUGCCUUAACCUAUUAAAGUCUGAAUAAAUUUAAAAUCCUCCCUAAUAAAAGUGAUUUUGUAUGCAGAAAGGCUUGAGCCUGAGAUUUAUGAUUUCACGUUCUCUCUUUAUUUUGUUUCACGAGCAAAAUCAAUCAAGUAACGUUAAUGAGGAUUUUACAGGGUUGGGCUGAAGAGGUGUUAAGUAUCAUUAAGUAGAAAUUCGUAAAGACAAGAACUUUUUUUAAAAAAUUGAAAUUAGUAGUGUAAAGUUGGGCUGUACAUUAUUUGGAUUAAAUCAAAAAAUUAAAUUAAAUUAAUUUUUUGGUUUGAUUUUGGAUUAAUAAUUGAGAAAAAUGUAUAUAUUUCUUUUCAAAUUGCAAAUAUAUCCUUAAUUAUGUUUAUAGUUAUUGAUAUAACUGAAUAAGCAAAAUUAUAAAAAAAAAAUCAAGUCACAAAGAAAAAUCAAAUCAAAUUUAUUUUUAUCUGAAUGAGGUUACACUUCUUCGAUACCAAUUUUAUCAAAUAAUAUAAAACCAAACCUAAAGACGAAUGACAUUAAAUAACACUAAGUGAGAUUAAGUAGCGUUAAAUAUUAUUAAAAAGAAUUUGCAGCAUUAAGUAGGAAUAAGUAGUAUUAAAUAUUAUUUUUUCUGUUCACUUUUUUUGUCACUGCAUUUUUUAUAAGUUAAUCAAUUUAAUUGUUAAAAUUAAUUAAAUUAUAUUAAUUAAAUAUUUUAAAUGAAAAAAUAUCUAAAAACUAUAUUAAAAAAUUGUAUAAAUUAUAAUUUAUACAUAUCAAUAUAAUUAAAAGUUACGUUAUACUAAUAUUAAUUUUAUAAUUUAACUUUAUAAAAAGAACAUAAUAAUUAAAAAGGCGAUCAGUAGCUUACAUUGGGUGGUCCUUAAUUCUUGUCUCUUUAAUCGGUGGUCUUUUAACUUUUAUUUUUUUGAGCAUUUUAAUAUAAGAAAAUGGUUGAAAGAAACUCACAAGACUAAAUUUGCAACGCACAAAUUAUGCCAGAAGAGGUUUAUAACUCAGACAAAACUUUACUUUCGAAAUCUAUAAAGUUAUUUUUAUAAAUUCUUUGUUGGGUAAAAUAGAGUUUUAUAAACUUAUGUCUUACGAAUUAGAUAUUUAACGGAAAAAGAACUCUCUAAAGCAAAUUAGAUUAUUACUUAAAGGUAAUUUUUCCAAAUAGUUUCUAUUAAAUGAAAUGUGGAAGCAAAAAUUAAAACGAUAAAAAGAUUUUUGACAAACUUUUUAUGAUGUAUUUUUUUUAUCAUAUUAAUAAUUGAAAAUGCAAUUUAUAAUAUGUUUGAUUUAAUUUUUAAAUAUCUAAAUUUUUAUUUUAAAAUAUUAAAUUAAAAAUUUAAUUUUAUAUAUUAAUCAAAUUAACUUUGAGCAACAUUACAACUUUUUUUGAGCGUAAAAUUUUGUUGAAUUUGACCAUCAUUUUCGCAAAAUAUAAUAUUGCAAUAGUCAAUAGUUUCUUUUCUAACUACCGUUAAUGUUGGGUUUCCUCAGUAUUAGUCACAAUUCAAUGUACUUAAUAAGAAAAGACAUAAAGAAAUUAAGAUGAAAUUAAAGGAUCAAUCGAAGUCAAAGCCUUUUGAUCUUAAUUAAGUAGGCCUCUACAUACCUGAGAUAUAAUCAGCUUUUGAAUGAAAUCUUGAAUUCCUCAAAAAUCUCAUAAUUUAAAAUUUUUCAAAUAUAAAAAUUAACCCUAAAAGUUUAUAUUUUGUAAAAAUAAUUUCAUAUUUGUAUCUAUUAAUCACUUAAUUCAUAUCUGAAGAAAUUUUAUACUUCAUAUCAUUAUUUUUUAAAUAAUUUAAUCUCAUGAUUAUUCUCAUGACUAAUAUAGAAUUUAUUGUUAUUUCAAAUCAAUUUCUACAUUAUUAUUUAUAUUUACUAAAUUUACUAUUUUUUAUCAAAUAUAUUUAUUAAUUUUGACCAACAAAUGACUCAAAAUAACAUUGUUGGUUCGUGUUCUCAGUCAAAUGAACAAGAAAUGCAAAUUCAACGUGAGAAGAUUAUUCAUACUAUGUGGGUGAAUUAUACUAAAGACUAUUACACCACAACUUAUGUUAACAUUUCUUUUUAUUGAAUUAAAGUUUGAUCAAUAAAUAUUUGUAUUUUUUAAAAAUAUCUUUGUGAUAGUGUAUUAUGUACUUUAUAAACUUGUGUUUCUUUGAUAAAUUUUAUAAUAAUUGAAAUAAUUUUAAUAAUUUAUAAUUUAUAAAGUUUUUAUAUUUAUGAAAAAAUAUAUAACCAAUAAUGUGAAAUAGUACAACCAUUCAUAUGUGUCCACAAGACACAAGUAUAGACUAUAUUUGACUCACUUCGCACAUAAUUCAGUCACUACUCAUUCAAACUCGUGGCUUUGACUUGGUUAAAUGUAUAAUGUGCUUAAUUUGGUUCUAUAAAUUAGCUUGGAAAUGAAGGGUUUUUUUUAUUCUAUCACAAUUCAUUAUUUAUCGAAAUAGAAAGAGAUUAUCUUGUCACAUGAGAGAUGGCACUUAAUAUUCCUUUUAAUUGGUAAAAUGCUUAAAUGGAACCAAUUAAGUGGCUCUUUCGUACGACAAGAUGUCCACAGUUUCUAUUGCAUGAUACAUCAAUUGUCUACGUUUGUUAUGGCGGUAUACAAUAAGAACAUCAUCAAUUGCUUGAUUUGGUUGAUGAAAGAAGUUGACAGAGUGGGAGCUAACAUUAUAGUCACCGAAUAAUUAUAUUCUCUCCAUUUCAUAUUAAAUUUAAUCUUUGAAGCAUUUUUUAUUUUUCAAAUUAACUUAAUUAUUCAAUUUUCAAAACUACUUUCAGAGUGUUUUUUCGAUUUUUACCCUUCAUUAGUUAAUAUUGGAGGUGGUGAUUUCAUUAAUAUUUAGUUAUUUGACAAUAAUUAAUAACAGUAAAAAUGAAAAACUAUAUUCAAUUUAUGUCUUAAUCUACUCUUCUUAAAGAGUGUGAAACACCUAAAAAAUUAAAUUUAUAUGAAACGGAGGGAGUAUUAAAAAAAAGUUGGAUGGACCAACAAGAUUUAAUAUAGACGUAUUAGGAUUUAGAAUAUUAACUCUGCAUGCAUAACUAAUGUGCAAAAUCAACGUCUGAUUGAUAAAUUAACGAAUAACCAUAAAGAAAUUAAGGACUUAAUUACUGUGUUUAAAAGGGAGAAACAUUGGGCUUACGAUUGGGCCUUGGGUGGAGAGCAAGAAGAACAAGCCUAAUUUGUCGUCUCUAAUGGGCCUUCGUUCGAUCUCAAGCUGGACAUGGAACAAAGAGUAAGAACAAAUAUACUCGGCAUUUAGUAGUGUUAAGUACUUUAUCUGUUCCUAAUUACUUGUCCACAAUUUAUUGAGGGUAUAAUAAUUAAAAUAAAAUUAUUAUUUAUUGAUUUAGUAAAAUGAACGAAUAACUAAGGACAACUAAAACCAAAAAAGUAAACAAUAAAUUAAGGACAAAAAGAGUGUGUAUUGGCCGAGAAAGCAAUUCAAAAGACAAAAUUUGUAACAUACAUAUUAUGACUUAUCAGGUAUAAUUUGCAUUUCAAAAUAUUAUGCCGAAAGAAGUUCAUAAUUCAACCGUUACUUGGCAUAAGUUUAGUUUCCUUACCUGCAAAAUUAUAUUUUACAAAUUAGAUAUCACACAAUUUAUGUCGAAGUAAAAAGUCUCUAGUGUUAUAAAUCUAUUGAAUAAGUGGAUAGUCCAAAAAUUAGUAUAUGAACAAUCAUUCAUAUUCAGUAGGUUACAUGAACCUUUUUGGAUAAGAAUGUAUCUAUUUAUUAUGAUACUUCAUAUGGUGACCUUUGGAGUGAUUUUUCACUUUAUAAAUAGAAUUAUUUAUUCACUAUUGUAAUAUAUAUAUAUAUACAUAUGAAACUUACAUAUAUUUGAAUAAGAAGAAAGUCUUCUCCUACAUCUACUUCUCUUGUGUUCUUCUUAUAAUCUUGAUUUUAUAUCAUCUAGAUAUAAGUAUAUCAUUAGUGAAAUAUAGUCUGGCCCAAUAAUUUUUAUUAAAUGAGAAGUAAAAACAAAAAUUAAAAACCACCCAAUAAAGACAACCUGCCUACUUUUUUCGGUUUCUUUUUCGUUUAAAGAUUGGCCGUGCUCUUAAAUUAUUAUUUUCUAUGAAUACUGUCUCAAACUAAAUGUUUGUAUAAUAUUUUUUUGACAGUAAAGUUUUAUUGACUUUGACCAUCAUUUUAGAAUAUAGUUUAUCAUCAUAUUGACCCAACAAAUUAAAAAAAACUUGUAUUAGUAUUUUUAUUAUGUACUAUUAUUUAAAUCCAUUAAUUCUAAAUAUUAUGUUUGAUCAGAUUUAAUUUAGUUUCAAAAUUUAGCUUACUGACUUUUGGAAAAUACAACUAAUUUAGCACGGCUGAUAAUGUUAUAUAUUAGAUACUUUCUUUGUCCAACAAUAGUUGUUUAUUAUUGACUUAACAUAAGUAUUAAAAAGUCGUAAAUACUAAUAGUAAUUUUACGUAAUCACCCUUGUUAAAAAUAAAUCAUACAAAUAUUAAAAAAAUGAACAAAUAUUCAUUAAUUUUAUAAAUUGGAUAAAUAUUAAUUAACUUUUCAAAAUAUCAUAGUGGACAAGUAAAGAUGAAUGUUAGCUUUGAAGAUACUUCUAUUUGGAAAAAAUAAUGUUGGGUUUGUCAAUAGUUUAUAUUCUAAACUACUAUAUAGAUGUUGGACUUCCCCCAGUAUAAGUCAUAAUAUAAUGUACAUAAUACGAAAAGACAUGAAGAAAUUAAGAUUUUGACUAAAGGAGGAAUGAUGAUGAAGUCAAAGUCUUUUGGUCUUUAAGUAAGAAAAUAAUGUGAAAUUGGUAGAAGUAUUCAAAUGUGUCCACAUGACACAUGCAUAGACUAAAGACUAUUUGACUCUAUUCUCACAAUGCAUCAAUCACUACUCAUUCAACCUUGUGGAAUUGACUUGGUUAUUGUUUUUCUCACACAAGCUAAGUUAUUUUUAUAAUGUAAAUUUGGUUCUAUAAAUAACCUUGGAAAUGAAAGGCUUUCUGUAUCCUAAAUCAUCAUUCAAAUAGGAGAGAGAUUGAGGGAAUCUUGUCGCAGGAGAGAUGGCACUUGCCAUUCCUUUUAAUUGGUACAAUGCCUAAAUGGAACCAAUUAAGUGCCUCUGUCUUUCGACACGAUGCUCACAAUUUCUAUUGCAUUAUACACCAAUCAUCUACUCAAUAUACGAACUUUCUUUUAUACAAAAAGAACAUCAAUCAUCUAGGUCAGGAUUCAAUGAGUUCUUUCUACCGCCUUCAUUAUCUAUGCUUCUCUUCAUUAUGUAAGUGCAUUUAUAGUUAUUGACACGAAUUUGCAUUCUAAUUUAUAUUCUUUUUUUAAUAACUAAAAAGAGCCUACCUUCUCUGUUCUUUAAUUAUAUAUAGUCUUUUUAAAUAUUUUUACUUUAUGGCAUGCAUGAGAUGUGAUCUUUUCAUGAAUUUAAAUUGAUUAUUUACAGCAAUUUCUGUAUUGAUCAACACUAAUCUAUUUUAGAGAAGACAGCACAGAUAAAAAUAAAGUGUACGGAUUGGUACAUAGGGUUGGUAUGACUAAUGAAAAGUCAUUUAACAUUAUUGGUUAAGUCCUUAAUUUCUUUAUGGUUGUUCGUUAAUCUGCCAAUCAGACGUUGAUUUUGCACAUUAUAUUAUAUUAUAAAAAUAGGAGAGAUCUGGUCAACAUGCUUGUUUGUUAAUAUACACAACUCACCUAAAAUAGGUAGCUCAAUAUUCCAAAUCCUAAUAGAUCUAUAUAAAAUCUUGUUGUUCCACCCAACAUUUUAAUAAAUAAUUUGGUGAAUAUAUAUGUGCUGGACUUCUUUGUUAGCUCCCACACUCUGUCAACUUCUUUCAUCGACCAUCCAGUUGGUUUACGUUUAUUAAUGACGUACGGUUGCCUUAAGAGUUAAUAAAACUAUAUCUAAUCUUUACUUAUCGAAAAUCUCCAAACUAAAAUACAUAAAAUAAACAUUUAUGGAUUCUAUGGGGAUAACCACAUCAACUUUUCAAAUUAAUUUUUUUUUUUCAUUCUACUACACAAGAUGAAAGGUAGAAGGGAGGAAAAGAAGACGGUGAACAAAUAAACUUAACACAUCGAUACCACUAGUCAUAUUGCACUUAACUGGGUGUCUUGCCAAUAUUUUUGCCAGCCCCCAUUGCCACAAAAUUAGGAAGUAAGCUAGACCAUUUGGGACCUUAGGUGGACAGUCACCCAAAUUUUGCAAUAAAGGUAACAAGACUAGGCCAUAGGUCUUCUUGAUCGCCCAUUGGCUCCAUAGAAGUAAGUCAGUUCUCCACGAUGACACAACUUGUUGAUCCUAAUGAAGAAGCUAAGACAUUUGUGGCAUGCAGGCAAUGACAGAAUCUCUACACGACACAACAACCGGAAUAGUAUAAAAUGACAACAACGAAGAUGACUGCAGCUUUAAGUAUAGAAUAGAUGAUAAAUUUUUACCAGAUUAAAUCAUGUGCAAACCUCAUAAAAGGGACACCAAUUAAUCUUGUUCUACAACCUAUAACCAAAAGGAAAAUAUCACUCUACACAGAAGUUUCACAUGUGAAAGCGGAAAUGAAACCUGAUACAUUUCUCUCCUCAGAGGGUCUCAUGUUGUCAAAAUGCUCCGUUCUAAUAAGUGACAAGUUCAGAAUGAGGGCAUCACACCCUUUGUUAAUGCAGGGCAACCUGAUUCAUAGAGUGAGGAAACAAAGAACAGAUACACAUGCCCUUGUGCAACUGUAGCAUACUCUAUAAUUUUUUCUUUUCUGCAGAAAACAACAUUAAUGCAGGUUUGAUACAUUCAGAUGUUCCUUGCUUUCCUCUGAAGACUAUAAAUUUAAGAAAAACAACUUUCUAAGGCAUGUUUUUUGCUAUAUGCACUGUCUGGGUCGGAAAUUAUCAUUUGACAAAAGAGAUCCUAUCAACUUCUCCAACCUCUUUGCCCCUGAAGUGGGUUUGAGGGCGGUGAUAUUUCCUGCGACAGAGCAAGGAUCUGUCCCAUUCUUCCGACUUCCAAUGCACCACCCACCAGGAACAAGCCUGUCUUUACCUCGAAAUAGGAGUUCAGAGUCAAUUUUGUCAAGCACGGGAUCCUCCCUAUGGAACUUUCUAGCAAAAGGAGCAUUACUGUCGACCAUCUUUUGCAUGUCCUCAACUGUAAGGUAAUGCGGAUGCUGCUUUGGAGGGUUGUCCCAUGAUAUGUAGUGAAGAUCACUGUUUACUGUGGUAUUUUGGAACUCCUGAGCAUUACAGAUGACAGUAUGGAAAUAGCCUUCUGGAGAGGAGAUAAAAUUUGCAUAGUACAUAAGAACAGUCCUGGGCAAGUUGUCCCAUCCCCAUAUGCAGAAGUCAAUGAAAGAGCGAGAAAGGACCAUCCAAGCAGAACCUGCAAAGGGAGAGCCAAGAACAAUGUUUCAUAUCUAGUAUGUGGAUUUUCAAUCAGCAACAGUUAUAUUACUAGUAAUAAAAGUUGAUACACAAUUUAUUUAAACUUUCUUUUUUACAAAACUAUUUAAACUAGAUGGGAAUAAAUGAAGCAAUAUUUCUCCAUGUUAAAAUGUUGCCCUUGAAUACUGCUUCUUCAGGAAGUCAAAAAAGGAUAUAUUUCCUUAACCUUCCCUAAAGGAGCUUUCAGAAAGUAAUGAUAAACUGAAACGCGAGCUGCUUCUAUUUUAUACUGACAAUAAAGAACGAGAUUUAAAAGUCUCAUGAUCUUUAAACCAUGUAACCAAAAUUAUAUUCACCGACUGCAGCAAGAGAGAAAAUGGACAAUGUACCCAUACCCUUUAAGUGAAUUCAUUAGCCAUACCCACCCUAUGUAUUUAUUUUCCUCCUGUCGGCUUCAUUAAAAUGGAUUAGUAUUCAAUACAGAAAUAGCUGUCAAUAAUGAGUUUAAAAUCAUGAAAAUAUGAUCCCAGACAGUCUCUCUCGGCAAAAACAUUUGUCUUAGUGAACAAAAUUUCUUGAUUGAAACAGUCCAUCAAGAUGUACGAACAGAACAUGAUUCCUAAUAGCAAAGAGAACAAUGUAGGCAGAAUGAUAUCAACUUCACCUCCAUUUCAUCCACAUGAAUGUAAUUGUUGAUAAAGGUCUCCAUUAGAUGUGUCUGGGGAUAUCUGAAGCUCAGGCAAGCUAAACUCAACAAUGUAGUCGAGGAAUCCUGAAUAUAUGAUAUUUGGGAACCCUUAAAAUCUUCAGACAAGUAAAUGUUUUCAACAAGGUAGUGAACAAAUUCUGAAUUCGCACGGAUUGGGGAACCUUUACCAUCCACCCCAAUGAUAAGUGCAGUUGCUACAAAAAUCAAACACCACUUCCUUCAUGAAGCCUAUAUCAUAAUUCAUUAGUAUUUGGAACCCCCAAUCCUCCAAUGGGUCUGUUAUGGAUUCAUUUUAUCAGUGUCAACUAUCACACAGCUCAAAUACUUCAACGACUGCUCAGUACAAUGGACCAUCUAAUUUAACACACCAGGUGAAUUGCUCUGAUAGCCUUUGUUUCCAUAUACUAAAAACCCAAUUAUUACCCUGUGUUGAUGUGUUGUCAAUUGGCAUAGGAACAUGCAUAAUCUUAUAAAGUAUUUUCACUAUGCAAAGAUUUCUGACUCCUACAUCUAAUUUCCCUAUCUUGAGCUUUAUUAGUUAUAUAAAUGAGAAAUAAUCCUCUUUAAACAGUACAAAAAUUUAGUUUGUACUUGUGAUGCAUGACCUCUUCCAAUUCAAAUAACCAAAUUAUGCUGUACUAAAGCAUGGUGCAAGCUACUUUUCAAGUUCCAGUAAAGCCCACACAAUCCAUUUGGAAAAGAAAGAAGUCAAAGUCGAAAUUCCCUUACAAAGGAAGUAUCAGCUCGUCAUGACCAUUCCUGCAAGUUUUAAUUCAGGUUACAAGGUGGAUGGCACCAAAGUCAAGUCCCCAUCUGGUAUAUGAUAGGCAAUCGAGAUACACGAGGGCAGGGAAAGUACUUUAUGUUCUCCUGCAUUUAUUCUUCACAUUAUUGAACUUUUUAUGUGACCAAAGAAUCAUUUUGGAUCAAUUCAGAUUUGUGAUAGGUUAAAGAAUUGAAAGCAAGACAGGACACACUUUAGCAGGGAUGGACUGAACAAUGAUUAACACACCAUCACAUAAAAAGCAUAUAACAUGUGUUAAAAGGAAAAGUUCAAAUCCUUGAGCCCGAGCAUAAAAUGAUGCCAAACCUCACCAGUAAAAAGCUUAAAAGCUGUUGGCACACUUCUUCUCUGUGUAAUCCAGAAAACAUCUGCCUUUUUAGUCGCAUACAAUCCCGGAUCAACGAUAAUUGGCUUUGCCCUUUGGAACCUUCAGAAUCAGGAGCCAAGUUUAGCUCACAUAAUUAAACCCUUAAUUCUGAACCAAAAUUAGAAUGACGAAAGCAUAUCUUUUGUGGUUGCAGAUAGAAUAACUUACUCUUUCCAUCCAAUUUUGCUUGUAUGAUCAAUGAAGUUAAGAUCCCGGGGCAAAUACGAAAAUGUAUGAAGCAGAUCUAAUCAAACAAAGAAAAGAAUAAAUCAACAUCCUCCAUUUAAUCAAAGGUGCAUUAGAUAUACAGUAAAAAUUAAUGUGUUUUACCAUCUUGAGUAACAAGUGGGUAAUCAGAGGCGCUGAGAUUAAUGAACCAAUCCCAUUCCCCAGCUUGUUUGAGCAAAAUAGCAGCGGCGUGAAGGGUAUUAGCAACCAUAGUAGGACCCCGGUAGGUAACCAGAUUAGCUUUCGUAAUCAUCCGAACAUUCUUGAAUUGGAUAAAAAUUGGAUGAUUGGUAACAAAGUUAUGCAGAUCGAGACGCUCCUCCGGUGAAGAUUCAGCAUCGAGAUGCACUACAUACUGAUUAUUAGGGUGAUAAAGAGCUUGAAGGGUUCUCUUGAGCAUGUUCCCAUCGCCGGCAGAACCUGACACGAGGUAGGCAAAGCGAGGGGGUGGAGGAACAGUGUAGACAGGUAAAGGUUUAAGCUUGGAUUCAACAAAUACAUUAGCUGCGGAAUAGGAUGAAUAGUAACGGUAAAGGGGCAAAAGAGGAGUUCCAUCUGGUGAUGUUAGGGUUGUUAAAAACAAGAGAAAAAGGGAAACAAUGGAACCUAUAGCAAGUGGAAAGAUCCACUUCCUCUCGAUUGUUGUUGGGUGUCUAAGGUGCAGAUAAUAGGUUUUCAACUUCUUCAUUUCAAUCUCUUUUCAUCAACAAAGCUCCAGAAAAAAGAUUGAAAUGGGGUUUUUCAAACUGAUCUCUAAACAACUAAUGUGGUGUAGCGGCGGAGGAAUUGUGAACAUGUCAUUCUUUCUUCUAAAUCAAACACAAUUACAAUAAUUGCGUAAUUAGAACAACAAAAUUCAACAUUUAAACUGUAUACAACUAAUAUUUGUAUAUAUUUAUUUAUGGGUGUUAACAGUGGUGGAAUGUAGUUAGGUGGAAAAAUGAAAAAUGGAACUUGUACUUAACUGCUGCAAAAAUAAUGGAGGCCGGCAAUGUUAUCUUCUUUUUUUCCUUCUUCGAUUUGAGUACAGCAGCACUAAUAGUAAGAGUUACAUCUUCUCUAUGCUUCUUUAAUAAAUAGUUAAUUGUUUUUAAUUUCAAAAAAUAAAAUAUUAUUCCAUAUAAUAAAAAAGUAUAAAUAAAAACAUAAUCUUAUUGUAGUAUUUUUAAAAAUAUAAUAGUGUAAUUAAUGGUAAGAGUAAACUAAAAAUUAUAUAUUGAUUUUAAAAAGUAGACAAAUAUUAUUGGACAAUUAUAUAAAAUAGUAUUUUUAUGUUAACAUUGUAAAAAAAAAAAGAAAAUAUUAUUUAAUAACUACCAGCAUUAAUUAAGUGAUUAUAUGAAAAGUCAAUAACGAAAUUUAUUAAAUUUUACUUUUAUAUUAGGAGGAAAAGUGGUAGAAAUAAAUUAGGUACUUUUUUAUUCUAAGCAAUAUAAAGAUGAAUUUUAUAUUUAAAUUUAAUCAGUCAAAGUAUAGAGUCUCUGUUUUUUGUAUUAUUAAGUAACGUGUAGAAUAUGAAUCAAACUAUUGAAUUUAUGUAGUAUUAAUUCACAUAUUAAAUUUGUACCUCUCAAAAAUUAAUUAUAGAUAAAUGCUUAUAAGGGUGAAGUUGAAUACACAUUUAAAAAAAAAGCUAAACUUAAUGAAUAAUGAAAUUCGUUAUAAGUUAGAAAUUUCAAUUUUAAAUCUAUUGUUUAGAUAUUACUAAUAAAACUUUAAAAAUUACUUAUUAUGACGUCAUAACAUAAAGGUUAAAUUUGCCCGGCCAAAAAAUAACUAUACAUAAAUAUUUUCCAUACUGCAAUGCAUAUAAUUAAUUAAAUUUAUCACAUAUUAUAUUUGUUUUGCGUGUUUGAAGUGUCUACGGACCCGUGACAAAGGAAUCAUCUCAUGACUUGUGACGUCUUAGCUUCCUUGAGUAAUCUGGAAGUCUUUUUUCUUUUUGCUUUUUAAAAAACAUAUAUAUAUAAAUAUUAAAUGUUUUAUAUUUAUAUUUCGAUCCGAUUAGAUUUAGAUAAUUAAAUUUAUGUAUUAUUGAGCUUAUCCCUAAGACAAUGCUCUUAACAUGAUAUUUUCAUUCUAAAAAUAAAAUCUAAAAUCUCUAAUUAAAAAAUAAAUAAAUUUCAAUCAUUUAUUAUAACAUAUUAUUAUUAUUAUUAUUAUUAUUAUUUAUAGGAAGGUUUCUAGCUAUUGUUUUAAAAGAUAUUUGGCCCCAAUGCCGGCCCAUGGUGCGCAAUUGGUAUGGUUGGAUUUUGUAGUUAUUUGAUGUUACAACAUACGUCUUACAACAAUCGGAUAAGGAAAAAUUGCUAUUUCGUUUCAAUAAUUUUUUUUGAAAAAUAUGAUUCUAAACUAAAAUUAUGUAGAAUAAAUAUAAAAUAUCUCAAGUUGAAACUAAAGAAUUUAUAAUGUUAUAUAUAUAAAGAAAAAGUAAGAUAACUAAAUUAAAUCAAAGAAUUAUAAUUAAUCGAUCAUAACAUAAUUGGUUAUAAGUUAUAACUAAAUACAUAUCUCAAUAAGGACACUUUAUCAAGUUACAAGUAUAUGAUUAGAUCAACUCAAAUAAUCAGGGGCUCGAGAGGAAAAAUAAAGGAGAUUUUUCGAGGAUUAAAAUAAUAAAAUGACUGUUAAUUUAAAAUAUAUUUGACGAUAGAAAUUACGAUAUAGCAUAUUUGAAGAAUCAAAAGAAACUUUAUUUGACUAAGAAUUUUUCAGAUAUUUUGAUUUAUAUUACUUUAUCUGGUUUAUAAAUGUGUAAAAGAUAAAUAGAAUAAUUUUUUUUGAGUUUAUAGGUGAUAAUAAUAUUCUGAAUCAAAUAAUAUAAAUUAAAUGAAAUUAAUAUUUUUUUAAUUUUUGAACUAAAUGUAAAUGUAUCAACUAUUAUUAUUAUUUUUUCAAACAAUCACACUAAAAUGUGUAGCUUAGUGUGAUCAGUAAAGUGGGAGGAGGGAGAAAAUAAAUGAGAUUUCAACAAAAAUAAAAAUAAAAUCAUUAAUUUCUUCUUAUCUAUUUAAGUCAAUAUUACAAUUAUAAAAGAUUUUUAGAAAAAUCUUUAAUAUUUCCUCGAAGAAACUUCCUCACUCGUUUAAAAUGCAGUGGCACAAAUAGCUUGUAAAUUAUGAUUAUUUUACUUUCUAAUUUAACUUUGUUUCUAACUUAAUUAUGUUCUUUUUAUCACGUUAGAUUGGUCCGUUGUCCAUACAUUAGAAAACCAAAUCUUUUUUGUCCCCUUCUUUUAAUUAAUAAACCAUGGAGGCAGAUAUCAAGUUAAACUAUUGAGGCAAAUAUCAUAUAUUUGAAACUCGAUAAAUAAUAAAUUGAUUUAUAUUUUUUUUUCACUUAAAUAUCAUGUUUUUGAUAAAUAAUAAAUUAACUUAUACAUUAUUUUUCAUUUAAAUAUUCUAUUUUUGUAUAUAAAAGAAUCAAAUAUAAUGAUAUGCGUUUAAUUCACAUAUCAUAUGGUGUCCACACCGUUAAAUCAAAGUCAUGUUAACUUUUUUAUAUAUUGUUUUAUUACAUUAUCAUAUAAAUUUUAUCAAAGAAAUCAUAAAUACCUUUCAAUAUUCUAGGUUUAAACCAUCAAAUUCGUAACCAUGCUCGUCUCCAAAAGACUUGUAAGCAGAUUUUAUUUUUUCCCAAGAGCAUAUGUCAUAAAAUCCUUCUUUUUAUUGUAUUUGAUAGCCGUUUUGAAAUAGAUUAAAUUUAAUGGGAGUUCAAAAUUUUUAUUUGCGAUAUAUAAAAAGUGAUAUUUUUUUCGUUUCAAAUUAAUUGAAUUGUUAAGAUAUUUCACAUUCUUUAAAAAAAGAAGAUUAAGAUCUCGUACUUGGAUUGACUUUGGCUUAUAAGUUAUAAGUUGAAAGUCAUAAAUUAAGAUUUCUAACUUAUGACUUUUGACUUAUUUUUGUUAUUUUGACUUUAAAAUAUAUUUUACUUUACUCAAAUACUUCAAAUUUGCUUAAAAGGUAUUUUUACUUAAUAAUAUCUAAAAUAAGUAAAUCCAAAUAAACAUAUAAAUUAGGAUAACUUUCCAUUUACUCUUAUUAAUUAGUGUCAAAUUUAUUAUUAAAAUAACUAAAUAUUAUAAAGUAACUAAUUUCAAUACUAACUAAUGAAGGAUAAAAUCAAGAAAACAUUCUAAAAAUAGAUUUGAAAAUUAAACAAUUAAAUUAAUUUAAAAAAUAAAAAUAUAUCUCAAUAAUUUAAAAAGAAGGGAGUACUUAUUUCAAUUCGAAUUCGAAAACUCUGAUGGAAGGGAUAAGUUGUGUCAUAGUUGAUACAGAAAAGGGUCAAAAUUGUCCCUGCACUAUGUGAAAUAGAUUAUUUAUAUCCUCCGUUACAUUUUGGGAUAAAAAAUGUCCCUACUGUUAUCCUAAGAGACCACAUAUAAUCUCAAGAGGUAACACCCCAUAUUUUUACUGACUUGGCAAGCCACGUGGGACUAAUCCUUCCACCUAAGCAUUGCCAACUAGAAGUCAUUACAAAAGAACUAAGACCUUUAGCGUCGAGAAUGGUCGCCACAAAAGCUCAAAAAAUCAAUUUUUAUUGUGUUUUUUUCUUCAUUAUUUUUUAAAAAAACAAAAAUAAUACGAUUAAAUAGGAUUUUGAAGACACUGUAUGAUUUAUUUUUAUGUUAUGUAUCAAUGUAUAAAAUGUACAAUGAUGCAUUAUAUAAUAGGAAAUGUGAAUUGAGAAGUAAUUUUCAUGAUUUUUCAUAAUAAUAUUGGGUGUUUUUAAUAUUAAUAUUGUAAGUUAUUUAUUUUAUAAAAUUAGGUUGCAAUCGAAAAUUAAUUAUCAUAUUUUUUAAUUGAAAAAUAGAUUUUACUAUUAGUUGUCACUAAAAGUCACUCAUAACCUUUAGUGACAAUACUUUGAGAUUUUGUGGCAACUUUGUUGCCACUAAUAAUCAAGUUUUUUCGUAUUGAAUUUUAGUUGACAACGCUUAGAGGAAGUAAUUAGUCUCAUGUGGCAUGCCAUGUCACUAAAAAUUUGAAUGCUAACUCUUGAAGAUAUUUAUGAUGGAUAAUAAAGAGAUAUUUUUAUUUCAAAAUGUAAUGAAGGAUAUAAGUGAUCUAUUUCGUAUUAUUCGCAAACAGAUUUGCCCCUUUUCGGUAGUUAGAUAUUUAAGUGCGGAUAAAACGUAGUAUGAAUCUUGAGGUUAAUGGUUGGAGUUGGACCCAUGUUCCCCUUUGAACGGUGCAAUGUCCUCUCUUUUGUUCUCCCCUUCUUCUUCUUCCUCCGGUUACUGCCUUCCAUUUUCUCAACCAUAUCGAAUCACUAUCCUCUUUCAUUACACCAAACGUAAACCACUUCGAACCCAUUUCGUCCUCCUUUCUCUCUCCGCCACAAAAGAUGUCUGGAGAAAGACAACGCCGCCGUUUUCGCCUUCCAAAUACCGGCCUUACCGCCGGAAUCCACAGUCAACCUCGUUCUUGGACCACAGCGUCGACAUGGACGAUCUAUUGUCUUCAAUUGGACAGACUGCUAAUGAGCACGAACUGUUUGCGUUAAUGUCGCCUUACAAAGGUAGAAAUCUUUCGAUGCGGUUCAUGGUCACGCUACUCUCACGUGAGUCUGAUUGGCAGCGAUCGCUAGCUUUGCUUGAUUGGAUAAAUGAAGUAGCUCUUUACACUCCCUCUGUGUUUGCGUACAAUGUUGCAUUGCGAAAUGUACUACGAGCGAAGCAGUGGCAGCUUGCAUAUGGGCUGUUUGAUGAAAUGCGUCAAAGAGCUUUGUCACCUGAUAGGUAUACUUACUCCACUCUCAUUACCUAUUUUGGAAAAGAGGGGUUGUUUGAUGAUGCUUUAUCUUGGCUUCAGAAAAUGGAACAGGAUCAUGUGUCUGGUGAUCUUGUUCUGUACUGUAAUUUGAUAGAAUUGUCAAGAAAGCUGUGUGAUUAUACUAAGGCGAUUUCGAUUUUUUCUAGACUGAAAACAUCAGGGAUUACUCCUGAUCUUGUUGCUUACAAUACUAUGAUUAAUGUUUUUGGAAAAGCAAAGCUUUUUCGCGAAGCUCAGUUGUUGGUCAAAGAGAUGAGGUCAGUGGGUGUUUUGCCGGAUACAGUGAGUUACUCAACUCUCUUGACGAUGUACGUUGAGAACCAAAAGUUUUUAGAGGCUCUAUCUGUUUUCUCCGAGAUGAAUGAGGUGAAGUGCCCUCUUGAUCUCACAACUUGUAAUAUAAUGAUUGAUGUUUAUGGACAGCUCGAUAUGGCCAAGGAAGCAGAUAGAUUGUUUUGGAGUAUGAGGAAAAUGGGAAUUGAACCAAAUGUUGUCAGCUACAAUACUCUUCUGAGGGUUUAUGGUGAAGCUGAGCUUUUCGGGGAAGCUAUACAUUUGUUUAGGUUGAUGCAAAGAAAAAAUAUUGAACAAAAUGUUGUCACUUACAACACCAUGAUUAAGAUAUAUGGAAAGACACUGGAACAUGAGAAAGCCAACAAUCUUAUUCAGGAAAUGCAGAACAUAGGAAUUGAGCCCAAUGCUAUUACCUACUCGACCAUAAUAUCUAUAUGGGCUAAAGUGGGAAAACUAGAUCGAGCUGCUAUGUUAUUCCAGAAGCUGAGGAGUUCCGGAGUUGAAAUUGAUCAAGUUCUAUACCAGACAAUGAUUGUAGCAUAUGAAAGAGCUGGUUUGGUUGCACAUGCUAAACGUUUGUUACAUGAGUUGAAGCGCCCUGACAAUAUUCCUAGAGAAACUGCAAUAACAAUUCUUGCUGGAUCUGGACGAAUAGAGGAAGCUACAUGGGUGUUCAGACAAGCUUUUGAUGCUGGAGAAUUGAAGGAUAUUGCAGUUUUUGAGUGUAUGAUAGAGUUAUAUUCCAGAAAUAGGAAGUACACCAAUCUCAUUGAGGUAUUCGAGAAGAUGAGUGGAGCAGGAUAUUUUCCUAAUUCUAAUGUGAUUGCUCUAGUCCUUAACGCUUAUGGGAAGCUGCAGGAGUUUGAAAAGGCAGACAUGGUAUAUAAAGAGAUGCAUGAAGAGGGAUGUGUUUUCUCUGAUGAAGUUCACUUUCAAAUGCUUAGUCUUUAUGGUGCUAGAAGGAAUUACGAGAUGGUUGAGACACUCUAUAAGGUGCUAGACUCUGAUCCUAAUGUUAACAAGAAAGAGUUGCAUCUUGUUGUUGCUGCCAUUUAUGAAAAAGCAAACAGAAUGAAUGAUGCAUCUCGAAUUAUAAAUCGGAUGACUUAUAGAGGAGCUAUGUGAUCUUAACUCUUGUAUGCUUGAAAGUAAGUAAUAUUUGUUAUAAUAGAUUGCGUUUGUUUAUAAUAUGAAUUGAGAAUUUAAGCUACAUGACAGUUAUUUUUCUAAUUCCAUGUAAAUGUAUAGUACAGUCUCUUGUAGUUAUUUUUUCACCAAAUCUUUCAGAAUUUUUUAUCUAAAUUAGUUUCAUAAACCAUACUCACUUGUUUGGUUACAUAUAAAAAUUACUAAAUCUUUGUAACACAACUUAAUCAUGCUACAAAUACAUUGACCCUUUUAGUAGAGAACUUUAUGCUAAUGUGUUUAUAUACUGGAAUGUAAUAUUAUACAUCUUUCUCAAUAACUAGACAUCACAAUUAAAAAAAAAAAUGUUUAAGAACAUUUUCUAUUGAUCUAAAUUUACCCAGAUUCAAUCGUGCAGUAAGAAUCUGCAAUGUUUAUCUCUAUAUAGUAUAUAUACUAUAGGAAUUAAGAAAAAGAAACAAAAUAUUGAAUGAAUCUAUGUUUAUUGAUAUGUUAAUAGUCAAUAAUUUAACAAUUAGAAGAUAUGAUAAAUAUUAACUAAAAGAAACAAGACUUUAAAGAAGAAAAAAAAAAGAGAAGAAGAAACAAGUUAAAUACUAUCGGUCGAAAUUAGGAUAUGUAGCGGUAGGAUGUUGUUGUCUAUAGAAUUCAAGUUGAGACCGUACAUCCUGAAGUUCUUGCAAACUAAUCUGUAAUUGUUGGCGAAGAUACGAAAUACACUCCACACAUCCAUAAACAGGAAACUUGGCCCUCAUAUCAGAUUCAAAAAUUAUAGAUUUCAUAGCGUCUGAUUUUUGAUCUUCGUCUUUCAAUUCCUGCAAUAUUUUUACUAUGUUACGUACACCAAAGAGACGAUGUGCAUUUUGAAACUUUUUAGGCUGAUUCGCUGGGAAAUAAGGAGCUAAAACACAAUCUGAAGUACAUUUUCUUCUUUGGUACUUGCAUGCAGCACAAGAUACUCGACUCAUUUACACUUUUUUUUCUUCUUUUUUUUAACUAUAUUUUUUUUUCUAGAAUAGAUGAGAGAGGAGAGACUUUUUAUUUUCAAAUUUUUCAUAUAUCUUUUUAUCUUAACAAUAACUCAUGUUGGAAUAUCUAAGAGGAGACUGUUUUAACUUUCAAAUUUGACAUCAGGUACUAUUUUAUCUCAACAGAAAAACAUUUUGAAUUUGUUAAGCAAAGACCAAGUCAAUAUUAUGAUAUCAUUUGUUUCAUCAAAUACAACUUUGUUUUACUACUCCACAAUCACUCAAAUAUUAAUAUUUCUAACAUGUAAUUUUGCUUUAAGCUAAAUUUUAAAGGAAUAAAAAAGGUAGCCAUCUGAAUCAUUUUGCGUCCCAGUGUGUCUUAUCAAUAAAAUUUAAAUUCCUUUAGCACAAAGUCAUCUAGAGAGUGUUUUAUCCAUAUCGAAGACUUAAAAUUCAAAUUUAAUCAGACUCAAUCAAUAUUGUUAAAAAAGAAAAUAGAAAAUAGUAAAUCGUAAAUCCAAAUGUGAAACAUCGUACAUGUUAUACUGCUAAUGUCUAUUUGCCAAAUGGUGAUGGUAGUUAGAUUUCCUAGUUUUUGCUACUAAUUACGAACUGAUUUAUAGUGUAAAUUUUUUUUUCCACAUUGCGCUUAAAAACAAGUUUUGACGACCUAUGAUAGAAUAGCACUAAUAAUAAUGUGAUAAAAAGUAAAAGAGAAGGUGUAAUUUAAUUUAAUUUUCGAAAGUUUACCCACUUGGAAUUACCUAACAAAUUUAAUUUUUUAAAAUUUACCAUUUUACUUUUUAUUUUACCUGAACAGAAACAUAUGUUGAGAGGAGACUAUUUUAAACUUUCAAAUUUGACAUCACUCAACAGAAAAAAAUAACAUGUUGAAUUAGUUGGAAUAAUUAUGAUGUCAUUGUUUAUUUUAUUAUGUCAUCAUAAUUAUUCAAUGUUUAUUAUAUAAACAAAUAAAAUUUAUUCAAUGUUUUAUUAUAAUAAUAUUUAUUUUAAAAAAUUAUUUUGAAAAAAUAAAUGUGGGUUUGGGUUGAUAUUUUAUAAUUUUAUUCAAUGUUUUUAUAUAAACAAAUAAAAUUUAUUUUAAAAAUCAUCUUUCAAUAAUUUUUGGGGCCACUGGUGUUAUUUUAAUUGAUCAUGUCAUGUCACAGAGAGUGUAUCUCACACAGUUCAUAAUUUUUGCUGAUUAUAUAAACAAAUAAAAUUUAUUCAAUGUUUUAUUAUAUAAACAAAUAUAAAAUUUAUUCAUAAUUUUUGCUGUUUAUGAAAGAAUAUUUAAUAAGAACAAAUUUUGAAUAGAUAAAACUGCUUAAUAAGUAAUAAUAUUAGUUGAUGUAUCUAAAUGAAAUAUGCGGACAACUUUAAGUGAUUGUAGAUGAUUUAAGCCUAAAAAUAGAUGAAAAAAGGAUAAAAAGUACCAGCUUUGUUUUAUUAGUUGACUAUGCCCUUACCAUUAAAGUGAAAUUAUUUUUUACCCAUAUCAUUACUGAUUUCACCAUAUAUAUAAAUAUACCCCUCAUUUGAUGGAAAUCCCCAAUUUGUUCUUUGUUCAUCUCUUGGGUUAAGUGUUAUAGGGCGGGCAUGGAUUUCAAAAUGGAUAAUGGGUCAUUUUUUAAGAUUCGGGUUAAUUUAAGUUGAUUUGGAAAUUUUUGUCAAAUGAGGAAUAAUAUAUGAUGAAAUUAAUCAUGAUAGAGGUAAAAAAUAACUUCACUUUAACGAUAAAGUUAUAGUCAACCAAUAAAAUAAAGUUGAGAGAUAUUUUUGACCCUUUUUCCAAAAUAUAUUACAAAAUUUGGCAUUAAUACUAUGAGAUGUAACUUAAGGAUCCAAUGUAACACCUAUAUUAAAACUCCUCAGCGAUCCUUAUAAAACAUAUGUAUAUAUAACAAGUACCCAUUUUGAACAAAAAAAACUUGACCUAGCCACCUAGGCUUAUUAAAGAUUGAUAUUGAUUUUACCAUAUCAUAUCAAAUCUAAGGAACAGUAAUGAAAUAAUGAAAGAAAUUAAAGUAAUCUGUACCUCUAAUUAAAUUCAUACUUGUAUUUUCAAUUAAAAGAUUGAUAUUGAUUUACCAUGCCAAAUUUUUCUAUCCGAGUUGAUAAAAUUUGAAAGUUUUUCUUUUUUUCCUUUUAUUUAAAUUCAACGACUUUCAAUUAAAAGAUUGAUAUUGAUUUACCAUGCCAAAUUUUUCCAUCCGAGUUGAUAAAAUUUGAAAGUUUUUCUUUUUUUCCUUUUAUUUAAAUUCAACGACUAGUUGUUGAUCAGGUGACAAUAUAAUUUGCAACGUUAAUUUGGUCCUCUAAUUUUUUUUUAGCUAAACGACAUAUAUAUUUUUUUUCCAUUUGUACGCCGCAACAACUAGCCCAAUUGUUGUUUCCUAUAGUUGAAAUUUCAAAUAUAUUUUAGAGCCAGGGAAACAUGUGCCGUGCCCAAAGCAUCCAAAAAAAGUUGAAUUUUUGAAGUCAACCCUCCCAAGUCAUCGAUUUGAACAGUACAAUUUCUCGAUUUUAAUUUAUUUCUUUUAGCCCAUUUAAAUUUUGUUUCUAGCAAUUCUUUGAUUUUAUUUUUAUAUAUGCCAAAAUAUGUUCAACAUAAUAAGAUUUAAGAUAAAUUUGAUAGAACAGUAACAAAUUAGAAUAAGACAAAUAAAUUAAAAAACGAAAGAAUAGUAUUGGAAAGCAGAGUCCUUUAAAUAACUGACCAUAAGAAGCAGGGAGUACCAAACAAAUAAUUGCUUUACAAAAAUUAAGAGAUAAUGGAGUUCUUCAACAGAGCUAAAGUUGUUCGGCUCAAAGGUCAUCUUGGCAAAUACCUUGUCGCCGAUGAUGACGAAAGAACUGUCCGUCAAAGCCGUAAUGGGUCAUCAAAAAAGGCAGGUUGGAUGGUGGAAAUGGUUCAAGGCAAUCCUCACCUCAUUCGUCUCCGGAGUUGCAAUGACAAAUAUUUAUCGGCAUCUGAGGACGCUUUCCUCCUUGGCAUGACGGGUAAGAGAGUACUCCAAGCAUUACCAGGUAGCACGGCGGAUGGUUUAAUUGAAUGGGAGCCAAUAAAGGAAGGAUAUCAAGUGAAAUUAAGGACAAGAGGAGGAAAAUUCUUGAGGGCUAAUGGAGCAACACCUCCAUGGAGAAAUUCUGUAACUCAUGAUUUACCUCAUAGGACUGCUACACAAGAUUGGGUAUUAUGGGAUGUGGAUGUGAUUGAUAUAUCUGUACUGGAUUCUGAAUCCUUACAGAGUUAUCCUUCAACUCUAUCGACCUUUUCUUCUUUUGCGGAGGAUGAUUUUAACGAUUAUUCUAACAUUCGUCGCUCUGUUUCUGAAAUUCCCAGCUGUCCAUCAAUUUCAUCAGAUCGGUCUUCAUGUUCAAGUUCCAGACAGGUAUGACAAUUAGUGGUCACAAAUGGAUUAAAUUUGAACGGAUAAAAAUCAAUAAAUGAGUUAUAGUUUUAAACAAAUGUGUCAUAACUCAAUCGUACGAAUUUGGAAAUUGAUUUGAUUUUUAUACUUUUGUUUUGGCUAGUUAAUCUGAUGCUUCCUUUGAUCUAUGAAUGUAGAAUGGCAUGGAAUUCUUCGACAGAGCUGAAGCAGUUAGACUUCAGAGCCAUCUCGGAAAGUACCUACUGGCGGAUGAAGACGAACAAACUGUUCGACAGAGCAGAAACGGAUCAUCGCACAGGGCGCGAUGGACAGUUGAAUUAGUUGCCGGAAAAAACAAUUUAAUUAGACUGAAAAGCUGCUAUGGGCUGUACCUAACAGCAACUGAACAACCAUUUCUUUUGGGAAUGACUGGUAAAAAAGUUGUUCAAGCUCUUUCAACAAAGAAUAUGGAUGGGUCAAUUGAAUGGGAACCAAUAAAAGAAGGAUUUCAUGUGAAGCUUAGAACAAAUGAAGGGAAAUAUUUGAGGGCUAAUGGAGCAACACCACCAUGGAGAAAUUCUAUAACACAUGAUGUUCCUAACAGGACAGCUACUCAAGAUUGGGUUAUGUGGGGAGUAGAAGUUGUGGACAUUACUAUUUCAGAUACUAAUGAAUCAGUAUCGACGAGUUUAUCGCCAGCGUCAAGUUUCAAUUCCGUGCUCGAUCAUUACACAACUUCUCCUACUGGAUCCCCAAAUGUCGUAAACUACCGAUCCAAGAGGUCUAUGAACACAAAGGUACUACAUUUUUCGAUAAGUUUAACUUAUAUAAUCGUCUGUAGAAUCAUGAAUGACAUGGCUAAAUUGAGUCAAUAAUGUGAAUAUGUUUAAUCCUUUUUACAUAAGCAACGAUGGAAAAUAUCUUGUUUUCUUCCACUAGGCCACGUACUAGUCAACAACCUAAUUUGGUAGGGUCAAUAUGCAAGGCUGGAAUAUUUAUUUUGCCAUGUCGAUCAAUUGUAGUAAUUUGAAAAUAUGUAUAUCGAAUCUUCAAUAGUCAAAAUCAUUAAAAAGGUUAACGUCUAAAGUGACAGCAAGAUUAAAAUAAAAAAAAAGUUAGGGCCUCCUUGGAGAGUAAAUUUGGUGUACAAUUGAACGUCAUCAUACAGUUUGACAUACUAGUCAAGUAAUUACUCAAUCACAUGAUACUGAUUAUUCAGUGUAGUUUAAGGAACAGUUAAAUGAGCUAAAUUUCUUACAAGUUUUCAAUUAAAAAAAAUAGGAUAAGUGGUCGGUUCCUUUUCUUUUUUUUUUUACUUUUUCAUUUUUAAUAUUAAUAAAAAAACUAAAUUAAUAAAAUCUUUUGUAGUUGUCUGAACAAUUACUGAAAUUAUCUAGAUAAGUUAUAAAGUUCUUGUACAACUGGAGUUGUCGAGCGACUAAAGAAGUUGUCCCAAUAAAUUAAGUUUUUUCCAAAGGAGUUGGGUUAUAUGCAAUUUAUUUUUCUACUUUUCUUAAAUAUGUCAUUUUCAAACUUAUUUUCUUACAGAAAAUAUUUUCGAAACAUUUUGAUAUGCCAAACUUUUUCCAAGGCAAUGUACAAAAAUAAAAGAAAAAUAUACAUAAAAAAAGUUAAUAUACAACUUAUUAAUUUAUCUAUCUUACUUAUAUUUUUAGUUUAUUCUAAAAAAAUAGUAUUUUUCUAUUCAUAACAUAACUUACAUACAUUUUAUUUGUUUAAUUUAAUAAAAUAAGAUUCAAAAGUCCAUUUACUUUUUAAAAAAUAAAUUUAGUGUCAAAUCAAAAUCAGAUAAAUAGAUUAAAACGUGAGAUUACUAUUUUCAUCUCUCAUGUGACAUUACUUUAAUAACCAUUAAUGAACGCCUUUAGCUUCCAUUGUUAGUUACUUGAUAAAUUUCCAGAUCUUUUUUCGCGUGUCCAUCCACAUGGAACAUUCUUUCUAAAUACUCAAAGAAUCACUAUACAUGUGAAUUUCUAGAUUUUUAAAAAUAAAAAUUAGUUUUAUAAAGCGUUGUUUGAUCAUUGCAAUUUUUUUAAACCAUUGCAGAAUUCUGGGAUGGAAUUCUUCCAGAAAGCUAAAUCGGUUAGGCUAAAAAGCCGACAUGACAAAUUCUUAUUAGCAGAUCCUGAUCAAGAAACGGUGUACCAAGAUCGCAAUGGAACUUCCCAGGGUGCAAAAUGGACAAUUGAAUUCCCUGAAGAAGUCGAAAAUGUUAUCAGGUUGAAGAGUUGUUAUGGAAAAUAUCUAACAGCCACAGAUGAUCAAUUCCUUUUUGGUGUUACGGGUUGUAAAGUUGUUCAGAGUUUGCCUAAAAAGUUAGAUUCCUUAAUUGAGUGGGAACCAAUGAAGGAUGGAUUCUUAGUGAAGCUUAAAACCAGAUAUGGGAAUUAUUUACGCGCAAAUGGUGGAUUACCCCCUUGGCGAAAUUCAAUUACACAUGAUAUACCUCAUAGACAUCACGAUUGGAUCUUAUGGCAAGUGGAUAUUGUUGAAAUAUUGCCAGAAUCAGAAAUUAUUCCUCAAUCACGAUUGGACGAUAAUUCCAGCUCUUCUUUUCAUUUUACAUCCCCUACAUAUCAUGAGAGUGAGGUUAGUUUACUCGAAAAACAGCUAAGUCUUUGUUCUUCAAUCAUAAUGCAAUAUGAGAUGUGAUUGUUAUUUAUUUCUCCAUUAUUUAAUUUUUCAGUCAAGAGAUGCAUUUGAUGCUUCCACGGUGAAGUCUGAAGGUCGGUUGAUCUAUUACCAUGUGGCUGAUGAAAAUGGAUAUGCAAAUGAUGCAGUGGAAGGGCCAUCUUUUCAAUUCAAAGGGCACAGUGUAGGGGAACUGACUCAAAAGUUGGAGGAAAUAACAGGGAUGGAUGAUAUUACUGUCUGUUCACGAAAUAAAUUCAAUGGGAAUCUAUAUCCACUCCGUUUAGCAUUGCCUCCAAACAACGCGGAUAUGAAUGUUGUGGUAGUUCCUGCAUCAGCCAAAAGUAAGUAGAAUUCUCCAUCUCCGUGUGAAAGAAGUUGCAACACUUCUAGAUGCAUGCCACAUGCUAUUGGUUAAGUUUUGCAUCUGUAAUUACUGCAGAUUUUGUUCAAGAUAAUGAAAUUUUAAUGAGUUUAGACUAGAAGCAUGGGCGAUUUUGGAUGUAUACACCAAAUCGAUGAAAUUCAUACCAGAACCAUAAUCUUUAUAUUUGGUUUCCUAUUAAGUAUGUCAUUCUAACUGAUGAACCACCGUGACUCCUUGCAAUCAAGUGUUUUCUUCUGUCUCUAUUAGCCAGUGUUUUAUGGCUAAUUGACAGUACCCAUAAAACUUGAUAUACUCAACUUCUUUUGUUUAAAGCUGAAGAAAGGGAAAUUUUAGGAAAAACUCAUAAACGACAAAACAUUCAUUACAACAUUCACAAUAAAGGAAAAACCAAAAUGAAAAAUUGCUUUCAUUUACUUUCUCAAUAGAUAUGAAACUAAAUUCUCAUACAACAACAAAUUCUUAAAAGAAAAGGCUCCUGGCUUCUGUAAGAAAAUUUCCAAGAGAAGAAUGUGUGGAUAUCAAUCUAGUAUACACCGUAUUCCUAAAGUAAAAUACAUGUGAUUGCGAUCAUCACACCAGAUAUAAAUGCCUAAUAUUCAUUGCAUGACUAGUAAGAAUAUUGUCAACAGGAGCACAAGUCUCGAAUGUUGAUGAUCCACCAUUGUAUAGAAAGAAUGGAUCUUUCAGCAACUCUUCUGCAGACGGCCUAACAGACAUGGGAAGUAUACACUUCUCAAUAAUAUCUCUCACUCUGUAGUCCUUCACAUUUCCAAGAGACACUGGCUUUACACCAGUGUACACUUUCUUAAAUGUAUGCAUCUGAUUCCUGCAUUCCAUAUAUGGAUAUUCACCGGUAACCAUCUCAAGAAGACACAUCCCGAAUGAAUAUGCAUCAACCAACUCAUUGUAUUCUCCAUUAUAGCACUCUGGAGCCAUGAAUUCAGGGGUACAUUUAGGCUCUUUUUCUUUCACAAAAUCACCAUCCAUAAUACAAACAGCCAGCCCAAAUUGCUUCCCAUCACUAGCAACGAACACAUUGUCACAUUUGAUGUCUCGAUGAAUAAUCUUAGGGCUCUGGCUAUGGAGAAAACACAAACCUUGCAGAAUCUGUCUUCCCCAAUUCUUGAUACUCACCAAAUCAACACCAACACCAUUAUGAAUAUACUUUUUUAAGCUGCCCGAGGAGAAUAACUCCGUGAUCAUGUUCAAAAUUUUGGACUCUGAAUCAACCCAAUAAUGGUAACACUUAAUAAUUCUUUCAUGGUUUAAGGACUUCAACAGAGAAGGAAAAUUUCUCUACAACUCUGUAGAACUCGUCAUCCAUUGUGCAAACACGAACAAUAACUCAAAUUCAAAUUUGAAGAAAUUAAAAAAAUAUGAGGUGAUCAAACUAAUGCUAAGGGUUACCAAUAGUAGUCCUAGUUAGGAAAAAACUAAAAACUUAUUUGAUCUGGAUUGUGUAAAUGAAGAGAUUAGGACUUAGAAAAGUUCCUAAAUUCUUUAUAGAAAAUAAUACGUAAUUAGAUUAAUUUAAUUAAAACUUAAUUAAUCUUUCUAUUUAUUUUUACUCGUGUACUUUUGGCCUAUCAAGAGAGCAACAUUUUAUUAUUUUGAAGAAAAAAAACUCAAAUAGGAUAGUAUACUUCCAUUUAUAAAAUCAUUUAAAAAAAUAAAUUAACCUUAUAGUAAUAAAUCAAUAACCACUAUUUUUUUAUUCAAUUUCAAUCGAUUCAGUUUUUCAUACCCAUCUCAAGUUAUUAUAUUUAAACUACAAAUUCAAUAAUAUUUUAAUAUAUUUUAUAUAUCUUUAAUUUAAAAUACAAUAAAAUUCAAAAUUUUAUUUGAUUUCUUAAAAGAUAAGAUUUCAAACAAUUUAAAAAGAAUGAAACCCGCUUCGGCUUUGCCCCGUUACGACCCCUAUUUGUUAAGCGGGCUGACCGUUAGUGAGAACAGAUGGACUCUGAUCGCCAAUUGGAUAACUGUGCCGCCGUCUGCUUUCUAGCCGGCGAUUAUGCCGAUGGCCACCAACAAGAUAGACGGAAGAUUUGCUCUAAUUGUGAUAGGCCAGUAAAAGUUUGUUUAUGCAACAUAAUCCCAUCGGAUCCGAUAACCACUGUUACUCGAAUCGUAAUUCUUCACCACCCUCACGAGCAGCGCCACAAGCUCGCUACGGUUCCUGUUCUAUCCAAGUGCCUAGACAAUUGCGAUGUUAUUGUUGGCCGGAGAUUACGCUACGGUGAUUGCGACAUUCUAGAUUCUCUCCAUGAUGAUGCUCUUCGAAACCCUAAUUUCACCAGCAGAGCUAUUUUUCUCUUUCCUGGUAUGAACUGUUUGUAUAAUUAUCUUGUGUAGUUCCCAUAUGUGCUUAAAUUGAUAAUUGUUUGAGGGCAAGUAUGAAAACAAUUUACUACUUCAGCUAAAGACUACAAAAACUCAUAUUGUACAAGUAUCUUGAGUUUUGAGUUUUUGUUGUUGUCUCUUGAUAAUUUAUCUGAAAAAAGUGCUGUCUCGUGAUUCGCUCAACAGCUUGACCGCAGCAGAUUACUUUUAUCUAACUGAAUUCCAUGAAUGUUUUUGUGGGCAGACAUCUAUGUGUUGACAAAAAGUUUGAUUUUUUUUUGGUAGCCGUGGUUUCAGGCUAGAUUAAUAUUUGAAAGAAAGAAAAACACAAAAAUGCUCCCACAAUUGGAAGAUGAUUCACCAGUAAAGAAAACAAGAAAAUAUAUUUACUUUUGUAGGUAUAAGGAAAGCCAUUAUGCAUAGGUUUGUGCUUAUGGAAAAUUCAUUACUUUUAAUCCGGUAUUAUCGUGUGUUGCUUCUCUAUGUACAAAGCUAAUGGUACCUGGAAGAUGAGACUGAUAGUUACUAAAAUAAAAUUAUCCUGAGGACUGAAGCUUUUGUUCUCUCCGUGUACGUAGAGAAUAUUGGGAUCUUGGAACUAUGGUCCUCCAUGAUAUUUGUGUGAGCUUUGUGGAGUUGUUUAUAUCUUAAUUAUAUAUUAAAAGAAACAAUAGAUCUUAAGGUUUCAGUUUGAUUCAAAUAAUCUUUUUGUUUUGCUACUCAAGUAUAUAAUCGUCUUUUUGUAUUUACGGUUAGUUUUCUUCCAUUACAUGUAUAUGUUCUUAACUGUUCUUUUCACUUGCGUUUUUCUUCACUGAAGCUCAUGCCUCGGACUGCACUUUUCUCUUAAAGCUUCAGUAGACUUUAGUGCCUUCCCCUUUGACAAUAAUACCAAAAUAAAUUCUUAAAAAAGAAAAAGAUACUGAAUGUGGUCAUGUGGUCAUGUCGUCAAGCUUAAACAUGAGUAAUUGUUUAUUGGUUGGCAUAUUGCAAGGCCAAACUCUGUAUAUUUAGAGCUAGAACUCAAUCAUCCUUGGACAAAAUUUCUGUUGACUAUUUAUCUGGAUCCUCAUGCCAUAAUUAUUCCAUCACGUCAAAUGAAAAUAUUUGUAAAUGAUCACAUUUUCAAUAUACACCAAUCCUUGGAGUGGCAGUCUCGUUCCCCCACCUCUCAAACCUGCAGGAUACGUGCCAAGAGAAAUAAUAUUCUUCCUUUCCUUUAUUUCUCUCAGAUUUUUUUAUCUGGUUGUUGAACUAAUGGAAAUAUUUUCAUGUGAUCGUGGCUUUUCCAGGUGCUGAUACUUCACCAUCUCAGGAAAUCAACCAUUGGAAGUCCUCUAAAAAUACUGUAGAGAUGACUAAUUAUGUCUUGAUUGCUUUUGAUGGAACUUGGAAGCAUGCCCGAGAGAUGAUGCGAGCAAGCUUAUCUUUUCUGUCCAAGUUUGCUAUUCAGGUUCACUUAGACUAUGAUAUUGGCAAUGACGGUGGGACAAUCUUCAAUUCUGAUUUAAUUCUCAGGAAGGAACCGUUUAGUGGGUGCAUGAGUACUAUGGAGGCAGUAGCGCAUUGCUUACGGAUCCUUGAGCCUAAUGGAAUCAGUAUAGAGUCAAAUUUGAUAGAGGUUUUAAGAAGUAUGGUUAAAUUUCAGGCAUCUUUCCUCAAGCCUAUGAAGCCUAGGCCAAAGUUGAUAAAGGGAGGACGAGAGGGAAAAAUAUAAUUGCUCUGUUCCAUUUCUGUGUUUUUAAAGCAACAUUUAGCACAAGGAUAGCCUCAAAUCUCUUUUGAUUAUCACGUGCCAGACUGAUCAAGCCAUCAACCUGUACAUGAUACUUAUCCAGAUUUCACAGGUUUCAACUUUCAAUUCAUAUAUAUUACUGAUGCUUAUUGUGAAAUUUUAUAUCCCGAUUGAGUAAUAGGCAUGACGCCGAGGUGCUUUUGAUGAGAUUAUCUUAUUUCUUCAGUUGCUGAAAACUGUGUCAGGUGAUGGCUUUGGUGGGUUGGGGUAUAUGGAAGUAUCCUGCUUAUGCUGAAGCAAGUAAAGCUUGAGAUUAACCAAGGACGUUAAAGAUUGUCACAUGUUGAGUUCCUUAUUGUAUCUCAAAGUACUCUGAAAUCAAUUGCCGGCUAUUUACACCAAUUUUAUAGAGAUUGCCGUACAAUGUUUGUGCAAUGGAAAUUCUUGUGAACGUUUUCAUGAUCAGUAUAUGAUAUCUACAUAUGGAACCUCAUCUUGUUGUGAAAGGGUUAAAUACUUCUGUAGUACAACAUGAUUAUUUAGCAGUUUGCUCUAAUGCUGUUUUGCUCCAACUGCAAUGGCAUCUGUUUGAGGUCAAAUUUCUGUAAUGUCAGCUUGGGAAAUCUGAAGUUGUGGCUUGGAUUCCUUCGAUAAGCACUUGGAUUCAGCUAAAGAACUGACAAGACAUACCUAGCACAGCUUGCUGCGUAGUUUUCUCAUAUAUCAGGUAGUUGGCCGAUGUUCUUCAAUCUAGACAUGCCACAAGUUCUAGCAGUAGAACCAAAUCGCUGUCAAGUCUUUGAAGUUUACGCUUUAUUUGCUUCAAAUUGGACAAAGAGGGUGUAAAAAAGAUUAAUGAGAUUGUUGUCCUUACUUGAACUUUAAAGUUGGUUUCCAGAGUACUUUUUAGUUUGAAUAACAUUAUUUGCUUAAGUGGCGGUGGUGUAUUAUUGCUUCAUGUUAGCUUCAAUUCAUUGGUUUUCUGCACUUUGAUCUGUACAGAUCACGAACUACUCAAAUCAAAUUUGAUAGGUAUAACAAAACACUCAUGAAUGAGUGCAAUGGUCUUGGACUCUCAGAUUCAAGCUCUAGAAAUGAAUGUAACUCCAAUAAAGCAUGUUUCGUCUAGUCGAGCUACGAGGUUUCCAUGCAUAAAAGGGAAGGGGUAGCACUCUAGUUCUAUUAGUUUGCCACACCAGAACAAGUUAUUUUCUUUGGCGCCACACGACCCAGUUGGUAGCCAAUUCGAGUUUUAAGCUUUUCUUCACAGGGAAUCAACUGCUCUUUAGACCUCCCGCCGCUUUCGUCCUUGACAAUGCGCGCAUAUGAACUGUCUAAGCAACGCCCUUGUCGUAGUGAGAACCAACAACAGCUUCCAAAUAUGGAAGUGGUGUAUGUCUAUGGCAGAAAAGUGCAACAAUAUGCGUCAACUCAAAGCUAUCCACGCCAUUUACAUUACCCUCGGUCUUCAACGCAACACUUACGCCGUCAGCAAGCUCCUCGAUUUUUGUGCCCUUUCAAAUUCCGGCGACCUUUCCUACGCCUCACGGAUCUUUGCCCAGGUUCAGACUCCCAAUGCGUUCCUCUACAACGCCCUUAUACGAGCCUACUCUAGCAGCCCACAACCCCAAGUUUCCCUCAAUUACUUCAAUCUCAUGGUACAAACCAGUAACGCUGCGGCUCCUGAUAGCUUCACAUUUCCCUUCCUUCUCAUCGCUUGCGCUAACGGUCCUUUGGAAGUGGAGGGUAAACAAAUACACAGUUGGAUAAUCAAGAAUUCCUUUUCUGCGUCAAAUGCACAUGUACAGACUGCAUUAAUUCGGUUUUACACGAACUGCAAAGCAUUGGAUGAUGCUCGUAAGGUGUUUGAUGAAAUUACUGAUAUUGAUGUUAUUCAAUGUAAUGUUCUUAUGAGUGGACACCUUCAAAGCGGACUAGCAAAGGAGGCAUUGAGUAUUUUUCAAGAUAUGUUGGGGCGUGGAGUUGGUCCAGAUGAGUACUGUGUGACCACAGCACUUGGGGCCUGUGCUCAGUUGGGUGCUCUUGAGCAAGGAAAAUGGAUUCAUGAGCAUGUUACAAAGAGUGAGUGGUUGGAAUACGAUGUUUUUAUCGGCUCUGCUCUUGUUGAUAUGUAUGCUAAGUGUGGGAGUAUUAACCUGGCUUCUGAGGUAUUUGAGAGCAUGCCUACGAGGAAUAAGCAUUCGUGGGCGACAAUGAUUAGAGGAUUUGCUGUCCAUGGUCGUCCUGAGCUAGCAUUAAGCUGUUUGGAGAGGAUGCAGGUGGCUGAUGGGCUUAAGCCUGAUGGUGUUGUCAUUCUUGCAGUUUUAGCAGCAUGUGCACAUUCAGGGCUUCAGAAAGAAGGUCAAGGUUUGUUGGAUGAGAUGGAAUCUUUAUAUGGCGUUACACCGGAACAUGAGCACUUCAGCUGUGUAGUGGACUUGUUAUGCAGAGCUGGCCGAUUGGAUGACGCACUUAAGCUUAUUAGAAGGAUGCCAAUGAAACCACGGGCCUCUGUUUGGGGAGCAUUGUUAAGUGGUUGCCGAAAUCACAACAACGUGAAUCUUGCAGAACUUGCCGUCAAAGAGAUUUUGUUGGUAGAAGAUGGCAAUGAAGCUGAAGAAGAUUCUGCUUAUGUUCAACUAUCAAAUAUAUAUUUAGCAGCUCGACAAUGUGAUGAUGCACGUCGAAUCAGGAGGAGAAUUGGUGACCGAGGGCUCAGGAAGACACCUGGAUACAGUGCAAUUGAGAUUGAUGGGAUGGUUAAUGAGUUUAUAUCUGGAGACGUUUCCCAUAUAUGUCUAGCUGACAUUCAUAAGGUGCUUGAUCUAACAUAUCUAGAUCCCCAUUUCGACAACCUAAUAUAGCAUGAACAAGUUUACUUGAGUGCCAUAUAGGACAUCAUAUUGUUGUACGGGGCAUUUAUUUGGAGACCUAUUGUUGACUUGCAGUAUCAAGCUAAAUUUGUUAUGUGUUAUAUAUCCUAGCAACAACCUCUAAUGUUUCUCAAAUUUCCUGAGCAAAGGCUGCAUCCAUUAUGGAUAUUCUCAUAGUUUGAAAACAAUGAAUAGUGACAUCAUUUAAUAUUAAUACCAAAUUCAUUUGCUAAAUAAGUAUUCAAUAUAAUAUAAGCAUAAAAAUCUUAGUAAAUUGAUUGAUCGGUCAGAACUUUCAUUUUGUUUUCAAGUAAAAAAAUUUAUAAUAUUAGCGUUAAAUCGUAUAUUUUGAUUUAUGUACGAAUUUUUUCGCUCAUUAAAACAUCAAUGAUAUUUUCCUUUUGGUUUGUGUAUGUAUGAGUAGAUUGCAUUAAUUGGUCGGUCGGUGCCCACAAAAUUAUAGUCUGGAAUUUGGCUUUACUCUAUACAUUUGAUGUUGAUGGUCAACUCAGACUCCAAUUCACGGGCCACGGCUCACCCGAAUUUCUUCUCUUCUCUUCUUUCAGUUAUUAUUAUUAUUUUGCUUGACUAUAAACUAGCUAACUACUACUAUCAUUUCCAUUUUAUUGGUGUAACAAUAAUAUAAUUAAGAAAAAUGAAAAUAUUUCUUUAUAAUCAGGCCAAUGUGAAAUCAUAGUAACAUUUUUACUUGUUCUCUCUAAAAUAUAAUAAAAUUCUGCGUGGAUACGAAGAUAUAGUGAAUAUUUACCAUUGUCAGAUACUCAUAUCAAAUUAUAUUUCAAUUUUUCGUAAUUAAGUGGUUUAAUAAAUAAAUUAACUAGAUUAAAUGAUAUCAAUUUACAUUUACAUAAAUUAUAUGCUUAUUGAUUUAAGGUAUACUCAAUACAUGUGAACUUUUACCUAAAGAUAUUAUAUCCACUUUCAAGUCAGUAGCAAUUGAGGAAAGAUAAAUGGUCACGCGCUUCUUUUUUAAAAAAAAAAAUUCUUAAAGAAAACUAUUUUUUAAAUGCGCACACGGAAAAAUCUUUGCUUUUACGUAAUAAUUCACAAAUCACAAAGAGGAGGCAACCCGCACUAGGGAAGCCAGGUGCGACGAGCUCAGCCUAGAAGGCAAAUCUUUACUUUCGCUGGGCAACAAGUUUCGAACUUGAGACAAACUCAAACUCAUGGGCCACCCCAAAAGGUUAAGGGCCACAUACUUUACUUCCGCAAUUUUGAUUUAUUUGGUUGAUAUGACUUGACAUUAAGAUUCUUUUUGAAUUUUAUGGUGUUGAAUUUAAAGUAUGUCAAAUAUAUUAAAAUAGUAUUUAUUUUAUGAUAUUAAUAUGUCACGAGAAAAGUAGAGAUGUCAAAAUGGGUUGACCCAACUCUAACGGGCUAGAGAGUUAAAUAGAUUGGGACAUGCUGACCCUUUUAAUUAAAGGGUCAAUAAAAUAGCGAUCCAACCCAGCCCUAAGCGGGCCAUGGGUUGGGACGGGUUGACCCUUCGACAAAAAAAUGAAUGAUAUUACUUUCUUAGAAAGAGUAUCGAAUGUUGACGUCAUGAACACGACAUCAAUUCAUACAAGAAUUCAUUUAUAAAUCACACUUCGGUAAAUACUUAUAAAAAUACAUUUAUGAAUCACACAUUUUGGUGACAUAAUAGACAACGUAAGAUUUAACUAAUAAAUGUUGAUUAUUCCAUCAUUUCUCCCACAAAACACUAGCUGGUUUAAAAGAUUUUCAGCAACACAAGACAGCUUAAAUACUUAACAAAUCUAAAUUUCUAAAUAUUACAUGACUCGUUAACUAAUGUUUUAUAGUCCGCUUCUACUUUCACCAUCGAUCACAUUUGAAUCAACAUAUGAUAUUAUUUCUUUAAGAAGUUCAUCUUCAUCUACAAUUUACCAUGCAAAAUGAUAUUGCAAAAUACUUGAUUUUUUAUUUUUCAGAAUAUUUAUUCAUAAAAUCUUUAUAAAUAAAACACUAUUAAAAAUAUAUAUAAAAAUAUUUUAAAAGAUUAAUAGCCCAAGAGCUGGUCUCUGAGGCUUGCGGAUUUGGCCUAAGAGUCCAACGGCCCAAAUGGAGUGGACUAAAAAGCCUCGUUCGUAAAUGGAUCAAAAAUAUUAAAUCCACUCCCACUUAUUUCAAGGGUUUGGAUUAGGCCGACCUUGCUAGCCAAGCCCAUUUUGACAGCUUUAGAGAAAAGUUAAAAUUUAAAAAAGGAAAAAUUACAUAAAUUAAUACAUUUUAAAAAAUAAUCACUAAUUUUAGUGAUACUUUUUGUUUAUUACCAUUUAUAGCAAUAUUGUAAUAAGUCUGUAAUAUGUAUUAAAAGUGAAUUAUGUAUCAAUAUAUUUGAAUUAUAAUUGUUUUUUAAAUAUAUUAUGUUUGUUUGGUAAAAUAAUUGUCAUAUUGUAUUAUAAGUGUAUUAAAAUGUUUGAUAAAUAUAUUAUCCAUCAUUAAAACUUGUAUUAUAUAUAAAUAAUAAAUUAUUAUUUAUAAUAUGUAUUAAAUUUGUAUUAUAAAUGAAUUAAAAUUAGUCAAGUAAAAAAAUAUUAUUACUAUAAAUAUUAAGUAUAUUUUUAUUAUAAUAUAUUUAUAUAAGUUUUUCUUUAGAGAAUUAUCAAAAAGAAUAAAAUUAAUAUUAAAAUGCACAAUCUAAAACAGAAUAAGAUGGGAAUGUUCUAAGGACACGAUUAACCUUUGUGGUCCCAAAUAAUCUUAUAAAUCCUAUUUUCCUUUGACCACUUAUCACAUUUUGAAGUUUGAACCAACAAAAUAGAAUAAACAAGUACACCGUUACUAUUUAUUUGUUCAUCAAAUUUUAAAUUCGCAACGUAGGUUAUUAAUCACACUUAAUUGCUCAAAAUAUUAUAUUUUCAGUUCUAUGUAUUUAAAUAAUGAAAAACAAAAACAAGCACAUAUCGUAACACUCUUUAAAAUAAAUUAACUAUAAUUAAAAAAAUAUAAAUAUCAAUUAUUAAUAAAAUAAAUAAAUAAAAACUGAUUAAAUUUAAUACAUUUUGAUGAUACAUUUUAAACAUAGUACAAUUAUGAACACAAUAAAUAACACUAAUGUACCAAAUAUGAAAAGUAUUAUCGUAACUUAAUAAUUGUAUGUAUAUUUAGAGAAAAUAUCUUUACAAAGAUAUUCAUUUAUAUAUUUUAUUUAAAAAAGAAUCAUCAUAUAAAUAAAUGAACAUAUAAAUAUACAAAUUACAAUGAUAUUAAAGGUGAUAUCCUUUAUAUAUAUUUGGAGGGACCCUAUCAAAAAGUUGUAUCAUUUUCAAAAAAUUCACCUGCAAAGUGCAACGUUUAUUACAGCAUAUAGUACUAAUAUAUAUAAGUAUAUACUUGUCUAAACUUUGGCAUGAGGGCGCUGAUGCCCCUUCAUUGCCUCUAUGAGUCGCUGUCUAUGUGUUAUAAAAGUUGUGUACAUAAAAAGUUGCAUAUGACUUAUGUUCGUAAAAUUAAUUGAAAUGCGUAUAAAUUAUUUUCUAAAAACAUAUCACGCUUUGAAUCACGUAAAAAAAAACAUACUAAGCAAAAUGACAAAAUUAUAAACCUCGAGUUGGGGACCUCUUAUACUUUUUUUUUUAUUAUUAAAAAAUAAUGGAACAUGAUGAUAGACAAAAAGACAGUAGGAUCUUUAUAACAAACAAUGACAGCAGGGAUAAAGCAGCACCAAUCCUUAAAGAUUACCUUUCCACGUCCCCUUUUCCAAGUUUCCUUUUGUCUUUCACUUUCUCGUUAUGUAUAUUCCAGAAUCGAACUGAGUAAUUAAUAAAGUGAAUUGAAAAUUAUAUGAUUUUAAAAUUUAAAUUUCAGCAUAAGCAUAAUUUUAGUUAUAUGAAUAUAUUUAAGUUGAGAAUUUUUUGAAAUCAAUCUUUUCGUCUUAAUGAAAUAAUGAUAAAAUCUACCUAUAUAUAACCUUCUUUCUGAUAGUAGGUAAAUAAAUUUAGAUAUGAAUAAAUUAAUUCGAAUAUAAUUAUUAUAAAAAAAUUUGUGUACUCCGGAAUUCGAGAUUAUCCUACAUUAGCGACCUCCUAGUGGAUUAGGUACAAUAGUAAUUUCAUUUUUUCUUUCUUGAUGACGGUUCGCAGCAGCCUUUUUCCCCUGUACUCGUGACUCCAUGUGUUUGUAGCGUAAAGCCUUAUCAAGAUUCUCUAAGAUUUAAGUAUAAUACGGUGGAGUUUUCGAUCUUCACCUUAUUAUAUUUUAUUAUCUCCUAUACUUUAUCCCACACAGGAUUCUUGAAUCUGUGGUAUCUUUUACUUCUUUCAGACUUUUUUUUUUCGUAAAAGAAAAGGACCCUUUUUCCCAUUUUCUUGAAUUAGUGUUUGUUUGUUUAAAUGGUAAGUGGGGUUGAGAGAAGUGCAAAUCUUGGAGCUUUUUGUCAGUCAGAGAAGAAGAAAGAGAAAGACAAGAAAAAGAAGAUGAAGAUGAAGAAGGAGAAGGAGGAGGAAAGUGUCGGGAAGAAGAUAACUAUUGGUGUUUGUGUAAUGGAAAAGAAGGUGAAAUGCGGCUCCGAGGUUUUGUUCUAUGUUGUGGUUGCAAUUGCACAGCAUGCAUCAUUACCAGUCUACUAGUUAUUAGCUUUCCAGUAGGUAGAUAUUAGGGACCCCACACUGAUUCGUUUUCCCUUUGUUUAAUGAAAUUUAGGUAUUUUCUGCGCCAAUGGAACAGAUUCUUGAAAGAUUGCAGUGUUUUGGGGAAUUUGAGGUAUUCAUCUUCUAUACUGAUUUUGCAAUGUGUAUUUUCUUAUUUGUGAUUAAGAGUAUAUUAUCUUUACUUGUAGGUUGUGUACUUUGGGGACAAAGCUAUUCUUGAGGAUCCAAUUGAGUGGUACAUCCAUUUCUACUUCGUAUCUAUGAUUUGUUAUGCAUCUUUUCCAUGAAAAAUCGUGUCUGUCAUAAACUAUACUAUAUACUCUGUUUCAUGUUAAUUUACUAGCCUACUAUGUUGUGGUGACAGCUGGCCGUUAUGUGACUGCUUGAUUGCCUUCUACUCCAGUGGAUAUCCAUUGAAGAAGGCAGAAGCAUAUGCUGCAUUAAGAAAGUAAGUUCCAUUCAUCCUUUGCACUAUGUUGUUUUAAUGCCUAGGCAUGCUCGCUUUCAAUUUUAUGGCAUUUUGUGUCCUCUUAAUAUCUAUUUUGACAAUCAUAGAUUUUCUUUGGCAUGCUUGCAAUAUAGGUGUUAGGGAUUUUUUUCUCUGAUUAUUAGAAGUUCAGCCUCUGUCUAUAGCCAUAUAAAAUCACAAGACUUGUCUGUGUAUAAACGACAAGCUUAAGGUUUUUGAUGUCAUAAAUUGAUUGUCAAUCUCUUUCUCUUUUUAAUCUGUUGGGGUCUCAAAUUUGAUUACACAUAUACUAUGCUUCAGACUUCAGUGUAAAAUCUGUUGUUUGUGAUCGACUCUUCUGGCAAUCUAUAAAUGAUAGCACAUAAUUCAGGACAGAUCUGAAGCAUUCAUUAGGAGCUCCAAGGAUAGCACAUAAUUCAGGACAGACCUCAUUAAAAAAUGAAAAUACAAGGCGUACGCCUUUUCCUUUUAUCUUUGUUGUUCUUUUUUGUUCCUCAUUAUGUCCGUCUGUCUUUCCCAACGAGAUGAUGCACUAGUCUGUCCUCGGGUUUUUUGGGAAUUAUCGUUGAUCUGUUUGGCUAUCUUUCCACCUCAGGUAAAAUUUUGGUAUUUGUAAUAUUGAAAGAACUGUCUGGUCAUAUUUUUUUUGUCUAGACAAGUUCCCAAGACCAAGAAGAUCUGAUACUGUUAGAGUUAUGAAGCUCCAAGGAUAAAUAUCUCUUGCAAUGAUGGAGUUUGGCAUCUUAACAGAAACUUUUUUUGGACAAAAUUCUUUUGUUCUUCCCUUUAAAUGUAAUAAAGAAAUAUCUAACACAAUUACAUCAACCUUGCCAUCACAAUGCACAACUUAUGAUGCUAUAUUAUCUCUUCUUUCUCAGGCCUUUCCUUGUGAAUGAAUUGGAACCACAAUACCUUCUUCAUGAUCGGAGGAAAGUAUAUGAGGUAUGUAUCAGUUCUUGGUUAUUUUUUCUAUUCAAGUGAAGUUGAAAAAACUUAUGAGUUGUUUAUUUUUUAUAAGGAAGAUUCUUGCAGCUCUUUAAAAUAUCUCUUUUGGUUAUUCAGCCUUUACUCUGAUUUAUUUGUUUUAAUUGCUGGGUUCUUUCAGUGGUAUUUGUAAUGGCUGAGGUCUGAUGCCGUAGUUUCCAUUUGCGUCGGUCGUUCUGUUUUCUUAAUGCUGAGAGUUAUACUUCCAACAUAACAGAAUAUUUACUAUUAGGUGGUAAGAUCUUCCAAUAAUUAGAGUUGGAAGUGUUAUAGACUUGAAUGUGUGGGGAAUUAGCCACAACGAUUGUGUUUAGUUUGUUUUCAGUUUAAUGCUUGGUCAUCAAAUGAAACUUCCUCAUCUAGAUAUGUACAGAACUACAAAUUACAAAGAUCCUAAAGAAGUGCAUCGUCUUUUAUAAGAGUCAAUGAGUAUGUUGAUUCUUUUUAAGAAAAUGUUAUACAAUCAUAUCUGUCUAACUGUUUUGCAAUAGUAUUUAUUUUUUCAUUGAAAUCUUGCAAUAUCAUACUGAUAUAGGAAUCUGACCAAAUUGGACAUAUGUUCCCAGCUUUCUUGCUUCAAGUUGUUGAGCUCUCCAUCUUGGCCUACAUGUGAAAUGAAGAAGCUGCUUAUAAAUAGUCCAUUGGAUCGGCAACUCUACCCUGGUGGUGGGGGUGGGGGUGGGGGAUGCAUUUGUUUAAACUGACCUUCUGUAAUAAUAAAAAAUAGUCCAUUGGGUCGGCAACUCUACCCUGGUUUCUGUGUGUGUGUGGGGGGGGGGGGUGCAUUUGUUUAGAUUAACCUUCUAUAAAUUAUACUAAUAUCUUCCUUUCUGUUUUGAUUGGGGAAAUUUAGCGUCUUGAGAUGUUUGGAAUCCCUGUGCCAAGGUAUGCCUGUGUUCACAGAGAAGUACCUAACCAACAUUUGGAUUAUUUUGUUGAAGACGAUGACUUUGUUGAAGUUCAUGGGAAUCGCUUUUGGAAACCUUUUGUGGAAAAACCUGUCAAUGGUCAGUCUCUCUUUUCCAUGGAUGAUCAAUUUUUCAUAUUUUUUUCUCUAGGAGUAAAUGUAUGUGGUUUGGCAGGCUGCCAAUUAGAUGAGAAGAUAGGACUCAUAUUCUCUUAGUUCCUUGAUAACUAACCACUUUGGUGGUGUCAUAAAAGUCAGGAAAACAAGAUGCCUCUUGGUUAAGAUUUCAUAGUUGUUAGGUUGUUGUUAACAUGCUGUUUUCCAAGUUCAGUUUGGUUAUUUUAAAGAACUUUUGUUUACCUUACAUAUGAUGAGCGCUAUUAGCACUGCAGCCUUUUUGAACAAUCGAAUUCUUGUUGAUGUUGCCUGCUUAUGAAUAUGCUGCUCUUCUGAUAUGUGAAAAUACCACUCAGAUGGUAAAGAUCAAUCUCUUAGUUUGCUUCUUAUGUAGCUGAUGACCACAGAAUAAUGAUUUACUAUCCUAGUUCAGCUGGUGGGGGAAUGAAGGAAUUGUUCCGUAAGGUAACAUAUUAUUUAAAAGAAAAUUGGAAUUGCUUUCUUCCCUUUGAGUAUGAUUUUUCAACUGCUUCUUGUAAAAGUUCUUUAUAUCCAACCUGCAACUAAAUAUGUCACUUUAAAGUGACAUUAGUUUGUCAAAUCAUUUUCCACAGAUACUUUAAUAUGUCUGUACUUCCUGAAAUUCUUUGAGCUUGAUUCAAAUGUAAAUAUUACAUUUCUUAGGAUCAUCAAAAUCAAAGAAUCAGGAGGGUUAAAAGAGUGGCUGCACAUCUUCUAGGUCCUUUUAAAAUGGUUGACAUUCUUUUAAUUGCCCAAUCAUAACCUCGUUGGAACCGUACUUCCGGUCUAUUUUCUGCUAUAUGUUGGAGUAAACUGAUGUCUGUAUAUCAUUUUUCACAGUCACUUUGAUAAGUCAAUACUUCCUUAAAUUCAGCUUAUCCAAUGUAAAUAUUACAUUUCAGGAUCAUCCAAAUCAAAUAAUCAGGUGUUAGAGAGUGACUUCACAUCUUAUAGAUCCUUUAAAAAUGGUUGACAUUCUUUUAGUCUCCCAAUCAUAACCUUGUUGGAACCUACUUCAGAGCUAUUUUUUGCUAUAUGUUGGAUUAAACUGACGUUUGUAUGUGGUGAAGUAACUUCUCUUUAAUUGGCGGAUGACAUAACCAUGAUUCUGUCAAAAAGUUAUUCAUCUGCCAUCACAUACUUUAUUGACUUUUUAAUUUAGUGAAAAGUUGAGGCCAAAACAUUCUGAUAUGCUCCCAAACUAAUUAGGUCCUAGGGCUAACUGGCACCCCAAAAGCUAGCUCAAAGGGAGGAGGAUUACCAAAGCCUUAUAAGUAGUCCACCCAUCUCAUUAACCAUCAAUGUGAGACUUUUGUCAUUUUUAACACCCCACCUUACGCCCAGUGCUUAGCAUCUGGUGCGUGAACAAUUUUUGAUUUUUGGGUCCCCCAACAUUGGGUAAAAUGGACUUUGCUAUGAUACCAUGUUAAAUUAGGUCUUAGGCGUAACUCAUACUCCAAAAGCUAGUUCUUGGGGUAUGAGUUAGGCUCAAGAACUAAUUUAACAUGAUAUCAGACAGAAGUUCUGAGAUCAAAUUUCACUGCCACCAAAUAAAAAAAAAGAAUUUUCACGUGCUUGGCCAUGAAAAAGGAUCGUGAGACGGCGUGUUGAGAAUAUAAUCAAAUAAUAAAAGUGUUCUCUAUAACAACUUAAGCCUUUAGAUGAGAUCACUCACUGUUAAAAGUGUCCUGGUGCACCAUUUGCACUAUUUAACAAAGAUAGUUUGUUUCUCUUUCCUCUGCUUGAAUUCAUAAUUCUCCUUAAUGCACCUUCCAAUGCAUUAACUAACUUGGAAGGUACUAGAAACAGUGACAUCAUAUAAGUUUAUACUAUUCCACCACACUGCUAAUCAGAAUCAAUUUGCCUCCUAAUGAGAGGUGUUGUCUACCCUACAAAGUGAUUCUGCAUCUUAUUUUUCAUCAUUAAAUGUUAGGUUUCUAUGUUCAAACAUAUCAUCUCUUAUCUCAGUAAUUAUAUUUUAUGUUUACUGUUGGAUUCAUAUACGAUCCAUCAACACUGAUAUGUGUGUUUGAAUAUGCAAUUACAAUUGAUGUAUUUUCACUUCUUUCUUUUCCUUCAGGUUGGUAACCGCUCAAGUGAGUUCCAUCCAGAGGUUAGAAGAGUAAGACGUGAAGGAUCCUACAUAUAUGAGGAAUUCAUGCCCACAGGAGGAACAGAUGUUAAGGUUCCUAAGUUUAUACUUCAGUAUCGCAGCGUGAAUAAUUUCUCCUUAGUUGUCAAGCAGAUUAAUUUGUUUCUGGUCUAUCAUGGAAGUAUACUUGAACAGUACCUAUGCUGCUUGAGGUCGUCCUCAUUUUCGGUGAAAUUGGAUCUACUAGAUGAGUUAUUGUUGUAAUAUAGUAUGAGAAAUUACAUUGUUGUAAUAUAGUAUGCUAUAAGGCAUGUAAAUGUGUGCCGUCCAACCCUCAGCCUAAAAAAUAAAAUAGAAGGGGAAUGUUGCAUACGUUAGAUUUAUCUCAUAUACUUAUCCUAACAAGUAACCUGCAUAACAGAUCAUAGCUUCCCGACUUGGUUUCGUAAGUCUAAACAUGUCAAGCAUCUCGUAGAUGGGAGUAACCAUGCACAUGUUUUUGCAUUGCGUUAAAAUUUUGUAGCCUAUCUCAUGAUUUGAGCUUUCUUUUUGUAUUUAUGUAGGUGUAUACAGUUGGUCCAGAUUAUGCACAUGCAGAGGCAAGGAAAUCUCCUGUUGUAGAUGGUGUUGUUAUGAGAAAUCCUGAUGGGAAAGAAGUAAGUUGUUUCUUCAACACAAGUCUUCCUAUUUGUUUUUAUUCUGUAAUUUGGAUGCCUGUUGCCACAUAACAAAGAAAAGAACAGAAAAACAAAGUAUCAUCUUCUCUGCCCUUUUAGAUUUAAUCUUUGUCUUGCACGGUGUGAGAGACACACUUAUCAGAGGUGAUAAUUUACAAGCAAACUCAAAAAGAGAAUACAUCCAGCUAUUAGGCUAGUGGUUUUAGUUAAAACCACUGUUUCCCUGGGGAGGGGAUAAGUUUGGUUUGGGAAUGGGGAAGAAAACAAAAGAACUUAUCAAAGUAUUGAGCUUCUGUUCCUCUAAUAUGGAAAUGCCUGAGUUCCAGCAUUUAUCUUUUCUGCAUUUAGAUUAAAAUAUGUAAAUUUGUCAGUUGCAAUCACUUUAAGUUGCUAGAGAAAUUUAUUCAGCAAUAUGUUGAUAGUUGCUUCAUUUUGCAGGUUCGAUAUCCUGUUCUCCUUACCCCUGCCGAGAAGCAAAUGGCUAGAGAAGUUUGCAUAGCCUUUAGGCAAGCCGUAAGUUACCUAAAUUUACUAAUUCAUGUCAGCAUAUAUUGGUGUAUGCUGUUGUUUUACCUUCAACAAGCAUGAUGGAGACUGUUGCAGCUAUUAUAGGUAGUUCCAUCCUCAUCCUCGGGAACCCCUCCUGGUAGAGGUUAAGCAGCAUCAUUCUCUAUGACAUAUCAUGUCAUUAUCUGAUUUGUCCUCAUAGUCUACUUCAUUGCAUGUUUUGAGUAGGUUGACUGUCCACUAUCUGACAGUCAAUUAAACAUUUCCUUUCUUUGCCUCUAAUCUCUUGUGUUCUGUGCAUAUAGUCCAACUGCAGAAGAUAUAUGACACUGAUGUCCUAGCAAACCAGUCACAAAAUAUUAUACUGUAAUCUAUAUACAACUGGAUUUAUGGCUUUUCUCUUCCUGUCUCAGCCAAAUAAACAUGAUUAUCUUUUGUAUUGGGGUUUAGAGAUGCAUGAAGAUCUAAGGAUCUGGAGCAUAUAUGCAAGCUAAUUUUCCCUCUUUUCUGUUCUUUGAUAAUGUUGACUAAGUUAUUGCUGUUUAAUCUGUGUGCCCUAAGAAAAUUAAGCAAUGAAAUUACCCUUCUCGUUUCAGGUUUGUGGCUUCGAUCUAUUGCGUAGUGAGGGGCGUUCAUAUGUUUGUGAUGUAAAUGGCUGGAGCUUUGUGAAGAACUCUUACAAGUAAGUUUCUUCAGUUUCCUCAAAUAUCAAUUUAAAUGAGACAUAUACUCCAAUGUAAUCUUUCCUACUUUUUUGGUGUUAGUGUAGAAUCAUACUAUAUUUCUGACAUCACUUUAUCUCUAUGGUUAGCAUAAUUACAAUAGUAACUGCUAUAUGACUGGUACUAUCUUAAGUUUGUGCAUUAUAUGAUUUGUUUUAAAAGAUAGUUAUUGCAACGAUGCCAAAUAAAGGUACUAUGAUGAUGCUGCUUGUGUAUUGAGGAAGAUGUUUCUAGAUGCAAAAGCUCCACAUCUUUCAUCGACAAUCCCACCAAUUUUACCAUGGAAAGUCAGUGAACCAGUUCAGCCUUCUGAAGGGUUAACACGUCAAGGAAGUGGGCUGAUUGGCACAUUUGGACAAGCAGAGGAACUACGAUGUGUUGUUACAAUUGUUCGGCAGUAAGACAUACUCCUUAUGCCUUAGCCUUGCUGGGGAGAUCCAUUUGUCUCCUUUACUUAACCAUUUCUCAACUGUAACAGUGGUGAUAGAACUCCAAAACAAAAGGUGAAGUUGAAGGUUACUGAGGAAAAACUCUUAAAUUUGAUGUUAAAAUACAAUGGCGGUAAACCUAGAUCAGAGGUGCUUCUUUGCUUUCAUGGUACAACUGUUUUUCUUCAUCUUUUUUCUGAUGUCUUAGAUGAUUAAGAUUGUUCUUCUGCUUUCAAACUUGCGCAGACAAAGCUCAAAACUGCUGUGCAAUUGCAAGAUCUUUUGGAUGCCACCAGAGCCUUAGUGCCACGUUCUAGGUUAGUGAGACUCUGAUUCUUAUAGAGCAUACAUAAUCACAUUGAUCUCUUCAAGCGCCGCCCCCCCCCCCCCCCCAAAGAAAAAAAAAAUGAAGGAAAAAUAGUGUUCUUUUAUGCAUGUCUUGUAUUGUUUUAUGUUUGAACUUGAGCCGAGGAUCUGCUGGAAAAAUAACCUCUCUACACACCACACUCCCCAGACACAACUUGUGGUGCUACACUGGGUAUGUUGUUGUCGAUUAUGCUCAAACUGAACCGUAUACUGAUCGUUAGUGCGUCAUAACUUUUUGAAGUCAAUGUUAUGAAACUACGUCGGAUAUGUUAUAUAUGAUUCUUUUUUGAUGAAUUAAGAAGUUAUCAUUGACAAAAGGCAACUGGAUGGUGCAUUAUUACAAAAGCAAAAGCUUGAGAACUUAAUAUAUGUGGUACAUGAUGCAUACACAAUAACAACUGAUCCAAUUUAUUCAAUUUUGUCCUGUUUCAGUUCUAGUUUUCUUUGUCGUCUGGUUAAUGUUUUAAUGUACUUGAGCUAAAAGAAUGUCAUUUCCUGAUGGAAUUUGUGUUGAAGCAAACAUGGCUUACUUGCUUUUUUUUUUGUGUGGUAGGCCUGGCCGGGAAAGUGAUAGUGAAGCUGAAGACAUUGAGCAUGCUGAGAAACUUCGUCAAGUAAAAGCUGUUCUUGAGGAGGUCAGUUGAACUAGUGCAUUUGGCACUAUGCAAUAGUAUAAGUUGGUAAACACGUAGGAGAACAACAACAACAACAUACCCAGUGUAAUUCCUCCAGUGGGGUCUGGAUGUAGGAGAAAAUGCUAUAAAAAUAUGUCUACAGUUGAUUGUGCAUCCAUUUCUCGUUAGAGUAAUUAUGGUCUUGGGAUAUAUAAAUUUACUCUGCGGGCUUGAACUUUUUUCAUAUCUUUUUUUCCCCUUUAAUUUAGAAAAAAUGGGGCCUUAGCAAACUGCAUUAAUCAUAAGUGAAAGAAAAUUAAAUGUGAUCUUGCAUAUUAUUCUCAAUCUUUUAGGAGAAUAACAUCAUUGAUCACACUGAUAAAUGAUAGAUAGAAAUCCCAUGUUUUCUAUUUCACCAUCUAGGAUAUUUUUUGAAAGGUUAGAUUUUGGAUUAUAGGUAUUUGAAUUAUUUUUCAUUACUAAAGUUCCUUUCCCUUGUCCUGUAAUUCAGAUUUGGGCCUAUCUCAGGAGUUCUAGAAUAGGAAUUGGAGCUGGAGAAUAUCUUUGUAUACUGGGAAAUAAGUUAUCCCUCUUGCGUGUAACUGAUAUUAAUGUCUGGUUGAAAGAAGAAACAAUAAAACAUCCCAAUACAAUAAGACAAUGCCUGAAGUUUUCCAGUGUUUCAAAAAAUGAUUUAGGAUUUUCUGCUGGCGUUAGGAGGAUAGAUGAAAUUGUUGUUUGAAAAUUCUUUGCAUAGAUUUCUUUGUGUUACUAAUGUAUAGGAAAUUUGACAUUAGAACCAGUUCUGAUCCUGUAGGAAGAAUUCUUACUUUUGACUAUUAUCAUGAAGUAUAGAUCUUUAAGUCAUUUCAUCUGCAACAUGAACAUAUUUGCUUCCAUAACAUGAUAACAAUGCAGUAUGUUCCUUCCGUUAGCCAAGCUAAGUAGUAAACCUAGUUCUAAACAUCCAUACACCAUCUAUGUUAUGGUCUGGUUUACUUAAUGAUCACUGUUAUUGGCUGAGUAAAACCAGUAGAACAUUGUGACUAGUGGUGGCAUGCAGUUGUUAAGAGUAGUAGAUUAUGCAAAAAAGUGUCCUGUUAGGGUAAGAGGAGAAAAUCGUGAGAGUCAAAGACUCUGGAGCUGGUUGAUCUUUGGUUCAUCAAAAAUAUUUUUGGGUUGACAUAUUAGGAAAGUGGAACCAGGGUGUGAAAGUGAAUGUUACGGCAAGUAUAAUGGCAGCCAGUAUGUUGUUCUGCUUUUCUUUCUCCAAUUCUGUUGUUUCCUGGGCUGGCAUGUAUUUUCCAAAAAAUUCCAUAACUAGAUUCCAAAAAGACAUACAUUAUGCAUAAAAACAUUCAUGCUUUCAAUUUCAUCAGUUUAUAUUGAUUGUUAAAAAGUUAAAUAUGGAUGGCAGGGAGGACAUUUUUCUGGAAUUUAUAGAAAAGUUCAGCUAAAGCCACUAAAGUGGGCUAAAGUUGCCAAGUCGAAUGGUGAAGGUGAAGAAGAACGGCCUGUUGAAGCUCUUAUGGUUCUGAAAUAUGGAGGUGUUCUCACUCACGCUGGCAGAAAGCAGGUUCUUUUAUGCAUGAAAUAUUGAUUUAUAAUAUUGUGAACUAGCUUGACCAGUUGAAGUGAAUAUUCUCCUUGUGAUAGGAAGGUUUUUAAAUAUAAUCUUAACCUUCCUUUCUUGCUUUGAUGGAAUUGCUUUGUAGGCUGAAGAGCUUGGAAGAUACUUCCGUAAUAACAUGUAUCCAGGUUGGUUGGUGCCCCUUUGUCAUCUUUCAUUUUACUUCCCAAAGUUUUCUCCAAAAUUACAUCUUCCUUCUGCAAAAUGUGGUUUAAGAAAGUUUCAGAUAAACUACUUCCAGCUGAAGCACUUUCAAUAUAAAAGUAUUGAAAAAGUUUAUUUGGAUCAUCUCUUAAAUGGUGUACAAGAAGUUGCAGCUACAAGACUUAAUGCUUUGAUGGAUAUCCUCUUUUCCUAUUUGAUCAAACUGGGUGUUGGGGGGCUGGUGGCAUGCUCAGUCAAUCUGAUGCUUAAUUUCCAUCUGCUUUGUAACACAGGUGAAGGUACAGGCCUCCUUCGCCUCCAUAGUACAUAUCGCCAUGACCUGAAAAUAUACAGCUCUGAUGAGGGCCGUGUGCAGGUUAGUUCCUUGCUUUUGCUCAAGUAAUACUUAGUAGUCUUAAGAAUUAAGCUUUAUCUGUUUGUUUUCUAAUUAUUUCUCCUGGUUGAUAUUUUAAAUUUUCUCAUACAAGUACUCUAGUUUUAUCACAAUCUUAAAUUUUCACUCAUUUCCUUGGCCAAUUGCAUUGUCCUCUAAUGUUGAGUUUGUAUUAUGCAUGAUAUUGCGGCAGAUGUCUGCAGCUGCAUUUGCUAAAGGUCUACUUGACUUGGAAGGACAAUUGACACCUAUCCUGGUUUGUAUGGUGUUAUAGGGCAUACUUCUAGAGUUGGAUUCUUACAGCACAGAUGAUUGAACCACGUGCUUUCUUCUUUGUUUGAAGGUAUCUCUGGUUAGCAAAGAUUCUUCAAUGCUUGACGGACUUGACAAUGCCAGUAUCGAAAUGGAAGAUGCUAAGGUUUUCUUUUCCUUACACUUCGUUCAAAUUUACAAGCUCAUUGGAAAAUCUUUAGCUAGUAUUGAUUCAACUUUGUGGUUGUUUCAUCCAUAUGUUUGAUUCUAAGCAGUGAUAAGUAUCCAUUUCAAAUCUGAUGCUAUUGAUGCAAGUGUCAGUGAUCAUUACCUUGUUAGAAGUUUGUUUCAUUGGUUCCAAGUUUUUCUGAUUCAACUUUGCCAAAGGUAUCUAAGGAUUGAAUCCAAAAUUUUCAGGGAACUUGAAUUCAUAUGCCUAAAGAACUUAAUCAUCUUUCAAGGAAGUCUCUUUUUCAAAAAUCAAGGAUUAAGUGGAUGAAAGUUGCCAAUUUAAUCAUCUUUCAAGACCUAAUGUUUCAUAUUUACUGCCUGAGGCAGGACACAAGGCUACAAGCAAUUACAGCUCCCAUCCGCUAUAUGAAUCCUCUACCUUGUUGCGUCUGGGGAAGGAUAUUUAGAUAACAAUCAUGUUGCAAAUGUUUCUGUAAUGACCUUGACCUAGGUCCUAACAGUGUCUCUGAUGUUGUGGUACAAGGGUAGUGCUUUGGUUUCCUCCCACUUGCCUUAGCCUUAGAACAUUAGGGAUGAAAAAUAGUUUGAGCAGGGCAUGUUAGGCCUAUUGGGUAGAACUUUUGUGAAUAUUCAGUUCAACAUAUUGUUUUAUGUUGUUUAAUAUAUUUUUAGACUGAUACAAGGAUACUGAAAUUAGCAUUGAAUCAGAAGUAUAAUCUUGUUUACAAAUUCAGGAUUUUUCUAUUUACAGAAAUGCUUUUACUUUCUGCUGUUAAAAUACCUGUCCUGUUGUUCUCUUUAGGCAAGGUUGAAUGAUAUAAUUACUUCCGAAACAAAGACACUUCAUAUUAAUGGAUCAGCAGAGAAACCUUGGAUGGUUGAUGGAGCAGGACUCCCUCCUAAUGCAUCUGAACUUCUGGCCAAAUUGGUAAAGUUUUAAUGUGUAUCUCCCAUUUGAUCAAUCUUCCAGUCAAAAUCAGUUUAAAAUUCAUGAUUCAUCGUAUAAUUCCUUCUGUUCUUGUUGAAUAUUCAUCUUUUACCCCCUUACUGUACUUUUUUCCCUUCUCAGUGGAAUCCUUUGUGAACCACUGAUUUUAGAGGACUAAUACUGCAAGCAUUUGAAUUUGGUUCUUUGGCACCAUUUCCUUCUUUUGUGUUGCUUUGUAUCUUUCUAUAGUUUCAUUCUGUGUCAAUCUGUCUCUUGCAAUCAGGUGAAAUUUACUAAGAAGGUGACAGAGCAAGUGAGGCUUCUUGCUAAGGAUGAGGAUGAAGAACUUGCAGAGGCAAGUCCAUAUGAUGUAAUUCCACCUUAUGAUCAAGCUAAAGCGCUUGGUAAAACAAAUAUUGAUGUUGAUCGUAUUGCUGCGGGUUUACCUUGUGGUAGCGAGGGAUUUCUACUCAUGUAUGCAAGAUGGAGAAAACUAGAGAGGGAUUUAUAUAACGAACGGAAAGAGUAAGAUUUUGUUAACUUAACCUUAUUCUGAGCUUGAACAUAUGCUUGUUGCUUCUUUGACCUUUGCUGCCCAGAUACUAGUUUAUUGGGAUUGUCCUCCUUCCUAUCUCAACUGAUCUGCUCAUUGUGGAUUUAAUUGGUUCCUUGUUGGUGUUUCCCCUAACACUCGAUAUUUAAUUACAGCCGUUUUGAUAUCACGCAAAUUCCAGAUGUUUAUGACUCGUGCAAGUAAGUGAACUCAAUAACAUUCAUAGCAUAUUUGGUUAAUGCAAAAUACUUUUACCUGCUUCUAUAGCAAUAUGACAGUAAAAGAGCUUGUUCAAGCUUCUAUUUUGUCUCUUGUGUCAUUGUCUUUAUGUUCUUUUGAACUUUUUGAUUUUUUUUUACAGGUACGACCUCUUGCACAAUUCACAUCUGAAUCUAGGAGGCUUGAAUGAACUUUUUAAGGUUGCUCAGGUACAAUGACGAUCAACUACAAAUAUGAGUAGUUUCUUUUGAAAAAAGAACGGAUUCCUCCACAACCCCCACCCCCACCCUACCCCCAAGAAAGAAAGGAAAAAGAAUCCAAAACAAGGUUUUAGUUUGGUAUCAGAUUAUGUUAUCUUAAUUUUCUCUGUAGAACACUUCCAUAUGACAUUGCUACUUUUCCAGCUCUGCAGGCUAUGAGUCUGUUGUAUCCAGUAUUUCUGAAAUUCUUUUUUUUUUGAAUAUAUGAGGGUUUUGCAAUGUUAUCUACAGAGUUAUUAUGACCGACUUCUAAAAGAACCUGUGAUUGUUUUUGAGUUUCAGCUACUUGCAGAUGGUGUUAUUCCAAAUGAAUAUGGGAUAAAUCCAAAGCAGAAAUUAAAGAUUGGAUCAAAGGUAAAACUUCUUACAUUCAGAUCCAGGUCCAUUUCUCAGUGUUUUCCUUUGUCUGAAGUAGACCGAUCUACAUACUGUUGGAUAGUGGGAAGUAACCUAAUAUCAUUUUGUACCUCCCUGGUCACUAUUGGCACCCUUAUAUUUCAUAUCUUAAUCUGAAUGGAGUGUGUAGGUUAAUGAAGAAGUCUAGCUAAGUUGUGUUUUGCUUGAAAGUUCCUGGUAGAUGUAUUAGGUAUCUUUUAGUAGUUUGUCAGUUUCCCUCCACAUACCGUCAAAUAUCAAUGUCCACAACUACUAAAUCAAUGGUUCACCAGCUAUCAGAGUUCCUCGUCUCUUAUCACUGGUCUGCAACAAGGAUUUGAGACUACUAGUUAUUGCCACUUUACAUUCUAAUUUGGCUGUGCCUGCUGUCCACUCAGUUUCCUAACUAAAUUGUCUUUAAGCUUUUCAAAAAUCUGGAAAUAAUUAAACAACAAUUCUUAUCCUCCUCAGCUAACUUAUCUUGGGUCCGCCACUAUUUUGUUACUUACUUUUCCUACAAGAAUGUAAAAAAAUAAGGGUGGUGCAAUUAGUUUGCAUUUAUUGGGCUUCUUGUAUGGUGGUGAAGGCUCAUGUAGACAUCAAUGCAUAAUCUAUGAGUUGUUCAUUCAGGUUGCUCGCCGCUUGUUGGGUAAAAUUAUGAUUGAUCUAAGGAAUACCCGUGAAGAAGCUUUAAGUGUGGCCGAAUUGAAAGGUAGUCAAGACAAUUUAGCAGUGAAUAAGACAACAAAGGAAGAUACAGAGCAUCAUACCAAGCCUCACACUCGUAAUGAAGAGUCUAGAAGAACUAGCUUCAAUAGUGAGAGAUCCAUGGAUCAAGAUGAUGAUGAUGACAAAGAGCCUAAAUACCGCUUAGAUCCAAAGUAUGUGGUCCCUUUUAUUCACUUAAUUUAGAUGUUCGGUGAACUUGUUUUCAUAGGUGUUACUUUUGUGUUUAUCUAGAAAUGUGCCGGUAGAUUACGAUAAGAAUGUGAAGUGCUUUAUUGUAUUGUAUUUGAUUAUUUUGUGAUUUACCUUUUUCAGGUAUGCAAAUGUCAGAACACCUGAAAGACAUGUGCGAACACGCCUGUACUUUACAUCAGUAAGUGGAAAUUUGCAAUUUUCUUGUUAUUCUACUAUAUUUUCUAGCUGAUGUACGUGGUUUUGGCCCAAGGGAACUUUUUUGGCUCGCACAGGAGCAGCAUCUUGAAGAUCAGAAUAAAUAAAUAAAUAAAUAAAUGAAAAUGUCCUAUUUUAGCUUGACAUUUUAGUUGAGAUGGUUCACAUAACUUGAUUAUUGUAAAAACUAACAAACAAAAAGCCAAACUCUAAAUCAACUUCUAUAAUAUCAAAUAUGGAUGGUUAAUUCAGACUUUGAAGUUCAUAAACAGUUGAUGCGCGAAGGAGAAUAAUCCGUCACUUAAUAGUAGUUCUCAGUUUUCUUCAGCUGGCUUAAUUCUGUGAUAUGUAACAAUAUAAUAUGUAUGCAAUGUGGUAUUUCUCUGUUUGAACAUAUAUUAACCCUGCUUGUUUGAUAUGAUUAGAUUCUUGUUAGACACUUUAGUGCUAUUAACAUUUUGCUUACUGUUACAUUCUCUAUUUGUAUUAUCCCCUAAUCCCCCUCCUCUUCCUAUCUCCAAUUCUAGUUUAUUGAUUGUUUGACUUGACAGGAAUCACAUAUCCAUUCCUUGAUGAAUGUUCUUCGUUAUUGCAACCUGGAUGAGUCUCUUCAAGGAGAGGACAGCCUUGUGUGCGAUAAUGCUUUGGAUCGCUUGUACAGAACCAAGGAGCUAGAUUACAUGAGUUAUAUUGUAUUGAGGAUGUUCGAGAACACUGAGGUUCGUACAUCUUUUUUUUUUUGAAAAUGCUAAUUUCGUCUAUUCCUCAAAGUCAGUACACUGAUCAGUAUUUACAACUACUUCAAAUUCUACUAUCUUUUACUAAAUUGAGUCUAGUACAUUAAUUAAGGAGAUAGUAUCAUUUGAGUAUAAUUGAUUACACCAAAAAUAUAGCAGCAUAAGACAAUUUAGUUUGACUUUUUGCAUACUAUUCUCAACACUAUCGAAAGCUCUAGAGUUCCUUUCCUUCCAUAUUGCCACCAUAUGCUAGCUGGGACAAUUUUCCAUCUGUCUCUAUUCUUGGAUUUCCUCCCAACUCUGAAUUGCUUCUGUGAUCUUGGCAGGCAUGGUCCAUGACAUACCUUAUGACUCAGGAAUAAACUCCAUAGUUGACUUGUGAUCUUGCAAUGUAGAAAGAGAUGGUUAAUGUCUCAGCAGUUUCCCCACAAAAGAAACAUCUAGAACAUAAUGGUAUCCCCCUUCUUUAAGUUGUCUUGAGUUAGUACAGCCUCCUUGGCUAACAACCAAACAAAACAUGCCACUUUGAGUGGAAUUGUUGACUUCCAGAGUCCUCCAUGGCCAGUGACUUUGAGGCUGAUUGGUGUGGUUCAACCAGUUGUAUGCACAACCCACCUUAAAGCUGCCCUUUCGAUUGCCUUUCCACCACAAAAUGUCCUGACCUCCUUCCCGUCCAUUAAAUUGCCCAAUGGUGUUGAAAAAAUCUGCUAUCCUUUGAAUCUCCCAAUCAUUUAAUUGUCUUCUAAAGAUGAAGUUCCACCCUUGAGGAGUCCAGUGAUCUACUUUAGUCUUCUGUUGGUGAUAUACUAGAGAGUAUAUAUCUUGGCCUCUAGCCUACCUGCCUCAUUCCAAGCAUCUUUCCAGAAUUCUGUUUUCUCUCCAUUCCUCACUUUGAUCUUUGUGUUAGCCUUAAACUCAGACCACAGAGAUCUAAUGGAUCUCCAUACGCUAACCCCAUAUGAUGUAGUCACUUCUUUGGUCAUCCAGUUAUCUUCCUCUACAUAUUUUGCUCUAAUGACUUCCUUCCAGUAGGCCUGCUCUCCAUUGUUGAACUUCCAUAACCAUUUCAUCACAAGGGUUUUGCUUUGAUACAACAAAAUCCUUAUUCCGAGACCUCCCCACUAUCACAACAUCCCAUUUAACCAAGUUUUAGCCUUUCCUCUCAGUGUUUCCUUGCCAAAGAAAUUUUCUUCUGAUUUUAUCCAACCUAGUGAUUUGGGAAUCGGAAAUACUUACAUCAUAUAGGUUAGUAGUGAAUCAAGAACAGAAUUAAUCAAGAUCAACCUGCCACCCCUGGAGAGAUAUUGUGAUCUCCAUCUUGCUAACUUCAUUUCACAUUUCUCAACCACAUUGUUCCAGAUUUCAUGACUGAGAUUUGGCCCCCAAAGGCAUCCCAAGAUAUGAUGUAGGCAGUGCUUCAGUUUCCCCUCCCAGAACAGCAUUUAAAGCUUCCAUGUUGUGUACUUCAUUAAUUGGAUAGAGGUGGUUUUUCCUCUAAUUAAUGUGUAGACCAGAAAACCCUUCAAACAACACUAGGAUCAUCCUCAACAUCUUUAGUUGGCCUUCAUCAGCAUCACAUAAUAUCAAUGUGUCAUCCGCAUAUUGUAGAUGGGUAAUUUCCACAUUAUCACUUCAGGCUGCUGACUUCAAAACCUCUAAGUCAUCCCCUCACUUUAGCUGAUUUGAUCAUAUUGUUCAGCCCUUCCAUAACAAGUAUGAAAAGGGAAGGAGACAAAGGGUCUCCUUGCCUUAAUCCCCUCUCUACACUAAAGAAACCAACAGAGGAUCCAUUCAUAAGUACUGAGAAUCUCACAGUAGUGAUACAAUGUCUGAUCCAUUGGAUCCACUUCCUCCCAAAUCCCAAUCUCUCCAUUGUGGUCAAAAGAUAUUCCCAAUUAACAUGGUCAUAGGCUUUCUCCAUGUCUAGCUUACAAAGUAUUCCUGUUUUCUUUUGCUUUUGUCUGGAAUCCACUGCCUCAUUAGCUAUCAACACUGCAUCCAUGAUAUGUCUUCCUUGGAUAAAAGCCAUUUGUCGGGAAUCCAUAAGUUUAGCCAUUACUCCUUUCAUUCUCUCUGUCAGAUUUUUAGCAAAAAGCUUAUAGAUGCUGCCUAUAAAGCUGAUGGGUCUCUCAAUUCCUGAGCACCCUUCUUCUUUGGAAUGAGAGUAAUAAAUGUUGCAUUCAAACUUCUCUUCCUGCUCACAGAAGUUUUGGAAAGCUUUCAUGGCUUCCUCCUUUUCCACCUCCCAACAUUUUAAGAAAAAACCCAUGGUGAAUCCAUCAGGCCUAGGUGCUUUAUCAAUUGCACACAUUUUCAGACAUUUUAGGACUUCACUCUCCUCAAAGUUCCUCUGCAGAUUCUCCUUUUCCUCCUCUGUUAACCCGGGGCAAUUUGCAUCAGUAUAGGCAGGUCUCCAGUCAGUAGUCUCAGUAUAUAGCUUCUUGUAGAAGUCUACUAUCUCUCCUUCAAUUUUUGCAGGAUCUUGGGUUAGUUCUCCUUGGAUUACUACUUCAUCAAUGUUGUUGUACCUCUUGUGUGCAUUGGCCAUUUUGUGGAAGAACUUGGUGUUCUUGUCCCCCUCUUUUAACCAUAGUGAUCUUGAUUUUUGUCUCCAUGAAAUUUCUUCAUAUUUGAGCUAUUCCUCAAACUCUAGUAAUCUAGAGUUUGUCCUUGUUACCUCAUCCUCUGUUAGUGCUCUACCCUUACUAGCUUCGUCAAAAACAGCUAGCUCUUUGGGUAAGUUCCUCCUUUUAGCUCCCAGGUUCGCUUGAUCACUCCUGCUUCAAACCUUAAGCUUUUCUUUUAAUGCCUUAAGUUUUGAAGCAAGUAUGAAAUCCGGUCUCCCAGAGAAGCUGAAAGUGUCCCACCAUUCUUUGAUUCUGUUUGUGAACCCUUCUGUGUCUAACCACCAGUUUUCAAACUUGAAAUAAUUUUUGUUUUGGUUCCACACUCCCCCAAGCAACGUAAUAGGAGUGUGGUCUGAUCCAAGCCUUUGUAAAGCUUCCGUUUGAUGUUGUUGAAGCUUUCAUCCCAUUCUUUUGAUAUCAGAAUCCUAUCAAUUCUGGAGGCAAUGUCUUGAUUGUCUCCUUUGAACCAAGUAUACUGGCCAUCCUCUAGUUGAGUGUCAAGCAACUUCAGAUCUUCUAUGAAAUCUGAAAAUUCCUUCUGAAGAACAAAGAAAAUGAAAAGGGCAGGAUAAGUAGUUGCUCGUGUGAAUAAGUAUUUUGGUGUACCUUAAUUAUAUGGAAGCUAUUUGCUGCUUUUCUUGGGUGUCUGCGGGUAACUCUGCAUCUUUCUAUCAUGGCUUUACAAGCAAAGAGGCUAUCUUGAAUGUCAUAAUGUUUUGAAGAACUGAAAUUAUAUUGUGAUCUCCUCAUUUUUUCUUGGCAAGUAAAAGAGAUGUGUUAUUUUCAAAUAUUUUCAGUGCACUGCAAACUUUGCCAAAGACCGUCUGGAAUUUACACUUGAUUAGCAUUGUAGCAACAUGUGAUAUAAUAAUGUUUUCGUCUGAUGUGAAAUUGCUGAUAGAUGUCUGUCGGAUUCAUAUUAUAUUGAAAUUUGAUGCAGGUGGCUCUGGAAGACCCUAAAAGGUUCCGCAUAGAGCUAGCUUUUAGUCGUGGUGCUGAUCUAUCACCACUAGAGGUAUUAAUCAUGUCACCUCUUUCUUUUUUUUUUAUUGUCUAUGCGGAGCUGCAAGAACAGUUCUCAAUUAUGACACUGAAGAUGAAAGAGACUGCAGCUUAUUUUCGUACCAUGGUUAAUUUGCAGGUAAAUGAUGAGAUAGCUGCUUCAUUGCAUCAAGAGCACACACUGCCAAUAAUGGGUCCUGAAAGGCUUCAAGAAGUCGGGUCAUAUCUUACGUUGGCAAACAUGGAAAAACUGGUGCGUCCAUUUGCCAUGCCAGCUGAAGAUUUCCCACCACCGUCAACUCCUCAAGGGUUCUCUGGAUAUUUCUCAAAAAGUGCAUCAGUUCUAGAGCGCCUAGCAAAGAUAUGGCCCUUCCACAAGCAUGUGAACAACAAUGGGAAGUAGUACAAUAUUAUUUUCCCCUGUUGGAUGUUUCUGCUAUCAAACUGAGUUGUGGAGAUUGUUUCCUCUGGAGGUAUUUUACAUUCAAAUCAGUAGCAGCUGAAGAAUUCUGGAAGAGGAGCUACACUGUCAAUUACCGUUCAAAAAAUUUUGCAGUAACGUUUAGCGCCAGCCUGGGCUCACAACUAAAUAUAUAAUAGAGUCGGCCUAUAAUGUAAAUGAGCUCUACUAUGAAUUCUUGUUUGCUGUUUAAUUUUAACUCUUUUGCCUCUUGCUUAUUUAUGGCUACAUUGACAUGGUACUGCUAUUCGUGAAAUACCUGAUUAGAAGCAAGAAAUUCCCAUUCAUAGAAAUGUCAUGGCAUGUUUCCAAUUUGAUAUAUUUUGGUAGUAUUAAAUUUGAUUGUUUUGAACAUUUAAAAAAUGUCUCUAGCUGAAAUCCAGAAAGUGACUACUAAUUUUGAAAAGACCUUGUACACACGGGACUUGCAGAAGUAGACUGCACAUCUGUGUGGAUAAGUGUUUUUUGACAAGAAAAGGAAAGUUAGAAGAUUUUCCAACUUCAAGAGGGAAAGGGAAGAUAAGUUGGGAUUACAAAAGAUAAUCAUGCAAUCAAAGUAAGGUAUAUAAUUAGACUUAAACCAUAUCUUUCUUUUAUUCUUCCUUUUUGUGUCGGAAAUAUGCGUUUUUACUCUUUCUCCGUGCAGACUAAGAGUGUGAAAGGCGUGUUCGAAUAAUGGUUACAACACAGCUAGCAUACAUUUAGUGAGAUAAAUGGUAAAAAAAGAACUACUUUUACAUGGCAUAUAUACUUCAGCCUCUAAUGCUAUAAUGACGAACUGUCUGUGAUUUAAAAAACUUGGCUCAUAAAAUAGGGACCCAAAAGGGGUAGUAAGGCUUUUGCUUGACGAUGGAGUUCUCAAUACUGAGUAUCGCAUGAGAUUUCAGAGUUAGAUUUUCUUACUGUUCUUUAUGCAAGUAAACAUUGUAUCAUCCACCCAAUUUUCUCAAAUGCUUGUUCGUUUUUUUUUUUCCCAAAAUAAAGGCUAACAUCAUCAUAUUUGAUGAACUGAAAGCCCUAAUUGAGUUAACAAGACCAUUCUGAACUCCCAUUUUCUCAUAUUCUGAAGCAGUAACAGGCAAAUCAUGAAUUCAAAGUUUCAAAGAGUACAAUAACACAAUUAGAAACUUAAGCAGGGAAAAAAUGGGGGAAAGACAUCAGAACCAUAGUCAAAUCACAUCAGAAUAAGGCAGUUUAAACUUAUUAGAUAUGAAAUUCAGCUCCAAUAUUAUCAAGAGGAUGUCAGAAGAACUAAGCAGCAUAUUUAGGGGCUUCCCUGUGCUUGAGAAUCUUUUUCUCGAGCUCAUCUUUUUUACCCCAACAACUCUCUCUACUUCCUUGCCUUGUUUCAGCAGCAAAAAUGUUGGCAUAGCUUGAACUCCGAACUCUUUCGCUACGUCCUAUUAUAGAACCAAAGAAACAAUGAAAUCAGUAUCACUAUACGCGGAUCAAUGAAGAAUUAUGAAUAAUUCCAAAUUGAAAUUUCCACGUCACUGACCGAGAGCUCAUCGACGUCAAUUUUGACAAAGUCAACAUCGGUAUACUUGGAAGCCAUGGCGUUAAUAGCCGGCUCCAUGAACUUGCAAGGCCCGCACCAUGCAGCCGCAAAAUCCACAACUAUCUGGCAAUUAGAUUCACCGAUCAAAGUCAGAUCUCUCAAAAACUUAAACCCUAAUUUUUUGCAAAAGCGAAUAGAUAACGGAGUGAUACCAGUUUAUUCAAUUGCUUGGAGGAGUUGAAGUGAAGUUGCCACCGAUUGGAUGAAUGAAAAGCAAUCACACGCGACGGCUCUGACGGCGAUCCUGACACUUCCGUUGCUGCCUGCGCUUCACCUCCGCCGAGUAAGGUUGAAACAAAGGAACCCAUUCGACUCCUCACUUCUUACGCAAAAGUAGUCAAAAUAGAGAAGGAAAUUAUUAAGACGAAGGUAGUAAUAGCGCUGCUUUUAUAUUACGCGAAUUCCUAAUGUCAAAUUGGUAUGUCGUUUUAGCUUGGUUGUCAUUUUGCGGCAGUAUAUAAUUAAAAUAAAAUAUGUAUUCAAUUAUUUGUUUAUACUCCAGUAUAAUUUAUUUGAUUCUAAAAGAAUAUAAAUAUUUAAAAUCACUAAUCUAUAUGAUUAGAUAUAUUUUGAUUUUUAUUUUGAAGAAAAUUGUAAUCGAAGAAACAAUUAUUUAAUUUGUCAAAUAAUUACAGCACCAUUUCUUAUACGACGUAAGUACUAAAACGGAAUCACACCAGUUCAAUUCACAUUUUGGUCUUGGUUCGAUUUUAUUACUUCAAAAAAGUACAAGAAACUUAAAAAAUGCAGUUUUUUUCUUAAUAAAAUAUCAGGUCAUUGUCAAAGGGGAAGGUUUAGUGCUACAAAGUUGUCUGAUGGAGCUUAAUCCUUUUGACAGCACAUACUUCUUCUUCUCUCCCAAAAUGCAAAUGCUCUACAGCCUACAGAUGUAAACCACUCUUCUUUUACAAAGCAUUAAAACAAUAUACAGUAAAAUAUUCUAAGAAGGAAGUAUUCCCAUAUAAUUAUUUCAGGAAGCUUUGCCUGAGAAAAACCGAUUGUAUACUAGUUAAACCACAGAGAGACAUUGUUUAUAUUUAUAGUGUUAAAACACACAUAUAUGAUCCCUUAUGAACUUAUUCCCACUGCUACAGUUUGCUCAAGUUUCGCUUCAAGUGGAAGCUUUAAAUAAAUAGACCAGUGGUUCUGUCUUUUAGCUUCCGCUGAUUUUUCAGGAACAAUAUAGCUUAACAACUUGAUGUAGGAUCUACAUUCUCUUGUUGCACCACAGUUGAGACACGAGAAACUGAAGAAACGAAGACGUAUGAGAAGACUAGAUAUUCUCUCCUUCAGAACAAAAGGAAAAGACUGGGGCAAAACCAUCCUGUCUCUUCCUAGCCUUUCAUCCAGCUACACACAUUCAUGUCAGAUGAAAAAGUUAUGAAGCCAAUUCCACAAUCCCCCAAACAUGAGGGAAUACCAGUACAACAGGAAGCCCAUAUGCAGAUGUUUCAUUGAAAUGGUAUAGGUAAUCCUUGCUUCUUGUUCACAAUUGUCAUUGCCAAAUAUCUGGUCCCCAUCCCAAUAGGUGCCUGCCCCUCCGGACCCUCCCAGAAUGGGGCCUCGCCUUCACCCACCAAACGCCAAUAACCCGUUCUUAAGGAAUCAGCUUGUUCAUCUGUGCAGUUCUCCAUCAAUGCCUCAACCCUGAAAUUUAUGCCAAGUGACCCAAGAAACUGAGACUGAGUCAUUGGGCCAUGCACAGCCACAUCAUCUGUGAAGUUGAUCAUUUGAACAAUUGAAUCAACAUUGAAAGGUAAAAGUUACCUAUGGAAUAUCGAAUUGAACUUAAGAUUGGGGCUAAGGAAAUUCCAAUAAAAUGUACCUGAAGCUUCCUCUGCAGAAUGUCUGAUUGCAGCAAAGUCAACAUAAGCACUAAGAUCAGCAGUUCCAGGAUUAUCCAGUAUAUUAACAAAGCCAUGCUUUCGGAUAGCCUGUUUAAAAAAAAAAUAGGAGAAUAACCAUCACCAUAAACUGAUAGACAGGAAUGAAAACAUCAAGAGUCUUUAUCACUUUCUUAACCUAAAUGAAAGCUAAGAUUUAAAAUGGUAACUGUGAAUAGAUAUAGCUCCCCUAUUCAGUUAGCUAUUGCAUAUAAAGCUAUUCCUAUUUUGGUUUGUACUACCAGCACGAAAACAUGCUUCCCUUCGUACAAAAUCAAAUAAUGUGCUCAUGUCUAGUCAAUUUAAGAAACUUUCAGGUUUAUUCUGUAACUUUAGAAUUCUCAUUUUACCCUUUAUGAGAUGAUUUAUAGCCGCACUGCCACAAAAAUGUCCAAUAAUUGUUUCAUAUCACAGUUUCAAAAGUCUUCAAUUUUUUCUUAAUUCCUUGUCCAGUAGAACAGUGACACAUAAGUUGGAAUGGAGUGAUUACACAUUAGUGAAAUUUUGAGCACUUAGAAAAGUUAUUUCCAUCUUAAACUAUGAAUGUUUUCUAAUUGGGAGUUGGAAAAAUCCCAACAUACUUACAAAGCAGCUACAAUUUACAAAACUUCCUCAUGAUAUUUACAAACUUUCAGGAACUUGAAAUCAUUUUUACUUCAUCAAACCAGCUUUUCAAGAAACAAUGUAAUGUUGUCCUUCCUCUAUUACCAAAAUCACAUACAAGUCAAAUUAACUGCUCAAUUUUCAUGCCAAAUAUGAUCAGUAAUAAAAUAGAAUAAAAUUAGUUGUAUGUCAUAAUUAGACUUUGCAUGGGUGUACUAACAUAAGAGUUCAGAAUUCAUAACAUUCACCAGGAUAAUUGUGUUCCACAUAACAUCAAAAUUUUCCUUGAUGCAUAGCAGGAUAGCUCAGAUGGAGCGAUUUACACAGUGAGGAUUUAUGUAGCUGGUCCCAACAUGCUUGGGGUUGAAAUGUAGUUGUUAUGUGUAUUGCGGGAUAGCUCAAAAAGGAAAGUGAAUUUGGAUGAAAGAAGAAAAUCUUAAGAAAGAAAAAUUUGUUUGCCUCCUAAGCUGAAAUGCAACAUUGAAUUUAGAAAGGUGGACAGAGACAUUGAGCCGAAAGCCCAAAACAUCAAAAUUGAAAAUAACUAUUUAAGAAAUCAUUAGAUAUUUGACAUACUCGCAUUUGUUACCAUUGAACUUUUUGAUAUUUGAUAGCCUACUAAUCUAAAAGAACAAAAAACAAUAUUGAGUGUUGACUUCACGUUUGUGCAAUCAGAGAUUGAGCAUUGAGAUCAGACUUUCUAAGAAAAUGAAGCAAGGCAGAAGCAAAUGGAUUUGGCUACCCAAAACAAAGGAAGUAGGAAAAAGAACUUUUAGUAUUGCAACUGACCUGAAGACUGUCUGAGACUAUUCCAUUUAGACCAUAAUCAAUAAUGAGAGCCCCACCACCAUCUGAGCCAAUUCUUUUAGCAAUUUCUUGAGUCAACUCCAUUGCUUUGGGGCAAACCUCAACUUGCUCAAGCUUGCCUAUAUCUUCUUUCUCAGCCCAUUUGAAGCGCUUCAGGAGAUACAGAGUUGCAGGAGUUGGCUGUUUAGAUAAAACAAACUGAAACCUACCCGACAAAGUACAAAUGGAAGUUACAAAGGGGCAAUAUUACAAGAAAUUACUGUAGGAAGAGAUAUAUGAUAGACUAGCUUGAGACCUUACAUUGAAUUUUCAGCAACAUCAACCAUUUUCUCACACCAGCCUCGAGAUGCUCUCUGCAUGUAUAAGAAUAAACCAAUUUGAUGCUGACAAUACUACAAUAAAUGUCAAGCCAGGUAGAAAAGAUACUUGAUUUAAACUUCCACAGGCACAAAAACAAGAUUCUAAAAUCUAAAGUACCACCUAUCAAACUGAUGCUCAUAAUACUAAUAAUACUAUAUGGACACAAUCUUUCAUCUAAAUUUCCUUUUUCUUCAUUUUUUUUUCUGUGAGCAUGUGUGUGGAGGGUGCGAGGUUAAUUCCGUUAGGCACAAAAUCAGACUACAAAGAUCAAGUAUUUUCAUUGUAUUUCCAUCGUCAGGAUAUUCUCUGGUAGUUUCGUAGUUUAAAUAAAAGAUGAAAGUAGAUAAUUUGCAGUAAAAUGUUCAACUAAAGCUAUUGGGUAAAAAUGGAUUAGCAAAUCUUAUUAACCGAUAAAAUAGAGGUUAUACAAACGAACCUGAAACUGAUGAACAGGUAACGCAUCGUAAAAUUCAUGGGCAAUAAUGAUCAUAGGUACUGAGAAGUCAAAAAGAACAAAAUGUAAGAGAACCUAUACGUAGAUGAUAAUACAAUUUUCCAUUGAAGCUUCAAGACCAAAUAGAAGAAAAAAAUACUAUGUCUGUAUGAUAGUGAAACAUUUGAACUGAUUUACACUGUAAAGAACAUGUAAUCUACAAAAACAGCUGGUAAUAAUUUCUUACUUCCUGCUGGAACCUGCUCCAGGGUGGCAUGCCAUGCUACACUGGUCCCAGUCAACCUGCUAAUAAUGUGUUCCUCUGCAUCUCCAUCUGUAUCAUUCUUGUUUAUACACAUCAAGUUCUGAUAUUGGAGUUUCUUUAGAGUUGGACUACAUUCAACCAUGUGUAUGUGCAAAGAGUCAGUGAAGUUCCUAAAUUUUGAUGCACCCUGUGGUUCAGAAAUCAACAAUUGCAUUUUAGGCAUAUCAGAACAGGAUCCGUACUUUAAGAAUCUACAUAAAAAAUUUAAGAAUAUGCGAGCUGGAGAGGAUGUAUAUCAAUGGGACUGUACUCGUAGAAGAUCCGCUAAUAGAGUUCCUCGUCCUGGUCCGAGCUCUACAAGAUUUAUUUUUUUCGGUUGCCCCAUUUGCUCCCAAAGACACAUGGCCCAAACACCAACCAUCUAAGAAAAAGAAAAUCAGGAAAUCAAACAAAACACCGGUGGUAAAUUUAAUCACUCUUUUUUUAAAGAACUCCACCGAUGAUGAAGGAAGAAAAUCAAGCAGAAAACCCCCACUGUAUCUAGAUUACCUCUCCAAACAUCUGGCUUACUUCAGGAGAGGUAAUAAAAUCACCUUCUGCGCCAAACACAUCGCGAUUAAUAUAGAAUCCUGCCUUUGGGUUAGUCAAGACUUCCUCCAUAUAUUCGGCAACUGAGAUGGGCCCGCCUCUGAACUGAAAACAUAACCAGCUUAAGAUAUUGAAUCUCAAGAGUAAGGAGGAAAACAAAAGAUACAGAUAUCUGCAGACUUUCCCAGUUCACCAAUGUAUAUUUGGCCAAUUAUUUAACAGUUUUUACUUUUUAUCUACUGAGCAAUGGUUUCUUCAGCAAUUAUCCUAUACCAAUCAGGGACAUGGCCAAUAUGCUGAUGCAGACUAGUGAGGAAAUGAGGAGCUACUUAUUGAUUGAUUCAUAUAUACCAAACUAGGAAAAAACCGGAUUGAUACAUCAUUGAUUAAGGUAUAGCAAAACAAAGAGAAAUUCUAAAUCUUCAGCUAAAGUACUCGCUAAUUUAAAUCCAAAUUGGCAGAAUAAAACUCAGAAAGCAAAUGCAUACACAAGAAAUGUUCAUGUAGGGAAAUGCGGCGAUUAAGAACCUUAAUGAUGCUCUUAAGAUGCUUAACAAGCUCGGUAUCCGAUGACGGUUCAUGGGAAUGCUCUGCAGUUUACAAGGCAAUUAUCAAAUCAUCAAAAAAAAAAUUAAAAAACAGCAGGAUAAAGAGUUGAAAAUACUACGCAUGUAGAAAGGGAAAGUACCGGGAGGAUUAUAUAGGCCAGAUCGGUCAAUGGAGAUUGCUGCAGAAGGGGGAGUGGUACUAACUUCGCUGUCCUCCAAGUGUUCGACAGAAGUACCGUUAAGAGAUUGGGAAGUUGAUGCAGGAGAAGAAGAAUAUUGACGACACCAUGAGAGUGACGCGGAAGCACCAAACAGCGAACGACGCUGAGUUGAAGCCUGGAAUAGUAAUCUUUUUAACAUUUCGAAUUUGGUCGAGCUUCGAUUGUUGCAAAACGAUACAAGAUACGGAAUAUUUUGAGGAAAAUUGCAGUCCUUUAAGUUUUGUAUACCCCGAGUGGGCUUGCAGUUUGAAAAGAAAACAACACAACAAGUAAAGAUACUAGCCAAGGUAAACCACAAUGGGGAUGUAGCUCAGAUGGUAGAGCGCUCGCUUAGCAUGCGAGAGGUACGGGGAUCGAUACCCCGCAUCUCCAUUUCCUUUUUAUGAAGAAGAUUUUUUCUUAUCAAAAUUUGCUCAUAAGUCAUUUCAAAACUAUUUGAGGCAAAAAGACCUUUCUUCAUGUACAUUUUUCAUAUCUCAUUUCAAAACAAUUUUUUCAUAUAUCAAAAUUUGCUCACAAGUCAUUUCAAAACGAUUUGAGACCAAAAGACCUUUUUCAUGUACCAAAUUUAAUGUCAUUUCAAUACAAUUUAAGGAUUUGAGGCGAAAGGCUAAACUAAUAAUGUACAUAUGUGAUUUUCGUUAUAUUAGGAGAAAUGAAAAAAAAUAAUAUGAUAGACAAAUAAAAAAAUAUUCAUUCAUAAAAAUUCGGAUCUUGAAGAUUUGAGACUCUCAUAAUAACUUCUCAACCCAUCACUCCAUUGAAUUCAGUAGUCCCUAUACAUGCCAAACAAUUAAAACAUUACAUUAAGUAGUUUUCAUUUUCCUCACAAAAUCUUCAGAUAUAUUGAUUAAGUCAGCAGGCCAUCUAUUUUUUUCUAAUUUUAAAAUAAAAUAGAAGUAAGCAUUUACAUCAAAUGAUAUAUUCCCAAUAGCAAAAAAAAUAACAUCGAGUAAGUUUCACGAAAGAAAGUGAAUCUAACAAUUUAGUAAAAAAAAUAGAUUUUGACAAUCGUCUAAUUAUUUUUAUAGUCGAAACAUAAAUGGCCACAUAGUAAGCAUGAUUACAAUUUGACUAGCGCCUCAUAUCUCUCCAAACCCACUAGUCUGUGGCUUAAGAGCAACGGUCAAUCCAUACUUUGCCCCUUUGUUAAAAUCAACUUCAGUGUCGAUUUCACUUGAAAUGAUGAAAAGAGAAUUUGGAAGGCACUUGCGUUGGAGCAGUGCAGUCAGCUAGCCAAAAAUUGUUUACAUUCAUAUUUCGUAAUGUUCAUGAUAAUGAGUACCAGUUGUAAUGGUAUGCUCUAAAAAAAAUUAUUUUUGAGUUUUGAGUUAUUACCGACUUUUGACAAUAAUAAUAAUAAUGAUAAUAAGGAUAUAUAAGAAUAGAGAGUAGAAUCAAGCGAUGUACCAUUUUCGCUUGCGAUUUUGGCAAAGUUAUAGAAUAACAUUUAAGUUUUUAUUUAAAUUUUUAUGAAAUUUAAAACAAAUUAAAGACACAUUCAUUUGUAAUUCAAUUUGCAAUUGAUAUAUUUAUUCAUUCUUUAUAUCUUUUAACAUUUUACGUCACUAAUUAAUUGUCAUUUAAAUAAAAAGAUAACAAAUUUAUUAACUAUUAUAAUAACUUAAUCAAUGAUAUAAAAAGUAAUAAAUUGGUGAGAUAUUACUUAACUAAGCUAUUUUUAAAAAAUAAAAUAACGACUUGCAGAAUUUACAAAUGAGAGCCCUUUAUUUAUAGGACUUUCUAGGAGACUAAUGUGCAAAUAAAAAUUGGAUAAAUUACCCAUAUGCGUAUUUUUAUUUUCCACAAUUUCCGUUAUACCCUACCAUUUUAAAAUAUUCAAAAUCUCUUAUUUUUUCCUAAUUUUUAAGUCAGUCAAAUAUAUAUGUGUCCAGCCCUAACCCACGUUUCUCUUUUCUUUUUUCACACCUUUAAUCUCUCCCUAAUUUCACUUCAUAAUCUUAUUAGUCACACUCAUCUCAAUUUGAACUGUGAAAGGAUUCUCUCUAGCCAAUCAAAUUCAAAUCAUUUAAUCAAAAUAUUUUCGUAUUGUCUUCUUAACUGCCACCUUCUUCUUCAAACAAAUAAUUCAUCCUUAUUUCCUGAUAUGAGUCAUGUUUCUUAAAAAAAAAUAGAAAAAUUUCAUUUACAGUUUCUCAACCUACUCUACCAAAGGUAAUGAUUUUUAAUUUAUUUCUACGCUUUUUUUAUGUUCAAUAUUGCAUCUAUUAAUUGAUUCAAAUGCCUGGAACAUUAUCGAAAAAGGGUACUAAAAUUUCAUCUAUAAUUUCUUGACUCAAUCUACUAAAGGUAAUAAUUUUUUAUAUAUUUCUACACUAUUUUUUAUGUUCAAUCUUGCAUCUAGUUGAUUUAAAUGUAUCAUACAUUAUUGAAAAAGUAAUUUUAUUAUAUUGCAAUGUAUCAUCAUUCGAUUUAAUUGUUUGAUACAUAAAACUCUAAGCUUGUUAAUCAUAAAACCCUAAGUUUAUCGCAUUACAACAUAUAAAUGUAAUGUAGUAUGUGUCACUCACAACAUUUCUUGUAUUUGAUACAAAAAUAUAACUAAUGUUCAUAGUUAUUCUCAAUAUAUCAAGUUAUAAAUAUACUGUGAUUUGACGAAUUAUGUAUCACUCGCAAUUUUUAUGAUAUAUAAUGUGUUUUAAUCUAAUGAAUCAAGUAUCAGUCUCUACAUAUCAUGUACUUGAUACAAAAUAAUAUUAUUGAAUGUGUCAUAAUGAGUAUCAGAUAUGAAAAUAUGAUACAUUAUACAUUAUAUUAAGUUGCAAUGUAUCAUAAAUAAAAUAUUAAUACGAUGGAUCAAAGCGAAUUGACUGGUAAUCAGUGGUUACUUACGAGGACAAGAAAACUGAAAGGUUAUUAUAUCAGACCACCCAUUUGAUGUUAAAUUUGUACAAGAUAUUAUGCAACAAUAAAAUGAUACUCUGUAAAUUUUAUACGAUUUUGUUUUGAGUUAUACGUUCAAUACAAUUUAUAAUGUAUCUUCUACAUUUUUAAGGGAUUGUAGACUGUUUGCAGCUGAUUUUGCUAAAUUUCUUAGCAACAAAAUUUCAAAAUCAUCUUAGAUUUUUGAUUCGAUUAUUCUCAUACUAGAUAUGGAGUAAUUCUAUGAAAAUAUGGUUGCGAAAAAGCAAAGACAUGAUAUGUGAGUGAAAAUGAUGCUCCACCGAAGCCUAGGAGCUAUUCACAUCACCAGACCAAGAGGAUUUGUUCAAUAUAGCAUAUGCUUUAUGUAUACGUAGACACACCCAUUUGAAUAUUUUACUAUUUUUAAGAUACAUUAAAUUAAGUUUUAGACUGUUUUUCUAAUAAUUUGAUUAUUUGAAUUUAAAUUUCAACAUAUAUAUAUAUAUAUAUAUAUAUAUAUAUUUCAGUAUGUAUAUGUUUUUUUUAAAUCUAAAUAUGUAUAUUUUUUUUUUAUAUUUUGGUUGUAAUUAUAGUGUUUGUAAUACACAAGAUAAAAUAGGACAAAUUUAAAAAUUAUUUGAUCUAAAAUAAUUUCAUAAAUUUAAAUAAAACACAAUUUUUCAUUCAAGAGGUUGUUUAUUAAAUUAUGGGAAAAGGGUUUGAUAUACCCCUCAACUUUGUCAUUUAGAGCUGAUAUACCCCUGGUUAUGAAAGUAACUCAUAUAUACCCUUACCUGUAAAGAAAUGACUCACAUAUACCCUUUUCCUUUAACGGAAAUGAAAAAAAAUAAUUUUAAUCUAAAUUUUUAUUUUUUUCUAAAAAAUAUAAUUCCAUAUGAAUAAAUUUAAUCCUCGUCAAACAUAUUUUUUUUUGACUUUUUUUGUUUCAAUGACUAAUUUAUAAUUAUUGUUUUGAUAAUCAAAUUUAUUUAUGUUUCACUAAUAUUCUUGUAAAACUUAUUGUAGAUGACCAAAUUUUUUCUUCGAAUACGAAAUUAAAUUACAAUACACACACAAAAAAAUAGUUUAAUUUUUUCUCUCUUUAAACUAAGGAAUGAAAGAAAAAAAUAAAAUAAGAAUAAGAAACUAAAUAAUUAUAAUAAAAGAAGUCAAAAAUUGGUUUAUGUAUGAAAAAAAUUAAAAUAUACCUUGAAUUUUGAUAGAAGAAUUAUAUAUACCCCUAAAUAAUAUUUUUUAAAAAAAAAUUAGAAGUAAUAAAUAUAAAUUUAAAAUUAAUUUUUUAACUUUCGUUAAACGAAGGGUAUAUGUGAGCAAUUUUGUAAAGGCAUGGGAUUGUUUGUCGAUCCCACUCCUUUUUAACUGGACAGUAGCGAUUAGCAACGGGCUUUUCGUCUAAAUAGUCUGAGGAUGCGUACCAAAGCAGGUGCUUCAAUGGCAAAAUCAUUCGAUGCCCAGAAGUAUCUGAAGAGAGUCGGAUUAGGGAAAGAAGAUUAUCACUUCUGGAAGCAAGUGGGAAAAGCUUUGCUCUGUACUUACACUCUGUUUGGUGUGGCGUGGGUGUGGAAUGAAACCUCGCCGCUUGGUUGGUGGACUUUAAAGCCACGGCCAAAGGAAGAAAAAGAAUUAGCACAUCUAUACGAACGCCGGAAAUUUCCAUAUCCAGGUGACGAGAAAGCCAUGGAAGAAUUCGUUGCCAAAGGUGGGAUGAUUGGAACUACAAUUGGUCCCAAGGGAAUCAUCGAAUCUGAUAAAGAUUCAUACAAUUAUCAGAAAGCAUUGCAGGAUAAGAAAGUUGACCAAGAAGCCUUCAAGCUAUGGACGAGGAUGAGGAAUGAGGUCAUUUCUGAGCUUCAAGAGAAAGGGUUUGAUGUAGAGUGAGUUAAUUACUGUUAAUCGGAUUUGCUUCUCUCAUGCUUAUACCUUAAUUGCGCAUUUUGUACCUUGCAAAUUUACUAUUUUGUAGUUGGAUGUUUAAUGUGGGGAAUUACGGAAUAAGGUUUUAACUAUUUUAGCUCAAUCAAGUGCUUUCUCCGCUCUGGUGGACCUUUGCUGUUUAUCCUACUUUAAUUUGCAGAAUGUGAUUUCAUCUGUUGUUUAAGUUUGAGUAUUUACUUCAGUCAUAGUAUCUAUUGAUAUGAUGCUAUACUUGAUUUUGUCGUUCAAACAUGUGCUGACUGCUGACUAUCUUAAAGUUUCUUGAUCUGGAUCACCUCCUAGUUGUUCUCUUUCAUAUUAUAGGAACUCUUUUAUGGUAAUCUGACUAAUCUCUGGUAUUUCAUUUCUUUGUUUUCUUAAGUCCACAGUUGUAAUCUUAUAAUUGUUAGAUUGUAGUAAAACCAGUUUCAUUUCUAUGGUUGUUCCCGUUUUUACUCAUAUAGUAUCUGAUUUUUACUUAGGUUUUCUGUAAUUUUGUGUAGAGAACAGAUAAUGACAUGCUCUCAUCAAUACCGUUCUUGUCAUUCUCUCUCUCUCUGAAAUGCUUGAACUCUGAGACUGACUAUUCAUCGCUGAAAUUGGAUUUAUUCAUGCAUGCUAAUUGCUAGCUCUUGUUUUAAUAUAAUAAAUGAGUUGGUAAGAUAAAUUGACACACAUUUAUCAUUUAUUCUUUUAUACAAGAACUAUAGUCAAUAAGAUUUUUGCCUUUUCCUUAUCGUAACUCUCUACAGUUGAAUGUUGUUAGAGAAGAGCAAACUGUAUCCCUGAUGUAUUUUUGAAUAACUGCUAACUGCGAUGACCAUGUCUGAGUUUCAUAUUUCCAACAGGAAAUAGUAUGCCAAAGCAAUUGGUAUUGCAAUCAGCAUGCCAAAGAUUACCCUGCAAUCAGAAUGAAACCACAUCAGAAAAAUCAUAUCUGCUUAAAAUUUUCUUAGUGGAGGAGUUAAAAGUUUUGAGAUGAUAAUUGUAUCUGGUACCCUGUACUUAAGAUGGUUGGAUGUAUGUUAUACUCCUUGGCAAACACAAAAGGAACGAUUCCUUGGGGAAGGGCUGCCUGCAGUAGAAAGUACAGCAUUGAGUAAUCUGGCAUGAAUUGACAACAGAAAACAAUUUAGUUUCACCUGUACUAUUGCCAAUCUAAACAAUUUUCCCUUUAGUCCAACAACAAUAGAUGAGAUUGCCAUGAGAACAGGUCCAAGAACAAACUUCAGUGCCAUUGCUAAUAUUGCCUUUUUGGUUCCGCAUGCUAUAAUACUAUCUUGGGAUGCCAUGAAAACACCUGUUGAAUUAAUGCAAUAUGAGUGGCUGGCCAUUUUUCAUUUUUGGUAAUUCGCUAGUACUUCGUGUGAUGAGUGCUUAUUUUCUGUUGUGUACCUAUGCUAAACAUUGCCAUUCCUAGUCCACCAUCUGAAAGUAUUGAUAUUGAUUGUUCAACAAUUUUUGGCAGAUUGACUCCCCACCUGCACUUCAUUUUGUGUAAAAAAAAUAAGUCCAUUGAUUUUUAAUUCGGUGUUUCUGUAGAAGAUAGGUUUUGGGUUUCUAGAGAGGCUUAGUAAGGGUUUCUAGAGAGGCUUAGUAAAGCUUUACCUGAAGUGUAUGCUUGACCAAAUAAUACCGGCUAGAGUUGCAUGUGUAUUAGGAUUUAUUAUGAGUUUCCUUCCAACUGUUAGAAGAAUUACCAUAAUUGUUUUCUUCCUUGGGGGUCUGUCUGUCGCUUCCUCCUCACCGUCCUCUUCUAGUUCUGGUUCUCCAGGGACCUCAAGCUCUACUUUGAAUGGUAGAAAUUUAUGUAUUAAGACAAAAGAGCAGGCAUAAUGAUGUAAUGUCUGCAUAAAUAGUCGUCAUGUUGGAAUGGUCAUCAUUUAUAACUUACAAAUUGCUAACUUCUAGUGAGCUGUUCUAUUUUUCUUUUGUUCUUUUUUUUUUUUUUGGGGGGGGGGGGCAAGGUGGGGUGGAGUAGGGGGAAGGGGGGCUUAAGGGAAGUAAAAAUUAAGCUGGUUGGUUGCAUCAUAUAGUAAUUUGGUUAGUUCGGAACUUCAGGAACCAAUUAUGGCUACUGUCUACUUUUUUCAUUGUUGAAGGGGUUAUCUCAGCAAACUUCCUGUUUGUUUCAUUCAGAUGAGUUGGAAGUAUUUGUCUCUCACAAGUAGAUGAAUCAACUCAUUUUGGUAAAGCAAACUUAUAUUUCAUUGGAGACUGUUCACCUCUUAGUUCUUGAGUUUUUGCUGCCAAACUACAAUAAUAAGUUUUAGGAUUGAUCAAUGUGCUUUAAGAGAUGAAGCAAGUUGUGGUUCAUUCCUCUAGUUUUGAAUUCUGACUAGCUUUGAAAAUGGAAAUGGAACAUUUCUUAAAAUAGAGUUUUGUCAUGCUUCACGAUAUCACAUAUUAGUUUAUCUAAAGAUCAUAUGAUACAGGCUAAUUUGGAAUUUGUGGGGCCCAGAAUAGGAUUCUUCACUCACUUAUCACAUCUACAAUAUAUUGCUUUUUGGUUUUUAACAGUUCAAAUUGGAGAGCUUUAAAUAGGUUCUGUUACAUGGAUGCCAUCCAAAUAGAUAUUCUACGUUUAGGAACCAUUAUUCUGUUAUCUGAGUACGUACCUGCUACUUCUGAUGGUGACAUCACAUAAGAUUCUUUUGUUGCAUUGAGCUCGAAUAGGAGUAGGAGGAGGUUGUACCAGACUAAACUCUGUAGUGCAAUUAGCUGCGCUAGUAGUUCUGCUGCCGCAUCUCCAAAAAUGGCCUUAAUUAGCGGGAUCCCCAAAAUUAAGGUGUUUGGAAGGGUGGAAACUGAAAGACCUGUUAUGAUCCAAGUCAGGUUUCCUUUGGGCUUCAGUUUGGAUAAAAUUGCCAGUAGAAAGACAGCAAGAAAUUUUUGAACGAAAUCUGCUAAUAGAAGCUUCAGGUUUACUUUGUAGAGGUUGCUUCCUGAUAUCACUUGGAAGGACAAUAAAGGUAUUGAAAAUUUCGCUACAAACUUGUUGAUUCCAGAGCAUUGCUCUGGUGAAAAGAGUUUCCCCCACCUUACAGAGAUAUAGGCUAAGAUCAUGACAACAUAUAAAGGUAUAGUGGCUGCCACAACAUGGUAGACAUCACGUAGGGAUAUCAUGGUAUUUCUUAUAGAUUUUUGUAUGUCGAAACCUUGGUAAACAGGCCCUUUUAUGCUGUUUGGUUUGCUUUGUUGGCAUAUGAUGGGAAAGUACCACUAGAUCUUUCUGCUGAAGCUUUCUGACUAAUCUUUUUGAGUUUUAUCCCAGCAUCUGUUGAUUUUCAAAUUUGAAAGUAUUUACUAACCUAUGGCUUUGUAGGUUCACAUAUAUUGCAGAAAGUAUCUGAUUUUUUAUCUGUGUGUCUUCCCUCAUAUUACACACCUUUUUUAGGCUGAAAAUUUGAUAUUACUGAUGUUUACAAUACUCAAAUGCCAGGUAUCUAAUCUUGUUUAGUUAAAAAGUUAGUUCUAGUUUUCAUCAUGAGGUUAAUCCCUUUUGCUUAUUUGUCUUUUGCUCAUUUCUCAUGUGGCCUAGGUGUUAGCCUAUGCAUAUCACAAUAGACGGAAAUAGUAAGCUAUACAAGCUUUAAUCUGUCUCCUGUUUUGUGUCCCACAUGCACUUUAUUUCCCUGUAAGAUUUCAUUUAGGAAGAAGAGGUAUUUCACUGCACUUUAUAUGCAGUGAUCUUUACUGCACCAAAAUGCCCUUACAUUUGUCUUUAACUUUGAAUUCAGGGGUGAAAAUCUGUUAAGUUGAUCCUGCCUAAAUUUCCAUUUAUGCAGUUGCAUAGCCUUUAGCUGCCAGGUUAUCUGGAAAAGUAAGCUAGGAGAAUAAAGAAGUAAACUGCAAAAGAAGUAACUGACUUGAUGAGUAAAUAACGUCUCUGAAGUAAGAAUUUUUGCUAUAUAUGGUCAAAGUUUUGGAAUAAGUAUUACAGGGUUUUGCUUUUAUAGCUAUGCAAUUUUCACAGGCCAAGUUCUGGUGCCUCUUUAUUAUUAUUAUUAUUAUUAUUUUUGAGAAUUUCUCCACUUGAAAUAUGGGGAAUCUAGCCAAGACACACCUACAAAAUACCGUAAUCUCUUUUCCUUCCUUUUUAAUUUUUUCUUCUUUUUAUCUGUGGGGGUGGGGGAGAUUUGCCUUUCUGUAUUAAAAGACAAUUUAUUUAGAAAUAUCGAAAUCAAAUGAUCUGAAAAUAAGAGUGAAGUGAAUUCAACUAGAUUCAAAUUUGAGGUGUAAUGAAUUGAUUGAUACAAUGUUCUUCAUAGAACUUUUCCUGAUUCUCUAUGUGGUUAGCAUUUGAAAUCUCCAGGGUGGAUCCACGAUUUAAGCUUUACGGGUUUAAUGUUUAAGGUUCUUAUAAUUAAAUCUGCUAUAUUAUUAAGAUUAUGGGUCAAUUUCAGUAGAGUUUUACACCUAAUAAAUUUAUGCUCAACGUUGGAACUAUUGAUGACGAUUUCUGGAUAUUUAUUGCAAUUCACUUGUUCUGUUUGACUGUUUAUAUUGUAUGUUUUGCUUUUAAUAAGUAAACUAUUCUUAGAGCUAAGCUUAAGCUUAGCACAUUCUUUCCUCUCCGGAAAAUAUGCAGAUCACUUUUUCUGAAAAAAUACUCCUUUUUGAAAUGGUUUUCCCUUGUUAAAGAAGCCUUCUUAAUCAAUGGAUUUAAUCAAGCCUUCUUAAUAUACAAUUGAUUAUUAAGUGUUUGAUAUAGUGUAAAAACAAGACUUGCACAUCUUAUCGUACAAGACUAGCUUUAUACAACAAAAGUGUAUAAAUUUUGUUCCUAUUUUGUAUAAAGCGAGAGAAAAUUGUAUAUACACAUGCAAAAACAUAUAUCUUUGUGCUAUACAUUUAAUUAUACAAUUUAUAAAUAUUUUACUUCGAUUUAAUUGUAUACAAAUGCAAAUUUUAUAUAAAUAUUGCAGCGAAAAAGGCCAGCGAAUUAUACAAUUGCAGUGAAAUACAAUUUUCUCUCGCUUAUACAACAGAAGUGUAUAAAUUGUGUUUCUGUUUUUGUAUAAAGCGAGAGAAAAACAUAUAUCUUCUUCCUAUGCAUUUAUAAUUAUACAAUAUACAAACAUUUUACUUCGAUUCAAUUGUAUACAAAGCAAAUUUUAUAUAGAUAUUGCAGCGAAAUAGGCCAGCGAAUUAUACAAUUGCGUUGAAAUAGGCCACCGAAUUAUACAAUUGCAGCAAAAUAGACUAGCGAAUCAUACAAUUGUAUAUGUAUAGCGAAGCCAGCGAAUUAUACAAUUUAGGCCAGCAACUUAUAUAAUUGUAUAUGUAUAGUAAAUUAUACCGUUAUAUAUUUGCUAUGGAACGCAAUUAUGUAAACUUUGUUACAACAUACAGAUAUAAAUUUUUUUUUUUGUUAUACGUAAAAGUUGCACAAAUUUUUUUUCCCUCUAGAUUUCAUAACCUUGUGUUUGAAAGUGAGAUUUACUUACAAUUUUACACCCUCAUGUCUCCUAUUGGAAAUCAAAUUAUGUAUCUAUAAGAAAUCUAACAGUUUGUUGGCCUUCUCAAAAGUCAAAUCAACAAAUUCUCUAUUUGCGCCAUCUUCGUUUUUUUUCUAUCCUAAAUCAUGGGAAGUCACGAAGAAAUAAUUAUGGAACUCUUUAUCUCUUUUUCAAUUCAAGUGUGUUUCAAAAUUGCGGAAUACUUUAAUAUCUGAACCUUACUUAUAAAGAAGUAUCUCAAUACGAAUCAAAAUUCCCAAAAGCUGCUUAUUACCCAAGUGCCGCGCGGUAAGUACAGUAAUUCUUAUAACUUGUAUACUUCUUCUUUUAUCUUCUUCGUCUAAACUUUAAGGCCUUGUAUAUAUAGUUUUUCAUUUACGUCUAAUGCAUGAUUUAUUAUACGUUUAUAAGGACUAUCAACCAACUAAUUAAUGUCUUUAGAGGAAGAACUAAUCUUCGGGCAUUUUUGGACCAUAAGUUUUUAAUUAACCAACCAUGCACUUGUACAAGUUGUUUACCUUUGAAAGAUAAUGGCUAUGCACAUUUUACGCUAUUUGUCCAUUAGUAUUUAAACUACAUUUUUCCAUCAACAAAAAAACACAUCUCUUUACGUUGCUGCUUUUUUAGGCUACAACAAAGAGGGUCUCACCUCUAAACAGCCAAAGGGUUUGACCCAAUUAAGACCUUCUUUCGUUUUUAUUUAGAAAAAAAAAAUACUUUAACUAGUUAAAUUAUCAUAAAUCUUUAAAUGGGAGGAACAAAGCUGGUAUAUUUGUCUCUGUUACUAUUUUCCACAUUUUUGGUAAUAAAUGGUCACAUUGGUGAGUUUGAUGAGGUGUGGAGGAGGAGAGCCCAGGAAGCAGAUGAAUGGGCCAUAAAGGCUUACAAGCCCGACCCCAUCAAUGUCACCCUUGCAUUUGCUAAGGAAACUGGACAGUACGUUAAAUUCACUAAUUUCUCUUUUUAAAAUCUUUUUGAUGCCUCGCAAUUAUAGUGACUGACAUCAAUAGUAGUACUAUUUAAUUAGGUGACAUUUACACAUAAAAAGAUAAUAUUUACUGUUUUUUGCAACAACUUUCUUAAGAACAACUUCAAUUUCACUAAAACUGGGUAACGAUUUAAUUAUUUGAGACCUUUCUAAUUUAAAACAAACACUUCAAAACAGGGCCUUAAAGGAAAUAAAGGAAGCGAAGCUGGCAGUAAAUGGAACAAGGAGGGAAUUAAAAGGAGGCGGCAAAAAAUACGAUGGGCCUUGCUCAGUUACCAACCCAAUUGAUAGGUGCUGGAGAUGCCAACCUGAUUGGGCCGACAAUCGCAAAAGGUUAGCUGAUUGUGCAAUGGGCUUUGCAAAAGGGACUACCGGAGGAAAAGCCGGCGAAAUCUACGUCGUCACGGAUUCUUCCGACGACACUAGCGACCCUAAGCCGGGAACCCUCCGAUAUGGUGUCAUUCAAAAGGAGCCAUUAUGGAUCAUAUUUGCUAAAAGUAUGACCAUUAGGCUACACCAGGAACUCAUAGUGCAAAGUGAUAAGACCAUUGACGGCCGUGGAGUUAAUGUUCACAUUGCUAAUGGAGCAGGUAUUUAUCGAGCUCGCAAUCAAAUAUUUUAUUUUAAAAUAAAAAAUAAAAAGUUGAAAUCUUAUAUUAUGUUUAUGUCUGGACAGGUUUCAUGCUCCAGUACGUGAAGAACGUGAUCAUCCACGGUCUCCGCAUUCAUGAUAUUGUGGUGGGCAGUGGUGGGAUGAUCAGAGAUGCAAUGGACCACGUUGGACAACGGACACAGAGUGACGGAGAUGGUAUUUCUAUAUUUGGUUCAUCGAAUAUAUGGGUGGAUCAUGUCUCCAUGUGGAGUUGUUAUGAUGGGCUUGUUGAUGCUAUUGAGGGAUCCACUGCUGUUACCAUAUCGAAUAGUCAUUUCACUGAUCAUAAUGAGGUGAUGCUUUUUGGUGCGAGUGACAGUUCUUCAAUUGAUCAAAGGAUGCAAAUUACCGUGGCUUAUAAUCAUUUUGGGAAGAGAUUGAUACAGAGAAUGCCAAGGUGCAGAUGGGGUUUUAUUCAUGUGGUUAACAAUGACUACACACAUUGGAAUAUGUAUGCUAUUGGCGGUAGCCAACAUCCCACUAUUAUUAGUCAAGGUAAUCGUUUCAUUGCUCCUCCUGACAUGUUCAAGAAAGAGGUAACAAAGAGGGACUAUUCCCCAGAAUCAGUGUGGAAACAAUGGUCAUGGAGAUCACAAGGUGAUCUAUUCAUGAAUGGAGCAUUCUUUGUUGAAUCUGGAGAUCCAGAUUGGACCCAGAAACACAUACAGCUUUUUGAUGGGGUUGUAUCAGCCUCAGGGGAUCAAGUCACUUGGAUUACAAGAUUUUCAGGGGCACUAAAUUGCAAGCCAGGAGAAGCUUGUUAGACCAUCAUUGUUCUAUAAAUGUUAUCACCAAACCAAACUCUCUCAUCAGUCCUUAAACUAACUUUGUAUGCAUUUAUUGUAUCGAAAUUCUCUGUAAUUUUGAACUGUUAAAUGACGAAAUUGAAAAGAUGCAAAUUCACACCAAGCUAUACAACUUUGUGUCAAUGUUCUCUUAUAUUUUCUUCUAUAUUACUAGUUUUUUCGUAAAACUAACAUCUGCUUUAAGAGGCAGGAGGAAUUCUAGUAAGAGCGAGUUGAAAGCAAUACUAUCUUCCUCUGUAAAGAAAUGAUAAAAAUAAAUAAAAAUUUAACUUUGUUGAUUCGCAAUUAUCAACGUACAAAAAUCUAAAAAGAUUGUAUAUUGCUUACUAAUUGUUAUAAGGCUUAUAACAGUUAAACAAUUGUUGUUAGCCUCUCCCUUUCUUCCGAAAUACAAAUCCUAGAUACACCUCUGGCAAAGAGAAAAUACAGGUUAAGGAGAAUUUACGUAGUUCCUAGAUUAUGCUGAUGGAUAUUUAGAGAUACUCCAGAAUGUCACAAACGAUUAUUAUAUUAGUUAUGCUGUUGAUUAAAAGUACCUCAAGAAAUCUAUUUUCUCAUCUGCCCCAAAACAUGAGCUUCACAUAAACGUUAGCAGCAAGGACUUUCAGCUGCGAUCAGCAAUUGCUGAUUAGGCACGUACCUUCUAAGUUCCCACACUCAAUCUGAAUAAUUUUGCACUUAAGAACUCUCAGAUUCAUUCCCUGAAUCCAUGGCAGUCGGCUGAAGGUUCCUGUAAUCACUGAUCUGUUUGCUGUAGCGCUUCUUAUCUGCCUUUGGCCAUGACCUCAAAGGGUUUUUUCUCCUCAGAUGCAAAAUCAUUAAUCCAGCAAGUGAGCUUAUAAAUGUAUCACCUGCCCUAUGAUAUAAGAUAAUUAAAGAAAAAAGCACAAAACAGACUGUAACAAACAUGACUAGCAUUGUACCAACCGCCUUUAAAUAUAAAAUAAUGAAACAAAUAAAAUAACUACCAGAAUGCCACAAAACGCUUAUUCCAUCUCUCCAGGAAUCCUCCCAACUUCAUAAAAAAUGAUUUCAGGAUUAUUUUGCUUCAUAGAAAAUGAUUUCAGGAUUGUUAAUAACAUGAUGAUGCAUGGAUUAGUGGUUUUGGUAGCCCGGCCUCCAAAUAUAUUCAUAUGAGGAAAGCUACUGAUACGGAAAGAAGACUUUGUUUCCUUCAAAAUGAACAUUAUAUUCUGACCACAGAACGCAGCAGAAGUCAUUGGUUUACUAGGAAGGGAAUCAUGUAGCAAAAUACCUACCUCCCUUUCGCUCUGCAAGAAGUACAUGAAAGCACUAAUUGCCUUCUUCGGAGGAUUUGGAUCCCUCUUCUUUUUCUGUUUUUUUCUACUUCAAUGCAUCAUUGUCGGCCUUUUUCCUGCUUGUGAUGGCUUUGACACAGUAACCUCCUUUUUUGGUUUCUUCUUUGCAGGUUUCUGAAUCCAGCAUACAUGACUGUCAGCUCAUAUUUUUUCAAUUUGUAAACUAGAACUUGAAAAUAUAUAAACAUGAAGGGCAGUUAUACGUCCACCACCGCUACCACUGGCAUCAGAUUCAUCCUAACUUAGAGAAAGACGACCAUGGAGUUGAAUACGAUGAAAUUACAAAUAGGCAUUUUACCUCUUCACCACUGCCAUCCCCACGUGCUUCAUUCUUAAUACGCUCAAGAUGUGCAUCAACAGCAUCAUCUCGUCAUUGGGCAAAACAAGAACACCUUCUGUAGCCCGAGCUUCAAUAAGGUUCAUAGUUUCAGAUCCUUUCCACUGCAUUACUCAAUGAUUGUGUCAGAAAGGCUAAGCAGACUUGUUAAACCCAAAUUGAGAGAGAAGAAGACUUGAAAGUAAAGCUAACCGGAUGAAAUAAAAAAGAUUGUAGUACUCAUUUCUCUGGAUGUUCCGGAAAAAAUAAUCUUGUUCAGUUUUCAGUCUGGCAAGAAGAUCAAAGUAAUGCAUGUUGCCCGUGCCUACAGCAUGCCUCUCAAACUCCACAUAAUCAAUCUGAUUGCAUAAUGAAUAAGGUCAGUCUUUUCAAGAAUGAAGAUGAUACUCACAAGAUUUUGAGCUUUACAGCAACGUGAAUAUACCCCCUUAUGCAGUAUAAAUAAGAAGGAUAGAGGAGUCCAUCUUCAGCCUGCAGUGAGGUCUCCACCACAUAUUGACUGCUACGGAACUUCCCUGGUCUAGUGACUUUGGAACCAGACAAGCCGCUUAAAAUUUGAGUAAAUAUGUCAUGGAUAAGAACCUGGUUCAUAAUUUAAAUUAGAGAAGUAAACAACACCAAACACGUCAACACAAUGAGCUUGCACUGCUUUUUUCACAGUUGAUGCAAAUCCGAAUGACUAUAAACACAAGAAAAAAUUAAAAAAUCUAAUUACCUAGUAACUCGUUAGCCCCCACUCCUUGUAUUUCGUAUUUAAAAGAUCUUGGCUUAAAGCCAGCGAAAGGUCUACCACACUGUAAGUCUCAAACUGGUAAUAUAAAAGAGCAGGUGAUACCAAAAAUAGAAUGUACGUCAUUAUACCAUAUGCAUCAAUCAAUACCUGCAAAUACAAUGUACGCAUAUACAAAGUUUGGCGCUUCAUGAUCGGAGGAUCAAGAGGGACAGACAACUACUGAAGUGUGUGGUUGAUUAGUCUGCAAAAGCAGAGAAGUCGGUUUGAAUUAUACAAUUGCUUAAAAGUUCAAUGAAGACGAUUGUAGGCAUGACUAAAACAUUGAUAAAGAUGCUAAACGGGGAACAGCCUUGGGCAACAAAAAACACGGACUAGGCUGUUGUACUGAAUUUUAAAGUCAUUGGCUUGCCCAUGCAAGUGCAAGAAUGAGAGAUGAAGCUCAACAUUGUAAUAUCCUACAGCAUAUGGGCGGGCACAUUGCCAGUCACUCUGAAGCAAAAAAAUAGAUAACAACAUGGAAAGCGCUUAGCCAGCCUUGGAGUAAGUAUUGCAAUUCCGUCAAACCAACAGCUUCCUGACCAGUCAAUUGGCAUGAUUUUUUCACGAAGAAACUAGAAGUUACAAUCACAUUACUCAAUUUUCACAAAGACAAGUUAUCGGAGAGUCCAGAAGCAGAUGAAUAAGCCCGACCCUAUCAAUGUUACCCUUGCAUUCGCUAAGCAAACUGGACAGUACGUUAACUAAUUUUAUCCCCAGGUCCCUCUCCAUCUCUUUUUUUGUCAUUUAUUUUUUUCCAUGCAAAGAUAUUUUUACAAUUUAUAUACUCCCUCUAAAUAAACCGUUUUAGGGAAAUUUUUGUCAUUUUAAUCGAGAAGGGUCCAAUUAUCAAUUAACUUAAUACCAAUUUCAACUAUUUAUUUAAUUUUUUUUUAGAAAAAGAGCCUUCUUAACGAGCUAGUACCAAGCACAAUCGUAAACUGUUUAUAUUUCGACAGGUAAUUUCUUACGUGAAGAACGUGAUCACCCAAAGACACUGCAUUCACAACAUUGUUUGUAAUGAUCAGAGACGUGGUAGACCACGUUGAACAACGGCAAUGAAAACAGAAUUUCUACAUUUGGUUGAUAGAAUUUUCGGGCAGAUCAUGUGCCAAUGUGGAGUUGUUAUGACGGGCUUGAUGAUGCUGUAGAGGGAUCCGCUGUUGUUACCGUAUCGCAUAGCUAUUCCACUGACCAUAACCAAGUGGUGCAUUUUGGUGCAAGUUAAAUUGCUUACAUUGAUUAAAAAAAAGGCAAAUUACAAUCGCUUCUAAUCAUUUUGGGAAGAGAUUGACGUCUAAGUCCGACAUUUUUCACAUUCAGCUACCAGGUGUUGCAACAAAUUAUUGGAUGUGGUAAUCACAGAUCUGCAAUUUCAUUGGCUAUUUUAUCAAUUGAAAAAAACUGAAACAGGAACAUAUAAACCUCAAAUUCUAGAGACAUCUCUAAUAAAAAGCUCAGCAAAUUAUAAAAUUACCUUUUCAUAUCCGGGAAACCAAGUUAAAGGAGAAUUUACGUAGCUCCUAGAUUAUGCUAACACAUCAUAGAGGAAUGUCUAGAGUACUCCAGAAUAUCACGAACAAUUAUAUUUCAUUAAGAUGUUGAUUAGAAGUGCCUCACGAAACCUAUAUUCUCAACUUCCCCCAAAACUUGAGCUUCACAUAAAACAUUAGCAGCAAGACCUCCAACUAUGAACCACAAUUGCUGAUUAGGCACGUCAACCUUCUAAGUUCCCACACUCGAUUAAACGAUUUUGCACUUAAUUACUCCCAGAUUCAUUCCCUGAAUCCACGACAGUUGGCUGAGGGUUCUUGUAAUCACUGAUCUGUUCACUGUACCGUUUCUUAUCUGCCUUGGCCAUGGCCUCAAAGGGUUCUUUCUCCUCAGCUGAGAAACCAUUAACACAGCAAGUGAGCCAAUUAUAUAAUUGAAGAAAAUGAAAACACAAAACAGACAGCAGCAAACAUGAGCAUCAAAUCAACCGCCCUUGAUAAUAAAAUAAUGAAGCAAAUAAGAUACCAGAAUGCCACAAAAAUAACCAACCUGACAGCUUAUUCCAUCUCUCUCCAAGAACCCUCCCUACUUCAGUGAAAGCAAUUCCAGGAUUACUUUUCUUCACAUUCUACAGUAAACGGAAGGGAAGUGAAUGGAAUGUUACAACCAUGAUGAGUCUUGAAAUGUACCUCAAAGCAAGAAAACACACCAACUCACAAAAGAAGCAGGCUAAUACGGUAACAGCAGGUGGGUGUAAUUUCCAACAAACCAGAAAAAUUAUAAUAAACUUUUGUUAAACAUAUACGUCUUGGGCCUAACUGACACCAUCAUAAGAGCCUCCCAUCUCAUUAAUCACCAAUUUAGUCCCUAUUUUUUCUUCCACCUCCGAGCACUCUACUCUGUAAGGCCACUAAGUCUCUCAGGCAACCCUGCACUAGGAAUAAGCCCUUUACACUAGUAGAACAGAAGGCUGUCUAGACAUGUCAUUGUCCUCGAGGAAAUGAAUCUACCACCCAGAAUGCCUCUAAUUGGAUGAAAUGCCCAUGAAAGGUACCAGUUCAAGGAACUCAAUUAUUUCAGGAUUUAUAUCAUAAAUAAAGGGAUUCUAAUAUGGGAUUAUGGACUCCUUCAUUAAAGGAAAUGGGAUUAUGGGCCUCUCCUCCAUUAAAAAAAAUGGGAUUAUGGACCCUGGCACUUUUAAGUCUGCUACGGAUUUAUCAACUUGAUGAUGGACUAAAUUUUGUAGUAGUUAAUACGAUCAUGCAUGGAUCAGUUGUUUUGAGUAGCCCAGGCUCUAAAUACAUUCGUGUAAGAAAAGCUAAGACUUAGAUACACUGCAUUGGGUGCCUAUUUUUAUUCAUCUUAUGGGGAAUGAAGACUUGUUUCCUUCAAAAUGAACAUUAUAUGUUUCAAUAAUUCUCAGAACAAAAAACCUGGCAUACAGACCACAGAACGCGGGAGAAGUCAUUGGUUUUCUAAGAAAGAAAUCAUGUAACAGAGCACCUACCUCCCUUUCACUCUGCGAGAAGUACAUGAAAGCACUAAUUGCCCUCUUCGGAGCAUUUGGAUCCUUCUUCUUUUUCUGUUUUUUCUUCUUCGAUCCAUCAUCAUCUGCCUUUUUCCUGCUUGUAGAUGGCUUUGACACAGUACCCUCCUUUUUAGGCUUCUUCUUUGCAGGUUUCUGAAUCCAGCAUACAUGAAUGUCAGCUCAUAUUUUUCCAAUUUGUAAAUAAGAACUUGAAAAUAUAUAAACGUGAAAGGGCAAUUAUACCUCCUCCUCACCACCACUACCACUGGCAUCAGACUCAUCCCCUCCAGAAUCAUCAGUAGGAGACCCUCCAUCAUCCUUAUCGAUGACAAAAUCUUCGUCCUGGAAAGGUUAUGAAUGUCAGACAGCAUUUCAAGAAUUUCCAACAACACAAAGGGCAAGUAAAGAUGCUAGAAUCCAACAAGAUACUCUGACAAUGACUUAGAGAGACAUCCAUGGAGUUGAAGAUGAUGAAAUGACAAAUAGGCAUGUUUACCUCUUCAUCACUGUCAUCCCCGCCCGCUUCAUUCUUAAUACGCUCAAGAUGUGGAUCAACAGCAUCAUCGUCAUCAUCGGGCAAAACAGGAACACCUUCUGUAGCCCGAGCUUCAUUAAGGUUCAUUAUUUUCAAACCCUUUCCACUGCAUUACUCAAUGAUUGUGUCAGGAAGACUAAGCAGACUUGUUAAACCGAAAUUGAGCGAGAAGAAGACUUGAAAGUAAAGCUAACCUGAUGAAAUCAAAAAGAUUGUGGUACUCAUUUCUCUGGAUAUUCCGGAAAAGAUGUUCUUGUUCAGUUUUCAGUCUGAUGAGAAGAUCAAAGUAAUGCAUGUUGGCCGUGCCCGCAGCGUGCCUCUCAAAUUCCACAUAAUCAAUCUAAUUGCAUCAUACAAUAGGUCAGUUUUUCAAGAAUGAAGAUGUAUCUCACAAGAUUUUGAGCUUUACAAAAACUUGAAUUUACCUCUUCAUGCAGUAUAAGUGUUGGAGGUUUAGGUAAAAAGAAGAAGCUUUUCUCAAGAGGAUAGAGGAGUCCAUCUUCAGCCUUCAAUGAGGACUUCACCGCAUACCCAUCUUGACUACUACGGAACUUCCCUGGUUUAGUAACUUUGGAACCAGACAAGCCGCGUAAAAUUUGAGUAAAGAUAUCAUGAAUAAGACCCUGGUUCACAAGUAAAAUUAUUAUUAAAUGCUAAUAAGUAAAAUUAUUAUUAAAUGCUAAAAAUUAACAGCACCAAACACGUGAAUACAAUGAACUUGCAUUUCUUUUCUUUUUUUGACAAACAAUGAACUUGCAUUUCUAUUUUCACAGUUGAUGCAAAUCCAAAUGACUAUAAACACAAAAAAAAUAUUACUUUGUAACCCAUUAGCAGCCUCUCCUUGUAUUUUGUAUUUAGAAGGUCUUCGCUUAAAGCCAGCGAAAGGUCUACCACAUUGUCCGUCUCAAACUGGUAAGACAAAGAAGCAGCAGGUUAAUACCAGAACAGAAUGUACGUCAUUAUUUAAUAUGUGCAUCAAUCAAUACCUGCAAUACAAUGUGCGGAUACAAAGUUUGGCCCUUCCUAAUUGGAGGAUCAAGAGUGAUAACUACCAAAGUGUGUGGUUGGUUAUGCUGCAAAGCAGAGAAGUCAUUUCAAUUAUACAAUGCUUAAAAGUUCAAUGAAGACAAUUUCAGAAAGCUCCAUGAAGGAAUUAAAAGGGGUAGGCAUAACUAAAACAUUGAACAUAGAAAUAACCUUCGGCAACAAAAAAAUACGGACUACGCUGCUGUACUGAAUUUUAAAGUCAUUGGCUUGCCCUUGCAAGCGCAAGAAUGAGAGAUGAAGCUCCACAUUAUAACGACCCCUGCAGCAUAUGGACACAUAUCAAUCACUCUGAAGCAAAAAACAGAUAACAAUGAUACUGAACAUGAAAAACAGUUAACCAACCUUGGAGUAAGUAUGGCAAUACCGUCAAAUGUGACAACAGCUUCCUCACCUCCGGCACCAACAUCAGCCAUUGACAUAAUUUUAUCACGAAAAACCUAAUAUGUACAAAUCAUAUUACUCAGUUAUUACCAAGAGAAGUUAUCGUGUCAAAGAAGGGAUUAAUGAUAUCUCCACUAAUGAAUUCAAGAAAUUGAAUUGAUACGCCUUUUGCUUACUUGAGCAGGAGGUCGGUUUUCAUCACCAACAAAUUGAGUGUUUGAAUUAGGGAUAUGAAAGCUGAUUUCCAUCAGUGAGUCUUUCUGAAAUCAAUGAAAGUGGCUUACUGAGAAUAGAGUGGCUUUCAAGAAUUAGUCAAGAAGUGUCAUUCAUGUAAAAAUGAUUGUAAUGCCAGCAAAUCAGUAACACGUCAAUGUCAAAUGAAAAAAAAAACUCAUCAGCAAUCAUUGAGGACAAUAAGUAACCUCAUUAGCCCCAGUUGUAUCAUCUACAUGGAACUCCAACAUGACAUCAUUUUUUCCUUGAAGCUGUGUUUGAGAAACGUCUGCCAGUGAUAUCUCAAAUGCUUGUUUAUUACCAACAAGAAAAGCGAGCAUAUUUGCUGCAGAAGGUGGAGCAGAGUCAAAACAUGUAUGUGUGCACAUUCCAAAUAAAAUAGAUGUUUCAAGAGAAGAUCAUGUUCACAUGUGUAUACCAAAAGAAGAAAAAGCAAGAGAAUAUCAAACAAAGAAAGAAGUAUAAGGUGAGAACAAAUAAAUUGCAUUAUCGUGCCCACACUUAAAAUUCACAUAUGAAUUGCCAAACUAGAACCUGUUUAAAGUAGGGUAAAUAACUCAUGGAAUAGAUAAGUUGGUGAUUACUAGUAGUCUAACAACAGAAGUAGAAAGAUGGGAUCCUGGGGGGGGGGGGUCUCUUCUCCUUUUUGCCUUUAUUUUCAAUAUUUCCUCCUCCUAAACUGCAACUUACUUUCUUAUGUCUAUUAUAACCCCUUUGAAGAUUGUAUAAAACCAAUGAUGUCAUCAACAGUUCCCCAUGUAGACAGAAGAAAUACAAAGAAAAAAGCUACCAACGGUAUUUAAAUCUUGCCUCCAUAUAUGAUCCAUUGCAAGACUAUUAAACGCAUUAUGUGCAGUGUGAACUUUCAUAUUCAAACCACUUGCAUUCAGCCACUUAAGUUGAAGACAUUAAAAACCAAUUAUUUGUAAAAAUUAAGGUUAUUUCAAUUAGAACUCAUUUACAAAAAUAAGAAAAAACACGUAUGUCAAGCAUAAGAAAAUCAAGGGAGCCAGUGUACUAAAGCAGAAAGCACAUAUCCAACCAUUUAGAUCGACUUCUCCCCAAUUUUUUCCACUAAUUGAUAGCUGCUUUUCCUCUGGAGAUAUCCCACAAGAACUCUGGAAAUAGGUGGUCAAACUCGCAACAUCCUGCGAAUAGGUAAAUACACAAGCAAGGGACAUCAAAAACUGACAACACAAGAUAAUAAUGCAUGAAUUUGUUCCUAUCCAACAGGUUCUCCAGCUAUUACAUACAUUGCACAGAUUCAGAGGCAUAAACUAGUACAAAGAAGUUAAGAGAUUGUCAGUUUCUACCAGUAACAUAUGAAGAAAAUAACUUUCCUUUGGCUUCAACAAACUCAGAACUUUGCCUUUUGGCUUCAAUUAACCCAGAACUUAAUCUUUGGCUCAAUAAACAUAGAACAUUGCUCUCCCCUUGUUCCAGUUUUCCUCGCAGCCUGAAACUACAGUAGCCGAACUGUGACACUAACACUUCCAGUAGCCAGUUCCAAAGUAGCUGUGUUAGGGAUCCAAAACACCCAUAAUACUUAUUUUUAUUAUUUGGUUUUUUAUCUAGUAUCCAGUACAUGCAUUGGGGCCCAUUUACACCCGGAUUUGACCUGGGAAAUUCACAUUGAACUCCCUAACAAAAGCAAUUCCGUAAUCAUUUGAGCCCGAGACCUUUGGUAAAAGAUGAUGGAGUACUUAACACUCCACCACACCCUUGUUGGUCACACCUAAAUUCAAUCAAGUCACCAGUCAACCUGUAAGAUUCCUGGUUUUGCUUUAAUUGAACUAUUCUUUGGUUUCUAAUUACCAUGUACUAAGUAACCCAGUACCAAAAUUUCCAAAUUAUUAUGGCUAAUUGUCUGUGUCUCUCUCCAUUGAUUAAGCUGUUUCAAUUCCACUACAGCAGCAACGAAAUAGUUCAUGAAACUGAUAAACUAAAACUUGCUAAAAGCAAAAUAGAGACUCACCUGGUCACGAAAACCAGUAAAUUUGUAGUAAAGACCAUCCUUAAUCCGCACACCCAGCUGAUUACUUCGAGGAACUUUCAUCCAAGUAAGGCCCACUAUAUCAUCCUUGUCAACUUCCACGGCCUUACCACCACCUUGUUUCUUCCAUAAUAUACCUCCAGACUGAACCUUGAGCUGCCCUGUAUUCUGCAUUCUCAGAAAUUAUUUUUAUAAAAAAUAUCAUCAUUAACAUAUACCUUGAAUACAAAAUCUUUCUACCAAGGUAACAUUCACUCUCCCUUGUGUGUAUCUUACAAAUUCUUCUGUUUUUUCCUUUUCUUUUAUUCAUAUAGGCCCAAAUCAGAUGGAAAUAUCCCAUAAAGACACUUAAUUAGAGUUAAAAACUAAUAAAAGCACUAAACAAACAGAGCACAAUACAUCACAUUACAAUAAAAUCAUCCAUUCAUAAGGUAGGGUUCAACCACGUCCAAGAAAUUUGUCAAUUCAUACUGCUAGGGUUCAAUCACGUUCAAGAAAUUCAUUAAUUCAUAGUUCUAGGUUCAAUCACGUUCAAGAAAUUCAUCAAUUCAUAGUGCUAAGGUUCAAUCACGUUCAAGAAAUUCAUCAAUUCAUACUGCUAGGGUUCAGUCACGUUCAAGAAACACAUCAAUUCAUACUGCAAGGGUUCAGUCACGUUCAAGAAAUUCAUCAAUUCAUACUGCUAGGGUUCAGUCACGUUCAAGAAAUUCAUCAAUUCAUACUGCUAGUGUUCAAUCACGUUCAAGAAAUUCAUCAAUUAAUAGGGCUAGGGUUUCAAGAGUCCACCUAAACAACAAAAACGACGAGAUUAUAACAAAUUGGAAAAUUUAGGGUUUGAAAAAGAACUGUUACAACGAUUUUAGUAUAAACAAGAUUUAGGGUUUUAAGCUGCACGAAGAAAAACACAUACAAAAGGUCAUUUGAAAGUAGGAAUCUCAAGUAACGAAGAGAACAAAAAGAAAACAAGAAUCAAGAAGAGAGUAAGAACAACUUACGGUGCCUCCACGGCCGCCGAGAGAGAUGUUGUUGAACUGAUGACCGUCCGUCAUUGCUUCGUAUGUAAAAACACACUGCUGUAAGAGAGAAGGACUAGGGAAAAUGGGUGUAUACUUCACUUAUAUAUAUAUAGAGAUCCGCAAGCAUCAACGUCCUCCCGCGCGAAACACAUUACGCGGUUUAGGACUUUUCGACCCGACCCGGAACCGACUAUUUGUAAUGUGCACAAUAAUUUUUUUUAGAUUUAUCUGUUCCAUUUAUAUUAUUGCUGUAGUAGUAAAUUUGUCAUCCCAAUUUUUUUGAGAACCUUCUUUUUCAAAAUUAGUUCAUUCAUAUGAAUAAUCUUUGCUUGUGGAAAUUACUAUGUCCAAAUCGUAGUAUUUAAAAAUUUGAAUGAAUUAUCAAUUUACACUAAAUGUAGUCUUGGUUUCACAAGUUCUAUUUUUACUAUUAACCAUCUAAAAAAAAAAGAAAUCAUCCUAAAUUAACCUACUCUCCAUUGAAUUCUAAGCCACUAGUAAAUUUGCACAAAAAAAUAUCUUAUUUAGCUACUGCUAUUGUUCAGUAAUCUGUUGAGUAUAUUUAUAUUUUCAUAAUAACGAUGACUAAAUGAAGCUCUCUAUUUUAUAUCCACUUAACUACGUCUUAUUAGUCAUUUACCCGCGUUAGGCAAAUAUUGCGUAAAAAGACACUCAUAUCUCUCCCUCUUUUGUUAAGUAGAAAAGUUGUUUCAAAAUCCGUGUCUAAAAGUAGUUGUCUUUUGCUUCCAACGAUCAUACUACGUACUCCCAUAUAACAUCUUUGACUAAGAUUUAUAACAUAUGGUGUAAAUAUUUCGAAAUGCCAAGGUUAGACAUUUGUAUUUGUAUUCGUAGUAAUAGAGUUCAGUAAUUUCAAAUUUUUGGUUUUUUUCCAAAUGAUGAAUAAUUUUGCUCACUGCCUUGCUCCAAAAGCUGGAAAAGAAAAUCAACAGGAAGAAACAGGACCAAGAAAGAAUUGUCAACUGCCAAUACAUUUUAUAUAGCACAUAUUCUUCCUGUUUUUCACUAAUUUCUCCUGUCAUCACAGAAAGAGUAUACCAAGAUUCUGCAAAUUGUCACUAGCAAUAAUCAUCAUUACACGUUUUUGAUAGAGCAAUAAGUUAAACUUAGACAUGUUCUGCUUCUCUGCCAAAAAAUAAGCACUGAUCCACUGACAUCCAGCAUAAAAUUCUUCUUUCUUUUAUUCAAUUUAGAGAUUUUUUGUGUUCCCAACACAUUGUGCUAGGAGCUAAUUCACAAACUUCUCGGAAAAUAAAUUAUACAUGGGAAGAAGUUGGAUGAUAAGUUAGUUGAAUCUAUUAAAGUCUUCAAUGAACAUCCAAAGGAAGUUAGACCAAAAUGCUCAUAUAUGAUCCAAAAGGCUUGAUCAAGAUGUUCUGUGCUAGUUGAAAGUUGAAACUGCAGUACCAUUUCUUAACAAUUGAAUUCUAAUUUCAGAGCUUUCAGCCAGCAUGCUACUCAUAGAUACAGGUGUUGUAUCAACUCAGAUCUUACAAAACAACGGUUCAGGAAAUAUCAAAAUUGUUUUCGCUUGUUGGAAAAGAACUUGUCUCUCUUUGCCCAAACAUACAGAAGGAAAAUAAAAACUCCAGCAGACAUAGAAACUGACGCCCAGGGAAAUGGUGGGUCCUUGAAACAGACUAGUGAUGCUUCCAGCUCUUGAGAAGCAUGAUAAACAAGAGAAUGAAUGGCAUAUAUGUCAUGAUCUGAUGCCCUCAGGUAAUACAAAGCCAUUUCAAAGUCAAAGUGUGAGAGUGCUGAAACUGCUUUGUCUAGCUUGUACUUGAACAAGUUCCACCUUUGCAUGAACUCAGUAAGCUGAUUAUGCUUAAGAAGCUUCCUCUCCCCACCAUGUGCAGAAAUGGAUUCAAAAACUUCAAGAGCACUAGAAAUACUGAAGUUCAGCGAUGUCAACAAUACAUUUCUCCUAGCAGCAUCCUUCUGCACAAAUGACAAUGAAGAAACCUCUGAAAACGGGCCAAAUGGUGUUUGCCCGACACUCCACGUAUAGUCUACUAGAGUACUGUUGUGUCUUGGGCUCCAGACUAAAUGUGUUGGUGAGACCCCCCACAUGCUCUGUAAGAUGGAACCUAAAAUGGGCCUCUCUAAUUCACGAGUCUGGGUAAACACAUGACGCCCAUUACAGCUAUAAUCACUCACAGUCUGUGUACUCUUUGUCCUGACUGCUAUAACCAUAUCCUUAAAGGCCACAGACUGAUGAUAACGAUCAAGCAUCAGAAUUGAACUGACAUCCAAAUCAAAAACAUAAACUGGAAGUAUCCUUCCACCAAAGUCCUCCUCAGGAACCUUAGCAAUCCGCCUAAACUCAGCAGCCGACUCAGACAAUGUCUGGUGUAAACGCUUAGAGUCCAGGUAUUCACUGACAAUCAGUGUAUAGUUAUCAAACAGGUACCUAGAAGUAUAUGAGGUAGCUGCCCUUGAAAUGGCAAACGAACAGAUAGGGCACUCUGCUAAAUUCACGUCAUACUUCUUAAAUCUCAAAGAUUGAUCUCCAAACAACAAUCCAUUCUCAUUUACUUCAUCCAUAAAAUUCCUCUCUAUCAGCUUCCAGUCUAACCCAACGCUAUCCUUAUUAUCCGAAGAACCAUAUAUGUGUAUAAACUCAACAAUCAAAGAAUUCUCAAACGGGAUAGGGAUACGCAAAGAGGGCACGAGAAGAACCUGAUAAGCACUCCAAACCAGUGAGGCCAAAUCGGAAAGCAGAGCCUUUUGGGACUUGGGUCGGCCGUGCAAUGUAGCAAAUGGAUGAAACUCGCCACGAGGAAGUACACCAUCGCCGGACAACGCCGGGCCAUAAUCAACCGGACCGGCCCCCAAAUCAAUCCACAAAUAUCUCUCUUUUCCGGUCCACACAGUGCCCAAACACUUGGUGAAAGCAGGGGAUGGAUCGCCAGGCGUAUAGCUAUAAGCGUAGGGUUUCGACUGGGAGCCCAAAUUGAGAAUAUAUAUGUAAAUCCCACUAAUGGGUUUCUCUUUUUCAAAAUCUUGUUUGACAAUUUCAUCAACUAUGGAGUGAGGGACAGAGGCAAGCACGGAUCUGAAAGAGGAAGGUACAGUGGCGAGAUGGGUCUUGAGGGUUUCAGAAAGACGUGAAGAGAGAGAAGAAGGAGAAAGAGUCACAUCAAGAUGAAGUGAAUGGGAUAUAGAGAGGUGAUGAGAUGGUUGAAAAGAGAAAGGGGUGAUGACGUGGAACUGAUCGGAAGAAAUUGCCGAUGUGAGAAAUGAAGAAAGCUGAGAUUUGGCAGAAGAAGAGAAGUUGCUACCAACAAGCUUGACGGUGAUGGGGACGGAAACUUGUAGGUUGAGGAGAGAAGAAGGGAUGGGUGGGUGAUGUAUGGAGGGUUGAGAGAGAUGCUUCUUGAGAGAAGAAGGAAGAGAGAGGAAUGAAUCGUUUGUAGCUGUCGGGUCAACCCGAGAUUGUUGGUUGAGGAAGGAGUCUAGUCCCAGGAUUGGGGCGGCGGUGGUGGCGGUGACGAAGAGUUGAAGGAGGAGGAGGAGGAGAACGCCGGUGACGCCGGUGAUCGGAGGCAUUUCGGAGUUUGGGAAUCCGGGGGGAUAGGGUUUGGGGGUUUGGGCAAAAUAUGAUGUUGGUUCAGUUGACGGAAUUGGAAGUGGAGGACUGAGGGUACCAGCUGCGGAAGCUAGUCAAUUACUUGAUUAUUAUUUUUAAUUUAUUUUGGAACGGAAAAAAAAUAAUCCCUUUAUAAAAUAGUCAAAAAUAACUAUAGGUACAAAAGGAAAAUGUUUGUAGAAAAAUACGUGGUUAUUUUUUUUCAAAAAAAAUGUGUCCCAACUUUUAUAGACAAGUAAAUUAUUAUAUUGAAAUUUUUUAUAUUAUCUAUAGGAAAGGUGUGUUGUUGGGUAAAAGUAGAAGCGUGCAAAAAUUGAAUUGAUCAAAUUAAUAAAAUGUUAUUGGUUUAUUAUUAUUGUGUUAGCAAAUUUUUAAUGGUUUUGUUAAUAAAAAUUAUCUAGUAUCGAUUCGAUAUUAAUUUUUAAUAUUGGGUUAUUGAUAUAUCGAUAAUCCAUUAGGAUGAUAGUAAUUUAUUAGUUACUGCUUUGUCCAUGCAUAAAUAUUAAAUAUUAAUUUCAGUACAUUACUUGUUUGCUCACUAACGUUUAAAUUCACACUUUACAUUAACUUUGAGUUCACAUAUUCACGUUAUACAAAACAUCAAAACCUAAAGUAUGAACCAUAUUCUCUUAAUCUAUCUUCGUUUUGCACAUAUAUAGUUUUUUCAUGUCGGUUAUUAUUGUUUUGAUUUUAUGAGUGUUUUGUAAAUUUGUAUUAUUGUCUUGUCAUAUCAAAUUACUAGAGAGGUCAUGUAUUCAUUUAAGAUAAAAGUUACGUGGAUAAGCAAACAUAUGUUAAUUAAUUAACUAACAUAGCUAUAGUUUUAAUCAAUUACAGCUAGCAUUUUGUAAUUAUACCGUCUUUCUCCUCUUUUUUACAUAUACAAAUACUAAUUAUACAUACAUAUACACAAUUAUAUGAGAGAUAUACUAGCUUCUAUCCACACUCUGCUCCUCUCUAGUUCACCUCUCUCUUCCCUCUCGCAAUCUCUCUUGCUUCUCUCCUCCAUUUCUCAAUCUUGCUCGUCUUUCUCCUUCAUUUUUUAAGUUUCGCUCGUCAUAUAUAAAAAUACACAUGUGUAUACCGAUUACAUAUAUACAAUUAUCUACAAUACGUCUCUCUCCACUAUUUACCCUCUCUCGCUCGCCUCUCUCCCUCCCAUCCUGAUCACGCUCGCCUUUCUUAUCCUUCUCUCAAUCUCGCUCACUAGAUAUACAAAUACAUAUGUAUAAUAGUUAGAUAUAUACAAUUAUUUGACAAAUAUACUUGUACACUUUGUUAGAUCUACAUAUACAAUUCGUCUCUCUCAUUAUUUAUUCCCCUGUCACUCACCUUUUUCCUUCAUCUCCCAAUCUCGCGCGCGUCUCUCGUCUAACUAGUGUACUAUUCUUUCAAAGAAUCACUCAAUUCUACUAACAAGAUAAAUAUGAAAUUAUGAUAAAAUUUCAGUUAACAAAUCAAUUGAAUUAUUAAUAGAAAUAGAAAAACUCACAUUAAUAUGCUAUACUAUGUUAAAAUAUUUGCUAGUUUUGCAUUACUUGUUAAAAAAAAACAUAUUGUAGCAUUACUUGUUUUCAAAGAAAAAAAGUUACGUAUUAUUUUAAAGGAAUGCAUAUUUUUUCUAAAAGCUUUUCAGUAUUUUUAUUUUUCUUAUCUAAUGUUUAGAAUUUCAUUUUAUAUUCUAUAAUAUGGUCCUUUGUUGUUGUAGUUGUGUAAAGUUGCCAACAUAUUUUAUUAUUUUCUUCCCAUAAUACUUUGUAAUAUGCUAAAUAUUGAAGUUUGUGCUUUUACGGGUCUAGUAAAUAUUAUUACUAUUUAUUUUGUCUCAAUUAAAUGAUAUGAUGAAAUUUUGAGAGAGAAUUAAUCUUUUUAUAAUUAUAAAUAAUUUAAAUUAUUAAUUAUUGUGAGGUAUAUAUAUAUAUAUUUUUUUGAUGAUACUCUGUGAGAUAAAAAGGCCUGGCAUAGAUCAUAGCUGAGGGGUUUUAUUUAGGUUAAAAUUCAAAGAAAAGUUAACAUGUAUAUGUCUUCCUUGUAGAGUUUAGUAGGGGAAGAGGGAAAUUUUCGAGAAUCGAAAGAUGGAUGAGACUUCAUCGCCACCGGCAACUGGAAAUAGCUCCACCAGCCUAACAGACGUCGACAUGGACGCGUUAGUUCACUGUGCAAGUUACCUGAAUCUUCAAGACGUAUCGAACAUGGCCAUGUCCAGUAAAUAUCUUCAAAAAGCCGCGUAUUCAGACCCAGUCUGGGAAUCCCUUUUCAGGUUGUAAUUACUUUUUUCCAACUCUUUCUUUACACCCCGGCUAAUUAUUGGAUAACGAUUGGAUAAAGAUACAAUCCUGCUUCCUAAUGAGAAUGACCCUAUGAGCACACUAUUGUUCAUCGAAUUGGAAAAAUGGAUUACCUCUUUGUACAGAUUUGAGGUUCUGAAUAAAUGUGCAUAAACCGGUAUGUUUUUUUUGUUUUUGUUUUUUAUAACAAGGAAACCUGCAGCGCUACCCUUUGGCCCUCACAGGUAAAACCCGCUCCUAUGCAAUAGCUCACGGACCUAGGUUUUUGAACUUGAGUCCUCCGACAUGGAAAUUAUUUAUAAUUAUAAAAAGCAAGGGGUUUGCCUUUUGGUUCGAGCUCGUCUCCGGGGGGAGGGGGUUACACCUCUUGUGUGAUUUGUGAGGUAUUGCGUAGGAGUAGGGUUUUACCGUGUGUGCACCCAAAGGGUAGCAGUUGCGGGUUCGCUUAAAAGGAAAAAUAAAUUAUAGAACACAUUAGCUCAAAUAAAGGAUGAUUAUGGAAAAUCGAUCUAUCUAUCAAUGAAGCCUCAAUAUGAAACUAGUGGAGGUUAAUAAAUCAUAUAUAUUAAGAGGACAUGUAAUUUGACUAUCUUGAAACUACCCUGCAACCCUCUCAUUUAUCCGGUGUAGUUAUGCUUAGCAAACUCACAUCGCCAGUUAUAGUUAAGGAAAACCAUUGUCUAUCUGUAUAGAGGCAGAACAGGGAAUGCAUACUUUUUUCUGGAAUUGCAGCUGCUUGUGCUCCUGGAAAAUCACCUCCUAAACUUUCUGAUUUGCAACAUUUUGCUGAACAGAGGGGACUUUAUCUGUGUAAAUGCGGAGUACAUGAAAAAAGUCACUUCCUUUUGCUUGAUAACUUUGCACAAUCAUUCUCUUUUCCUUUUUGUGUUUGAUUGAUAUCUGCAUUCUUCUUUCUCUUAGAUCAGUAUGAUUAGUGUUAUCCUGCAAACAUGAAUGUGCUUUAUGAAGCUGUCACUUUCUUGUUAUGGGGAGGGAAGUAGGCAAAAAAUUGGUUAUUGAACGUCUUCCAACUGUGAAGCUUUGGCAUUAUCGAUGAGAGAAAAUACAUGGACAUUAAGUGGCCUUGGCAACACUACAGCGUGACUAUAAUUUUUUUUCCUGUUCUUUUUUAACUUUUUUUGUGCAAGAUGGAAAUGUGUGGAGAUCGUUUCUUAGAAUUUUUUGAAGGCAAGUGAUUUUGCCUGAACUUCUAAGAGCUUGAGCUUGUAAAUGAAUAAAUUCCAAAAUCAAAACUGAAGUAGUGCAUAUUCCAGUACACAAUCAAAAAUUAAAGGCAACUUGUAACUGCUUAGGAUAUCCUUAAGUCAUAUAUCUUCUAAGAUAUUGGCAAAAUUUAUCUUCUGAGGAGUGAGGACGAAUAAAAAAGGAUAUCUUCUUAGAUUUUGGGAUCCUUGGUUUCUGAAUAAUUAACAUAAAAUUGGAGUUUUUGUUGCAUUGGAAGCUAAAGAAUGUUCAGAAGUAACUUUUUCCUUUUAAGCUAAUUAUGAGAAGUAAUCUCAAAGAUGCUACAAAAGUAUUUAUGAUUGGAAACUGUGACUGGCUGGUCUGUUAUCAACAUAUUCUCUGCUUUGUUUUCAGUAUUUAAUUGCUUGUGGGUUUCUUGGAGAGUAGUACUAAUCUCAUGUUCUGCAGACAGCAGUGGUCUCCACUAGUACCUUCUGGCUUAUCACACACAUCAACUGAGAGGGAAUUAUACCUUUCCAGGCGUACUGAUGUGCUGCAAUUCAAGUUCAUUGACCCUGAAGUUGUAAACUUUCCUAUCAGGGCAAAGCCUCAUGAAAAUCUGUGUCUUGACAAAGACAAUAUCAUAUUUUCUGAGGUAGUAUAUCUACCAUUUAUUCGAAUUCCUGUCAUACAACUCAAAGUGCUUGUUUUAAUUGAUUCUUCAGUCCUUGUUAAAUACUACAGCAAUUUAUGAGAAGUAUGAGUAUAAGAAUGAAGGAUGUGUUUUAGUAUUAUUUUGUACCCUAAGGAAUGUUGGUGUCUAGCCGCUCAAGCUUUAUUAUCUUUUCCUUUUUGUAGGAGAUUUGAUGUUAUUACAUGUUUCUAUGACCUCACACAGGUUAUCAGUUGUGUAAAGUAUUUAUUUAGCACAAAGGGGGACUUAACAUUGUGUAUAACUUUCUUUUCUUUCUUGCCCCUUGAAAGUCGAUGUUGGGCAACCAGUUUUAAAAUGAGAUAUAGCAGGACUUUCGAGAAGCUGUGAUUGUGAACUUGACAUUUCCAAUUUUCCCUCUCUUCUGGCUCAUUGGUUCCAUCAUGAUUUGUACUAACUUUACUUUAGAUCUUCUAGGUUUAUAUCUUUAUUGUCCGAUUUAUUGCUUCCAUGAGUAUGAGAAGAGAAGAUACCAGCUGCCCAUAAUGAAUCUUCCUCAGUAUGUUUUGCAUCUAGAUAUGUGAAGUGAUUUUUAAUUUGACAGGCUACUUAGAAGGUAACUGCCCCUUGAUUUAGUUUGUGCUGCACUCCCCCUGACUUUUGUUUCCUUGAAUGGAAAGAAAUUCAUUGCCACUUCCGACUUUUGCAACAUGCUAAAAGACUGAUACUUGAGCAGCAUUACUUCUCUGGACUGUGAUUCAAUUGCUACUUCCGAUUUUCUGCAGCAUCCCUUAAGAUCUGAUAUCUCUUUCUUGAUCAGUGGUGCACAUUGUGAAAUCUGGUAAUGAGCCUACUCCUCUACCCUCUCUACUUAAAUAUUAUACUUUCUCUAUGGAAGUGCAUAUAAUCCUCGUAUCAUACUCUUGCCACUAGAACCCUACCAUAGGAAUUUCAUUUUCUUUUGAAUCAAUGAUAUCAAAGCCCCUUAACGCCUUUAGGAUACAGAAAAGUUGUGUUCCUCUUUCCAUUACAUGCUUGUGCCUUUUCUUCUUUUUAUCUUUUGUGACGUACCAUACCUUUUUUCUUCUUUGAUUACCGGUAAAUUUCUGAGGGACACUAUCGCUCAUUUCGUAACUCGUAGAUAAUCCCUCCCAAACCCUUCUCCAUGUUUAUCCUAGUUGAUUGUAGUCGUUUACUGGUCUCGCCUCAUUUUUUACCCUGUUAUUAUUCUUGCCUUACAAAGUUUAGGUAUCCGAGGAAUUUUCUGUGGUCAAGAUAUGCCUUUUUCUAUUUUCAACUUUCGUGCAACAUUCCAUGUAGAAGCUGCUAACAUCACCAUCAUCUGGACUGUCCACUUAAUUAGGUUUCAUCUUUUUGUUGUUUUCCUUUCAUCCCUCCACUGUAGGUGUCUCUGCUUCACCGAUUACCUUCUAGUACUUUUUAUUUUGUAUAAUAUUGGAUUGAGAUGAGCUUAAAUGGAGUGACAUAGUCAGUGAGGGUUCGUAUAGCUAACCCCAACUUGUUUGUGAUUGGGGCACAUAGUUGUUUUAAAGAAUGCUAUUUCCAGAAUUCCAUCUGCAUUAUCUUAUUGCGGUGGGGAGUAUUCUUGCUUCCGAUAAUCAGAAAAUACCACAUGAUCCGGAAAGCUGUUGUAAUAACUUGAAAAUUUGACGCUGUAGAAGUAAUAAAUUUUUCAUUGUACUCAGUCAUACUGAUGAAUAUUGGUAUUAGCUUGCCAGCUUGCUUAUCUGGAUCUACCAGACAACAAGCUAUGGAUUUGCUUUUACAAUUAUCUCUUACUCGACUACAGUAUCUUAUAUAUUUUCCGACAAUGGCAGUGUGGACUUUUGUAAUCUGUUCCUUCUGCAGUUAAGGUGAUAAAAUAUUAAACCAUGCAAUUUAUAUGACAUGAUUUUGGUUGAUAACUUGUUUGCAGGGAUCUUCACUUUGUGUAAUGAACAUUGACGAUUUUCGGCAUGGAGAAGAUUCAUAUGACACACUCAGGGGUCACACUGCCAAAAUUACUUCUCUGAGGUUAUAGUUGCUAUAUAUUUUCUUUUUAUUUAGGAGUAAGCACAUGUGGUAAACCAGAUGGAUAUGUCAACAGAAGUUCUAGAUUAUCCAAUUCAGGAUCAUUUACUUCACUUAUAAAUACAUUACAUCUUAGUUUGUCAAUUCUUUUUAAUGUGUAUCAAUAGCCAUAAUACUACUAACUGCAGAUCAAUUCCAUUUGAAGAGACAUGCUUGUAUAGUAGCAAGGGGCAGAAAAGUGAUAAUCUUUUUGUAACCUCAAGCUUGGACCAUUCAAUUCGGCUAUGGUGGAAGGUAGUUUAAAUAAAUAAAGAUGAGUUGUAGUUCACUAAACUUUUAUCUGAAUACUUGUGUUAAUGAGCUUAUGGAACUCCUGAUCCAAUUUUACCCUGUCUGUCAUAUUCUAAUCUGCAUAUUCUUUAGUUGAAUUUCUUUUUAACUUUUUGUUUCUAAUUUUAAGUUUUGUUUUCACUAUAUCAUGGAUUUGUCGUACUUAUUGUGUUACCAUUUUGUUCUUUGCUGAAUAUCAUUUUCCAAUUGCAAAAGCAAGAAACAAAAUAAUCUUUUGAUGCAUCAUAGCUGGCCUAUAGUCUACAAGGAUUGUGCAGAAGUAUGUUUAAUUUAUGAUGCAGGUUCCAUCAGUGGAACUAUUGAUGUUUUGUAGCUUGCCACCUAGGGAGUAUGGCUUUUUUUUAGUUAGAUGAAUGUCAGGUUCAAUGCAUAUGAUAUGAGCAUGCAUCAGUUUCUGGUUAUGUUCGUUUUAGAUUCCAUGUAUGGGUAUCCAAUCUCUUAAAUAACUAUGUUGUCCAUCACUUUCUUAGUAUUGCCUGUGGGUUUCAUUCCUAGGGGAGUUGUCAAAGAAGCUUCAGAAUCUGUAAUGUUUCAGUUUCCGCAAUUUCAGACAAAUUGUUGGGUGAUCAUCCGAGUAAAAUACUUGCAAGCGGUGGUUCAGAUGGAAUUGUUCGAUUAUGGUCCCUUGAUUGUAGUGGAAAGCGCAGCCAAGAUGAUUUAAAGGCUGUUCUAUACGGGCAUGAUAAACCUGCAGUGCUGAUGUCAGUUGCUGGGUAUGAUUUAAUUAUUUUUGCAUAUAUGUUGCAAUUAUCAAUAUUAUUAUCCUGUUGUGCUGCAAAACCUUCUUGCUUGGGAGUUUGGCAUCUAGCUUUGCUUAUCUAGCUGCCAGUUUUAGGUGAACAAUGAAGAUUUGUUUCUUUUCUCCAUGCAUCAUUGCAACCGAAGCAGUCUUUGGUUUUAGUCAAACUAUCCUUUAUCUCUAGAGUACAGAUUUCAAGAAACUAGUAUCUCCAAGGUAAUAUAGCAAUCUAGAAGGAGCUUACAUUAGCUUCAGGUUUAUUUGUUGUCAAUCGAAGUUAAAAAGCUCCCUUGCUAAAUUUUAGAUUUAGAAUAUUGAGGAGGUAUAGGAGUUGAGGUUUGCUAAAUUCUAAUCAUCAAUUUUAGUCAAUCUUCUCAACUGUCUUAUUGUUGGAAUCUCUCUGGUUUCAGGCACAAGACAUCUCUUCUAGUGAGCAUAUCAAGGAACUCCAAGGUAUAGUAAUUUGUGUUGGCACAUUUAAGUUUGACUUAUGAGCAAGCGACACCCAAAGUGGCAAAUUUGAGUGGUUCUAAGAUUUUCCAUGACAUUUUGUUUGAUUCUGUUGAUGUAUAUUUGCAAAUCUUGUUUUGAGUUAUUAUAUCUUUUUUAUUUGCAUUGAUUCUGCUGUUAUUUAGUAUAAAAACUUUUGAUUCGAGUAUUAGCAGAAUCUGUUCUUAAUUUGAACUCAUAUUUGAAACCAAGUGAAAAUCCAUAAAGAAGUUCCUUCUCUUGUUUAUUAGUCCUCUUGGUGUUUGUAGUUAAAAUCUUGUAAUGCUGUUUUUGUUAGGAAGGAAAAGGGGGUGACAAAAGGAACUUGAAAGCAAGCUCCUACUGCUUCACUUUUUCUCUCUAGAAAAGUAGAAACAUGAGGAGGUUGAGCUAGGUCAUGUGGCGUCUCUUCAGGGGAUCGUUUAUUCUGUUAUCUUACAUAGUUUCCUAACCAUCCAAGAUUGCCUCUGAACUCGACUUUCCCCACAAGCAUGAAAUAUGUAACACCUUGCUAGUGCGAUACUUGUGUGUUUAUCACAAUUUUCCCCUUCUAAAACCAAGUGAGUUGAAUUCCGUAAUCAUUGAGCAGCAUUAUCUGUUCUUAUGAUGCAUCUUUGCUUUUCGUGAAGCGUGAUAAUUAACCAUGUGAUUGUAAGUUCUGCUCCUUAAACCACAUACUUUAAAGUAAAUAUGUACAGAAAACUCCAGGCCUUCCUAGUAAGAAUUAGUAUCCUCCAAAGCUAUUAUCUCUGUGAUCUCAUUUACAUAAUCUAGUUUACACGAUUUCUUUUGGCUUAGAAUCAAUGGUCCUUUACUUUAAUUUCUCAAUGCAGGUGAUAGUUUGGGACACUGCUACUUCAUCUGCCAAUCGUUCUUCAUGCUGUGUGGGAAAGAGCACUGUGCCUGGUGCACCUAAAGCAAUGAAGUGUCAUGAAUCACUGAUCUAUAUUGCAGCUGGUACCUCUGUUGUUGCAAUUGAUAUAAGAACAAUGCGUCAAGUUUUCAAAGUGAACCAUCAAGAAGAAGUACAUUCAUUUCAAAUGUUGCCAGAGAAAUCAUUGAUGUGCACAGGGUUAGCUCAAAGGUAUUCUCUUUCGAACUCAUAUGGUUGACUUUGUUUGAUAAGUAGUUGCGUCGUUAUGCAUCAAGUGGCUUCUGUACUAUCGUGGUUGUUUGUGUGCUAAUGCAAAUGGUGUUGUCAGAGCAAUGCUUUGGGAUGUGAGAAGAGGGUGUGACAUACACAAGGGAGAAGCAGUAGCUGAAUUAGAUGGACAUAGAGGCAAUGUAAGCCUCUUGCACAUGGAUCCCUACAAGAUUGUUAGUGGUGGGCUGAAGGAUUUCCAGGUACAUGUUUGGGAGACGGGGAACGGUAGACAAUUAACUUCAUUGAAUUGCUGCUCUCUAUCUGAUUCUCGUCAAGGCUAUCGGUGUUCUGCAAUGGCUGUCAAUGGAAGUCGUAUACUAACAGCUUGUAAUGACGGACACUUCAGUGACUUGUGUUUCCGGGACUUUAACAACGCCACGAUUCCUUCUCUCUCUUCCGAUUCAAGCAUUCUCCAAUCAAAGUUCUGGGCUCCUAAAUCACAAAGUGAUACUGAAGAAUAAUCAGAUCAUGAUUCAACCUAGCUGCUCCCUGACUCUAAAAUCGGUUACUUUUUUGUUUCUUCCUUAAUUUUUGAAUUUCAUUGAGUUAGACUUACGUCUCAUGUCUUCGUGAUAACAAGUAAAUUAUGUUUGCGCCCCUUUAAAUGUUUGAUUUUACGAACGUCAAAUUAUUUCGGAUCAGAUUUUUCUUUUCAAUGUUUUUGAGCUAAUUUAUGAGUUUUUAUGAAAGGAGCCUAACAAUAAUAUGAAAUUUUAAAACUACAUUUCGUCCUUAUCUGCAUUGCUGGUGAAAUCCUGUCCAAAAAUUUAGAAAUAAAUUAUUUUUUCUAAAAGGAGAAUUUUUAUUCAAAAAAUGGAUCAUAAUAAUAAAAAUUUAAAAAGACAUAAUUGUUAUAAAUCAAUUGAACGAGUGGAUAGUUACAUGAGCAACUAUUCAUAUUCACUAGGUUUAAUGAACCUCUUUGAAUAAGAAUAUAUGUAUUUAUUAUGAUACUUAAUAUGGUGACUUUAGGAGUUAUUUCUUAACCUAUAAAUAGGAUUGUUCAUUCACUAUUGAAAGAUAUACAUAUGAAACUUAUAUACAUUUGAAUAAAAUGAAAAUUCCUCUUCUAUUUACUUCUUUAGUCUUUAUCUCUUUAUGAUUAUAUUCUUAUGAUCUUGAUUUUAUAACAAUAAAGAAAAUUUAUCAAUUCAUAAUUUUAAUUGUACUACGUAAAUUAAUGAAACUUCUCUACAUUUUUUCUAAUUCUUGUUAUUUGUUUGAUUUUCAUAAAUAUUUUAUAUAUUUUGGUUUCUAAUUACAUAAAUUAGAAUUUUAUAUAUGUUUAUCCCGUUUAUCUAUACAAAAUAUAUGAAAAAAUUCAUGAUAGAUUAUUAAUCUAUUAGUAAAUGAAAUAUACAGAAGUUUUUGAAAAAUUCUUAAAUAUAUAAAUACUAUACUUAUUCUAUUUGCAUAUUUACAACUAAAAUAUAUAAAUAGAUAGAAAUAUAUAAAUCGAAGCCUUUAUAUACGUACGUUAUUACAACAAAAAUGACUAUUGAUGACAUUUAAUUGUUAAUUAUCGUUAACUAUGUAUUUUUAGCGGCAAUUAUCAUUCUUUAUAUAUGUCCCUAAAGUCUUUAGCGAAAUGAAUUUUUUAUAUAUAUCCCUAAAAUCUUUAGCAAAAUUAAUUCUAAUAACAUUUAACUAAUCUCAAUAAAAAUUUUAACACUUUUUAUUAAUAUCAAUAUUUAACAUCACUAAAAGUUAUUUCGUCAAAUGUUUUUCUGCAUAUACAUACACAUAGAAAAAACUGACGUGACACGUCAAAGAGAUUUAUCAAAAUGGACAGGAAAUAGGGAUGGAAUGGACGACACGUUGCAGCAGUUAAGAUUUGAUGAUGACGACAUAUAUCAUAGCAGAAAAACAACACUUUUUAAUGUUAGCAGUAUACAUUGUAUUUUGCAAUAUGUCUACACAGUUCUCAAUAAAAAAAAAAUUCCUAUUUCUAAGCCUAGACAGGAUAGGCAUGGCCAAUUUCUCCUUUUCCAUUCAUAGUCCACCUAAAAAUGAAAAACACAUAUAUAGUAUUUGCGAUAGAGUUAAAAUUUUUAAUAAAAAUUAAAUAAAUAAAUAAAGUAAUUAAAAAAAUUUAAUAUCUAUUAUAUAAUAUUUAAAUAAUUUUCGCUGAAAGAGAUUCAAAACCCUCUAAUUGCAAGCGGCUCUACCACCGUUAAUAAUCCCUUUAAAUAUAUAUAUAUAUAUAAAAUCAAAUUAAACAAGACUCGUAUAAAAUAAACUAAAGAUAUAGUAAUAAUUUUUGAAUGGUUUUUAAGACGCAAGCUGUGUCAUUACUCCAUAGGCAUAUCUGCUGUGAGGUUCACCAAGUGUUCGUGUAAUGAAAUAAUAAAUACGAUUUUUUUAUAUUGCAUGGUAGCCACGUUGAGGUGAAAAAUUAAAACCAAACAAAAUUCCACUUCAAAUUACCUUACUUCUUCACGCACCUUAUUAGUUAUAAUACUCAUAAGAGAAUAUGUUCUUUCAAUUAUUGUACGUAAUAUUCCUUUCGUCUGUCUUUUUUAUAGUACAAAAACUCGAAAAAUGUUUCACACGUUUAUUGAUUUAAUUUUAAUUAUAAUUGAUGGUAGAAAAUCAUAAGAAUUAUUUAAAGCUAUGCAUAGUUUAAUAUAAUAAUGAUUUUACGUUAGAUAUGGUAUCAGAGACUGAGGAACAACAGGAGAAGCUGUGGCAUAGCAUUCAAUGUAUAUAGACAAAAUGAAAAAGAAAAUUUGUGACAGUUAAAAAAAAAAGUAGGUAGAAUGACUAGGUUCAUAUCCUCAAUGUCCAGAUCACUAGUACUAUUUUAAUAAUUCUUCUUCAAAAGAAGAUCGAUGCUACCUUCGUACGUAAUUAAACAUUUUAUAUGAAUUGUAUACGCUACGAAGUGUACUUUUUUUUUUUUGCAUAAUUGCAAGCCGUCACAAAUUCAAAAUUGCAUAUUAUUUCAAACAUGAUUCUUUGUAAUUGUAUAGGGUAGGGUAUACCUAUAUUAAAUUAAUUAAUAUGCAUCGUAUCAAAAAGAGAUCAAGAUUUAUAUUUUUAUCUCGUUCGUCAUUAUUUGACUUGUUUAUUUCUAUCAAAGUGGAAAAAUCACUUUGAUAUUUAUCUGAUUAAUUUAAUUGAUAUCAUGUACUGUCCAUAAAAAUUAAGCAUCUUUUUAAUAAAGAAGAUUCUCAAAAUUGUUGAUUAAAAAUACAAAAGAAACACGUUGUUUAGCGGUAAAAAGGAAAAGAAAUGGGUAAAAGAUUAAAUUAAGAAAAAGAUUAGGGGGUGGAAGACAAUUUCAAAAGUAAGUAAAGCGGGUUUGGGAAAGAAUAAAUAAAAAAAAAGUCUAAUGGCAGAGCCCAUAGGAAAUCCAGGGAAUAGCCCCUGGUUUUAGUUUUUUCCGCUGUGUUUCUUCAUUUAUACUCGGUAAGUAAUAACAUACAAUUUAACUAACCCCCUCAACUCCAUCAUCCUCAUCAAACAUUUGCCCUUAAAAUAUGCACAUAGUCUAGAUAUUUAAGCACCAGAUCGUAGUUUUUUCCAGUUGAAAGAGAAAAAAAGGUGAUUUCAAUUUGCAGUUGUUAAUCCUAAGGAUGAGGAUUGAGAAAAAUGUGAGUGAACCAAGAGGACGGGAGUAUAGCGAUUCGAAGAAGAAUCGGAGAAGGCAGAGGAUGAUUUCCCCGGUUCAAAGACUUUAUGAAACUUGCAAAGAAACUUUUGCUAAUUGUGGUCCUGGUGUUGUACCAUCUGCAGAAAAGAUUGAACGUCUCAAGGAAGUUUUGGGUAUACAUUUCUUUUCGAGUAAUUUAGGUUUAAUGUUGAAUUGCUGUGGCGUCAUAAUCUCCCUUUUUUAUUUUAUUCUAAAGUGCAUAUGUGGACCAAAGUACCAUAUUUGAUUGACAAGGUACAUGAUCCGGCAUUGUUAUUAUAACCAUUUUUGGAAUCGGUUUAACCCAAUUUUUGUCUUCUUUGAAUUACAAAAGGGGUGGGGAUUACGAGCCGGGAAUCGAACUCGUUUAGAUAGUCAACCAAUUGAGUUACUUAAUUAAUUCCCAACAGAGGGGAAUGCGUAAUGUGUGCCAAAAAUUGAACUGUCACAUGUGAUUUUGAUUCAUUAGUUUUGUAGCGGACAUAUAGGACCUCCGAGUUGAAUGUCUUUCUGCAUUUGGGGUAUACGUUCAAUCAUCAAUGUUAUGGUGAUUACGGUGUUAGACAAUUUUGAUUGAUGAUAUCCAAUUUUAGCACGACAGAUUCUGGUUACCUUGCUUUGCUAUUUGAGGGUUUUAUGAACACUGUUUGGAUAAAUAACAACUGUUUUUUUUUCCUAAAUUUGGUGUGUACUACUAUUUUCUAAAUGUUUUAUUGGAAAAUAACUGCUAAGAAUUUUUUUUUCUUCAAUAGUUUAUCUUGCUUGUGAUUGUUCAAGGUUUUUUGAGGAGGGAUGACGUGAUUAUUUAUGAGUUUCUAGUUUGUUUUGAUGUGAACGCAAAUGUCCAUUUUGUUUUGAUUUAGACACAAUGUAAUUACUUACCAACUCAUAUGAUCGGCAGAUACCAUGGCUGGAGCAGACGUUGGCUUGAGACCGAACAUGCCAUACUUUAAGUCAACAAGAUAUGACAGACCUCCUACAAUAACGUACCUGCACCUCCAUGAGUGUGAUAAAUUCUCGGUAAGUGGCUAAAGUGCAUUGUUUCACUAUAAUGAAUCAGUCGCUGUAUGUUCUUCUCUUCAAUGUCUCGUUUUUGAGCUUAUAAAGAUCUUUUGCCUACUUGGCAGAUUGGUAUCUUCUGCUUGCCCCCAUCAGCUGUCAUUCCACUUCAUGAUCAUCCUGGAAUGACUGUUUUUAGUAAGCUUCUUUUUGGAGAAAUGCACAUUAAGUCAUAUGACUGGGUGGACAACCUCCCUGCUGAUCCAACUCCAGUUGCUAAACCUUUAGAUAGUAAGUCUUUUUAGCUGGAGAUUGUUUUGUUGAAGGUAUCUAUAGUUCUUUUUAAAUCAUGUGGUCUUAAACUUGUCUCGGAAGAUAUUGUAUUUGAAAAUCUCCCUGAUGAACCAAAUCCAAUUGCUUUCUAAUGUAUUUUGAAAAAAUAGGAUCAAAGGGGCCUGGCUAACUUAUUGGUGAUUAUUUCCUUAUCAGAUGGACUUGGGGAAUCUACUACUGGAAUUCGUCUAGCAAAAGUGAAGAUAAAUUCAGCGUUUAGAGCUCCUUGCAAGACCUCUAUCUUAUAUCCAGCUGAUGGUGGUAAUAUGCAUUGUUUCAAAGCAAAAACAGCCUGCGCCGUGCUAGAUGUGCUUGGCCCUCCCUAUUGUGAUCCUGAAGGUCGCCACUGUCAAUACUACUGUGACUUCCCGUUUUCAAGUAUCUCUGGUAUACUUCUUGUACUUUUUCAUCCUUACAUUUAACUGAGUGCUAGUGUAAAUUGGCAAAGUCCUUGGUGAAGAAGGACGAAUCUAACAAAGGAUAAAAUAAAGAUGAUUCAAUAUGGUUGAUGCCUUUAAGUAAUAACAUUGAGAUUUGAUUUUCCAAAUUGUUGCCUGGUGGGCGGACAGUUCCCAGAACAGUUAAGAGAGUGUUUAUAAAAAUGGCAACUUGACUUUUAAUCUAUUUCUGGUAUCACAUGAUCAGACAACAAGAAUCUUUGUUACCUUUUUUAUUGACAGGGUGUUUUGAUUAAUAUGGUAAAUUUUAUUUUGAUUGUGUACUUGAAAGGGCCUUAUAAUAUGGACUAGCAAGUUUAUUCCAACUCUUUUUUGUCGAUUUCAGUGACCGAGGAACAGAAGGGUGGCUAUGCAUGGCUGAAAGAGAGGGAGAAACCUGAUGACUUAACACUGGUUGGAGCAUUGUACAAGGGACCAAAAAUGGUUAAGUGAAUUGAAUUAUCCCCAUUUCUGUGGAUGAUAACGAAAGUUGGCAGUGAAGCAGAACCAAAAAAGAAAAAAAACUUUUUUUUUACUUUUCUUAUCUUUCUUUCCCUUGUUUUCCUCCCUAAUUUUUCCUCGUUUUCCCUUCUUGCGGUUUGGUAGUGUACAUAUUCAGACCGGAGGAAACAAACGAAGGUCAUGGCGAAAAUUUGAUGCAGUAGUGUUAUUUUUUAACAACAGUUACAUAUUUCUGACAUAGCGUUAUGUUGUAGGAUUUGUUUAAGUACACCUCCUUUUAUGGUACAAUUUGCUAUUUGACAGUAGCUCAGGUUGUACUUUAGGAACAUUUGCCCUGGAAUCCGAAUAUGACGAUAAGAAGUGGGUUUGUUCAAGUGGAUUGAGGGGUGUUCCGAUCGACAUUGUAAAGAAAUGGAUUAUAGAUUGAAUUCAAUCCCAAAAAUUGGCUAAUAGGGUAAGAAUUAUCAAGCUCAUGUAAGGAUAUCUAUGAUGUCAAUUGUUCAUGUGAGACUUCUUUUAACACUCUCAUGCAUGUUCAAACUGGAGUGAAUAAUAUAAUAUGGGAGCUAGCAUUGGCGAUCGAAGAAAUAUAAGAUUAGAGUUUUUGUGCCUCACCAAUGAAUUUAGAUACAUCUGUUUUUGAUAUCCUACUUUAUUAAGUUUCUGUGCCUCCAAAUUAAACUUGUGCAUAUUGUUAAUUAGGUUCCAAUUUUAUUUUAGGCUCAAGUAUUUCUAUCCUACCAAAUUUGAACACCUCAAUUUAAUUGUGUACUAUUUUGUGUCUAUUGAGAUAGGCACUUUUUAACUAAACAAGAUUAGAUAACUGGCAUUUGAACAUGGUAAACAUCAGUAAUAUCAAAUUUUCAGCCUAAAAAAGGUGUGUAAUAUGAGGAAGGUACACAAUACUUUCUGAAAUGCAAGUGAACCUACAAAGCCAUACAUACUUUCAAAUAAUGAACAACAGAUACUUCCAACUGGCCUAAUAGGAAGUUUGCUGAGAUAAUCCAUCAACAGUGAAAAAAGUAGAUGAGUUGUGAGUAAAAAGGGUAACAACCACGCAAAUGAAAAAUAAGUUUUACAACGAUAUAACACAAUUUCAAGAUUACAACUGUUGACUUGAGAAAACAAAGAAUGAACUACUUGAGAUUAUCAGAGAACAACCAUGAGGUGAAGAAACUUUAAGAUAGUCAUCAGUCAGCAUCAUAUUAAACUAGUAAUGUAGAUACUACGACAGAAGCAAAACGUUAACAACACAUGCAAAUGCAAAUUUAAAGUAGGAUUUGCAACGCAUGACUAAGGCCGCGCGGGCACGUAAACUAGUAUUUGUAAUUUGAGUUAAUGAAUUUAACUAGCGAAAUUUGGUUAAAACUUAAACGAAAUGAAUAAUAUAAAACAAGUUUCUUAAUUUUAAUAAAAUAAAAUAACUUAAUUAUAUACCUAUUAAUUCAAAAAAAUAUAAAAUAUUAAUUAAUUAAACUAAUUAGUCAAAUAUUUAUAUAAAAACAAUUUUUUGAGACAAUUUUUGAAAAUUCAUAACAUGUACUACUUAUAUACAUAAUUAUAUAAAAACAUAUAUUUUAUUUUAAAAUGUCAAAAAUACAUAAGAAAAAUAAUUAAAAAAAGUAUUUUAAAUUUUAUAAAACUAAUGAUUUUAAGUCAUCUGAAAUUAAACAAGCUCGAUGAUUUAUCUAUAUUAUGGAUAAUCAAAUUUGGGUGUCAACAGUUGUUCCUUUCUCUGGGUAUGAUCGAAGAAAAAUAUCCUGGAUAAAGAAAAUUGACAAAUUCAAUUUUUAAAAAAGAUUUUGGUACAUACUUUGAGAGGUUAGGGACAAAUCCCGAUACUAGGUUCUCUGCAUAUCAGGUUAUAUGAAAAUUCAAGUCAUUUGUAUUUUGAGAUGCUUGAUUUGACACAUGAUUUUUAAAAGAAUUCAAAAAUUAUCUCUAUAUCAUAUUAUGGAGAGACCAAAAAACUUGGGAAUAGAACGAGGAGAUGUUGCACUAAGUUGAAUUUUUAAUAUUGAGUCAGCCUACAUAUCUCUAAACAUGAGAAUCAAAUUGCUUGUACUGUGAUUCAAUCGGUUGAAAAAUAAAUUUCUUAUGCUAAGAUAACCUUCAAUUUAGAAAAGUGAAGAAAAAAAUCGAGUAUGAAAAAAGGCUCACGACUUUGAUAUUCAAUUUUUUUAGAAAAUCAUCUAAUUCAUGUUCAAUAAUCAAUUCCUAUAUUCAUAUAUAAGGGAAAUUUACAUAAAUAUGUACGGUAUUAAUCAUUUAUAGCAGUAACAUUUUUUUUAUUUGAUCACUUUUAAUUUAUUUAUAAUACAAGUUUAAUACAUAUUACAAAGAACAAUCUAUUAUUCACAUAUAAUACAAGUUUUAAUGAUGGAUAGAUAAUACAUUUGUCACACAUUUAUGAUACAAUGUGUCAAAUUUUUACAAAAUAAACAUAAUAUAUUGCAAAUAACAAUUAUAAUUCAUUAUAGAUUGCAUAUAUAAUUCACUUUUAAUACAUAUUCAGAUUUAACAUAGUAUUACUAUAAGUGAUAAUAAAUAAAAAGUAUCAUUAAAAUCAGUAAUUAUUUAUUAAAAUAUAUCAAUUCACGUAAUUUUCUUAAUUUAAUUGAACCUUUUUUUUAAAUAUGGUUUUAAAAUAUAUAUUUGUAGGUGCGGAAAGUAAAAUGAAACCGAAGGGCGAAGGAGUAGGGUGUAUAUAUAUUGGGUGUUAGACAGAGACAUCUGAUGUGUGUGGGCAGCUUACAUAUCACGCGAACUCACAGUCUCUUUAUUUUACAUAGAUAAAAACAAUACGCAGGAAGACAAGAAACUCAACUCUGAACCAAUUACAUUCAUUGAAAUUCUUGCCGCUUUAACACCCAGGUAAUCCGUUUUGAUCCUUCAUAUAUGAAUGGUUAUAUCCUUGGAGUAUUAAUUUAUGAAAUUAUUUUCAAUUUAUUUGGGAAUCUAGGGUUUUAUUGGUUCGAUUUCACAGCAUCUGAUUCCCUAAACGAUAACUUAUGAUUCUUGCGUCUAAAUUUUGGGGAUCUAGGGUUUUCUCGAUUUAUUGUUCUUGAAUGGUAAUUUGUGGAUGUAGGCGGUGAGGAUGUCGACGCCGGCUAGGAAAAGAUUGAUGAGGGAUUUUAAGCGGUUACAGCAGGAUCCGCCUGCUGGUAUCAGUGGUGCUCCUUAUGACAACAAUAUAAUGCUUUGGAAUGCUGUUAUAUUCGGGUAUGCAUGCCGGUUGAUUAAAUCAUUGAAUUCGGAUACUUUAUGAUGAUUGCUCUUGUACUUAUGCACUUGUGUUGUUUCUUUUUCUUGGAAUGCAGUCCUGAUGACACACCUUGGGAUGGAGGUGAGGAAAAUAGAACCAGAUUUUUGACUCUUAAAGUCCAUCAUGAAUGCAUUGUCACACACCUUGUACUUUACUUUGUGAUUUCUGUUUUCCUUUUCAAUGCUUAAAUUGCACUUUGAGACACUUGUCAAUGUGAGUGAAUAUCUUGUGUUGAUACAGUCACUGCCACCUGAGUAAUGCAUAUGCUUAGUGCUUUUCCAGUGAAGAAGGUUUCUAGGAAUCUGUGUUUUGUAUUGCAUGACCAUUCUCCCUCACCUUACUAUAAUUAAGAUUUGCUCUCUCUUUUCCAUCCAUGAUUUUCCUCUUUCACUAAAAUGGAGGCUAAGAAGGCAUGUCUUGUUUGUAUGGGCAAGAACCCUAAGAGUUAUAGCAUGCCCUUCCCCCUAUUUUAACUAGUGAAUUGUGAUUUCUGUGCAGGUACGUUUAAGCUGACACUUCAAUUUUCGGAGGAUUACCCCAACAAGCCUCCAACGGUUCGAUUUGUAUCCAGGAUGUUCCAUCCGAAUAGUAAGUAGCCUAAGUAACGUUGCAUUAUCUUUCUCUCCCACUUUCACAUAGUUCUAGUCCAUAGAACAGGCAGAACUUUCAACUUUAAGCUUAGGUUGCUUGCUGCUUAUUCAGUUUAUCUUGUGGUGCAAAGACUAGUAGUAUCGACAAGGAGUUAUAUGAACUCAGAGACCUUCAUAAAAUCAGUUAUAGUGUUAAUAUUGCUUCUCACACCGUGUGAACUGAGAAGGAAGCUAGCUUCCUAGUUAUUUUUUAAUACCCUACACUGGCCACAUAUUCUGUAUCACUGUCAAUCCCAUUUUGAAAUUCCUUGUAGUGCACUCUCUCCCUCUAUAUCAUCCUAUCCUGCCCCUUCACCACCAAUAGGCCAUAUGUAUAUCUGUGAAGAAAUUCCUCAAUCUUCUAUUAUUUCUAAUCCUUUUUUGCUAGUCUAAGCUCUGUACUGUGUAGUCUGUCACCAUGCCAAUACUUGUGGAAUUGUUUUGCCUAGAGUUACACCGCAGAGCCAGUCUAUUUGAGACCUAAUUCUCAUGCCUAUACAAUAUAAACAUGUCCUUGUAAAGAAUGUAAACAAAGUGCCUUUCCUCUUCAUUUAUCUCUUAAACAUAUACUCCCCACCAAUUUCUAUUGAACUGCUAUCAUUGUUCUUCACAGAGCAUUCUCCUUUUUUGCUAGUCUAAACUCUGUGCUGUGUAUUCUGUCACCAUGCCAACACUUGUGGAAUUAUUUUGCCCAGAGUUACACCGCAGAGCCAGUCUAUUUGAGAACUAAUUCUCAUGCCUAAUAUAAUAUAAACAUGUUCUUGUAAAGAAUGUAACAAAGUGCCUUUCCUCUUCAUUUAUCUCUUAAACAUAUAAUCCCCACCAAUUUCUAUUGAACUGCUAUCGUUGUUCUUCACAGAGCAUUUUCCUUUUUUGCGAGUCUAAACUCUGUACUGUGUAUUCUGUCACCAUGCUAACACUUGUGGAAUUAUUUUGCCCAGAGUUACACCGCAGAGCCAGUCUAUUUGAGACCUAAUUCUCAUGCCUAUAUAAUAUAAACAUAUCCUUGUAAAGAAUGUUAACAAAGUGCCUUUCCUCUUCAUUUAUCUCUUAAACAUAUAAUCCCCAUCAAUUUCUAUUGUACUGCUAUCGUUGUUCUUCACAGAGCAUUCUCCUCCUGGGAAAAUCUUAAUAAUACCAAACAAUGGACAUAUAUUAUGUUAUUAUAUCAGAUGAGGAGUUUAACAGUUUAUUCCCGUUCUCCCUUUAAACACAUAUCAACUCUUACAUCCUCUCAACCUUUACAGAGGUCGUCCCAAAUCCUUAUCCCUGAAUUUACCCUGAUUGGUAAUCCGCAACGCCAUGCAUCUGUAAUUGGUAAUUUUAUUGUUUCAGUUCUAAUGAGUUAUUUGACCUGACACUUUCUUCAAUUAUUAUGAUAUUUUGGUGAUGGAAAUGUUACAAGAAUGUUCUUAAUUUCCAUUGCAUACUGAAUCCUCUGUUUCUUGAAGUUAUUUGUUUGAGUAUUUGUUCUUGGGACUUAUUGAAUUUGAGAGACUUAGCCAUAUUCUGGUAGAUGCUUGGGUUGUGUGUUAUUGAAUAUUCUCUGUGAUUCAUGCUAAUGUAAAGUUUUGUGUAUGUGUUAAGACUUACAGCUUAGUAUAUCUUCCACCUUAUUCUAGAUUAGGCCAGGUACUAUAUUGCUCUUUUAUUGGCGCUGAAUAAAUUGGUCUCAAGAUUUGAUCUUGCCAUUUACAUGCAUAAUGCAGUCCAAAGUAUGCGAAAUAUAAAAAACAAUGGCCUAUUGCACUUAUUUUACUCUCAGCCUAUGGCUACAUAUUCUCUCUUUUUAAUACCAUCUAAUCACAUACUUUUUUUUUGGAUAAGCAGUAUCUUCUAAGCUCGUACAUUUUUAGAGCAUCAAUAUAGUGGAGAACCUUAUCAAAAUAAAAUAAAAUAAAAUAGUGGAUAUAUUAAAUAUAAGAUAGCAAACAUGUCAUGUAACAAAUGAAAUAAAUUCUGAGAAAGAACAGUGGAAAUACAUGGGAACUUUUUAGCUGAGAUUUUAGCAGAUGUACUUGUGCCACACUCAUGAUACUCUUUGCCUCUGGACCCAAAAGAAAGUAGAUGUAACCCCUCUUUUUCACAAGUAUCCUUGUUUUGCCGCACCUAUUUUAUAAUCUUUUAUUUGCACCUGGCAGUCCUAGCAAUUGUAACUCAGCACCUAUGCAGUCUGAGCAUUGCAUUAUUUUAUGUUUAAUUAUUUGCUUAUUGAGAGAAUGAUAUGAUGUGUGUGUAUCAAUUUGAUUAUGUCCUGUUGAUUUUUCAUUUGGGCCUUUGUUCAGAAGUUAAUUCAAGAUCUCCCACGUCAUUCGAAAUGGAUACUUCUUGUCUUCUAUCUUAACCUCGAUUUAACUUUACUCAUUAAAAAGACCUAAAUUCUACUUUGUGGCUUUUGUCAUACAAAGUAUAAGUUUGAGUAAUUUUUAGUCUUGCUGAUUUCUCGUAUCGCUGUUUAUCUAUCUAUUGGUCAGUUUAUGCCGAUGGGAGUAUUUGCUUAGACAUACUGCAAAAUCAGUGGAGUCCUAUAUAUGACGUUGCUGCUAUACUCACUUCAAUCCAGGUAUGUUGAGAUUGUUAUUAGAUGCAUCGUUGUGCCUCAUGUCGUUGCAGAUCUUUUAAGAAAUGUAACAUGGAAAGUUUAUUUCUUGGUGUAUUGUUUAAUUUUAUUACAUAUAAACCCAUUCUUUUUUUACUGCCUUUCUAGCUUUGGAGGGUUGUGUCCUCCAUAUAAUGCGCUAAUAGUUUACCCCACUAGUAAGACAUGGAUAUCUGGGUGGCCAAGUAGCUCAUUGUCCUGUUGCUGUUAGUGGACACUUAUUGAGUUAUGCUUUUCUUUUCUCUGGUUGAACAUAGAUAGUGUACACCGAUGAGAACAGGAAAUCUAUAAUUUUGGAUAAGUUGGGAAUGCAGACUUCAUUGUUUGGUCCAAUGAGAUAGUGAAAAAUAUUUUCGUAGAUGCACACACUGUGCUUGAUAUCAUUUUUCACUAGUGUUAAAUUAACUAGUUUUAACAAAUGAAUAAAGUAACUAAACAAAGAACUAUACAACUUGUUGCUCUAAAGCUAACAGGUCAGGUCCUUGUUCUUAAAACAUUGAAUAUGUAUACUUGCUGGAGAGGCAAAUUUUUUUCCUUUUUUGGUAAAUUUAUUUGGUUCAAGCAGUUCUUUCUUUAACUUCGAUAGCGUUCUGUCUAUUUCACAUCAUGUAUCUAGGCGCUCGCUUGGGAGUUGAGAACAUCUCUGUCACCCCGCCGUCUUUGUAUUGUGUUUCCAUAGAAGUCCAGUACAAUUUUUUGGGCAGUAGUGUUUUCUACAGAAUCUGAAUCUUAUCAUUUCUUAAAUGAGGUUAUCAAAUUUUGUUGUUGUCUGGUGUGAGACUGAAGUUAUCAAAUUUUGUAUCAAAUUAAAGAGGAUUUCGACUGAACCGAGAACGCAUUAACAUUAGCAUCCCCUAAUGUUUGACUUUCUUGAAAUGCAGUCUUUGCUUUGUGAUCCAAACCCAAACUCGCCUGCUAAUUCAGAAGCAGCUCGCAUGUUCAGUGAGAACAAGCGUGAGUACAACAGGAAGGUGCGUGAGAUUGUUGAGCAGAGCUGGACGGCGGACUGACAUCCAUCUGGCUGAAUCUGUUACGGGAGAUUUUCCUGGUAGGAUUGCCAGGUCAAACUGCAAUGUUCUCCAUGCUGUUGCUACAUUAAUAAUAAAUGUAGCAUGAAAUUGUCCUUUCAUGUGCUGUUUAGUAACUCUGAUUGUGUUUAUCUUAAUGUUUUGUUACUCUGAUACAGUGUAUAUAUUCAUGACUUUGUAUUUUAAUUGUAUGAAACUCUUUUCUGUUGGUCAUCAUAAGACCUUCAAUUGGAAAAUGGAUAAAUAUCAGAUAUUUUUGUUUAGCAAUGGAAAUUGUGCAUUAUCAUUGAUUCAACUCAAUAAAAUAAGUUCUCAGUAUCAGGCAAUGAGAUCUGUUGAAGUCAAAAAUCUGAAAUGUAGAUGAGAUGUGUUGAAAAAGAGUAAGUGGAGAAUCACUUAAUAUUGGAACUUGGUCGGAUGAUUAAUGUUUUUCAGGAACCAGUACUGAUUUUACAAUGUCAUGAAGAGACAUACCAGUGUUUGCCUUUUCUGUUGCUCCUAUAUUUACUUGAUUUCUAAUCAUGAUCUUUCCUAUAGAGUUUUUCAGGCGUGCCUCACUGCUUUCCAGAGUUUGAGGUAUUGCCUUUAGCCUGAAGUAAUCUAUGCUAUCCCAAAGGUAUAUUUUAUUGUCUCAAGCCCUCUGUUAUCUCCUAUUCGAUGACGUUAUUUUACAUGUUUAAAAAAAUCUUCAUGUUAGCUAGCUAUUGUGUGUGUUUCUUUUUCCAAGAUUAGGACAAGUGGAUGAUGGCUCCUCCUUGUUGAACGUUAAUAAUAAUUGCUGUCUGUUAGCUUGGCUGUCAACUUCAUGUGACUGAAAAUCCUAUAUUACUAGAGAGCUUUUAUCUCGUAAAGAAUAAAGUCGGUGAAGGGUAACAUUCUCGUGAAAUAUGCUUUUUUCCCGUUAGAAGAUCAGUCAGUUUGGAAAUUAACAAACCGUCGGUGGCAUUUGCAUUGUAAAUUCAACACGCUGCUCCAUUCCUCUACACGUCACCCACAACUUAACGAGUCACUCCUGGGGGUUCGUGCAACACAGUGAUCCAUAGACAAUUUUCGACCUAAGGUGAUUCUUUUCUCCUAUAUUAUUAUGUUAUUUGAUAGAUACUUCAUAUAUUGUUGUUUUAAUUAAUUGAGCUGGAAGGAUCAUUUACUCGUAUGUGUUUUAUUAAGUUAAAAAGAGUUUGAAGUGAUGAUCCUAAGGUUUAUGUUUGUUAAUGAUGAGCACAUGGGUGUUGAAGGGCCCUCCAUCCCUAUAGGUAAGUUGAUGAGGAAUAAUGAGAUGGACUCAUUUUUUGUUUGGUGUACCUAAUGAAGGAACCCAAGGGGACCGCAGCUUUAAAUCAUUACAAAUUGAUUAUUAAUGGACUGGGAUGCUCUUGUCUCUACAUUUUAUUAAAAAAUUGGAGGCUUCUUCUCUAUAUCCCUCUCAUCGUACACACUAAAAUAUCCCUUUUUUUAUAAUAUUCAUCUGUCCAUUUAGGCAUAGCUCAUCUUUUAUAUAUUUAUAUUUAUUUAUGAGAUCAAUAAUUAUUUUUUAUAUCCAAUUGCAGAAAUUUCAAAACAGAUAAAACUUCUUAUCAAAUAGAAUCCCUGAUAAAAUGAGAAAAAAAGUCAGAUAUUGUAUUAAAGUUUCGUAUGGUAAUGUUUAUUUAGCACCAACUAUAAUAAGUCCCAUGCUCUACUGCUUCUUGAAAUCAAAGGGACCACCUUGAGAGAGUAUUCGAAUUAUUACCUUUUUAGUACUUAAAAAUUUGUUAAUUGAGCACGUAUUAUCACUGAUUUGGUAAUUAUAUCUUCUUUGCUUUUGUGGGAUUUUCUUUUUACGUAAGUACUCUAUAAUGACUUUUAUCGAUUUUCAUUUGAAUGUUAGGUUCUUAUAUAAAAGAGUAUCACAUUAACAUUACUUUUGCUGCUUUUUUUUUUUUGGGUACUUUUCCAAGUUCCAUAUUAUUUUAUAUUAUGAGAGUGUUUUCCAUUUUUUUCCUUUUCACAAUCACAUGGUUAACACUAGAAAAUACCAAAUAGACAGCAUGAACAAAAAAGUACCUGAAAUUUAAAUGAUCGAUAUGUUAUAAUGUUUUGUCAUCUGAGAAAAUUGUUUUGUUUCAUUUUGAAAAAGGAACAAAACAAAAACAAAUGAGUAGAGAAGACCACAGAGACAAAAAAAGAACAAAAUGUAUUGAAAUUAAAAUUAUCAUAUUGCUAUUACUAUUUUGAAAAAGUGACACCUUAACUAAUGAAGGACUUGUUUUCUUUCCUUAAAGGAAUUUUUUUAAAUGAUACUGAUUACUCAUUUCAUUUUAUUUCCAGUUAAUACAUCAAUAAUAAAUAAAAUAAUAAUAUUAUUAUUAUUAAUUAUAAAUUAUCUAAAUAAAUAUAAAAUAAUAAAAUAUUUUUUAUAAAUUUACCAUUUUUUUUUGAUAUAUCAAACAAAUAAAAUGGACAGCAAGAGUAGUUUCCUAAACGAAGAACGCAAACGACGCAGCGUGCCUUAAUGAAAAGUUGAAAAAGUGGAUUAAGCAGGAAAUCACCAACUUUACUAAAAGUGACAGCAUAACAACUACAGUAUACAUUUGUACUCUAUCGUAUAUGUACAGACUCCCAUUACUGUUCACAUCUACUACUACUGCUACACAAAUCCCAGAGAGAGAGAAGCGGUGGAGGGGUCCAUUUUUCCUCGAGGUAUGGAUGGCUAUGGCCAUAUGGGCCAUUCUUAGCAACUUCAAUUUUUAUUUCCUCUUAGCUUUUAGAUCAGUCUACCUGAUUCUACUGAACAAUUAAUUGUUAGUUCUCUUCUUCUUGAAUUUCUUCUUUCAGCUCAUCUAUGCCAAUUUUCGGAUCUUAAAACAGGAGCUUUCGUUUCUGUUCUUCAGGUACUUCUCAGAUCUGUGCUACAUUUGCUCCGAAAACCCUACUACACCUUUUGUUUUGCCUUUAAUUUUGUAUUUUUUGUGCUUUUACUACAGAUCUUGUCCUGAUUUAAUGUCUACUCGUUUUAGCAUUCUGAUUCCGAGUUACCAGACUCUGUUUUGCCUAUUUGAUAUGUUUUUUCUGGAAAUUGUAGUGUUUCUUCUUCGGAUUAGCUAUUAAGUGUACUGAUAAGAGGAGGACACUGUUUACAAGUGUACAUUAUGUUUCUUCAUUUUUGUUAGUUUGAUUGGGGGUGUAGUAGUAGUAGUAGUAGGCUCUGUUGUUGUAAUGCUGGCUCAGAGUGACUGGUGGUAUUGAGACAUUCAUUUCAGUAUGAGAAAUGCUCUAGUCUCCCUACUUAGGAUAUGCAGCUCCCUAAAUUUAGUUUAUAGAUCUUCACCAUUUACAGCUUUAGCUGAUUAGCUGGUGCGUGUGUCUGUUGAUUCUAUUUGGGAAGAAUUUGGUUAUCCUUUAGAGAUUGUUUUGAAGUUGCAUUAGUGCAUGUUACCUCAUGUUUACUUGUUUUUAAGGAGAACUUGAUUUAUAUUGAAUAAUGCAGGAUUCAGUUGAAAUCCUCUUUAAUUCAGCAGCUUGCUGUCUGCAAUGGGGAAAAAAUCUCCUGCCAAGUGGAUCAAGGCUGUGCUUUUUGGGAAGAAAUCAUCCAAGUCUCAUUUAUCAAAGGUAAGAGAACAUUUCUAAUUGUGUCAUAAUUCAACAUUGUCUGGGUUCUAAAAGACAUUUCUCUCUUGUUCCUCCUUUAAUAGUUAAUGGUGGUUUCCUAACUAUGUCUGUUUGUGUUCUCCAUGAUUAUAAGUUUCUCACAUUGUUAUGAAAAUUCUACUACUCGUUUGGUUCAACCUUUUUUUCAGCAAUUGGCUUCUUAAUUAAUUGUCACUGGUAAAUGAGACCAUACCUUACCCUCUUUUUUCCUUGCUGUCUCUCUUCAUUUACCCAAGUAGUAAGAACUUCCUCUAUUGUCUGAUAACAUUUAGGAACAUUGGCAUGAAAAAAAUUCGUAGAAUUAGAGUGGGUAGAGAACCCACUUGGUAAACCAAGAUCUUUAGAGAUUUCAACAUAAUGCAUGUUAUUAUUGUUAAGUUACUUCUAUGUUGUAUGAAGGAUGCUUCUGGUGAGAAAAUAUCUUCUGCAAAAGCGCCUGUGGGGGAUCUCUCUAUUGAUUCACCAAGUUUGGAUCUACCGGUUCAGAAUUUUGAUAAUGGUGGUGACCAGGCUGGAUUGGAAAAGGGUACAAGCACUGACUUUGCAUGUGAAACCGCCUCAUUAUCCUCUGCAACACACGAUAUAGAACCACCUGUGAAUGGGACAACCUCCUCAGAUGAUGCUGAGCUGAAAAGACAAGAGCAUGCUGCCACCAUAGCACAGGCAGCCUUUAGGGGUUACUUGGUACUGUUUAAUUACAGAAUUUACAACUUUAAUCUCUAAAAAGACGUGUACGAUUAUUAUGAUUUUAAUUCAGAUUUCAGCUAUUCAAUCUAAUGAAUAGCUUCUCACUUAGAUUGUAGAAUAUUUGAAUGUUUAGCGUGUAAUGUAUAAAAUCUGUAAGAGUUUAGAACAUUUAUUUCUGUGCAAGUGAGACAGUAGAAUUUGUGAUCCUCUACAUUGUCAUUACUUGUGGGGCACUUGGGUUCCAAAUUAUCUGCUUGUGUAUAUUAGUUCUGCAUUAGAUAAGAAACCUUUUCUGUUAAGUCAAAUAAUCAAUCGACACUUUUACCAUGCCAAGAUACUUUUUCUUGAAAGCCCAUAGCUUAAGCCUUUAUGUAGUACAUACUAGUUGGACUUACAAUUGAAGAAGCUUCAAUGUCUUUUCCUCUUCUAAUUUCAAAGCAGGAUCUGCCUGUCAAUUUUUCUUUUCUCUGAAAGGACCGUGUCCUUAUCCACUUAUAACUUUCCUCAGGCUCGUCGGGCUUUUCGAGCUCUCAAAGGCAUCAUAAGGCUACAAGCCCUUAUUCGUGGGCACUUGGUAAGGAGACAGGCAGUUGCUACUUUACGCUGCAUGCAGGCAAUUGUCAGGAUUCAGGCAUUAGCUCGUGGCAGAAGGAGUAGACUCUUAGAUCCUGGGCAUCAUCUGCUCAGAAAGUAUAGUUUUGAGGAACUUAAGGUAACUCUUGCAUUACGAAAUUCUCUUUUUCCCUGACUUGCUUGUAUAGUCUUGUAGGGAACUUGACUUACCUGAAACACUUUAUGUGAUAGAAGAAGUAACUUAGAUUUAAUUUGAUUUUAAAAUGUCCAUAUUUUAGAUGUAAAUUGGUAGCCAUUUCAAACCAAUAAAAGUUAAGAGUGGAGUAACUGAUUUUCAUGUUCGUAGUAUUGUGUCAAACCAUUGGGACAAACCAAAAGAGGAGGUGCACAUAAAAUUAGAAUAACUCAAAAGGAACUGCACAUAAAAUUGGACGAUCCAAAAUAGAGUGCAAAGUGCUAAAAACUAAAUUUGGAAUUAUUUUCAUCAUUUCUUCAUUGUUUUUGACUUUGUUGUAACAUAGAAUGAGUAGGAAUCUGCUACUGCUUUUCUUUCCUCCUUGUUUCAACUUUGGCAGAUUGUAGUAGCUAUUUCAAGUUUAUUCAUGUUGGUACAAAUAUUGACUCUGAGUUCCAUGUAUUCUUUCUUUAACCAGUAUCCUGAGCAGAGGCAAGCUAAGCUGACAGUUUAUGCAUUUCCACGCAAGGUAUUGCUGAACAAUCUGUCCUUUUUUUAACUGACAAGAUAUCGUUGCAUCGCAGAUUUUUCCUGUAAGGUGUUGUUUCUUUUCUUUAUCUCCUUUUGGCCCUAGGUAAGGAUGGAGUUGAAGACCCAUGUGUGGCCGAUAAUAUAUUUAACAGAUUGGGGUUAGAAAAUGAUGAUGUCGCUUCAUCCUUUUACAUUUGGGUUUUUUAUACUUUUAUGGUAGACGAUGGGUCUGGGAGGUACCAAUAAACAGAGAAGAAAGUACAAGUGAUGGUAUGGGAAGUAAUCCCUCUGCUUAUAUAACGUUGAGGAAGCUUGAAAAUAGUCCCCGAUGUAAUAAAAGGAGGGAAUGAGUAAAGAUUAAAUAAAAUUGGAGGAACACAUCCUAAAAGGUUAGAAAAUCUGGUUUUGAUACAGGUUAAACAUUCUGUGUAUCUAGAGUGCAAAAGUGUUGCUGAUUUGUCUGCAUUAUUGCUUUCUUAUGUGAUCUACAGCAUUUUGCGUGUCUUUUGCUAACAUUUUUUCUGCUGAUCAAAAGAAGGUUUUUGCCUACGAUAUUUUUCUGAGAAAAUUGAACAAGUUGUAAAUCCAUCUUUGAUGCCUUAAUAGAGUGACCAUCCUAGAUCUGGGGCUUUGCAAAGGAAGAGUUGGAAGUUGAUCUGAAGUUACUUAUUAUGAAGAGAGAGAAUGUUGCUUUGAAUAUCGAAGCCUGACCCAUAGUAUAUGUGUCACAGAGGUCCAAUGGAUAUCUAUACACUGUUGACAUAAAGGAUCCAUAUACUAGCUAAAGUGGAUGUGAAGGGUCAGAAAGUCUAAACAAUUUUGGUGGUGGUGGUGGUGGGGGGGGGAGGGGGUUAGAGUACGACUGUACGGGAGUUAACUCAUUUAAUGAUCAGUAUGAAUUCUAACAUUUUGUAAUUUCUUGGAAUAAAAUUAGCAUUUCUCAAAAUUGCACUCGAAGUACUAGAAAUAUGGUCAAUUUAGACCACCUUUUUGAAAUGAUCUUUUAAAAACAGUCGAGACUCAUAGUAAUAAUGCCAACUAUUUGGGACCAUGAAGUAUUUCUUAUUUGUUUUCUGAUGUAGACACAAUUCUGUAUUUGAUGGUAAUCUCUUGCUUGUUUUAGCUUCUUGUGGCAGUGCCAACAGCCAUGCCAUUGAGCCUUCAGUAUGAUGAGGGCGAACCUAAUUCAGCUUGGCAGUGGCUUGAAAGAUGGUCACUAUCUCGCUUUUGGGAACCACUUCCACAACCAAAGAAAGUAGUUGGAGCAAAGUCGCUGAAGAAGCAGGGUAACAAGCCGAGUGUUGAAACAGAAGCAGUACGACCAAAACGAAGUGUCAAGAAGGUUCUUACAGCAUCAAAUGGAGAUGCUCAUGGCGUAAGUUCCUCUGAACCAGAAAAGGCUAAACGCAACCCAAGGAAAUUCUCGAAUCAUCACAUAGAGCCAGUACAGGAUCAGCCUCAAAAUGAACUUGAAAAAGUCAAGCGCAAUUUAAGAAAGGUUUCUGCAGCUUUGGCAACAUCUUCUGAGAGGUCUGAAACAGAAAUUGAGAAAGCGCAACAGACUCCUAAUCUGGCUCAGGCUCAGGCCACAGUAUCAAAAUCCUCAGCUCCAGAUGUUGUUGAGCAAAUGAUGGUUAAUUCUUGUGAGAAAACAAGUGAUUCAGCUCCUGAAAUCGAGAAAUUGGUUGAAAGUGAAGCUCCUUUACCUGUAGCAGUGGAUGAGCCAACGGAUGUACUGCACGAUCAUCCUACCACUGAGCAGCAGCAGCCGGAGGAUGUUAACAACACUGCGAACAGCCCUGUUGUUAAUGAGGAAAUUAGCUCGAUGGACGAUCAGACUACCAAAGAAAGAAUUAGGAGGAGGAAGUCUCUCCCCACUAAGCAGGACAAUUCUGAGAAUAUUUCACAGAAUACACCAAGUGUGCCUAGUUAUAUGGCUGCCACUCAAUCUGCUAAGGCAAAGCUUAAAGCUCAAGGAUCUCCCAAGGUAAGUGAUGAUGGAGCUGAAAAUGGGUUUGUCCGGCGUCAUUCUCUACCAUCCUCUGCCAAUGGAAAAUUCAACUCCUUGUCACCUCGGAUUCAAAAGCCAGGGCAAGCAAAUGGAAAAAGUGGAAAUAAGACCAGACCGAUAUCCUCCUCGAAAGACGGUAAGAAAAAAGGAUUAGGGACCUUUUAGUUACAAGUUGGUAUCUCUACAUUUUUCUUGCUAUGUGAUUGUUUCCAAUAGCCAAGUGAGUUCUCUGUUUGGGCCUUUUUUAUUUUGUGUUACUUUGAAAUGUUUUUUCUUUCCUUUUUUUCAUUUAAGCUGAAUGAGUAAUAUAGUUGGGAUUUUCAAAUUUGAUCGCGGUCAAACCCAAGAAAAGUAUUUGCUUACUUGUUUUCUUAAGUGACUUGUCGAAUAACUUGUUUUUUUUUUUUAAAAAAAAUGAUGUACGGUAAUUAUUGAUGUUCGGGUCUGGUUGAGGUGCAUCAUUCUUUCUUUCUGACCAUUCAUAAAGUUAAGCAUUCAUAAAGUUAAGACAAUAAGAAAACCGAAUUCUCAAAAGUAAAGUAAAUGCAUGCUAUUUCAAAUGUUGAAGACUCCACAUAUAAAAUGGUUCUGACUUUUGUUCUUUAUUCUUGAUUAUGAUAGUCUUAUGCCUUCUAUCUUUUAGUAAGUGGUUCUCUUAGAUUAUUUCAGAAUUGAUGUGUUAUAAGCUCAUUUACUUGCGUCAAUUUGGAACACUUCACUGACUGAAUGAUUAUCUUUUGAUUCCCUCUUCAGAAAAGGUGCUUCCUGGUUGGAGGAGAUGAGUUCAACAUUCUGCUUACUCAAGGAACUUUAGUACCGCAUGUGUUGUUGACACCAAUAUUUUCUGUAUUAGGUUAAAUUUGCAAAUUCCAAAUAACUGUUGUUUGAUAUCCGUAAGCAUCUUUAUCAUGUUUCUAUUAGUGUUGUUGGGGUGUUUGCAGUUAUUGUAUAGUUGAGACUCUGUACUUGGUUUAACGGGAUUUCCUUGAUAUUCUUUAUCUUCCUUUGCUUUUUCUCCCAUAUGCCUUGUAUCUUGAGUGAAGAACAUUCGGCUCUUAUGGUCUUAGUGAGAUUUUAUUCUUAUGUGUGAAAGUGUAUGUAUCCCCUAUGAGUAGCAGAGAAUAUACACAUUUCUAUUUGCAAUUUCACAUCAUUGUGUGGUGUUGACUUAAAAAGGAUGGACUAGAAGGUGGAAGCCGUCCCCUUCAAAUGUAUGAGUUACUCGUACUAAUGACUGUAGCUGGUUGCUCUAGUCUCUCAAUAUUGUUCUAGUUGUGGCAUACACAUCUGAAUAGGUCUAUUUCCAUGGAAAGUACUGGCUAGAAGAUUGGAAUAUCCCUUCAUUAGUUUUGUCUCUAUUUAGGAGAAACAAGUAUUGACUUUGGGGAAGAAAAUAGAAAAGAAAGGCGUGGACAGAUACUUGAAAUUCAAAGAUCAAUGUGAUAGGUGGGACAUAAUCUUUUUGAAUUUUGAUCACCCCGUCAGUCUGAAAUUUAUGUCCUGGCUUUUUUUACAUUUUUUUGUAAAGAAAAUAGCUGGAGUUCUUUUUAUUAUUUUACGCUCAUUAUGAAUUAUGAUAUUAAAAUAUUUAUGUUCUUGUAUAUUUAUAGUUUUCAAAAAUAAUUACGGCUAAGUUUAAAAUGAGAUAUUAGGUAUGCUUGUAUUAGUUGUAGGUAGAUUAUUUUUUGAGCAAUUUUCAUAAAUAGCAAAUAUAAAAAUUAUAUUUGUAUGUUAUACUUAUAGUUUGUAUAAUUGUGCUUCAUAACAAAUUUUAUGUUUGCUAUGAAAUUUGUGAUUUGUAUAAUUCGCUAUGCAUAUAACUAAUGACUAUUAAUAUGUAUAUUUCACUAUACAUAUAACUAAUGACUAUUAAUAUGUAUAUUUCACUAUACAUAUAUGAAUAACUAUUAAUAUGUAUGUUUCGGUAUGAAUAUGAUUAUUAAUAGGAAAAAUUGUAUAUAAUGGCAAACUAAUAUAUCAAAUCAAUUGUUAUAAUCACCCUUUGAUUUAAUUGUGUCCGUAACAAACUGUUUGUCAGUCACCCCUCUCCCUCAAACUCUCACUUGCCACUCUCCUCUUUCGCUCUAUCUCUCGCUCGCUUCCUCUCAUUUUUAUACAAACACAAGUGUAUAAAAUAUGUUUCUAUUUGUAUAAAGUGAGAGGAAAUUGUAUAAAUAUAUAUAUUUUGUUCCCCUCUCUCAGAUCUCGCUCGCCACUCUCCCUAAUCUCGCUCGCCACUUGCGCCUCUUUCACUUAUACAAACAGAAACAAAAUGUAUAAAUUGCGUUUCUGUUUGUAUAAAGCAAGAGAAAAUUGUAUAUACAUAUGCAAAUACAUAUAUUUUCAUCCUAUACACUUAUAAUUAUACAAUAAAAAUACUCUCCUGCCCAGUUUCUUUUGCCUAUCUCUCUUUUUCGUUUUAACAAAUUUAAAUUGUAUAUAAUAUCUCUCUUUCUCGUUUUAUACAAUUCGAUUCAAUUGUAUAUUUCCUGCCCAAGUCUCUUUUGCCUUUCUCUCUUUCUCAUUUUAUACAAAUUCAAUUGUAUAUAAUCGUUCUAUACACUUAUAAUUAUACAAUUCGUUUUAUUCACUUCGUUUUAUACAAUUCUCUGCUCAAGUCUCUUUCUCUUUCUCAUUUUAUAGACUUCGUUUUAUGCAAUUCGCUUCAAUUAUAUAUGUAUAGCGAAUUAUACAUUUAUAUGUUUGCUAUGGAGUGCAAUUAUGCAAACUUUGUCAUAGCUUACAAAUAUGAAUUUUAUGUUUCUUAUAUGUGAAAUUAUCCUUAUUAAUAUGUAUAUUCUGUAUACAUAUACGAAUCAAUUAUAUAUUUGCGUUUGUAUAAAGCGAGAAAGAGAGAGAAAAGUUGGUUGGGUAGGGAAAGAUAUGUUUUCGUAUAAUUUCAAGUCUAUAGGACGAAAAUAUAUAUAUUUGCAUAUACAAUUUUCUCUCGCUUUGUAUAAACAUAAACACAAUUUAUACAUUUAUGUUUGUAUAAAGUGAGAGAGGCGAGUGAGAGUGGUGAGCGAAAUUUGGGAGAGGGGAACGAAAUGUAUAUAUACAAUUUGCUCUCGCUUUAUACAAACAUAAAACAUUUUAUGCAUUUGUGUUUGUAUAAAGUGAGAAUGGCGAGGAGAGACUGCCUAACGAGAACGAGAGCGGCGAGCGAGAUUCACCAGAGAAAGAGGUGAAAUAGCAACAGUUUGCUACGGGUUACAAUUAAAUCAAACUGUGAUUGUAUGAUUUAAUUUGAAAUAGUAAUUUGUUAUUGUAUACAAUUUUCUCCUAUUUUUAUACAUUAUUUGAUUUGAUGCGUUAAAAAUAAUAUGCAUUGCCUAGAAUAAGUACUUACAAAGAUACUCUCCACUUAAUUAUGAUGAAAAAAAUGUAAAUUUUUUUUAUGGGAUAAUUGAAUCUUUAAAUGAACUAAUACAUGUGUUAAAAUCAUCGCAUUGCUAAUAAUUAGAAAUUUAUGAUAUUAAUAAUACAUAUUUCAAUAAUAUAAUAUAUAUAUAUAUAUAUAUAUAUAUAUAUAUAUAUAUAUAUAUAUAUAUAUAUAUAUAUAUUUUCUUAAUACAUUCUACCAAAAUAAUGUCGGAAAGCUGGAAGGUUUUUUCUUUAAAUACAGUCGCGAUAAAUAAAGGGCAACUUUCACAUAUAGCAAACGAAAAAUUCAUAUUUGUAUGCUAUAGCAAACUUUGCAUAAUUGCGCUCCGUAGCAAACAUAAAACUGUAUAAUUUGUUAUACAUAUACAACUGUAUAAUUCGCUGGCCUAAAUUGUAUAAUUCGCUGGCCUAUUUCGCUGCAAUUGUAUAAUUUGUUUUGCAUACAGUUGAAUCGAAUUAAAAUGUAUGUAUAUUGUAUAAUUAUAAGUGUAUAGCAAGAAGAUAUAUGUUUUUCUCUCUUUAUACAAAAACAGAAACACAAUAUAUACACUUUUGUAUAAAGCUAGAGAAAAUUGUAUUUCACUGCAAUUGUAUAAUUCACAAUUGUAUAAUUCGUUGGCCUUUUUCUCUGCAAUAUUUGAAGUAAAAUGUUUGUAAAUUGUAUAAUUAAGUGUAUAACACGAAGAUAUACAUUUUUGCAAGUGCAUAUACAAUUUUCUCUCGUUUUAUACAAAACAGAAACAAAAUUAUACACAUCUGUGUAUAAAGCGAGAGAGGCGAGCGAGAUUUUUGGGAGAGAGACGCUGACAAAUUUUAGCUAAUGUUUGCUAUGGAGCACAAUUAAAUCAAAUCCUAGCUAUUCCAUUUAAUUUAGGUUAUUAAUUUGCUAUUAUAUACAAUUUUUCCAUAAAUAAAAGAGAGUACUACGUAUCUAUUCCAGUAUCAUUUUAAGGAAAGACAUUUAAGAUGCAGGGCUAGGAGUAUAACCUCGUCACUAAUAACUAGAUUAGGGUUUUGGGAUCUCCUAAAUUAGCAGGUAAUUCCCACAUUUUCUUCAAAAUUUCAUGUGUUUGUCAUCAUCAGACAGUCGUUUUAGGCUUCAGGUUAUUUCCUGCAUUCACUUGUGUUCAAUUUGAUUUAGGGGUUUGGGUGGGUUUUGCCCUAUGGCUAUGGAGUCUUGGUGGUGAUCUCAUCUUUGGUCAAAGUAUUUCUUUUUGGAUGUUGCUUUCAUUUUUUAGUUUAGAAAAAGAGAAGAUAAACGUGGUACAUCAAAAUAUACUUUAUCCAAUUAAAUGUAUAAAUUUAUUUCCAUACACCAAAUAAAGAUUUCUCACUGAUACUGUUCUGUAUAAUGUAAAGUUGAAGAUUAUGACUUGCUGAUAGCAUUAAUUUUAAUUUAAUCUGGUUCUUCCUUUAAUGAUUAUAUAAUGUAUAUACUUUAAAAUUCUAGAAAAUGUGAUUGAUUUUAAUACUUUUUAUGCUAAGACUCAUGGCAACUUGGAGCUAUUUUUAUUGUUUUACAAGUCAACACAAACGGCUACUUAAAAAUCAAACAAAACAUAAACGUUGCCUCUGUGUAGAUCCAAGACUACACACACAUCAUUAUCUUGCUGACAAAGUCUUCUUUUGUGCACAUGUAUAUCUAGAAGAUACCAUAUCUUCUUUCUCUCACACACACACACUCUGAGAGUUGCUUAACUAUGUCUCUCAAGAUUAAUCUGUUGAUCUGUUUCUUCAUUCUUCAUCUAUGGGCUGCUACAGGACACAAGAUAGGAAUUUAUGAGAUCAAGAAAGGAGAUUUCUCUGUUAAGGUCACUAAUUAUGGUGCCAGAAUCAUCUCUGUUCUUCUUCCUGAUAAGAAUGGUAUGUGAUUCAAGAUUUUAGUUUGAUGAGUUAUAUUUUCAUGAUUCUUUCUUCUUAACUGCACUAUUUGAUACUUGUCUUGUUCCUUUCCAGGAAAAAUAGGUGAUAUUGUUCUUGGAUAUGACACCAUUGGGGAAUACGUGGUUAGUUUCACUUUCUUCUUUUCUAAUAACUUCUUAUUAUUCAUCAACAGUUGUUUGUUUGACGCAUAUCAUUUGUCGGAUUAACAACUCUUUCUUUGAUACACUGUCCAAUUGUACUUCUUUACCAAAAAGACCGUGUUUUUGCCUGUAGUAUGUAACCUAAAUUCCCAUGUUUUCUUGGGGACUAAUGUGCAGAAAUUUAGACUGGAGAAUGUGGAGAUAGAUGAUUCUCUAACGUUUGAACAUCAGAUUAUGGUGAAUUGUAAUAACUUGUCUUGUUUCUUUUCUGAAACAAAAACUUGUGCCUAGUAUACACGAAGUUUGAGAACUAUGAUUCUGCUGUCCCUAUGUCAUCUUAGUGCAUAUUACACUAAAAAGUAUGCUUAGCCAAGCUGGCCGGCACUAUGAACAUUCACAAUGGGGGUGGACCAUCAUUGGACAUAAUUAUGCCUCUUUCAUCAUUUGAGCCUUUAAGUAACAUGCCUUAUUUAUGUGUUUAACUUAGCACUACACCAUAUUUUGGUUAGACAAAGACAUCCAAAAGGAUUUAUGAUUUUCGGAUACUCCACCUAAUGCAUUAAAUUGACAUAAAAAUCAACAUGUUUCACAUGUGCCUCAAUAAUGUCAUAUUCUAAGUUAGUAGAGGGGCAUAAAGAAUGUCAAAUUUCAAAAUUCUUUCCGAGAAUUCAAUGGAUGAGAAUAUGGAAUCAGUCCCUUGCUACUCUACAAAUCGAUAUAGGAAUAAACAAAUGUGAAAAAACUUUCGUUGCAGAACGAUACGAGUUCCUUUGGAGCUAUUGUUGGAAGAGUUGUUAACCGGAUUGCUGGUGCUCGAUUUACUCUAAAUGGAACCCUUUAUAAGCUUAUCGCCAAUGAUGGCAAGAACACAAUACACGGUAUCCUCACUAGAUUUUCUUUCUCUUCCCAUUUCACUUCCAUAAUACCCAAAUUUCCUUCCUCUUAUGUAAAAACUUGAAAAAUGUAGGUGGCCCUAAAGGAUUUAGCCAUGUUGUUUGGAAGGUGAGCAAGUACAAGAAAGAUGGUCCUCAUCCUCACAUUACUUUAACCUACCACAGUACUGAUGGUGAACAAGGUGAAUGGAUCUGCUUAGUUAAUGGUUAUUCCGCAAGACAAUUACAGUCUUCUUUAUUUUCUUAAACUUUGUACCAAGUCAAAACUAGACAAGCAAAUUGAAACGGGUGGAGUCCUUUCGAAGAACAUUCUGAAUUGAAUAAAAUCCAUUGUUUUCUCUUGUAGGAUUUCCUGGUGAUCUUCUUGCCUCUGUUACCUAUGCAUUGGAAGACCCUUACAAGCUUAGUGUGGUAAUGAAAGCAAAAGCUCUAAACAAGGCCACUCCAGUUAACUUGGCUCAACAUACUUAUUGGAACCUUGGUGGACACAACAGUGGCGAUGUUUUGUCCAACGAUAUUCAAAUCUUUGCUUCACACAUCACCCCAUUAGAUCAACAUUUCAUUCCAACAGGAAAAAUCGCCCCUGUCAAGAACACGCCCUAUGAUUUCCUUAAACCCCGUAAAAUUGGGAGCCAGUUCAAGAAACUCCAAAAUGGAUAUGACAUAAACUAUCCACUAGACAGCACUGAAAAACUGAAGCCCACGGCAACAGUUCACGAUAAUAAGUCAGGAAGAGUGAUGAGUUUACAAACGACUGCACCUGCUGUCCAAUUAUACACUGCAAACACCCUUGUAAAGAAAGGGAAAGGUGGAUUUGUCUAUCAGCCUUAUUCAGCCGUGUGUUUGGAGACUCAAGGAUUCCCUGAUGCUGUGAAUCACCCAAAUUUCCCAUCAACAAUUGUGACUCCGGAACAUCCCUACUUUCACAAAAUGCUGUUUACGUUCUCAAUUAAGAAAUAUUAGAAUGCUAUUUGUUCUAUCAAGGUUACAUGUCCUCUGUGAGUUGUGACAAAUAAACACCUGCCAUUCUGAUUCAAUACAGUUGUGCUAGGCUGGAGUUCCCUAAGAACUGUUUUCAAACAUGUUUGGUGACUGUUUGCAUGUGGACUCAUUGUUUUUGGAGUGAGAAUUUUGUUUUUUUCUUCUAAGUUGCUAACUCUCCAAAAUUGUUAUUUCACCUGUGUCGGAUUCUUCAAAAUGCUGUACUUUUGCAGUAUCCGAUACACAUCCGUUUGACACUUUUGAAGAGUCUGAGCAUCAGUUUUCUCAGAACAAAUAAAAGUUUGUACCUCUAUUGUUUCUGGUUUUUUGUUUUCAUUGAGUUCUCUAAUCACAUUACUCCAUAUAAAUAGUUAGCAGUUUCGUAUAAUGUUUACUUAUUUAGAAGGAAAUAUUGGGAUGAAAAGUCAAUCUGAUUGAAGUGUCAAAAUGAAAAUGAAAAUUGGCAUUAAUUUUAAGGGACCACUUGUGUAUUUUGGCCUUAUUUAAUGGGAACUGCCAACUUCUGUGACGAACCAAUUAUUAUUAUAUACUCUUUCCGUUUAAUUGAUCACUUUAUAUUUUAUACUGUAUUCGGAAAAUCAUAAAUAAAAAGAUAAUUUUACGUAUUUUCCUUUUUUUUUUAUUUUUUUUGGAAUUCUAUUUACAAAUGUAAAGACUUUAAAAAAGAAUUGAUUGAAAAGAGUAAGAUAUGGGUGAAUAACUAGUACUAUUAUGAGACAACUAUUUUUAAUAUAAUGAUUAACUAAUAUAUGGCAGCAUAAAAGUAUUAUUUUCUCCGUCCCUAAUAGCUUGUCAAUUUUUAGAAACAAUAAUUGAUAUUGUCAAUUUAUCAUUUUAUCUUUUAUUAAUUAAGAAGAGGAUGAAUUAAAAAUUUAAGAUUUUUUUUCAAAGUAAUAAAUUGAGAUAUGAAUGGUAAUUUUUUUUGUCUUUUUCAUGAUUUGUCCAAAUGAACAAGUAAUUAAGACAGAGGAAAAAUAGACAAUUAUUCAAGACGAAAAUUUCGAAUUCUAAAUUCCAGUUUAACGAAGUUAUGGAGUAGUUAUUAUCUCUCAACUUUUAGACCACACACUCGUCAUUGUUUAUUUUUCACGUGAGUUAUCCCAUAUCCGCGCUGCUGACAAAUUCUGAUUUGUGCACAUGUAAACUGUAGUUAAUAAACAAGUGUAAGGAUAUUGGCGGAGUUCACAAACUCAAGGCUGAACGUGCUUGUCACAGACAUUCUAAAGUUUCAAAAUUACUAGAGUUGACUAUGCCUUCAAAGAUUAAUUUGUUGAUCUGUUUAUUCAUUCUUCAUCUGUGGGCUGCCGUCAGUGUUACAGAGCAAAAAAUUGGGGUUUAUGAGAUCAAGAAAGGAGAUUUCUCAGUCAAGAUCACCAAUUAUGGUGCCAGAAUCAUCUCUGUUUUUCUCCCUGAUAAGCAUGGUAUGUCUGUCUUUCACAUUAUCAAUUAUUCAGUAUUUACAUUCAAUGAUCUUUGUUUUUAUGGUUCUUAGCACUAAAUUUAUUCUACAUUUGAAAAUUUAGUAUUUGUUGAAAUUUCAGUGAUUUUUCAAAUUUAUAUUUAUGUGGUCCAUCAAACCCAUAGGUUGAUUCUGCUCUCUGAAUAAAACUUAUUUUUUUGGAAAACAUGUCCCACUCUGAUCUUUCUUGAAGUGUAUAGGUCAGCUGUUUUCUUUUGUUCCUUGAAUAAAUCAGUCAUAUAGUCUCUUGCUGAUGCUUUUGCAGGAGUAAUAGGUGAUGUUGUUCUUGGAUAUGACACCACAGAGGAAUACAAGGUUAAUUCACUUUGUUCUAUUUCAAUGAUCUAUCUGAAUUUUCCCCUUUCUAAAAGCUUUUUACUUCAUUUUCUCCUUUCUGUUAUUUCCACUGUUGUUCUUCUCUGUGAAUCGAUAGCUAUUGUGCCAUGUCAAUUCAAAGCCAAUUACGAACCAAAACAAUUGCAGGAUUAACAGUUUUUACCUGACACUGUCUAAUGGUACCUCUUUCCUAACAAAAACUGCAUCUCUCUAGCCUAUACUAUCUGACUUAAAACCUUCCAUCGUAUGGACUGAUGGAAUGAAAUUUAGACUGGCAAAAAAUCCUCUGUCCCUUUGGAGUUAUGCAUUCUAAUCCUCUCAAAUCUUAGGUAAUUGUAAAAACUCCUCUUGGUUCUUUUCUUGAAUGAAAAUUUGGGACUAAUUCUAACUGAAAUUUUUGACGUAACACAUUCAACAAUUCAUAGUAAUAGUACAGAAAUGAGAAAGAGUUUUGAAUUUAAUAAUGUACCAUUUUAAGUUCUCGUCUUCUAUGAAUGAUUCGUUGGAAAUGUUGAAAAUUUCAUACACAAAAGAGAUGAAAGUAAUUUUGUGCAGAAUGAUACAACUUCUUUUGGAGCACUACUUGGAAGGGUUGCAAACCGGAUUGGUGGUGCUCAAUUUACUUUAAAUGGUACCCUUUAUAAGCUUGUUGCCAAUGAUGGCGCAAACACACUACACGGUAUCCUCAUUACAGUUUUCAUUUACCUUUGCUUUCUCUUCCACUUUCACCUCCAUAUACCCAACUUUGCUUCCUCUUAGAACUUCAUAAAUAUAGGUGGCAUUAACGGAUUUAGCCGUGUUGUUUGGAAUGUUAGCAAAUACCAGCAAGAUGGUCCCUAUCCUCACAUUACUUUAACCUACCACAGUGUUGAUGGUGAAGAAGGUAAAUUAGUUGAUUAAUUUCCUUUUGAAGAUACAAUAUGAGUCGGAGUAAAAUCCAUUGUUUUCUUUUGUAGGAUUUCCUGGUGAUCUUCUUGUCUCUGUUACCUAUGCAUUGAAAGAUCCUUACAAGCUUAGUGUGGUAAUGAAGGCUGAAGCAUUAAAUAAGGCCACUCCAGUUAACUUAGCUCAACACAGUUAUUGGAACCUCGGUGGACACAACAGUGGCGAUAUCUUGUCAAAUGUUGUUCAAAUCUUUGCAUCACACAUCACUCCAGUAGACCAGAGCCUCAUUCCUACAGGCAAAAUUUCUCCUAUCAAGAACACACCCUAUGAUUUCCUUAAACCCCGUGAAGUGGGGAGCCAGAUCAAGGAGCUCCAAAGUGGAUAUGACAUCAACUAUGUACUCGACAGCACUGAGAAAAUGAAGCCGGUGGCAAUAGUUUAUGAUGAAAAAUCAGGACGAGUGAUGGAUGUACAAGCGUCUGCACCUGGUGUUCAAUUCUACACUGCAAACUCCCUUAAUCAGAAGGGGAAAGGUGGAUAUGUAUAUCAGCCUCAUGCAGCAUUGUGUUUUGAGACUCAAGGGUUUCCUGACGCUAUGAAUCACCCAAAUUUCCCUUCUACAAUUGUGACUCCAGGGAAGGCCUACAUUCACAAAAUGUUGUAUACAUUCUCGAUCAUGAAAUACUUGAAUUCUUAUUAGUUUUUUCCUCCAUCCCUUGUGUCUUUAGUAUUUAAAGCAUAAAAUUGAUACAUUUUUCGUCAAGUUAUAUGUUCUUUAUGAAAAAUAAAACACCUGACAUCUAGACUCAUAAUACUUGUUUCUUGAUGGAGUUCUGUAUGAAUUGAUUGCAGACAUGUUCAGUAAGUGCUCAAAUGUGGACUCAAUGUUUUUGGAGUGGAUAAUUUUGUAUUUCGUCGAGUGUUCUGAUAUGAUAAACCAUGGUUGUGACACUGAUACCACGAUAGAAAAUGUAUUUGGGCUUAACUCAACCCAAGAACUAGUUCACGAGGAGAGGAUUGUCUAAUCAAAUAAAAAAAGUUCAAAUUUCCUCAUCCCACUGAUAUAGGACUCAACACAACUCAAGACCUCCUUCCUAACUCUUUGAUUUGAGUGAUUUAUCAACGAAGCUAUAGACUCUGAAUCUUCUUAGAGAGGUCGAGUCCAUGUUUGUUUUCCAUUUUAACUCUACUGUGUUAAAUCAACUCCUUUUAAUGAAGUUGAAGGACCAAAAUCGGAAGCUAAAUUUAGGUAAAUUCAAAAAGUCGAAUCAAGGAAAUGGUGGAUCGUGUGAUUGAGUAUAAUAUAUCUUUCAAGGCAAACAUUUCUCCAAGUUUUUAAUUCCAGAAUAAGAAUCAUGUCAAUCGUGGGUACCCUUUUUUUUUUAAUUUACAAGUCAGCAUAAACGGCUACUUGUUCAUGUUAAUUAAUAAUGGCUAACUUGACCCUGUCAAUCAUAAUUAAUAUUGCACACUCACCAUUGUCAAUUUUAAAUGGAGAAAUCCGAUUUUUGCUCACAUUAUUUGACAGACAAGUUCUUUUCUUUCUCACAUGCACAUAAUAAUCUAAUCCCAAUAAAUUAUAUAAUAGUGCCACGUGAAUUGGAGAAGCAUUAUAAAAGUCAGAAGAAGUUGUCAGUAAAAACACUCAAAAUUUGCUUUCCUGAACUAAUUUCUUUAGCAUAAUAAGUUUUACUACUUAGUAGGACGAAUCUAUUUUGUUUUGUUUUUUUAUUUGAAAUUUUUUGAGAUUUUUUUUUUUUUUUGAACUCUUGUUAUGCAGAUUAUAUUUUUCAGUCAAUAAAACUAUUGACAGACAAUUUCAGUAAAAUAUUCUUAACCUCUUUUGUCGCACUAUCUUAUAAAAAACAACAACACAGUCUCAAAACCAGAGGAGCUGAUUAUGUCUUCAAAGAUUAUUAGUGUGUUGAUCUGUUUGUUCAUUUUUCAUCUGUUGGCUGCUGGUAGUGUAGCAGGCUGCGAGAUAGGGGUCUAUGAGAUCAAAAACGGAGAUUUCUCUGUUAAGAUCACCAAUUAUGGUGCCAGAAUCAUCUCUGUUUUUCUUCCUGAUAAGAAUGGUAUGUUUUUGUUUCAAUUUUCUUGAUUUGUAUUUGUUUUUUGCAAGUUCUUGAAGAGAUCAGUCAUAAUUUUGUCUUGCUCCUUUCCAGGAAAAAUAGAUGAUGUUGUUCUUGGAUAUUACACUGUCAAGGAAUACAUUGUUAGUUCACUCUAUCCAUUGUAUUUAAUGGCUUAUGUCAUUCAUAGGUGCACAAAGCAUCCCACGUUAUGAAUAAACUAAUAGGAAAGUGAUUUUUUGCAGAAUGAAACACGUUAUUUUGGAGCCCUACUUGGAAGGGUUGUUAACAGGAUUAGUGGUGCUCAAUUUACUUUGAAUGGAACCCUUUAUAAGCUUGUCCCUAAUGAAGGCAACAACACAAUUCAUGGUAAUUCUCAUUACAUUUCCUUUUUACCUAUAUUUCUCUAACAUUGUUAACUCCAUUUCUACUCAUUUCCUUCCUCAGAUGUAAUUAAAAUACAGGUGGCCCUAAAGGAUUUAGCUUUGUUGUUUGGAAGGUAAGCGAAUACGUGCAAGAUGGUCCAUGUCCUCACAUAACUCUAACCUACCACAGUACUGAUGGUGAAGAAGGUAAAUAAUUCUUACUGUCCUUCUCAAGAAAGCUAUAUAUAUAUAUAUAUAUAUGAAUUUGAUGAAUCAUGUCAAUUAAUUGUUUUGUUAUAGGAUUUCCUGGUGAUGUUCUUGUCUCUGUUACCUAUGCAUUGAAAGAUCCUUACAAACUUAGUGUCGAAUUUAAGGCAAAAUCACUGAACAAGGCCACUCCGAUUAACCUGUCUCACCACCCUUACUGGAACCUCCGUGGUCACAACAGUGGUGACGUCUUGUCUCAAGUUGUUCAAAUCUAUGCAUCACACAUCACCCCAGUUGAUGAACAGCUCAUUCCUACAGGGGAAAUCUCCCCUGUCAAGAACACGCCCUACAACUUCCUUAAACCUCGUAAGGUAGGGAGCAGGAUCGAUGAAGUCCAAAUUGGAUAUGAUAGAAACUAUGUACUCGACAGCAAUAAGAAAAUGAAACCAGUGGCAAUAGUUUAUGACAAGAAAUCAGGACGAGUAAUGAAUAUCCAAGCGACUGCGCCUUGUGUGCAUUUCUACACUGCAAAUUGGAUCAUCAAUGUAAAAGGGAAAGGUGGAUUUGUGUAUCAGCCUCGUUCAGCAUUGUCUUUGGAGACUCAAGGGUACCCUGACGCUGUAAAUCAUCCAAAUUUCCCUUCCACAAUUGUGAAUCCCGGAAAAACUUAUGCUCACUCUGUUGUAUACUUUCUCCAUCAAAAAAUAGAUUUGGCACGUAUCCUCUUAAUAACAUUGUCUACUUCAAUUGAUUUUUGUAUCAAGGUUAAAACUCCUACAUUAGUAAGGAGACAUAAGUUCGAUUUCUAAGGGCAAAUUGGUAAUUAAAUAAUGAUAUUAUCCACUUUGGGCUAAAUUUAUAUGAUGACGCCAACAAAUGUAUUUAUCAGUAUCACGUUUAUCUUUUCAGUUAUCAGUGUGGAUAUAUUUUCAUAAAUAUGACUUUUUAUGAUUUAAUAGAUAUUAUACUAUAUAUGAAAGUGACGCGUAGUAAUUGACCCUGGACAAUCAUACAACCCGGAAAAUACUGAACGCAAUCAAAGGACUACAUUAUGAAAUACACAUGAUGUUUGCUAAUGCGGUUCAAGUGCCAAAAUUUAAAAUUAAAUAAUAAGCAAAAUGUUUUAUAAUUACGCCAACGUGGGUACCAAUUUUUUGUAUUAAGAGUCACGCAAACAACUACUUUCUGUGAUUAAUUAUCUAUAUCUAUAGUAUUUUAUUAUAAGAGAAAUCUAUCUGGUAUACCAGAUAGAAAAGUCACUUGACACAUUUUGACAACAACGAUUUCAAAUUUCACCCACUAAUGAUAUUAAAUGUUUAAUAGUAUGUAUACGAUCUUUACAAAAAUUGUUCUAUUUUUACUAGAUUGGAAUAAAAUGUAAAUAAUUGUAGGAUUCCCAAUGUAAGUAUUAUUAUUUUGAUAAAUUGUGAACAAAUGACCAGUAUGAUAUAUACGUUUCCCCCUCCUACGGGAAAUGUUGGUCCACAUUUUUAUUUCUUAAAAUUAAGAGUCAGUUUGGGCAAAUUAUCAUGUACUAAUUGUUUUCUUAAAUUUACACUUUUUAAAAUAUAAAGUGGACAAAAAGUAAUAUUUCCUUCCUUCUAAAAUAAUUGUCAUAAUUUUCUUUUUUUGGAAUCAAAAUAUCAAUUUAGACUAACUUUUGAAGUUAUGUUUUUUCAUCUAAUGGAUAUAAAAAAAACAAUUUAUAAUAUUUUGAUAUAAUUUCUUAAUAUUCAAAAUUUAUAAUUAUAAAAUAUUAAAUUAAUCUAAUAUAACAUAAUAUUGAAAAUUAAUUAUUUAAAUUCACCAUAAAAAAAGGAAAUAGAAUUAUCCGUCCACAAUUAUUUGGCGGGUAUAUUAAAAAUAGAUGUUCAAAAUGAAUUGUCGAUUUAAACAAUUAAAAAAAUAAUUAGUUAUUUUUUUCAAUUCUACGCUUAAUGAUUACUCUAUUUUGAUUAGUUAAUAUUAAAUUUUCCUUAAAAAGAUGAAUGAGUUAUCCUAAUAAUCAAUUAUGAACUGAGGGAGUAAUAUUUUGGAAGGGGACGAAUAAUUUGUCUAAAAUAACUCAAUCAAUUUCAGUACUUAACGCUCAUUAUUGUGGAAUUUUCUACGGAAGAGGCUCUUUGUUCACAUGCUGCUAAUAUUCUAAUCCUACAUUUACAUUAAUGCCAAAUGAAUGGACGAAGUACAUAAGUUGAAGAGUUGGCCGCUCUAGAAAAACAGAGAUCCAAAGAUGAGUAUGUCUUCAAAGAUUAAUUUGUUCAUCUGUUUGUUCAUUUUUCAUCUAUUGUUUGCUGCUAGUGUUAAGAUAGGAAUAUAUGAGUUAAAGAAAGGAGAUUUCGCAGUUAAGAUCACUGAUUAUGGUGCCAGAAUCAUCUCUGUUCUUCUUCCUGAUAAGAAUGGUAUGUACUCUCUGUUUUAAUGUGUAUAUUUGUACUGCUUUCUGCUAUUCCUUGAAGAAAUUAGUUUUAUCUUGUCUUUGAUUCCUUUCAGGAAAAAUAGAUGAUGUUGUUCUUGGAUAUGACACCAUCGAUGAAUAUCUGGUUAGUUCACUUUAUUUUGUUUGUUGUAUUUGAAUGUGUGUUUUCCUAUUUCCCCCUUCAAUAGUAGAGGGAGAUUACAAUGCGGAGAAUCGACCCAUACACUAGGUGAAAAUUCGGUUAGAGUUACGAAGAUUCCCCUUUUCACUUCAGGCACUGGAGAUUAAUAGGCUAUAUAUAUAGAAACCUUUUUUUAACUUUUGGGAUUUAGUAGAGGUUAUUCAGAUGGGCGGCUAAAUUGUGGGAUUACAUGUUUUGUUUUGCGUACAUUCAUUUCUUCUCCUGCAAUUUGUCCAAUAUAUCAGCUUUCUCUUUGUCUCAUUUGAGUGAUAUGUAGUUUGGUAAGUAGAUACUUUGUCUCAAUAGAUAUCUGAACAGGGAUUUAGUUUCAAGUCACCAAGUCCUUUAGCCGUCCCUGCUUGAAUUGUGCUAUGUAAAAAUCCAGAGUCAUUUGACACUGCUAAUUGUAGUUCUUUCCCGACAAACACCGCGUCCCUAGUCUAUAAUAUCAGCUAAAAAGAACUCCCAUCUUUUGGAUUGAUUUAGCCCCGUUUGUUUUCACCUAUGAAAGUAACUUGGUGCAGAAUGAUACAAGUUAUUUUGGAGCCACCGUUGGACGAGUAGCUAACCGGAUUGGUGGUGCUCAAUUUACUUUGAAUGGAACCCAUUAUAAGCUUGUUCCUAAUGAAGGCAAAAACAUGUUACAUGGUACUCUCACUACAUUUCCUUUUACCUUUGCUUUUUCUUCCACUUUUAUCUCCAUUACCCAAAAAGAUUUUUUGUUCCUGAUGUAAUUAAAAUUUCGAUAAUAUAGGUGGCACAAAAGGGUUUAGCAAAGUUGUCUGGAAGGUGAGCAAGUACGUGCGAUAUGGUCCAAGUCCUUACAUAACUCUAACCUACUUUAGUGCUGAUGGCGAAGAAGGUAAGUCUUGGUAUUCCAUAUCAGACAUUACUCCUUAGAUUCGAUUACUUGUCGUAGUUUGAUUAAACACAAUUCCAGAAAGAAAAGCAUUUUGAACUUAUGGGAUUUAAACAUGUCGAGACUAUCAUGGCUAUAAUACCAUGCCGUUAAAGCAAAAAAUAGGAAAUUUGGAGUAAAAUUAUCUCCAAAAAUAGAAAUGUGUCAUUUUAUUGGACAAACUAGUGAGGAAGUAGCAUCACUUAAAAUAUAGCAGGGAGUAAUUUAUAUUUGAAUAACUUAACUCCAUUGCUUUAUGUAGGAUUUCCUGGUGCUGUUCUUGCCUCUGUUACCUUUGCAUUGAAAGAUCCUUACAAACUUAGUGUUGUAUUUAAGGCGAAAGCUCUGAACAAGGCCACUCCAAUUAACCUGUCUCACCACCCUUACUGGAACAUUGGUGGACACACCAGUGGCAAUAUCUUGUCCAAUGUUAUUCAAAUCUUUGGAUCACACAUCACACUAGUUGAUAAAGAACUCAUUCCGACAGGGGAAAUUGCCCCCGUCAAGAACACACCCUAUGAUUUCCUGAAACCCCAUACAGUAGGAAGCAGGAUCAAAAAACUCCAAAAUGGAUAUGACAUCAACUAUGCACUCGACAGCAGUGCAAAAAUGAAACCCGUGGGGAGAGUUUAUGAUAAGAAGUCCGGAAGAGUGAUGAGUGUAAAAGCAUCUGCACCUGGUGUUCAAUUCUACACUUCCAAUUGGGAUAAAAGUAAAAAAGGGAAAGGUGGAUUUAUGUAUCCGCCUCAUGCAGCAUUGGCUUUGGAAACUCUAGUAUUUCCAGACGCUGUGAAUCACCCUAAUUUUCCAUCCUCAAUUGUGAAUCCGGGAGAGAGAUACGUCCAUUCAGUGUUGUAUACAUUCUCCAUCAAAAAAUAAUGAGAAUGCUUUCAUUUUUAUUUGUGUCAUCAUCGAUUGUGUCUUUUGAUAAAUUGACAUUUCUGUCAAGGUUGUAAUGUUCUUUAUGAGUAAUUAAACACCCGGCAUUUGACUCAAUAAAAGAUAGUUUUGUUUUGUAUUUGUUUUUCAAGAUACUCUGUAUCAAGUUUAUGAAAUUUCUAAUCUACUCUUUAAUAAUUAUUUAACAGUUAAAUUAAUAAAUCUAUCGAAACCAUAUCAAUGAAAAAUGAAAUAGGGCAAUCACAAAGCUAUUACUUACUUUUCAAACUGAAUUAGGUUGAUAAAGGUACAAGCAUAACUGACUAAUUUUCGAGUUUAUACAGGACAGAGUCAAAAUUUAUUUGCAGAACCUGAUUCGGCUUGGCAGUGACUAAAAAGAAGUCAAGACGUUGACGGAUCAAGUCAUCAAGUUUAAUAUAUCUUUUUUGCCAAACAACGGGACAAGUUUUGAUUAUUACCAGAAAAGGACACGCCAACAUGGGUGCCAAUUUUGUAUUCCCAAGUCAACACAAAUAGCUACUUGUGCAAUUAACUAUACUUAAAACUAAUGUGAGACGGCUAACUUGAUAGUUAUUGUCCAUCUUCUACGGAGCUUUCUGAUUUCCAGGCAGAUCAAUUUGGCAGACAAGUUUUCUUUUGUUCACAUGCAGGUAAUAAUCUAAUACCAUAUAUAAUAAUGCCAGAUGAAUUGGGGAAGUAUAUAUAUUCAAGGCUGAAGAAGCUGUCAUUAAGAUACAGGAGUUGACUAUGUUUUCAAAGAUUAGUUUGUUCUUCUGUUUGUUCUUCAUUCUUCACCUGUUGGCUGCCGAUAGUGUAACAGGCCAUUAGAUAGGAAUUUAUGAGAUCAAAAAAGGAGAUUUCUCUGUUAAGGUCACUAAUUAUGGUGCCACAAUCAUCUCCGUUCUUCUUCCUGAUAAGAAUGGUAAGUCUAUUUGAUCCAUCCAUCCCUAAUUAAAGGUCUGGGGUUUGAGCCCUAUAGGAAUAGGGAAACUUUUGGUAGGGAGCGUUGUCCUCUUUAAUGGGAUACUGGAUGGUUAACACCAAAAUUCCAUCUUUUGUAAAACAUAUUUCUGUUUUCUGAUACUCAUUGUAGUAAUCAAUUUUAUCUUGUCUUGAUUCUUUCAGGAAAAAUAGGUGAUGUUGUUCUUGGAUAUGAUACCAUCAAGGAAUACAAGGUUAGUUCACUUUAAUUUGUUCAUUGUUAUUGAAUGCGUCUAUUUGCAAUCUGUUCUUUCCUAAAAGUUCUCUACUUCAUAUUCUGUUUAAGCUUUCCAGAAUCGGACUUCUACCCUUCUCCAUUUCUUCUUGGUUUUGCUACAUUAGCUAUUUUUCUUUGUCCCAGUUGAGUAAUAUGCAUCUUAUAAAGUAAAUCCAUUGUCUCAUUGAUGUCUAAAUCUUAUUAAACAAGUUUAAAGCCUCUUAUGGAGAUUUAAUUAGUUUUAGGUUACCAAAUCCUUUUAUCACCACUGCCUUGAAUUGUGACAUGUUAAAAUCCGAAGUCAUUUAACACUGUCUAAUUUUAGUUCUUUCCUAAUAAAGACCGUGUCCUUAGCCUAUAAUAUCUCAGAUAUAUCUCCAUCUUUUGCAUUAAUGUGGAAGUACAUAGCAGAAUUUAGCGAUUUGUAGUCACUUAUGAAAGUAAUUUGUUGCAGAAUGAUACGAGUUAUUUUGGAGCCGCCCUAGGAAGGUUUGCUAACCGCAUUGGUGGUGCUCAAUUUACUUUGAAUGGAACCCAUUAUAAGCUUGUUGCCAAUGAAGGCGUAAACAUGCUACAUGGUACUCUCACUACAUUUCCUUUUUCCUUUGUUUUCUCUUCCACUUAUUAACCAAAUUUCUUUCGUCUGUUCUCUGAUGUUAUUGAAACUUCAAAAAUAUAGGUGGUCUUAAAGGAUUUAGCAAGGUUGUCUGGAAAGUAAGCAAGUAUGUGCAAGAUGGUCCCAGUCCUUACAUAACUCUAACCUACCACAGUGCGGAUGGGGAAGAAGGUGAAUCUCGAUAUAUGUGACAUAUUUUACAAAAAGAUAAUUAAUUUAUUUUUGAAGGACAUAUGAUCAAUUGAAUAAACUUAAUUGUUUUCUUAUGUAGGUUUUCCUGGUGAUGUUGUUGUCUCUGUUACCUAUGCAUUGAAAGAUCAUUACAAACUAAGUGUGGUAUUUAAGGCAAAAGCUUUAAACAAGGCUACUCCAAUUAACCUGUCUCACCACCCUUACUGGAACAUUGGUGGUCACAACAGUGGUGACGUCUUGUCCCAGGUUGUUCAAAUCUUUGCAUCACACAUCACACCGUUAAAUACACAGCAUAUUCCCACAGGCAUCAUUUCUCCUGUCAAGAACACACCCUACGACUUCCUGAAACCCCGUAAGGUGGGUAGCAGGAUCGACAAAAUACAAAAUGGAUAUGAUAUCAACUAUGCACUUGACAGCACUGAAAAAAUGAAGCAUGUGGCAAUAGUUUAUGAUAAGAAAUCAGGGCGAGUGAUGGAUAUAAAAGCAACUGCACCUGGUGUGCAAUUCUACACUGCAAACUUUGUCAUUAAUACGAAAGGCAAAGGUGGAUAUGUGUAUCAACCUCAUUCAGCCUUGUGUUUAGAGACUCAAGGGUUCCCGGAUGCCGUGAAUCACCCAAAUUUCCCAUCAACAAUUGUUACUCCUGGAAAGUCCUAUGUCCACUCCGUGUUGUAUACGUUCUCCAUCAAGAAAUACUAGAAUGCCUAUAGUUAUUUCUUUGCAGGACGACUUGUGCUUUUUUGUAUUCCUCUUAAUUUGUAUCCUCUAUUUAAAUUGAUAAAAGUGUAUCAAGGAUAUAUUUUGUUCUCUGUGACAAAUAAAACACCUGACAUUCCCUUCGGAGAAACGCGAAUGGUCUUCUUAGAAAGCUCCAACUAAUGUACAGAGCUUCUAAACUUUCUACUAAAGGAACACUUUACACUAAGGUUUUGGUAAUUUACGUGUGAUUUAGUUCAAAAUAUCUUUUAUGUAAAAUAAUGCGCCAAGUUGUUAUUAAUAUUUUCCAGAAUAACAAUCAAGCCGGCGUUGUUGCCAUUUUUGUAUUUGCACUUCAACACAAUUAACUACUUCAGCAUUUAAGUAUUCAUAAAUUUGGGACCGCUAACUUUAAUGUCAAUUUCAAGGGCUGUCAUUCAUCUAUUGUUAUUGUUCAGAUUAUAAUCUAAUCCCACAAUGAUGACAGAUGGAAUAGAGGAGUGUAUAAUUCAAGACUGAAGAAGUUUGUUACUAAGACACUCUUAAAGUCUCAAAAUCAGUACAGUUAACUAUGUCUUCAAAAAAUAAUGUAUUGAUCUGUUUGUUCAUUUUUCAUCUGUUGGCUGCCGGUAGUGUUACAGGGAGCAAGAUUGGUAUCUAUGAGAUCGAGAAAGGAGAUUUCUCUGUUAAGGUCAUCUCCGUUCUUCUUCCUGAUAAGCAUGUAUGUAUGUUAAUUACCUUAACUAGUCUCGUUUCUUUUACCACGAGGGAGUGUGCCAUGGUGGAAUGGUUGACAUGUCUCACUCCUAACUAGAACUCUCAGGUUCAAACCCUAGAAAUGGAAAAUAAAACUCGGGAGUGUUUACCCCUUUAAUGGGUCGUGAAUCUGAAUUAGUCAGGCCAAUAAGGUACCAUAUACAAAAUUAUUAACCAAAUGUUCCUAUUUUAAAUAUGUUUUUGUGCUGCUCCUUGAAGAAAUCGGUCUCAUCUUGUCUUGAUCCUUUCCAGGAAACAUAGGUGAUGUUGUUCUUGGUGAUGACACUAUUGAGAAUAAUUACCUGGUUAGUGCACUUCAGUUUGUCCAUUGUAUUUGAAUGUGUCCUACUCCAAUUUGCCCUUUCUUAACGUAACUUUCUUUGAUUGCCUUUUAUUUUAUUACGUUACUCUGGUUCCGAGUCUCAUAAAUCAAUAGCACCAGUUCCAUGUGUGCUGUGACAUGUCAAAUACCGUCAUUUGAUGCUGUCUAAUAGUAGUUCUUUCCAAACAAACACCGCUCCUGGCCUAUAACAUCUCAACUAAAUCUCCUAUCAAUUGGAUUGAUGUGAAGUACAUAUGAAGGAAAUUCAACUCCGUGUGUUCACUUAUGAACAUAAUUUAGUGCAGAAUGAUAAGGAAUAUUUUGGAGCUCUACUUGGAAGGGUUGCAAACCGGAUUGGAGGUGCUCAGUUUACUUUGGAUGGAACUGUUUACAAGCUUGUCCCUAAUGAAGGCAAUAACACCAUUCAUGGUACUCGCAUUACAUUUCCUUUGCUUUUUCUUCCACUUUCUCCCAAGUUUCCUUUUUCUUUUUGUAUGGUGUAACUAAAACUUCAAAAUAUAGGUGGUUCUGAAGGAUUUAGUAAAGUUGUCUGGAAAGUGAGCAAGCACGUGCAAGACGGACCCUGUCCUUACAUAACUCUAACUUACCAUAGUCCUGAUGGCGAAGAAGGUAAAUUUCGGUAUUCCACAAGACAAUUGCUCAUACUAUAUAUAGACUAAACUCCAUAUUUUUCUUAUGUAGGAUUUCCUGGUGAUGUUCUUGUCUCUGUUACCUAUGCAUUAAAAGAUCCAUACAAACUUAGCGUUCAAUUUAAGGCAAAAUCAGUGAACUAGGCAACUCCAAUUAUAAACUGUAUCACCACCCUUACUGACUGGAACAUUGGUGGUCACAACAGUGGCAACGUCUUGGCCCAGGUUAUCCAAAUGUUUGCAUCACACAUCACCCAAAACGAUAAAAAACACAUUCCCACAGGCGUAAUUUCCCCUGUCAAGAACACGUCCUACGACUUCCUUAAACCCCGUAAGGUGGGGAGCAGGAUUAACAAACUCCAAAACGGAUAUGACAUGAACUAUGUACUAGAUAGCACUGAAAAAAUGAACCCCGUGGCAAUAGUUUAUGAUAAGAAAUCAGGAGACUCAAGGGUUCCCUGAUGCUGUGAAUCACCCAAAUUUUCCAUCGUCAAUUGUGACUCCAGGAAACACCUACGUCCACAAUGUGAUGUAUACCUUCUCCAUCAAAAAACUACUAGAAUGCUGGCUUGUAUCCCUCAAAGUAUCAUCUACUUAAGUUUAUAUCCUUAUCAAGGCUGUAUCAUCUCUGUGACGAAUAAAACACCUAUGGUUUUUUUUUGUUUCAAGUGUUUGGAUGGAGUUUUCAACAUCAUAGGCAAUAGAAAUGAUCUAAUUCGAAAAAUAAAUGACCAAAAGCAUGUCAAAACAAAAGUCUAAUCUUCAUAAAUAUAACAAGUCUUAAGUUUUCAGAUAAGGUAGUAAAAGCAUACUAGUAAUAGUAAUGUGAUUAAUGAAGUUUCUCUUUUAAGAACGAACUGGACGUUUCCCCUUCUGCUUGUUACUAAGGGUAUAGCUAGCCGGUGACGCAUUUGGACCAGUUGGAGAAUUGAGAUUCCCAGCUACAUGUUUAUCCUUUGCCUCCAAAUUAUUGCUACUUGAGUUGUCAUCAGCAUCUCUAAACUCACUGGUCGAAGGCAGAUGCAUUAGCAUUUCCACUAUUUCGCUCAUCUGAGGUCUGAGCUUUGGAUUAUUUCUAAGGCAGAGAGAAGCAAUCUCAGUGCACUUUAGUGCUCCUUUCUUUGAGAAAUUGCCACCAAGACGAGGAUCUAUAAUCCGCCAAAAAUGAUGCUUAUUUCCAAGAUAAGGUUGUGUCCAUGAUACUAAGUAAUGCUCACCCAUCCGUUGAUUCUUGUCCAUGGCUUUUCGGCCACUCAGUAUUUCAAGUAAUACCACCCCAAAGCUAUAGACAUCGCUUUUCACUGUCAGAUGCCCUGUAAGAGUAUAUAAUUAUCAGGUUAUAUAAUGUACAACUAUGCAAAGACUAUAUCUCUUAUGAUAUAUGAUAGCAAUCCUAUAAACUUUUCAUAUUUUGGAACAGCACAAGAACACUAACUUGAUACAAGAGUAUAAAAGCUGAUAUUAUUAUGACUUACCAGUCAUCAAAUAUUCUGGAGCAGCAUAGCCAAAGGUUCCCAUCACACGAGUUGACACAUGUGUCUGAUCUCCCUCUGGCCCAUCUCUGGCGAGUCCAAAGUCUGAUAGCUUCGCGUUGUAGUCCUGGAAUGACAAUAACAUAACAAUUAGUACUAGGAAGAGAAAAAAUUCAUAGUGUCAGAAAUCUAGAAAACAAUUACCGCAUCUAGUAAGAUGUUGGAUGCCUUAAAAUCACGAUAGAUAACUGGUUUUUGAGUUUCUUCAUGAAGAUAAGCCAGGCCUUGUGCUGCCCCUAAUGCUAUUCUUAUCCUCGUGCACCACGGAAGAACCACAGACCCUGCACAACAACGAAGGAGGAUAUACGAAUUAAAAAUAAAAACAAGUGACAUAAAUGUGACAGUCGAAGCAUAACUUACUGAAGAGAUGAUUCUCCAGACUCCCACGAGCCAUAAACUCGUAGACUAUUAGCCUCUGAUGUCCUUCCAUGCAAUAGCCAACUAGCUUCACUAAAUUUUGAUGGUGGAGAUUUUGAAGAAAGUGAACUUCAGCCUGUUAUAUAUAAGACAACUUGUAAAAUUGAACUUUGGAAGAGCAAAUGAAGAUAAUUAGUAGAAAGCAGGUAGCAGCAUACCAGCCACUCUCUAUGACCCUGAACACCAUAUCUGUUCAAAAUCUUCACAGCAACAGCUAGUCCAGUGCCAGGUUUUACAGGAUUCUCAUUGAUCCAGCCCUUAUAAACUGGACCAAAACCGCCCAUUCCAAGAAAAUCUUCACGUCUGAAGUUUCUAGUCGCCAAACGUAGCUCAUUGAAAGAAAACCUUCGAGGAUGAGAAGCUAUUUCCUGUACCAUGCCUCUAUCAGGAGUGGUUCGAGCAGUUUCAGCGGAAGGGCCUCCGCUCGUCUCUUUAGUUUCAUCUGUUCAACAUUCACAAUAACAACUCAAACUCCAGUUCAAAAUACAAAUUAUUUAUACCUAACAAAUAUUAAAAUAGAAAACACAUGUCCUAGUUAAAUGAAUGGUUGAGAUUUACUCCACUAAAUUAGUUUGCUUUAUAAAUUGUUUUGGCAGAUUCCAUAAUUUUAGUAAAAUAUAAGUAUUUCGUUCAAAAAUAUUUUUAUUAUUUUUGUCUUUUUUCAGGUAUUAUCAGAAAAGAUUUGAAUAUUUCUUUUAAAAAGAAAAACAUAAUAAGUGAGAGAAUAAAAAAUAUCUAAUGUUUGUUGGAGUAAAUCCAGAAAAAGUUAAAUUAAAUCUAACUAUGAUAUGGUAAAAUAUAAAAUAAUUAAAUUGUAAAUUAAAAAAUAUUGACUUAUGUUAAUACUUCUUUGGUCAUUAAUUAAGAGAUUUGACUUAUCAAUUGUUAAAGACAGCAACAAUAAAUAUUCUUGAAAUACAAAAACUUUGUUUUGACGAAAAAAAAUACAAAAAUUAAGAUCAAAAUUUCGCAAAUUUAGAAAGAAAAAACAAGAAUCAUCUAAAAGUUCAAAAUUGCUAAGGAAUUAUUUAUUUAACUAUGUAUCUUUAAUUAAUUAAUUAAAAAAUCUUAAUCAUUUAUUUUCAAAGCAACACCUUGAAUUCACUGCACAUAUACAAAUGUGAAUGUUACAAGUGUCUUUUAUAGCUGGUGCUAACUAGUAAAAGUGUAUUCCCUUAUUUGAAGACUCAAUGCUAGUGUUUGUGCCAUUUUCUCUAUAAAAUUUGAGGCAGUGAAAGGGGAUUUAUAAGCUAAAAAAUCAAAUCCUCAUCAAUAAAAUAAAAGUACAGACAUUUAAUUGGUUAUAUUAUUGAGAUUUUCCUACUGAUUAUAUAUCUUUUUUUCCCCUCAUUUUUAAUAAGAUUUAUGUAUUUAGGUGUUUAAUGAAUGGGAUGGUACAUGAUAAAAAGAUUUGGAUAUUAAAUUAGUAUAUGAUUAAAUAUAAUAUAACUAUGCAGCAAGAUAAUUGAUGAUACAUUUUAAUCAUUUUCAAAUCACAUACGAAAGGAAUUUUCAACUUUGAAAGAGGAUUUAGUAUAUAAAAUAAAACAAUCGAUAACUAGAUUAAAAGAAAGUUAAGAGUGUUACCGGAUGAUCGAAUACUUGUUGAAAAGCACAAAAAAUUAAGAAAUUUAUAAAUCCCCUUCGAUAAAUGACUUGAUUUCUUCAUAUAUAAUUUUUUGUUCGAUUUGAAGUCUCUCAAAAAGUUUAAGGUUUGUUGUUGUGAAAGACAAUGUUAUGAACUUCUAAAUGCCAAUUUAAACUAAUAAAUAGAAAAUCAAAAUAUUGCAUUCGAUUAUCAAAAUCUAAUUCUUAUUAAACUGCUCUUAUGUGUAGAUUACUUACUAUAAAUGAAAUAAUUUUUUAAUUCUUUUUUUGAGAAGUGUAUUCCAAAAAAAUAAAAAAUUGUUUAUCUUUUAUUUCAAUCCCCAUUAAAAACUUUAUUUUUCCCCUCGAUUUUUUAUUUAUUUUCUUUCAGUAGAUUCAAUUUAUGAUUUUAUAAUUUUGUAAUUUAUUUUCUCAAAAAAAGUUGUUGUAUUUAAUUAUUAUUUUUAAUUUCAAUAUUCUAAUUUUAUCAUUCAUGAUAUUCAUUUUAUGGAGAUGACAAUUACAAGAUUACAACAAUAUGUGUAAUAUAUUAUGGAGAUUUUCAUUUAAGUCCAUUGAUUCAAAUGUCUUAUUUUUUCAUUUAAAUUAAAAUAUAUAAAAUAAAAGAAAUUAGUACUUGUUUGACUAAUAUUGAUCAAUUCGAAACUUUUGAAAUUAUCUCACUAGUUAAAACUCUAAGUUCAAAUUAGGAAUACUAAAGAUUCAAUCUAAGAUGAUUUUCUCUAAAAGGAAAUCAUAUUAAUAAAAUUAAAUUUUAAACAUUAAAACAAAAAUAAUUAAUUCAAAUUUUCAUUGGUCCAUUUUCCCCUAUUCAUCUAAUGCUUUGUGCAUUAAAUAAAAUCAAUUUUCACAAUUCAAACAAAUUAGCUCACUUUUAAAUUUUUAUAAGACAUAAAAAUUAUAUUUUCCUUUUAAACUAUUUUUUUCUUCCCAAGAAACAUUCAUGCACAUAUGAGAGAGUGAUACUUUUUUUCUCAAUCAGAUGAAGGAAAAUUAAAUUGAAAUCAUUUAUAUCUACUCAUCUUUUUUUUUCCAACCAAACUUUAGUUAUAUAAUUCAAUUGAAAGGUACUUUGCAUCAGAUAGAAUAAACUUUUAUAAUUUAAAUAGAUUAAUUUAAAUUUUUACAAAAUUAUAAUAUUCGAGCAUUAAAUUUUCCUUCUAAACUAUCCUCUUUUUCACUUUCGGGCUACAACACUUAAUGUAACGUUUUUCAAGAGGAAACGAUUUAUUUUCCCAAAUCAAUAAAGGUAAAUUAAAUUAAAGUCAUUUAUAUUUAAUUCAUUCAUUUGUAUUAACCUGGCAUUUUGUUAAAGAUUAAACUAUUUUAUAAGCCAAUGAAAAAUAGUGUGCAUUAUAUAAAAUCAAUUUUCUCAAAUUAGGUAGAUUUACUUAACUUAAAAAAUUAUGAGAUUUUGAAGGAAAUAUAAAUUAAAGAUAUGUGUAUCUACUAAUCAUUUUCUUCAAGCACUUCAAAGCUUUACUAAUACUAAUCUAGUUGAAAUACAUUGUGAAUCUAAUAAAAUUAAUUUCACAUUUUAGAUAGAUUUUACUUACCUUUAAAAUUUUGUAAGACCCAUAGAAACAAAAUUUUGUUUUAAACUAUUUUUUCUUUCUGAACUAAUAGCAUUAAUGGAUUUAUUUUAUAUAUAGAGAGAGAGAAAAUGAAUCAAGAUAAAAAAAAUUAUAUAUAAAAAAUGAAUCAAGAUAAUAUUUUUUUAUAUAUAAAAAAUAGAUCAAGAUAAUAAACGGAUCAAUAACGGUGAAUGGAGCCUAACAGUCAGCAGGCGUCACAUUGUGGGCUAAAAUGUAGAACAUAUUGGGGUCGAUUUACGUAAAACGGAUAUGUUGAGCAUGGAAAUGGGACAUACUUUGCAUGUGCGCCUUUCUCCUUCUUCGUGUCUUUAUUCAAUUCUCUCUAAAUUAUAAUUACUCUCUAAACCUUUUUUACCUGAAAAAUCAAAACAUGUCUUGUCAUCAUAAUUCGUUAUGAAUUUUGCAUGGACAGAUAUCUACAUAUUACCUAAUACUCUCUGCACGUUUUAACUUACAAAAGCAAAAAAGAAAAACUGGUCAUAUUUUAUGAGUAGGUGAAUUUAUAGAUAUUGUUGCAAUAAUUAGAUGAUUUUUUAUUAAUUAUUUAUAAUUGUAGUUAUAUUUUAUUUAGCGAUAAUAACAUUUAAUAUUGCUAAAGGUUUAGCAAUUUUGAAAUGUUUUUUUAAAAAAAUUAUUUUCAUAACUUUUGUUGUAAUGAGUUGUGAUUGCGAUAUAUAAUUAUUUUUACAACAAAUUAAAGAAAUUAUUGUAUCAUCCUGAAUUAUCAGUAUCAAGAGAAAGAUUCAUAAAAAUCAUCUUCAUACAAAAUAUACAAAUUGCUUUUUACUCCUAAAAAAAAGGAUCUUUAUAUUGUAGUAUCAUAUAAAACGUUUAAAUUGAAAAAGUAAUGGUGGCCGGAAGAUUCCCCCCAACCCCACGAUCACCACACUUGUUCAUUUUUUUUUCUCAUAAUAAAAUAUUAGAUUACUAGUAGUUAUUUAUAAGUAAAUGAUCCAAUGCCAAAGGUGGAGACCCUACAGCACAGGCUCUCCUAAUAUUGCAUGGCCACAUGCCUCUCUUUUAUUAUCCACACAACAUAUUAUUAUAAUUAUAUUAAACUCAUAUAUCCCAACUGGCCAACUUUCAAAAAACACUACUAUGCCUACUUGAAGACGAGUUUAACUGAAAUUAAUAUUUUAUUGUUCUAUCUUUUAUUUAAUUUGAUAUAAUUUAAUUAUUUAUUUAAAAUAAAUUAUGCGUACAUUUGUUUGUGUGAUUAUAAAAUAAAGAACCAUGAAUCAUAUAAAUUAAGAUAGAAGAAGUAUUAAAAUUCCAAAAAAAAAAAAGGAAAUCAAAAUUUAAGAUGAUAACGAAAAGUGAAAUACUCACCAGAGACUUGUAUAACCGCGAAAGAAGAAAUAAGAUCCAUUUGUGAUUGGUAAUGAUUCUUACAUGAUUUGCUAUACAUCCAAAAGAAUUUAAACUAGUAUUAUGAAUAAGAAGAAAAGGAUAAUUUAAUAAUUAUAGUAAUUAAUUAAAGUGUUGCUGCUCUGGCCAUGGCCAAAAAUUGGUGUGAUCAUCAACUGGAGUAAACAUGUUGCAGAAGCCUUCAUUUUGGACCGUUGGAUCAAUAUUCUUGUGGCAAUGGGUGAGAUGAUCAGGUGGUGUUGAUGAGGUCUGAAGAAACUGGGCCAGAGGGACUGGGCCGGGUUCGGGUGGAAAAACAUUCUUGGAGUAAAAUGGGCUGUCACCUGAGGAUGUCCUUGUUCCCAGAUUUACGUCUAUGCUGUUGUUAUUGUUGUUGUCGUCACUUCCGUUAUUACUCCAACAUCCUUCGUUUUCUUUGUUCAGAUUAAACAUGAUUCCGCCUCCGCCUGAUGAUUCUCUCUUCUUCACACUUAAUAACUGCAGCUGUUGCACCACAUUAUAUUAAUAUGAAUAAACGACUUCAAUUUAUUGUACUUUUGGAAUUUUAGAUGAAAUUAAUUACUACCUCGGAAUGAAGUUCCUUGUUUUGGGCCUUGAGUGCGUCAUUAUCAGUUUUAAGUGAAUCAAAAUGUCUUUUCAACAUCUCAUAAUCUUUUUCCAAUUGCUUUGUCUUCCACCUUGCUCUUCUGUUCUGGAACCAUAUAGCAAUUUGCCUGGGUUGCAAUCCCAAAGCUCUAGCCAACUGUAUUUUCCUCUCAGGCUCAAGCUUAUUAGCCACUUCAAAGCUUCUCUCCAGUGCUUUCACUUGCUCCAUAUUGAGCCUCCUCUUCUUCUCCCCUAAUAAUUGCGAUGAUCCAUCCUCAUCCGACAGUUCAUUAUCGUCCACACGCAAAUCCUGAUGAUUAUCGCACCUCUCCACACCAGAAAACGACAUCGAUCUCCUCAUUAACAUGGAUGGUACACCUGCACAUAUAAAUUAAAUAGGUGACUGUCAAAUAUCACUAAAUUUAACAAACUUUAACUGAAUCCAGUAAUUUUAUAUGUGAAACGUUGCUAAUUUCAACAAAUAUUCAAUGGUGAUAUGAAGAAAUGAAAAUUCAAUUCAUGUGAUAAAUGAACAAAAAAAUCGCUAAUUCCUCAACUAGAAAGAUACGUGAGCAUGAAAGAAGGAUUAAGUGGAACAGAAUUGAUUGACGAUAAUGUUAAUCGAGCUAUGUCUGAGUGAAACUUGAAGAAUCACAAUUCAAAAAUAUAUAUGAUAUGAGUUCAAUUUAAAACCUGAAUUCACGUCUUGUAAAGAGAGAGAAAUUAUUAAACUUACCGUGAUUGAAGUGAUCUUGAUGAGGAAUAGAAGGAGAAGGAAAUAGUUUAGGAGAAGUGGAAGGAAGGUGAUGAUUAUUAUCUUGAAAAUUAAGAGAAAUAUCAGGUGUAGAAGGAAGAAAAUCCAUGAUCCCUCUACUACCAGAAAUCAUGUUAGCUAAAAAAAUCUAUAGUUUGCUACUGUAUUUAUGUAAUGCAUGUCAGCUAUGUAGGGGGGUGGGCGGGAGGGAUCGAGGGUGUUAAAAAAUAUUUUUUUAUAUAAAAAAAAAAGUGAAUUUAUAUUACUAGACAAAGUGUUUAGCGAUGUUUUAUUUUUUUAAAAAAAAAGGGUGUUAAGUAAGAGAAGUGGGAACAUGGAAUUGGGGGAAGGGAGGGGGACAUUAACAUGGGGUGGGAAGAUGGCAAGACUGGAAGCCAGCUAAGUUUAUACUUAACAAAUUAGAGCAUAUAACGUGACGUGUUAUUUAUUUUAUUAGACUCUUCCAAAUAUUCUUCUUACCUGCAAUGUGAUGUGCUCUUGUAUUAAUGCUCUUAAACUUUUCCUAUUUUACAUCACAUGAAAUCCAUUAUAACCUAGCCUUAAAUCUCUUUUUCUUGUCAUUUGUCAAUAUAGAUCAGAUCUUCCUUCUAUGCACACUAAUAUUCUUAUAAUCCGAUAAAUUUUAUAAUAUUUGAGAUACAAUCUUUUUUAAUAAUACAACAACGAUUGGAGAAGGGGAUAUAUAUUUCGUUACUAUAUAUUAAAUUUUUUCUAUUGAUAGAGCUCACUGAAUGAGCUAGCCAUCAACCAUUAAUUUAACAUGUAGUUUUCAAGGAAAUAUGUCAUAGUGUAAAAGUUGUUUUCACCAUAUCAAUCAAUAUAUUAUAACGGGUUAUUUACGUUACUAAAUGUGAGGCUAUUAAAUUAGGCUUAAUAAGCCAAUUAAUCAGUUACAUAUUGUUGUAGUACAUCAUUGAUAAAAAUUUGGAAGCAAAAUUUCAACUUGAAGUUCUUAAAAGAAACUAUGCCCUAUAAUGAAUAAAAGUUAAAUUCAUAAAAUAAGAACCAGGGUUGGCUCUACGGGAGUAGAAAAAAAAAACAAGUAUAUUAGGCCUUUAAAUUUGAGGGACACGAUUUUCUUUAACAAUAAUAGUUUUAUGUAUUUAUUAUCGAGUAUUAUUUGUAGAAAAUGUAAAAUUUUCAUUCAAGAGGAAAGAAUUAUUCGAAAAAAGUUUAUCAUAUCUAAAACAUUAUGUCUCAAAAAUAAAUAAAUGAAUUGAUUAUAAUAAAUUUCAUUAAAACAAAAAUAAAAUUUGAGAAUUCUAUUUGACUUUAACAUUAGACCACUAAUAUGUUUAAGGCACGACAAUAAAAAUCACACAGUUAUAUAUAAACGAUAAAAAAUGAUGACUCUACAAUGUAGGGCUAAUGGUUUAUUAGUAGAGGGAUGCAUAUAGUUCUAAUUAAAAUGACAUGGUGGAGUCAAAAUCAAGCAUCAAAUUUGGGACACACCUAUUUUAACUUGUAGGAAUCAUUCUGCACUCAAUUAUUGUAAUAUGUCGUCUGUGUUGGUGAUAGAUUAACAUUUCUCUAUUUAAUAAAAGGCGACUAGUUUAGCAUCUACAUCUGUAGCACUGUUCGAUAGAAAAUUCGUAAAUAAGUUAUAUAUAAGGAAGAACAGAAACGAUAAAUAAUUUUUUUCGCAAUAGAUUUAAUUUAAAUUUAACAAUAAGAUGAUAGGCGGCCACAUGUUACUGUUGGAAAUAUAUGUUUAAACAACUCUUGCAGCUGGUCGCAUUUCUUGCAUCAUUACAUAACAAGAACCAGAGAUCCAUCCCUAGGGCCAGUUAUUUGAAUUUCAACUCGAAUUAUGGAUGCAUGUGUUAAAAAUAAAAAAUCUUACGUAUUAUUCUCAACUUGAAUUAUCAAUAUUUGACGUGGUAACAUUGAAGUUCGAUUAAUUCAUAUGGAGUUAUAUCGAAAAUUCCACUUCAGCUAUUUCACUUUAAGGAAGUGAGAACUUUGAUACAUGAAGGGAUGUUUAGAGUUAACUUCUCAAACUGUAUUCAAAUCGUAUAAAUAACGUAUGAAGUCAUCAAAUUAGGCUCAUGCUAAAUCCUACAAAUUAAGUAAAUCAUGCUAGAGAAUUCCAUUUUUCUUUUUCUCCAUGAAAUGUUUAUAAAUCACAUCACACUAGCUAAGAAAUUCAUUCAAGUUGAAUAACCAUUUAGCUAAAAAAAAGAAUUUUUAAAAAAAUGGCUACCUUUUACUAAGAACCCGUGUGGAUUGACUUAAAAAAAAUUAAAUUUAAAAUAAAAACUCAAAUUUAAAUAAUUUUUAUAUAAAAAAAAAUAGAAAGUAUGGGAGAUCUACUUUUAGUUUUUAACUUAUUUUAAGUUAUUUAAAAUUAUUUUAACAUUGUUAAACAUUUUAAAUUUAUUUUAAGUAAUUUUUUACUUAUUUUAAGCUAUUUUUAUAUUUGUUAAACACACUAAUUUAAAAGUAGAUUUGAUCAAUUUUUAACUUUAAUUCAAUCCAAACGUCAUCCAAUCUGUACUCUUUUCAUUUCAAUAUAUAUAAGUAGAUUUUUUUAAAAGAAAAUUAAUUAAGGGAUUGUCAGAAUUUAAGUAAAAUGAGGAAACAAUUGCUGUACUUGUACUGUGAGUGGGAAAAAGAAGCACAGUGGAAGCUUUUUUGAUGUGAAUUAGUUUGUGGGGGGAAAAGAGUAUGCUUUACCUCACACCAAAUCAGUCAUAGGGAAAGCUGGGGUGACACUUUCUAACACACUUUUUUUUAGUUUCCUGUCAAUUGUUAGUGCUGAAAGAAAGGCAAUGCUCCACCAAAAAAAAAGGAUAUUUGAUUUUUUUAUCGUCAAUCUUAAAUUUUGUGGCUAUAAUUAUUCGAUACCUGUUUAAAAAUAAAAUGUAUAUAUAAUGAAAUAGUAGUGGAAAGCAUGAGAUUAGUAGUUUUGGGCAAUUAAGGUGACUUGUGUUAGGAAAGUAGUGAAGGUGGUAUUAUCUCAAAUGAAAUUGUUCAGAUUUAUGCUUAUUAAGAAAUGUUUAAGUUCAUUUACUAGAGUGAUUGUUUAUUGCACAAACUAUCAUUUUUUAUUUUUUUUUUAUUUGUAAUUGUUGGACUUUGAAUCUCACUAGAAAAUUGCUAUUUAAUCUAUGCAGUUAGUUCUAUACCUUGACCGGAAGGUGAAAACAUUUUAUCUUAGGGUAGGUAUGAUAACAUUUUCCUUCGUACAAAACACACCCUUUAUGUUUUAAUGGAUCGAAAAAGAAAUGAAAUGAGUUAAUGGGUUGAUUUUAUGAGAUUAGGGCAUCGUUUGAUCUGUACUGGAUCUUAAAGCUGAUGGGCUUUCAGAUUAUAACCUACUCAUAAAUAAAUUCACAAUCUUAGAUAUAAAGGAUGAAAAUUAAGAAAAAUUGAGUGCAUCGAGUGCUAUGCAUUUUGGGCUUAAGCCCAUUCAAUUUUUACCAAGGCCCAAUUCACUGUUUAUCAAAAAAAAAAAAAAGGAAAAAUUACAUAACAAAGCAAAUUUAUACUAUUUAAUUACUCAUCAUAAUUACAGUUUGCUAUAAUUAUCCCUCGCGACUAACAUUGUAUAUUAGUUACGUGGGAUGACUUCGAAUUUGUAUAAUUAGUCAUGUUUGUUUAUAUAUAAUUCAUCAGAAUAUACAAAUACAUAUGUAUAAUAUAGAAUUAUUUUAUCUAUAUACAUAUACGAUUCACCUCUUUCCCACUCUCUGUGCUCUCUCGAUUGCCUAUCUCCUCCCUCUCCCAAUCUCGCAAGCCUCUGUACUCCCUCUCUCAGACUCGCUUGCCCUAUAUACAAAUGUAUAUGUAUAAUAUACAAUUAUAUACAUAUACAAUUCACUCCUCUCCCACUCUCUGCCCUCUCUCGCUCACCUCUCUCAUUCCUCUCCUAGUCUCACUCGCCUCUCUCCUCCCUCUCCCAAUACCUCUUGCCAUAUAAACAUAUGUAUAAUAUAUAAUUAUCUAAACAAUAUACAUAUACAUUUCACCUUUCUCCCAUUUUUUUCCCUCUCUCUCCCAGUUUGGCUCGCCUCUCUCCUCCAUAUAACAUGUAGUUACCAAUUGUAAUUAUUAAAUUAUAGCUAUAGAUAGUAGGGCUGGGCAUAAACAUCGGAAAACCGAAACACCGUAUCGAACCGAAUUUUUUUGGUAUUUCGGUUUCAGUUUUUCGGUUUUCGAUUCGGUAUUCGGUAUAUGUUUUUGUAUUUUUUGGUAUUUUGGUUCGAUUUUCGGUAUGUGAUUUUGUGUAAUUCGAUAUUUCGGUUUACCGAAAUAUAUUAUAUUAUUAUAUAUAUUUAUAUUAUAUUAAUUAUUAAUAUUAAAUAAUAAAUAUUAUAAUUUAAAAUAAAAAAGUAAAAAGUAAAAGACUUUUUGAUAUAAUUAUUUUUAGCCCAUUAAGUUGAAAAUCAAACAAAAAAAUUUGUAAUUUUUUAAAAGCCCAACUAAGCAGGCCCAUUAAAAAAAUUGAAAUAACAAAACCGAACCGAAAUAAUAAAAAUCGAAUCGAAAUAAUAAAAACUGAACCGAACCGAAAUAUUUCGGUUCGGCAUUCGGUACACAAUUUACAAAAAUCGAAAAAACUGAAACCGAACCGAAAUACCGAAUGCCCACCCCUAAUAGAAAGUAAUUAAUAUUUUUAAGUGACUAUAUGUAAAAAUUUUCCGAUAAAAAAAUCAUUCUGAACAAAGCUCUUUUUAUUGUUUGAAAUGGCUCUUGUGCUCAAUUCGAACAUAUAAAUAUAAAGGUUUAAACUGCCUGAAUUAUUUCUUGUUGAAUUUUCAGAUUUUUAUAAAAGUCUGAACUCAUGAAUUAUUUUGAAACUCUAGCGAGCUUUUGAAUACUAUGAAUCAUUCCUUGAAGUUGAACUUACAAAUGUUUGAACCCCAUAAAUUUGUUUCUUGAUUUUAAAACUCCAACAAAUAUUUGAACCCAAUGAAUCGUUACACAAACAUUUGUGGUUAAUUGACUAUUGUAGUCAAUGGAGAAUUUUUUUUUUCUUUUUUUUUCAGGUUCAGCUUGUCUAAUAAUUAUAUUUUUGUAGAAAAAUAAAUUUUUUAAAAAUAAGAUAAAAUACAAUGUGAAAAUAUGAAAAAUAAGUUUCACGAUGACAAAUAUAUUAACUUAUCCUCUUUAAGUCUUCGCUCUACGCAUUUUAUUUUCAUCUAUCCCACCAUUUCACGCGUCGCCCUGAUAAUAUUAGUCAAAAUAAUAUACAACUACUUUCGGAUUAAUAAUUUUAUUUACAAAUUAAACAUAAUAUAGUCAAAAAAAAAUUAUAAUCCUAUGUAAAAUAUUUUCUUACAUAAACACCUGCAGUAAAGUCAUAAUCGAAUUGGCGGAAGUAAGAAUAAAUAGUGGUCAUUAAAAAAAACCGUUAAUUAUUCUCAAAAGUCGUAAUCUCAGAAUUCCAAACAAAAUAUUCCACAUGGAGCGGGGAUGGAUUCGUCAGUUUGUGGCCUGGACGGAUUCUAUCGUCUAAUAGACUGUAGGGUGAUUUAAAUGAUCAGUUUAUAAUAUAUAUUUUUUAUUUUCAAAUAAAUUAAUAUUUUUUUUAUUUAGUUAAUUUAAAAAGAUGAAAUAAUAUAGAUAAAAUCUCAUUCUAAUCAUAUUUUCUGGCCAAUUUUUUUUUCUAUAAUCUAUAAUACUAUACAUUUUUCUGAAUUGCAAACUAUGCUCUAUAGUCUAUACUCUAAAAAACGCAGUAGACGGCAAAGCUGGCUAGGAAAAAUUUCAUUCAAAUAUUAGCGACAUAUUCAGAGGUUAAUUAAAUCUGUAUAUCUUACUAUGAUUUACUUAUAUAUAAAAUAAAAAUAACUUGUUUAAGCAAUUAACUUUUUAAUAAAACCGUCUAACUAACUUUUUGUAGCACUUUCUUUUAAAUUACUAAAUGUCUAAUUAUGUAAUUAUUAUAUAUUUUCAUACUUGAUUAAAGUAAAGAGUAUUUAAUAUGUUUUAAAAGCAAGAGGUAUUAAACUCAAUUCCUCAUCGAUUCGCAAUACAUCAGUUUUUUUUUAAGUUCUUUUUCUCUAUAUCUUUUAGGAGCAUGUGCCUCUAGCUCUUUUUUAAUCGAAAAAGCGAAGUAUAAUCCCACUUAAACUUGCAAUAAUACUCCCUUUUGGAUACAUUAAUUUAGAACAAUCACAUAUCAUAUUUAAUUAAGAGAAUUAUUUAAUCAAAUUACCAUUUAUCUCUUGUAAUAAAAAUUAGUUAACAAGUAGCGAAAGGUUAAUUAUUAUUUUUAAUAAAUGUUCUCAGAUCAUUGUUAGGCAAAGCUAAACUUGGAGGAAAAAUUAACACUUAAUUUUUUGAAACAUCAAAUUUAAACGUCUAAAAAAUUAUUUAUUAUGAACCGAAAAGAAUAUAAAAUAUUAGCUAGAUGGCGUCUAGUUUCAGAAAAUGAGGUGGUCAAGACAUCAUAAAAAGUAGAACCUCAGCCUAAAUGGGUAUUAUUAACUAAAAUCAUAUCGUAAUAUAAUAAAUACUUUCUUAUUCUUGCUUUUAUAAAAAUAAUAAUAGCAUAAAUAAAAGAAAUAAUAAUUUAAAAGAGGAAUUUGUUAGUGGAAUAGUGGAGGUCAUGAACGUAAAGUUGAAGGAAUAGAGGAUUACGCAGAAAAAAGAGGGGACAUUCUUUCCAUAAUCUACGCCAAAUUGUCAAUGUAACACCUCUCCCUCUUAAUUAAAACAUAUACAAUAUUUAUUCGGUCCAAUAAUAGUUAUCCGUUUAUUAUUUAAAAUAUCUAAUCAUACUUGUUAAUAUUACGAAAUUUCAUUAAUUAUAGUAAUAUUUGUAUUACAUUUUCCAAAACAUUAUAUUUAUUACGCUCUCUGUCCCUAAUUAUUUGUUCACUUUUGAAUUGACGCAGCUAUUAAGAAAACAGCUAUUGACAUACUGAGUUUAUUAAUUAAUUAUAAAGUGUAUGAAUUAAAAUUUAAAAUUUUCAAGAAGUUCUAUGUUUAAAUUUUUUUUGUCAUUUCUUGAUUUGUCAAAAUAAAUAAUUAAUUAAAGAUAAUAAUUAAAAAAAUAAAUUUCAGUAAUUUUAAACCCGAAAAAGUAUAUUCAAAUUAAAGGGUUAUUUUAUAAGAUUAUGAUGUAAUUUAAGAGAGUAGUAUCAUAUUUGGUGAAGCACCUUAAUAAACUCUCUCCUCAAAAAGUGCGAAUGUAUUCUUCUUUUUAGGCCUCUUCUCUUAAUGCGUAUCCAAUUAUAAUCUACCGGAAAUACCUUGCCUAGUGGCUACCUAGUUUACUCAUUUUGCUAAAAAUAAAAAUCCAACAGCUGCGUACCUCGUUCUACGUUUCGAAUUUUUUCCAAAAUUCAUUUGAGUCUAUAAUGAUAGUAUGAUACGUAAAACAUAAAAUAUUUCAACUUACAAUCUAUUUAAUGUAAAUAAUGUUCGAACGAGGCCUUAGUGAGUCAUAUCUACAACUUUAAUUAAUUCUUUUGAGUAUGAAUCCAAAGAAGCUUUUUGGGGGAAAAGAAAGUAGCUACCAAAAAUAUGAGUUUGGUAAAUCAAAUUUCACUACAGAGUAUAGUAUUAAAUGCAUGAAAUUAUUUUGGGGAUGAAAAUAAAUAUGCAGUAGCUGCUAGUACACCAUAUAUUAAAGGUUGUACUAAAUGAACUACGCCAAAGAUUUCUGAUGAGUAAUGGUGAGAAAGGGUAAUGUUAAAUGAUCAAAAGAAUUGAUGGAAAAUUUUAAUUAUAAUGAUUUUUUUCUAUUUUUAUAUAAAUUGAUCUUUAUUUCAUUUUUUAAUUAAAAUAUAUUAAAAUUAAAAAAAUAAAAAUAUUUAAAAAUAAAAUAACAUAAUGUAAAAUAUAUUAUUUUAUUAUUCGAUUAAAUUUUUAGAUUAAAAAGAUUUCUCGAAUAAAAAGAGAGAGGGAGUAAAUAGAGACAACUUACCACUGAAGCCCCUUGUGGCAUCUGCAUUUACGUAUGUCAUCAUGUUAAAUGAUUAUGAGAAAUCAUGGACAUGAAUUUUAGAAGAAGAAAAACCAACUUUUAUGUAUACUCUUAUUUAUUUGUUCCAAUUUAUAAUUUAUUUGAUUUGAUAUCUACUGAGUUAAAAUAAAUUAUAUAAAUAUUUAUAUAAUUAUAAAUUAUUUAUUAAAAAUAAGUCAUAAAUGAAAUUGUGUGAGGUUUAGUUAGUAAAUAGUAGGUAGUGGGUUGGUUUAUAAAUUAUAUUAAUAAAUUAAACUAUAAUAAUAGUUGAACGUCAAGUAUUUUAAAAAAUAUUUAAAGAGUUUAAUUUUAAAACAAUUAAAAAAAUGGUCAAUUUUGAAUCCAAAGGUGGAUGACAAGGAUAUUUUGAAGCCAACGAUAAAAGGACAAUUUUGGAGCCAAUAGGUGGAUGAAGGAUAAUUUUAUAUCAUUUUCAAUACUUUGAGAAUAAUUUAGGCCCUUUCCGAUAAAAUGUUAGACCUUAAAAGAGUGCAUAACUGCAUGUGUAAUAAAGUAGCAAGGUUCAUAUCCUUCUUAUGGAGGUAUUUUUCUUUUUUCCUGGAUGUGUUUGAUAUUUUAUAUUAAAGAAAUAUUUAAUGAUUUGAUUUAUAAAAUUAUACGAAAGCACGAAAAAAUAAAAUUGGUGAGGCAAAAGGAUAAGGUAUAAGAUAUUUUCGUAGUUAGCUAGAGUGGCAAAAUGCACAAGUAUUUUUUUCAUUUAAUUUAGAUAGGAAAGUAAUAACCAGAUAUUAUGGGUUGGUUUUUUCUGCAGUGACUAAUAGAAAUAGGAAGGUCGCCAGUCGCUGUAUACUUAUUGUUAGAUGGUCCAUCACAUCUUCUGAGGUUCAAAAUCAUCACAAAAAUAGUCCAAAAUAGAUUAAGAUUACAAAUAGAUUUUUCGUUAUAAUAAUAAAAAUAUAUUGUAUGUUUUUUCCCUUUUAUUCCUGUUCACACGCAAGUAAAUUAAGGGAAAAAUACUUCUCUCUCUUUAAUUUUUAUUUUUAUUCUUAUGUUAUGUAAUCAUUUCAAAAUGUAAUAAAUUGGACAUUAGAUAAUUGUAUUUUCUAAGUAAAACUUAAGUUUCAAAUAUAAUAAAUUGUAUAAUCUAAUAAAAUAAAUAUUUUUCUUAAAAUAAUAAUUUUUUGAGAGAAGUGGGAAUACAACAUCUAAAAAUGGGUAAAAAAAAUUCAGUAAUGUACAUAUGAAGUGUUCAAAAGUAAUUUAAUUUGAAGAAAUUGUGUGCACUAUAAGUAUAUUUUUGAUGGUGACUACAAAAUCGGAUAUAUUUGUUUUUUAUUUAAUAGGUUGUGAAUUGAGUUUCAUUAAAGAAUCAUUUUAAAUAGGUAAGGAUAAAUUUGUAUCAAUUGGAGCUUUCCGUUAAAGGAGUACGAAUAACAAAUUUGUCAUUGAAGAAAUUAUGAAUAAUUCACGUAGUAUAAAAAAAUAAUUGAUAACGUAAUAAGUUUAUCAUUUUUUUCUUAUUAAUUAUGAAGUGAAUAAAUUUUUUUAUAUUUUUUAAAGUAAUUAGUCAUUUAAUUAAAGAUAUAAUGGAUUUAAAAAAAUUAUUUUUUUCUUUAUUUGACAAAAUGGAUAAAUAAUUAGAAACAACUAUAAAAAAAAAAAGUGGAAAAAUAAAAAAAAGACUAAGGUAGUAUAAUAAAAGGUAAAUACACUAUUUAACAAAAGUUAACGGAAAUUAUUUUACCCUUUUUUAAAAGAGAUAGUUUUAUCAUUCAUGCAGGAAUAGUUUUAUCAUUCAUGCAGGAAUCUUAUAUAUUCUACAAUUAUACCAUUUAGUCAAAGAGUUAAAUUAUUUUUAUUUUAAAAAUAUGAUAUUGAAGAAAAGUUAUUAGCACUUACAUUAUACACUAUAAGAGAAAAUGAUCAAAUAUUCUUUCAAUUUAUUAUUUUGGAUUUUUUAUUAUAUAUUUAAAUUUUACGAGAAUUUUUUUAUUUUUGAACCGUUAAAAUUUAAAAUUAUCAUUUUCCUAAAUGCUAAUAUGGCGAAGUGAGUGUAUUUCACUCUCUAUGAGAGAGUGAGUGCCCAAAAAACAUAUUAAAUUUUUUUUAGAAUAUAUAUAUAUAUAUAUAUAUAUAUCUUUAUCUUUUUCCUUAUUCAUUUCUUCAUAGAAAUCGCUUCCACCUUUGUAAAUGGCUGACUCACAAAGUUAAUUAGGUUGGUAAAUUAUUAUUUUAAUUCUUCGGAGUUUCAAAUUUAUAAUUUUAAUCCAAACCAACAAAGAAUCUUGAAUUUUCGAGGAAAUCCACAUUCAACUUUCCUCAGUUGUUAUGUAUUCAUUAACUUCAAUUUGAGAAUUUUGACAUAUGCGUAUGUAGAAACUAUCUUAAUACCAAUCAAGUAGUAAACGAAAUAACAAAUAGGAAUCAAAAUUAUUGUCGACCUUCUCCUUUUCAAAAUUGUAGUGACUGAUAGACAUUUGGUGUUUAUAGUAAUGGAAAAAAUGGUGAAAAUAUUAUUGGGUUCGGAUAGAUGGUGAAAAAAUUGAAGAAACGAGUAAAAACUAAUAAACAAAGUGAAGAAAAACUUUUUUUUAAUGAAAUUUUCACAUGUCAAACGUGUCAGUUUCACCCAUCAACAUAAACUCAUGCAACAUUUUAGGAAUACAAUAAUUUUGAUUUUAAACAGUUCAGGGAGCGGGGGGGGGGGUGUGUGAUAGGACCCUGUGAAGUUUAAGUAUGAAAGUUGAAAAUUCGAUAAUAGAUUAGGAUGUCAUUUGAUCAUUUUCUUUAUACUCAGUAAUAAAUUACAUUAAUAAAAAAAUAUAAAAAACGAUAUUGAUUCUCUAAAAAAUUUAAAUACGCAUACAAAAAACGAUAUUACUAUUAGAAAUGUAUAUUUAAUGAUAACUAAAAUUUUAACUUUUGAUGCAGUGAAACAUAGGAAAUAAAAGAGCGCGUGCAGUGAGUGGUGAUGAUAAAUGAUUGCAUUUCAAUAUCGGAUCAAUGGCCUGUCUCCACAUUUGGUACUGAAAAAACCCCACGGUCUCGAUCUCUCUCACCCAUCUAAGUACUCUAUGAAAAUUAAAAUUACAUAAUUUAGAAUUCUUGAUUUUAAAUAAUUUAUUUGUUAAGAAUAAAUAUAUAUUUUAAAAUUAUAUUAUUAUUAAAUAUUUUUUUUAAAGAAAUCAAUAAAAGUCAUAUAAAUUGAAAUUUGGAAAGUAUUUAGUAUUGGCAAAUAAUAAAUACUUUUUCGGUACCUAGUUAAUUGUUAUCAUUUUAUCUCUAAUUAUGAAGUUGGUGAAUUAAACAUUUAAGCUUUUCAAAAAAAGUUAUUUUUUUAAAUAAUUAAUUGAGGGUAUAAUAUAUAAAAAAAAUUAUUUUUUUAUUUGUUAAAAUGAACAAGUAACUAGAAAUAAUUUUUAUAAAAAAAAGUAAAUAAGUAAUUAAAGGGGGAGGAUAGCUUCUUGCACCAUGCGUCUUGGGACUAGCUGAAGAUUCCAAAUCUUUUAACUAUAUUAUGCGAAUAGUAUUUAAAGUGAAUUAAAUUUAUUUAUUGAUUUUUCUAAAAAAAAGAAAUUAAAUACAAAGAAGAAAAAUAACAAUUAUACUUCAAUGAGUGAACUUAAUACAAAACAAAAAAUAUAUUCGUAGAACGAAAAAUAUGAUUGAAUUAUGAAAAAAUUUCUUUGAAAGAUGUGACUACUUAACUAUGCAAGACCACAAGGGUGGCCCUGGCUUCCUGGCUUCAUAAGAUUUUUGGUUUCAUUUGAAUGCACAAAUCAGUACUACGAAGAUAUAGUUGUAGGAACUAGAAAGUUCAUAACACACCAUAAGUUAUUUGUAGUAAGUAAAUUGGAUGCCACCCUUGUUUGUAUUGGACAUAAUAAUAUACUAGUAAUAGUUUUCAAAUUUGAAGUACUUUGAUUUUGAUUGAAACAAUUAUAUAUGAUAAAUUGACGAAAUUUCACAUGCGUAAUAUAAACUUAUUUAUUACUAUUUCGAGCAACACAUCUACAUGACGUUUUUCUUAAAUAUAUAUAUAUAUAUAUAUAUAUAUAUAUAUAUGUAAGUAACUCUAUCCCUUGCCUAUUAUGUUGAUUAUACCAUAAAGCAUGUAAAUCUAUUAUUAGCUGAUUUGCUUGAACUUAUAUGUCAAAUUGUUGAAAAUUGUCAAUGAAGCGGCUACGCUACUUAAUUAAUAAUCAUUAAUUAGCAGUACUGUUUCACUUAAUCAUUAUCCAAGUAUAACAAAGUUCUAUACCUACUAUACCAUCUCCAUUGCUAAAUUAUGUAAUAUUAACAAUGGUCAGGUUAAAUAAUUUCUCUGAUAUUUUCUUACUUUUUUCUUUUUUUAAGAAAACUACUAUACAUAUUCGGUGCAUCUAAUCGGAUUAGCUCAUUCCAUUUUAAAGUGCAUUAUUUCUAUUCGAAGAGUGUGGCCUAAGUCAUCCGUAGCCACUUAAAGUUGUCCUCAUAUUUCACUUAAAUAUCUAUUGAACACUUAAACCUUAAAAAAUUUAUACCUAUUUGACACAAACUGAUAAUCAAUUGAAAAAUAAAAAUGCGUGUAUUUCAAACGCGAAUUCAUAUUAAUUUUACCAAUAAUUGAUGACACGUGGCAUUACAUUUAAUUUUUUUAAAACCUCUAUAUAAUUAAUUCAUAAAGUAUUUUAAAAAAAAAAUUAAAAAAUUAUUUUUAAUUAAAGCCUCCACCCUCCCCACUUUCUUCCUCCUCCUUCAGAAACCCAUUUCUGAUUUUCCAUGGAGUUGGUGUCGCUCCAUCUCUUUCUUCUCUUCAAUGGAGCGACAAUGACACACCAUUGUUGUCUAUUCAAGAUAAAUAUGCAUUCUCUUUCAUUUCGGUAACAUUAAAAUUUUCACUCAUUGUCUUCAUCUUUUAUACAUUAUAAAUUAUUUAUUAGAAUUGAAAAUAAUUUAACAGACUUUUGCUCAAAAAAAUCUAUUCAUAUUUUUUUUUUUAUCAUUGUAAAUGAAACUUCUUCGAGAUAUUUGAGACGAAAAUCGAUAUAAGAAAAAAGAGGAAAGCAGGAAAGAACAAUGAGGGUGAAAGAAAGAGAGGUGGAGGGAGUGUGGUGUGUUGUGUAAAAAAAAGAUAAAAAUGGAGAAAAAAUAAUAUGAUAGAAAGAGGGAAGAAGACAACUAUCCUUCUUCUUUUUUGUUAAUUAUUUUUUAAAAAAUUAAUUUAGGGGAUAAAUUAAGAAAAAAAAGGAAAAAUAUUAUUUUUAUUAAAUUAACGCGCUCAAAAAAGUGAAUUACACGUUUUUUGCCAUGUCAGCAUUUUGUGUCUAAUAGGAAUGACUUUUGAACAAAUAAAGUAUUCAAUUGGCACAAGUAUUAGUUGAGAUGUCUAAAUGAAUUAUGCGGACAACUUUGAGUGGCUGCAGAUGACUUAAGCCAAAAGUAAACAACUUUUUUCGAAUAUAGAAAAAAAGUACAAGUAAAUUCGUCUUUUAAGUUUUCUAUACAUACAAAAAUAUCAAUUUGAGUUUAAGAUUUUUAUUGAAAGACUAGAAAUAAGGUGGUUCCUGGGAGUGGACCCACCUGAUAUCUACAAGUUCAAACAGAAUCAGUAAUUUUGACUGAUAUAUUUUAUUAAGAAAAUUAUUUAAUAACAUAUAAAGUAUUUAUUUAUAUAGUAUUGUCUAAGCCAAAAAAGAAGAAGGAGGAAUUCUUUUUAAAUUCAUUGAUUUAAAUUUUCUAGCUCAGCUUAUGACCCAGCCAAUACUAAGGUUUGUCGCAAGUUCCAUUUAGGAGAAUACGCUGUUAUAAGUGAUUUAAUCGGAAGAGUAAUUACACGGCUUAUAAUAAAUGGAGUAAAAUAAUCAAUGAGCAAAAGUUAUAUAUAGGGCAACCAAUAGGGGUUAGCCGUAGGAACUUUUCGUGGUUUAGAUUAAAUAUGAAUCUAAUAUCUGAUUUUUAAAUUAAAAAAUCACAAUUCUCAGAUUUGAUUGAAUUUUUUAGUUCAAUUUUAGAUUAGUUUAUUAGGAUACUUUUGAAUUUUCAAUUUUGAGACUUUUAAGUUGUAUUUUGUUUCAUAGAAUGUAUAACUUUCUAUAACUUACAUUGAGGAUCAUCCAGAUAUUAUUCUAAGCGUUUGAUUAAAUAGGAUCAUUCAGAUAUUAUUGAAUAUGGAUAUUAAAGGUGUUCACAAUCGAACAUUUACCAAUAAAUCAAACAUAAAAUUGAUUUAUUGGUUUAUUUAUAUUAGAUUUAAUAAAUAAAUUAAAAUUUUAUAAUAUACAACUUAUCGAUAUAGUGGUGAAUUAUUCAACUUUAUUUACAGGAUAAAUCAUUACCCCCUUAAGAAUUAUCGUACUUAUAUAGUAUGGUAAGAAAAGAAAAGGCAUAGCUAGACAAUGUACAAUCCAGUAAUCGUUCGACAAUUAUUAAUCCAUUAUGAAUUAAACGAUAUAUUAUUGAUUGACUAACAGAUCAGUAGGUUGAAAAACCUUUAUUUUAUAGGUCAAACUACUAAACAAAAAUUAUCCGCCCAAUCCACCCAACAAACAAAUUUAAUAGAUAUUUUCUCUAAAACAUUUUGAAAAUGAGAUAAAUAGUACGGGCGAAAAUAGGUAAGGUAGGGCAUAAUAUUUUGAACCUAUAGAUAGGGCAUUAAGGCACUAAUCUAUUGAACCUAUAAAAUUAGACUAAUUAGUGUAAUAAAACACAUAUAACAUGGGCAGGGGCAAAUAGACAAUGAAAAAAUAUCGGAUUUUCAAAUAUAUAACCAUUCAUCAUUCAAAAAUCUGAAAAUCAAUAUGAAACUAAAAUUUCAAAAAAACUAAAAAAUUCAUAGAUCAAAAUAUAACUUCAAAUAGAAAUUUUAUAUUCAAUAAUAGUGUUCAUAAUAUUAUUUUAGGAUAUUUAAAAAUAAUUGUUUAUUUUAAUGAGAUAAGUGAAUAAUUUUAAAUUUAGUUCCUAAUUUAUAUUUAUAGGUAAUUAUAGUUAUUUUCGUAUACUGUGUUUAUUAUUUUAAAAAUGACACAAUAAUAAUAUUACCUUCUAUUUAUAAAGAAAUAUGUGAGGACGACUAUUUUUGAAUUAAUGGAAUAUAGGAAUAUAAAGAGGGAUAUGUGCAAGUUUUACGUUAUAUAUUUUUUUCUUGGACGGCUCAAAAUUCAAAUGCCAUUGGCUUCUACUUGUUCAUCAGUUAUCUAUGGAUUGUCUAGCAGCCAUUUUUAGAUCAUCGCACCAAGAACAGCCACAGCCUUGUUGAUACGCAAUCCGUUUCCCGUUUCCAUAACAGAAAGGUUAAUUGUUUCUACACUAUUCGUGUACCCACUGACUGGGUCGUUUUUAGUUUUUGUCUAUUUUUCUUUGCUGGCCCUUUUUGAUUGCGACACAGAUAAAUAGGGAAUUUGGUAGUGGGGAAAGGAGAAAGAAAUGUGAUGGUAACUGAAAGGGUCUUUCUGUUCUCCGCCUUAUUCUUUUGACUUCACUAACCUUUUCCCCCUUUUUAGUUUUUGGCAUCAACUGUUCUUUGAUCAAUGCGAAAUUUUAGCUCUCAGACGUAUUAUCAAAGUUGAAGGUUUUGGAUUAACCCAUUGAUUUUUUUUUUGUCGGUUCAGAUUUCUAUUUUAGUUGGAAAAAUAUCGAAAGAUUUGAUCUGUGUGGCUCUCCAUUGAUGGCAAACAGCCUGACCUCUUUUUCUCAGAGGACAGAAGGUUCCAUUCUCUCCUCUCUAUUUUUGCCUCUUCGAUUCCAGUGAUUCUCUUCUCUUGAUUUUUUUUUCCCUCGAUUUGGUUGCUUAAUCUUGGAAUCUAUACCUAAUUUAAUUACACCACCCACCUUAAUCAUCUGAGAAUGUUCUUCUAAUCUCUCUUCUAUCCACACACACACGAAAAAAAUAAUACCACACUUUGGGGGAUAAAGUAUAACGUUUUCUUCCGUCUGCUCUGGUUUAUAAUAAUGGGUUGUGCAACUUCGAAGCCGAAGGUGUGUCACAAAUGCAGGGCCCCCUGUUCACCGGUGCGCCGGAGCUAUUCAAUGCACGACGAUGGCUACCAUAGGGUGGCUCUGACUUCAUCUACUUUAGGAUCUCUGAAGCUUGAUCCGAUGAACCAGAGUCAAUCAAUCAAAGACGGAGAUACAUCUUCUUUUGAUCUUUGUGAUUUCGAUGAAGUGAAGAGCUGUAAAGAAGAGUUUGCUAUGGGUUUGAUUGAAGCAAAAACAUGGUCAGAAAUGAUCAAUGAGAAAAUCCCCAAAGUGGUUCCGAAAACCCCUGUUAGAACUCCACCUGGUGAGCCAGAAACUAUCAAUACUUGGGAAUUAAUGGAAGGUCUUGAAGAUUCUAGUCCUCUUAAGCCUGCUCAUCAUGUUCGCAGUUUUUCAUUCCAUGUUUCUCCAAAUCCAGUUUCAUCUCAGUAUGAUCUUCCUACGCCCAGAGUUAAAGAUCAUAUCGAAGGUUCCCCAAAGCCAUUGUGGGAGGAGGUAGCUGAAGAUGAAACGAACUCAAGUUCAAACGACACAUCAAUCGUGUCCGAGUUUGAUUCUGAAGUGAUUUCUACAUUCAGAAAAGCAUUAGAAGAUCUCCCACCUGCAAACCCAUUUCACCUUAAACCGUUGAUUACUGAAAAUCAGAAGCCGGUGGCCGACGAGGAAGAUCCAUUGGAGAUAACAGAUGUGAAGAAAGUAACAGAGUACAAAGUAAGUAAAGAUAAACUUGUUGUUUAUUUCACUAGCCUGAGAGGUGUGAGGAAAACAUAUGAGGAUUGUGGCCAUGUUCGAGUGAUUCUGAAGGGAUUAGGUGUCAAAAUCGACGAAAGAGAUGUAUCGAUGCAUUCAGGGUUCAAGGAAGAGCUGAAAGAAUUACUGGGAAAUGAAUACAGUGGAGGAGGAUUGCCUAGGAUAUUUAUGGGGGGAAAAUACAUUGGUGGAGCUGAUGAAAUACGUCGAAUGAACGAGGAUGGAAAACUCGAGAAAUUUGUAGAAAACUGUGAAAGAAUUGAGGAUGGUGGUGUCAUUGGAGGUUGUAAUUGUGAGGCCUGUGGAGAUAUUAGAUUUGUACCUUGUGAGACAUGUUCAGGAAGCUGUAAAAUCUAUUACGGAGCAGAUUAUGAAGAAGAUAACGAAGAUGAAGAAGAACUUGAAGAAGAUGAAUAUGGUUUUCAACGAUGUCCAGAUUGCAAUGAGAAUGGGCUAAUUCGUUGUCCAAUUUGUUGUGAUUAAGGUUGAUCACAAAAUUUUCUUGUGUCUUCCUUUUUUUUUCCCCUAAUUUCGUUUGCAUUAAUUUUAAUUACUUUUGGAUGAUGUUUGUUGUACAGUGAAGAGUUUUGAUUGAGUUUAAUAUAGUUAUAACCAACCAUAAACAUAUUCCAAGCUCUGGAGUUGUGGUGUUAAAAGUCUUCUGUAAUACAUUUUCCAGGUAAAACGAGAAGCUUAUACAAUUUUGAAUUUUUCCCUUUAUAAAGUAAUAUAUACAUAAUGUACCAGAUAUUGUACUACAUUACUCUGGAGUUGUAAUUGCUUAGUUUCUGUAUUUUUUUUUUAAUCCAGUUUGACUCCAAUCGAAUUUGAAAUUUAAAGUUAUACCAAAAAAAAAAAAAGUACCGUUACAACGAAUAUUUAUUUAUUCAUGAUAUAUAAUACAAUCUUUAGGUAGAAAAUUAUCUACAUAUUCAAAAGGAUUUGAAAGGAAGUGGUGCCACUGAUUUAAUAAACAUGCAUCCGUCGGCCGACGAAAUUUAAAUGCUUUGGAUUUGGUUGUUUUUUAUUAAUUCAACAGCGCCAUUUAAAAAUUUGUGUCUAAUGUUUGAUCAAAAGCGUUUUGAACAAUGGAAAUAUUUUGUUGUCAUACUAGUGCUGCUAUUACCAUUUUUUAUUAAUGUGUCCGCACUCCACAUAGAUGGCUACUUGUUUUGGUUACGGUUUCAUUUCACCCAAUGGAAAAAAUAGAAAUUUUGGUUGUUAGAUUAUUUCGAUCUUUAAUGUCUAUAUAAACUGCAAUAUCCUUAACUACUAUGAACAAUAUAAUUUCUAGCAAAGCAUGUUCAAUUGAUCAUUCUUUGGCCCACCAUUAUUUGCAUCUUCCAAGGACUUAGAAGAAGUUGUGAUAUCUCAUUCCAGAGACACUUCGAUCUUUUGCCAAAUCUAAAGUUUAUUCCGAACUCAAAUAAUUUCUUUUUUGAUAAUAUACUGAUUGGACUUAUUGACUGAACCUCCAACGAAAACUCAUCAAAGUAGUUAGGAUCGUUUGGCUGGAAACAAGUUAUCUCAAGAUUAAUUGAUUAUCUUUGAAUAACUUAUUCCAUAUAUGAGAUAACUUAUUCUGUCACUAUGCUAUAAAUGACAGAAACAAUACGCUAAAAUUUUAUUCUUUUUUUUUCUUUCUAAAAAUAUUUUUUUGGGUUUAAAAAUAGUAUUGAAAUCGAAUUUGGGCUUUUUGCAUUAAUGAUAUUGAACAUUAUAAUCAACUCGAUCCAAAUUGACUUACAAAGUAAUUACAAGUAAAACACAUUUUAGAUGACAUACAAAAGUUGAUAAAAUCUUCAUUAACUUGAUAUCAAGUUUAAUUUUGGGCGUAUAAAAAUUUUCAAACUAUUAGUAUAUGUAACUUAAACUUUUAAAGUAUAUAAAACUUCAAUCCAUUAAAUUUUCGGAAAAGCCUUCACUACUUUUUUAAUUCUUUCCCCUUUCCCUAUCAUUAGGCUUGCCCUUUCAUAAAAAAGAAAAAAUAUUUAAGUAGCAAGUAAAGAUGUAGACAGAUAGAAUCAUAGGUCUCCAUUCCGUUUUUUUUUUUUUAUAUAUAUAUAAAUAAAAAUAAAAACAGAUUGGAAAGCAUCAAAUCUGGGUUGUUGACAACUUUGAUUUAUUAUUUAUUUCAUUUGAUGUGCCAAAAGUCGAUAGUAGUUCAAUUUAAUCAUUCUCCGUGACGGCAACUGCCCUUUUCUUGUGUUAAUUUUUCAACACUUUGAGGCGUAAACAAUUAAUAAUACUUAAAACAACUUUUGUUGAAUAAGUUUAUGUUGUAAGCUAGUAUCUAAUGUGACAUUAAAAUAAAUAAAUAAAUAUAGCCAUUUUGAUUUAUAGGAAUUCGUCGUCUAAUUUUAAAAUGUUUGUGGUACACCACAAAGAUUUUAGAAUUUAGACCACUGACUAAUUCAUUUUUUAACGUAUUUUAAUCUGUUUGGUUUAGUGGGAAUGAUUAUGACUUUCAAUCUUCAUUUAUAUUGUAAAAGGAAAAAUGUUAAAGCAUAAAGGAAAGGGUAUUAUUGUCCAAACAUAAUGAUUUCUCAUUACCAGUUUUAGGUGUUUGUAGAACCUUUUUGGCCUUUUAGAAAGCAACAAUGAGUAUUGGAUUAAAAAGAGUUUUAACUAUUAAUAAUUAGUUACUAGUACUUUUUCAAUUAGUAAAUAAGUAAAAGUAGUGGUAAAAAAUUAAAUCAAGCAACCUCCUAUAGCCAGAUGACAUUGCACUGCUCGAGUAAAUAUAUAUUUGAUUAUACUUUUAACUUUUUUUUGUUUGCAAAUUUGUCGGUUCACUUUGUUCCAUCAAUUUCAAACAUUACAACAUAAUCUUAGUUUUCAAAACAUAGAAAAAUUAUUUUUGAUAAAUUUUUAAUAUUAUUUUCAGAUAAUAAAUCACACACAAAAAAAAAGGGGCAAUUCUCAGUAUUAAUUUCCCACAAAUUAGCAGAAUAUUUAGGAUUGCACCUUUUCUUUUUUUAUUGGACUACUCCACCGGCAGUUUGAUUGAUAAUUAGAGAAGGUUAACAUAAAUAUUAUAAGUGCCACAAGGUAGAUUGUAGGAAAGUUGGAACUAAUAUAUAGAGCAAUUAAAUUAAUAAAAUGAGUAUUAAGUCAAAUGGAGUUUAAUUAAUGAUUUUAAUAGCACCAUAUAACAGUUGCAACCUGAUCACACAUCUAUUUGUAGAGAAAUUACUUACCACCUAUUUAGCCUUAAUUUGAUGCUUAUACUCUUAAGAAAUUGACGUGUAAGUAGGAGAUGAGAAUUAAUUGUCCAAAUUUAAUCUACAUGCCAAUAUUCGAUUAAGUUAUUGAUAGAAUUAACAUGUGUCAUUUCUUGAAAUUUCUCUUCUGAUUCAAAUUAAAAUAGGAAACUUCAUAAAUAUACUAUAAUAAAAAAUAUUUUUAUUUUUCAAUCAAAAUUGUAUUGUAAAGUGCUUUUCCUUUUUUUUUCAGUCAUGGAAUAAAUUCAAAUGUAAUUAUGUCAAGAAUGAAAUUGCUUAUCAAAAUUGUUUAUAUUUGGUUCUAUCUUAGAAAAUUAUAUUCACACCCUAGAUCAUAUGAAAUAAAGCGAACUAUAAUGAUAUUUGGGGGAAUACAUAAUUGUCUUGAAUUUGUUUAUUCUUUUGUGAACCAAACUUAAUUUGCUAUAUCUCUUUUAAUAUAGGGCUGAAUAAUAUACACAUACUUAAAUAUUGACAAUUUUAUAUUUAGCACAAGACUAUUUCAAUCGAACUCGUAAAUUGUCAUAUUAAGACAUGGAAAAAUCACCCCACAUAUAUAUUGACAAUUUUAUAUUUAGCACAAGACUAUUUCAAUCAAACUCGUAAAUUGUCAUAUUAAGAUAUGGAAAAAUCACCCCACGUAUAUAUCUAUAAGGGGUGGUAUUGUGAGUUUUAAUUUAACUGGUUUGAGUAAAAAAAAAAAAAAAAAUAUUUCAUUUCUUAUGAAGCUCCUAAUUUUAUGCCACAUAUUAAUUAUCAUUAAUGAAUUCAAAAUUAAUUACUAUUUUUUAAGUUUAAAAAGAAUGAUCCUAUUUUUUUAUUUUUAAAAAAAAAUGACCUCUUUUUUUUUGUAACACUUUAACUUUAAUUUUCCACGUGAUAUAUUUAAGAUCACAAGGUCAUUUUUGUACAUUUGAUAUAACUUUCAUUUAGAACCACAAAAUUAAAAAAUCUUUUUUCUUUUCUUAAACUCCGUUCAAAGUCAAAUGAGGUUAUUCUUUUUGAAACGAAAGAAAUAUUAACAUAUCUGUAAUUAAUACUUAAAAAAGAAAAGAAAAAUCUUUUGGAGUUACUACUGAUUUAGUAGAAAAAAAGGAAAACAAAUAGAAUGGAUAUAACUGCUCACCAUUUUUCCAAAGUUCCUAUUCGGAUUAGGACACAUGGCAUAAAUUAAAAUAAAUGGUUAAGAUUUUAAAUUUUUAAAGUAAAUCUCUAACCAUAUGAAUUAUUAAUAAUAAAAAAUAUUAAGUAUUAAAUAAUUUUUGUAGGUAAGAUCUAUUACUAGUUUUGUUUUAAAUAAUUUUUUUUAUCACGAUCUUAAAUAAUCUAAUUUUUAUGAAAUUUUAAACUAGUUUGUUUAAAUAAUUUUAUCAUCUCUAGUUAAUUAAUUAAUCACUUAUCAAGCCUUUACAAAAGAUUGCGAUAAUAAGAACUUGGGGAAAAUCGGGAGAAGAGACAUGAGAGGAGCCGCAUUCGUAUCCAAAUAUUUAAGUGGAAGUGCGGGUGGUGAAAAACAAAAAUUGAUUUGAAUAAAAAAAAUCAUUUAUAUGAUUAAGUGGGUCAGAUCGAAAUAAAAUUUUAAAUAUAAUUAUGUAAAUAAUGAAAUUGCUUAUUAAAACUGUUUAUAUUUGGUUCAUCUUAUAAAACUAUAUCACACCCUAGAUCAUAUGCAAUAAAAUGAACUGAAAUGAUAUUUGGAUAAUUACAUAAUUGUCUUGAAUAUGUUUAUUCUUUACUAUUGGGCUGAAUAAUAUACACAUACUUAACAGCUGACUAUCUUAUAUUUAGCAUAAGACUGUUUCAAUCCAACUCAUAAAUUGACAUAUUAUAGUACAAAUUUUUGACCAUUAACAAAAAAAAUAAAAAUAAGGAGACUUGGGCUGAAACUAUUUGGUUCUAGGUCCAUUAAGUCCUUUGAUUCAUUCAUGAGUUUAGAAUCAGACUGUGAAUAAAAUAAAAAAAUUAAACCAAAUUUUAAUUUAGAUUAGUUUUUUUGGAUUCUUGGUUUGGUUUUGAAUUUAUAAUUUACUUUGUUUUUUUUUUUAUUUGGUUUCGGAUUAAGAAAAAUGAAAACUGAAAAGCCAAAAAAGCAGAUUUUUUUAUAUAUAUAUGUGUGUGUUUAGAAUUAAGUUGGAGUUAAUCACUUUUUAGUUAUUUUCAUUAUGAUUUAGUUUUUUUUCUUAUGUAUGGACAUCUAUAAUUGAUAUACUUUUAAAUAUCUUACAUUUUACAUGGAUUUAUAUAUAUAUAUAUAUAUAUAUAUAUAUAUAUAUAUAUAUAUAUAUAUAUAUAUAUAUAUAUAUAUAUAUAUAUAUAUAUAUAUUGAAAUAACCGAUUACCCAAAUCGAAAAAAACCAAAUUUAUUUUGGUUUGGAUUGGUUACAUUUCUUCAAAACCAAAAAUCAAAAAUCCAAAUCGAAUAUUAUAAAAUCGAACUAAAAAAUCGAAGGCACAACCCUAGUUUCAAUCGAACUCAUAAUAGACACUUUUUUUUUGACAAUUAACCAAAACGAAAAGGAGAUUGGGCUGAAAGUGAGAAACUAUUUGGUUCUAGGUCUAUUAAGCCCAUUCGCAAUUUAAUUGAUUUAUUGGGCUUUAUACAAAUUGGAACUAGGCCCAAAUAUUAAUAGCGGGCUUCUACAGAAUCGACACUGCCUUCGGCCCAUUACUCAGGUACUGAUGCAAUUUGGGAUUAUUCGUCAAUAUGACGAUGGAUCAUAAUUGUAAACAUCACACCAAAAAAAAAAAAAACACCAUAAGCUCCGAUCGCUCGAGUGGAGUCGGAAAAUUAUAAUUUCGUAAGUUCUGAAACCUUAUAUUUUUAAGUUGUUGAAUUAUUUAAUUAGUAAUUAAAGCUCGUCUAUAGACACUCUUUGCAUACAUUAAGAAUAAGGUAUUAUAACCAAGACAAAAUUAGAACAGUAUUCUUCCAGAAAAAAAGGAAAGAUUUAGAACAUAAUUAACGUGAAAUGUUUUUAAAGUAGCAUGAUCCAAUAGAAUAAAUUUCUAAAUAGUAGAGACCAUUGAAUACAAUUAUUGUGAAGGGAAAAAAAAAUGAUUGAAAAGACAUGUAUAUUGAUGUUGCACCAUAAAUUCGUUUUCAAUAGUACUAAAUAUGAAAAUAAAAAGGUGAGUAUGAUUUGGUGUGGUGCCCAUUAGAUAUUGAGGAAUAUCAGAGUCAUCGUCAAUGAUAAUAUAAUAUAUUAGUAUGGCUAGGCUCAUCGUUAUGUAUUUUAUAUUUGAUUAAGACAUAGACACAGAGCAAAUGUCUUUUUCUCUUCUCGUUAAGGACGCAAACUGCAAAAUUGUCGAUUCAAUAUAUUAUUAUUAUAUUAUCGCUAUCUUCAUGCUUUACCCAUUUAUUGACACCUCUUAUUCCUAUUCCAAUCAUACAUACUUGAUUCUCCUACAAUGUUUCAUGCUGAUGUUAUCUUAUGACACCCUUCCUUUCAUCCUUUUACUAUAACGUUUUUAAAACGAGUCAUCAUUCUCAAACGAUAAAGCUAGGUAAAUUAGUUUUUGAACUAUACAAAAUAGUCUAAUUUUGACGGAGUUUUCCUUUUUUCAUGUAUAUCGCCGUCACCUCUCACCGUGCCAUUAAUUUCUAGAUCAUUAUUUGAGUUAAUUUUAAUAUAUCUGAGCCAAUAUUUAAUUUAUUUGAGCUACAUAUUAUGUAUUCGAGCUAAUUUUUAAUAUAUUCGAACUGUAUAUUAAUGUAUUCAAGACAUUAUUUAAUGCAUCCGAAUUUUAAUUAUUAUAUUUAUUUUUUUAAUCUUUAAAGGAUUAAUAUAAUUAGAAAUUAUUAGAGAUAGAUUGUAAUAUCAUAUUAAAACUAUGAAAUUUAUGUAAUUUAGGCAUGAUGGACUUAAAUAAUUGAUCUUCUAAUUUACACAAAGUCUAACUUACCUCUGCGAAAAUAAAUUAUACAAAGAAUUCACAAAAUAACAUUUCACAUAUCCACGACAACCAAUUGCAUCGUCUCUUACUAAUUGCUUUAACUACGACCACUAUUAAUUCCAUCCGUUACCUAGGGAUGGCAAUUGAGCGAUACAGAUUGAGCAUAACUUGCUAAAUUUUUAAUUUGUUAUGUCCCUCUUUAUAAUAAUUUUUUCUAUUUUAGCCCGCUAGUCUCCACAUUAGUUUUAAAAUGGCAUAGCUUUAAAUCCAUCUGUCCCGCAUCAGCUCACCCUAUUGUCAUCCCUAGCCGUUAGCCACCAUGUAAAUACCACCGCUGCAAAAAUCCAUCCCUCACCACUAUCAAUUUCGCCUUCGAGGAAGUAUCAUACGACCUCAUAUUAAUGGCGGAGCCAGCAUCUCUAUAAACGAGGUUCAAAGUAGGUUGUUUGAGAAAAAGGAGGAAAAUUAUAAAAUAAAUAACUGAGCAAGAUAAAGAAGGAAGAAAUUAAUCAUAACCCGCUAAAUUUAACUUUGUCUUGUCCAUUAGUAAUUUGGUAUUGAGAAUUUUUCCCCUUGUUUUGGCCUACUGCAUUGAACGUUCUUAAUUUUCUUUUUUAGUUGCAUCGUUCUACUAUUGUGAUUUUUUUCUGAAAUUUUGAAUUACUGCCCAUUCAAUCAUAUGUUUGCUUUGAACAUUAUCCAUAUUUAAAGGUGUUAAAGUAGAAUGUAUAUUCAGAACAUAUAUACUUAUAUAUUAUGGUAAUUUAUAUCUCAGUUUUCUAAGAUAAAAAAUAAAAGAUCGACACGUACAUACGUGAGGAUAUUAAAACAUUUGUCCCUCAGCAGGUUGUAUAAAGUUUUUCAAAGAAAUUUAAAUGGUCCCGGACUACUUCCACCAUAGCUUUAAGAUUUUGUUUUUGGAUGCUCAAAAAUCUUAUAUUCAUACAAAUAUAUUUAAGAUUAUAAAUUUUGAAAGUCUUUUUUUAUUUUUUAAAUUGAUAACCAACAGAUGAUUUAGCAAUAUUUUAAUCAGGUUUUACUAUUCAUUGUCAAAGGUGAUGCCACCUGAUAGACUGCAAUUCACUUGUCCGUUGUUUACUUUCUUUGUUAGUCUGCAUUUUUUAUUAUAUUAAAGAGAACUUUGAAGCAAUGGUAACUCUAUCGUUGCGUUAUUUAUAAGUUAUAUAUUUGAGUUGUGAAAAUAAAUAUUAGUAUCAUAUAGUAUGUAAAUUAUUUAUGUCGCAUCUCUUAAAAUGAUGUUUUUGUUCAAAUUCUGAUAUAAUAAUGCAAGGUACUUUGACCACUAAACUAACUCAUUUUUUCUUAUCAUUUCUAUAUGUGCUAAUCUGGAGUGUUGAGACCAGUUUUAGUUUAUUUAUCUUACUUUUAUUUUUAAUUUAUGCUAUUUUUUCCUAAACUUUUCUCGUCCUUAAUUACGAAACACCACAAGCUAAAAUCAUCAAAAAAAAUUUAAAAUGUCUUUGUCAAUAUUUCUUUAAUUUUAAAUUUUCACAUUAAUAUUUAAGACAACGAAUUUAAAAGAAAUUUUAAUAUAUUUUACAUAUCUUCAAUUUAAAAUAAAAAAAAUUUCAAAAUUCUUCACUAUUUUUUUAAACUUAUCAAGUCAAAAUUAAACAAUCAAAAUUAAAACUGAGAGAGCAUUAUUUUCUUGCAUCGGAGCGGUGCUUCAGGUGAUUGAUAACUUUCAGGCCAACAUUGACCCUCAACUUAUUCGAUUCACCAACCAAAAAUGAUCAUUGCCUUAUUCUUUUUCCUCUUUUAAUUUGCUAAUUAGAUUUUAUAUGACUUUAUAUUUCGUUUAAAUUAAUCACCAUGUUAAUAAGUGCUCCUAGUUUGUCCUUAUUAGGUAGUAAUAUCUUAUUUAAUCUCACAUGUCAUUAGUUUCUUGCUUCAAUGUGGAUUAAAUACAAUAUCUAAGUACUAAUAGAGAAGGUAUUUUAAAGCACUAAAGUCGAUCUUAUUAAUUAAUUAUAAUUAUAUAUAAGUAAGGGAAAUAUAAUUCCAAGCGUACGUGUGCCCUUAGCUAGGGGAGGAUCACAUUGGUACUAAUAUAUAGUUGAGUUCUAAUUAAAUUAUAACUCAUGAUUGGCCUGGCUAUAGUGACCAGCUGAGUCUACUAGAGCUUAACAACAACCAGAAAAUCAAGAUCUUGGUAGUAAGAUUUAUAUAUAAAUAUAGCUGAAAUAUUUAGAAAUGAAAAUACAUUAAUUUAAUUAAUUCAUAGGAGUAUAUAUAUAGUUACUACAUUAAUAAACUCCUGAUGAUUGCUGCUUCUGGACUAUCAGCAUCAAUAGUUGAGAGUAACUGAGAAAGUCGAUCACUAAGAUCAUCCACUUGUCUAUUCAAAUUUCUUAUGUAGUUGCAUGUUUCUUGAAGUACUUUCGAUGCCGAUGCCUGCAUUCAUGUGAACAAAAUAUAUGAGAAAAAAAAUUAAGUACUAAUUAAUCAUCUCAAAAGGGAAUCCGAGAGCAACAAUAAAAUUGAUUUAAUUUUGUAUGACUUAUAGGAUAUAUGUUCGAGCAAUGAAAACAAGCAUAAAUACUUAUAUAAGAGUAGACUAUCUAGCUACAUCGCAUCCUCAGACUCUAUUAUCACAAUAUGUUUUGUGUGCCAAACUAUCUUUUUUAUUUAUCAACUUCUUAAAUAAAGCACUAUCACUUUUUAUUAGGAUCGACUUGUUUACAUCACACUAUUUGGAUGCACUCUUCCCUAAAUUGCUAACACGAGAUGUUUUGUGAUUAACAAUCCUUUUUAUAUUGAUUAAUCAUCUCCUAAAUUAAAGCACCAACACUUUUUACUCCUAAAUUCUAGAGUCAACAUGUUGUGUUACGUGAUAAUUUAUUUAGACUAGUACUAGACAUGCCUUAAUUUGUGCAAUGAUGCAUUGCAAAUCUUUGACUGUGUUCAAGUCAUUGACCUACAAAAUCUCAAUUUGGCUCUGUAUUUUUUGGGAGUUGGGACCCCAAAGCAUGGUCCUAGGCAUGGUCAUAACAAAUUAUUCAAAUCAUAAUAUUCUCCUUUUGUACGCCAAAUUAAACUUAUUAUCUUUUCCAAGAAAAUUUAAAAAUGUAAUAAAGAGAGACAUUUCUUAUUUCCUAUCCUCAAGUUAAUUUUGCAUGGUUCAUAUUAUGUUUUUAAACUGCAUAAAAUUAAAAUCUACUUAUAUGUAAGAAGUGUUUGCUACAUCCUUGCUUCUUAGUAGAAAAAAAUAUCUUUUUUUUUUAUGGGAAGACAAAUUAGGAUAUAUGUGAAAUGGACCUUAGAGUCUAAAAAGAGACAUAAAAUAAAUGCUUGAAUAUAACAGGCGAAAUAUGUUCCUUCAUGAAUAAUACUAUAAUUAAUGUGACUAACACAGACAAGAGAUGCGUAGAGCUCCACACAUAUAACGUCACUUUGCCUAGUUAUACUGUUACACUAUUAAUUUUCUAAGUUGUAACUGUUACACUAUUAAUUUCAACUUAAUUCAAUGUACUAAAAAAUAAAAAAUCAAAUGCUGCUGCAUGUAUAUUAUGAACAUGCAUUAAAAAAAAAAAAAGAGUAGUAAUUUAAAAACCUUGCUAGAGCGACGAUUGCGAAUCUCCGGUAGAAGUUGUUGCAAUUUUGAAACAAGUUCAAUUAUCUGAUCAUCUGAAAUUCUCGAGGAUCCUGUUGAUGAUUGCCUCGACCUUCUGCUCGACAUCCUUAAAUUCAACAAAAAAAAAUGUCUCUCUUUUCGUUCUUUCGUUAUAAAUAUGGCUCUGUUGUAGCUAAAUCGAUCGUAGUUUUCUUUUAUUUAAUUUGUUACACACAUGUGGAUAAGGAAAAAGAAAGAAGAUUUUUUUUUUCUUUUUGUGUAUGAAACUUGGUAAGGAGAGGAAGUUGUGGUAAGGUAGUUAGAAAAAGAGAGAGUAAGAAGAGAAGAGAUAACGAACUAGCUUUAAAGAAGGGGAAGGACCACUAAAGAAAGAGAGAGAAAACAUAGAAAGUGAUGUUGGAUUGAAGAAGACAAUUGCAUUGAAGAAACACACAGUAAAACCUUUUUUUUUUUUAAUUUUUGUUAAGAGGUAAUGGUAACUCACUACUAGUUAGUCAUGUUUGGGGGGUGGGGAGGCCAUAACUAAGUUUAAAAUUUUUGUGUUUGUUUGUUUCCAAAUGGGGUUUGAUCUCAAGUGGGCUUAAAGAAAUGUGUUUGUUAUUGUACUAACAAGGUGGGCCUUUCAUGUGCAUGUCUCAAUAUACAAUAUCAUGUGAUCAUUUCCACACAUCUCCACUCUUCCACCAAACUCUCUCUUAUUAAACUUCAUAUUAAUAAAAAAAAAAAAUCUAGGAUUUUAGCUUACAAGCUAUAGACUAUCAUUUUAUUUAAUCAUUACUUAUCUUUUGUUGCCAUAAUCAAAACGAAUUUAGUUCAAGUAUAUAUUGCUCACUAGUAACUAAAAACUUAUGAUAUAAUAUAGUUCAAUUCAAAUAUAAUGAAAAAAGUUUGAAUCAACAAUGAAUGUAUUGUUCGCUCUGGUUUAAUCUUUAGAGUCACAUAGAUUUGUCUCCUUUAAGCCUUUUAAAGUAAAAAAAAAACGCAUCAAUAAUUAAAUUCAUAAACCCGCUCUUCUACGACUUUCAUCCAUUUUUGUGUCACAAUAAAAGUCCCUUUUUGAGUUCAACCGCUAAUAGUACAAAUAUUGUUACGUACAUUAAGACAUAAAUUUCCUAUUGUAUAUAACUAAUAUACUCAACAGUCAACACAUAUAUCUAACUACCAAUAAAGAUGGAUAAUAACUUUAGUUUUACUUAAAUGUCAUAAAUUCGAAAGACACAUCAACAGUUAAAAGUCACUUUCGACUUCAACCGCUAAAAGUACUAUACAUUGAGACAUUGAUUUCCUGUUUAUAUAAACCUGCUCAACGGUCACCACACAAUCACAUAUAUAUUAUAUAUCUAACCACCAAGAAAAAGAUAAAUAAAAAUGACUUUAGUUUUUACCCAAAAAGUAAAACUCACGGAUGUCAUGGCAGUAAUUGGGUGACUACUGUUGUACUAAGGAAAUUAUAAAGUCGUGACAUUCAUACAGUGAUCCAUAUUUGGUGCUAAUUUCAGUCAAAGCAACCCAAUGUUUAAAAUUUGCCCCGCCAAGAAUGGGGAAAGAGAAGGAGCUGAGUCACGUGAUCGUACCCCUUCGACUUGAAAUUACACGAUAUAUAUAAGAUUAAAAAUAUAAUUGAUGAUAUGAUUUUUUUUUGCGUUUACUUCUUUAUGUUCUAAAUGUAUUAAUGAGAAUUCUGAAUCUGCUCGGCGAAAAGAAAUUAUAUUAUGCAAUUGAGAAGGGGCCAUGCGUGCCACAUCAUUACGAAUGUCAUGGCUGUGAUUGUGUUUCUUUCUUUACAACAGACAUAGCAUGUUUUUCAAUUAAUGAUCCAAGGACUCUCAAACUUUUUCCCAAAUAUAUAAGUACAAAAAAAUUAAAAAGAAGAAUAUUAUAUGACAAGUUAAGAUUAAAAUAUUACUAAAAUAUCCUUUGUUUUAUAAACAUGAAUAUCUGAUGAAUUAAACACCUCAAGAUUGUGUUUUAUUAUUUUAGUACUAAUUAAGUACGAAACACCAUACUAUAUAUGUGGACGACCUACUUCACACUCACACCGCACCUUCCUACACUCCUUUCAUAACUGUUUUGAAGGGAUCAUGUGACUCGCAUGUGAUUCACCGAACUUCCAAGAUUUGUACGUUUGAUGGAUAUAUAAUUAUAUUUAGAGUUAUUUGGGUUCUGAUAUCUCAUUAAGUUCUGAAUCAAUUAUAUAUAGAUGGAUGUAUAAGUGAAUUGUUUAAUUUAAAAUUUGGAUUUGACCGAAAUUAUUAAAUUUUAUCAAAUCGUUUUUAAAGAUCUAGCUCUAUCACUGAGAACAAGUUGUAGUACUACUAAUGUCGCUGCUCAUGAUUUUAUUAUAGGUUUUGUUGAAGAAGGGUAAUAUUAAAUUAACAUUGAGAAUUUCAUCAAAAUUUUAUAGCAUCCCUUUUAUCUUUGUUGUUGUAAUAAAGAAAUUUUAAACAAGCAGUAAAUGUCAACAUAAGGACCAAAUUUUUUUUGUAAUGUGUCAAUAUGUGAAGCAUCUAAACAUGAUUAAUACAAAGAAUCUGACAAAAAGAGAUUAAGUAGGAAGAUUAGGAUGUAAGGAUGACCCCAUGGCCGUCCAAACAUUAGGCAUGAUUAAGAAUUUGGGUAUCACUGUCAAUACCGAAUUGAACAAAACAAUUAACUCUAAAACUAACGGGUUUCCUCCUUAUUAGGGACAUAAUCACGUAGAGGAUUUUAUCAUUAUUUUGCUUAUUAUACAUGCUCAUAUUAGUAUACUUAAACACGUUUUCGUAUGUUAUCUCCAUUUCUAGAUAACCAUUAGCGGAAUCAGAUUUUUUUUUCUUAAUAUAUUAUAAAAUAAAUUAUUGAAAAAAUAAAGUGAUUCAACAUUUAUUUAUAAAUAUAUUUUAUUUAUUGCGAAAGCAAUUCAAAUGAACCUUUGCGGCAUUAAUUUCGCUCAGCCUGUUAAUAAUAUAAAGAAGUCAAAACUCUUUUCAAAAUGUGAUGGCUGCUAAAUAAACUCAUUAUUUUUACCUUUUAAAUAUAAGGUCUUUUACAUUAGUAAGGUUUUCAAGGGAAUUAAAAACAAAUACUGUUUUUUUGAAGUGGAAAAAGUAAGUAUGGUUGAAAUUGCACAAAUUGUCCUUAAAACAGUCUGAUUUUAAUUUAUAUUCUUUAAACAUUGAACUUAGGCCUAGUCCAAUAUGUAUUCUUUAGAAAUAGACGUCAAGCUAGCAUAAUUUAAAAAUAUUAUGAUAAAAAAAUAUGUAUUUAUAUACCAUACUUUUUAUUUUAUUAUAUCUAAAAGACAUAAGUUAAAAAUCACCACAAAUAAGCGGAUAAGUGUCAAUAACCGGUAAAUAUGUUGUAUGAAGAAUGUACCAAUAGUAGCACUGUAUAUAUAACUAUUGAUGGUGACCUCAUGGGCUCAUUACUGAGCAAAGCGGUAAAACUCACAAAUAGUUAAUUUUUAGUUUUUAUAAUUGAAAUAUAGGUAUUAUAUAAAUUCUUAAUUCCAAGAAAAUCUUCAUUUGAAAUUUAGAAUCCAAUAACUAUGACUAUUUGUUUUGAUGACGGACAAAAAAAUAAUAAGUAAAAAUCAUUUCCAUGCAAUAAUUAGAAUUUAGAUUUCGAAAUACAACAAUGGUUACUAAAUGAAGUUUUUUAUUGUUUCAACAUAAAAAAAAUGUGAUUUAAUUAUGGUUAAGUGUCUCCUUGAUCUAUUUUGUCAUUAUAAAAUAAAAAAACUAGAAACUAAAGAUCUUUUAAAAUAGAAAAAUUUUUGGUGACUAAUUUCUCAAAUAUUAAAAUUGUGCUCACAUAAAUAAUGAGAUCCUCAAUAAUUAUAUUAUAGACCUAAUUGUAGGACAAUCAAUAUUAUAUAUGAUGUGAUGUUGCUAAUUUCAUUAGCUAGUAAGAGAAAUUGCGAAAAAACUAGUCAGGUUGGCUGAUGUAUUCAAACGAAAUUAUUUAGGAAUGAAGAGUGACCCAUCAACAAAAGAUUGUGAUAUAGUGAUUAAUAUUCAUUGAUUCAUUAUUAGAGGUUUGAGUCUUUCCAAAUAUGAUACUCACUUUUAUUAAUAAAUAUUUUAUCCUCUAAUAUGAAACUUUGUUCUAAAUUUAAUUAGAAAACUUCAACAUGAAUACCGAAAAUAAAAAGAUGACCUUAUUGUCUUGCGAGAAUUAGAAUUUGUGUAUGAUUAAAAAAAUAAUAUAGUAUAUAAAUGGGCCAUGUAAGUGAAGACCCUCCAAUUAAAUGAAUUUUCCACCUUGUUAGGAACAUAAGCACGAGAGAGGGGGUAUUUCAUGUCACAUGUCUUUUGUUAUUACCUUUGCCCUAUAAUACUACUAGUAAUCAAACUUAGAGUUCUUAAAUAUUAUUAAUAAAAUUAAAUUAGAAAAAAUAUGCUUUUAUUAUUCUUAAAAGAUAUGUCAGGCCAAUAUAACUGAGUAAUACUCGUUCUCUCUAUUUUUAUUUGUCACGUUGUAAUUUUUAAAGGUUAAUUUAAUUUAUUUUUAAAAUUAAAUUAAAUUCUAUUAAUUUGAUGUUUUAAAUAAAAAAAUUUAAAUAUUUAAAAAUUAUAUAAUUAUUUUUAUAUAGUAAUAUGAUAAUAAAAAAUAUAUUAAAAAUAAUUAAAAGUGGUUGAGGAUAACAUAAAAUAAACGUGGCCCUUAAAUGUUUCGGACGUUUUCAUUUACCCUUGUAGUAGUGUUUGACACUUCCAAGAGUUACCGAUUAGGCACAUUCUAAUUUACCAACAUGGAGAUUGGAGAGUGUAUGUUCCCCUCUUAGUGAGCGCGUGUAGUAUUUCAAAAAAUUGGCUAUUCAUCAUGUCUCCUUAAUUGUAUUGGAUUUUUUUCGUUUAAUCACCUCAAUUCAGCGUGAUUCGGCUUUUCUUCAUUUCUCUUCUCUCUAUUUUUCUCAGAUUCUUAUAUGAAUUAGUGACAUGAUAUAAGUUAAAAUAAAUGGUCAAGAUUUAAUUUUCAAAAUAAAUUUCUAAUCAUUAUUUAAUUAAUAAAUAUAUUAUAUAUUAAGUAUUAAAAAUUAAUAUAAUAUAACUAUUUUAGCAACAUAUUAUCUUGUCCAUAAAUAUAGGGAAAAAAUUCUCUUCCUAAAUUUCUUUUCUAUGUAAGAUUUUUUUAAAAAUUUCUUUUAAAUAAUCUUUUUAUCUCAAUAACUAAAUAGAAGUAUAAAAACUAUAAUUAACUACUGUAUGUAGUGAUAUCACCAUAUUUGUAAUCUUAUUAUGAAAUUGAAAUUAGUUUGUUAAAAUGGUUUGAUUAUCGCUAGAUAAUUUAUUAAUCACGGAUCAAUAUGCUUUUAACAAAAGAUUACAAUAAAAAUAUUAUAUAAAUGGGAAAAAAAAGAUCCUACGAUAAAAAGAGAGGAAGAAAACUUUUUUUCCCCUAUAUUUAUGGAUAAGAUAAUAUGUUGCUAAGAUUGUGAGAUCAUAAUAAUUUUAAUACUUGAUAAAUAAUGUAUUUAUUAACUAAAAUUAUGAUUAGAGGUAAACUUUAAAAAAUUAAAUCUUAACCAUUUAUUUUAAGUCAUUAAUCCAAAUAGAAACUUGAGAAAAAUGAAGAGAAGAGAAAUGAAGAAGAGCCGGAUCCAAUUGAGCUUAGUAUCAAAAUUUCAUUUUAAAUUUGUCUUAACUAAAAUGUGUUUCAAUAUACUUUUAGAGCUUCUUACAGGUGUUCAAUAGGUAUUAUAACAAAUGAAAAGUCAGAACAAAUUUUAAAAAAUGUGAAUGUAUUUGAUUGAUACUGGAGAUCCAGACAAAAGUAAGUUGCUUCGCUAGUCAGAACCUCCUGAAUUUUUAUGUGCUUAUUUUUUUCUCACUCCACACCAUUAACUAGCUAUUUCAAAUUUCUCCAUUUUAGCAUGCAUAUUUUUUACCUUAUUCUAAAAUUCUUCCCUUUUUUCUUAUAAAUAGUUCUAAACCGUUUAGUUUUUUGGUUUGGUUAUUCUCACCUCUCUAUCUCUUUUGAAAGAAUAUGCUCAAGUUCAUAUAGUAAAGAUGUGUUUGGUUGAUUGAAAUAUUUCUUGUAAAAAAAUAAUUAAGCACCUAAAAUAUAAGGAAAUUAAGUAAAUUUUGAAAGAUAAGAUUUAUAAAUCGCACUCAAUAUUUGCCGUGCCUUUCACCAUCCCCAUAUCCCUAUCAAGUAGUGCCUAACCCCAACUCAUCUUGGGUAGAUUUUUUGCUUAUUUUUUAUGUUGAUCAGAAGUAAAAAAAAUAUUUUUAUAAGAUUAAAUAAAUAUUGUUGAAAGUAAAAAUGAGAUAAAGCGGUUAUAUAAAUGACAAUUGUUUUUUAUUAAAAAAUAUUUUUUUAAAAAUUAAGCCAAUUGAAAAUGACAAUCUCAAAAAUUAGUUGUUAAAUAAAAACAUACUACGACUAACAAUGAAUUUUCCGAAUAAGUUAGAAAAAUAAAAAAGUAACAGUACUUUGUUGUAAAUAAUAAAACACGCUUUUAUCUGUUAGGUAUUUCGAAGAUUCCACAUGACUUGUUACUUAUUUUGGUUCUACUUCUACUUCAAAAGCAUCUUCUUUUGUCCCCUCCACAAAUUCCAUGAAUUUUACCCCCUUUUUUUCAGUCCCUAACUAAAAUAGUAAAUACAAAUAUGCACGUUAAUUAAUACAUAGUAUACAGUCAUAAUAAUUGUGGAAACAAAAUAAAUACACCGAAAACAAAACCAAUUCUUUAAUCAAUGACUUGGCUCGACCUUGUCUUAUCACCGAUUAGAUAUAGAAUAUUAAAAAAGUAGAAAAGAAACUUUGAAUACUUUUGGAUUGAAAAUAAAGAUAAGAAGAAUGUAUUAAAAUGUAAUUUGAUUUUGAGAUUUUAAAUUUAUUACGUGAAAAGUUGAAAUUGAAAAAAAAGUUAUUAAAAAAGAAAUAGAAUUUUUUUCUUAAAACAAUCGGAAAAAAAUUGAUAGUGAGAUGCGAAUAAUAAGCAAUUAUUUAAAAGCAAAGAUUGAAUUAAUUGAUGAUAUAUAAAUGUCUAUGUAACUAGAUAUUUUCCCUUAAUCAUUUUCUAUAUUUUCCAGACAUAAGGAUGGUUUAUAGUUAUAGUUUCGAUCCAUAGUUAUAGUUGUAUUUGCUAUGGAGAUUAUGGUUUUUAUAUUUCUGUUUGUUCGUAUAUUUCGCUUGCGAAUAUUUAAAUAGGGUAAGUUAUAUAUACAAUUUCUUUUUAUACAUUUAAGAAUUUUUUUCAGAACUCACUUUGUAUAUACGCUUGCCAAUAGACAAACUGAAUAUUUUAUUGUGAAUUUUUCAUAAAUCGCAUACAAAUUGCUAGGUCAAGCAUAUAAAAACUUUCGAAUUCAUACAAUCAUAAAUUGAAUUAUACAAAUUUUAAAUUUAUACAAAUCAGAUGAAUAACAAUAAUUAAGAAAAUUGUAACUGCGAAAUAUAUAUAUUUUUAAACUAUAGCUAUAGUACAUAAUAUUGGCUAGUUGUUUGCUAUUUUACGUAGUUUUUCAAUAUUGGUAUUGUUUUAAAUUGGUAGGCGAAAUACAUAACUAUUGGAAGCCCGAUUCAUGAAGUAACUCGGUAAGGCCCAAUAACAACUAUAAUUAACCGGAUGCAGAAGUAACUUAUAAAGCCCAUUAAAGUGAAAUUUUUUGAAAGUUUAGUUUUAGUAUAGAAGGAAAGAAGAUGGGCCUUUGGCCCAAUAAAAAAGUGGAUUAGAACUUAAAUCUUAUUGAGCUAUAAAUCUAAGGAUCCAUAGGCAUGAUCUCCUGGCCAAAACCCAGUCUAGCCCAAAUAUUUUCUUCUGAAGUUCUGUGUUAGGUGAAUCGAUCUUACGCAUUGAGGCACAUAUGAAAAAAAAAAAAACACUCAACGGGAUUUGAAUCCAGUCUCAUCACCUCAAAAUGAAGACGGACUCAAAAUUUAAACUAGUGAACUAAUUUGUGUUAAUGUUCUUGUCAUGCCUAAUGAAAUACAUCCCAUAUCUCAAGCUAUAGACUAUAUAUAUACAUAAUUCUUUUCAAAGAAAACUAAAGGUUAGUUCCAUGUUGGGAAAAAAGGUAUGACUAUAAUAAACCCUAGAGCAGUGAUCAUUUCAUUAGAUAUAUUUGUAGACGUUGUAUUGACACAUUAGCUUGGCUACUAAAUUAUUUCAUUAAUUGUAUGAUAAAAAAAAUUGAUUUAACAAAAUUUAUUCACUUACCUAUAAUAAUAAUGAAGCUAUGUAGUAGUGUCUAGUGUGUAUGUUAGGUAGGUGCGUUAACAUUAUUAAGCAGAAGAAGAGAACAAAAGAAUACGGACGUCGAAGCCAUUGGGUUUUUGGGCCCUUUUUUUUCUGAUUCUGAAGAAAGUGAUGCAACCUUUUUUUAUAGACCAGCAGUCAAAUAUUGCAGACUAUAUUUAACUCUUUAUCUCCAAUCUCCAUAUCCUACCAAGACCCAUAAUAAUAGUAUGUACACACUCUUUCAAAAUUUGUACCCCACUCUGUAUAACCCUGACUCACUUCAUUAUUUAUGCUUCAUCCAUCAAUUCACCACUCUUCUUUUAGAGCAACCUCUCAAUUUUUACAAAUGUUACUACUAGGUAAAACUUGGUAUUGUUUGUCAAACCACAUCGGUGUGGUUAAUGAGAUGGAUGUAUUUCUUAUAAGGCAUGAUCAAUCCUCCUCUCUGUGAGUUAGCUUUUGGUGUGUGAGUAUCAAAUUAGUUUCUAGUCGUUUGAUUUUAUGGAUAAAAUUAUAUAAAUCAUGGAGGUGGAUAGACACUGUUAAGUUAGGAAACAUGCGGAAAAUGAUGUUAUAAAAGAGGAGUUGGUCUUCUCCAAGAAGCUGAAGUGUGUGCAAAUUACUUCACUCGAUGUAUUUAAUAAUGUAUGGGUCCAAAUAAUUUAAACCUCUACUCUUAUUACUGCACUGCCUUUACUGCCAUCCAUCAAAACCCCAUAAGUCGUAUGCUUUCUUCUUUUGAAAUAUCUAGUAUGUAUGUAUAUAACAUUUUGCACAAAUUGAAAGGGAUACAUAACACUGAUUGAAAAAUCUUUUUAAGUUAACGCAUAUGGGUUGUCCUUGCAAGGUUAUGCAAUUAUCACUUUCAUGCCGACCGUAUCCCACUGAUCUUUUUUUUUUUUUCAACUUUAGACACACUCACUCUGUAGGCAGAGUCCUUAUUGCAGACACUGUUGAUCUAAACAUGGUAGGGUCACAAUGUGAGAAAAACAGACUUCUUCAUUAAUAUUUGAUGUACUCGUGCUUUUUAAACAAUAAUUCACAACAAAUUAAUAUGUCUCAACUUCAUACCUAGAAAGAAUGUUACUUAUUAGUAUCCUAAAAACAAUGUUAGCUAUAAUAGUAUUGAAAUGUUUCUCCUUUUUCUUUUUAGUCUGUCAUGUCUAAUUUUUUUUUUAUAAUUAGAAUGUGUUACAUAUUUUCAGUUUAACACUUCUACAACAUUCGGAAGUUUCCUUUUGACUUUUUAAAAUUAUGGUCAAAUCAAAACUACAAAUUGAAAUUGAAAUGGAGAAAGUAUAAAUCAAAAAAUAAAUAAAAUUCGUCCAUUCAAUUGGUAAGUAAAGAGAAGGGGUUAGGUUGACAUACUAGAAAUGGCUUGAAAAGCAAAUGUGGUAGAUUUGUCCUCAAUAUUUACCUGUCUAAGUGUGGGUUUUACUUACCAAAUUAUGUUGUUUAAUUCUAUUCCCUGGGUAAAAUAUGCUUAAGAACAAUGUUCCUAACACUAUUGAGCUUCAAGGUUUAUUGUGAAUUAUUAUUAUCCAGUGUAUAUCUAAAGGCCCCAAUUGCUUUUCUUGAUCAUAUUAUAACAAAAGGUGCAAAUAACACCAGAGCAAACACAUGCUAGAGAAAAAGUGGAAAGCAAUAAAAUUAUAGUUGAGCUGGAAAAGGUGUGUGUCUAUCGCUUUUUUCAGAAGAUUAAAAAAAAAAAGGGGGAAACCAAGGUGUAUAAUGAAAUAAUCCAAAGCAUAUACAGAAAAGUUGAAUGCUCCAUAUUUUAACAUAUACUUCUUCUCCAUAGGGAAUAGAGUUGUAAACUUUCCCAAUGAUAUAAUAUUUGAUCGUGACAAUCCCAUAUCUACAACUAUCAGCAUCAUCACAUCAUCAUAAUCAAUAAAGCAUAUGAAAGCAACAGUCACUAGGACCCAAACAUUGUUACUCCCCCACAAACCAUCCCAGAGGCCAAAAACACUAGGCCAUGUUGAUUGCUUCCAUAAAAAUUAAAAGUUGAAAAGUUAAAAAAAGAAAAGGAAUAAGAGAUUCUUGUAAUUUUCAUCAUAUGCGGUGGUGUUGUAGUUGCAAUAGUCUAGAAUAUGCACCUUCUGGCCUGCUGAUUAACUCAGAAUGGCUUCCUUGUUCAACGAUUCUUCCGUCUUGCACAACACCAAUAGUAUCCACAUUUCGAAUUGUUGAUAAUCGGUGAGCCACCAAAACGGUGGUUCGACCUCUCAUCAACCUUUCGAGUGCUUCUUGUAACACACAUUCGGAUUCAGCAUCCAGUGCACUUGUAGCCUCAUCAAGUAGUAGAAUCGAUGGAUCUUUAAGAACGGCCCUUGCAAUUGCAAUCCUUUGUUUUUGUCCUCCUGAGAGUUGAACACCUCUCUCACCAACAGGGGUUUUGUAACCUUCAGGCAAACCACUAACGAAUGUGUGUACAUUUGCUGCCCGAGCUGCUUCAAUGACUUCGGCUUCUGUUGCACCCUCUUUACCAUACGCGAUAUUUUCAAAAAUGCUAGCUGCAAAAAGAGCUGGCUCUUGUUGCACCAAACCAAUCUUAAGCCUUAGAGACUUCAAGUUUAAUCUCCUUAUGUCUUUCCCAUCAAUCAUAACUUUUCCACCCGUUGGAUCAUAGAACCUUUCGAUUAAGGCUAUAACAGAGCUCUUUCCCGAUCCACUUGCCCCAACAAGAGCUUGGCUUUGGCCAGCGCGAAUCCUUAGAUUGAGGUCCUUGAACACAGAGACAUCCGGUCGUGAAGGGUAUGCAAAAUCAACAUGACGGAGUUCAAUAUCCCCUCUAAUUGAUUCAACUGGAUCGCCUUCAGGGUCAUCAGGAUCGACCCUGGUAGAGCGAUCAAGAAUGGAAAAUACAGAACCAACAGCUUCACCACCCCUAAUAAUCUCGGGUGCUAGGCUGACCGUUUCAGCAACUGAAUUAGCCGUGAUCACAAGGACUACAAAGACCUUAAUUACCUUAGAGAAAGUCGAGACCCCGUUGUUAACAAGGUGUGCACCGUACCAAAGAAUCAGAGCUUCAGAACCAUAAAGAGCAAGCUGUGAUAUACCAAAUAAGAGACCUGACAUUUGGCUUCGUCGAAGACUCUGCAUUUGUGGAACUCUAAGCUCUUGGGAGAACAAAGAGAUAAUCUUCUCUUGGGCAUUGAAGGCUGCUACGGUUCUAAUAUUGCUUACUCCUUCUCCAGCAAUCAUGCUAGUCUUUGCAUGCGCCUUGGCCGUGUCUCCGGCAAAUCCUUUCAGUGAGAGUUGCUGUAUCAUGCAUGCAAAUUAAUUUAAUGAGUUUUAGAUUUUAGGACACGAUCUCAAGUGCUAGUAAUUUGGUUCUAAAUUUCAUUUUUGUAUAUAUACAUACAUAUAUAAUGAUUUUUUAGAUAUAAAUACAGAAUUUAGACCGAAGUUACUACAUAAUGUGGAACGUACAUAUUAUAUGCUACCUCCGCUCCCAGAUGUAAAUCACUAAUUAGGGAAUAGUUAAAAAAAAGAAAAGGAAUAAGCACCAUGUAUAAGGACAAAAAUAAUUGUUGUUCUCUUCUAAUGUUGCUCACUAUUUAAGUUAUUGAGCUGUAUUAGAUCUGUGAUACUCAAGCACUCCGAUAGGCACAUGACUGGCAAUUCUGACAAUUCUCCCAUCAAUAACUCACUCAAAAUAAUACAGCAAAAAGAUUUUUAAAAAAAAUUGAAUAGAAAAAAAUUAAGUCAAGUUUGUCAUAUACACAAGAUGAUCACGGGUAAAGAAUCUCUGCUAAUUCUGAGACUCUGGCAUGAAUAUCUAGGAGCUAAAAAAGAGACUAACAAAGUCAAAAAAAACAAUCUAACGCUCUGCACCUCCUAUUCAACCCCAUUCCCUCUUGUCCUUUUCACUGUCUUUGGAUGUGUUUUUAUCUUACGCCAUAAAUGUCCUGUGUAAUUCCACAAGUGGAGUCUAGAGAUGGUUGAAUAUACAUAGAUAUUACCCUACCUAUAUUGGUAAAGAGGAAAGAACAAUGGUUAAAACUAUACGGAACUUAUAUUGGUGGAAGAUAGUAGAUAUCUAGUGGAUUAGUCCCGCACAUCACCAUUUAAAAAGGAAAAAAAAGACGAUUAGUAAUUUGAGAAGUGGACAACCUUAAGAAAUACUCCUUUUUGUUUCAAUUUGUUUGUUAAUUUUAACUCGUCACGGAAUUCAAGAAAAAAAUGAAAUUAAUGGUCUUAAACUAAAGAUAAAGUAGAAAAUACCAAAAUUUAUUUUAUUCUAGUAAUCUUAAACGUCAUGCGAAAAGUUGGAAUUAAAAAAACAGAAGAGUAAUAAAAAAGAAAAAGGCAAAGUGCUGCUCAAUAAUAUUGGUAUUGAUGGGUGAUGGGAAGUAAUAGAAUCUUUACAGUUUUUACUGUCAUGGCUAAUAAAAUAGGUAUGUUUGAAUAUGAAUUAUUUUUUUUAAAAAAAAUUUGGUCAGACGUGAGUAUCGAAGAACUAAAGCAGCUGAAUUGGAGGAAACACAUGCAAGGCACCAGUAUGGUGCCACUUUCUACUUACUCUCUUGUCCUAUGCUUUUACAAGGCACCAGAUUCCAAGUAAACCAUUUCAAAUUUUUUAAAUUUAUUAAUUGAGUGUUACAAACAAUCUAUCAUCAAUUAAAUUUCAGAAGCUCACACAGCUCAAUGUUUAAUUAAUUUAUGUUCCUUUUUCGUAUAUUCUUUAUAUUUAAAAUGUUAAAUAAAGAAUGAAACCUGACAUGGAGUACUACUUCUAAUUGAGUGUUAUUCAUGGGUUCUGCAAAUAUUUUUACCUGGGCGAAAUUGGCCAAGACGAGAAGCGGAAAUGUGGCAAGGAUGAGCAGUGAGACACGCCAUUCGACUAUAAAUGCAACUAUGAAUGAAGUGAGAAGAGAUGUCAUAUUCUGCAGUAUAACGGAGAUCCUCUCCGCUAUAGCAGAUUUAACAUCUGCAGCAUCUGUAGCUAAACGAGCUGCUAGUAGACUUGAAUUGUUCUCCUCCUCAUCGAACCAACCAACUUCAUUCCUUAAAAUUGCUGAACAAGUUAAAACAAACAAUUAGCUCAACAUAAGAACUAAUUACAAGAUCUUAGUAACAUUAAAUGAUUUGGCAAGGGAAAAUACCUGCCAACAUCAUCCUCCGAACCCUGGUAGUGAGGUUUUCUCCCAUAAUACUGAAGAAGUAAUGCUGUAUUAAAUAUGCUACAACGGCAUAAAGACCGGCUCCAAUGUAGAUGAAGACAUAUUCCUUUGUCUUCCUUUCCAUGGUUGCGGGAUUUGUAUAGUAGAAUACCUCAAUCAUGUUGCUCAUCACAAUAGCAAAAGUUGGACCAAUGAAACCGGAGAGGACAGACCCUACAGCUCCCAUGAUUGAAUAAGGCCACUCAGGAGCAUUCAGUUUGAGAAGCCGGCAGAAAUAAUUCUGUGGAGCAGGAUUUUUCCUAUCUGUUUCAGCAUUAGAAAUCAUUUCUAUACGCCCAUCUGCACCGGUGCUGUAUGAAUAGCUCAAAUUCCUUAAACUUCCAGAGCGAAGGCUUAGAGACUUUGUUGAUAAUGAAUGACUUAAUCGAGUGGAACGUGUACGCCGAGUAGAUGGAUUUGAAAAGUCUCUGUUCCCAACCAUUUCCUGGAAUCUGAUUAAAGAAGCAUAAGCCCCAGCUUUGGAAAUCAGUUCUUCAUGUGUUCCAGUCUCAACCACCUGCCCUUGCUGUAUAACUGCAAUUGAAUCAACAUUUCUGAUUGUGGAGAGACGGUGAGCUACAACCACAGUAGUACGCCCAACCAUGAGACGGUCUAGAGCUUCCUGGACAAUGCUCUCGGAACCAGCAUCAAGAGCACUGGUGGCCUCGUCAAGCAGGAGGAUCUUUGGGUUCUUUAACAUAGCUCUUGCAAUUGCAAUCCUCUGCUUCUGUCCACCAGAGAGUUGUACACCACGCUCUCCCACCUGGAUAUAGAAUCAGUAUUAACUUCUCAGGAAGUGCAAAUCAUCUUAGUCGACCCAAUCAAGUUUAAUGCUCUAGAAAAUUGAAUGAUAAGGCUAAAACAAACUAUAACCUGGGUGUUGUAUCCGUUAGGAAGCAAGGUAAUAAAGUUAUGUGCAUUGGAAGCGCAGGUAGCCGCCUCAACUUCAGCCAUGGUUGCAUCAGGCUUUCCGUAUAGAAUGUUCUCGAGUAUGGUAGUAGCAAAUAAUGCAGGCUCUUGAUUAACAAGGCCAAUCUGAUCGCGCAACCAUCUAAGUUGUAACGUCUUUAUGUCCACAUUGUCGAGCAAAACUUGACCUGCAUGAUCAAUCAUAUUUUUAAAUGGGAUAAUUGGUAACGAACAUUAUAAAACUCAAAUAUAAGUUCGCCGAAGUGUUAAUUACCAUCAUUAGGAUCAUAAAAUCUUUCUAUCAAUGAGACGACUGUGCUUUUUCCUGAGCCACUGCCACCAACUACGGCAACUGUCUUUCCAGCAGGGAAGAAAAUGCAGAAAUCUCUGAAGAUAAUCACAUCAGGUCUUGACGGAUAGCUGAAGGUCACAUUUUUGAAUUCAAUGUUCCCGCUGACCUCAGACAGGCAUUUCCCAUCUAGAGUAUCUUGUACAAUGGUCGGUUUCUGCUUAAUAAUUUCCAUUAACUUGUAUCCAGCUGCUUUUCCUUUGCUGAAUGCCCCGAGAUUGGAAAAUGACUGACCUAAACUCCUGCAAAACCAAAGUUUCAACACCAAUAACAGGUUACAUGAAGAGAUUUAACAAGAUAAAGGGAGGAUCGUAAACAAUGUACUUCAAGGUCUUACAUGCCACCAACAAUGGCUGAGAAAAUAGCAGUAAAUGCUUUUCCACCAUCACUCUGUCCAUUCCGAAUGAAAACCCCAGCAUACCAAAAUACAAGUGCCCAUGACAUGCAUGCUAUUCCAUAGGUACAUCCCAAACCCAAACCUUUAGCCAUGCCAGCCUUGUAUCCGAGCUUCAAUGUGUUCUGAAUUGCAUCGGAAUAUGAAUUAAGGGCUUUGGUCUCGCCCACAUAUGAGUAAACUGUUCUGACUUGUGCAAUUGCCUGCAUUGACAAUGUAAACAUCAUAAACCAGAAGAACUGGAAAUCCGAAGAGAAAAGCCAUUACAUUUUGUGCAAGUCAUAGAACAAAUAAUCAAAGCAAAGGCCCAACAGAGAAGCUCUCCCCUCUGAAUUUUUAUACAUCAAAAACUUUCAAGAUACUGAUAUAGAUACAGAUAGAUAAGGAAUUGCCUUUUUUGUGUAACAUCCGACAAUUACUCAGUUUAUCUUGUAUAUUAUUCCUAAAACAACUUCUACGUCAUUUUUUAGAUUUUGAUAAACCAUUUCAAAUCAAUUGUUGGCUUCUUUAUGCAAAAAAUCCAGGUAAAAAAAACCAUAAAUAUAUAAAUCAGACUUGUAAGUUUACAAAAACCUUUUGAUUAGUCGAAGUAUAAAGAUGACUUUCAUAAUUAGAUCAUAUAACUUUCAUAAAGUGACUUUAUAAAGAUUUAACUUUGAUAACUGGAACAGCAUGCUAAAGAAGGAUAAUUAGAGGCUAAAGUACUCAAAAACCGAUAAAGGAAUGGUGAAACUUUAUCAUAACUGCACAUGUAGAAGGAUCAUUUCAUGUGGACUAAUUCAUAUUGUUUUAAAGUACUUCAUAUAAGUAACCAAAAAGAAAUUACCUGCUCAGCAAUAAUUCCAGCAUUUGCAUAGGAUUCUCUGCUUUUUGACGUGAGACCGGUGAGAGUAUACGCAUAAAGACCCCCAGCAAAAGCAAUUCCAGGAAUAACCGCCACACUUAGGAGAGCUAACCGCCACGCUGACACAAAACCAACCACCAAACCCGCCAAGAAAGUCGAAAGGUAGUGAAUGAAAUUGCCCACCUAUAGUUUUCACGUCAAAAAAGUUGUUUCAUCAAUUAUUAGUGCAAGUAAACAUCAUUAAAGUAGAUUUUAAAAAGAAGGAUACAGUUGAACUAAUUUGGCGUUAUCACCGAAAAAUAAGGACAAAGAUGAAAACAACACAAGCAUUCCAAACAAAACAAUCCAAGAAAUGGCGUGUGAUAGCGAGCAAUCUUUUGCUAACAUGUGCCAUUCUGGGACCGGGGGGGGGGGGGGCUUAACUAGACUAGCAGAACGCUUCAUCGAAAAAUUACACUAUAUAUAUUAUCUUGAUUCAGCCACUGUAUGGGACCCGCUCUGAAUGAAGAGUGAAGACACAUCAUCAUUCAAAAAAGCAAGUGUAACGUAUUUCCUAGUUUAUCCUUACCGUUAUGAAUGCUACUAGAUUUCACCGUUGGCCUUGUGAAUAUUCACUUAAAUGGAUUACAACAGUAUUGGCAUUAAAUUGGAAAUAAUAAAUGAAGAGAGGGCGGACCUUCUCACUUAUGGCAUCUUGGACCAGUAGAGUAUCCGUUGAAACACUGAAAACAAUAUCCCCUGUUCUUGCAUCUGUAUCAAAAAACCCAACGUCCUGUUUCAACACUGCCUCUAAAUAUUUCUUUCUUAGUGCACUCACUUGCCUUUCUCCAGUAUACAUCCAACAACCAAUCUCUGUAAAAACAAGAAAUAGAAAACAAAUUUUAAUAUGACAGAUCCAUGAUAGGGACGUGUGAUUGGGAUAAUAUUGCAUAAUAAAAAUACAUGAGGAAAUUGACAAUUAUUAUAAGUGUAUAGUGUAUAAAAUAGAGCUAAAAGACAGGAAGACGGUCCACGGACCACGUGCAACCAUGAGACCUAAUCUUGAUCCUAUUGAUCCAAUGUGAACUGGCUAACUAGCAUAAAUACAAACAUUUUUUAAAUAUCGAUAUAUAAACUACUAUUUACAUCGAAACAAAAUGUAUAUACUCGAGGUAAAGUUUGUUUCAGGAUACCCAUAAAAGUAUUUUAAAAAGGAAAAGUAAGUAGAUCACUGAGCUCACCUGCAUAGGAUGAUGCACAAACUAUCAACCCAAGGUACACGAAAUACAGAGCAUACUGCAAAUUUUGUAACCAAGAAAAAAUAAUCAGAUCCGUGUAAAAGAAAUUUAUAAAUAAAUUCAAAAGAAGAAAAUUAACCUUUGAUACUUCAUGGGUCAUUUUGUGUAAAUCCAUUUGAUUUUUUCCAAAACCAUUUACCAUUUCACCAAAAAGGAGAAAGAAAACAGGCAUAGAAGAGCCAUGUAAAAUAGCUCCAAUACUUCCACAAGUCAUAAGAAGAUAAUCAUAUUUAUCAGCAAAAGAGAAAAGCUGAUAAAAAGGAAGACUCUGUUCUUUCUUUUUCUCAGCCUCUGGCAUUGAUUUCCCUUCAGUAGUCUCCGCCAUUGAACUUCAAUAAAUAAAAAGAGAAGACAAAUUUUGUUGACAAUCCAGUUCAAGAAUAUUAAUUGGGGUCAAGAAAGUUCAUUUCUUGGAAGAAAAAAGAAACACCAUUGAAUGAUGGGUCAGAGAGAUCUGUUUGAAGAAAACAGAGUACUUUGUUGAUUGAGCUUAAGAGAAAAUGGAGAAAGAGAAGAGAGACAGGUGGGGGAAAUAAUAAGACCAGUAGUCAAAGGAAUGAGAGAAAAAUAAACGUAAAAGUGUGUGCAAGUGAGAGUGAGACAUCGUUCACUUCACUAAACUAUACUUAUAUAUAGCAGCAGAGAUUCAGAGAGAUACUUUAUUUGGGGGUAUGGGGUGUCUCCUUAGUAAAAAAAAAAAUUUCUGUUAUUUCUUUCUUUUUAUUUUAUUAUUACUAUUAAUAUUAAAUACUAUUUAAUUUUUUUAUUAUUUAGAUCACUUAUAUUUAGUAAAUAUGGUAUGAUAAAAUUAUCCCUAGCAUUUACUAUUUGAAGUGAAAGAUAAUAUUUAAUUCUCUCCGUCCACUUUUAUUUGUCAUGUUAUGUUAUUCAAAAGUUAGUUUGAUUAUAUUUAAAGUUAAAUUAAAUUACAUAAGUUCGAUAUUUUAAAUAAAAAAUUUAGAUAUUCAAAAACUAUAUGAAAAAUCCUAUAAAUUGCAAUUUUUUACAUUUCAUUAUGAUUAAAAAGUACACUUGAAAAUGAUAGUUAAAAUUUUUAUAACUCGACUCUAAAAAUAGAAACUAUGUCAAUUAAAAAUGGACCAUGGAAGUAAUAAAUAGUCCACUUCUUAAUUCUUAUGUUAAGUUAAUAAUCAUUUGUUAGAUAGAAAAAAAAAUUUAAGAGUCAAAUAAAAUGAAUUUGACUGAUAUUUUUAUAACUUAUCAUUAUUUCCUUUUUAUGAGUCAAAAAAUAUAAAAUUUGAUUGACAUUUUUAAAUGUAUUUUUUUAUUAUAUAAGAAUUAUAAUUUAUAAUAUUUUUUAAAAUUUUAAAUUUUUUAUUUUAAAAUCAAAAUAAUUAUAAAUAUUAUUAGUUACAUUCGAAAAACAUAACAAAUAAAAAAGAAAAGUAUAAAAUAGAUGUAAAUUUAUUUGUUUGUUUAAACAUGGUUUCAUAUUUUUUACUGAGUUCAACGGAAUCUAGUGAUCUUUUUCCCUCUGCUCUGCAGCUUCGACUUCUGUGCUUUCCUUAUGGCAAAUCUGUGACACUGAGCCAUUAAUUUUCUCAAGUUAAUUUCCAUAUUUUAAAUAAAUACCUUGCGAGUUUCAAUAUCUUAUGAAUAAAAUAAAGAGGAAAAGUAUUAAGUUGUUGCAAAAAGUAUUACGUCUCUUUGGAUAAAUUUCAUAAAAAUGAGCAUGAUUAUGACUUGUAUUAAUUAAAAGUCAAACAAUUUUAUUCUUUAAUAAAAUAAAUAGUAGAAUUUUCAUUCUAAUAAUGUAAGUCAGAAUUGCUCUAAUGACUAAUUAUGAGGACUAUUCUAUAUUCUAUAUUUUAAUGUAAAUACAAACUCAUUUAUAUUGGAUGGUAUAAAAUUCAUUUUAUGAACUCAAAAUUUUUUAUUAUUAUUAAUUACCAUAUAAUCUUGUGAAUUGUGAUAUUUUUUGUCCAAUUUAUAGUGGUUCAGAUAGUAAACAUGAUUUACUUUACUAAAAUUUAGUUACUCCAAUGUUCAUCAUAUAGUGAGCAAUUGUGACAGAUUUAUUUUCGAAUUGUGAAUGAACAUACAGGUUUCCUUUAAAAUAUGCGGUAGAAAUGUAUUAUAUCACAAGAAGUAUCGUAUAGAGUUGGAACCUCAAAUAUUGUAUUUUAAGGUGUAAAUAUGAGACUUGAUGGCUGGUCGUAGUUGUUUUACAUACCUGUGAUGUGGAAUUCACACGCAAAUAUUAAUCUAGAGGAAUUUUAAUAACUCAAUUAAAAGACUCUUUAUCCAAAAGUUUAGUAAUAUUUUUUUCCCUAAAAUUAUACUGUACAAGUACACCAUAUAAUAACAUAUGAUCCUAUAUGAAGAUUUUAUAAAUCAACGAUAACCUUCUGAUUUUACCUUUUUAUUUCUAAGAGAGAGAAAAAAAGACAAUGGUCUUCUCAUAAUCCAGCAUAUAUAUUUUGAAAUUCGUAUGUAUUUGGAAGGUAUAUGAGGAAUUCAAAUGAGGAUUCAUUUGAUAAUUGAACAAAGUUAUACAGAUAUUAGUAAUGUAUAAAUUAAUCAUGAGAAAAUUUAAAUAUUAUUUUGCAUACUUUUUUUUUACUCAUGGAUUGAAUUGUAUUAAUUAUUUUGUCUUCUAUUCAGCAUAGAAUAAUACUAUAUAAAUUCAUCAUAACAUGGGUUGUUUUAAAUUGCAAAUCAAAUAGUAAUACUUUAUUAAUUAUAUAUAUGAUUCAUAUAAUAUAAUUUUUAAUGUAUGCAUAACUUACUUUUAAAUCAGCUAUCGAGCGAUUAGUGUUUGAUGCGGAGAAGAAAGAAAAAACUUGCUAAUAAAGUCAAGAGAGACAUGCUACAAAAUCGAUGAUACAACUUUGCCAUGCUUGGAAUAGGUGAGGGGCCAUUUUCAAUCAAACAAACCAGUUUCGUUACACAUGUGACUUGAUACUAUUUAUGGGAGUAUUCUUUAAUUUUAUAUAUUUCGUUAAAUUAUUAAUAUGUCUACAAUAUCCUCCCAAAAAAUAUUACAUACAUCAAUGAUUUUGUACUCGUUCUUUAAUUUUCAAUGUCUAAACUUAUGGAGUUCAUUAAAAAUUAAAUAUUAAUACGAAUUGUUUUUACUAUUCAUAUCUGAUUAGAAUACUAAUUUGAAUUUGUGCUACAUAUAUACCUAUUAGAAAUAAAAACAGAACUCUUUAUUAAGAUUCGAAACCAAAAUUUGGAUCAUAUUUAUCUUAAUUUCUCAUGUCAAAAUCACUUCAAAGGUUAUCUAUUUAUUUCCUGAUUCACUCAAUUCAAAUCAUACGAAUUAACAAAUGCAUGUGCUUACAAAGACAUUCCACUAAAGUUUUGUCACAUCCAAGUGUAGCUGAAAAUAUAAGGGUUGUUUCCAUUUUUGCCCCUAUUUUUCCUUCUCUUAAUUUUUUGCCCUUCUUAACAAACAGUCGCAUAAGUUUUUAUAAUACCUCACGAGCUACGUUCGGACAUAAUAUAAGUUUAGAAUGUGAAAUUAUACUUCUUCAGGCGUUUAUGCUUCUUUAGGUAUAAGUUCAAUUAAAAAAAGAACAAAAAUAAAUGAUCAAUUGUUUAAACGAUAAAAGUUAAAAAUCGGGUGAUUCAAAGGAUAUAAUGUGUAAUUUUAUAAAAAAUAAGGAUAUCAUAUAUUAUAUCUUUCUUUGGCACUGUUUUGGUGUGCCAGAAAUGUCUCUUUCUGGGCUACUGUUGAGAUAAAAAAGCACUCCAGCAGCCUGCUAAGAUCCAGCCCAAAUGAAAUAGCCCAAUUGGUUAUGUGGAUAGAUCCCUUUUCCAACAAAAUAAAACUUAUAUUGAAUUAAUAAUUUGAUGGAUUGACCCUAAAAGUGUUGUCUCCAAGGAACAAAGCAUAAAAAAUUACAAGCAUCGAAUAAAUUACACGCAACAGAUUGAUGGUGCUUUUUGGAAUUGCUAGGCUAAUCAGAAAAUGAACGAUCAAACAUAGUAGUGAUGCCUUCAUAAAACGACUCUAUGAGAGGAACUUUUGGAAUUAGAUUAGAUAAAUUUAAUAUGAAAUUGAUUACAGAUGGACUUAGUUUUAAAGAUUUUAGCAAAAUCCUACAAUAAUCUUAAGUUACUACUUUAAUAAAAGCUAGAUUUAUAAUUAGAUAUUUAAUUAGAGUAUUUCUUAAUAUAUAUAUAUAUAUAUAUAUAUAUAUUUUAACUAAAAGUUAUCGAGUUUGAUAAAUAAAGUAACUAGACCGAAGGAUUACAAUUGGAAUGAAUGGAAAAUCAAUAGAUUUUUUAGUUGAAUAUAGCCUCCACCAGAGGGAUAGAAAUGCACCUUUCAUUAAAAUUUUCUUUAGUAGUAUAACAGAUCACAAAUAAAUAUGAUCGAAAAAAUUGAAUCAAACAUUACUAUCUACACAAUUCUAAAAUAUAACAAUUAUUUUGAGCCUGUUGAUCUUCAAAAGAAAAUCUUUGAUUCCAUUCCCCACAUGAACAACCCCAAAAGGUUCAAUUUUCAGAUAUUAAAGAUUAGAUAAUCUUGAAAACACACUUAAUAUUAUUUAUAUCCAUCACACGUUUCAAAAGUUCAUUGAUGUCUCAAACCAACCUCAGCCAGGCCACUAAAAAAAAGAAGAAAAAAGAGGUGACCUUUUGCUCUGUUAUUCUUGAAUAAUGAUUACAAUUUCUUAAAAAAAAAAAAAAACAUUACCCCAUAACCCAAUUGGUAGAAGGAUUGAGGGUGUCCACCAUUACAAAGGUCAUUUGUAUCACCUUUACAAACUUCAAACGCACAAAUCCUGGCUUUAAAGAUCUGGCUGCUGCUUUUCUAUCUUACUUAUCAAAAAGUUCCAUCUUUCUAUAGUCCUGAAUGGUCAAUUUUUUUAGAAUAGUGGUGACUGAGCUAGUUUGUGCGUAUCUAUUAGUCAAUUAAUUUUACUAUGUUAUUUUUUACUAGUAUAAACAUUGAAUAAUUUUAUCUAAUAAAGUUUAAUUAGACAGUUGAGAAUAAAUUACCUUGCAAGACGAGAAGAUGAGAAUAGGUUGAGUUUACCUAACAAUAGUUUUUAUUCGGUGUACGUGUAUUUAUGUUAUAAAAUUUACUAGAUAAUCAUAUAAAAUUUACUAGAUAAUCAUAACUAAAAUAUCUAUGAAUUCACAUAGAAAUUCAUAAACAUUAAAUGUUAAUUAAAUUCGCUUAUAAUAAUCUAGUGUUCACUAUUUUUACUGAAAUUUGAAUAUUGAUCUCUCGUGAUUUAAUUUUCACACAAUAUUAUUGACAACCGUGUCACAUUCUUAGUUGCCUUGAUUCUCAUUCUUAAAGAAAUCAAUAAAUUUAGUACAAAAGGGUUAAUAUAUUAUAAUGUUUUUAUAAUAUAAACUGAGUUAAACUAUCAGAUCAUGAGAAAUAUGAUCUGUUCUUCAUCAUAGUAAACAUUUAACUAUAUAUUAGCUAGUGUGAAAAGAAAAGUAGGGCGGGCGUCAACAAACGGUGUCCGUUGUUCAAGUAAUUUUUUAUAAUUAAAAGUUUGUUCAAUAAUAAAAUUUAACAAUAUGAAAUUAAUUAAGAGAUGACAAGAGAUAAAUGGUAUGCUAAUUUAUAAUCCUAAAUGUAGUUGGGUGCUCAAGAAAAGAUGUGAUUAUUGACUAUUAGGGUCAAGAUUAGAAUGAUAGUAAAUAAAGAUAUAUAUAUAUAUAUUAUUAUAAGGAACAAAAAACCAUUUUGUAUUUGAGUAAAAGGAUUUAUUAAUCAAAUGAAGUGGCUUUUGUUGUGUUGUAUUCACUUUUGGAGACAUAAGAUCCGUUUUGGUGAAAUAAUUUAUACUAGUUUAAGCUUCUUCUAAUUAGCUAGCAUGCCCACCAGAGUACUACCCAUGUGCUAUUUUUGUGGAUAUUAUCCUCCUUUCUCCAUGCAAAGAUUUCCACUUAUCCUUCAUCUCUUCAAAAUUCCUUUUUAACACUAGAAUUACCUGAUAUUCGUCGCUGGCGAAAGGUAUAAGAUAACUAGUAUUUCUUAAAAUAAGUUCAAGGUAUAUGAAAGGUUUUCUGAACAUCAUAAUCAUAAAGAAAAUUUUGAGAAAUAAUGAGUAUAUAGCUCAUAGAUAUUAAUAAGUAACAUUUUUACUUCGUCAGUAGUUAAAUAAUAUAUUCUAAUUUAAGUUCUUUAUAAUAUUUGAUAAAGAACAAUCAAAUUUUAAUUACUUGAAAUAUGCACUUUUGAUUUACUUUCUUGUGAAUAAUCACAAAUUUCCUAGAGAUUAAUGGUACGUUGUACCAUUUAAUUAUUGAGUGUAUGUUAAGUUUACAUUGUCACUCCAUGUUUGGAGAUAGUAAUUUAUUUGUAAAAAAAUAGUCUAAAUUGAACACAAGGGACCAAAAACACAGAUUUUGAUUAAAUAAAUUUCAAUCAUCCAUCAUAAGGAUCAAAAUUAGGAUUCAUUCAUAUUUGAGGAACCAAAAGUGCUAUAGCAUCUCUUUUGUGUUUCAAAUUAAAAAGAAGUUUUUGCCAAUAUUAGAACAACAAAUUGUAUCUUGUCAAAGUCCAAAAAAGAUCUUCAAGGAAAAAACGAUUUUAUUCAGCAUCUUCUCUUACUAUAUAUGUAUUCCAAGUAUUUAUUUUUUUCCUAAAAAUCUUCCAAAAAACCUCAACACGCUAAACCAAUAUAUUUUAUUUUAUUAAAAACAAUCCUUUUUAAUUUUUUUUUUAAAAAACUUUACCAAACAGGUUAUAUGUCACUUCCUAAUUUUUGCAUGCAAUCUUAUGAAGUGAUUUGGUUGAUGAGGUUAAUUACAUUAAUAAUGAUUCGGUUGAUCAUUCAAUUCAUUCCCUUUACUCCCUGCUGAAAUCUAGGCUAAUAAUUAAGCUAGGAAAAUAGAUAAAACUAUACAACAAAUAAAAUUAAAAGGGACUUUGAUAGUAAUCAUAUAAAUGAUUAUAAGAGCAAUGAAAAUAAGAAGGUGAGAGUAAUAAUGAAGGACAAUGAUAUAUAAAAAGUAUGAGUUUGCAAUGGGAUUAUUAGAGACAGAAAUAAAGACAUUUGGACCACAAACAUAGACAGUGAAGCUAAGUUCAUUUUGUGUGUUGGACCACAACUACCUUUUGUUCUAAUGAGGUCUAUAUGGAUACAUUUAAUUAAUUCUGGUAAACUUUCCAACCUAAUUCACAUAUAAUGAACAUGAGGCAUACUGGAUAUUGAAAUCCCUCAAUAACAUCUCAAAAGUUAACAUGGAAUAAUCAUGUCAAAAUAGUUUAGGCCUUAUUUGUUAAUGAAUGGUCACUAAAUUACUAGAAAUUGUGUUAAUAUUUUAUUUAGGACAAAUUAAUCUUCUCACAUCAGCUCAACAACAACAUCACACACAGUGAAAUUUCACUGGUGGAGUGUUUGGAGAAUAAAACCCCUUAUUCCUAUUUGAGGGAUAGAAAAUUAAACUAUUUCUGACAUACCUUAUCACGACAUAGCUUUGUUCCAAUUUUUUUUAUUUUUUUUUUGUUAUUCAUUUAGAUUAAGCUUCUCUAAUAAGUUGGAAACAAUUAAAAUUUGAACAAAUAAGAAUGAUAAAAUAUGAUGAGACAAUGACACAUCAAUUGUACCAUAAUUUUAAGCAUGUUAAAUGCACAAUCUUAUGUCUCUUCACUUUUUGCUCACCAACAGUAAUAAGUAAAGAGAAAUACAUUGUCUAAUCACUAAUGUGUGUGAGAGAGAAAAAAAGGUUAUUGGUUUGGGCUGAAAUCCAGAAGAUUUGGCCCAAUAGAGAAAACUAAUGGGCCCAUUUCUUAUAGUUUGAUGAGCUCGGUCCAGUAUCGUAAGGCCCAACGAAACCAAAAAUUCAAAUUUUCCAGAAAACACGUAAAGGAGCGGCAACGGUCACAAAACACAGCUGGAAAGAAAGCAUUUCAAAUUUCAAAAUUCCACCGGCUAUAAUUCCUUUUUCCCUCUCCUAUAUAAACAACCCAUUUCUUGCAAACCCUAGCUCCUUAUUCAAUUUACUCUUGUCAUAAAUUUCAUCCAUUUUCAUAAAUUUUCGAGUUCGGUUUCUGCAAUUUUCUUACCUAAGAAAAUGAGAGAGUGCAUCUCCAUCCACAUUGGCCAGGCCGGAAUCCAGGUCGGAAACGCCUGCUGGGAGCUCUACUGCCUCGAACACGGUAUCAAGGUUGGUCCCCUUAUUACUCUACUUCAAUCGAUGUAGUCUUAUUUGAAAAAAAUUUUUAGUUAAUUUUUGUAUUGACCGGCUUGUGUUUGAUAAUUUGUCUAGCCUGAUGGACAAAUGCCCGGAGACGUCACUGUUGGAGGAGGAGAUGAUGCUUUCAACACCUUUUUCAGUGAAACGGGUGCUGGAAAGCAUGUACCUCGUGCUGUUUUUGUAGAUCUGGAACCUACUGUUAUUGAUGAGGUGAGGACCGGAACUUACCGUCAGUUGUUCCACCCUGAACAGCUCAUUAGCGGCAAAGAAGAUGCUGCUAACAACUUUGCCAGAGGACAUUAUACAAGUAAGACUCGAUCCCUAACUUUUUUCAUCUUUACAUAUAGGAGUUAUAUUUGUUCAUUUCGUUUUUGUUUAUUUGUUAAUUUUGGUGACAGUUGGGAAGGAAAUUGUGGAUCUGUGUCUUGAUAGAAUAAGGAAGUUAGCUGACAACUGCACUGGGCUUCAAGGAUUUUUGGUGUUCCAUGCUGUUGGUGGGGGUACUGGUUCAGGGCUCGGUUCUCUGCUUCUUGAGAGGCUUUCUGUUGACUACGGAAAGAAAUCCAAGCUUGGAUUCACCAUUUACCCUUCACCUCAGGUCUCUACUGCUGUAGUUGAGCCUUACAACUCUGUGCUCUCAACACACUCGCUUCUUGAGCACACUGAUGUUGCUAUCCUUUUGGAUAAUGAAGCCAUUUAUGACAUCUGCCGUAAAUCUCUCGACAUUGAAAGACCUACUUACACCAAUCUUAACAGGCUUAUUUCUCAGGUAUUUUAUUUGUAGCAUCACACUGUUUUCCUAUUUUGAAAUGAUUUGUUUGAUAUAUUUAUGAGAUGGACUAAAAAAUUGGUUGAUUCUGUAGGUUAUCUCAUCGCUGACAGCUUCUCUGCGUUUCGAUGGUGCUUUGAAUGUGGAUGUAAAUGAGUUCCAAACUAACUUGGUUCCAUACCCAAGGAUUCAUUUCAUGCUUUCCUCAUAUGCGCCUGUGAUCUCUGCUGAGAAGGCCUACCAUGAGCAACUUUCUGUUGCUGAAAUUACUAAUACUGCAUUUGAGCCAUCGUCUAUGAUGGUCAAGUGUGACCCACGCCAUGGGAAAUACAUGGCCUGCUGCUUGAUGUACAGAGGUGAUGUUGUGCCCAAGGAUGUGAACGCUGCGGUAGCCACAAUUAAGACUAAGAGGACCAUUCAGUUUGUGGACUGGUGCCCUACUGGGUUCAAAUGUGGUAUCAAUUACCAGCCACCAACUGUUGUCCCUGGUGGAGACUUAGCCAAGGUGCAGAGGGCUGUUUGUAUGAUUUCAAACUCGACUAGUGUUGCUGAGGUCUUCUCAAGAAUUGACCACAAGUUUGAUUUGAUGUACGCGAAGAGGGCUUUUGUUCACUGGUAUGUGGGUGAAGGUAUGGAGGAAGGAGAGUUCUCUGAGGCUAGAGAAGAUUUGGCUGCGCUUGAAAAGGACUAUGAGGAAGUUGGAUGUGAGUCUGGUGACGGUGAAGAUGAUGAAAAUGAAGAGUAUUAGGUUCAUUUCUCCAUGUAUUUUGCUUGGAUGAUUAUGUAGCCAAUGGUCUCAUUGGUACCUAAAAUUAGAAGUGGUUCAUAUUCAGUAGGUUCAUGUAUUUGAUUUAACUUUCUUCUGAAAACUUACUUUGCUAUUUUCAACUUCUUAAUCUCUCUGUUGUCUCAUCAAAUAUCCAAUUAUGUCAACUAAUUUAUUGGAAGUCAUCAAUUCUUUCCAAAUACAUUGAUGUUGAUAUAUUCACCAUACUAACGUACGUGUUCAUUAACUUUUUGUAAAUUGACGGGUAAGUAGUCACUACACUAUUCUCAUAACGUUGCUUAUCAACUACGUUUUUGGUAUUUCAAUAUUUUAAUAUACAUAGUGGAGUUGGAGAUUCCGUCUAUUUUCUUCCUACGUAUUGUACAUCAAAAUAUACAUAACGGAAGUGAUAAGAUAGUAACUUCAUCUCCAUCUCUAUUUACGUCAUCCCUUUUUCCUCUAGGCGGUGCUAUGGCCCUAUCCCCAAGCGUAGUUUUUAAUCUUCCUGUUCCAAUCAAGCAGAGUAAUAAUUAAUUAACCGGUUAAUUUACAAGAUUUUUCGUAUUCUACAAAGCGAUGAAAGAUUCUACAGUAAUAAAUUAUACUACUACUAAUCAUUCAUCAACAAGUGGUAAUUCAAUUGAAUUUCAAUAGAAGAGAAAAAAGUCCAUUAAAACCCCUGCCGGACGCUAUAUUAGAAAUUCAAAGACCAGUGAGUACUUGUGCAUUCACCGCGUUUAUAAAAAAUUGUCAAAUUUUGAAUCCGUCAAUGGAAAAUAAACAAGAAAGGAUAGUCGAACUCACCUAGUUAGCAGACUUGAUUGGCGUUUUUCCACCAAGUGGUGAAGCAGGCAACAUAGGCCUGGACAACAUAAAAACAGAAGCAACAUCCUGAUCAACAACUCUCUCCCUAAGCUUCUUAGCUAUAUCUUCCCCAAGCUGUGAAUCCUCUGCUCUAAUUCUCAUAAUUUGGCUAUGAAUAUAUGCAUUCAUUUUGCUAGCACGGCUAUACUCAAUCUCUCUUUCUUGAUUAGUCUCCAUUUGUGAGUGUUGAUAUAUCAUUAUGGAUCCAAAUUUAUAUCGAGGAAAAAGGAUAGAUGAAUAUUUGAGGCAAGCAAGUGAUGGUAAAGAAAACAAAACUAUGCCGCUUUGUUUUGUCAUGGUUAUAUUGGGAGUAUUUAUACUAGUUAUACAUGUGUCCUCUCUUAAUUACAAAUGAUAAUCAUAAAAUUUGUGCUGCAUCGGGAAGCUGACUUACCUGUUGAGUUACGCAUUUUAGGUGGAGCUAAAAUUAAGCCUUUUUUCAUCUUGUUGACACGUGUAUAGCCAUUUUUUAAUUUACACAUCUACUUCAUUUGUUGACAAGUCAUAUAUGCUAUCUCAUCGUCUCAUUUUAAUUGUGAUUUGAUAAAAAGAUUUUUUAAUUAAAAAGAUAUUAAAAUAUUAUUCAAUUUUAUAAUCUUAAAUAUAUAUUACUUGUAAAAUUAAUUUAUUUCAAGCUCAUUUUAUAAACUAACAAAAGUAUUAUUUAAUCUAUUCAUAUUUCAAAGUUCAAACUAGUAGUUUGAAUAUAGUUGACUAAAUUGACAGGUUAUAUUGAUUGAAUUAAACAAAUAGCAUCUUGAUUUCACAUAUAGAUUAAUCUUUUUUUAAUUAAUAAUGGAACGUCUAUUCAUGAAGUUAAUCCCUACAUUUGAAUAUAAAAUAACAUGUGAGGACCUUGAAUAUAGCCUAAGUGGGCUACAAAUAUUGGAUGGGAGGUCUAUAUCGAAUCUGCACAGUCCCAACAGAGUUGCCAAACAAUCAAGAAACUGAUGAAGACAAAUAUUUUUACAAUAAUUCAACUACUAGUGGUGUCCAAAUUGCAAGGUAAUUGCAAUUAUGGGUGGGUCAAUGUUCAUACAAGGAUUUAUACGUGAGAGGAAAUUGGAAAACAAGUGGCAUCUUUUUUAGCUAUGAAAUAAAAAAAUUAGAAUAUGAUAGAUAUUUCAAAAUUAGGCUUUAAAUUUUGACAAUCGCUCUCUAUAAUAUAUCGACAUAUUUAGAUUACCAGACACGUGGAAUUAUUGGAAAGUUCAAAAAACUUCUGUUCUUAGGCAAUUGCGUAUUAACCUAAUACUGGUAAAUCAAGUCAUUUGUUACCGGUUGAUGUUGUUUUUGUACUUUGAUCAUAGUACGUUUUGUUAUAGUUAUUGUUCAAUGAUAAGUAUAUUUGUGAUGAUUUUUCUUUCUAUUUCAUGACUGUUUUGAUUUAGAAAUAAGGUUUACAUAUAAUUUAUUUCAGAUUUCGAGUUCAUAAAAUGAUUUUUUUUUUAGUCUGUUUCAAAAAGAAUUAUCUAUUUCUUUUUUUGGUAAUAACUUUUCACGUGACAUAUUUAAGAUCACAAAAUUAAAUGUCAAUUUUAUACAUUUAACAUAGCUUUAAUUUAACAUCACAAAAUAAUUUCUUUUUUUAUUUUUGUAAACUUCGUGCCAAAUCAAAUUAGACUAUUGCUUGUGAAACAGAAAAAAUAUUGAAUAUGAUAGAUAAAAUGAUUUUCCAUCAAACUCAAAAUUGUUCAGUACUCUUCAUCCUCUUUCUCAAUGUUCAUUGAAAUGACAAGCAGCAGCCACCUUAAAAGUAGACUUUAGGAUUCUAUUGGUUGAUGACUAUUCAAUAAUGCAUCUAAAGAGUCUUAUCUUUUGAUGAAUAUAUUUAUUUAUUGUACCUAGUAAUAGUAAAUUAAAGUUACGUCGUCGACCAAUGUUGCAGCUACAGAAGUCAUUUACCAAAAUAUUUGUAUAUAUUUUAUAUACGGAUCGCAGUUUUUAUGUCUCUUUCAAGGUAUCGUAGGAAAUUAAUUUGGCAAAGCUAUGGAUAAACGGUCAUGAGAUUGCCACAUAAUAUACCAACAAUUAUGGGAUAUUAGGCACUUUACCAGCACAAAUUAAUUAAGGCUGAAAAUCCAUUUAUGUGAUUUACUGAAGUUUGAAUGUUGGGUUACCGUGUUAUAUUCAUCAUGCUCUAAAAAUUCAAGCGAUAAAUCAAAUUAAAGUAAAUCUUAAAAUAGACUAGAAUUGAGAUAAGAUGAAAGUCACUUUAAAAAUAAAUUAUGAAAUGCAAGCUAAAAAAUUAUAAAAUUAUAGCACAAUCCAUUACUUUUUCUUUCUUUUUAGGAUUGAGGGGAAUAAAAACAGAGGAUUGGAAAUUGUUCCCUUCAUAAAUAUUUAAACAAUAGGGAAAAUUAAAAGUUUACGCAAAUAUAUAUUAGAUAAUUAGUUAUUAUAAUUAUAGUUUUUAGUUAAUUAUUGUGUACGUUCACUCGUUAACUUUGAAAAACAUCAUAUAUAUAUAUAUAUAUAUAUAUAUAUGAUGUUUCGAAACGGGAAGAAAUUAGAAUAUAAUUAUAUCUCUAUAUUUAGAAACGGAAAGAAACCUGAAUAUGAUUAACAGUGCACCGCGAAGAGCAUAGAAAUGUCUUAUACUGUUUCUAUAAGGCAAAGGAACCACCUGUGAAACUAGGGUCCGAAUUAAGCUAGAGCAUUAUUAUUAUUUUUAUUUUAAAUUUAGCUUAGAUAUCAUAUUUAGUGGAUCCGAAGUCUUCAAUCCUGAUUUGGACUGGGGUUUCGAGUUUGUAUGAUUCAGAAUUUGUAUAACGCAAUUUGUAUAACUUUUGUAUAAUAUAACGCAUGAUUAAAUUUAGGGAAGAUUGUAUACAAUAGUAAUGUGAUAACCUAAAAUAAGUGAAGUCGCUAGGGUUUGAUUUAAUUGUGUUUCAUAGCAAACGUUUGCAAAAAAUUGUCAGGCGCCUCUCUCCCAAAUAUCUCGCUCGCCACUCUUCUCCAAUCUCUCGCUCGCUUCUUCACUUUUUAUACAAACACAAGUGUAUAAAAAUUGUUUCUAAUUGUAUAAAGCAGAGAAAAUUGUAUAAAUACAUAUAUUUUUGUUCCCCUCUCUCCCCUCUUCCAGAUCUCGCUCGCCACCCUCGCCUUUCUCACUUAUACAAACAAAAGCGAAAUGUAUAAAUUGUGUUUCUGUUUGUAUAAAUCGUGAGAAAAUUGUAUACACACAUGCAAAUACAUAUAUUUUCGUCCUAUGCACUUAUGAUUAUACAAUAAAAAUACUCCCUUGCCCAGUUUCUUUCGCCUUUCUCUCUUUCUCGUUUUAUACAAUUUUCAAAUUGUAUCUAAUUUCUCUCUUUCUUGUUUUAUACAAUCCGAUUCAAUUGUAUAUUCCUUGUCAAGUCUCUUUUGUCUUUCUCUAUUUCUCAUUUUAUACAAAUUCAAAUUGUAUAUAAUCGUUCUAUACACUUAUAAUAAUACAAUUCGUUUUAUACACUUCGUUUCUAUACAGUUCUCUGUCCAAAUAUAUUUCUCUUUCUUGUUUUAUACACUUCGUUUUAUACACUUAGAAGCUUUACAGCUUCCUCCACUCACCUCCACGGGCGAAUAGAGUCUACUAGACUAGCCAAGAAAGAGUGAGGUAGACUAUAUUCUAGGUCAUUCGGAAAGGCUCCGUAUAAUUUUGGGGUUGCUUCAACUGUAUAUGUAUAGCGAAUUAUACAGUUUCUAUGUUUCCUAUAGAGCACAAUUAUGCAAACUUUGCUAUAACAUACAAAUAUGAAUUUUUUUUAUUUGUUAUAUGUGAAAAUUGCCCUUAAAUUUAUUGUAUUGACUAUUUCCGAAAAUUCUCCGACUUAUAAAAUGGAAAUAGCAAAAGUCCAUUAUCCACCUGAUAUUCUACCAGCCCAAUAAUUGGUGUGGGCCUACGACAGGAAAAUUGGAUUAUGAUCCACAAGACCAGAACAUUUCAAUGGGAAAUAACCCAUCUGUCUUCCAUUGUUCCUUGCUAUCCAUAUACUUAUAGCUUUUAUUUAGAAUAACUUAUAAAAAUGUACAUUUAGGAGGAUAUUGAAGUUCAAUAACAAAAUUGUGUCAAAUUUUAACCGCAUGUUAUUAAUUUAUUAUUAUUAUUAUUAUUAUUAUUAUUUAUAUAGUAAUCUUACAAUGUAUUAAAUAAGGUAUGAUAUAUUAUUAUAACUGUCAAUCUUUUAUCACGUCUCUAGAUCAUACGAAAUGCAUAUCCCAUUUCAUUCACGUAAUUCAAAAUUAAGUUGUAUUUAUGAAUGUAUUUAUAAAUCAUAAAUAUAAUAUAUUCACUAAAUACAAAUUAUAAACGUGUUCAUGAAAUUUUUAAUAUAAAGAGUUAUUUUUUUCUCGCUGUUUUUUUUAUAUGUUUUCUAUUUUUCUAUUUAUACAUUAAUACAAUUGUAAUUACAAUAACUAAAUAAGGAAAAUGUAUUACUUGUACAAUUAGCACGUGAAUUCAAUGGUGUUUCUAUUUAUAAAACUUAAAGUAAUAAUAUAUCAAUUGUAUAUAACUAUGUAUAAGAAUUUAAUGUAUUAAUACAUCAAACAAAGUAAAGUAGUACAAUUUUAGCAUAUGAAUACUACAAUUUGAAAAAUGCAUGGAUAUACUAUUGUUAAACCAAAAAUGAAUACACCACUACAAUAUACAUAUGAAUACAUUGUUGUUAAUAAGAAAAAUAGAAAAACAAUAGAAUGUGUAGGUAUCAAAGUGAGUAAGUAUUCGACUGUAUAAAAAAUUGAAAAAACCAACAAAACAUCAGUCUCUUAUUGGUCAGUUUUUCCUAUAAUACUUGAGGUUUGGUGCUGACGUAGGUAUUUGCUUAUUUAUAAAAAUAUAGUAUUAAUGUAUCUAACUAUACUUGUAUUGGCUAAUCAACCUCUCAAAUUGGAUAUAUUACUUAUGUAUCCAAAUAUAAUUGUAUUCACGGAUCAUUUUUUCAACUUGUGUGAGUAUUAUAAUACAGUUAUAUAUGUAUAUAAAUUUGACAAACAAUAAAAUUCUCUCUCGACACUCUUUGCUAACAACAGUAACCUAGAGGCUCCACUAAACUUGGGGUAUCCCCGAGCUCCAUCUCAUAGAGCCACUAGGGAAUCUCUCAUCGGCGCACCGGGACAAGGAGAACAAUCCAAUAGUAGAGGUGACACUCAUCGCAAUAAGAUAUGCAAUUCCUUCAUGGAAAGAAAAGUAUAAAAGCAAUAUAAUUUUUGUGAAAAACAAAUUCAUCAAUCAAAACCCUAUAAAAAUAGAUGAAAAUAGACGAAUACAAAUAAAAAUUUCAUAAACUAAGGGAAAAAAUCAAUUAGAAAAUAUGUAAGUGAAUUCAAAUCACAAAAAUCGUUACUAGAAUCAUACAAAAGGGUCUUGAAUUGAAAGAAAUUUAAGGAUAUUGAUGAAAGAGAAAAGUAUUAACGAGGACAUAAUUACUUAUGAGUGUUAUAAAAACUUUCUCAAUUUAUAUAUAUAUAUAUAUAUAUAUAUAUAUAUAUAUAUAAACUGAUUGUUGAUAUAUAAUUAAAUUUGCUAUUUAUUGUUUAGUUAUAUUCAUAUAAAAUAAUAAAAAUAAACUAUAGCUAUUUAUUUCAAAUGUAUAUUGGCGUUUGCCAUAUUCUAUAGAUUUUCCUCUUAUCUAUUUAUUUUGAUCAAAUCUUGAUUCCCCUUAUAUUUUAUAUUCAUAAUUAGUAAAUUUUAAUUAAAAUCUCAGAUAUGGGAAUGAAAUUGUAUAUCGUAUCACCCUUUCUAAUUUUUUAGGCAAUUUUCAAUUUUCAUUCACCGUAUCCUCUCUUUCAUUUCAAUUUAUGUUCUUUCUUAAAUAUCUUGUUCAUAUUCCUCUACUAGCCCAAAAUAUCACGAAUAUUACGUAAAUUUUUCGAGAUUAAAAUAAAUUUAUUACAUUUGAUUCUUUGUUAUUGAUAUCUCAUAUAUGAUGAAGAAAUUGUAUAAUGUAAUUACCAUGUGUAAUCUUUUGAUCGUCAUUCAUUCACUUCAUAGCCUCUCUCGUUAUAAUUUAGGUUCUUCCUUAAAAUUUUGUGUCAAUAUUUUUCUACUAACUCCAAAUAUCUCAAAUAAAGUUUACAUCAUUUGAAAUAGAAACAAUAUUAUUGCGUUUGGUUCCCUAUAUCAAUAUCUCAUAUAUGAAAAAGAAAUUUGUAUAUCAUAAUCACCUUCUGUAAUCUUUUGAUCAAUUUUCAUUCACUUCAUAGUCUUUCUCGUUGCAGUUUAAGUUCCUCCUUGACUUUUUGUGUCAUUAUUUCCUUAUUAACACCAAAUAUUUCAAAUUAAUUGUAAUUUUUCGAGAUUAAAAAUAAAUUUAUUCUAUUUAAUUUCUUGUAUCAAUAUCUCAUAUAUGAGAAAGAAAAGGUAUACUAUAAUCACCCUAGGUAAUAUAUUGAUCAACUUUCAUGCACUUAAAAGACUCUCCAAUUGGAAUCUAGAUUCUCUCUUGAUUUUUUGUUUCAAUUCCCUAUUUAUCUAACAUAUGAGAAUUAAAUUGUAUAUCGUAUCAUCAUUUAUAUUUUUUCAAACAACUUCUUCGUUGUGUUUGAUUCCCUGCAUAUAUCUCAUAUAUGAUAAGAAAAUUGUAUAUCGUAUCACUCUCUAUAUUCUUUCAGGCAACUUUCGUUCACUUCAUUGCUUCUUCCAUUGCAACCUAGGUUCUUCCUUGAACUUCUUUAUCGAUAUUUUCCUGUCAGCGCCAUUUGUUUCGAAUAAACUGUAGCUCCUUUGAAAGAGGAAAUAAAUUUGUUGCGCUUGAUUCCCUGUAUAAAUAUCUCAGGUAUUUUUAACCCUCUGUAUUUUUUCCGGGUAUUUUUAUCAACUUCAUCGCCUUUUUCAUUGCAAUUGACACUCCCGUUAGCGCAAAAUAUUUCAGAUGAACUAUAACUCCUCUGAAUUGAAAACAAACUUAUCGCGUCUGAUUUCUUGUAUGAAAAUUUCACACAGAAGAAAGAAAUCAUAUAACAUAUCACUCUGUGUAAUCUUUUCGACAAUAUUUAAUGAACGAUUUUAAUUUAUGUAAAAAUAACAGAUUUCGUAUCUUCAUGUUUGAGUAAAACCGCGCAAUUAUAUCACUAUCAAUGAUAAAUAUGCACCAAUUAUAGUACACUUCUGUAAAAAAAAAAACUCCAAUUAGACUACAAAAUUUGAAAUUCUCAAUUUGAUGAUGCUUUUGCACUUGGAAUUUGGUGGGCCAUUUUGCCGGGCUUUGAAGUCCCAAAUAUAGACUGAAAAACCCAAAACAGGAAAAACGAGACUCUGAGGGGUAAAUGAACAACAUAGAAAUAAGAAAUGAUUGAAAUAUAAAUAACAAUGACAGAUAGGAAGAAAGCAGUGUAACAUAGAAGAAAACGCUCAAAGUUUCAACCGACCAAAAAUGGCUCUCCGGUUAGCCAUCUUCUUGUUAAUUCAUCAAUCUUCUUCUUCUGAUAAUUUCAAAGUUCAAUUCCAUUUCUAAUUUCUUAAUCGCUAAAGUAUCUUUCCCUAAUUUUUUGAUUUUUUUUUUCAUUUGCAGAGAAACCCUAAAUCCCUAAUUAUUAGAUCGGUGAUUAAAAACCUGAUCGGUCGAUUUCGGGUUAUUGACGGGUUUAGUAAGUUUAGAUUGUGGAAGUUGGAAUAUUCAGGCAGCGUGUGACUUCGGAAAUUCAGAAAAAUGAGUGCACCGAAGAAAAAAAAUUUCCAGAUAGAGGCAUUUAAGCAUCGGGUUGUUGUGGAUCCGAAGUAUGCUGAAAAAACUUGGAAGAUCCUUGAACAUGCGAUUCAUGAGAUUUACAAUCAUAACGCUAGUGGUUUAAGUUUUGAAGAGCUCUACAGGUUUGCUUCUUCCUUUCUUUGUUUUUUUUUGUUUAAGAUUUUCCUUUGGUGAUGUUGCUACUUGUUAUAAUUUGUUUUAUUAGCGCAGAAGUAAUUGUUUGUAUUCUGAUGUUUGAGGGAGAAUUAAUAGCUGUUAAAUUACUCAACACAUAGGCACCCAAGGAUGCGGUAUAGUGGUCAAUGUAGUAAGUCGAGAAUCAUGAGUUCUCAGGUUCCGAAACCCAGCAGAAGUGAAAACACUAGUAGAUAUAUUUUCAUCUGUCUUAGUUUCGGGGACAUAGUAACUUGGUACCUGUUACUGGGCGAGGUUAAUUUUGGUCUGAUGACUGUAUUAGAGACUUGGAACUAUUAGGAUAAAUACUAGAAUAUGGAUUAUAACAAGUUAAUUGGUAGUAGUCCAUUUAGUCUAUUUGUAGGUUGGUAUAUUAGAGAACCCUAAAUAAUUGUUAUUUUGGAUGUGCUUUUUUAUUUAAUACCUCUUUGUUCCACCCGAUCAGGCUCCUUUCCAUGCUGACGGUUGCAAGAGGAGGAUUUGUGGUUACAAUUUUGACCAUAAUUUAUUAAAAUGUGAGUCACGGUUAGGUUGACAUUGAUGCAACAUAAAAAGCUGAUACCUCAGGCUGGUUUGGCAAAUGUAGAUGUUCUUAUUUUAUCAGGAGGAAAAAAGUUACCUCAUUCCACCUAAGUAAGUUUAAUCGUUGUAGUUAAUUUUGCGAGAAUAUUUUCAUUUGAGGGGAAGGAAAUGCAGUAUGAUAUAGAGAUACUAUUAUGUCGGUUAGGGGGAUACAUAUGCAGUCCUUGUAGAUUCACACAAAAAAUACCGCACAGGACGUUUAUUGUUGAAGAUUGAGCUUUAGAGGUUUUUCUUUUAAUAAGUGGACUAGAUAACUUUGUAAAAGGUCUUUCUCUUCGUAUUAGACUUCUGAAUAGCAACGUGAUAAUUUAUAUGGAAGUAUGCUCCUCUUUUAAGUACACACUGCUAUCUGUGUCUAUGUCAUUUACGUGCAAGUAUUAAGUUAUUCCUUGCCCUUUUAAGUCCAAACUGUUCCUGUUUAUUCGGUUAAGGUAUAUUAUAGGUGGUAUAGCACUUGUCGUCAAAAGACUUGUUAGCUUUUUUGCCAAAUGUUUUCGUGCAUAAACCACACAACUUCCCAGUUGACAUGAACAGAUAGUUUCAAUAUAUCACUUCACAUACCAUUUAUUGGGGAAUGGGAGUUUAGAUGUUUAUACAAUUACUUGCUUUAAUCUUUUUCUUCUGUAAUUGAGCUUAGUGACAAGUUCUAUUUCUUGUAUUUUAAGGAGGCAAUCUACCACCUUUAUUUUGAUAGUUUUUUCUUCUUGAAUAUCCGUCUUAUUACUUUGAUGUUCUUAUUAUCUGAAAUAUGAGCAGAAAUGCAUAUAACAUGGUACUACACAAAUUUGGGGAGAAGCUCUAUUCAGGACUUGUCUCAACUAUGACAGCACAUUUGAAGGAAAUUGCAAAACAUAUUGAAUCUACACAGGGAGGGUUGUUUCUUGAAGAACUGAAUCGGAUAUGGGCAGAGCAUAACAAGGCACUGCAAAUGAUUCGAGAUAUAUUGAUGUAUAUGGAUAGAACUUUCAUUCCUAGUACUCACAAAACACCUGUUCAUGAGCUUGGUUUGAAUUUAUGGAGAGACAACAUCAUCCACUCUAGCAAAAUACACAAAAGGCUUCAGGACACACUUCUUGAACUAGUUCAGCGUGAGAGGACUGGUGAAGUGAUAAACAGGGGUUUGAUGAGGAACGUAAUACAAAUGCUAAUGGAUUUAGGGUCUUCAGUAUACCAAGAAGACUUUGAAAAACCGUUUCUUGAUGUCUCGGCUGAUUUCUAUCGACUUGAGUCUCAGCAAUACAUUGAGUGCUGUGAUUGUGGGGAUUAUCUGAAGAAAGCUGAGAAACGUCUCAUGGAAGAGAUUGAAAGAGUGUCCCACUAUUUAGAUACAAAAAGUGAACCCAAACUUACUAAUGUCGUGGAGAAACAGAUGAUUGAAAGCCAUAUGCACAGGCUGGUUCAUAUGGAGAACUCGGGCUUAGUGAAUAUGAUCGUAAAUGACAAGUACGAAGAUUUAGGAAGGAUGUACAACUUGUUGCGAAGAGUGUCAACUGGGCUUGCACUGAUUAGAGAUGUCAUGACUUCUCAUAUUAGAGAAAUUGGGAAGCAGCUUGUCACUGAUCCAGAAAAGUUGAAGGAUCCUGUAGACUUUGUGCAGAGGCUUUUGGAUGAGAAGGAUAAGCAUGAUAAGAUCAUUAGUUUAGCAUUUAACAAUGACAAAACAUUCCAGAAUGCUCUCAAUUCCUCAUUUGAGUUCUUCAUUAAUCUGAAUCCACGAUCACCAGAGUUCAUCUCUUUGUUUGUGGAUGACAAACUUCGGAAAGGGCUGAAAGGGGUUACUGAGGAGGAUGUAGAGAUCAUAUUAGACAAAGUGAUGAUGCUCUUCCGCUACCUUCAGGAGAAAGAUGUGUUUGAGAAGUACUACAAGCAGCACUUGGCAAAGAGGCUACUCUCAGGGAAGACGGUAUCUGAUGACGCAGAAAGAAGUUUGAUAGUUAAGCUUAAAACAGAAUGCGGGUACCAGUUCACCUCAAAACUGGAAGGCAUGUUUACUGAUAUGAAGACCUCACAGGAUACAAUGCAGGGUUUUCAUGCUGCUGUGGGUGCUGAUCUUGCAGAGGGUCCUUCACUUACUGUCCAGGUUCUUACUACUGGGUCCUGGCCAACACAAUCUGUUAAUACUUGCAAUCUUCCUUCGGAAAUCUUAGGGGUCUGUGAUAGGUUCAAGACAUACUAUCUGGGGACCCAUACGGGUAGGAGGUUGUCAUGGCAGACAAAUAUGGGGACUGCUGAUCUGAAAGCUACAUUUGGGAAGGGACAAAAGCACGAGCUUAAUGUUUCCACUUAUCAGAUGUGCAUCCUUAUGUUGUUCAACAAAUCGGAUCGAAUGAGUUACAAAGAAAUUGAACAGGCUACAGAAAUACCAGCUUCAGACUUAAAGAGGUGCUUACAAUCUCUCGCUUGUGUCAAGGGGAAGAAUGUUUUGAGGAAGGAACCAAUGAGCAAGGAUAUUGCUGAAGAUGAUGCCUUUUACUUCAACGAUAAAUUCUCGAGCAAGUUCUACAAGGUGAAGAUAGGUACUGUUGUUGCACAAAAGGAGUCAGAACCUGAGAAACAGGAGACUAGGCAGAGAGUGGAGGAGGACCGAAAGCCACAGAUAGAGGCAGCAAUUGUCAGAAUCAUGAAAUCUCGGAGGGUGCUAGAUCACAACAAUAUAGUUGCUGAAGUAACAAAGCAGCUACAGUCUCGAUUCCUGCCAAACCCAGUUGUCAUAAAGAAACGAAUUGAGUCUUUGAUUGAGCGUGAAUUCUUGGAGAGGGAUAAAACAGAUAGGAAGUUGUAUCGUUAUUUGGCUUGAAGAUGCCACAGGCACUGAACCUGUGAUUUUUUGGGGAUUUGUUGGGCCUUAACUUGUCACAAUGUAAGUUUGAAUGUUUAUCAAGUCACUUGGUGCCCAGGCGGGCUUUAAUGACAGUUGUUUGUUGGUACAACACAUCCAUUUUAUUUUACUUUUUCCGUUCUACUUGUUUGCAAUUAUCGACAUCUGAACUAGAUAAGCUUACAAGUCUCAGAGAGAACACUGGGUAACUUGAACUGGAAUGGGUUUAAUAUUAAUAGUAGAUGCCAUGUUAAAUAUUAUGCAGCAAUUUUUGUAAUAAUCAUGUGCAGCAGAUGAAUUUUUGAGAACAAUUAUAUGAAAGAUGUGGUUGAUAAAUUUAAUACGACGUGAGAAAAGAACUAUACGUGUGAUAGAACUACUGUUUAGAAAAAAAAAAUGAUUUGGUGUAUUUGGGAUAACGCAUAAUGUUAGUUGUUUGAAAAAUUUAUUUUCGAGGUGGGUUUCCUUUUUGUGUUUGAUUAAAUGUUCAGGUAAUUAAUUUAACUUAUAUAUAAGGUGGAACCUGUGUAAUUGUUUGCUGAAGUAAAUAUCAUAUUCAAAAGAAACAUGACUGGUGCCUAUUAAGUUUCAUGUAUUUAAUUAAUAGCACCUAUUGAUAAUGUUAAAUAACAAAGUAGUAGACUUCACGUGAAUAAUUCUUCACGAAGAGCUCGGUUCUUUCCCUGAAAUCCUUCCUCCAAAGUUUCAAAAUGGGGAAGGAAAUAAAAAGUUGAGUCCAAUUUGCUAAAUUUAGUAACAAAACGACACCCUAAAGAGGAAUUAAAAGACCCAAUUUCCGCAAGCGUUACUAUAUCUCCAACACGCUAUUCAUGUUCCAUCUAUAAUCAACAAAUGCGGAUCUAAAAUUUAAAUCUAUUAUUAAUUGCAAUUUUUACGUAUAAAUUUAUAUUUUGCAUCAAACACCUUCCGUCCCCGCAAUUAGUAUAAAUACUCUAUUCCAUCUCCUCAACCUAGAGACAAUUUGAAGAAAAAGAUGAAAGGAAUUUUAGUGAGUUUGUUUAUGUUGCUAGUUGUGGUAGUGCAACUAGGAGAAUCGAUUAAUUGUGGUGAAGUUGGUGGAGCACUAGCCCCUUGUGUGCCUUAUUUGACACAAGGUGGAGAUCCAUCAGUUUCAUGUUGUGAUGGUGUGAAAAAAGUGGUAGAAACAACUCCAACACAACAAGAUAGGCAAGUUGCUUGUGAAUGUAUGAAAUCUGCUGCUGCUCGUUAUCCUAAUGUUAAACCAGAUGCUGCAUCUAAUCUCCCUUCACGCUGUGGUCUUACUACUCCUAUCCCAAUCUCUCCUACUAUUAACUGCAAAAGGUAUUUACAUUCACACUACUACCACUAUUAGCCAUUACCCACACAAAUCAUAGAUUCGUCUCUGACUAUAUAUGCUCUCUUUUCUUAUUGCGCGCAGCGUUCCUUGAAAUCAUGGAAAGAAGAUUUUGCAAAUGCAAUAUUAACCUAACGAGUGCAAAAUAUGGUACUCCUAUGAAUUGUGUGUAUGUAUGUACUGCUAUUUAACAAUAUUAUAAAAGUAAAUAUGUCUACCUACCUCUUUUCUUAUCUCUUUCCUAUUAAUUCAUAGAAUAUGAUCUGUCCAAUUACUCCGUCAUUCACGCAUUUAAUAACUCAAGCUAUUUUAAUCCGCUCAAAUUGGACAAACUCAUCUAUUAAGUGCUAAUGAACUUGGAUUGUAUACAAUCAGAUUACUUACGAAAUAUUUAUAUACAAAGAAUUUUCAUGCAAACGCCAAAAAGGAAGUUAAAUAAUCUGUGUGGCGCCUCAUGAUAAUGUUGCGGCUAACUUUUGGAUGGAUGAAUGUGAAUAGAGGUUAUAAUCUUGGUGAUGCUGUUCACGUUAACAUCAACGUAUGUUUUUUUUUCUACAAUUAUUUGGUGUGUUAUAUCCUGUUAUUUUCACGGAUGAAACCAUAAACUUAAUAAACAAUGGAUGGGGUCCUCUAGUAACUGUAAUUUUAUACUAUUAUGUAACAAAAGAGCAGUCAUUAACCAAACCAAAAUUUGAUAUAAUUAAGUAAAAUGUCUUGUUAAUUACUUGAAGAUUGAUGUUCGAUCAUAUUGUAACCAUAAGACAACGAAUAUUACACAAGGAAUAGAAUGAUACUGUUUUGCAAUGAAUUUUAAUUACAAUCACAAAUAAAAAUGAAAAAUAUAUAUUUUAUUCAUAAAUAUUUGUGAGUAUAAUAAUUCUUUUCUUUUUUUGAGUCUAUCUCUGAGAAUUUUCUCUUUUAAUUUACCUUUGAGGGUUAUUACUUGUUAGUAACGUAUUUUUGAAAAUUUGAUCGCUACGAACGUCGGGUUAAUCUUGAGAAAGAUUCCCUUUUGAUUACUUCAGAUUUGAGAACAAUUAAUUAUUUGAUGUUUUGAUUUUUUUUUUUUGGGUCAUGAACAUCCAAUUUAUGAUAUUCGAAAUUUGUUUUCGAGAAAAUAUGUUUUCUUUUUACCGGCGUUAGCUAGCCUCUAAGUAACCCUAAGGACCUUAAUUAGAGGUAGAGUUUUAUUUUAAAUCCAUUAAAAAUUCGAUCUGUUUGCUCUAAAGAUUCAGCACAUGGUGUCAAAAUCACAUAUAUUGGUUCUAUUUUUCUCCAACAAAAAUGAUCCUGUUAGUGCUGGCAGAGUAGGAUUGAUCUAUAAUAUGAAACUUCUAAAUUAAGUAAAAUUAUUCUAUCUAAAAAAAUAUAUUAAACCAAAUAUCCCUAAUUAAAUCUUAACCUUACUAUAUAUAUUUAAGUAAUGUCUCACAACGAGAGCAUUAGUUUAUUCGUGAAAACUGUCUCUAACUUUAGAAGCAUAAAAUAAUUUCUCCCCCCCCCCAAUAUUCCAUCAAUAUAUUUAUGCCUGCCAUAUAUUUUUUUAACUUCUGGUGAUGUUAAUUGAUUUGCCAACGAUGUAUAAUAACAAAACCAAUCAACUAGUCUUUGUGGGCCAUCUCAAUCUAGAGUAAUGUAUAAAAUCUUUUAAUCAAACAACAUUAUCACUUUCUAAAAUUAUAUUCGGUGUUAAAAGUAAUGCUUUUUCUCAUCCUACUUAACUUAUACAUGAUCAUCAUCAGUAUAAUCUCUUUUAGUAUCUCAAAGUAAUUAAGUGUAUACAGAUUUUAUCUCUAUCUUAAAAAUAGAAUUUUUUCGGAUAAAUAUAAUAUUAAUGGACUCGCAAGGCCAUAUACCUUUUGGUUUAGUUACAAAGUAAAACAGUACCCCUACGUUCCUGGGCAAUAAUUACAACUAUACUACCACUCAAUCCUCUAACACAUGGUGUAUAAUAAUUGGCACAGAAAAAAAGUGUGGUUAGCUCAUGUUACAAGAUGAACUUUGACUUGCUCCUUAAAUUGGAAAUUGAAAUUAACUAAACGAAAACCAGAAACGUUAAAAGAGUUGGUAUUGAAGAACUUCGAUUCCCCCAUUAAUUAUUAUAGUAUGUGAAUUGGUUAUAUCUUAAUUAUAUUAUAUGCUCUUCAGCCAGCAGACAUGGGAUUAGCAAUCUUAUGCAAGGUUUCCACUAAACAUUGUCUAUAUAAGGCUUAUGCAUAUCGAUAAAUGAUUGCAACUAUGGGAAAGCUUCAAUUUAUUUUCAAUACUAACUAUAAUUUUUUAUUUUUUUUGUAAUGAAGAUCGAUAUGAUGUAAUUCAAUUUUUCAAUUUAAUUUUGAGUUAUGAAAUUCUUUUGUAGUUGGAUGACUCCUAGCUAAGCUAGUAUAUGUAUGUUUUUUUUCCAAUAAUAGAAAUAAUGAUGAAAAGAUUAGAGAAGCAGUCAACGAUAUUACUAUAUAGUAGGUGAGCUGCUCGUUGGUAUAUAGUUUGCACAUGCGCACCACUUAAUUAGACACUGGUAAUUAAAUUCAUAUGUGGUUAACCUAGCUAGUCUUCAAAUAUACUCAACCCUUGAACAAAUUCCAACCUAAAUCAACGCACUUAUGACGUAAAUAUCCAGAUUCAUCAGUCUUCUCGUUUAAAUUAAUUUUACGUUUUUUUAAAUAAUAUUUUCUUCCUUCAUUUUUACUAGUUCAAUUAAAAAAUUUAAGACAUAAUAUCUCAUAUUAUACCUACUUUAUCCUUUUUAUUAAGUUCUCCCUCAGAACCUUUUUACUUAUUACAAUUAAUAAUAAGGAUAAAUUAGGAACUAUGUGAUAAAUUAUUAUAUGUUAAUUUUUAUAUCAGAUAAGUAAAAAUGAAUAGAGAGGGGGAAACGGUCAUUUUAUUCAAAUUAAAGAAUGAUAUAGUAAAUUAAACUUAUCAUUUCAUUAUUAAUUAUUUUUUACGAGAUACGCCAAGUUAAACUUGAACAAGUAAAAAUAGACGAAAUAUAUUUUUAUCAUCUUUAACCUCUUUUAUAGAGCUUCAAAGUAAUUACGAUACUUUAUGGCAAAACCGACUAUUGGAGAAUCAAAAUUUUAAUCCUCUGUAACAUUAUCUCACAUUGCAGAGGAAUUCUAUACAUGGUUUAGUAACCAAGUUGUAAUAAUUAGAAUUCGACAGUAUAAAUGGGUUGGUAAAAGUGUCUAAUAUACUCCUCAACUUUGUCAUUUAGAGCUGAUAUACCCCUUGUUAUGAAAGUGGCUCAUAUAUAGCCCUACUUGUAAAAAAAUGGCUCACAUAUACCCUUUUCCUCUAACGAAAAUGAAAAAUAUAAUAAUUUUAAUCUAAAUUUUUAUUAUUUUUUUCUAACAAAUAUAAUCCCAGAUGAGUAAAUUUAAUCCUCGUUAAACAUUUUUUUUGACUUUUUUUUUGUUUCAACGACUAAUUUAUAAUUAUUAUUUUAAUAAUCAAAUUUAUUUAUGUUUCACUAAUAUUCUUGUAAAACUUAUUGUAGAUGACAAAAUUUUUUCUUCGAAUACGAAAUGAAAUUACAAUACACAAAAAAAAAAAUAGUUUAAAUUUUUAUUAUUUAAACUAAGGAAUGAAAGAAAAAACAAAAUAAGAAUAAGAAAUUCAAAUAAUUAUAAUAAAAGAAGUCAGAAAAUAAUUUAUGUAUGAAAAAAUUAAAAUAUACCUUGAACUUUGACAGAAGAAUCAUAUAUACCCCUAAAUAAUUUUUUUAUUAAAAUUAGAAGUAAUAAAUAUAAAUUUAAAACUAAUUUUUUAACUUCCGUUAAAUGAAGGGUAUAUGUGAGCCAUUUUGUAAUGGCAGGGGUAUAUGUGAGCCGUUUGUAUAACGGUAAGGGCAUAUAUGAGUCACUUUUAUAACGAGGGGUAUAUCAGCUACAAAUGACAAAGUUAAGGGGUAUAUUAGACCCUUUUUCCCAAAUGGGUUUAUUGAAAAGACAAAGGUUACAAGACAAACACUAAAGAUAAACAUUUCAUGACGAGUACUGCCUUAUCCAACUUUUAGACUUUUAUCGGUUCCAAUUUUAAAUACGAUAACUAAUAAAAAUAGAACGUAACCAUGAUUAACUAAUAAAUAUAUAUACAACAAGUAAAAAUGAACGGAUCGAGUAAUAGUAUAUUCAGAUUUUUGUUUAAUGAAUGGCUAUCUAUCGAAGAUUUAAAUGGGGAAGGUCACGUGAUCUUAGGUGACAGAAUAGAAGCUUUUUUAUAUCAGAGAAUAGAAACUGCCAUUUUUAGAUCCAAUGACUUAAAAAGUCAUAUUUUAAUCAGAAGAUGUACACAAAACAUUGGCAAUGCAUCUUAAACAAAAAACUAUUCAAACUCCCUAUAUAUUAUAUGUUAGCAUGCACUAAUUUCAUUAGAAGAUUGACUUGUCAUUUUGUUUAGAACUCAGAAGAAUAUAAAGGAUAGCCAACAAUGAGCACAUCAUGGGAUUGGGAGGUGUGAAAACAUAUCUCCAUACACAAUAACUUUUGUAGUCUUUUCGAGAUCAUAAAUUUGGUCUAUUGCUAUCAUUUUUAAGGGACAAUAUUGCCUGUCCAUUUGCUCUAAAACUACAAUCACAAUCUAAACUUUGCCUAGUGAAAUUAUGGAUGACAAAAGUGAUGUGGAAAAGCUUGAUGAAGUGAUGCUGCCUGGUUUUCGUUUUCAUCCGACUGAUGAAGAGCUGGUUGGAUUCUACCUAAAGAGAAAGAUUCAGCAGAGAUCUCUUCCUAUUGAGCUCAUCAAGCAAGUUGAUAUAUAUAAAUAUGAUCCAUGGGACCUUCCAAGUAAGAAACAUAUAAAGUUCCUCCCGCAUCUCAUGUCUAUACUCUUUAGGUUCAUUUUUUAUUUCUAGUUUCUUAGUAUAUAGCUAGUAAAUUGUUUCUUCGUUGGCCAUGAAAUUUGAUGAGGUUCAACUAUAGUCUAAUAUUUCCUUAUGAUACCAAUUUUUGUCCAGAGCUAGCAUCUACAGGGGAAAAAGAGUGGUACUUUUACUGUCCAAGGGACCGUAAAUACAGGAAUAGCGCCCGUCCCAAUCGUGUAACAGGAGCUGGUUUUUGGAAGGCCACUGGAACUGACAGGCCAAUUUAUUCAUCUGAUAGCACCAAAUGCAUUGGUCUUAAGAAGUCCCUCGUCUUCUAUAGAGGCAGGGCUGCCAGAGGCAUAAAAACGGAUUGGAUGAUGCACGAGUUUCGUCUUCCUACGACUAACAACGAAUCAGGACCACCUAAGAAAUUCUUGGAAAAGAAUUUUCCACCAAAUGUAGGUUCACUAUGUAGAAUAAUGAACCCCCUUAUUAUCCAUUGAAGACUUUGUAUUAUCUUAGUUUAAAUGGAUAUAUUCUCUUUGGUCCUUGCAGGAUUCAUGGGCCAUCUGCAGAAUAUUCAAGAAAACCAACUCAAUGGCAAAUAGAGCUCUAUCUUACGCAUGGGGAAAUCCGUUAUCUGAAGUAGCAUCUCCAGAGUUGUUCAAUCAAAGUGCUAAUGCUCAUUUCGUCUCGGAGAAUGUUUCUUCUAUAACUGAAACAGGCACAGCUCUCCACCUAUCCAAUAACAAUGACUUACUACAAGGAGCCUCAAAUGUUCCUUCAUAUAAGUCCCUCAAUGCUAUGGCUUCAAGACCAUCUUAUCUUUCAAGUCCUAGCACAGACAUUUCCUAUAACUUCAUGUUUUCGUCUCCUGAGGUCUCAGGACAAAACAACAGGUGUUUACUAGACGCAAAUUCAAUGUUUUUCAACACAUCCCCUGCCUUAAUCACUGAUAUCAGCAAGACCUCCGAGUCCAUAGACUUUGACGGUUCAAAUCAACAAUUGAAGAUGCAAACAAGUAUAAGUAUGGAAAACGACGAAGCGGGAUUGAAGAGUAAUCGAACUUCAAUAAAUGACAACACUGAAUGGGAAAACAUGAGAUCAGUUGGAUUUCCUUUUAGUUUGGCUGAGGAAUGGAAACCUAGCUUAUCAUGGGAUUCUCCUCCCUGUCCUAGUGAGAUAUCCACCAGUUUCUCAACAAACAAAUGCUACAACUAGUUUUACAUCCAAAAAGAGAACUCCUGGCUCUGUGUACAGCUAGUUUUUUUUUUCCUUUUAGGCAUCCAGUAUCUGAAGUAGUCGACUCAAUCAACUUCAGAUACCGGAUGCCAAUGAACAAAAAAAAAAAUCAAAAAAAAAAAAGAGUCCAGCCAUAGCACUAAAAAAAUAGCCAUAUUCUGUUGGAAGUUAUUGUACAGUUUUAUUUUUUAUUAGCUUGCUCGAAUUUAAACGUUAUUUGUUUGGAUGAAAUUUUCAUGUUCUUUUCUUAGUAUUUAUUAAGUACUCCAUGUUUUAUUGCAUGUUUACCCUUUCUGAUGUUGGACUUUUCUCGUUCUUUUUCCCCAAAACCUUUUAGUAUCAGAUUAUAUGCUGUUUAAAGGCUAACAGGCUAAAACUAGUUGAGAUAAUGACUGUUUGUGUACUCUCUAAAACCUGCAAACUUGACCCUUAUGUAACCCUAAAAUGAUAGAAACUGAAAUUGGAUGAAUAGCAAGUUAGAUCAACUUCAAACUAGAAUAAAAAAAGCAAGUUAGAUCAACUUCAAACUAGAAUAAAAAAAUGGGAAAAGAAUAACAAAUAAAAAAAAUGUCAGAAGUGGGAUUUGAACCCACGCCCUCUCACGAGGACCAGAACUUGAGUCUGGCGCCUUAGACCACUCGGCCAUCCUGACUUGCUCAAAAAUAAGCUAGCACAUUAUAUAUACUCAAAAUAACGAUUUUUCCAUUUUAACUCACAUGAAAUUGCAUUUUGUUUUGUUUUAUGAUCCUUUACCAUUUGACAAUCAACCCAUGUAUAUUUUUAGAUUUAGGUUAUAGCCUACUUGUCACACUGUUCUUCAUUACGAGAUUUCUCUCCUUGAUUUGGCAAGGGUCUGGUUACAUGACAAUGUAAUUGUUAAAGCCUUUUAACGUUUUAAUAGUAGAAAAAAAAGAAAAGGAAAACUUACUGUUGUAUCAUCUCCAGAAACAUAACUCGAACCAGCUAAUUGAACGUCCUAUGGCAUUAGUUUUGAAUGAAUCAAUCUGGACAGGCUCCUUGAGAAUAUAUAACUCAUCAAAAGUCAUAAUUUCAGCGGCUCUGCGGUAUUGGUUUUAUGCAUGUAUGGCUCUUUGUGUUAGCUUCAAAUUUUACUAAUUUCUCUUUUGAUACCCUAUGUUUUACCUUUUGUAAUUUAACUAACUGAUUCAAGGGAAACAUAAAAUCAUUUCUAAAUUAAAUCUUCCGCAUCGUCAGAUCCUUCGCAUUUCAAGGUAAUAAUAAUAUUUUAGUGACUAUACCACUCCUUUGUAUGUCAUCCGAAAAAGAUAAUAUUCUGGCUUGAGUAUUAAUCACAACAGUAAAGUGAACUGGAGUAAUCAUGCAUUAAAGUAUCAUUUUACCGGAAAGAGGAAACAACCUCAUCCAGUCAGUUGGCACUAGUUCCAAAAAGGAGUUUGCAAAACCAUACUAGAGCUUAAAUUCUGAAUGAAAUCUAGUACUUGCAUUUCAUCAAGUUCUUUCACACAUAUUCAUCGUCAUCAAAGCUAAGUUAUCUUAAAACAUAAUAGAAGUGACGGACUCCAGGGUCUCUACAUUCAGCUCUUUGAAGCUAAUUUUUCCUUUGCCUUCUGAAUCUUCAACACUUUUUUCACAAUUUUUUGUUCUUCAACUAAGAAAGCCCGGAUGAUUCUACAUAGGUAAAUCAUGGAUAGAUUAAUAUACUUGCAUCGAGAAACUCUGAGUUAUAUAUACCAAAAGCAAAUAUGCAAUAUUGCUGACAAAAAAAACAUACCUCUCCCUUACAGCACUUCCAGAUAGCACACCUCCAUAAGCACGGUUCACAGUCCUGCGGUUUCUUGGCAAUCUGGAUCUCUUAUAUUCAGCAGGUCUCAAAUGUGGAAUCUAAACAAGAUAGAGAAACACAUCAAUGUAUGAUUGUUGCUUGGAGUCCUUUUUGGACUCUAGGACAGAAAGAGAAUAGGGAAUAAAAUAAGUCAAUGUUUGGUGAUCUCAAAAAAUUCCGACUGUAGUAAAAAUAGGACUGUUAUAAGCCGACAAACAUGAGUUCACCUAAUCAUGGAUGGAUACAGAUAUCUAAUGGGUAUUUUUGACCCCCUUGCUAAUUUCCUCACUUCCCUCACCAAACGUCCAGACUCCAUCAACCAUAACUUCCCCAUGUCUAGAUUUUCAUGCUUAAAUAUUGAGACAUUUUUGUCUAGCAUAGUACAUGAGAAUUCAAAUUUAACAUACUCGAGGAGGCUUCAUACUAUUUUUUCUUGUAUAUGUAAAUAAUACACUUAAAAGAUUUUAAAAUUACAAUCUGAUACAGAGAGGCUAGGAUCAAAAAUAAUUUAUAUCCAUACACUAAAACUGGAAUUAAAGGUACAUAGGCCAGCAAUAGCACAUUCACUAUUAAUCUGGAAAAUGAAACGAUGACCACUUCUGUAAACCAUUAGCUCCAUUCCUUUUGUUUGCGGAAUGCGAGGUCAUGACUCUCUACCUUAUGGCCGCUUCUCUUUGGUACCAGUUGUUGCUUCUAUUUUAAAGACGGGCUUGAAGGUGUGAAGAGGCUGGGGUAAGAAAUGUUUGUCUCUACAUACACUAAAUAAGGCUCUUGCAUUCUCAGUAAUUGGUCACUAUGUCCCUUUAGCAGAACCAAGGUUUGAUUCUUAGCUUGUUCUGGAUAAAUACCUUCAAACAACUAUAAAGUGCUACUUACUUUAGUCCAGCUUCACUCUACCGGUUAGCCAAGUUUGAAAGGGGAAAGAGAAAACAAUUAAUAGCACAGUCUUUAGGAUUGUUAGCCAGCCCACUCAAUUACUUCAGAACAAUUCCAGUUAAAACAAAAGUAAAUUUACUUGUUUUAGUAUCACAAUACACGGGAAUAAUAAUCUUUCAAGUCGGAAUCCUUCAUUUUAAAAUCGAGUCACAAAUAAAAGAGGACUAACACAUAAGCCAGGGAUCGCAUACGGAAAAGAACUAAAUCAUAGAAAGAUUAAACAAUAAAUUAAAAAAGAAAAGUACCCCUUGGAUUCUCUUUCCAGUAACUGGACAUUUAGGGCCGCUGGCUCUCUUCUUGGUGGUCUGGUAAAUUAGCUUUCCACCUAAUUAACAAAAGAUGAACAUAACGGUACAUCAGUAAUCACAUAACAAAGUUAUAACAAAGAAAUUUCAGCGGCGGAUGUACAUAUACAGUACUCAUCAAAAUUAACUUCAGCUCGAACUACGUAAUAGGCGUAACACUUUUACAAGGUACUUCUAUAUGAUUAGGAUCAUUAUGCACACUAAGUUAAAUUCAGGAUCUGUCUUAGUACAAACAAUAAGAACAAUGUUGAGACAAAUCCAAAUCAAUGAAAAGAGGGGGUAAUUAGGUUACAGUAUGGAGCAAUUUACCCGGAGUUUUGACAAUCCUGUGUUGAUUGGAUUUGGUGGCAUAACUGUGCCGCUUUCGAUAUGUAAGUCUCUGAACCAUCUUCUACGAUAAGUUUCGCCGUUUCUCUGUAGUGGAGACAAGAAUGGACGAAAAGAGUAAAGCCUUGGCAAGGAGAUGCAUAUAUAUAGUGGGGUAUGUACUGUUGCAAACCCUAAUUUAGGAUGCCUCGCUCUUUAUUCCAAAAGUGUCCAUCCGAUUUUGAGAAUAUUACGAAAGCACCUCUCGUUUGGGUAAAUGAGAUUGAUCAACUUGAUUCAUUUUUCUUUUUAAACUUGAAAAAAUACUACUCCUUACUUACUUUACUAAAUACUUAGAAAAGUUAAAUAUUUUCACAAGUUAUUUAUAUUUAUGCAUAAAUGUAUUAGGAGGCUAGGAGCAACAAUAAAAAUAAAUAAUAAAUGAUUAUAUCUUAUUAUAUAAAAAUAUUAUUUUAUUUAUGUGACCCUUGUUUGUUAGGAAUAUAGAUAUUUGUUUAUCUCUUUUCGAACUUGUAUGAUAUUUAUAUUGUUAAUUUUCACCAUGUACUUAGACUUCCUUUGAUACUCUAUGCUUAAGUGAUUUUACUUUAAAGUUGGAUUAUAAUAAUUUUUAAUACUUAAUAUAUAAGAUAUUUAUUAAUUAAAUUAUGGUUAAAAAUUUACUUUGAAAAAUUAAAUUUUAAUUAUUUAUUUUAAUAUAUGCCAUGUAUCACUUAUCCAAAUAGGAACUCCAUGUGCCACUUAUCCAAAUAGGAACUUAGGAAAAAAUGGAGAUGAAGCGAUCCUAAGUAGAAGACUAAAAUAUUAGUUUCAUUUACGUAUAAUUACAGAUUAACUAAAAAUCAAUUAUUUAUUUAACAUUAUCCAAAUUUUCGGAUUAAGUUUCCAUUUUUUUAAAAUAAAAAUAUCAUAUAAUUGAAUAUAGAAAAUUAACACGCAAAAGAAAUAAUAUCCCAAACGUCGCUAAAGUUUAAGUUGAAAUUUCUGAAAGUAAUUUUUUCGUACAUGUGUAAACUUUCAACAUUACCCUAAUGUUAUUGCAGGUUGAAUUAUCUACGUUUACACUAAUUUCAAGCGGAUGAAAUUGAUUGAACGAUUUUUGUUAGAUAGAAUUACGCAUGUUUAUGAUUAUAUUAUUUGUUAAUUUUUAAAUUGGCACAUCAAUUAAGAAAAAAAGGAUUGACGUACUUGAUUUAUCAUUUUACCCUAUUAAUUAUACAAUAGAUGAAUUAAAAACUUAAGUUUUUCAAUAAUAUUUUUUAAAAUAAUUCGUUGAGGGUAUAAUAUAUUAGACAAAAAUGUCUUUUUUUCUCAAUUUGUCAAUUUGGAGAAAUAAUUAGGAAUAAUUUUAAAAAGAAAAAUUGGACAAAUAACUAGGGACAAAUGGAGUAUGAUUUUUUUUCAUCAUGAUCAUAUCAUUCACGUUUGUUGACUGAAUUAUUUUUCUAAUAAAUUUAAGUUUGGAAAAAUACGCGUUUAAGCAAAUUUAUAUUAUUUAAUUACUCAUAAUAGCUAUAAUUUGUUAUAAUUAUCACUCACGACUAACAUCAUACAUUAAUUACGUGGAUUGACUUCGACUUUGUAUAAUUAACCACAUUUUGUAUAUGUAUAAUUCACUAUAAUAUGCAAAUACAUAUGUAUAAUAUACAAUUAUCUAAUCGAUAUACAUAUACAAUUCACCUUUCUCCCACUCUAUGCCCUCUCACGCUCACCUCUCUCCUCUCUUUCCCAUUCUCGCUUGCCAUAUAUACAAUUGUAUAAUAUAUAAUAUACUAUUAUCUUCCAAUAUACAUAUACAAUUCACCUCUUUCCCACUCUCUGCCCCCUCUCACUUGCCUCACUCCUAAUCUCGCUCCUCUCUCUCAAUCUCACUUGUCAUAUAUACAAAUAUAUAUGUAUAAUAUAAUCUAACCGAUAUACAUAUACAAUUCAUUUUUCUCUCACGUUUUAUCCUCUCUCGCCUCUCUGCCCAAUCUAGCUUGUUUCUCUCCUCCUUAUACAAAAAUAGCUAUCAAACUAUAAUUAUGAAAAGUAAUUAGACUAUUUCCCUUUUAAGUUUGAGCUAUCGAAUAUCAAAAUUGGCUUGCCGUUUCGCUGUCAAAGAGGGUAAGUUGGUCAAUUUAAUAUAGAAAUGACGGGUUGUUUUUUAAUAGGAUCGGGUCAGGGCAUGCUAUUAGAAAUCUUGAGCAAAUUAAGGAUUUCUCUGCUUCUUCCAGAAUAAUACGCAAUUGUGAUUCAACAUGGUGAAUGGAGAAAUGCAGAGUUCCUACAACGUAAAAGAUAAGAUUGUUUUGGAAUUGAUGGAUUCGACGGACAGCUAUCUACAUCUUAUGAAUUCUCUGUCAUCAUCACUUCGCGAGGUUUCAACUUCUUUCUUUAUCCCUCUUCUUUUUUUCUUCAAUAAAAAACAUCUAAUUAGUACAUUAGAUGGGUACUGAUUCCGCUGUAUUCCUCACUAUCCUUGAUUUAAACUUUGAGUUGUAUCUCCUCCUUAGGUGGAUCCAGAAUUUAGUUUAACAGAUUUGUAAUGAUUCAUAUGUACAUAUAAUGCUUAUUUAAGUGGAUGAAAAUUUGAGUUUGAUUGCGAGUGGAUGACAUUAUAAUUCGUGCAACUAACGUCUAUCGAUCCAAGAAGUUAUUUUAGUAUUGACUUUGAAUUUGGCUUACAUGGCAGGGAUGGCUGGAGCUGGCGAGUGCUAGGCAUUCCAUGGGCGCUUCACGUAUCAGUAGUGCAUUGUUUGAUCUCAAAUCUCAUUCUGCUGCCACUACAUUGCAAUUAAACCAUCAGGAUGGUAAAUGCAUACAUACUCUUUACAGCAUUUCAGCCUUUCGGUUGAUUACAUCAACAUACCCAGUGUAAUCCUACGGUGGGUUUGGGGAGGGUAGUGUGCCUUUUGUUUGACGACACACAAUAUUGCGUAUGAUUCAUGGAUUUCCUUUUUCUUGUUAGAAAAUGCUUAAUCUGUAGAACUCGUGGGAGUUCUAAUGCGGUUAUGUAGCUUUCCAUUACCCAAAUUGUAAUGAUGGAGUUUUCUAUCUAGGGGAUCAUUUAUAAGACCAUGCCUGAUUUAUCUUUUUCCUCAUUUACAUGUGUACGAAUCAGCGUUUCUUCCGUUCUCCAUGUAAUUGAUUAUAUGAAUAUAAUGGGCUCAUGGACCUGUAUUUAAUUAUAUUUUUUAUCCUAGAUUUUCUUUAUAACACUGGCUGUGAUGUAUACUGAUUUUGUUAUGCAGCUGGGCCUAAAUCGGAGGAAUCGCAUUUCAGCUUGUGUAAGUGGGCAUCAUCUGAGAGUCCAAAGAGCUGUUCUGAGGAGGAUACGCUAUUACAGAAGAAAUCCAAUAGCCCAAAAGUUCUGAAUCAGGAUGGUUCGUCAAAUUCUGGUACAGAUGCAUGCUCCUGGCUCUUUUAACAUUUAUGCUGUUUCUUAAAAAGCAGUUUUAUGAAGAAUAAGAUACUAGGCUGCUAAUAUAAAGUAAAACACCUACUUGCUUCAAACAUGAUAAUAGACUGAAUUUUCAGCUACUGCAUGACAACAUCUCUAACCUUUUUCCUUCAGCACUUGAUGUUAGUUAGUUCCAUGUAAGUCCAGCUUAAGGAAUGCUUCUUCUACACUUAAAGCAAAAAAUAGUAUAAGAUAUAUAUUCAAAUAAGUAAAUAAAGGAUGCAUCAUAAAAUCCUUUAUCUGAAUUGAGCUUCUUUGAUAAAUAAUUUUUUUUCUAUUACUUGCAAAGAAGUUCAGGAAGAAGCGUCAGAAGCACCGGAAGCUAUCGAAUCACCACGCACGGUGGAGGAUCAAGUAAGUGACUCACCAAUUUAUAUUCUCACAACAACUUCCUAUUAAGUAGUGUUUUCCAGGUGGUAUGAUCUUGUAAAGCGAUGCUCGCCUCUGGCACCUGUACAUGCAUUAUUCAAUUUAUCUCCCCAGCCAUGCAGUACUUCCCCUUACAGAGAGAGAGAGAGAGAAUGCAUGAAGAGUUACGAAACAACCUUUGAGUACAUAGAUUAUGCGGCAGUGACAACAUAUAUAAAUGCUUCAUGCACAGUAAAUUCAUUUAUCAUUUGAUUAUUCCAUUAAGAAUCAUUGAAUCACCCUUAUACUUUAGCUUUGCUACCAAAUUUUUAUUUAUGAUGUGAUUUAGAAGUGAACAUAGGUCAAGGUUAACCAAAAGGUUUACAACUUUAAUCUUGUUUUCAGCUGAUUUAUCUCCUCAAUUAUACGAUCCCUGCUCUUCAUCCACGUUUUCCUGGCAAUUUUUUUCCGUGAAUUGAUAAACUGAAGCGAGAAAUAAUCUGUCUUGGCUUCUUCUUCCUUUACACCUUUAAUUGACAUUGUCUCAACAGACUAUUUCUCUUCUACAUGGCAUGUUAUCUAUCAUCGUUUCAAAGCAUCCUUCACCAACCUUAAUGAAAAAGUCCAUCAAAUUCCCCCCCCCCCCCCUUAAUUUUUUUUAUCUCCGAGCUACUUGCCGAAAAUAGGAUAGGUGGAGUGCAGAUCUGCAAUAUUUGAAAUUUACCUUUCUCAGCCUUUUGGCUAAUAGGAAGUGUUAAUAAAUCUGCAAAAGUUUGAAUUUUCAGAGUUCACCUUGGAUAUAUAAUUUCAUUAUUCUUUGGUAAUACCUUUAAUAUCUAACAAUUACAUAAUCUUUAAUGUUCAGGACUCAUAUCAAUCUCACUGUUUUCUUUUUUUAAUUAACACCUAUCUUACUAUAAUCUUUUCUUGACUACCUCUUACUAUAUCUUACUAUAUUUAAAUUGAGAAAUAUUGUGUACAUUAAAUUUAGUGGUACUGUAUUUUGUUUUCUAGGCUCGAAAAGAGCGACUCAAGUCAUUAUCCAUGUUUGGAGUGCUGGUCUGUCCAAAGCUUCGAGCUGCCCAAUCGUCAUUUGAGACAGGUAAAUUACUUUCAUCCCUCCAGCAACCAUCAGAAAUAUUUUUUCACAUUGGUAUACUGGAGAUAAAAGUGGCUUUAAGUAACAAAAGAUCCCUGGUGAAAUUGAACUUUUGAGGACUAAAAAUGCCAAAAUUAUGCCGUAGUACGACGAGUGGGCAUCGAUUUUAUGUAUCUAUUUUUACAAUCUUCUGUGCCUCAUAUGAUGGAAUUAGUGGCUUUAUAUUUUGCAGCUCUUGAAACUCUAGUAGAAGUAGCAAAUAAACGGGCAGACCUGCUUAAUGCUUAUGAGCAAGUGCAAGAAAAGAUGGAGAGUGCGACCAACUGACGAAAGGUUAGACUUCUGUUGCUUUCUCUGGCUCCUUUAUCCACGGGUGUUUGUUUCUUUUUCGUUAGGGUUCAGAAAAAUUAUGUGUAACGAGUAAAUGUUAGGCUCAAGUAGCAUGUUAAUGAACUUCAAGUAAUAUUUUUUUCCUUGAAGGUUCUGCAUAACAUGUUCUUUUGUGUGCCUUUACCAGAAUCCAAGCCCUGUGUGUGGAGAUCUCACCUCCUUCUGACCCUUCCUUCCCCAAGGGCGAAUUUGGGAAUAAAUCAAAUAAAUGCAAAUACAGCCAUGCCAGGAAAACAAAAAGGAUAAACGAAAAGAAAAGAAGAGAACAGAUUCGAAGGUCUCGGGGAUGAUGGCAUUGGUAUAACAGACUAACAGAGAGAUGAUUACUUUAUUUGAACUGAUCUAUCUUUUGUAUUUGUGCUUAAUUGUAAGAUUCUCCGGUGUAAGUUCUUGCACAUGUCAUAUGUUUAUUUCACAGGGAAGGUAUUUAAUUUGUGCUACUAACUCAAAACUUAUGAGCUAGUCUUUUUGGGUGGUGUGGGUUCCAAUAGUCUUACGUAUUAUGUUAAACAGUGAUAUAUAGGAAGACUUUUAUUGGUGACAGAAUGUUCAAUGAUUUCAUUUUGAGAUAUCAUCUAAGCAGCAUACUCAAGCAAGUUGACAGAACGUCCAUUCCAUUUUUUAAAUUGUAAAGAUUCCAUACUGACAAUCCACGAAAUUCUUUCUACGAAUUGGUUGAUUUACUGUCUGAAAUCAAGUUCAGUCCUUCAUAGAAGAAAUUUUCAGAGUUCUCUUUUUUCACCUUUAAAUUACAGAAAAUGAUACAGCUAGUCCAAUCCACGUUCCUUCGUGCAAGAAACAGACUUUCCCAACAUGUCACUUCAUGUUCAUCAGAAGUUACCUUAAGAUAAUCCUUGGAGUUGGGGAAGCUUCCUACAAUGAAAAGAUAAAUAGACAAGCUACCUCCUUUCAAGGCCAAAAGAUCUAUGGUACCUAUCUUUAUGCUUCCACUAGUAGAAGAUUGAAAAAAAUCUAGUAUAUAAAAUUUCAAGAAUAUGAGCAGAAAUUUGUUGGCUUAAUUUGAUACUAAAAUAAUGACUAGUAUUAACAAGGGAAGAGCAAAAAAGAGGGCUCUACAUGUAUUUUCCUAUGUACAAAACUAAUCCUGCUUAAUUUAUUGUGACACCACACUAGUUGAUCUUUGGUUAGCCUUGGCAUGUUGAGGACCCUAGCCACUAAUUUCACAUCUACUUGAGAGAAAAAAUAGAGUACAUGAUCUGAAUCCUCUUCUCUGUGCUUCCUGAACUUCCUCAAUAUGCAAUUUCCACUUCUCAAUACUUCCUGCAGCUUCUUCUCCUUCUGCAUUCGUAAAAAACAUUCAGGCAAUGAUGUCAUUGUAGAUUCUAGAUAUCGAAAACAGAUAUGUUAAGGCAUAACAUAAUUGAGUAAAUAAAAAUGUGUUUCCUACUGUAUUAGUCUCAAUCAAUCGUAGGCAGGCGAGUUUGUCCAACAACUUGAACUUUAGAUAAUAUAGUUACUAAGUUCAAUAGAUAUAACUGCUACAAAAAGAAACUAACCUUUUCAAGAUUUUUUUUGAUCUCCAGUAAAAGCUCCACGUCCUCCUGUUCUUGUACCUCUGGAUGAAUCCCUUUUUGACCUUUCGACAUCACACUAUAACAAUCUUUAUCAGCUUUGACAAAGCGCCAAAAUAUUCGUAUAGAUUCUUCCAGUAUCUCCACUAGCAUGUCACUUGUAAUUGAAAAAACAGCUUUCUCUUUUGUUCUUGCCUUGUUUCUGUCCUUCAUUCUGUCAUCUGUACGUCACUUUUGAGUUCAAAUACACUAGAUUUCACCUCUAACAAAAAUCAGCAACAAAAGUAAAAAAUGUACUAACCUCUAAUAACAGGAACUUGAAGAAGAUUACGAAGAUCAUAUCGACUCUUGAUAAAAUAUUGAACUCUUGGUCCUUGAAAAGGUUCAUUUUCAAUAAAUCUUUGCAUGAGCACUUGAAACUGUUGAAACUCUCCAGCAACUUCAUUAUAUCUACGGAUCCCACGUGGAUCAGAAUCCCACAAAUUUAAAGCCUUCAUAUAUUGCCAGUGCAAAAAUUCCCAAGAAAGGCACAUCUGGCCUACGUAUACCACUUCCAGAUCACUCUGCAUUUCUUUGAUAAACCUUACCAUUGGGUCAAUAUCAUGACUUUUAUGUUUGAAUAGCCUAAUAUUUUGUGAGAGAAGGGAUUUUAGUGUUGGACCUGAAGAUUUCUGGUUGAACAAUAAUUGCAGUGGAUCUUUUAGCGGAUCUUUCUGCAGGUAACCUAUAAAACAUUUUAGAUUAGAGCAGCUGAGUAUUAAAAAACAUCUAAUAUUUAGAAAGUAUUUUGCGAGACAACUAGGUGGAUCAUUUUGGGAAGAGAACUAUGAUCUGCUACGUAAUCAGUCAAUCCUACAAGAUUAUCUUAAGCAAAUUGUCUGUUGUUGGCCAAUAAACUUUUAGGUAUGCAUUAUGAAAGUAUAAAAAGUUCCAACUUUCCGGAUAUGAUCUUAUGCACAUUAUUAUAAUCUUUUACUUGUGUCAUGUGUGUUCUGUUUAGAUAGCUACAUAAGAAAGAAACAAGAACAUACUUCUAGCAAAGUACAGUAGUACUAUAUAAUAAGGACAUCUUGUUGUGUAAUCUUCCUCUUGUUCAUAUGAAUAAACAUAAAAAACAACAUUUUGACUUAUUCAAAUGGAAACAAAUGUGAAAUGUGCAUGAGUGUUAUCAUUAUCUAACCUUUUCUUUUUUUCAUAUGGACGACAACAUAAAAUAAGAGAAAAGGUUGUUAACCUUUUCACUGGGGCCUAUUCUGUUACUUACAUUAUGGAUCCAAUGCAUUGAAUUUCAUGUUAUUAUGAGUUUCAGGAGCCCAAGCUAACAAGAUCUUGUGGGUCCUGAAUAAUUAAAGGUUAGCCACUUUAUUCUCUUUUAACUUAAUUUCUAAUUAUGAUGAUAACCAUGGACACUAAUCUUGGAGCGCCUACUAUUGAAAAAGACUUCAACUUUUAUACAUUGACAGUUUAUUGAAAAGAAAUUGCGUAGUUUAGAGUUGUCAACUGACCUAUUGCAUACAUCUUCUGAUACGUCAAGAUGUCGAAUUUUCGCAUUUUCUCUCUGUAACUCUUAUAGAAUUUGUGAAGUUCGCUCAUAGAAUCUUCACGAUGAACCAUUUCAUCAAUCUUCCACGGUUGUAAUUCGUCCAUUGUUGGAGACUCGGACUCUUCCAAAAUAGUAGGCAGACCCGUGGCUCUGACUUUCCGGAUUUCCAUUUUUAAUUGUUCGAUCAAUUCUUGAUGUUCCCACAGGGACUCUAAUUUGUUUGCAUCCCCAGAAGUGUCAACAAUAGCUGUGUUUAUUGACUUGGGAUUUUCAGACUCUUGUGGACCAUUUAGUAACUUGUCAUCUUCUGUAACAAAUUCAACCAUGCCCAAAUCUUCAUGAAUAUCAUUCUGGGAUAAAAAUUCUGAGUCAUUUUUCUGGUCUUCUUGUUCGAAUUCCCUCAACUCCUCCAUUAUAUCACUAUCACUGUCCUCAAAAUCCUCAGAUUCAUGAUUUUCUUCAGACAGUUCAAGAUUUUUUAAGUCUGAAUCAAUAUCAUGUAAAGGAUCAAGCUCAAAUUCACCACCAAAAUCUUCAUCUGACAAGAAGCCAUCACUGUAGGAAUUUACUAACCUGCUCAUAAGCGAACGCAUAUGCUCAAAACCAACUGAAACAGUGUCCGAAUCCGUACUCGAAGAAUCUUUCUCUGAUUGAAACAAAAAUUCAUCAGGAAAAUCUGAAUCAGCCAAAAAUUGUUUGCACACAGUAUCUGAUUCUCCCUUGAAGAAUUCCAUUCCUUCAAUUUCCUUUCGAUGACCGUGGUGUUCAGGCACGCUGGUAUGCUCCUCUUCCUCCUGAAUGCCUUCUGUUUUAUGCUGUGGUACUUCUUUUCUGUCUUCUUCGUCCAAAUCAAACACAUCUUUCGUAUCACAACCAAUCUCUUCAGCAUUCAGGUUCACAAUCUCAGGUUCUUGAAUUAAACUGCUAAAACUCUUUUCUUGUACAAAAUCAGACGCGAUAACUUCACCCGUUUCUGUCUUGUCUUUACUCAAUUCCUCAUAGGUUGGGAAUUUGAACUUGAAACAAAACUCAGUUUUCUCCUUAUCGGCAUUCUUGUCCCAAUCCACUUUCUCAAAAUCUUCAAACUUUGGUUCUAAUUCUUGCUCAACCUUCACAUUGUCGGAUCGUUUCUGGUUAUUUUCUUCAGGCAGAACUUCAAAAAAUUCCGAACUGUCGUUUAAAGUAGCGUGACCCCUUCUUAAUCUACAAAGUGAAAAUUAGACAAAAAUUAGGGAUGGUAUAAUCACAAACAACAUAAGAAUUACUGAAAAGAAUGAAAUUUGAUACCUGACUAACAAUGUAGGGAUGAAACUGAACAGAGGAACCAAAAAGAAAUAAACAGAGAUGAAUAGGAUAGCGAGUAACAAGAACAAAUUCUGAAAGAAUAAGCGAUAAUAGAAAUCCAUUUUCAAAGAAACCAGGAGGGUUGGGAGAAAGAAUCUGCCAUGGAUUUUAACACCCAGUGGUGAAAAAUUCAGUUUGAAGGAAACGAAGAGAGGAAAUCUGAAGGAAAACUCAUAGCAAUUUUGAAUUUUGCAGAGCAAGAAAUCGACAGAGCACCUGUAAACAAAUACAAAAGAAAAAAAAAGUUGAAUUUUUUUAGUGUGGGUCGAGAAAUUGAAACGUGACCUAACUGGAGAAUUUCACAGAUUUAUGAGAGCUACCAGUCACCAUCUUGGCCUAAUUCUGGUUUCUUAAUUACAAAAAAAAAAAAAAAAAGUGGAGAGAAGAAUUGAGUUUGUUAUAUAAAAAAAUCGUCGACAGAAUCGGAAUUUAUCAGUUGGACAAGUCCUCUUCUUCCUGCUUAUUCUUUGCAGACGAAAAUGUUGGAGAGUGGGCGUGGGGUUUGGGGGUAAAUAAACAAAUACAUAUAUCUAUAAGGGGUAAAUUGGGUUAAAAAGGAAAUUUAUUUUACCAAGUUGCAGUCGGCACUACCUUUUCCUUUAAAUUUUAUAUUCUUUAUAGAUUUUUAAUUCUUCAUAUUAUUGGUCUUUGGUCAUUUUACAAACAUUUCUAAAAGAAAUUAAAAGCCACACAAGUAUGAAAGUUAGAGAAAUAUGAAAAUUAGUUAAUUUUCCAGGUAUUGAAAUUUUAAAAAAUGUGAUAUAUGCAUUGGAAUCAUUUUCAAGAUUUAAAAAAAAAUAUAAACUUUAAAAGAUAUAUAUAUAUAUAUAUAAUUAUUAAAAAAAUUAGUUAUAGUGUGAAUAUGUAUUUGGACCUAAGAUCAAAUUCUGGCCAAAAGAAUUCAAACUAUUCUAUUUAAGUUCAAUUCUCAUACUAUUUCAUUAAAUAAAUAGUGUAAAAUUCAGCCAUUUUAGGAUCAUCCUCCUAAGUACGUAGUGUCUUUGCACGUGCAAUAGGUAUGUGCAUUAAACGGACUUUGUCAAAUUAUUUUUGUAAUGUCUCAUUUGAAAGUUUGAAAUAAAAAAAAAAUUAGUGAGAAUGAUAAAAUAACAUAUUCACAUUAUAUUAUUUUAUUUUUUAAUUAAAAAAAUCAAUUUGUUAUAAAUUUUUUAAAUUUCUUAUCAAAAUUUUGGACCAUUAAGCAUUAUUCAAAAAUAAAUUGAAUGGACAUAUUUUGGAAUUGAGCAAUAAGCGUGUAUGCUGGGGUAAUUGUGCUAUAAAGGAAAUUUCUCUACUUUUACUUACGCGGUUGAUUAUAAUGAUAAAACUAACGGUACUAUUCAUAAUUACAUGGCCUCAAAAGAAAAACGAUAGAAAACUAAAUUACGGAUGAAAUUUAAUUUUCUUAGGUGGCUUUGGCAUCCGCGUAAUUUAAUAAUAAUUACACAAAAUAAAUGAGUUAUCUAUCCCCUACCAAUAAAUGAAUAAUCAAUCCCUUACUAAGAAGUAAUAACCAAAAUAAAUACAAAUAAAAUCCCAUACCAAUAAAUUUUGUUACCUACUUAGCUACUUACCAAUCUAUCAAUGCAUCAUAGCUAAAUUGACCAAGCUCAUAAAUUAAAUUGCUACUCUGUCUAUAUAUCUCUAUUUUAAAUCCCUUUUGAUUUAUUGUUUGUGCAUUUAUAUUUUCAAACUAGAUAUAAUAUCCUUGUAAAAAAAAGAUUGCUUUUAUGAUUUCAAAUUCUGUGAAAUAUUACAUAUUUCUUAAUUUAAUUUAAUUGAAUCGAUAAAUUUUAUAAAUUAAAUUGAAUAUAAAUAACCUAUAAAUUGCAAAUUCUAAUACAAAUGGAGAAACAAUAAUAAUUUGAAAUACUAGUUAAAUUUAACAUUUUAGCAUAAGAAAGAAAUGCGAAAAGCUAUAAGAGUGUGUUUGGUACGAAGGAAAACAUUUUCUGGAAAAUAUUUUUCAAUUUUUCCAUGUUUGGUUGAGACAAAAGUUUUGGAAAAUGCUUUCCAAAUCAACUCAUUUUCCUCAAAAUUAAGGAAAAUGACUUUUGUUCCAAAAUUAAGGAAAACAUUUUCCAAAGCUCUCCUCCAAUUUUAAAUUACAUUUUUUUUUUGGAAAAACAUAAAUUUUUUAAAAAAAUAUUUUCAAUUUCAAAAUUUUAUUUUUUCACCGAUCUCUGACCACCCUCCCCCUCUACCCCCCGCCCCCUACACCACCCCCUCCCCAAAAAAUUAAUUUUACUUUUUAAAAAUAUUUUCAACUCCAAAUUUUUAUUUUUAAGCUCCUACCCCCCCCCCCCUCCCGGUCAGCCCCCUACCCAUCCCUACCAACCCCAAAAAAUUAAUUUUAUUUUUUAAAAAUACAAUCAACUUCAAAUUUUUAUUUUUUCAUUCCUACCUCCUCCCUCUUCGCCCCCCACCCCCACCCCUUAUCACCACCAAAAAAAAAUAUUUUUAAAAAAUAUUUUCAAUUUCAUGAGUUAUUUUGUAUUCUAGUAAAAAUAAAAAAUAUUCCUCAAAAAUAUUUUUCAUUCAUAAAUCAAACACUAAAAAUCAUUUCCAAAAAAUAUUUUCUACUCACCAAUCAAACGUGAGAAAAUAAGUUCAAAAUCUACUUGCUUUCCGAGAAAACAUUUUUUAAGAAAACAUUUUCCUCCGUACCAAACACACCCCAAAUCUUUGUAGUUAUAGUUCUUUAAUGACUUUAUUUUUUGGAAAAUUUCUUUGAACUUAUUUGUGAGUUUAUAAAAUGUGACAUAUUAACUGCAUGUCGGCUUAAUUUUAUGAUGCUUUUGACUAUAAGUUUGACAAGAAAACAAAGUGCUUGGGAACCACAUUCUUAUGGAACAAAAUAUGUGGAAAUUAUCAACAUAUAUAUAUAAGUGAUACAAAUCGCUACAACGCGGGCAUGACAAUAAUAAAUAUGCAUGUUAGAGAUCAAUUUUUUUUUCUCUUCAUUAUAUUAGAAAUAUGUAUUUAUUUUAACUACCUUCAUUUUAUUUUAUUUGUCGUAAAUAAUUUUUAUUUUUAUUUGUCUAUUAGAGAAAAUUAAGAGAGUUUUAAUUAUUUUUUCUCAUGCUACGUUUAAUACUUCUCUGUUCCUAAUUACUCAAUAUUUUCUUUUAUAAUUGUGGUCCCUAAUUACUUGUCCACUUUUACAAAUCAAGGUAAGUCAAAAAAAUCUUGUUAUUUAUCCUCAAUUAAUUACUUUGAAAAAAUAGAAGUUUUUGAAAAUAUCAAAUUUUUUCAUCUACUUUAUAAUUAAUAGGAAUAAACUGAUAAAUUAAUUAUAUACAUAAUUAUUUUUUUAAUAAAUAUUUCAAUUCAAGUGAACAAGUAAUUAGAGUAAAUAACUAAAUAGAGUAACCAUGUCAAAUUUAGAGUCCCAACCAUUAUUAAUAAGAUUAUUUAGUAAAUGUCUCUAAUAAAAGUGUUUUUAAUGGCUAAUGGUAGGAAAAUGGGUAAGCCCUUCAAUAUCCUUUUGAAAGCCCGGAUUGAGGUUGCUUUCUUAAUAAUUUAAAUAGAUAGUUAUUAUGUCAAGUCAACUUUGACCAUAUAAAAUGGAGACGACCGAGUAUUUUUCAAGUUUGAAAAAUUAAAACAUAUUUUCGCUACUUUAUAUUAAUUAAAUAUUUUGAUAUUUUUUUUAUUGGUUAAAAUAAUUGAAUAGUUUAAAGUUCAAGAUAAAUAUUAUUCUCAAAUGUUUUAAUCGUAUUUAUCCUUUUUUUAAUAAAGUUUAAUAUUUUCUAGGAGGUUAUAUUUUUUAUUUCACAUAUAAGACAAUAGUUGAAAGUAUAAAUUGAAUUAUGUUUUUGAGUGUUUUUUUGAAUAAGCGUACAUUACCUCGUAAAAUUCGACUAAUAUGGAAUAAAUAAAAUAUUUUUCUAAUAGAUUUUCCACAUUAUUAAAUUUAUUGUGUUCAAAUCCAUAUGCAAUAACAAAUUUAUUAUUUUAUUUAUCAUUUUAAUCAUGUAAUAUCUAAACUAAACAAGUAAAAACAGACUAACGGGAUUAACAAAUCAUCACAGUUUAUACAUCUCCAUUAUUAUUAGUUUUUGCUUAGCGACCACUUACAUCUCGAUUACUUUUCUCAUUUUCAAUUAUCAGUUUCAAUUCAUUCAGAACUUUUUGAUGCCUUUAUGAGAGCCCUUUUUAGCUUAAUUACAAUUAUUUUUACAUUUAUGCUACUAGUGAUUUGAGUGUGAUAGAUAACUACUUUUCUAUAUCUUUUAUAAUUCUACAUUUUGUCUAUCACAUGAGAAAAAUGAUUAACAUCACUAAGAGUAUUAGAUCUGAUAUGGCUCAUCAUAUUCAUUUGGCUUAAGAUGAGUAUUAUGAUUAUGUAAGAGAUUUCCACUUGAUAUGUCUUUCCUUUUCAAGAUCUCAAUCUUAGACACUGAUCUAGCUAGGCUGAACUUUUUCUUAUUAAUUAAUUAUGGUCACGUGAUUAGUUACUAAACCUCAAAUAUUUAUGAAAACGUUAAUUCUUAGAUAUGUAUAAGUGGAUACACACAACCUAAUUAUGAAUGAACACAUCACUUCAGACUGUGACAAUGAAGAGGUUAGGAAGAUUUUCACAAAUAGAAAAAAUAUUUUUGUAAGUGCCCAAACUAAUAUUAUAAAUAGACGAUUACGUGUUUGAAUACAAGUGUUAAAAUUGAUACUAAAUUGUUGAUGUAAUUAGUAAAAAAGUAAUGACAUCAUUGUUAAUAAAAAAUUCCUUAACCUUUUUUUUUAAAUAAAUAAUAAAUUUAAUUAUUUUUUAUCGUAAAUAAAAUGAAGAAGGACUAAUAUGGAAUAAAGAGGAAGUUAAGGGUCUUGUUUUGACAAAGUACCUGUAAAAAAUGAUUUUUAGCUGAUAUCGACUUGUGUAUUUUGAGUGUUUACCAAAAGCUUUGAUAACUUAAAUGUGUUUAUAUGUUUUGUCUCUUCCCUUAGGUAGAAAAUGGAAAAUUAGAAGGGUCAUGCCCUUUUUAAUUUCUUUUCAGCACUUUUUGCCUAUAAAUAAGGUAAAUAAUCUCUUGUAUAAUAUAUUCAAGAAGUAAAUAAUUUCACACGCUAAUUUGUUUGCUUUUGUGCCGAAAUUCAUGGCUUUUGCUAUAUAACAGGGGCCACCAAUUAUGUUUUCACUUGCUUUUUUUCAUACUGAGAUUUAUUUUGAUUUUACUCAAGUUAAUAGUAGAAUUAUAAUAAGUAGUUACUUGAAAGCUUUUUGUGUAAUUUGUCUGCGCUACCACAUAUCUCUAAUAAGUAUUCAUUCCAUUUCAAAAUCCUUUCCUUUUUAAUCUAUUUAAAAAGAAGUAAUCUCUUUCUUUUUUUUUUUUUUAAUAUUUUACUUUUAACUUUCCACGUGAUAUGUUUAAGCCCACAAAAUCAAAAGGAUAAUUUUGUAUAUUUAAUCUAAUUUUAAUUUAGAACCAUAAGAUACAAAAAAAAAAUUUAUACUCUUAAACUCCGUGUCAGAUCAGUGAAACGGAGGGAGUACUUUCUUAUUCAACUUUAAAGGCAAAACCUUCCAUCUAACAAAAUUUUAACUUGUGAUCUAGAAAAGAAUAAAGAGAUGAAAAUAUUCGUUUGAAGCAUAAAUGAGAUCACCCAAUUAUUAUUUAGUUACAUUAAUGAAUAUUAAAUUAUUUUUUAAAACAAAAAAACAUAUAAUUUUUUAUGUUGGAAUAAUAUUUCAUAGUUUUAGUAAUACUAAGUUGGAAUAUUGAUGAAAUUGACCAACCGUGCCAUUCAAGAAUACAAUGAGAAAGAGCACAAUAUUUUCAAAGUAUAAAGUUUUAAAGAUCGAGAAAGCGAAUGUUAUAACAGGGGAUACGAACAUUAUUUUAUGACUGUUAAAAUUUUAAAUCUCACUGUUGUUACUUGUAUCGAAACCUUUUACAUCAAUGUAUACUUGAAGAAUAAAUACUUUCAUGUAAUCCAAAAGGAAUGGAGCCGAAGUUUAGCAUAUUUGGCAAGAAGAAAUGAUGAACUUUAAUUUGAACUCUGUUCUAAAUUUCAUCAGCUUACUUAUAAUAUAUGUCCUCUUUUAGUGUUUUUUAGUUAUAGAAUAAAGUUUUCUACUUCUUCUUCUAAUUUAUUAAAUUUCUUCUAUAUAAUUAUUAUUUUAGUUAUUCACUUUUGCAUAUAUUAUUUCUUUUGGGUACUCUUAUAAUUUCCCUCGCCAUGAGUAUCAAGAAACUCGCUGGACUAAUUGUUGGUAAUAGAGAAAAAAAUUCAAAUUUGGCCAAGUAUCAAGAAAGUCACUAAAAUGAAACAAAAGAGAAGUUGAAUGAAUCUUUUUAUCAUAAAAGUUGCUUAUUGACUUCUUGUGAUAAUUAGGCAAAGACAGAGAACUUCUCUAUUAUAGAAAAAAAUCGUCAAGUAGCUUUAUUCGAUAUAUACUUAGUAACUUCGAAAUUUAUAUAUUACAUAAUGAGUAUCAAAGUAUACGUACAAGUUAUAACAAUAACAAUAUUAUAGACAUUGAAUUUUGUGAGAUCACUUUAAUUCUAAACUCUAACUAAUUAUGCCUAAAGGUUAUUAUGUUCCUUUAAUAAGAUAUUUCGAACCGUAAAAAUCCCGUAAAUCAUAAAAUAUUUUUAAAGAUCAAAUUCAAAUUAUUCUAAUUGAAGAAAUAUGUCACUAACAGUAUUUGAAUCACAAAUAAAUUGUAUGAGGAAAGAAUGAAGGGAGAACAUAAUUAUGUACACAUCGAUGAAAUAUUUUUAUUUCUUUAUAUUUUACUUGUGGUUAAUUUGUUGCAACGAAAUAAAUUUAAUAUAAUUAUAUUCUAUUAAUAUUUUCGAAAGAUCACUGCUCAAUAUAGCAUAUAUCUACAAGUUCGAAUCAAAAUAUUAAUUUAUGACGUGAUUGCAUAUGUAGAGAUGAGAAGAUAAGGCUAUAUAUGAUGCUCUAAGUGUGGUUCAAAUUGAAGGUGCUAUGCUAUAUCAACAUGAUACAUAGUACUAACACCACCAACUUUUCUUGUGGCCGCGUUGUUGAAAACACUUUGUAGUCUUAUCUUGUUUAGUGUGAAAAAUCUAUAAAAAAACAAAAUAUUCAUUCCAUCCCAUGGUAGGUAUAUAUACUAUUUUAAUAUAUAUAUAUAUGGUUAAUUAAGUUUUGAUUUUUUAAAGAGUCUCUUUAUGAUAAAAAAAAAAAUAAGCAUACAUCAUUUUUUAAUAUCUCACUCGUAAAAUUUCAUCGACUAUAUUAAUUUUAUUGUCAGUUAAUUUUAGCUCCGCAAGCAAAAAAAAUUCACCUAAACUCCAUGCCAAAAUGUUUGAAAUUAGACCAAGUUCAUAACUUUAAUAAAAGAAUGUCUUAAGUAGGCCUUAUUAAAGCCACAACUUCAAUUAAAAAAUCUCUCAAGUUUAACCUUACCAAUUUAAUAACUUCAUUUACAGUUAUUUGAAGUUGACUUUAAUUUGGGGAAAUCAUUUCAAACUUGGGUAAAAAUAUUUGAUGUCCAUCUUUAACAAGAUAUACACUUCAAACAAUAACAUUUGAAAUUUACCAAUCUUCAUAUGUGAAUUUCCAAACUUCAAGCUCGAAGUGGUUCCAAAGCAUAUAUUUAUAUAUAUAUUAUCAAAAAAAUAAAAAAAGUUUCACCUUCGAGUACAAUUAAAAUAGCAACUCCAAAAUGUGAUAUUUUUGCAUUGGGCCAAAUAUAAUAGGGCUCGUUGAGAUGAAAUAGAAGUGUAGAACCAAUGCUUUUGGGGACAGUAAAGGGGCCAAUUGAGAAUGUUCCAUUAAGGUCUAAGAAUUCAGCCCAAGUGGAAGAAAGAAAAAGCCCUCAAAUAAAUCUCCGUGAAAAAUAAUAAGGAUUAAUAAGCAGGAGUUAAUUCCCAAUAAUAUGUCAUUCAAGUAUUAAAAGAAAAAUUCAAAAGUUACUUUAAUUGGAUUUCCUCAAUAUUUGACAGACGCAUAUAUUAAUUUUAAAUAACAUACAUAGUAUUAUACUAUUAUGAAACCAUAAUUUUAAAAUUUGUAUUCCCUUCGUUCGAUUUUGUUUGUCAUGGUUUCUAUUUUUAGAGUCAAACUAUAAAAAUUUUGACUAACAUUUUAAGAUAUAUUUUUUCAUCAUAUUAAUAUGCAAAAAGUUGUAAUUUAUAGUACUUUUCAGAAUAUCUAAUAUUUUUGUUUAGAAUAUUAAAUUAAUGUGAUCUAAUUAACUUUUAAAAGCGUAACAUGACAAACAGUAUUGGACGGAGGGAGUAAUCGGGUCUCUCUCAGCCCUUAGACUUAGUAUUUUUUUAAGUUAAAAUUCCGCUGGAAGAUCGCAAACAGUGCAGGUUGCAUGUUUGUCAGAUGACUAAACAAGCAUUUAAGACAUACCUCUAUUUCUUUUCAUAACAUAUUUAAUGCAAAUAAGUUGGCAGUGGUUUGACGUAAUGGAUGACCUAUCGGCUCCGGCUGUCACUAUAAGAAAUUUUGUAUAUCCGAUGUAGAUUUUAGCUCAAUAACCCUGACCAUGCUAUGUUUCUAAAUCCAUGACAAGGACUAUCUCCAACACCUACCCAAAGAAAAUAUUUUAGGAGUUUUUUAGGCAAAUAUCUAGUUUACAAAAUAUGCACACAGACAACUACUGACAACGAACGUAUAUAAUUAGAGAUUAUAAGAUGGUCAGUAUGUUCUUUAGUUUCCCAUUUUAUUCAUAAACAUAACAAACGUAAAAAAAAUUAUCCCUUAUAUUUUUAUGAUUAAAAAUUUUCAUUAAAUAAAUACAAAAGAAAUGGUUUAAUUAUUCUUCAACACCUACAACUCAACUCAUUUUGAAAUAGAAAGUGUUUCGAAAGACAUCCAAUCGGGCUUAUACGGUAAUGAAAGGUCCUCAUUCACAAAUCACAAGCCCAAAUUUAAUGACUCCCGGCCCAGACCCGGUUGAUAUUUUUUGGGUUUAAAAAGUUGCUUGUGAAUGAAUGCUAGUAUUAUUAAUAGUGGGUAGCCUUCCAUUAAUAAAUUUAAAAAGGCACUCACCGUCUGCUUUGAUCGUCGAUUCAGGCCCGUCCGGCUGAUUAAUACGCAUAUGAAUGUCAUUGUCCCUUUUUCCUCUAUUAUGUUAUUUUCAUGCAUUAGAUAUGAAGUGACUAAUUACAUGCAUGUGCCGUUGUACACUCUUUUCUCUGUAGCACUAUUCGUGAUUCAUUUAAAUACUACCUUUAAAGUAUUAGUACUAUACUUAUACCAGUAAGUACAUUCUACUUUAUAAAAUUUAUUCUAAAAAGUAAAAAAAAUUAACCAAGUUUAACAUUACCCAGUCAUAAAAAAAAUAGAUGUGAGAGGGUAUUAGCAUCCGAGUUAGUUGGGGUAGUGGAAAGUAGUAUGAUAUAGACAGUUUAUCGUACUAUAAACAUUAGUGACUGGAUUUGUAGCUCGAAAUGUGAUCUAUUUUUUUUACUGUUUACCAAUGACCUCAGUUGUGAACAUCCCAAUUCCAAUGGACCUCGCUAUAAGGAGGAUGUUGGCGUCACCUAAACACAUAAUAAUACAUAAUCUCAUUUCAUCACUCUAUCGACACUGGAAGUUUAUUAUUUCCAUGUUCGUGGCACAGAAGAACACAGUGAAGAAAAUUGGGAAACAACUAUAUAUCUUGGUACAGAGUAGGUUAGACUUAUUCAAACUACAAUGAAUCGAAACUUUUGAUAUGUGUUACUGCAGUUUGCUUUAUUUGAUGAAGCAGUAAAAAGUAUACAGAGAGCCUUAAUUAGGAUUGUUAAUGGCUAGAAAUAAUGAUAGGGUGAACAUUGAAUGCCCACGCGGUUUCGACGAGGCAGAGAGAGAAACAGGGCAGCUGACUUUAGGCUGAGGCUCCCAUGGCAGGAGUAAAUGCUCUUGCUGUCACCUUUUGACUCUUUCACUAGAUCCACUAUUCUAAUUUAUGUAAUAUGUUUUGAAUUUCAAAAUUUUCUUUUUACUAUGUCUUUUUAAUUAUUUAUUUUUGUGAUGUAUAAUAAUUUUAAAAUAAAAUAAUGAUGUUUGACUCUCGAAAGGCGGAGAGAGUAUUAAAUUUAGGGGUCAGCGUAUUCUUCAAUUGUUUCUAUAUAUCCCAGAUCAAACUACCUUAGCCCCUUAGACCUUUGUCUCUGCUUUUUCCAAGAAGAGAAAAAACACAAUACAAAAAUAUAACUACAAAGAGAGUUGCACCAAGAAACAGAGAUGGGUAGACCACCUUGUUGUGAUAAAACGGGGGUGAAGAAAGGACCAUGGACUCCUGAAGAAGAUAUUAUGCUAGUCUCUUUUGUUCAAGAACAUGGUCCAGGGAAUUGGAGGACUGUUCCCACUCAUACAGGUUCAUUUCUUUUCCUUCUUGAUUUAUCGUAUAGUCACUCAAUUAAUAGUUAUUAUGUCAUAUACUUCAAAGUGUAAUGUGUUUGUUUUAAUGUGCAGGGCUACGGAGAUGUAGCAAAAGCUGCAGACUAAGGUGGACUAACUACCUCAGACCAGGAAUCAAGAGGGGUAGCUUCAGUGAUCAAGAGGAGAAGAUGAUUAUCCAGCUUCAGGCUCUCUUAGGCAACAAGUAUGUAUUUUCUCAUUAAUUCCCUUCAUUACCUAUCUUGAUCCUUUUCGUUUCAUUUCAUAUGACUGUAUUUGACAAAAAAAAAAAGAAUUUAUUUUUAAAAUAGAUAUACCAAUUUUUGGCAUUAUACUAAAGUACCUUUAUUCUAUUAUGAUCGAUCUUAAACAUGUCAUGACAUUAGGGAGAUUGAAUUACUAUUACAUGGAUCUGGAUAGUCACUUUGAUGUAUUUAUUCUUCAUUAUGAAAUUCUUUAAAGAGUAACUGUUUACAGUACAGCAAGUCCCUUGUUACUGAUUUUCUGCUUCUUUGUAACAGAUGGGCUGCCAUAGCUUCAUAUCUCCCUGAGAGAACCGAUAACGACAUUAAAAAUUACUGGAAUACUCAUUUAAAAAAGAAGCUGAGGAAGCUUGAAACAAGUGAUUUAUACUCAAAUGAUGGACAUUGUUUAUCAAAAUUUAAUUCAACCUCCAGAGGGCAAUGGGAAAGGACACUUCAAGCUGAUAUUAACACAGCCAAACAAGCUUUACAAAAUGCUCUGUCACUCGAUGAAUCAAGCCCAAUUCCUGAUAUUGGAUGUUACCCAUUCAUAAAACAAGAAGCGAAAAUGUCUACUACUACUUAUGCAUCAAGUGCUGAAAACAUAGCCAAAUUACUCAAACAAUGGACCAGAAGCGAAUCCACAAAUAAUUCAGAGCAAUCAAAGGCUUCGUCAAGUACUCAAUUUUCUUGUAAUACUACUAACAAUAAUGCCAUGACUGAAUAUUCAUCUUCAUUUGAACCGUCGAAUUCAGAUCAAUUUUCACAAGCCACGACACCUGAAGCUGCUGGUAAAUUUCAUGGUGAAAGCAAAAGAGAAAUGGAUGAUGAAAUUCAGUUGUCAGUAAUGCUGGAGAGUUGGCUGUUUGAUGAAAAUGACGAUUUAUUAAUUUAGAAGGAAUUUCAUUUUUUUGCUUUUCUACUUUUGUUGCAUUAUUUUUUGUUUUUCUUACUCCCAAAUUCCCAAUUAGUUUACUAGUAGUAGCAUUUUAGCUAGGGAUGGAUGUGACAUCCUCAUUCUUAUUUUUUGUCUAGUACACAAUGCUUUUUAACAUUAGUGUAUAUUUUAACUUUCAUAAUUAAGCAAAGCAAAAAAAAUCUUUAAUUGAUUACUCAAUUAAGCUAGAAGAAUUUUUGUGCUUUGCUUGAUUAUAAAAGUUAUUUAUUCUCUGACGUGUACUGGAAUUAAGUCUUACAGAGAAUUUUUAUAUUAUUAAUGCAAUUUAUUUAAUUAUAUCAAAGUUACUGUCUAUUUUAAGCAGGUAUAUCUGACUUAUAUAAGGAGUUAUGUCAUAAAACAUCUUAUUUUCUUUAUAAAAAAAAAGAUAUAUUUUAGCAAAUUAAGGAAAUUUUAUUAAUUUUUCAUCAUAUUAUUUUUAAUAUUAAAUAACAAGAUAAAAUAUUAAUAAUCAAAUGUAGAAUUCCAAAAGAAUAGUGCUAAAUGGUCAGAAAAUUUAACCAAAAUAUCUUUUUUAUUUUAAAAUAAAUUGAAUUAUUUUUUAAUUUUUAGUUAAAAGGUAUUAAAAUUAAAAUAAUAAUAUUCUAAAAAAUAAAAUAACAUAGCAAAAUUUUCCAAUGGUGUAAAUGGAGAGAUAAUAAAUAGUAAUGGACAAAAUUUAAAUUCAUCUCGAUUUUGUCUAUGCGAUUAUAAUCUGCAUGAAAUGGAGGAUGCACGUAGCUUGGACGAAUUAGAUGUUUCCUACAAUACAAAGGCUACAACAGUCUCUUUGACCUAAAUCAAAGUCAACGAGCAUAUCUAGAAAAUAUCAAAGUCAACCAUAUCUUCUACAUACAAUACACUCACUAUCUUGUCUGCUAUACUAUACAAAAAUAAAUUCACUUUAGCAUUUUUAUUCUUAAAAUUAAUUAAUAUAAGAUACAUAAAAUAUAUUCUGAUCCGUCGACGGUUAAAGUGAAUGGAUAAAGUAGUACUCCAUUCUAUAGGCUAAGGGCCCGUUUGGAUGGGCUUAAUAAAAGCAACUUUAAAAAAUUACUUUUGAAAGUGCUGAAACUUAUUUUUAAAAUAAGCAGUUAUGCGUUUGGAUAAAAGUGCUGAAGUUGUUAUGCCAAACGUGAAAAGGAAAAACUAGAAGAAAGAGAUGUUAGGGUUAUAUGGGUAAUUUGGAGAUUGUAUAAAAAUAUUAAGGGAAAAAACAUAAAAAUAUGGUCAACUUAAAACAGCUUAUAAGCUAAAAAAAAAAAAAACACCCUACCCCAGCUUUUAACUUUUGGCUUAAAAUAAGUUUUUUUAACUUAAAAUAAGCUAUUUUGAGUAUUGUCAAACAAUUAAAUAAGUCAAAAACCAGCUUUUAAGUCAGUUUGACCAGCUUUUAAGCUGAGCCAAACAGACUCUAAAGCUAAAAUGUAUCAAUUUUUAAGGGAGGAUAUUUAUGGGUACUAUUUAAAAAUAUGAAGGUAGUAUAUAUAUUAUUAUAAGGGAGAAUUAUGAGAGUCCGAUUUGAUAUACACCCUGUGACAUGCUGGAGCCGCACAUAUUAUUCACAAUUGUAGAAAAGUUUCAAUUUGCUUACUAAUUUCACAUGAUACACUCAGGCGUUGCUAUCAGACUUUAGCAAUGUAUUAUGUAUGUGGGUAGAAUUUGCUUUGGAAAUUUGCAUCUCUUUUGCCUUAAAUGCUCACAUGCAAAGUGCCUCUCCAAUUUUCAACAAGUAGGAUUUGAUUUGGUGGAAAUGCCAUGCCCAAGUCAACUUUGUACGUAAUUAUGAUUAUUGCCGUCAUUUAUAUAAAGGUAAUUUAUAGAUAACUAGAUUUAUGCAUAUUAUUUAUUACUUCUUCAAUCAUCAAAUACAGUCACAUAAAAUGAGACGAAUCACUCAAAUAUAUAUAGCUUCGUAAGAGCAUCAAAGUCAUAUAUACUGAUAAACAAAAUGAUCGGUUUAACUCUGUUAUGUCAUGUAUGGCCCCUGCUAAAUAUGGAGUCUAUGUCUCGAUAGUUUGUUGCUUUUCUGUUUUUCUAAAUGAAGAGAGUCCAGAUAAUAAAUUAUUUAGAUAAUUUAGGAUUACGUAGUCACAUGGGGUAGGACCAUACACUUACUCAGCCAAGAAAUGGACAAGAGUCAAUAACAGAUCAUAUAAUAGGAAACACAGUCAUGUGCUACAUUGGACAAAGACAUUUUUGAUAGUCCUAUAGCUCAUUUAACUCUUCCAUGUGGUUUUAUUUAAUUGCAAUUGAACAUGACCAGCAACUCAAUUUGUAGGCUUUACCAUUAAAGCAGGAAGGGAUAUUUAAUUGAAAAAUCAAAAUCAAAUCGACUAAAUAAUCAAUAUAAAGAUUUCACGGAAAAGACUCAAAAUUGGUUUUGCAAUUUGAGACGUUGGUUUUGUUUUUGCUUUAUGUUUAGCAUUGACACACAUUUGCUAGUAUUGCUAACAAAGUAAAUAAAAAAUAUUUAAACUUACCCUUGUUGUUUGCGGAAUGUGCAAAAUUGUCCCUAUACUUGUUUGAUUCACAAGUUGCUUUUAUUCAUGAACAUUGCUUAAAUGUGAAAUGUGUACUCAAUUGUUUCUAAUUCUUAUUUGGAAGAUUUUAGACAUUCCUCUAUGGAUUAUGAAAAAAACUACGCCUCUAUUAUGCUUCUAUUUGAAGUAAUCUUUUUCUAAUUAGUAGUUAGUCAAGUUCUCAUAUUUGGAGUAUAAAUUUGUCUUUUUCUAUGAGUAUUAAAUUGGUGGCUACUUCAGAUAUUCGGAUAUGAAGUUAGGUUUGAUAGUUCCAAAUUUCAGAUAUGUUUGAAGUUUCGAAUUUUAGAACAAGAAUUUUCAAUUCAGUCCUGUAAAUUUAAAGUUGAUACUCUGAGAUGGCUAAAUAUCAAAUACUUUAUGAUUUAUAAUUAUUUUUUAAACAGUGAUGCUCCAAGUGGCUAUUAACGCACUGGACCUAUUAAUUAGUCCACUUGAUAAAAAGAACGCCCAAUAGUACUGCAGAUGGUUAUUCAGCCCAUGUUAUAUUUGCAGACUGAAAAUUUGGGCUCUGCAACUCUUCUAUUGUUAGCUCAAAAGGAAUGGGCUUCAAGCCCUAAAAUUUUGUUUGCAAAGACAUUCUCCGUAGUUUUAAAUACAUUUUCAUAUUCCCAAUACUUGAUAUUUGGUACCCAUAUUGAUACUUAAUAAGUUCAAAUCAUGAGUUGCAGGGCUAAUUUUUGAGAAGUGACACUUUUAAUGAUUUUUUUUGGAUGUUCAAAUUAGUGAGAGUUUUAAAUUAGAAGGAUCGUAACUAGAGCCGUCAAUAUGGGUUAGGUCUGUUGGACCGGCCUAGCCUAGCCCAGAAUUUAAUAGGUCUGGGCUAUGAUUUUAGAAGCCCAUUUGAGAAAAAGGGUAUUUUAACCCGACCUGAAUAAGUCUGCUGAUUUGUGGGGCUUGAUAAAUAUCGAUAGGACCAGCUCGUGGAUCAAUAAAAAUUAAUUAAAAAAUAUAAUGUAAUAAUAAAAAUUUAAAAUUAAAGAGAGUCCAGACUCAAAACAAUUAGGUUAGUAUUUUUGUUUAGAUAUUUAUACUUUUACUUGAAAAUAUACUUAAUGCAUAUUAUAAAGAUAAUUUUAUUUGUAGAUUUGAUUAAAAAAUAGUAACAUUUAACAUCAUGUAAUAUUGUUUUGUCUGUGAUAAUAUUCUUAAAUUGUAAUUUAUAAUUAAUUUAAUAAUUCUAAAAAUAAUAUAAUUCUAAAAAAAGUGGACUGGUCCAACAAGCCUAUAGCCCACAUACUUUUGGAUUGAAUCGACCGUUUUCUGGCGCACACUUAAAAUAGACUAGCCCGACCUGACCUAUAAAAUAUCAAAGUCUGUAUGAGCUAGCCUGGAUGAAAUGGGCUAGCCCAUAUUAACAACUCUAAUCGUAACUAUAUCAUCAUAACUUAUGUUGAUGAUCUAUAUUGAACUUGUUAAACUUUAAUUUGGUCGGUUCCUAUUUUAUCAACUUUGACUACUUUCACUAUGUGAUGACAGUAAUAUAUAUAAAUUGAUUUGACUCAAAAAGAAACAGAAGAAGCACUACUACAAGUCUUACAACUAUGGGGCCAGAUGAAAUCUUAUUUGUCCAACAAGUUGCUUGUAUGAUACUCCCUAUAUUUUUUCACUAACGUAAAAUUAAACAAAGAAACAGAAAACUAGCCAUGUCGUAAAUUAAAUAAUUAGAUACAAAAGAAUACUCAAGAAGUUGACCUUUGCGUUUGGAUGCGUUGACCUUGCCUUUUAAUUAUUCUUUCAUGACAUAAUUCAAAUAUUAAAGUCUAUAGAUUAAAAGUCCUCCUAAUCAUAAUUCAUAUCAAUAAAAUAAGUGAAUCAUAGAGAUAAUGAUAAAUUUUUUCCAUGAAUCCAUUAUUAUCUCUUUAUAUUAAAAAUUGUAAAAUGAUAAUAAUACUAUAGUCUUUGUUUCUUAAAAUUUAAAUCAAACUAAGUCAUGUAUAUUGAAUUUAUUUUGUUACUAGUACUAUAGUAUAAUGCUUAAAAAACUUCUAAGGUACACUUAUCGUGUGAAGAACAACAAAUUAAUUAUAUAAAGAAAGGAAAAAUGAAGUAGAUCUUCCCGUUAGUUGAAGCAAAUAAAUAUUGUUAUAUAUAUAUAUAUAUGAUAUAUUUUGCAAUUACAAAAGUAUGAGACGGCAUCUAACUAGUGUCAAGUUGCAUCAAUCAACGCCAAAUUUCCUAAUUUAAGCAAACAAUUUCAUUAUCAGUGUCAAUAAUUAAACCCGUGCUUAGUUGUCUUAUUGAUUUGAUAAUUAGUUACGUCAAUAGAGGAAAAGCUAAAUUUAGGUGCCUAAGAUUCUUUGUUUACUGGUCCCAAAAGCUAAUGAAAUUCACAAGUCUUUUUAUUUUAUUUUUGGUGUGGAGAUGGGUCGGGUAGGUGAGAAACAAAUUCUGCCUUAUGAGUCAUCAUUCAAUUUAACCUUCACUAAAGUACAAUCAUGUUUCUCUUUAAUUAAGGACCUAUCAACCUCAAAAUCCCAUUAACAUUUAACAUUUACUAACUACCUUCUUUUUUAACUUUAUUUCAAUUACUUUAUUCUAAUGCAUAUCAUAAUCACAUUUAACUACCUUCCUUCACUCACCCCUUCUAUUUUUUUGUAUCGACAUAAACACUCACUCGAGCACCUUCCAUAUUUGUAUAUCUUAUAUGUAUAUAUAAAAAUGCAUUAAUGUGCCCAUGCAAACAUUUUACGUAUUAUAUUUUUCUUUGCUAAACUUUUGGUAUUAAAAAUAAUAUAUAUAAUGAAUAAAAUUAAAAGGGUUGGGUAGAAGGAUACCUUAAUGGGUAAUAUAUACAUGCAAGUGCGUAAAGUUCGAAACGUGCAUGACCAAAAUUCGUGAAAAUAUAUAUAAUGUCGAUUCAGGUGAAUUUAACUCUUAUCGUCCUUUACCGUAAGCAUGGAAUUCCAUGAAUGAAAAACACUUAAAUAAACUACUGCCGUAUAACACAUUUGUGGCCGGCCUUUAUAAAUUGGAACUUUGGAAGCACGACCAUUUAUAACCGACCUAUAAGUGAAACAUAAAAGGGUGAAAAACUUUUAAGGCUCGUUGAGGUCGUUAUCUAACAUUGCCAAACACAUUGUCUCGAUGAAUCAAAUGUUAUUACACGUGAGGCCUAAUUUUCUGGUUGUUCAAAAUCUAGUGCCAAUAGUUCGGAACAAAAAUUAUAAUCAUUUAUCAAGUACAUGAGUGUUUUCAACACGUCUUUUGACUUUUUAUGUAUUAUAAUCCGUUCUAAGCUCCUAAUUUGAGACCACUUAUAUGUCAUGUAGCAAAUUAGAGGUGUAAUUAAGUUAGUCAAGUAUAAACGGAUUAUUUAGAAAUGAAACUAAUAAUUUGCGUCAAGUUCAAUAGUAUUUUUAAUAAUUCUAUCGUUGUUUCAUACGAGAAUAGAGCCAGUACAGUAGUCUUGUUUAUUCAUCAUAAAUGCGUCUAAAUAACUAAUCAUACAAUUUGAUAUAUGCCAUCUGGUUUGAAUAGUAAUAAAUAUGGUGAUGAUUUAUACACUGGAAAAAGUUGCUGAAAAAGAGAGUUUAUUCCAAAUAACCAAAUGAAGAAUAUUGAACUCGUUCAUUUUUAAUAUAUGCAUACGUAGUAAUUGGAAUAUCUAAUAGUUAAAUGGUAUGAACCAAAAAAAAAAAAAAAGAAGUUACUUAAAUUGAAUAUCAAUUGACCAUGAUAUUAAUUUGUGUAAUUACUACGCUAAACAUUUUUUCUUUCUUCUUACAUCUGCAUGUAAAUAAACUCGAGGGGAGGACAAAAGGUUUGUCUACUUAAUUUUGGUACGUUAUAGUACAAAAUAAUCAAAUUGCGUAUUUUGAUUAAUAGACUCUAGAACUCUCUUGGUAGUCUUGGAUAAUUAGAAAUAGAUUAUAACUUUAAUUAUCAUCAGUGAGGGCCACACAACUUUAAUUAGUCUUAAAUAGUAGCAAAAAUAUAUAGCUGCCGUUCCAUAAAAAUCCAUCACCAUUAACCAAUAGGUAAUUAUAAUGUAAUGAAUUAUUAAUAUUUUUCCAAAAAAACUAGUGACGGCAAAUCCUUUUAAAGUAAGCUAGCUAGUUUGAUUAGAAGUUGGCGCAAUCAAUUAUUCAUUACAAAGAUUACUAUGACAUUAAUAAAAGAAGGUAACGGUAAAAACACUGUAAUUAAGAUUUAAAAGGAAAGUCUUAGCUACUAAUAUAUUGGUAUCAUAUUAGUAACUUUUUAGAUACAAAGAAAAAAGGUUUUAUUAGGCUGUAUAAAUAUGCCUUCUAGGGUUAGGGUUUUCCAGAUAAGCAAAAGGGUGUAUUAUUAUUAUUAUUAUUAUUAUUAUUCUCUAGCUUCCAGUAACACAUAUGCCAUAUUCAAUUUUCUCAUUUAUCUGAAUCAUUAGAAGAGAUGAAAAAAGUUUUGAGGAGAAAUGAUUACUCAAGAAAUUCUACAAAUUCAUCCUUUACCAUGAGGAGAGUGAGAUAUGUUGAGUGCCAGAGAAAUCAUGCUGCUAGUGUCGGUGGAUACGUUAUCGAUGGGUGCCGGGAGUACAUGCCCGAGGGCACUACUUCCGGCACCCUAAAUUGUGCAGCCUGUGGCUGCCACCGCAAUUUCCACAGAAGGGAAGUGGAAACUGAUGUUGCUUCUGAAUGUACUUCCGCUUCUUCUACUACUAAAUGAAGAAGUAAGUUUAAUUUUUAUGUGUGUGUGAAAUUUUAUGGGAAGGGAUUUCUAAUUUCCCUAUUUGGAAGCUUGUGUUCUAUAAUUUCCCUAUUUGUGUGUGUGUGAAUAAGGUGUGAAAUCGUUUGUAAUGAUUUGCAUGUUGAUGGUCAAGAAUAUAAUGAACCUUUUAUUUAUAUGUAAUAAAAUUAGUAAUGAAUUUAGGGGAGAAAAGAUGUGUUUCUAUUUUGAUUAGACUUGAUGGUCUGUUUCUCAAAUUUUUUGUGAAGUAUGACAUAAGCAUUUUGUGUUAUCAAAAAAUCUGUUUGUGCCAAACAAAAUUAAAGUAAUUCCAAACUUGUGGAUAUCAGUUAAAGAUUUAUGAUUUUGUUUGAAGAAGCUCUGAUUGGGAGGGGAGCACGCCGAUGGUGAAAGUUCUGUCUCAACCAUUGAUUGAAUCCGAAUGUUUUUCUUGUAAAUAUAUGAUGAUAAGAAUUCCCCUAACUGACUAUGUAGAAUUUUCCAUGAUGGUAUCGUGUCAUGUGUUUGAGCUAUUUUUUAAUCAGCCAAUGGAUAGAGCAAAUGGCACUAUAAGUAUCAAAUUUUGCUUAAGUCUCUACAUAAAUUUGAUCUUGUCUUGGAAUUUAUCCUUGUAAGUUAUGUUAUGUUCGAUUGCUUACUAGUCUUCUGCAUCCCUUGUGUAUAUGUUAUUGUCGUAUAACCCAAAUGAUUCUUCUGCAAAAGUUCUUUUAAUUUAAAGAAGAACAUGGCAACAAAUUUCUCAACAUCAUUCUCCAUAUAUCCCAAAUUAUAUGUGGCUGAUAAAUGUAAGUUCUUGGGAAAAUUAACAGAAUGGGGAGAUAAUUGCAAAAAGCCUCACGUUUGGUGCUCUUAUUAAAACGAGCACAACAAUAUAGUAUGUCGUGUUCUUAAUAUUGCAUGUGGCUGGAUAAGACCAGCACAAUUGUAUGAUAUAUAUAUCUUAGAUAGAGUUAGGUAUUAUGGAAGGGAACAAAGCUUUAGGUAAGUGUUAAUUUUUAAUCAGGUAUGUGUCAAAUCUUUGAAUUUAGUGAAGCCUCACAGCCGCAUGCUUUUUUUUUUCUUUUGAAUUUCACUACUUUCUUUAAUUCAGCUUGCAGUUUAAUUUAAAAUCGAUGUAAAGUUAUUUUUUCCAUAUUAAUUAAUAAGCUAUAAAUUCGAGCAGUACAAUCAAUCAUUAUGACUUAUAAUAGUCUGUUAGUCUGUUCUACCUACAUAACACCGCCUUUGGAGUGAGUGUGACUCAACUCUUUUCCAAAAAAUCUUAUGUGAAUGUGAAAUACUUUAAUUAUGUACCAAAUUUUCCCCAUAAAAGUUACUGUGCAAUAUGUAUAAUUAAACGCAUUGGAAUUCAAGGACUGUCCAUUUGAAUGAAACUAACAAAAAUCAUAAAUCUAAAGGCCAAAAUUCAAGGACUGUCCAUUUGAAUGAAACUAACAAAAAUGUGCAACAAGUAGAAAUAAGGAAAAAGUUAUUUAACUCAUCAAUCAUAUUCAAAACGAAAGAAAUAAGGAAAAAUGUACAAUAUCAUUUCAUAUUUUUCAGUGGUGAAAUCUAUCUAAAUUUUUAGAGUUGCAAUUUUUUUUCUCGAUCAGUGGGUCAAAUAUGAUUUUACAUUGGCCUGAAAAUAAUUCGAACACAUUAUUCUAGGCUUGUUCAUGGAGCCGUAUAAUUAAUUGGGGUAAUGCAAACAGAUAUAAUUUUGAGGUCACUAUUCAAAUUAUACUCUAUAUUUGUAAAUUUUUGUCAAGUUUAUUUACUUAUUGGAAAAUCGAAACAAUAUCAAGCUAACAAAAGCGUCUUUAAAGUUUGAACUUUCAGGCAUAUAUGUGAGAACUUCAGGUAUUUUUGAUAAUUAGUCCCAUUCCGCAAAUAAUGCAAUUUUAAACCAUUCUGCAUCACUGCAUGAUUUGAUUUUUGUAUGGUUGUGGAUUUUCAUGGCCUCCACAUUUGAGGGAUGAAAAUGAUACCUUUAAUACCUCUCAAUUAGCAAAUGGUGUGCUUGAUAAAUAAAACACUACCACUUUGUUUGGAUCAAUUGUUAUCCAUUGUUUUUUAAUGUAUUGUCGUUAUAUUUUAUUGUGUUGUAUUAUAUUGUAUUAUAUGGUAGAUAUAAUGUUUGGUUAGACUGUAUUGUUUGUUGUUAUUUAAUAACAUUUUAUUAUAGGGUAGGAGGUUUUACUAAAUUUAAAUAAUUAAGGUAAAGCGUAAAAUAGUAUUUUGAAAUAUUAUGUAAAGAUAUAAUUUAAAAAUAAAUUAAGUAACAAUGGGAACACACCAAAUCGGUUAUUCCAUAAAAUAGAAUUUUUGCAUUGUUAUGUAACAAUCAAAUUUAACAAUACAAUACAAUACAUUUUAAAUAACAAUCAAAACAAACAUUGUAGGUAUAAAACGAUACAAUACAAUACAAUGGGUAACAAAAAUAGGGUUUUUCUUUGUUAUGUAACAACCAAAUUUAAUAAUAUAAUACAAUACAUUUAAAUAACAAUCAAAACAAACAUUGUAGGUAUAGAACGAUACAAUACAAUACAAUGGGUAACAAUGAGCUAAACAUAGUGUACGUAUCCUAUUCUUUGUAUUUUUAUGCAUCUAAUUGAUUCGAGAUAUUAUAUCGUACGGUACGAUACUUAAAUAUUUUGAUAUCAUAACUUCGAUAUUCGAUAUCUAAAGUGCUAUAUCAUACACUAGACUAGCUCGGUAUGGUUCGGUAUAUUAAAUUUUAAUCCUCAAUAUUUUACAAUAUGAUAUUUGAUAAUCAUAAUUUGCUUCACUUCGACAUACAUAUAUUUAUAACUCUUCAUACAAUUCAUUUUUAGCAAUUAAGUUACAACUGUUCUCUUUGUCCUUUAGCCAGUAUUCUUGCAAGAUCAAUACAAUGAUCACAUGAAUACGAGAAAUUCGAAAGCAUGAGUCUCAAUCAUAUUAUACCAACUAUUACUUUUGUUAAAUAUUUUCACAAAAAGAACAUUUCAAUGACUCAAGUAGUCAUAAAUGCAAAGUUUAAAUAACAUUAUCUAAAUUAUACAUAGCCUUAUAUACUGUUACACUACAAAAAUCGUUUACGAACAUGUAAACUCUAACUUGUCAUAUAUAUAUAUAUAUACACACUUUUAAAUCAUCUUUUUAUUUUUGAAAGUGUUUGGAUAAUAUAAAAAAUAAUUUAAAAUAAGUUGUGUUUGACAAGGUAAAAAUAACUUAAAAUAAGUCAAAAUCAAAAGUAAGAGCUUGUUUGGCUCAGCUUAAAAGCUGGUCAAACUGACUUAAAAGCUGAUUUUUGACUUAUUUAGCUGUUUGACAAUACUCAAAAUAACUUAUUUUAAGUUAAAAAAAACUUAUUUUAAGCUAAAAGUUAAAAGCUGGGGUAAAGGUGUUUUUUUUUAGCUUAUAAGCUGUUUUAAGUUGACCACAUUUUUAUCUUUUUGCCCUUAAUAUUUUUUACAAUCUCCAAAUUACCAACAUAACCCUAACAUCUCUUUCUUCCAUUUUUCCAUUUUCACGUUUGACAUAGCAACUUCAGCACUUUUAUCCAAACGCAUAACUGCUUAUUUUAAAAAUAAGUUUCAACACUUUCAAAAGUACUUUUUUAAAGCUGCUUUUAUUAAGUCCAUCGGAACGGACCCUAAGUCUCUCCAUACUUUUUUUUUUUGACUUAAAAGUUAUUUCAAUUUGACUUUUUAUUUUUAAUUUAAAAACUAUUUUUUUAAGCAAAUUCAAACAAAACCUAAAUCAUACUUCAUUAACAAGGCAUAAAAAUAUUUUAAGGCAUCACAUUAAUAAAUGACGUCUUGGUUUUCACUUUACAAAUGGAUGUCUGCAACUACAUGCUAUUACAAAAUUUCAAAUACUCAGAAUUAUUCAAAGACCCACUAAUCAAUAAUAUUGCUAAUUAGCUAGUCUUCAAAAUAAUCAUUUUCAUAUGAUACAAACUUUAAACUAAACAGUCACGUUUAAGAGUUCAUAAAUUUUGAAAUUACAAUUUGAUUUCUGGUGAUUUUGAAAUUAUAAUUUUAAGCUAAUCUCGUAAGCAUACACUGAUUUCAAAUGAAAUUGAGAUUCAAACCUUAUAGCCCUAGUAUGCAUACAAAGAUGAUAAUUUUCAUAUAUAGCAAAAAAAUUUAUAUUUGUAUGUUAUAACAAAGUUUGCAUAAUUGCGUUCUAUAGCAAACAUAAAAUUGUACAAUUCGCUAUACAUAUACAAUUGUAUAAUUCGCUGGCCAAAAUUGUAUAAUUCGCUGGCCUAAAUUGUAUAAUUCGCUAUCCUAUUUCGCUGCGAUUGUAUAAUUCGCUGCCUAUUUCGCUGCAAUAUUUUUAUAAAAUUUGCUUUGCAUACAGUUGAAUUAAAUUAAAAUGUAUGUAUAUUGCAUAAUUAUAAGUAUAUAGCAAGAAGAUAUAUAUUUUUCUCUCCCUUUAUACAAAAACAGAAACACAAUUUAUACACUUCUGUUAUAUAAAACUAGAGAAAAUUGUAUUUCACUGCAAUUGUAUAAUUCGUUGGUCUUUUUCUCUGCAAUAUUUAAACUAAAAUGUAUGUAAAUUGCAUAAUUAAGUGUAUAACUUGAAGUUAUAUAUUUUUGCAUGUGUAUAUACGAUUUUCUCUCGCUUUAUACAAAACAGAAACAUAAUUAUACACUUAUGUGUAUAAAGCAAGAGAGGCGAGCGAGAAUGGAGAGUGGCGAGCGAGAUUUCUGGGAGAGAGACGCUGACAAAUUUUAGCUAAUGUUUGCUAUGGAGCACAAUUAAAUCAAAACCUAGCUAUUUCAUUUAUUUUAGGUUAUUAGUUUGCUAUUAUAUAUAAUUUUUCCUAGAAAGAUUUAGGCUAGGAAAGGAUUAUUUGGGCUUCAGGAAAUUAGGCCGACGCGAUACUCAUAAGGCCGUCUACGACGUUCAACGGUUCAAUUUACUGGUCUGGGCUUCGGCUUAGAAGAGCCCAUUAUGAGAGCCUAAAUCUUACCGGAGUUUCCCGCCCAUCUAUUACUAGUUGUUCUGGCUAAAAAUUUAAAUUCUUACGCGCUACCACUUUUUUUUAAUUUUAAAAAAUAGUAGUAGUAGUUCAAAUCUUCUCUCACGCUCCUCUUCUACCCCAGCACUUCGCCGGACUCCUUUUCUACUCCAGCACUUCGCUGGAGUUGACCUUCAGUAGCAAGUCUUUCGGUUCUUCUUUUCAGUACAGCCUAAAGCUAUUCUCCGGGAGUAAAAAUGGCCGUAGAUAAGGAAUUCUCGAACUCCCACGAAUCCAAUAAUGAGUCAUCUCAUCCUGGAUCUAGACCUCCGAGGCUAUUCAUUAAAGAGAUGGUGAUGAGAAACUUCAAAUCUUAUGCCGGCGAACAGCGCGUUGGCCCAUUCCACAAGGUUAGGGUUUGCUUUUACACAUUUUUCAGUAAUUGAAUAUUUCAGGAAUUAGGUGGUAAUUGAAUAUUUUAGAAAUUAAGUUAAUUCCUUCUAUGUAAUAAAAUUCUCUACUGUACAGAGUUUUUCUGCAGUUGUUGGUCCUAAUGGUAGUGGAAAGAGUAAUGUCAUCGACGCAAUGCUCUUCGUCUUCGGAAAGCGGGCCAAACAGGUAAGACUAUGUGUUUUUUUUUUAUUUCAUGUUUUUUGGCACCUUGAUUAUGAUAAAAUUGGAUAAUUCAUUGUCAUAACUUCUAAAAUAUUAUUCUCUUGAUGAAUAAAGUAAAAGUUGACUAUGCUACAAAAUUAGUUGAUCACUAGCUUAGUUUCGUUUGAUGUAAAACUUACUAACCUGUAUGACUGGAAACUGCUGUUAGCUCUGCUAAGUUGGAGCUCGGGGAAAACUAGCCUUUUAAAAUGGACCAUUCCAUCUGCAUGCUUAUUGAAAUUUGAGCUUGAAUGAUUAACUCUGCAGAUGCGUCUAAACAAAGUGUCAGAGCUCAUCCACAAUUCAAGUAACCAUCAGAAUUUGGAAAGUGCUGGCGUGUCUGUUCAUUUUCAGGAAAUUAUAGAUUUGGUAAUUGUGGAUUUUCCUCUUUCUGAGAUAACUAUUUAGAAUCUGUGUUAUAUUCUUAGUGUUUCUAUUGUUUAAAUAGGAUGAUGAGACAUAUGAGGCUGUUCGUGGAAGUGAUUUUGUAAUCACACGUGUGGCAUUUCGAGAUAAUUCCUCUAAGUACUAUAUCAAUGACCGGACAAGUAACUUUACAGAGGUCACUAAGAUGUUGAAAGGGAAAGGGAUUGAUCUAGAUAACAACCGAUUUCUGAUUCUUCAGGUCUAUAUUGUUUUUGUCAUGUGAUCUUUGUUAAUUUCGCAAAUUUUGGAUUCUAUUCAUGUGGAGAUGUCCAUGGAAUUUUCAAAAAUCCAAACUUCUCAUAGAGAUGUAGAAGUUUCUUGAACGAACCACACUAAAUAGGUGGUUUUUUUGCAGGGUGAGGUUGAACAAAUAUCACUGAUGAAGCCUAGAGGACAAGGACCACAUGAUGAAGGCUUUCUUGAGUAUUUAGAGGAUAUUAUCGGAACCGACAAAUAUGUUGAGAAGAUUGAUGAAUCAUUCAAGCAGUUAGUUCUCACUGUGAAAUGAUUUUCUUUUUGGCAGAAAAAACGUUUUUAGUUUCAAACUAAAUCUUGUGAUACCAUAAUAGUUAUGCUGCUCUUUUCCUUACCAGUAUGUUCUUUCCUUUCUCCCUUGUGUAUGGUUUGCAUCCUUAUUUUUAUAGCUUUGUAUGUUAAUUUACUCAUGAGUGUGUUAUGUGUACUCAGUAAGAAGAUUGUGUGCCUAAAAAGAUGCACUUGAUACCUCUAGAAUCUGCAUUCACUAUUUUUUGAUGCUAUCAUAGGCUAGAAGUCCUCAAUGAAAGAAGGUCUGGUGUUGUUCAAAUGGUUAAGUUAGCUGAGAAAGAAAGAGAUAACUUGGAGGUAAGAUUAGACCAUUACAUAAUUUAUGAUUUGUUGUGCUCUUAGAAAUGUGUUUAUGUUGUCCAUUCCUUCAAUAAUAGGGAGUGAAGAAUGACGCAGAAGCCUACAUGCUUAAAGAAUUAUCACUUCUCAAAUGGCAAGAGAAAGCAACAAAAUUGGCUUUUGAAGAUAAUUCAACUCGAUUUACAGAGAUGCAGGCGAACAUUUCUAGACAAGAAGAGAUUCUUAAAAGUGAAAGGUGGCUUACUAUAUUUUCUGAGGGCUAUGCAAGAACAUAGUGCUUUUUUUCUUUUUUGUUUACUUGGGAUAAAUCUGGAACCUCCCUCCCUUCUUUGUUUUCCCUUAGUUUUGUUGCAAGAAAAGAGAUGAACUCCUCUAUCAGUGCCUGUAGUUACGUUUCUUCAUUUCAAUACAAUCCCCCUUCGUUACAGUAGUGCUUUCAUUCAACACUCAAUGAAUUUUUUAAAAAACUUUUCAGGGAGAAAAUUAAGGAAAAUAGCAAGUCAUUGAAGGACCUUGAGUCAAAACAUUCGAAGUUUCUGAAAAGACAAGAGGUAUGGAGUACAAAGUGUGUAUACCAUUGCAUAUUUAUCCUGUUAUUAAGAAAGAGGUGGUUUCCUUGGGAGGACGUAAGCAUUACGAUAUUAUGGUUUUAAAUCUGACUAUUACAAUGGUCAAAUAAUUCAGAUUUGUUUUGCUCAAAACUUGUAGGAGCUUGAUAACGAUCUGAGGCGCUGCAAGGAUGAGUUCAAGGAAUUUGAGAGGCAAGAUGUAAAGUAUCGAGAAGAUUUGAAUCACUUGAAGCAGAAGAUAAAGAAACUGACUGAUAAAAUUGAUAAGGUAUGAUAUGUUGAAAGUUGUACCUUAGAUUACAAAUAAAUACAUAUUUGUCAAGAAGAGAAUCUUAGUAACUCAUAAUCUUACUGUUUUUGUUUCAUUUUGAUAGGAUUCUCGUAAAAUUUCUGACACAACUAAUGAGUGUGAGGAGUCUGCAAAUCUUAUUCCAAAAUUGGAGAAAGAUAUUCCAGGCUUGCAACAACUUUUGGUGGAUGAGGAGAAAAUUUUAGAUGAAAUAAAGGAGAAUUCUAAAGGUAAAGUACUUGAAUUAAGUGCUUGUUUGGUGGUUUGCAUGUCAAAUACUCUGAAUUUGUCCUAUUGCCAUUAUGCAAUUAUUACAAUUAGUUUCUUUCAAUUACACCUCAAUUCCAAUUAGUUGGGGUCGGCUAUAUUUUUAUGCUUGUUUCUACAUUAUUCUGUCCAGUUAGGGAUCUCUAGAUCUCACACUUAUCUCUGCAUAAGGCCAUACGCACUGACCAGAAUAAAUACUUUUUAUGAACUUACGAUCAGAAGUAAGUAUAUCAGCAACAUCAAUUACUAUUCCUUUUUCAAAAUAAUUGAUAUUGCUGUAUCGGUUAUAAAGAUAUUUUCUCAUAACUCUCGAUCAGUACAUAUGAAGUGGCAUCACACUCAGAAGCCUUUCUGACUUUAAGCUCCAGGCUUGUUUCUCAUUUUAAAGGUCUCUUUUCUAUUAACUUCUUUAGAUAAUAUUCCAUUGGUUUGAUAAUUAAUGGCUGUUCUUAUUGGUGCUUUUGGGUAAGAGUUAGAUGACUAACAAUUUAAGUUAUUACAUAAGUUCACUUUUGCAUCUAACCAUUGAUGUUUAUUGCUCAUAGCAGCCUUAUUUAUUGGUCUAGCUCUAACAUAUCAAAUAUAUUUCUCUCACUCUUGUACAAUUGUUUCCAAAUAGUUGAAACCGAGGCUUUCCGCAGUGAGCUUUCUGCUGUUCGGUCUGAAUUAGAGCCUUGGGAAAAGCACUUAAUUGAGCACAAGGGAAAGCUUGAAGUGGCAUCAACUGAAAGUAAACUUUUGAGUGAAAAGGUAUUUGCUGAUUAUAACAUUUGAGAUCUCCUCUCUACUCUUACUCCGACAGCUCUUUUCCUUAUAAUAUGAUUCACUUACCCUAUGAGAUCUGCACUUUUUAACUGAAGCUGCAUGAAGCAUUUUAGUCAUGACUUGUCUUAUUCCAACAUGGAAGCUUAAAAUGCCAAGCGCAUUACCUCAUGUGAAGUUGUACUAGCAGUUUUUCAGAAUAAUACACAUUUUUAAAUUGCUUAGUUGGUCCGUAAGCUAGCUAUUUAAUAUUUCACUCAUGGGUUUAGUCAUUAAUGCUUUCAGCAUGAGGCUGGUCGUGCUGCCUAUAUUGAAGCACAAGAGCAGAUUGUGGAAAUACAGAAACGAGUAGAGAUAAAAUCGGCAAGCUCAAAAAACAUCGCCAAUGAGCUUGAGAAGAACAAGGUUAAAGCACUUGAGGCUCGAGCUGUUGAAAAGGUAUGUGUUUUGAGUAUCUCUACCAUUUGUCAUUUUAACCAGCUGUUGAAUUUGUUCUGGGCUUGUGAUGUACUUGACUGGUUGUAGGAAUGCCUUCAAGAACAAGAAAGAUUGAUACCUCUUGAACAAGCGGCCAGACAAAAGCUUACUGAGCUUUCAUCUGUUAUGGAAUCUGAAAAGAGCCAGGGAUCUGUCCUAAAAGCAAUAAUGCAUGCUAAGGAGGCAAAUGUGAUAGAUGGCAUAUAUGGUCGAAUGGGUGACUUGGGUGCGAUUGAUGGUGAGAAUAUUUAUGUCACAUUUAAAACUAGUUCACGUCCUUUGCUUUAUUUUUGUUUCAUUUGUUGGCAGAGGUAGUGAAAUUAAGAGCUGAACUAUAGCUCACAUAAUUUGAGCAUAAAUUACUGAAUAUUUUAUUUUCCCACAGCAAAGUAUGAUGUUGCCAUAUCAACCGCAUGUUCUGGGCUUGAUUAUAUUGUUGUAGAAACUACAGCAGCAGCACAAGCAUGCGUGGAGCUUCUUCGAAGCAAAACCCUCGGCGUAGCAACUUUCAUGAUUUUGGUAUGUCUUCUUUAAUUUUUGUAGUUUCUUAAACUAUACACCGUGCCCUUUGGAGAAGCUAACCAAGUGGUCUAUAAUUGGAUUGGAAUCUCACUCUCUGUUGGACAUGUGAAAGAACAUUGCUGCAGUUUAUCUAAAGAAAAAAAGAAAAAAAGAAAAAAGAACAUGAUUGCUGCAGUGAAAGUUAAAUAAGAAGCUGGAUCAUAAAGACCUUCUGUGAGGAUCACAGUACCUUGGUAGUUGGUAGUAUUUUCCCAAUGCUAGUUGGCUACAAAAAAGAUGAAAUUAAGCAAGUGCAAUAAAGUAUUGCAUUCAAAUAGUAGAUAAAUCUCACAUUGAUUUUGGAGGUCAAAUGUAUUUGGUUUGAACUAGAAAAUGUGUAAUUACCAUUAAAAAUUACACUUCCAAAAUACUCAUUGGUAAGGAGUCCCUGAAAAGUAAAAUCAUUGGUGUUAUUUCAAAUGUAUAUUUGAUUUAUACAUAUUUUUCGCAGGAAAAACAAGCUCAUUAUUUGCCUAAAAUCAGAGAGAAAGUCAGAACGCCAGAAGGAGUCCCACGCCUUUUUGAUUUGGUGAAAGUUCGAGAUGAGAGGAUGAAACUAGCAUUUUUUGCUGCAUUAGGAAAUACAGUUGUUGCAGAAGAUAUUGAUCAGGUGAUGUUUACAUAAUUCUUUUAAUUCUUCCCUGAUGAAAUACAACUGUUUUGACUAUUUGGCUUGUCAUACCAUUUUUUGACUUGCUUGGUAAAAUUAUCUCUAGUCAACAUUUUGACUGAUUAGCAAAUGCAGUGAUUAUUUUCUGUCGCCCAAAUAAAAGAUUGAGAAAUUUAACACUUGGACCUCUUGAAAUGUGAUUUUAGCUAGGGCUCUCCAGUUAUCUAUUUUAGGACAUACAAUAACAUGGAGAUUUCAAAUACUAUUUUUGUAAGGUUUGCUGAUCGCCAUAAUUGUACGUCAAGACUCAGACAACAUGCAUUAUAUGUAUUUUCAUUAUUAGGCAGAAUUGCUAGAUCAAUAAUUUGCGAUACUGUUAAUUAUGCAGGCAUCACGUAUUGCCUACGGUGGGGACAGAGAGUUUCGCCGUGUUGUAACACUUGAAGGUGCUCUUUUUGAAAAAUCUGGAACAAUGAGUGGUGGAGGGGGUAAACCUCGUGGUGGUAAAAUGGGCACAUCUAUCCGUGCUGCUAGCGUUUCACCAGAGGCUAUAUCUGCUGCUGAAAAUGAACUUUCACAGAUCGCCGGAAACUUGGAUAAUGUACGCCAAAGAAUUACUGAUGCUGUGAAGUGUUACCAGGCCUCAGAGAAGGCUCUUUCUCUUGGCGAGAUGGAAUUAGCCAAAUGCAAAAAAGAGGUCUGACAUUCAUGUUUUAUUGAUGUUAUUUGCAAUUCUUUUCUAUGACUAUUUUUAAUCUCUUUUAACGCUUGUCUUGCACCAUGAGAGCUAAAUGCUUUUUUGGUUUCUGUACAGAUUGAUAGCCUGAAGUCCCAAUGCGAUGAUCUAAAAAAGCAACUGGAUUCCUUGAGAAGUGCAUCAGAACCCAGUAAGGAUGAAGUUAAUAGAUUGAAGGAACUCAAGAAAAUCAUUUCGGCUGAAGAAAAAGAAAUGGACAGGCUUACACAGGGUUCAAAACAGCUGAAAGAGAAGGUGAUCACAUGUCUAGCAGUUUAUCCUUUUCUUAAGACCAUUUUAUUAUUAAGUUCAAGAGAAGCUAGCUCCAAAGGCUGUUUCAAAAUCCAGUGUUUUAUGUCUUCAGGCUUCAGAACUUCAAAAUAAAAUAGAGAAUGCAGGUGGCGAGCAAUUGAAAAAUCAGAAGGCAAAGGUUACUAAAAUACAAUCUGUAAGUGGAAAACUGACGCUUGUGCAUGCUAAGUUUAUGUGCUUUACUGUUAACACACUUUUUUUGCUCCACCGUAGGAUAUUGAUAAAAAGAGCACAGAGAUCAACCGUCGUAAGGUUCAGAUUGAAACAGGACAGAAAAUGAUUAAAAAACUGACAAAGGGGAUUGAGGAAUCAAACAAAGAGAAGGAAAAUCUUCUUGCUGAGAAGGAGAAGUUACUUUCCAUCUUCAAAGAGGUCGAACAGAAAGCUUUUACUGUUCAAGAGGACUAUAAAAAGAUACAGGAGGUUUGUACCAUUAUUUCAUGUUAAGAUGUGCAUCAUAUGAUUGUGCAAGUUGCUUCAAUUGUUUCGGCAAAUUUCUUUUUUUUUUUCUAAUGUUUUUGUGUUAAUGAUUUUUUAGCUCAUUGAUCAGCACAAAGGUAUUCUGAUUGAUGCUAAAAAUGAAUAUGAAAAUUUGAAGAAGACUAUGGAUGAGAUGCGGUCAUCAGAGGUUCUAUGGCACUCAUUUGACAUUUUUUCUUCCUUCCAUUUAUAUAUGUAAUCUAAUGCAAGUGGAGCUGCAGGUAGAUGCUGAAUACAAGUUACAAGAUAUGAAGAAGGUUUAUAAAGAUUUGGAACUCAAAGGGAAAGGAUACAAGAAAAAACUCGAUGAUUUGCAUACUGCUUUGUCGAAGCAUAUUGAGCAGUAAGUCCUGGAGAUUUCUUUCUGAGGCAAAACACAUCAUCACAUUGUCAGCUUCCAAUCUCUUUCUGAUACACACAGACCCCCUCAUCUGUUAUCUUUCUUUUUGUUUGUAAUAAUUGUCUUGCAUUUCUUUAUCUGUGUAUAGAAUUCAAAAAGACUUGGUGGACCCGGAAAAGCUUCAGGCAACUCUAAGUGAUGUUACUCUUGGUCAAACUUGUGAUCUUAAGACAGCUCUUGAGACAGUUUCACUUCUAGAGUCUCAACUCAAAGAGAUGAACCCAAAUCUUGACUCGAUUUCUGAGUAAGCUCUUGUACUCAUUUAUAGAGAAGCUUGUAGCAUGACUAUGUUUCUUGAUAUUAAUUGCUAAUAGUCUCUACUGUCACUAGGUAUCGGAAAAAAGUAUCUGUGUACAAUGAAAGAGUUCAAGAGCUUAAUUCUGUUACUUUAGAGCGUGAUGAUAUUAAAAAACAAUAUGAUGAGUGGAGAAAGAGAAGGUAAGUUUCGUCCAUCCUACAACCUAGAUUUCUCUCUUCCAUAUGCCAGCUCACAACAUCUCUGUAGGUUGGAUGAGUUCAUGGAGGGCUUUAAUACCAUAUCUUUGAAACUUAAAGAAAUGUAUCAGGUAUUCAGCUCAUUUUUUGACUUGUUUUUUAUAUGAAAGCUUUCCCCAUAUAAUACUAGAGUUGAAUUUCAUCUGGAUCAGUGAUUAUGCCAUUUAUAAUUUUAGGUGUAGAGGAGUGAAGUGUGCUUUAGCAAAGAUAGUAGGGUAUAUAUUUUGUUUUCUUUUUUUUGUCUCCCACUGAGUUCUGAACUUGAGAUCUUAGGGCUCAACCACUUUAUGGACCACUAGGCCACACCCUUGGGUGUGAUUGUUUCCUGUUCUUAAUCCUGUAGUUGCAUGUAUCAGGUAUUCAGCUCCUUUUUGACUUGUUUUCUUAUAUUAAAGUUUUUCCCAUCUAGUACUCGAGUUUAAUUUCUUCUGGGUAAGUGAUUAUGUCACUUUAUAUUGUACAUCAUCCUGAUUGUUUUCCUUUUAUUAAUCCUGUAGUCGGGCAUCUUCUUCUUAUUUCUUGUCAUGUCUGAUUUGGUUUUUUGCUCAUAUUUCUGGUGCAUGGACUGCUUUGUUUAAAAAUUGGGAUUAUGUUGUGUGCCAAAAAAGAUAUUUUCACUUCAAAUUUCUUUCCAUGUUAUGAAAAAGCAAAUAUGUUGAUGGUUAUCCUUCUGGGUUUUGGGGACUCUUUUAGUUCAUGAUAUACAACCGGUUAACCAUUUAUAAGUAAAAGAACGUUUUAAAUAAAAUAGCAAAUUGUUAUUAAAAAAAUAAAAAAGCAAAUUGUAAAGUUAUUACCUGCAUGAAAUAUACCCCUUUAUUAAUAGUGUAUUACUUCUUUUGGUAAUCUCCCAGAUGAUCACCCUUGGAGGCGACGCAGAACUGGAAUUGGUGGAUUCUCUUGAUCCGUUUUCUGAAGGUGUUGUUUUCAGUGUUAGACCUCCAAAGAAGAGCUGGAAGAAUAUUGCUAACUUAUCAGGUGGUGAAAAGGUGAGUGUCAAGAGUGGCUAUAUGUUUGUAUGUUACUGAAAACAUUAUAUCAAAGCAAUCCGGUCUCUAAUAGCAAUGUUAAUUUCAGACCCUCAGCUCAUUGGCUCUUGUUUUUGCACUCCACCACUAUAAACCCACUCCACUUUAUGUGAUGGAUGAGAUUGAUGCUGCUUUAGGUAUGUUCUUUUUCUGCUUAUUACAUUUGGCUAACAAAGAUCAAGCUCCCAAUAUUUCAUGCUUUCUUUGUGGUUUCCUUGUAUGUCACAGAUUUUAAGAAUGUCUCGAUCGUUGGGCAUUAUGUGAAGGACAGAACUAAAGAUGCACAGUUCAUAAUCAUAAGGUACUGCAUUGGCGUAUGUCCGAUUCAAAGAAACAAGCACUAAGAAGCUAUAGUUAUCUAAUUUUUGUUUUAAUGAUAUGCAGCCUUAGAAACAAUAUGUUUGAGCUAGCAGAUCGGCUAGUUGGUAUCUACAAAACAGAUAACUGCACCAAGAGCAUUACUAUCAAUCCUGGAAGCUUUGUAGUUUCUCAAAAAGCUGCUUGAGGCUGUUCCAGAAUUUCUGAUCACUUUCUUUUAUCUUCCCUGUGCUGACAAGAAUCUGGUUGAUUAACACCUUAAGCUAACAUGGUGAGUUCUGUAUUUUGUUGGAAGUCAUUGUAAUAUGUAUAGUUCAUCUAAUGAGUUACGGAAUACUUACAGAUAUGAUAAAUGAAAGUUUGUGUUUGUAGUUAAUGGCUACUUUCUAUUAGAAUAUAUUUUUAAACACAUUGGGGACAGUCAAAAUUUUGAUGUUGCACAACACUAAUGGGAGUAUUUCUGAGUGUCACGAUUUCAAUUUUACUUGAAGAUUAUAGGCACUUAUACGAAACUUGGAUUUGAGUUGGUGGUUGUGAGAGUACGCUUUACUGUAGUUCCGGUGAUCCCACUCUUAGUAACUGGUUCAGAUACAACUGACAGGAUUAGAACGGUAUUUGUAAACGUAUUUAAAUAAUUUAAGUUCUACAAUAUAGUAAUAACUGUUGUUGAAGACUAUGGACAGUGGUUUGCGUGUUCCAACACACUUCAUAUCAAUUAAUUUUCAGUUGAUGUCGCUGCCAUGGUAACAACAGUCAGAACAGUAAUAAUUAUUUUAGAAUAUUUGUCGAAAAAGAUAUUAUAUAUGUGACUUGUAACUUUCUUAUUCAGUUUUGAGGUAAGAGCAGACAAACCUCCAUGUCUAGGCUCCACAUGUUUUCUCAUAUAAGUUAGUGCCUAGUGGGACGUAUGCUUAGAUUUACCUCCAUAAAAAAAAAUGGAGCGGACUCGUGUAAAUCGCCUUGCGCCUGACGGAAACGGCCCCAACCUUAACUGAUUGCCUCUUCAAAAGUCAAUUCUCAUUUCUAUCUUAUUAUGUUGACAUUUAUUAAAGUUUUCAGUGUACCUAAUCUUAUCAUAGAGAACUUUCCUAGCAGUUUUCAUUAUGAUUCUUUCAACCUUCCUGUCAAUAACCAAGAUUCUAGCAAAAGGAUUUAUAAUUCAAUUAAUAACACCUUUCGUAUGUGGAGCUUCUUAAUAAGAUCAACGAGUCACUUCUUAGUGGAGGGACAUGCUGCAUGCAGCCUUUUUUUAUGAUUUCAACAAAAACAAUCGCAAAAGUUCAAUGAAUCCUUAAUUUCAAUAAGACAGAGAUUAUUCAGGCUAAGAUUUGGAAAUCUCAGAUGUGCAUUUGCUUCUCGGCGUGACAUGAUUCAAACAGUAGCGUCAUGACUCAUGGUUGUAUUAUAAUAUUGACCAAGUAAAAUUUCUUAAUUUGUAAAUACUAUAAACUUAUGGUUUGUAAUAAUGCACAGUUUAAGUAUGCUCACCAACUGCGUUAUGAGCCACGUUUUGUCCUCCUGCUGAGAAAGUUGAAAACCCCUCAACUAAAAACUAUCAAUAUAAUGACCAACUAACAACUAUUGUACGUAUAUCUAGUCAACGGAAGCAAGCUCCUUCAAUUGGAUAACUUCCCUGCACCCAUUUCCAGCCCCAAAUUAAGAAAAUAAUUAAGUAGAAAAUCAUAUAUCCGUCCCAAUUUAUGUGAUUUGAGAAAAAGUUUAGUAAAAGAAAAAUUAAACUUUUGAAACCCAUAAUCUAAAACAAGUCAUAGAUAAUUAUUAUUAAAUAUAAAAAAAUGUUACGGUAUUUUUUUUAGACGGACUAAAAAGGAAGCUGGGUAAUAUAAAUUAGCACAGAGGCAGUACUCUCAAACCAAUCUUGCUCCUUCGUUAACAAAAAACUUCAAAGUUUCUGCUUGUCUUUGGAUCCCUGAAAUGACACCGUUAUCUACCUGUUGGCUUUUGAUUGAACUAUACGUGAUCCCACAUGGAUAUUUGAAGUGGUAUUUUUUGAGUUUCUAUAUCCACCCUUUUCUUCUUCCUCUCUGCCAACUUUAUCGUUGGAUCAAAGUGUUACAAAAAUUUCUAUUAACCUUCAUCCUUUUUGUUUAUAAGUCCUCUUGUUUCUUAAUUUCAUAUCUUACAAAAUUGUGCAAAUUCUGCCUUCUCCUCUUCAAGAAGUGUACCUUCAUCUUACGAAAUAGAAAAAAUCAUCAUAACCCUAUUGAAGAAGCUUAUGAGUACUAUGAUGCCAUACCAAAUACUGAAAACCAAAAUGAAAUCAUCCUUUAUACGAGCUUGAACAUGAGACGAAGUUCGAGUGAAUCAUACGAAACCAUCCAUCAUUUUAACAUGAAAAAUAAAUCGUAUGAUGACAUAAUCUACGUAUAUGAUUUUCAAACUAGAGUCUCUCAAAUGUUCGAUAAUAAUCACAAGAUUAGUUCGUUUGUUGAACCUAAUCAAGGUGAGUUUAUGGAACUUGAUGAAGAACAUGAAAAAGAAUAUCCUAGUGAAGUAGUAACCGACUGUUGUUCAGUCAUUUCUUCUGUCGAUGAUAAGACGAAUUUAUUUGAUAACUAUAAUACUGUCCCUUUAUCUCCUGGUUCAGUUUUAUCUGAAACAGAGAUGGAACUUGAGUUUUCCCUAUCGAGUUCUGUUUCCGGUUUUUCACCAGGUAUUGAUGGUCGCGGGUUUGACGAAUAUUUUCCAUCUCCUAAUAGUUCUAAUUUGUCGUCCCCUUUGGAUUAUGGCACGAUGAACCAAAAUUUUCCGUCACUUGAUAGCUAUACAAAUGAUAUGGAAAUGGAUCAACAGCUGGUUCAUGAGUAUACAAAUUGUGCAGAGGAAGAAGUAGAUUUGUUAUACAAGAAGUAUGCUGAAAGAAUGAGCUGGUUUGAUGUUCUCAAUCAUGAAAGGCUAUGUGCCUUAAGUGAGUUUCUCCUUUUGCCCAAGUACUUUUUCUUAUGCUAUAACCUGUUGUUUUGGCUAACUUUUGCACAACUCGACUAUUUGACAGAUAUAGAUUAACACUAUAUAUUGGGAAGUUGGAAGGAAAUGACCUAGCCUUUUUUUUUCCGCUAUGGGAUACUGAAUCCUGGUCUGUCAUAUGCAUGACUUUUUCAGAGUUAAUUAUAGACCAGUAGGCCACAUCUGGGGACUAGAUACAAAUUUUUUUUCAUAUAAAUAUGAGUUUUCUUGAUAUUAUAGUAUGCUUAAGUAAUCCUUCACAAUUUUAUUAAUUGUUGGUUAUAUAUUAAUUAGAUGCAGUAUUGAGGAAGCACUUGUCAAGUCCAAAUUCAUUUGAGUAUGAAAUGGAGCCUACAGUUGGUUUGCCUGUCCAAUAUAGUUCAUUGAACAAAAUGGAUAGAAAAAGACUUGUGAGGAACUUAGAGAGUGAUUUGGAGUUGGUUUAUGUGGCACAAUCAUGUUUAUCAUGGGAAGCACUUCAUCAUCAGUAUAAAAAAGUAAAGGCUCUUUGUGGUUCAACUUCAAAAAAUGGGGUCUUUUAUGGUAAUGUAGCAGCAAGAUUUCAGAAAUUCCAAGUAUUGCUAGAAAGAUUUGUGGAAGAUGAUAGCUGUGGAGGCAAAAGGCAUUUGAAUUAUGUUCAUACAAGAUUUUCCCAAAAGAAUCUCCUCCAAGUUCCAGAGAUUUCUGGUAAUCUUUUGUCUCUUAAACAUUUUUUUUGAAAAGUUCAACUUCUAUAGAUUAACCGCGUAAAAGAAUUGUUACAUUUCCAACAACAUAUAUAGUAAAAUUGCUAUUGUCUGAAAAAGAUUGUUUCUCUAAACCCCCGGCUCAUGACGUAACACAUAAUUGUUACAUUUUCAAGUCACCUAAACUAAAUAUCAAUUUCAAGCUCUCAUUCAUAAGUAAAAAAAAUUAGUAACUUUAAAAAUGAUAAAUUACCUGCUAAAUAUAUUAAGUGUUGUUGUAUACUUUCAAUAUUUAUAAAUUAGGGGUUGAGCUGAAAGAUCCAACCUUUCAGUUUGUAUUUAAUAAUCAACUAGAUGUAUAUAUAAGUAACUAAAUCCAAAAUCUAGUUACUAAUUCUUGAUGUCGCUAUUCUUAAAUUUAAUAUAGACCCUCUAAUUUUGACUUGCAUGGCAAGUUGAUAUUCAUUAGUACGUCGCUUAUCUAGUUCUUACGUGUAACGACUAGAUCUCCAUUUCUUGUAGGAGUAUUAAUUAACACAUUGAUAAAGAACUUCUUUCAUUAACAAAAAUAAUUACUACUUAUAUGUAAAAACAAUUUGAGCUUAUACGAAUUAAAUAGUAUUUUAUUUUGGGGACAUGCAAUUUCGGUAAUUACAAAAAUUAGUAUUAAGAAGAUCUCAGUCGCCAUUGGUUUAUUCUGCUGCUAAAAGGGGAGAAAUUAAAACUAAUCACACUCCCCCACCUAAUACUACCUAAAUUGUUUAUUUCGUACGUUGCCUUCCUAUAUACCCAAGAAAUUACUACUUAAUUAUCGUCAAGUAUUUUAUAAGAGCUCUCUUAUUCUAACAUCUUAAGAUUACUAGUCCUACACGUUACUAAUGAAAAAUAUUAUUAGUGUUAGAAAAAAGAUAAAAGAAAAGAAUUCUUUUAAGGAUAUUUAAGACCAUAUGCAAUAAUAUUUUUACGUAAUAUAUACAUUUUAUUCAAAACUGAACAAGUUAUAUGUCGAUUUUGAAAUUCAGAAUUCAUAAAUUUAAAAUUUUGUAGGAUACGUAGAAUCAAAUGAAAGAGUGGAUGGAGAAAUAAUGAAGCCAAUAGAAGUGCUAAAGGCCAUUGAGAAAUGCAUAUAUGCUUUUUGGUUUUAUGUAAGAAGAGAUUGCAAGAAAAAGAAGAAUUUUUUGUGGAGUCAAUCUCGUGUUGAAGACCCCAGAGACAUACUGUUCCUGCCUGACUUGACUAGGAAACUUCAAAUGGUACGCCUCUCUCUUUCUAUAAUAUUUUUAAUAACAUAAGUCAUUUUCUGAUGUAAUUGGUUUUUAAACAUUUUGUAACUGAAGAUGAUUUUUUGUUGUUGUUGUUGGUUACGGUGAAGAAAGAGUUAUGGAUGAAGGAUGUGAAAGGUAAGAGAAAAUGUUGGCUUAGAAGAGCAAAAAAGGGUGAACAAGAAGAGUUGAACAAAAUAGAGUUAGUGUUGACAUUGAUAGAGAUGAAGCUGGUAUCAAGGAUUCUCCAUAUGUCCAUUAUUUCUACAUCUCAUUUCAAAUGGUGCCAACAAAAGCUAGAUAAUAUAGAGUUCAAAAAUGGUCACAUUUUAAGGAGCCCAACUAUCCUACCGCUGUUUCCAUCUUGAUUAGAUCACAUCAAAUUUUCUUUUUAUUUAGAAAAUUAGAUUGUAUAUAGUUAAGCAUACUUGUUCUUCUUCUACAAAGAGUGCACGCAUGUCAUGUAAAUCUAUUACAAUUAGCUUCUUCUUUUGGGAUAGCCAUAUCAAUGACAAAAAUAAAUUUUAGUAAUAAUUAAUGUGCACCUUAAAUAAAAAACUGCUAUUGAAAUUAGUAAAUAGACUUUUUAUUAUUGUUAUAGGCUUUACAAAUAUUUACAUAAAAGAGCUAAUUGUUAUUAAAAAAAGGAAAAAUUUCAUAUAUGACAAACUGAAUUUAUGAAAUAACAUUAUGGGUAUUGUUUAUAUAAUUACAUUUUAUGGUGUUUAAUUCGUUAUGUAGUUUUUUAUUUUGUAUAAAACGUUUUUUAAAAAUUUGUACUAUAUUUUACUUUUUUAUUUAAUAGUAAUAAUAGCCCUAAAUAUGGUAACAAACAUUUACAUAAUUCCCAUAAUUUAAGCUAAACAUUCAAAAUCAAAUAUUUUCUAAAAAUAGAAUUCUAUUUGUUGACAUCCAAUUUUGACCGACCUUUCAACUUUAUUAGAAAUCCUAUUCGAUUAAAUACGUAUUUUAAAUUUUAGAAUUUUUAGUCGACUUUGCUUGAAAAUUAUAUAUUUUAGUAUGUUUUAUUUUAUAAAAUUAUCGUAAAUAUUAUAAUAUUUUAAAAUUAUUAAUGAAUUUCAAAUGUUUUAAAAUUAAAAUGUUUUGGCUCUUAUUUAUUAAAGUAAAAGAAUAUUGUCUUCCUUACUUUACUCUUACUCAUUUAUUUUUUUAGUAAUGAAAUAUUAAAUUAAAAAAAUCUGAUUUGUCUCUCCUUAUUUAAGAUAAAUAAUAAUAAUAUUUCUCUUCCUAAUUUAUUCUUGCUUAUAUUGGAAGUGAUAUAUUUUUAUUUUGGCUGAUUUGAAUCUCCUUUUUAAUAAGGAAAAUGAUAUAUUUAAUUAACUCCUUUAAAUAUCUUUCUUCCUUAUUUGUUUCCUCCUCUUUGCUAUAUAAAUAAGACCCCUCCCUUCAUCAACUCAGAGACACUCAUUCACUCUCAAUCAAAAAAAAAUUCUCUCAUCACUCUCUCUUCUCUCACUGCUCUCUUGCUACUUUAACAACACAUUAAUAUUCCGAUAAAUAUUCAAGUGUUCUUCGCUAUUUUGCUACUUUCGAGUAAAAGGUGAAUUAAUUUGUUUUGCUUAACCGUUAUUUGAUUACUUUGACAGGUUUCAAACUUGAAGUUCAAGUUGAAGAUUAAUUGAAGAAAGAUUUAUUUGUUUAUUUGAAUGUGUGUGUGUAUAUAUAUAUAUAUAUAUAUAUUUUUUUUUAUUUUUUGCCUAUUUUAUUUAUUCGAAUGUUGUAACAAUUGUAAUUCUAAAAGAUCAUAUAUAUAUAUAAUUAUUUGGGGGAUCGUCUAGGGGAGGGGGAUUUAUAUGCUUACUUGUUCAUUAUAAAUUUUUUAGAAAUCAUGCCUAGGUUUGUCUUUAACCACCUAGAUUUGAUAUUUGUAGGUGUUAUAAUCUAAUCAAUUUUCAAUUUGCUUGACGUUUUUGUUAACAAGUCUUAAAAAAUAAGAACUAGAGUCCAUUAAUUUUUUAAAUGUUAAAAUCAAAUCCUAAUAAAUCUAGUAGGUUGUUAGAUGUUAAAAAUAUAUUAUAAAUUCUCAUUUGUCUUAUCACGUAGAAACUAUGCCUAAGUAUUAAAUUGUUCAUAUCAUUUACAAAAUCAUGCAUAUAUGUGUUACUCCUUCUUUUAAACGCCUAGAAAUUCAUGUCUAUAGGCUUGAAAUAACUUUUAACAUAUCCGUAAAAAUAAAAUUUAUUUGUGCAUAUUUGUGUCCUUCCCCAUAAAAUGGUCAAUAUUAAUUUUAUUUGUCUUCCUCAUUCAUGAUGCAAUAUGUUUUUUUUUAAUAAUACUAAUUUAGAAUCAUUUCAUGCAUUUAACUUGGCUUUAAAAAUAUUUCAUAUCAAAACCUUGUAACAUAAUUUUCUUGAAAAGUCAUUAUUUAAACUUUGGAUUGAUUUUGACAUUGUUUAUUUUGAAAGUAAAUUAUAAGUACUAUCUCCUAACCUAUCGUUAGUGGGAAAGUCAAAGGAACUAUGAGGUCUAGUUCCAAUUUUUUAAACCUGACGCAUCCUCGGAAGUACCACCUACCCAUGAAUUUCAAAAAGAAUUAUGUGCAUUUAUGUGUAAAUGUUUACGUGCCUAUGUGUGAACUAAAUCUUUUAAAUCAUUUUUCAAAAACAUAAACUAUUUUUAGACCGACCUCAAAUCAAAAUUGUUUCUAUGGUGGAGGAGCGCGAUCAACAAUAUCGUGGCAUCAUCCCUACAAAGAAACAAACAUUUUUAAAUAAAAAUUCCUACUCAAAGCUUAUCAAUUUUCAAACUUUAUUUUUGCACAUAUUAAUUGCUUAAUAUUUGCCAAUUUUGUAUGUUAAAUAAAUAAAUAAAAAAUAAUAAACUUGGUUGUUUAUUAUUGCUGUCUUCUAGCCUCGCAUAUUUAAAUUAAUAAAAUAGCCUUAAUUGUUUUAUACUUGUUAUCACUUAGCAAGCAUAUUAAUGAAUAAUAAUGAAGUGACCUUGAUUGCUACUUGUAACCCCCACAUAGAUUGCAUGAGAUACGGCCGGGACCCACACUUGUGGACCUCGAGGGAUGCCUAACACCUUCCCCUCGAGGUAAUUUGAACCCUUACCCUAAUUCUUUGGCUCGUUGACCUUAGUUAGACUUAGUUAGGUUAGAUAGGUGCCCUAACGCGCCUUAAUUCGUUAGGUGGCGAUUCCAAACUCAAAAAUCCCAAAAGAGUUGUUAGGUCGUGCACAAAACCCGUUUUCUGCGAAAAUGGGGCGCGACACUAUUACAACUGAAAAUUCAUACAAACUUGUUUAUGAGAAACUUAACUUUUUAAUGUAUAUAAAGUUUAUAUACGAUUGUAAAUAAAUUAAAUACAAAUUGUUCAAUUUGCACCAAAUUGUAAAGUAAUUGUAUAUACAUAUACAAUUAAAAUAUAAAAUACAGUACUUGUAUAUAUACGAAUUCCUCAAGUAAUUUUAUAUAAUUAUACCAAAUUUUUUAAAUUACUACUUAUUUAUAUAUAUAACUAUUUGAAUAUAAAAAAAUUAUAUAUGUAUAAACAAACUUUAUAUACUUUAAUGGCAUUUUAACUAUUUACGUUAACUAAUUAUUGCUGGAUAUUGUUUUAGCUUAGUAAUAUAUAUCUUUGGGGCAUAUAUCAACUUUUUUAUGCCAAUAAUAAUACCCCAAAAUCAUAGUUAUUAAUUUUAGAGGACACGUGUAAAAAUAUAAAUUAAAACAUAUUUUUUCUCUCCCUAUACUUGUCAAAUAUUUUUUAAUUUAAUUCUUUCUUAAUUAUUAUUUUUUAACAAAUAACUUUAAAUUAAUAAUUUUUAAAAAAUAAAGCAAGUAAAAAUGUUUGAAAUUUUAAUAUUAAUAAAAAUAAAAUGAUAAACUUAAUACCAUACCAAUCAUUAUCCGGCAACUAAAAAAUUGAUAAAGUAAAAAGUGAUGAAAAAGGAGUAACAAAACAAAACAGUAGUAGAGCAUAAUCAUUGGAUAGUAAAUGCAAAGAAGAAUCAUACUCAAAAUUUUAUUUGUCCUCACAAUUAAUAAAAAUAAUACUCUAUCCGUUUAAAAAGAAUGUCCCUAUUUUUUUUUUAUUUUUUUUCUGUUUUAUAAUAUUUUAAAUUUAAUUUUUCACAUAACAUAUUUAAGAUCACAAAAUUAAUGAAUAUUUUGAUAUAUGUGAUAUAACUUUAAUUUAGAAUCACAAAAUUAAAAAUAUAUUUUCUUUUCUUAAAUUUCGUUCCAAAUCAAACUAGAAUAUUCUUUUUGAAAUGUUAGAGUAUAUAGUAGUAGAGUACCUUUUAACUUUUCUCUUUUGAUCUUCUUUUUAUCAUCCACACUAGCUUAAGCUUGUUAUCUUUUCUUUAGUCUCCAUAUAAAGGCCUACUUUUAUGUUAUCUACUUGUCCUCGUACUACAAAAACAACUUUCAUUGUAAGGUAGAAUGUUUUUGGAGUCCUUUUUCUUUUUCAAUAGUUACUCAUCUUUUUUUAAAAAAAAAAAAGACAUAAGAUUUUAAUUCUGCUGACAAUGUAAAAAAUUUGUUAGUAUUAAUUUAACCAAAAUGGUUGUUAUAUACGUUUUACAUAAUUAUUCAUAAUAAUAAGUACCAAAAAUUAAAAUCCUAAGGUAAAACUUACUUUUAUUUUUAUGCGAUAGAAAAAUUAUUAUUUUAGAUUGUCACAAUUACUUAAAGAAAAAUUAGUUAAAUCAUCAAUAGAAUAAAGGAAAACUUGAUGAACCUUCCAAACAACACCACUUCACCGAAAUAGGUUAAAAAGAAGAAAAUUAUGACAAUAAAGUAACAGGAUAAAUACCACCAAUAAAACAACUUGUAAUAAAUAAUAAACCACAAAUAUUACCAAAUAUAUAUACUAAUAAUGUAUAAUGAACAAUAGUUGUGUAUAUAAAUAGAAUUCCAAAAUGACAAAAUUGAUAAAAUUAUAACUUUAACUAGUAGAUUACAUAGUUGAAUACAUAAAUUGUAUUCAAUAUGUUAGCGAGAAUUGCUUCUUGACAUUACACAUAAAUUGUAAUUAUAAAUAAAAAAUAUAAUUUUAUUAAUAAACUAAUAUAAGUUUUGUCCUUCUUAGUUAUUUUUUCUUAUUAGUUUCUAUGAUCUAAGAGUCAUUAAAUUUUUUUUUCUUUAAAUUAUUUAAUUAUUGAGAAAGAGAUUGAAUAUCUAAAAUAACACAAAAUAUAUCAUUUUUUAUAUAGCGAUAAACUAAAUUUCGAAUAGAAUAUGAAUUUGAAUUCCUAAGAUAGAGAGUGGGUAGGUUAAGUGAGAAAGCCAUAAUUUACACGUGAUAUUCCCAAUACCAUAAAUAAGAGGGCCCUAGCUUAAAUCCCAUCGUCCAAAAACUCUUAAACUUUCUGGUUUCUACUCAGACGCUGAGCUUUCCAUUCUCGGUGAAUCUAAUCCUCACAGGGAUCCCUUCUUCGGGGACCCAUUUUGCAUCAAACGAUUUCAACAUUGACCUCCAUUGUCGUUACUUGUUGGUUUUUCUUUUCACAAUCGAAUACCCCUAAUUCUCUGUACUAGUCUCUAUUCAAUUGGGUUUUCUAUACUUGUCAACUGGGUCGUCUUCUAUUUCCACUAGGUCACUCUGGUUCUUGAAAUCUUGGGUUCCUGUUAUCCCUGUGAACUUCAUCUUUCUGUAAUGGAAAAUUCCAUUGUUCUUCAUACUGGAAAUCAAUUCCACCCCAGCUUACCCUUUUUCUCAUUUAGGCCCAAAAAGUUAUCUCGAAUUCAUGGCUCCAGUAGAGAGCAAAUGUGGAGGAUCAAGCGCGUUAAAGCAACAGGUGAAAAUUCUGGGGAAGCUGCAAGUGCUGAUGAAUCGGAUGAUGCCUUACAGGUUACAAUUGAAAAGAGCAAAAAGGUUUUAGCCAUGCAACAGGACCUACUUCAACAGGUAACCCUUUUGGUACUCAAUCAUAAAGUGAAAAGAAAGAUUUCUUUUUCCAGGUCAGAAAGAUAAAGAAGUAAAAGAUGUACUUGUUUUAGGGCCUUUUGACUGUUUUUCCUUAAAUGCGGAUACAAGGGAUAUAAUUAUCAUUAUAUAUGCUAAUAAUGAAUAGAAAUCCUGAUUUAAGAUAUUAGACAUGUUCUAAUUUCUGUAAACGAAACAAUCGAUUUUUUCAAGAAUGUCAAAUUUGAAAAUGAAUCUAUGUUUAAAUAACUUAGAAAUCAGUAUGAUAGGACUGUUUUCUGAGAAUUUGUUUCAGUAUGUUGUGGAUAAAGAUUGUAACCAUGUUCUGAUUUAGAAGAGGAGAAGUUCGCCUGUAGGAUGAUUUGUUGCUGUAGUUCAUAUGUUUUUUUGUUGGUUUAAUUGUCUUCCUGAGCAUUGCAUAUGUUUCAGUUUGCAAUUUAUCAUAGUGGGUUUAGAAACACUAUUUACAUUGUCUUCAUCCUUGAAUUCUUUGCAUAUUAGAUUGCAGAAAGAAGAAAAGUAGUCUCUUCAAUAAAAAGCAGUCUUGCCGAUGCUACUGGUACUUAUGAUGGUGGGAGUGGUAGCUUAUCAGAUGUUGAUAUCCCUGACGUGGAUAAAGAUUAUAAUGUUACUGUACCUAGUACUGCUGCUACUCCAAUUACUGAUGUCGAUAAAAAUACACCGCCUGCUAUAAGCCAAGAUUUUGUUGAAAGUAAAAGAGAAGUCAAAAGGGACCUGGCCGAUGAAAGGGCACCCCCACUUUCAAGAUCAUCCAUCACAGCCAGUAGCCAGACUUCCUCUACUGUAAGUUCCAAAAGAAUAUUGAAUGUCCCUCCAGAAACUCCGAAGUUCAGUCAAGAGACACUUUUGAAUGUGAAUUCGCGUAAAAGUUUAGUCGAUGUUCCUGGAAAGAAGAUCCAGUCUUAUAUGCCUUCAUUAUGUAAAGAAUCCUCAGCACAAUCCCUUGUGGAAAAGAGGAAUGAAAAUCUUGAAGGAUCAAGUGCUGAGGCAAACGAAGAGACUGAAGAUCUUGUGAAUAUAGAUGAGAAACCUCCUCCAUUGGCCGGAACAAAUGUUAUGAACAUUAUUUUGGUGGCUUCAGAAUGCGCUCCAUGGUCUAAAACAGGUAUAUUUUACACUGGAUAUGUAUCUUCUGUCCAGGGACAAAUGCGUAGGAACUGCAAAAGAGUAGGACCAGCAUUCAGUACUCCUUCGUCUCUAGAUAAACAAGAUAAUUAAUUAGUAGAAGGAUUAACAUAUUAUCAUACCUAUCAAAAGUAUUAUAUGACAUUUCCUUAGUAAUGUGAUAAAAGGCAUUUAAGAAAAAUGAAAAAAUAUCACUGAUCGUCCAAUUGAAAUGAAAGGGUGAACAUCAAAAGAAAAAGGAUCUAUUAUUAUCAUACCUAUCAAAAGUAUUAUGUGACAUUUUCUUAAUAAUGUGAUAAAAGGCAUUUAAGAAAAAUGAAAAACCAUCACUAAUCGUCCAAAGUGAAACGAAUAGGUGAAUGUCAAAAGAAAAAAGAUCUAUAUUUUAUCCUGCCUUUCUUCACUAAUGUAGUAUUGUUGCCUUCUGAAUGGUUGAGGAUGGGUGGUGGAUUUGUUGGUUUCUCAAACUUUGAUUUUGUCUGUUGACUUUUCUGUUAUCUUCAUUUAAAAACUACUGAGCUCUGUGCACGUAUAUAUAAUCAUGACUCGUACACAUUUUUCGUACUUCGAUGUUGCAUGAAUUUUAGUGUGUUUAUGUCUCUCGUUUCAUAUUAGUGCAAGCAUAUCUUUUACUUGUGAAGAGUUUUUUAGGUGGGCUUGGAGAUGUUGCUGGAGCAUUACCGAAAGCUUUGGCUCGACGUGGCCACAGAGUUAUGGUAAGUAGUUUAAUCCUUCACCUUGUGAAUUUCUGGAUUCAUAAGAAAUGAUGUAUCAAGUAGAAUGUAACUCAGAGAGAAAUUGUCUAUGAAGUCUGUUCUGCGCGAGGUGUUAUAUUCUCUACCCGUCGUCUUUUUAACCACUGGACUAUUUAUAGAUUCACAAGCUUUCCAAAAGAUAUGCUGUCUAACCAGAUUAUCGACACCAUAUGAACCUCUUGCUAAAUCAUAUCAUAUAAUAAUUUUUUUGUGACAAUAUUUAUUUCUUUUUGACACAUCAAACAGACAACUUUAUACAUUGCUUAGUAUUUAAGAAUUUUGCCUUCUCAUUCCAAACACAUGGGAUGUAAGUUAUCUGACGCUGAAGUUUCCUUUUCUCCCCCCAUUUCCCUGAAACUUAGGUUGUGGCACCUCGUUAUGACAACUAUCCUGAACCUCAAGAUUCUGGUGUAAGAAAAAUUUAUAAAGUUCAUGGUCAGGUAUGGUUAACUGCAUCAAUUAGAUGCAGCUUUUAACUUAUGCUUGUGAUUUCAUGGCCACAAGACUAUCCAUAUCUAAGCAUUUAAGUUUUGAACUGUGCAGGAUGUAGAAGUGACUUACUUCCAAGCUUUUAUUGAUGGUGUGGAUUUUGUUUUCAUUGACAGCCAUAUGUUUAGACACAUUGGGAACAACAUUUACGGAGGGAACCGUGUGGUAAAUCCCGGCGCUCACUUUUCUUCUGAAUUUUUAGUUUCAUUUUGAUCCUGGAAUUUCAAACUCCUUGAUUUACAUUGAAAUCUAUUAAUGAGUCCUCUGUAUAAUUGCCUGACAUAAUGUUUUCCCUUGUCACAAAAUCUGGGCCUUAUGGGAUUGGGAUGUCUUAGAUGAUUUUGUCUUCACUUUUCCUUUCUCUUUCUGGGUGGGGAGUUUAAGAGAGAGAGGUUUAAAAUGAUUUUCUGUACAAACAAGAAGACUGUGAUAACGAUCCCUUUGGUGAGCUCUGGUAUUGACUUUGAGCUACCUUCUUUGCAUUGUACAUCAUUCAUUGAUGUAUCAGUCUUGAAGCUUUAUUUGAAUUGUUUAUCCCCUUCUCAUAAAUAGUUUUGGCGGUACCUAUCUGGCUGUUUUUAACUUCUUUUUUUCUCUUCCUGUUGCAGGAUAUUUUAAAGCGCAUGGUUUUAUUUUGCAAAGCAGCGAUUGAGGUAUGAUUUCUGAUGUUUCAGGAACCUUGCACUAAUUAUUGACCAAUUGCUCCCUACACUAUCUGUCUACGAUACGCCACAGUGGCCAGAAAAAAGACUCUGCAAACCUUAAAUCAAUCUUUGUAACCAACACUGUAAAAUAAACCUAGCCAUUCUAUUUGGGCAUGAUUAUCCAUGUUUACUUCAUACCUGCACACCCUGUUGUAACAUUUUGCCCACUACUAUUGCAUUGAUUUCAAAAUACAUUUUACUGAUUCACAAUUUCAGGUUCCUUGGCAUGUUCCAUGUGGUGGGGUCUGCUAUGGAGAUGGAAACUUAGUGUUCAUUGCUAAUGAUUGGCAUACUGCUUUAUUGCCAGUAUAUCUGAAAGCUUAUUAUCGUGACAAUGGAAUUAUGAACUAUACAAGAUCUGUCCUGGUGAUUCAUAACAUCGCUCAUCAGGUCAGUUUCAUCAGCAACUAAAGCAGUUUUCUAAUCCACCUGUGCAUUUUUAUUUCCAAUAAUUUAGCAGUAUAGCCAUUUUUUAAGUUCCAAAGGUUGGUCGUAUAUCAUGAUUUCUAUGACUUCUAAGCAUAAGAUUUAAAAUAAAUGAUUACCUUGAUAGGUAAACCGAUGGGUGGGGCCCAUCAUCCACUGAGUUUUGAACUGUGGAGGCCUCGAAAAUUUCUCGGUUAUCAAAAUAAUUUAAUAACGAUGACUAGUUUGAUAUUAUAUAUCUACUAGGUGUUCGUGGGAUAAUUAUUACUUCCGCGUCACUAAGUUCAAUAGCUUAGGUACCCACUGAGAGUACCAUAUCAGGCUAUCAAUAAAUCUAGUUACAGGUAAAGCAUUUUUUAUCAUGCACAGACCAUACUCAGACUUGUUUAGGAGUAUUGCCUGAUAAGUGAAAUUCUUUGAAAAGUUGUUUUCUCAUCUCUGUGCGUGAGCCGGUUGAAGAAUAUGCUUUUUAAGCUUCAUACUGGAUUAUGCUUUGAUUUGUAAUGAUCUACCACAAUAUGAGAUCAACCCCACAAAAAACAAAAGAAAAUCUCGAAGAAGUUACCAAAGAUAUGUCGUACAUGAAGUCUUAUAUUAGCAAUGUACAACUCUACCUUUUCCUCAUGUGCUAAGGUUAAGCACACUGAUGCAUUUUGCUUCUACUACUAGUUAUCAUCUUUUUAUUAAAUUUUUUCUUGCCUCAUUUGAUAUGUAUCUGAAUACAACUUUCUUUUUAUAAUGAAUUUUCUUCAUGAAAGUUACAAAGAGCGCUGUGGAGUGAGCCAAGAUUUUAUGCAUGUAAUGUAAGCAGCAGAGAACUAGAAAUACUAUGUUCGUCCAAUUAAACAUGACCUACUUUGACCUGUGCAAUUGUUUUCAAAUAUCUGGUAGAUUAUAACUUUUAAGUAUAAUGUGAAGAGUGUAAAAUAAUAAUUUGGAAUAUAAAACAGUAGAGUAAUUGGAGUUAUCUCUAUCCAAGUUCUGUAUUUUGUUAGUAUUUUCUGAUUUUUGUCAUUUAUUUUAUCUUUUUGUAACGUGAAUAAGGGUUAUAGCAAUCUUAGCCAGCUUUCUAUCAUUUUCAGCUCUAUAAUUUGUUCCAUCUCAUGCAGGGUCGUGGUCCUUUGGAGGAUUUUUCAUAUGUAGAUCUUCCACCACACUAUAUGGACCCUUUCAAAUUGUAUGACCCAGUAGGAGGUGAGCAUUUCAACAUUUUUGCGGCUGGUCUAAAGACAGCAGAUCGUGUAGUUACAGUUAGUCAUGGAUAUUCAUGGGAACUCAAGACUUCCGAAGGUGGUUGGGGAUUGCAUCAGAUAAUUAAUGAGAACGAUUGGAAAUUACGGGGUAUUGUGAAUGGGAUUGAUACAAAAGAGUGGAACCCUGAGUUGGACGUUCACUUACAGUCAGAUGGUUACGUGAACUACUCCUUGGACACACUGCAGACUGGCAAGCCUCAAUGUAAAGCUGCAUUGCAGAAGGAACUUGGUUUACCAGUUCGUGAUGAUGUCCCACUGAUUGGUUUCAUUGGGAGGCUUGACCCACAAAAGGGUGUUGAUCUGAUUGCUGAGGCAGUGCCUUGGAUGAUGGGUCAGGAUGUACAACUGGUCAUGUUGGGUACGGGGAGGCCUGACCUUGAACAGAUGCUAAGGCAAUUUGAGUGUCAACACAAUGAUAAAAUUAGAGGAUGGGUUGGUUUCUCUGUGAAGACUUCUCAUCGUAUAACUGCUGGUGCAGACAUUCUGCUCAUGCCUUCUAGAUUUGAGCCUUGUGGACUGAACCAGCUUUAUGCAAUGACAUAUGGGACUAUUCCUGUUGUUCAUGCAGUAGGAGGACUCAGAGAUACUGUGCAGCCCUUUGAUCCUUUUAAUGAGUCAGGACUGGGGUGGACCUUCAGUAGGGCUGAAGCUAACCAGCUGAUCCACGCAUUAGGAAAUUGCUUGCUGACUUAUCGUGAGUACAAAAAGAGUUGGGAGGGGAUUCAGACGCGUUGUAUGACACAAGACUUAAGUUGGGAUAAUGCUGCUCAGAACUAUGAAGAAGUUCUCAUUGCUGCUAAGUAUCAGUGGUGAGGUUCAUUACUUGUAGAUAUUUGGGGGUUUUAUCAAGUUCCAAUGAUGGCAUUUCAGAGACAUGUUACUGGUAUCGCCACGAGAGGAUGCAACAAGUUGGUUAACUAUCAUACUACUACCACGUCAGGAAUGAUUGCCGCGCUUGAUCAUAUAAUCAUGUAUAUACUCUAUUUUGUUAGCAAAAUGUAGUUACAUGUUGCAAUUUCUACUCUAUAUUUUUUGGAAGUUUUAGUUGUCAAAUAAUCAGCCACCUCAAUUUUUGUUUAGAUGUAUUCUCUCUCAAUAAUAAAAUUGACCGACUCAUCUAAACCACAAUCAAUCACUUCUGAUGCUUUCCUUCAAGUAAAGCUUUUAGCGGACAAUUGUUUCAUAUUGACAGUUCUCAUGAGAUCCACUAGCAGUAUCCGUAUUUAUAAGAAGGAAAAAGUCUGAUAAUGCCAUUGUGAUUCAUAUAUAUUAGUGUUAUCUUAAAUGACUCAUAAUAUUUUAUUUUUUUUCUAAUGGAAGUGAUUUAUUUUUAAAAAAUAAAUAUAAUUCAUAUGAGUACAUUUAAUCAUUUUCGCACAUUUUUUGACUUUUUUUUAAUCUCUAUGACAAAUUUAAAUUUUAUUAUUUUGCUAGUUAAAUUUAUUUAUGUUUCAUUAAUUUUCUUGUAAAAUUUAUCAUAGAUGUUUUUUUUCAAAUACAAAAAAAUAAACUAGAGUAAGCCGAAAAAAUAGUUUUAAAUUAUAAUUAGCCACAGAAAAACAGUUUUAAAAAUUUCUUCACGAAUGAAAGAAAAAAAUAAAAUAUAAAUAAACAACUUUAAUUAUGAUAAUCAAAGAAGUAAAAAAAAUUAUGUAUGAGAAGGAUCUUAUACAUCACUACAUGAUUUUUUCUUUUUUAAAAAAAUAGAAGUAAAAAGUUUGAAAAUUAUAUCAAACGUUUUUCCCUUACUAUAAUACUACAUACUUUACAUCAAACAGGAAAACCUAUUUAUAUAUAAUUUCUUAUUAUAAAAAUCCUAUUUAGACAUGAAUAAACAACUUCAGCCGUCCCUAUUUACUUGUUCAACAUUUUUUUUAAUUGUCCUUAUUUACUUGUCUAUUUAGACAAAUCAAAAAAGGACAAAAAGAAAAUUUCUAUUCCACCCUUAUUUAAUUUUCUUGAAAUUUUUUUAAGUUUUAAUCCAUUCUUUUUAAAAACGGAAAAGAGUCAAAAUUAUCCUCAAAUUAUUUGAAAUAGAGCAAAUAUAUCCUCCAUUUUAUUUUUGGCUCAAAAAUAUUCUUGUUGUUAACAUAAGAGAAACCACAAAUACCCUCCAACUUAACAGCUCCGUUAACCUCAUGUCGUGGCAUCUGAUGUGGAAAAAAUAAGCCACAUGAUUCAACACGUAAGCGUGGAAUAAAGAUCCACAUGACUGCCACCUAAGUUACCCAUGCCCAUUAACCCCUUACCCAACUACUAAAUGGACCGACCCAUUCACAUUCAUAGUCACGGGAAUCUGCUGAUAUGGGUAAAGGGUUAAUGGGCAUGGGUAGCUUAGGUGCUUGUUAGCUUAGCUCCGAUCCAUUCGUCUUCGUCGAUAGGAGGAUCCGAAGCCGAUGUCAUUUUCGCGGGUCGAAGCUCCGGAAACGACUUCUCACCCCACUCAUCUUCAAUCCCUGAAGAGUUGUUGAUCCCUAGCUCAGCUCUACCCCAUUCAUCUAGUCAAUAGGAGGGUCCGGCUUCCGAUAACUACGUCAUGGGUCGGAGCUCUGGUUUCGACCUCUCGCCCCAUUCAUAAACAAAUGAGAAUGUUUUAUCAUCAGAAUCAUCUUCGUUUUGCUUGAGUUUUGGUACAAAAAAAAUCCGGAGUAUCAUUGAAUGAUGAACGAAUUGAAAAUUGUGAAAGCUUUCUAAAUCUAGAGGUUGAGAUUGAAGAAGAAGAAGAAAGAAAUGAAACAAUAGGAUUUAACAGUGGUUUUAACGUUGAAAAUGAGAGAGUGCAAGGGUAGAAUAGGCAUUUUUUUUCUUCCGGCAGCUUUUAGUGUCGCUGACGAUAGAAAUUCCGGCCGAUGAAGUGAAUUUUCUCCGACGAGUCGGUCUAGUUAGUGGGUUGGGUAAAGGGUUAAUUGGCAUGUAUAGCUUAGGCGACAGUCGUGUGGAUCCUUAUUCCACGCAGGACACUUACGUGUUGAGCCAGGUGACUUAUUUUUUCGACAUUAGAUGCCAUGUCAUGAGGUUAACGGGGGCUGUUAAGUUGGAGGGUAUUUGUGGUCUCUUAUGUGAAUGACAAUGUUAAUGAUAAGGGUAUUUUUGAGCCAAAAAUGAAACGAAGGGUAUAUGUGCUCUAUUUCAAAUAUUUUGAGGGUAGUUUUGACCCUUUUUCCUUUUGAAAACAAGGAUAAAAUUGUAACUUCACUAUGCUAAUUAUUGCUAUCUUAAUAUGUGCGUCAUUUCUAAAAUCGACAACUAAAUAAGGACGAAAGGAGUAUCAAAUCCUAGCUAAUUUUGGUUUCCUACACAAUGAUCAUUCCUAAAUACCCUAAUAGUAAUAAUUUAGUACAUAUCCAUGAUUUUCACUUGCGCCUUUGGCUCAGCUAAUGAGCAUCCGAAACAAUUCGAAUUCCCUUGUAAUUGAAUAUUUUAUCAACUAAUAAAUUUACUGUUCCACUUGCAAAUUUAAGAAAAUUUAGCAGUAAUCAUCAUGAAAGCAACAGUUAAGGGAUAGGUCCUAUAACAUAACUUAUAUAUCAAACUAAUUUCCUAGAUCAUACAACUCUUUUUAUUACCUCUCGAUUUGCUCCACAAAUGUCAUGCGUCUGGACACGUCAGAGGAUUUAAAGAAGCAUCAGAAAGAUUACAGUUCGAAUUUAAUUUUUUUCAAAAAUAAAAAAUACUUCCUCAUGUCAAACCUACAUAUCCCCAGUUCUACUUCAGGAAAUAAAAAAUGCCACUUUCUGAUAUAUUGCAGUAAUGAACAAGAUCAAAAACCUUCUUAUGUAUAGGAAGUUCUCCUUUCUUUAUCAAACUGCAAACAUGAAGGGCCUGACAACAGUCCCGCAAAACCCUUGGACAAACAACCUUCAACAGCGCAGGGAGAUGCAGAAUGAUUUAAUGGGCUAUUUGCUUUAACCAUUUCCGAGUAACCAUGUGACUGGUUUUCUGUCCAGUCAACAUUUUGGUUGCCAAAAUUAACGUGCCUCCUCUUCGAAUUGACAAUCACAUCCAUGCCUGGAUCUCCAUGAGAUGAUUCUUCUACUCUUUGUAAAUUGCCACAAGAUUUCCUCUUCAUACCAGGAAAAUUUAUCAAUCCUGCACCAAGAACACAGAUAAGUAAUAAUAGUAUAGAUAAUUCAGUGUGAACCAAGACAGUAUCUUUAGCCGCAAUUACCAGGGUAAGAAUCCUCAAAUGGCUGGGCUCCCGAAUUACCACAGCUACAACAAAAUGAGUUAGAAAUAGUAUCAACUCCUCCAACCCUGCAUAACAAAUCUGCCUCGUCAAAUCUAGUCUUAAAAAAUGCAGUGCAAAUUGCUUGGCAUUCAAAAGUGCAUAGACCGUUACGGAAUGCUAGCUAAAGCAAGGCCAAGAUUUCCCUUUUAGUUUAUGCUGCAGUCUGAAUCGGAAUCUAAAUUUAGACACAUCCUUCAUGUAAGAGAAAAAUAGACCAUGUAAUAAAAUUCCAUGGAAGGAACCAACCACAAAUUGUGUAGGCCAUGAACUACACAACCAUGACCGUCCAAGACAGACACCAAGUCCACAAAGUUCUAUACAUCAAUCACCCGAGUUAGUCCCCGGAACUUAUUUCAUCCAAUAAGAUGAAUAUCUUAAAUGAUACAAGUGAAUGAUGAGGAUCAAUCUCCUGAAUCAUAUCAUACCAAGCUUAUCUUCUCUAAGCAUAAGCAAUAGAGGGUAAUUACAUCUCUAAGAUACACAUGCCAGACAUGGUCUCUAACCUCUUUGUGCCGCAAAAGUGGAGAAAAGGGAAGAAAACCCAUUACCGUUCCAAGUAAAUAUUUCUUAACAUGACCAAUAUAAUCUAGAUGAAAGAAGCAGAAACACAUUGGAAUUAAUUUCCACGAGAAAAAUUGGUUAGUAGCCACCUGUACAUGUGCUCAACAAAAUCAUCAAUCAAAACAGGCCAAGCUCCUGCAGAGAACAUCACCACAAAAAAACAUAAUGAUUAAAGGAGUGGGCCGGUGGGAUUAGUAAGAUCGAAACACAAAAUAUGAAAAAUGGAAGCAGCUAUUCUAAACAUAAUCAUCUUUCCACAAUACCAAAGAAGUGCAAAUUCAUUCCAAUAUUAUAUAUCGUAAAGGACUAAUUACUCAAGAUAAAAGAACGACAAGGCAAAACAGAAAAUAAUUGUGGCAGCGGAAAACAAAAUUAACCUUCUACUUCUGGGACCUGAAAAAUGUUUCUCCUUCCUACAGUAUUUUUAUAUGAUAGUCUUUCAAUCUUAGGACUUCUCAAAAAGUUUGACACAUUUCAAUCAAAUAAUAAAAUUCUAUAAGACUCUUCAUACAAAAUUCAGACUCAGUUAAACAAUGAAGUGAUGUUUUUGCAUCACUAACUAUGCUUUGCAUGAUCUUACCAAUUCAAUACACAAAUCAAACUUUCAAAUUAAACUUUGAUGAUCAGAUUACCACAAGAUUGAGUAACUUUUAACUACCUUUCUUUCAAACUAAGAACCCACAUUUUGCAGCUAUUGUCUUGCAAAUAACUUUCGUUAAAAUCUCUGAUAAUAGCAUAAAUAGAACAUCACAGAAGCAAAGGAUGCAUUGAUGAUACCAACUAGCUGGAAUUGAAAAAAAAGGAUACUUCUUAAAUAGAAGAAAUAUAAAAUACCAAAUUCAGGAACCAAACUACAAUACGUCUCUAUUAAGUAUGAUUUUAGGGUGACAUUGACAUGUCCUGGAUGGUGAUGAUUGAAAGCUAAAUAGCGUAAAUUUAAUACCUUCCCGAUCAUAUCCUUCAAGAUUUUCAUGCACAGCACGACUGAAGGCCAAAACUUGCUGCCAAGUAUCCUCAGAUAUAUUAUAUCGCUGUUUUUUCUGGAGAUUUCAGUAAACAAUAAUCACUAUAGGAAAAUUGCAAGUUACCAACAUUCAGCAGUCACCCAACCAUAAAGUAGAAUAUCAGUCUUUGUAAAGUAAGGUACCACCAUGGAUUUAAGUUGACAAAUAUAAGCCUAAAUAAUGCAUUGGCUGCCACAAUCCAGCUACAACUGAAAGUCUCAAUGCCCAAACCAAAAACACAAGACAGCUAAAACAACCACAAUCAGAAAGAACAAAAAGAAGAAAAUCUACCAGAUGGAAAAACUUUUUUUUCUUUUGCAAAAUUUUUUUAAUAAUGGGAAAAUCGCAUGUAUAACUCCAGCUGGUAAAGAUUGCUCACAUUGCCGGUUCUAAAGUUGGAUAAAUGGAGGGGAGUUGCAGCAGGCAACCAGCCAACCAAAAACUAGUCAAUUUCAUGAUGCACCUCACAUGUUUGGAACUAAAGCUUAAUUAUUGCGUUGCUGCUAUGAAAAUCUCAUGCAUACAAGCAGUACAAGAAAAAAAAUAGGAUUCUGUACUAAUAACUCCUAAAGUGUUACACAAACAAGAAUUUCAUGGGUCAAAGAAGAAACUACAAGUGCGAGGACGUUCCUCAAUAAACAGCCAUGUCUUCUCCUGUUUCUUCCUUACAUAAGCCUAUAACUAACAUAGGUGCUAAUGACAUGACAUCCCACGAUAUUCGACGUCUAUUCAUCAGCUGACAAAACCUUAUUGUUUGUAUUCUAUUGACCCUUAAGACAAACUUAAUAAAGUAGACUUAAUUGUCUACUCAAAUAACCUUAACGAAGCAAAGUUACAAGCACAUGGAUCCUCUGUAAUUGAUGAAUUUAUUCAGUCUUAAAAUUCGAUAAUUCUUAACACAUACAAACAGAUGAAAAAUGCAAUUUGAAGUUUGAACACAUGACAACAAAUCAAUCAAUAAGAGUCACUGACACUUACCUCAACAAAGUCGCACCAGUGAUCAAGUAGCCGAAACCUUCCAGCUAAAACUAUUUUCCAACCAGUAACAGCUUUACUUAUAGCUGAAAUAUUUUAAACUCAACAUAAGUUAAAAAAAACAAACUAACUGCACUAUGAAUGCUUUACAAAGAAUGAGCACACUGCUGCAAAAUCAUCUACAAGGUAAUCAACUUACUGAUGUUCUUUUGUCCAUUUUCUCUGAAAACGAAGAAGACAAAAUCAUAGAAACGCGAGAACUCAGAGAAGUCUGCCUACAAAAGGAAAUACAAUGUAAGUUCCUUUUUUGAUGAUUGAAAUACUUUGUAUUGUAUUAAAAGGCCAACUCUAAGAGAGAUGGAUGUGGAUAGUUUCACACUAAAUAAAAUCCAGCCAUCAUAACAUCAUCCAAUCAACAAACCUCCAAAUUCAACCGCAACUUAAGCUUGUACACUUCUUCAAAGAUAGUCGCCCUGCCAUGGUUGAAAACAAAUUUGUCAAUAUUGGCAACCUCUAUCUAUUCCUUCCCCCCCCCCCCCCCCCGCCCCCCAACGUAACGAAAGGUGAUCUAAGACUAACACAAGUAAGCCACACGAUCACAAAAGAAUUUAGACAGAAAGCACCGAUAAAAAUGUAACGGCAGAACAAGGAUUUCAGCAUUGGUCUUGAGAAUCACGUAGUACAUCUGGCAAAUGUAUCAGGCUUCCCAAUGUAAUAAACAACACAUAUUCCUACCCAAAGCAGAAGUGACAUUCAAAUCAAUCACAAAUCUGUUAGAAACCGUCCAAGAAAAUCAAUUUGAGUUGCUGUUAUUCUCUCAACGGUUCAACCGUUAGACCUUUGUCUUUGCAAGACAGAAAGAGCAAUAGCUGUAAGUAUUUUUUAUUUUAAAAAGGUAUUAUGCAUACAGAAGUCCCAACUUUUCUUUGAUAUGGAUCAAGCAUUUGCAAGUGUUCCAUGUUGGUGUUUCAAGGGGAAAGAGGAAACUUGAACUCUUGUAGAUAUAGUUUUGGACUCUUAGAAUCCAGACAUACAUAAAAGAUCAAAAAUGCUGCUAGUUCCAUGUCCUACCAAAUACAUGCCUUAUAUGCAAACUUGAAUCCACUAAUUUCAUAAGCUGGUUCAAUGCCUCUCUUGUAAAUCUGGCUUUCUGCAAUUCAUCUACUAGGUUCCUGGUAGCAUAUGCCCCUGACAUGAUAUCUGCAAAGCAAAUACAUCACUAAGCAGAUCAACAUAAGUGAAAAAACACCAAUUAAUUACAUAAACCUGACUUGUUCAUGUAUAAUGAAAAAAUUCAAACAAAUUACAAAAAGUUAAAUCAAUGCAAAACAAGAACAUCAACGCCUUCACAUAAAAACACGGAGACCUAGGGACAACCGUAACUUCCAGAUCAAAAACAAAAGUAUGAAGCCUUGCAUAAUUUCUUGAAUGAAUCGGUUCAAUUCAUAUAGACAAAUCAACUAGUUUGGAAUUUAGUAGUAUUAAAUUAAUGAUAAUCCAUAAGGAGAAACAAAAAUUACGAAAUUAAAACUACAAGGAAUGGAAUCUGGAUUAAAAUACCACAGUAUCGGCCGUAGAUAUCGAAUAUAUCCAAGUGAUUUGCAGCGGGAGAGUCCAUGGCUACAAGAAUUAGGAACGAACUGGAAUUUUAGGGUUCGUAAUAUAGAACCCUAAUUCAAAGAUAGCAACACAGAGCUUUCUUUCCAGUUAUCGAUUGAUUUUGCUUCUUUUGAAUUGGGGCACAAUUUAUCUGCAACGUUACCGGAAUAUUCUGAUACUAGUAAUAUUUUUUGUCCCAAGUGACACCGUCAUCCUUCGCUUCAUUGGGUUUAUUAUUUAUAUUUAUAUAUUUAAACCAACAAAAUAUUCAUUCAAUUUAACCGAACUAUUGUGGCUCUUGGGGAAAAGAUAUAACUAGAUACAUAAUACUAAUAAUGAAAUUAUGUUAUUAAUAGUAAAAUAAUAAAUAUAAAUUCAUUAGCUUAUUAAUAGAAAAUAAUAAAUAUAAAUUUAAAUUAUUUUGAAAGUAUUUUUCAAUUGAAGUUUAUUUUAAUAAUUCGAUACUCCUUUUAACCCCCCCCCCCAUAAAAGUAUUUCUAACACAUCAAAUAUCCUUGUUUGUCCAUUAAUUGCUCUGGUAUCGUUAAUAAUAAUAAAUAAUAAUAAUAAUCAGAUAGAUUCAAUAUUUUUAUUCUCAUAUAGUGAAUAUUUUGCCAAGGACAGCAACUAGAAAAUAAAAAAGGAGGGAUAAAAUAGCAUACGAAAAUAUAAAGUUAAAAUUACAUGUGAUUAUAUAAUAUCAUGAUUGAUACGAAUAAAAAUAAUAUGUGAAAUAUCAUAGAAGAACAAAUACAAAUUUUCAAAAAUUUUGUGUAUAAAUGGUACAAAUCAUCAACUAAGUAGUAGAAUUUUUUUGUGCUUUCCUACUAAUUAAUUAAUUUAUCGUAUGGAUUCUCAAAUUUCAUUAGCUUCUUAGCUAAAUCAACUCAAACUUCUUUAUCUAGAAAGAUGGUACAACAAUCUUUCUUCUAAUAAUAAUAACUAGAUAGAUUCAAUAUUUUAUAUUCUCAUAUGGUGAAUGUUUUGUCAAGGAUAGCGACAAGAAAAUAGAAAAGGAGUGAUAAAACAGCAUAUGAAAACAUAAAUUUAAAAUUGCAAGUGAUUAUAUAAUGAUUAACACGAGUAGAAAUAAAAUAUCAUAUGUCAAGAUUACAAAUAUAAAUCUUUAAAACUCUGUGUAUAAAUGGUACAAAUUAUCAAUUAAAUAGUAGAAUUUCUUUUGCGCUUUCUUGCUAAUUAAUUAAUUUACCGUAUAGAUUCUCAAAAUUUCUUCAGCUUUAGCUAAAUCGACUCAAACUUUCUUUAUCUAGAUGGUACUCGAUCUUUCUUCUAAUAAUAAUAACUAGAUCGAUCCAAUAUUUUAUAUUCUCAUGUGGUGAUUGUUUAAAGAGUGAUAAAAUAGCAUAUGAAAACACAAAGAUAAAACUGCAUGUGAUUAUAUGAUCUCAUGAUUAUCACGAAUAGAAAUUACAUGUGAAAUGACUGGGAAGGACAAAUGCAAAUCUUUAGAAACUAUGUGUAUAAAUGGUAUAAAUUAUCAAUUAUGUAGUAAAAUUUCUUUUGUACUUUCAAAAUGGUAUAAAUUAUCAACUAUGUAGUAAAAUUUCUUUUGUACUUUCAUGCUAACUAAUUAAUUUACCUUAUAGAUUCUCAAAAUUUCUUUACCUUCUUAUCUAAAUCGACUCAAACUUCUUUAUCUAGAAAGAUGGUACAUCAAUCUUUUCUCUAUUAAUAAUAACUAGAUAGAUUCAAUAUUUUAUAUUCUCAUAUGGUAUGUUUUGCAAAAGAUAGCGACAAGAAAAUAAGAAAAGAGUGUUAAAAUAGCAUAUGAAAACAUAAAGUUAAAACUGCAUGUGAUUAUAUAAUAUUAUGAUUAACACGAAUUGAAAUAAUAUGUGAAAUGUCAGGGAAGGACAAAUACAAAAUCUUUAAAAGCUCUGUGUAUAAAUGAUACAAAUUAUCAACUAAAUAGUAAAAUUUCUUUUGUAAUUUCUUACUAAUUAAUUAAUUUACCGUAUAAAUUCUCAAAAUUCUUUAAUUUCUUAGCUAAAUCAACUCAAAGUUCUUUAGCUAGAAAGAUGAUACAUCAAUCUUUCAUCUAUAAAUUUAACCAUAUGGUAUAAAAAUUACACAAGAUAGCAUAAAACUAACUUUCACAAAUGAUUACUUACCCCUUUGCUCAUUUGUGUGCAUGACUUUAAUAAUGUAUAUUUAUUUCAAAUCCAACCAAAAUUAGGUUCUUCAUUACAAUAUAUAUAUAUAUACACACACAUAAAUGGCGUGUCUUUUUUCACAAGUAUUUGUAACGAUAAAUCAUGUCAUCGCUUAUCACCAUAUUUACGUACCUUAUUUAAUUUAGUAAGUAUUGAAUUCGAGCAAUGAAUUAAAUUAAUAUGAUUAUAAGAACUUCAUUAUUGUCAAAUUUCAAAAACGUUAAAAAUGAGGUCUGUACCUACAACAUAGACAAUGGAGGCACCGCCAAUUGUUGUAAUUCUUUGAGAGGAGAGUUAGAGGCGGAACCAAGAUUAGGAGUUUGGGGGAUUCUAAAUUAAAUGAGUUUUUUUGGGGUUCACAUGUUAAUAUACAUUAAAAAAAUUAAUUUUUUAAUAUAAAUAUAGAAUCUACAAAAAAGCUAGUGAAUAUGUCUGAACCCAUAAACCUCCAUCUAGCUCCGCCUCUGAGAAAAGUAAAUGUAUAAUUUGUUUAUUGGAUUAUAUUAACAAGUAGUUGGAGAUACAUGGUUCAAGUCCAAUUUGUAGAUAUCAAAUGCCUGUGAUUGAUUCCUAUUUGGAUUUUGACUAGGAUUAAGCUUGCCUAUAUUCAGCAGGGGCGGUUCAGGCACGUCCAAGAUGUGCAACGUGACAUUUUUUAAGCUAGUGUCAGGUAGGUCGAAAAGAGGUAAAAAAUUACUUAUGAAAUAAGUUUAGAGGGUAAUAGGACCUUAGUAUAAAUUAGUGUAUCUUUGUAAUUUCGAGCAUAAGUUGAGGGUGUAUUUGUGCAUUUUCCCUAAAUAAAAUACAUAUCUAGUUGACAUGUCUUUGGGAUCAAUUUAAAUUAUUAGGAAAAAAUACAAGGUUCAUACUAUGCAAUAUGAGAUUUUGAAUAAAAACAAAUAUUAAUAGCAUACAUACUGAUCUGAAUAUUAAUUGAGAAAUGAUACAAAAUUCUAAAAAAAACUAUAAAUACAAAACAAAUUUAUAAGAAAUUUUUCUUCCUCAGUUUGGUUUUCAACAUGUUUUUUGAAAUCUUCAUCACUCAUUUUUUUUAUUAUUACGAGUUAAAUUCUUUUUAGAGAAACGAAAAUAAAAUUGGACAACUUUUACAUAUACCAAACAUAAAAUUAUAUGCUAUAGCAAAAUUUGCAUGAUUGCGCUCCAUAACAAACUUAUAUAUGUAUAAUUCGCUAUACAUAUACAAUUGAAGCGAAUUGUAUAAAACGAGAAAGAGAGAAAUUAUAUACAAUUUGAAUUGUAUAAAACGAGAAAGAGAGAAAUUCUAUACAAUUUGAAUUUGUAUAAAACGAGAAAGAGAGAAAGGCAAAAAGAGACUUGUGCAGGGAAUAUACACUUGAAUCGAAUUAUAUAAAAUGAGAAAGAGAGAAAUUAUAUACAAUUUGAAUUUGUAUAAAACGAGAAAGACAAAAGAGACUUGGACAGGAAAAUAUUUGUAUUUGUAUAAUUAUAAGUGUAUAGGACGAAGAUAUAUGCAUUUGCAUGCGUUUAUACAAUUUUCUUUCACUUUAUACAAUUAGAAACACAAUUUAUACAAUUCUAUUGUAUAAAGCGAGAGAGGCGAGCGACAUGAAUAAGCGAGAGAGAGAGAGGGGGAGAGUGGCGAGCGAGAAUAUGAGGGAGAGAGGGACUGACAAACAGUUUGCUAUGGAACACAAAUAAAUCAAAAGGUAAUUACUAUAUUUAUUUUAUAUUACUAGUUUAUCAUUUUAUAAAAUUAUCCCAAUAAAAUUAGUCCAAUGUGAAGCCUAAUUUGAGAAAUAAAAAAAAAAAUUAUAUUAGAAUAAAUUUUAUUUUCUAAAAUAAAUCCAUAUGUAUACUAAAAUUCCCUAAAAAGAACACAAUGUCUUACUACGGCUUUAGUGCAUGUAAUCUUUGGUGUUUAAAAUUUUGACACUAUUGCUUCUCAAAUAGACUUCUCUUUUUCAAGUUUACAUGAAAUAUUCACAACACAAUCAACUCCCUAGUCACGUUUUUGUAGAAAUUUGACUGCAAAUUCUAUUAUCCAAGUUUAAUAGCUCCUUUUGCCUUAAAUCUCAAUUUAAGGCUAAAUCAGUGGAGAUUAAACCCACAUAAGAAAACAACAUAGGAAGAAAAACACGAUAUAUACUAUGAGUGUAGAAUAUAAUGAAGAGGAUUAAUUAAGCAGUUGGAUGUAUAAAGUUGAAUUGCUGCGCAGUUUAGAACAUUAGUGUUGCAAAAAGAAAGUUUUAAUGUGGAAACAAUUGAGCUAAAACACUUCUAGUAAGGACGUUGGCUAAUAAAAAGGUUAUGAGAUUUCAAGAGGUGUAUGCAAGCUGAUCAGGAUAUCAAGAUUAUAAAAUUCAGAAUCGGUGUUAUUGAAUAUCAAUUAGGUUUUAUAUGACACUAUUUAUACAUAGACAUAAAGGGUCAUGUCUUCUUCAUAUGUAUUUGCAACUAUAGACCAUGUCGUAACUUACAGGUCAUAGACACAACCACCUUGUUUGAUUUUGUAGGUAUCAAAUUAAAACAUAUUGGACUUUUUAAUCAUUUAAGAGUACUCAUUAGCAACAAUUUCAAUAUUUAGUAAAAAUGUCAUUUUAGUUUGUUAUAUAUCUUAUUUAUAUUUUUAUUAUUUAUUUUUAUUUAAAGAAUAUAAUUAUUUAAUAACAAAAAGGAGAAAAUCAAGGAGGGAAUAUUUCAAAAAAAAGGCAAGCAUCCUUAAUUUUCUCAUCAGUUACAUUUUCAAAUAAAAUUUAAAUUUUUUUUGGAAAAAUUAGUAAACUAGUCAAAAUAAAUAACAUAUUUAGUAAAAAUAUCCAUACUUUAUAAAUAUUAGAAAUAAUGUCAAAAAUGUCAUUAUUUUUAAAAAUUUAUGUGUCCCAAUUUCCUUCCUAUUUUAUCUCUCUUUUUCAAUUAAUUCUAUUAUCCUUUUUUAAAAAAAAAAUUAUUCUCUCUCAUAUUUAUAUUUUCAAAUUGUUAAUUCUCUCUCCCAUUUCAUUUUUUUUCUCUCUUAUGGUUAUCUUUUCUGAUUUUCCUCCAACAUUCAAGUUGCAAAUAUUUUUUUGUCAUAUAUUUUGGUUGUUUUUUUAAUCCAAAAUUGAAUCAACAAGAAUCCCUUUGAUUAAGGUAUCUCUAAUCUUUAUCCUAUUUUCAUAUUUCUUUUCUAAUUUUAUUUUUGUUUAAAUCUUAAAAAAAUGUUGUUUGUAUUUUUCAAUUUCCGUUAUGAUUUAAUCUCUAAUGACUGAAUCCAAGAGGCUUACUAGAGGUAUUCAUCUUAAUCAACCAAUUUCUGGUGAUUUUUCAUCCUUUAAUUUAUUUAUUACUUAACAAAUAGUGUAUAAUGUAUGAUCCGCUGCUAAAAUGAGGGAAGAAAGAGGGUAAGAACAUUUACAAGACUCAUUGGUGUGCAAAAUCUUCCUCAAAUUCAGAACGCAAAUGUAAAAUCUUUGUCUGCUCGUGAGGAUCUUGAAAAAGACGACGAAGAUCGCGAACAAUUUUCUAUUAGUUUGUUUUGUAUUUAUAGUUCUUUUUUAGAAUUUGGUAUGCUUUCUUAAUUUGUAUUCAAAUCACUUAUGUAUACUAUCAAUAUUUGUAUUUAUUAAAAAUUUCAUUUUGUAUGGUUUAUGAAUUUUGUAUUUGUCCCUAAUUUGUAUUCAUCCAAAUGUAUGUCAACUAGUUAUGUAUUUUAUUUAUAAGAAGAACAACUUUCUAUUAGUUUAUUUGUAUUCGAAUACAAAUACAAAUAAUAGACAUAUUGGAAUGAAUACGACUUAGAAAAGGAAACAAGAUUUUGAAAAGAAAAAUAAAUACACAGUGAAAAAUAUAUACGAAUACAAAUGUAUUUCUUAAAUAGCUACAUUUUAUUUGACAUACAUAUUAGAAUGAAUACAAACUAAUAAAGGUAUGUCAACUGAAUUUGAUAUUUUUUUCUAAUUUGUAUUUAUUCUAAAUGAAUUUCAACUAGUUAUGUAUUUUAUUUAAGAAUGAGUACACCAAAUAUUCAAUUAUUUCUUUUCAAUUUUAUAUUUCAUUCACUUUUUCAUCAUACUAAUUUUUUGUAUUUUAUAUAUUAUUAUACAAAAUUCUAAAUAAAAACUAGAAUAAAUAGAAAUACAAAUAAAAUACAUAUUGAAAUGAAUACAUAUAAGAUUUUUGAAGAAAAAAAUAACUAUAUAGGGAAAAAAAAUAUAUAAAAAUACAAAUAUAUUUCUUAAAUGACUAUAUAGAUAAAUUCGGCAUACCUAUUGGAAUGAAUACAAACUAAUAAAAAACUAUAAUAAAUAUAAGAAUAUAUUCUGGAAUGAAUAUAAUUUUAAAAAGGUAAAAAUUCUGGAGAAAAAAAAAUUUAAAUUUUAUUUGAAAAUAUAACUGAUUAGAAAAUUAAGGAUGCUUGCCUUUUUUUGAAAUAUUCCCCCCUUAAUUUUCUCCUUUUUGUUAUUAAAUAAUUAUAUUCUUUAAAUAAAAAAUAAAUAAUAAAAACAUACAUAACAAACUAAAAUGACAUUUUUACUAAAUAUUGAAGUUGUUGCUAAUGAGUCUUCUUAAAUGCUAAAAUAUUGACAUUUUGAAAAAUUUCCCUUUGUAUUCUCACCGUCACUGCAGAAUUUAAGAGAAUCUAAUUUCAAAAUAUUUAAGUCCUUUUUUAUUGUAACAAUUUAAUUUCAAUUUUUUCACGUGUCAAUGUUAUACAUUUUGAUAUAUUUAACUAACUUUAUUUGAUGACCAUAUGAUAUAUUGGAUUUUUUUGAGUAACUUUCAUAUGUAGCAAACAUAAAAUUCAUAUUUAUUUGUUAUAAGAAAGUUUGUAUAAUUGCACUUCAUAGCAAACGUGUAUAUAUGUAUAAUUCGCCAUAUAUAUACAAUUGAAGCAAAUUGUAUAAAAUGAAGUGUAUAAAACGAGAAAAAGAAAGAGAGUUAGGCAGAGAAUUUAAAACAAAGUGUAUAAAACGAGAAAAAGAAAUAGACUUUGGCAGAGAAUUAUAUAAAACAAAGUGUAUAAAACGAAGUAUAUAAAACGAAUUAUAUAAUUAUAAGGGAUCAUUUGAUAGAGUGUAUAAGAAUAAUGCAAAAUAGGGUGUAUUAGUAAUACUUGCAUUACUAGUGCUUGCAUUAGUAAUACUUGCAUUAAUUAUGUCUGCAUUAUUUCUUAUAUACUGUUUGGUUUGAUGUAUUAGAAAAAACAAAUCUUGCAUAACUUAUAUUUAAAAAGUGUAUGUUUACAAAAAUACCCUUUACACUUUAUUUCUUUAUAUACUUUCUUUCCAACAAGGUUCUUUGCUAAAACAUCAAAAAAAAAAAAUUCUUUGCUAAAACAUUAUUUCUUCCUAUUCUUCUUCUUUUUCAAGCUCAGUUUCCUCCAUCAUUUCUACUCCACCAUCAAACCCUAAACCUAUCCCCUUCCUUCCAUCUCUACUCCAACCAGAAAUCAUUCAAAUUAAUACUCCAAUCCAACAAAAAAAAAAACUAAAAAUUCAAAGAUUUUUCAUUUUUCACACACCCAAAAACCUCUACAAAACUUCACACAAAUUCCCCACCCAUUCACCAAUGUUCCAAAUUUUCUCAACUUCACCAAUCGAGAUCGCAGAAAAACAGCACAAAUUCACCAACAUCAGCUGACCUUUAUCAACAAAAAUUAAAUUAAAUUAAUCAAAAUCCAACAACAAAAAUGAUAAAAUCAAUAAAAAAAAUUUGAUAUAGAUUAAAAAAAAAUGAUAAUUCAGAUUAUUCUGGAAUGUUAAAGCUUGGAUUGCCCCUACUAAAGCUCAAAACUAUGAGCAAAGAGAGAGAAAAUAAAAAUGAAGAAAGAGAUGUUGAAAAAUACAGAUUUUAAUGAAAGAUAAGAGUACUAACCUUAUGAAGAUGAGCAAACAAUGUUUGAUUGAGCAAAAGGAAGAAAAAUUACUCUUGAAUUUUCAUUGACAAUGUACAGAGAAGAUAAAAGAGAAGAUGAAACAAGUACUAUGGAAAAUGUUUUUUUAAAGGGCUUUGAGGGUAUUUUUGUAAUUGCAUAAUCUAAUGCAAGUGUAAAAAUGCUAUGUAUUACUAAUACCUAAAAUUUCUUGGUAUUAGUAAUACACAACUUAAUACAUAAUAUUGUGUAUAACUAAUGCUUGUAUUAGUUAUACAUGACCAAAAAAAAUGUAACAAACAAUGUAUUACUAAUACACACACCUAAUGCAUGUAUUAAUUUUCCUAAUACCCUCUACCAAACGACCCCUAAGUGUAUAGAAUGAUUAUAUACAAUUUGAAUUUGUAUAAAACGAGAAAUGGAGAAAGACAAAAGAGACUUGGGCAGGGAAUAUACAAUUGAAUCGAAUUGUAUAAAACGAGAAAGAGAGAAAUUAUAUACAAUUUGAAUUUGUAUAAAACGAGAAAAAGAGAAAGACAAAAGAGACUUGGGCAGGAAAGUACUUUAUUGUAUAACUAUAAGUGUAUAAAAUGGAGAUAUAUGUAUUUGCAUGUAUAUAUAUAAUUUUCUCUCGCUUUUUACAAUUAGAAACUCAAUUUAUACAAUUCUAUUGUAUAAAACGAGAGAGACGAGCGAGAAUAUGAGAGAGAGAGGGACUGACAAACAGUUUACUAUGGAAUACAAAUAAAUCAAAUGAUAGCUACUAUAUUUAUUAAUUUGUCAUUUUAUAGAAUUAUCUCAAUUUUUUUAUAUUCUUAAAUUUUGUGUUAAGUUAAAUUAGGUGGAGUAAAUUUUUAAAAUUAGAAAUAUAAGGGCAAGGGGAAAUUAAACGUUACCAAUUAGAUGAAUCCAAUUUUUACCAAUAACAUAAAAAUUGAGAUUACUAAUUAACAAACUAAACGAACAACACAACACAGUGUUUCUCUGGUCUCUCCUAUUACCUGUUGGGUUAGGGAGUUAGGAUUUCGGUAAUUGAAUUAUUUUAUUCUAAAUCCAACUUGAAGAAUAUAUACAUAAUAUAAAUUUGUUGUCCGGGAAUUGAUUCAUCAAAUAUACUAUGAAUACGAGAAGAAGAUCUUUCCGUGAGCAGCCGCAGCCACCACCGGCAGCUAUGGCGCAAUUCGACUGGCGGAGCAGCAUGAGCAAUCGCGAAUUAUGAUUUAUUGGUGUUUGUUUCUCUUUUUCAUUUUCUAUAAUUUAUGUUUUUUAUUAGUGUAAUAAUGACAAAAGUUAAAAGCCAUAUUAUUAAUCAUCUUCAUUACUCUGACUUUUUAUUCUUAGAAAUUUAUUAUAUUAAAUGUAAAAUAUAAUUUUUUAACAUUUUGUGUUUAAGCCAAACAAAACUAAAAGAAAUCAAAAUUUUGUAUGUGUUAUUUUCUUAAAUCUUUUUUUGGUAGUUAAUUCUCACUUUUAUUCUCUUUUAUCUUAUUUUUAAGUUUUACAUUUUUUCUCAAUAUAAGUUGUCCCAAAAAUAAUUGGAUAUCUAAACCUAAAGUAUAAUGAUAGUAAUAAUAAUUAUGAAAUUUAACUAAUUAAGAUUAUUAAACUUUUCUUUAUUUAAAAUUUAAUUAUUAAAAAGUUAUUAAUACAAAUAUUAAAUUAAUCUAAUAUUGUACAAUAAAAAUAAUAAAAACAUGUGAUGAUUGGGUCAUGACGAGGACAAGUAAUAGCAAUUGUGGAUAAUGAUUUAUAAUAUUGUUGGCUAACUAUAUAGUCAUGAAUACUAACAAUUAAUAGCAAUUCGAGUAAUACAUUGUUGAAAAGUCAUACUAAGAAUAUAAUUUAAAAAAUUAUAAAUAAGCAUAAAAGAGUGAUUAGAUUUCAAGUUUACAUAAAUAUAUAUAAAUUAUACUAAGAAAAUCUCAAAUAAAAAAAGAAAAAAAUGAUCUCAAGUUUACAUUUAAGUAGUUCUAAUAUUACCCAAUUCUUAUUACCUUCGCUUUUUCUCUAAAAAAUUUAUUUUUAAUAUUUAACUUUUCGAAGUUCACAUAUAUUGAUUCCUUAAUAAAUUCAUAUUUAAUCUAAAUAUUUUUCAUAGCUUCUCUUCUAUAAAAUUAUGUGAUUAACAAAGUCUUUUUAUUAAACUUAUUAUUCAUAAUAUGUAAUUUUAUUUUAAUCCUUUUCAUGACCGCGCGAAGCGAGGCUAAGUAUAGUCUAUAUAAUUAGUGCUGUUAAAAGUAUAUCAUUCCCAAUCCAACUAGGACUAGGUUCGAGAAUAUACACUAUAUAUACACCCCUCCAUUAGACGCCCUUACUAAAUAUUGGUUUAUAAUUAGUACUGUUGUUAAAAGUAUAUAGGUUCGAGAAUAUACCCUUUAUAUAUACCCAUCCAUCCUAUACCAAGUACUUUAAUUUGCCAUACCAAGGUUGUUUCAGUAUCUCCCUCUGAUGAGUUCACACAUCCAGAAUGAAGCCGGGGCUUCAGCACCAGCGGCACAGGCUUCAAUAGAAGCACUGCCAAUUGUUAAAAUUAUAGAAGAGGAAAGUGAAUGUGCAAUUUGCUUGUUGGAGUUUCAAGUUGAGGAGAAAGCUAAAAAGAUGCCAUGUAAACAUCAUUAUCAUUCGAAUUGCAUUAACCGGUGGUUGGAGAUACACGGUUCCUGUCCUGUUUGCAGGUACAAGAUGCCUGUGGCUGCCGGAACAAGACAUACCCUGAUAGAGAGUAUUACAAGUGUUGGUGGUAGUAUUAAUGAGUCGGAUGAACAAACAGAUAUAUACACUGAGAGCAUCUUAGGUUGUGUUUUUUAUUCUGUUUAUGUUGGUUCACUGUUUAUGCUAUCUAGUUAAUACGAGAGUGGAUACAUUAAUGAUUUUUUCCUCGUUUACCCAAAAAAAAAAAUAGAAGAUAUUUUUCUCAAUAGACUUGUCUUUUUCAAGUUUACACGGAAUUUUUACUAGACAAUCAACUGACUACAUACAAAUGUUCUUGCCUGCCCACGUAAUAUAUUUAACAAACUCAAGUAAUAAAAUAAAGUUGAUAUCUCAAAAGAUACACUCAAGUUAUUAAACUUUGCUUUGUAUCAAUAAACUUAGGCCUUUAACACAUAACAAAGCGGUCCUUCACAAAAGCCAUCUAAAUUGUUAAAGAGGCUUGCUGUAAGGCUCAAUCAGAGGUACUUUUUGUUUUGGGGGGGACUUUAACCCACAGGCAAAAACAUCAAGAGAGUAAGUGACAUAAGAAGAAAAACAUACUAGCACUAUGACAGUAGUAGUAAUAUAACCAACGAAGAAUUAUAUAAGGCACACAAGGACAAACGCUGCCCAUCCUUAUAACUCAAGGAUAUGUAUGUUCAAUGACAUAUUUUAAGUAGCACAAAAGCACAUUGACAAUCAGCUAAACGACUCAGAGUCUACCCCAGUUGGGCAGAAAAUAUCAUCUUCAGGAUUAAGCAAUUUACAGAAUGCAAAAACGUGCUAAGCAGUUUAGGACAUCAGUUGUAACGAUUCAAAAAAAAAAGAGAAUUAUGUAAAUAAGAAUAAAUAGGUAUUUAAGGGCAUAAUUGUCCUUUCACGUUUUAAAUGAAUAAAUAAAUAAAUAAAUAAAACAGAUUUGUAUUUAUUUAUUUUAAUGUUAUUUGACUAAUUCUUGAAUUAGUCUCCUAAUCCAAUUAGUCCUCUCUCUCUCACGCUUCUAAACUCCCUCUCUCACGUUCUCCAUCUUCCUCACAUUAUUUCUGCCAAAAUAUCAAUAAUUUUCAUGCUUGAAGAACUCACAAAAAAAAAUUUUUAAGCAAAAGAAAAAGUAAUCAAAACGUCAAGGCUAAGAGAGGUAUACUUUGAAGUGAAUUGGGAGUGGUUUGGAGGAGUUUUCCGGGCAGCAACAUUAAAGUUUGAACAUCGAUUAAGGUAUGAGUUUCUCUCAUGGAAUUCUUUCUCCAAGAGUACUUUCUUUCGGACGUUUCUUAAACUCUUGAAACUAAGGUUGUUCCCCUUCGUAUGUCCUUGUCCUUAGCUCCCUAAUGAAUUUGUAGGAUGGGUAUGUUGUGCUGCUAGAUUUUUGCAUGAAUGAUGUGUUUAAAUUAAAUAUGAGUGUGUUUAUGUGCGGGAAAUCGCGAUAAUGAUCAUCAGAAUAUGACCGGAAAAAGUUGAUGUAUGGGUGUGUAUAGGGCAGUGUUUUAGGCAUUGUUUUGGGUAUAUAAGUUGUUUAUUUAUCAUGUAUUUUAUGUGUGAAAUGGGUGUGCAAUGUGAUGUUCAUUUUGAUGAAGCAUAGUGAAGUGAAUGAACCAUGAAAUCUCCCUAAGAACUAAUGUGAAACUUGAUGAAAAAGUGCAGAAAAAAUAGUGGAAUAAAUUUCCAAAAACAUAGAAAUAGGUUUAAAAAGAAUCUGGAAAUUUUUGGAUGUCAAAGAAUUAAAAAAAAAAAUAGAGGGGCUGUGGGGGUUCGAACCCACCACCUCACAGCCUCCUCUUCAGCGAAAAUGAGAGGAAAAAUAAGGGGGCUGUGGGGGUUCGAACCCACAACCUCCCUAUUCAAGCGAAUUUAAUUAAAAAUAAUAAUAAUAGUAAAUUAAAAUUCUAAUUAAAGUUGGAAAAUUAAUUCUCUUAUGUAAACAUUGAGAUUUAAUUUAGAAUUUUAAUUAAAAAUAGAAUAUUAAUUCUUUUAUGUAAAUAUUGAGAUUUAAAUUGGAAUUCUAAUUAAAUUAGAAAAUUAUUCUUUCAUGUAAAUGAUUGAAAUUUAAUUUAGAAUUCUAAUUAAAAUAGAAAAUUUAUUAUUUCACGAAAAUGUUGAGACUUAACUUAGAGUUCUAAAUUUAUGAAUAUUAGAACAAAAAUCAAUGAAAAAUAUAAAUGAUAUCCAAAUAAUUCAAAAUUUGGGUUCUCGUGUCCAAACCUCCGUAUUGAUACAUAAGUCAUACGUGAGUGAAAUAUUCAAGAAUAAUGUCAUCUACGUAGAUCAAAAAUCAAAGAUCUUGGCAUAUAUACAAGAUACAUAAGUCUUGUAAUACAUAAUCUUAGAAAAACAAGAAUUCACUUAACGAACUAUAAAUGAAGCCUCAUGGCUUGUAUGUAUAGAUAUAUAAGUUUAACAUACGUUCAAGAAUAAGUGAACCUAAGAUAUACGUAAUGAAAUGAAGAAUGUGGUGACAAUCAUGAUGUGAGGUUAAUGCGUAUGAUGAGAGCAAUCUUAAAUGAGCUUAAGUAAAUGUUACCGAUACAUACUCACCAAUGAGAGUGUAAGAUAAUGAAGAGACCAGUCUCUAUGAAUACUCUAAUAAAAAUAUUGAGUUUAAAACACUUAAUACUAAUGAUGAGAUGAGAAAUCAUCUAUUGAGCUAUGAUGUCUUCAUACUAGAAGCAAACUUCUAUGAUGUAUGAGUUGCAUGUAAUGGAACUUUAUACCGAGCACCGAUAGGCUAGCUAUGAGUGGUGAUGCCUUCUUUCGGGAAGGGCGGAGGUUCACGUAAUUCUCAUGAGAUGAGACUGUCCGGCUUGCCGGGUAUGGGUCUCCACACAUCUCCUAGUCUUUGAACCUAUAUUGCCACUAUAGGGAUCUGGCGGGGUUAAAUUCCCAUAUACGCUAGCAUGUUAUUUGAAUCGCUUUGGCCGAUGAUUCCACCUCUUUUCGGUGUGGGGAAGACACUGGAUUUCAUGAUGCUCACAUGAUCUAUGUCGGUUAAAGUUAAAGUUCCCAAUGAAUGAAUGAGGCCAGCCUCAAAUGAAUCAUAUAAAGAAAUGAAUGAUACCGAAGGUGUUAGGAUAGGAUAAUCAAGAGGUGAGCUAGAUUCAGGUAAUGACAUUAGGUCAUUCCUGAUCAUUGCACAGCAAACCCGAUGAAAGUCUUAAACUACAUCCUAGGUAUAGCUGGUGUUCGCACUGGCCUAUGAAUGAAUUGAAAUGAAAUACGAAUGAAUGAGUGAAGCAGACUCUGUGUUUGCUAAAGAAGGCUCCCUAGUUGAGGUCCCAUAUGUUGAGCCCUCAUUUUGGAAAGUCUUAAAGUUAAGUCUAUGAUAAUAAGGUCUCAUGGUAUACGAAUGAAUAAUAUGAAAGAAAGUAUGUGUUAUAUGUUAUGUGUUAUAUGAAUAUGUUAUGUUUUGUGUGCUAUACGAUAAUUAUAAUGAUGCAUGUCACUCUCAUGGCAUAACUUUCCCAAUCUCAAUUUGGCAAGUCCACUGACUUGACUUCCAAAAAUCAUGUUGUUAGGAAAGAGCUAUUCUUCCUCAUGCAUGUCCCUGGUGUGUACUUGCAUAUACUCAUACUUAGUACAAGUGUGUACUAAUUCCAUACGAACAUCUAUUUUUAGGUGCAGGCACAGGUGGACGCUAGAGCUACAGGUUCGUUGUUGCAGCUAUCCGGACAUCAGUAUUCAUCCGGAGUUUGGUAGGUCCUCAUGCUUUCGAGGAUGCUACUGUUUUACAUUCUAGCGUAGUUUUAGAGUUGAGCUAGCGGAACAUGUUCCACUAGCGUUUCUUUCCUGUUUUGGUUCAAACUUUGUAUUGGUGCUAUUUUGGCCGAUAUACAAUUAAUACUUAAUGAAUUAUUUCUUUCAGUUGCUUAUCUCUUAAAUGUUAGAUGGUUGAUGAUGAACGAUUACGAAAUGUUAAGAAUGUUCAGCAAGUAUGAUUAAAGAAUCAAAAAUUUCAAAUUUUCCGCUAAAAUUAAUCUAUGUAAAGUAAGAAUGACGUAAGCAGGCUUGUCUGCGACCUCUGAGAGGUCAACGACGCCGGUCUCGUCUGGGGUCUAGAUUCCGGUCGUGACAUCAGUUACACAAAAAACUGAAAAAAAGACUAAACAAUUGAGCAAAACUUCCCAUUACGAGAACAUCAAUAGCAACUACAUACCCGGUGCAAUCCCACAAAUGGGGUAUGGGAAGGGUAGGAUAUACGCAAACCCUAUCUUUAUGGAGCAGAGAGGCUGUUUCCAAUUGUCCAUUGGCUCAGAACAUCAAUUAUGAACAUGGAAAAUGUUUUCAUUCCUAACUGUAGCAGUGGAAGGACCUAGGGAAUUCAAGCAACUUCAAUACAUGAUCCUCUAAUAUGAAAAUUCUUUAUACAGCUCGAGAAAGUACUACACAGUGAAGUCUGAUUGCUGAACAUGUGACUAUUCCUUUGAACCUAAUUUGCACAAUGCAGUCAUAAAACUAAAGAAAAUAACAACUAACAAAUGUUCGCAAGAAGAGAUAUAGAGUACUCCAGAAAGAGAACACUAAAGCCUAAACUGAUCCUAUAAGACGUGGUCAACGAGAAUUAACCAUGGAGAACACACAUAACAGUAAAACAUUAAUAUCAACAAGAUCAAAUUGCAAAAAAGACAUCUUGUGUGGCCGAAAUAGUACUUGAAUAAUUUUUAGGAACGGGGUACACUAUUAUGGUAGCCAAAAUGGCAGAUUCCCCUGCUACAUUAUAAUAAGGGUUCCUGUUCUUUGUAAUAUAUAUAUAUAUAUAUAUAUAUAUAUAUAUAUAUAAAAGCUUAUAAAAGGGUCUAGUACUUUUCAGAGAAGAUUACCAGCCAAAGGCAUCAUCUGAUUAUUACAGCAUCCAAAAUAUGCUUCCUAUAAUUAUUUCUUAAACUUUCCAGUCUUCCUUGGUCCAGGAAUUUCCAUUGUACCUAUAGAGCAACCACAUCUGCCUCGAUACACAAGAAUGGCUCUACCAUUAGGCGGAGCCAUUCUCUUAAGCUCACCUUCCAAUUCUUGAUGGUAAUCUCUAGGUAACUUGAAUAUCCCCUUUUUAACUCCUCCAAUUUUAGGAGGAGUCAAAUUUGACUUCUUAAGACUGUCUUCUGUCUCUAGCUGUAUAUCAAAUUCAGCAGCUUUCUUAAGCCGACGACAACCUGGUCUCCCACAUCCUCUCCCUGUUGUACAAAUAGUCACUGCCAAAAGAGCAAUCACAGCAAAAAAAAUGCUAAGCCCUAGACAGAUAAACACCAUCGGAGCGCGCAAAAAUUCCUCUUUCACCACAUCAGAAACUUCUUCGAAAAAUUCAAUCAGUAUAUGCACCACAAGAUUUAUGUAAGGAUACAACAAAACCCCAGAAGCACCAACCACGGCAAUGAAAAUCACUACAUCAAUGAUAGCAGAGUGAGACUGUUCACAAUCACUUGGCGGCAUGUUUCUUUUCUUGUCCGACCGAUUGAUUUGCCUCAAUUUCGAAAAGUGGGCAGUUGAAAUCUUGGUUUUCACCCUGGCUAAUUUUGGGUCUAUUGGAGGAAUUGAGGUGUGUAAACAGACCAUUUGGGUUAAAGAUUUCAAGAUUGUAUCUAAGAAUAUAAAAGACUCAAAUCAGAUCGGCCAAUUUUCCCAAAUUGAAAAAGGGAUUGGAAUAUUGAUGGAUAGUCAAUUAAGAAUUAAUAUCAGAUUGAAGUAAUCUACAAGGAAGAAGACUAAUAGCAGAGAAUGGAGAUCUGGUGUAAAUUGAAAUUUAGGCCGGCCAUCAAAGAGUGUAGAAAGGGAAGCAGAGACGACAAGGAGAUUUGAUGUGUAUUUAAAUUCUUUCACAUGAAAUGGUGGACUUCAUACACUCCAAAUUUAAGUUUUAGAAUUCUUUUUCUGGUUCUAAUGGGCUACAACUUACCUACAUGGGCCAUAUGACUCAUCAAAUGACCCGACUCAAUCCCACCAUUAAAAAUUAUUGAAAUACACAAUUUUUUAUAUUUUACUAUUAUCCCAUUCUAUUUUUAAAAAUCUCUAAAAUUCAUUAUUUCUUUAAUAUAUUCGAGCUACGUAAUAUGUAUUUGAUUUAUUUUAUGAUGUAUCCAAAUUAAUUUUGAAUGUAUUCGAGCUACAUAUUAUGUAUCAGAUUUAUGUUAUAAGGAAUUAAGUAAUUACAAACUAAACGGUGAUAGAUUGUAAUUUCAUAUUAAAACUAUAAAUUUUAGAAAUAUCAAAUAUGAUAGAUUAGAUAUAAUAAGGUUUUAUAGUUAUAGUUUUGAUAAUUGUGCUUUAUAUUUAUAGUUUUAUCUGCUAAGGAGGUCAUGAUUUGUAUAUUUUGUGCGAUUUGUAUAUUUUUACUUAUAUUUUUGUAUAUUUUACUUGUGAAUAUUACAAAUAAGUAAGUAUAUAUAAAUUAUGUAUCUAUAUAUUUAGAAAUUUUUCUGAACCCCCAUUGUAUAUUUCGCUUGCCAAUAUACAAAUUGGAUAAUUUAUUGUUAACUUUUUAUAAAUCGUAUACAAAUAGCUAAGAUAAAUAUAUACAAUCAAGUGAAUUACACAAUUUUACGUGAAUUAUACAAAUUAAACAAAUAGCAAGAUCUAAGGAAACGAUGACUGCUAAUCACAAUUUUCUAAAACAAAUAGCUAUAGCUUUUCAUACCUUUAAAUAUUUGUUUUUCUAUAAAAAAAUUCCUAAAAUUAUAGUUUAAACAAUUUUCAUUUCACUCCCAGACAUUCAUAACUUGAUAUGUUUCUACAUGCUUAAUUUUUUUUCUUUAUAUAUAUAUAUAUUGAAUUUUGAAAGUGUGUAUAUUUUUCGUAGAUGAAAAUUUUGAGUUUGCUACUGCGUAAAAAAAUAAUAAAAAAUGUUUGGCAUAUCUUUACAAUAAAGUAAGGUAUUUUGGGUAAUAGUAAGCAAUUGAAAAGUAUGUUGUUGAUAGUGAAAGCACAAGGAGGUGGCAUCAUUGUCAUAUACUUUGACUCGUGUGAGAGGAGUAUUACUUGUCUAAAGUCUAACACAGUCUCGACGUGACAAACAAGGAAUUCAAAGUUGAAAUUAGAGGCUAGUUGGUCUAUACGCACGACGAAAUGGGAGGUUAAAUUUUCAAACUAAAAUCCAUGGCAAAUUGGGUUGUUGUACGAGUUAGUAUUAGACUAUUAGACUAAAGUCAGACCAUCAAAAUUUGGCAAUGAUUUAAGUGGCGCUCAAUAGUCCAUCCUUAGAUAUUUUUCCGCUUUAUGAAUAGCAACAUGUUGGAAGUGAAAGCAAAAAGUUAUGAAAUGACCCAAUAAAGUAGUCACUUUUAUGUCUUACGUUGGGCCUGUUUGGAUGGACUUAAUAAAAGCAGCUUUAAAAAGUACUUUUGAAAGUGCUGAAACUUAUUUUUAAAAUAAACAGUUAUGCAUUUGGAUAAAAGUGCUGAAAUUGUUAUGCCAAACGUGAAAAGGGAAAAAUAGAAGAAAGAGAUGUUAGGGUUAUAUGGGUAAUUUGAAUAUUGUAUAAAAAUAUUAAGAGAAAAAACAUAAAAAAUAUGGUCAACUUAAAACAGCUUAUAAGCUAAAAAAAAAAGGCACCCUACCCCAGCUUUUAACUUUUGGCUUAAAAUAAGUUUUUUUUAACUUAAAAUAAGCUAUUUUAAGUAUUGUCAAACAGUUAAAUAAGUCAAAAACCAGCUUUUAAAUCAGUUUGACCAGCUUUUAAGCUGAGCCAAACAGACUCUUAGUAUGAUUUGAUCUUACAAGAAACCUACUGCAGUUCAGAAAUUGAGACCGUUCUUCCUUUCUAUGAGUAACAAAUACCCUUGCAAUAAAUUACACAGUUAAAUUCAACAUAAAAACAUAUUGCAAAAUAAUAAUUGGUAUUUUCCCAAUAACAUGAACCAUGUAAAUCCCAAAAUAGAUUCUAGUUUGGAUGUUUACCAUUAUAACUGGUUAUGACAAAAAGAAAAGAAAAAAAUACUUGCAGGCAGAAAACAAAGUAAUGCAACAAACAAAGUUAAUCUAAAAAAAACAGCUUAUUCUAUAAAUUAAUUUACCAGCAAUCACAAUGUAGUUUUCAAAAAUCCUUUGGUCGCGCUGAUUGAAGAACUUGAUGCAAUAAAGAGGAACGUAGAAUACUAUGUUGUAUAGCCAGAUUUUUCCUACACAACUCCAGCCAAUGCUCUGAUCUCCAAACACAACAAGCAUGGUGGAAAUAAGUUGAUAAAACACGCAAAUAGAUAGGAGAAUAUCACAACCAGGCAAUAAACUCCCAGUCCUCAUGACGAAUAUUAACUCAGAAAGGGCACAGCUAACAAAUCCAUCAGCCUUCUCUAUGAUUUCAUCAAUUGAUACAUCAUUAUCAGCAGCAAUUGAUUCGCUAAUUAUGUCCCAACAGAGCAGAUGAAGGAUACAUAUUUGUUCCCAUUCCCACGCGACGCCCAAUUUCUUUUCCAAUUACCAGUUGAUCCCUUGUAAUCAUUUUAACGUUCACUCCGUGGUUCAACAAUUCCCUGAUUGAGCUUGCACAAUCCUCCCUUGGCGGAUCAACAAAAGGCAGAACACCGAUGAAUUGCCAUGGACUCCCAGAUUUCUCCUUUCCUCCGUGUGGAACUUCCUGGAUUGCUACAGUGAUUGAGUGCAAGACCUUGUCAGCAAACGUAUCAAUCACAGAGUGAACUGAUUGUUCUGUAUCUGACGAAACUUCCAGGUUGGCCUGCUCAGCACUUGGUUGGAACUUUUUAACAAGGUGGGCAGCUGCCGCAUUCCUAUAUCUGGUACGAACUCCAGUAGCGAUAAAAUUUCUCCUUUUUGACAGUUUGAACCAGAGUAAGCACAAUCUCCACGACGUGAUUUUGUUACAGGAAGGGAUUCACCUGUCAGAUCAGACUGGUCAAUUUUCACGACUGGAUCAUCAGUAGUACAGUACUUGAGGAUACGAACAUCUGCAGGAACUAUGUCUCCCAUUUUUAUACGGAUCAUAUCCCCUGGGACAAGGUUAGAACUGUUUACUUCACACCAUUGUCCACGUAUAAGAACUCUGCACCACUUUUCUAAAUAUUGGACCCGAGAUGCUAUAUCGCUAGUUAGUAUGAUAAGUUAUUUACAAUUGGAAAUGUAAGGAUACCAAGAAAAGGUACCAAUCUGGAGGCCUUCCUCACAAUUGCCAUUGCCAUGAUAGCAGCAGCUACCAUAGUCCGUGAGAGAGGAUUACGUGAAUAUCUCAAAAAAUUAAAGAAUUUACUCUCCGUCUUCUCCUCCAGCUUGUUGUGUCCAUAAAUGGACAACCUCUCUUCCACAUCAGUAUAAGUAAGACCUUCGUCCUCUUUACAUCUCAAAUUUUCACAAACUUGUUCAAUCGGUAUGUUUUCCAAAUCAUCGAGAUCCAUUAAGACUCUCUGGUCCGAUCCAUAGUCAAGACAUACAUGAGUAAGACUUUUAAUUAAAUGAGUCAUUUUCUUUGGCAUUAAUGAAACAUGUCUCUUAUCAAUCACAAGGCUCAGCGCGAAUUUUCUAAAAAUGAACGACUUUGGAUCAAGUUCUUAAAAUCUUCAAUAUCGGAUUAGCUGUGUAACUAUUCUAAUUUCUCUGCUCUGAUUAUUUAUUUAUUAUUAUAGAAAAAAGAGUAAUUAAGUGUCACAACUACUUUAGGAUUCUCUAAAAUAAAAGGUUCAAGAGAUUUGUACACGAAUGUUAUGCAAAGUAGUUACGACUUAAGAGUGGAAGAGUAAUGCUCUCUUUCUACUUUCUACACUAAAAUCACAUGGUCAUAUAACUUAAGAAUACUAACUUUCGGAAGAGUAACUUAUUUUUACUUUUCUUCUUUUUCUGAAUAAAUCUAAUAAAUAAGAUUAUGAAAUAAUGAAUCACAUACACAUUAUAUAUAAUCUGUAAUUGUUAAAAUUACACUUAAUUAGAAAUUAUGGAUUAUGUAUGUCCAACUGCUAGAAUCAAAUCAUCCCUUCUAGUUAUACUCUGUCAUUUUAAAUUAAUUAAAUUGCUGAGUUGUUUCACAAUAUUUAAGAAAAGAAGAUGAAAACGUAAAUCUAGCACAAUUUUUUAUUUUUGUCUUUAUUUAUUAUUGUCAAAUUUAUAAUUAAAAUAAUUUAAUAUUAAUUAAUAACCAAUUCCAAUACUAACUAAUGAAGAAUAAAAUUGGAAGAAUAUUCCAAAAAUAAUUUUGAAAAUUGAACAAUUAAAUUUAUUUAAAAAAUGAAAAAUAUCUUAACAAUUCAAUUAACUUGAAAUAGAGGAAGUAUUAUUUAAUUAGGAAACAUUAUAUUGUGUGGGUUAUCUAUACAUCAUAUGGAUUAAAUAAAAUAUAUGGAUUAAAUGCAAGUACGUGGAAUGAAUCCCGAUUAAUAUACAUGUUUUGAUAUGAAUUACAUUUGCAUAUGUAUUAGUAUUAGGUACAAUAUGAUCUACAAUCUCAAGAUACGUUAUUUUAUUAUAUAUGUGUGCUAAUUUUCUUAUGAGUAUAUAAUAGAAUACUAUUUUGAUGUAAUCAUGCGAAAAAAAAAAGGAUAGGAAAAGCAAGGGUGCUAUUAUGAUUCUUCAUGUUACAAAAGAGAUCAGCUUGGAAAUAGUUUUUAUAAUUAAAAGAGGUUAAGGAAUUUUUAUACAAAAUUUGGUAUUGUUUGUAUGUAAUAAUGCAAUAACCUUGUCAACUCUACCUUAUCAUCAACAUUAAAUUAAUUAUUGUUUAUAUUCUAGAUUUUCUCGACUUUGGUCCCACGCAGGAGAAGGGAUAGUAUGAUUGAACUAAAGUUUUUUAAAAAAAUUUAAAGUUGGCUGUGAAAGCACGUUUUGUAGCGUCCAUCAUAUCCACUUGGAUCAAUUUUCAUACUCAUCCACAAAUUUUCAAAUAUUUAAUGAUAUCUCCAUGGCUAUAAACAAUCGUAAAUGAGUAAAUUGAAAUAAAUUAUAUUUUUGAACUAAAUCAUUUCUAAAACUAUAAAAUAAAUUACAUUUACCUAAUAGAUUUUUUAUUCUAUCCGAUAUAUAAAAUUUAAGUAAAUAUUAUAUUUAUUAGAAUAAUAUAAUAACAUAAUACUACUUAUGAAAUAAUACAUUAUAAUUAAUAGAGUGUUAAAAUAUAGUGAGAUUUUAAUUACUUUAUCCAUUUUUUCUUAGUUGUCAUAUUAUAGUUUGACAUAAUCUUUAAGAGAAAUUCAAUAAUGAGGGAUAUUUGACCAAUAUAUUACUUGUUAAUUUGUAAUCUUUAUUAUAUACUCUCUUAGUUUCUAAUUAUUAAUUCUAGUUUUUGUUUUUACUUUGACUAUUUUCACAUAUCAAGAAAGGAUAAAUUUUUUUUACCUUUUAUAUCUUUAAUUAGUUAAUUUUGAAAAAUAAAGAUCUUCCUUGAAACUCUUUUAAGUUUUUAAAUUAUCCAUUUUAUGAUAAUAGGAGUAAAAUGACAAUUCACUGUAUCAAUCAUUAUUUUUUAAAAUAUAUGUAUCAAUUUAAAAUAAACAAGUAUUUAAAGAUAAAAAAAAAUAUGUACCCCUUAUUAUAAAAUAAUUAAUGAAGAAAGUUUGAAAAAGAUAAUUGAUUUCUCUCAACAAUGAUGAUAAUUUUAAAUGGACAGAAAUUUAUAAAUUUUUUUUUAUUUUAAAAUAAUAUUUUUUUUAUUGAAAGGAUAAAAAUCUUAACAUUGCAUGAAAUAUGUUAUGUUUUAUUAUUUGAUAACUUAUCAAAUGAGUAUGAAUAUUAUUAAGAGUUUUUUUGUAGAUUUGAUUCAUUCAGAUAUCUUCCGAUCAAUUAAAAAUUUUCUAAAAAAAAAAAAAACUUAAUAGGUAAAUUUAAAUGAUUCAAAUUUAAAUAUAUUUAAUAGGUAAAAUUCAAAUCUCUAUUAAAUACAAAUUCUGAUUAAUUUUUUUUGUUCCUAUUUUUUAUAAAAUAUAAAUAAUAACUUAAAAAGAAGGAAUAGAAUAGAGUAAUGGAAAAGAAUACACGUGGAAACGGAAGAAGUCCCAAAAAGGGGAAAAGGCGGAUCUUUUUGAAAGGGGUGGGCGGCUACUUGUGAAGGGAAAAGAAAAAGGUCGUGCUGAGUCGGAUUAAAAAGUGUUACUAUUAUUUUAUUUAGAGAAUCAAGAAAGAGAAAGACAAGAUCUAUAGCCACAUACAACUUAUGGCUCUAAAUUAACGAUUGCUCACCUGGCAUAACACCUCUUUUUUAUUUUGAUUACACUUCGUUUCGUUUGAGAAAAAAAUUUAUAACCUCUUUAUUUAUAAAAAGUUCGUUGGAUUAUACUUUAUAUUGAAUUUAAAUCUUAAAAAUAUUUUAGAGGAGAAUAUGAUAAAACACCUGUUUUGGUAAACCAACCAAAGCCUAAAACCAGACCCAUAACAAAGAAAGUGUUAGUGGGUGUCAGAUCUCUUUCUCUCUGCCUCUGCUGAAUGAAUUAAAGUGUCAAUAAUCCCAAAAAUUCAUCUCAUAUUAUCUGUUCCUCUUUCUUUCUUUCUUUCUGUUCUCUGCUAUUAUACUAUACUUUUAAUCUUUGGGACUUGCCAAUGUCUGAAGCAAUUGCUAUAAAGGAUCCUGCCAUUAAGCUCUUUGGUUGGACUAUUCAGUUACCCGAUUUUCCGGCUCCGGCGCCGGAGGAUAGUAGUUUCUUAGCUGGAGAAGUCGAGCAAGAGCUCAAGGUAUGAUAAUAAUAAAUGCUUCUUCUUUGUAUGUAAUGACUUUAUUAUGGUUUUGAAGUCAUCUGGAGACUGGUUGUUGACUUUCCUUUUGGACCAUAUUGUUAGGGUUUUGGAUUCUUCUUUUUUGUUAGAUCCGUAUUGGUUAUUUUUUUUCCUUCUUUGGUUAGAAUUUUUUACCUCUUUUGGCUAUUAGGUUAUGCUUACUGAAAUUUUCUAUAUUGGUGUUCCUUUCUUUGUCUGAACACUUAAGUUUUUCUUUUGUUGUUCAAUUCUCUUAAGAUUGUUAGCUAUUUUGUAGUGAAAAAACUAUAUACUGAAUUUACCGCCUUAUUGGUCGAGCUCAUUGCACAGGACUCCUCUAGUUGAACAACAGGCUUAUCCUGUGCACAAUCAAAAAGAGUAGCGGCUGUGGUUCCCUUGUCAGUGUAAAUUACUGAAGUUACCGUUUCUUGAAAUUAAUAGAGUUGUAAUUACUUGUGCUUCCAUCAAAUUAUGGCUCAAUCUCAAUCUAGCUAGGAUUGGCAGUAUGAAUCCUGUGUAUCAAGGGGGUUCUUUCUAUAUUAUAUCUUGACUAUUUCUACACGAACAUUGGCUUACCACAGUUCUCCUCCUCUUUUCAGCUUGGGAUAAAUUAUGCUUUGCACUUAAGAAGAGUUUUCCUUAUGCUUUAACUAGUUUUCUUUAGCCUGUAUGUGACAAGCGAUGGCUGUAUAGCUCAAGCAACAGCUUUGCUUUGUUUAUCGCUUACUUGAGAUUUUAUACAUCAAAUUUAUCUACUUUUGAACUUGUCAAUUAUUGUGAGACGUGAAAGAAUUAAAGGGUACAAACUAUUGAUGUGUUUUGUUAAUCUCUGUAAUUCAUAUAAAAUAUGAUCUUAUGUAAAAGAUAUUGCUUUUUAUGUAAGAUGAAUGUUCAAAUCUUUCUUAACUACUCAAUUCAGCGUUCUCGCUAUGAUAUGAUGUAUACUCCAAAAGAUACUUAAGUUGUCAGGUAUUCAAAUCCUCUGUCUUCCUUCAGUAACUUCUAAAUGAUGCUCCCUUGUUCAAUUUGUUUGUACUAAUUUCCCGUUAUAGUCCGUUUAAAGAACAAUGUCUCUUGCUCUGGUUGGUAACUCAUUAAUUCUAACUUUACUCAUUUUAAGACCAUAAGAUUAAAUUACAUUUUGGUACAUUCUACAUAUCUUUAGCUUCAGAGCACAAAAUUUAAAGUCGUUUUUACUUUCUUGAAUUUCAUGUCAAGUCAAAACCAAUCAAACAAAUUGUAUCGGAGGGUGUAUAGGACUUUUAUGUAUUCCUUCUUAUCUUUGACCUCAACAUUCUGUCUAUGAACUUGGCACAUGCUUCAGUGACAGGGAAGCUCAGCAGUCAGUGUAGAUAUCAGGAUCUAGUGAAAUCUUGUUAAACACUGCUUGACUCUGCAACUCCCAUAUGUUAUCUGUUACUUGAAUAAAUUUAAGAAUCUAACUUGAUUUUUCUCUCUACAUACAGGGUCUAUAUGAUGAUUGUAUUGAUGACAAUGAACAUUUGACUACUGAGGAUUCACAGGAUCAGAAUCCAAUUCAGCAGAGAUGUGAUAUUAUAAAUUAUUAUGAAUCUUCUACAGCCAAAACGUCAAAAAGUAAAGAGGAACACGGUGAAACAAGCAACUCACACGAGAGAAACCUGAAAAAACCAGAGAAGACACUUCCAUGCCCUCGCUGUAAUAGCAUGGAAACAAAAUUCUGUUACUUCAACAAUUACAACGCCAGCCAGCCUAGACACUUCUGCAAGAAUUGUCAGAGAUAUUGGACUGCUGGUGGGACUAUGAGGAAUGUGCCUGUAGGUGCUGGUCGUCGGAAACACAAGAACUCGGUUUUGCAUUAUAGUCACGUAUCCGUCUCUGAAGCACUAUCAAAUGUAAGAACAAAUUUUCCUACUGAAACCCAGCAUCCUCCCCUCACGCUCAAUGGAACAAUUCUGUCAUUUGAUACUGACAAACCCGUAUCUGAGUCGAUGGUUUCAGUUUUGAACGUUGCUGAUAAAGGUAUGCAAAAUUGUUCUGGGAAUGGGUUUCAAAAAUAUAAAGAGCUUCGAAUUCAAGCUGGAGAUAAUGGAGAUGAUCAUUCCGAUGGAUCUUCGGUUACUGCUAUAAGUUCAAAGGAUAGUGAUAAUGGAUUACCUAACACUCCAAGGAAGAACUACAACAGCUUUCCAACUCAUUUACCUUGCUUUACUGGAGCUCCUUGGCCAUACAUAUGGAGUUCUGUGCACUGUAGAAAUGCAGUACCUCCACCUGGUUACUCCCUUCCCGGCAUUCCUAUGUCUUUCAUCCCUGCAACCACUUAUUGGGGUUGUACAAUACCAGGCUCUUGGAAUGUCCCUUGGAUGUCCCCACCCACUGCUUCCCACAACCAAAUGCCUCUAACUCCUGAUCCUAAUUCUCCAACUUCGAGGAAACAUUCAAGGGAUGAGAAUGUGCUGAAAUCGACAGGCACUGAGGAAGAGCAACGAAAAGAAAGUGAUCCUGGGAAGCGUCUAUGGUUUCCUAAAACAUUGCGAAUUGAUGAUCCAGGAGAAGCUGCAAAGAGUCCUAUCUGGGCAACAUUAGGAAUUAAACAUGAGGUUGUUAAUUCAGUUGGUGGAGGUCUUCUCAGUGACUUUCUGCCGAAGAAUGAUGAGAGGAGUUGUGUUUCAGAAAACUCUACCUUAUUACAAGUAAAUCCAGCAGCAAUGUCCAGGUCGUUAAAUUUCAAUGAGAGCUCAUAAGCAGGUGUGUUGAUAAGCUUUGUAAAUGUUACAAAAUGGUGGUGGCAAGACAGGAGUUAUUCAGCUGAAUAUGCUUCACAAUUGUCUGCCACUGGCAUUUCCGUUAGACCAGUUAUUCAUAGUGUAGUCCAGAGAAAGUCUAGAUGUAGACUCAAUGUUAAGUUUUUUACAGAAUUAGAAUAGAUCAAUCUUGCUGUUAGUUCCCUCCUUUUUGUGUGAGUGAGUUUAGUGAGUUCUGUUUUCUAGUGAUUUUUCUGGGUAUUAAGUUUCUUCGUUGAUGUGUAUAUUUGUAUUUGAGAAAGCGAGACACAUACUAGAGUCAGUGUGAAAAUCGCGUGGUAAAAUAAGUUGGAGGUGAAAUGAAUGAGUUCCUUAUUUAGCUUUUUGUCUGCUUCAAGUUCUAUUAUAAUGCACCACUAUGAAUGGAGCUUCACCAUGCAUAACUAAACUUCCCUUUCUUCCUGUUGGCCUUCUUUUCUUCUCUCUUUUUUGGAGAACUUAAAAUUAUUUUCAGUUUAAAUGCUUAUCUUGUUCCUUUCCAGAAACUGAAGGAGGCUAUUGUCCAACUCCUAGUAGUUGUAUAUGCAACUAUAAAUGGAACUGCAUUGAGAGGGGAAAAGUAAUGGUCAAAGUUUGAGAUAUUCUAGUAUUUUGUGAAGAACUUGACAACAUUCAUUUUCAGGGAAUGGAGUGGUUUAGUGUGGAACUUAUCAUGUGGCUUCUGCAAUAGAUUACUAUUGUUUUAUGCACAAAAAUAAUUUGUUGACUAGUUGAAAAGCUAUCGUUUGUAGAUUCUCUUGAGUUAUACAAGCUUCCUUGAUAACAAACUAUUCAAAGCACUUUUGACAUUACUUUAACAGUUGCUUUGGGAUUCCAUAUCAGCUUCCUGCAGGGACCAAUAUCAGGCUAAUUCAUAAUUACAAUGAAGCUGCCGGAUGAUUUCCCUUUCCAUACCACUUGAUCUUCGCAGCUAUUUGAUUCCUUGAAGGUGGUUAACACAUUGAUGAACUGUGUAAACCAGUCAAGUGUCAAUUUCCUUGUCAUUAAGAUUUCUUCCGGAGGUUACGUCUCCUAUGUUGUUUGCGAGCUAUUGCAUAAAAGCAGGGGUUUUACCCUUUGUACAUUCAAAUGGUAGCGCUUGUCAUAAAAAAAAAUAGAUUUCUUCUGGAGGGUUAGAAAUGUUUUAUUGCAUAAAUUCUUCCAACCUAAUGCUCAUUGCUCAAGUAUUUUUACUUACUUUUACAAUGGUGACUGAGAGAUUAUUUGCUCAUACAGGUGCAGUACUGUCCCUCCAACCUUAGUCAGAGCGUGGAGGGUUUGAAUCGAGCCCUGGGAAUGGAAAGCUCCUAAUAGAGAGUGCCCUUUUUGUGAGCCUUACACAAAAUGAAAUAUUGGAUUAGUUGGAUCAAUUUCAUUUACUGUAUGCACAAAACAAACAAAAUUACAUCAAGACAGACACUGAUUGAAUGUUUUUAUCAGUUAUUUCUUUUGCAAUCUGCUUUUCCUCGAGCUGAGGAUAUAUCUAAAAUCUCUCAACCUUCCAAAAUAGCAGUAAGGUUGGCAUACACUCUAUGUUGUUGUAUUGAGCUGUUUGAAGUGCACAAUGCAGUGUCUAUGACUAGUUAUACUUUCCUUGACUAUAAUACCAUUCACAGAAAUUAAAUGGGAUCUUGUUUGAUUUAAGAGAAUCUCAUAAUCAACUAAUUUUGUUAUCAGUCUAAAAAUUUAGUUUUGGUGUAUAGUCGAAACUAUAGUGUUUCUGUUUUGUUCAGCCGACUGAGUUUGCCUGGAAAGUUCAAGUUGUCUAUAGUUGCAAGUUAUAUGCUUCAUUAAAGUUUAUGAAAGGUGAUGGAGUAUGGCAAAGUUAUUGGGAUUGAAAAUGAAAAGUCAACUUUCAUUAAAAAUAGUUCAAUGCUUGCACUACUUUCCAAGUGAUUCUUGAACUAUACUAGCCAGAGGAAGAGUUUAAUUAGAGGUGUAAAUAAAUAAAAAGAAGAAGCUACUCAUGUUGCUGCCUUACAGCCUAGUUAAAGUGCAUUUGUUUGUUGAAGGUAAAGUUAAAGCAUGGAGAUGUCCCCAUCCAAGACAACAAAAGAUAAAAAUUCAAAAGCAAAAGCUUUUAAUUAAGUAGCCACUAGCAGGAAACACUAAAUGGUGACACGUGAUGUGGGAACUACUUCCCAACUUUCGAUAUUCAAGCCAUGUUUACUUUGAGUGAUACUAUUUUCUUUUUUGUACCAAGAUAAUCCAUUUGAAUUGGAGAAAUUAUUUUCUAAAUCUCUAAUUUGAGUAGUUUAUUAUUCAUUUAACACACAUUUUAAGAAAUAUCAAUAAAUAAAAGGAUAAUAUUUUUAUAUUAUUUUUUUGAUUUUAUUAAAUUUAAUGCUUUAAAAACUGUCUUAGAUGCAGAUGCGAACUCAGAAUUUAAACAUUAAGUGCACCAAUAUAAACAUAGCUCAAAUAUCAUAUAUUAUUACAAGUGGAAAGCUCCAAAGUGAAAAAUUGAAUUAUCAUUUUAUCCUUAUAUUAAAUAAAAAUGUUAUAUUCAUAUUUGAUUUUUUUAUUUUUGAAAAAUAUUAAGCAGUAAACUUUUUUUUACUAUUAAUGAAUUGAGAAUAUUUGAAAAGUUAUGAAAAUUAAAUAAUGUAAACAUUAAAGAAAAUGAAGAGACAAAUGUUAGUUAAUGAGAGCAAAUAGGCAGAGAUUUAAGUUGCACAUUAACUAAAAUAUAAAAGCAGUUACCUUUAAUUCUAAAAAUUGUAGAUUUCAAUACAAUGAAUCUCAUAGUUAAUAUAUUAAUAUAUGUUAUUUUCAAUGAUAAAUACGUGAAAAGAAGCUAAAGAGUCUAAUUAAUCAUUUAAAGUGAAAGUAUUAUAUAAAGCCAAGAAUAGUUUUCAUUUUCCUCAAGUCCCCUCUCCGUUUUAUGGGCUGUAAAGAAGAGUGUAUCAUUUCUGAGCAGUUUUUCUCAAUCAAUGUCAAAGUUAAAGGCUAUUAAAAUACGCUAUGAACGUCGUUGGAUUUGUCCAAGAAUUUCAGCUAUGGAUAUUGCUGCAUUCGUCAAAGAAAUUUCUUAGUGAAGAAUACACUUAUAAUACUUAUUAUUUAAUUUUCUUGCUAGGGCUUAACAUGUGCAACGCACAACAUUAAUUUUGGUAAAAACUUCUAUAUGUUACUGAUUUUACAUAUAUUUCAUUAACGUAGCACAUAACAUUUCACUUAUUCAUUUAAAUACUGUAGUUGUAUAGUUUUUUGGAUUUUGGAUCUUAGAAACAAAAACACCAUAUAUGAUACUUAUCAAUUUUAAAAACAUGUAAUUUGUAUUUUCUAUUUUAUCACACAUAAUAUAAUUUAAAAAUAUUGUUAAUAUACAAUAUUCACAAAAAUAAUUUUAUUAAUAUGGCCACACGCGCAUGGCGCAUACCCAGAAACUAGUAAAUAAAAACAAGCUUUAGUAGAAUUCAAACCUUGAUCUAGAUAGUGAAAUAUCUUGCUUCAACCAAUUGCACAAGAGAACUUUGUAUGUUUUUUAUGAGUGCGCCGUUAGUUUUAUCCUAAUUUUAUUGCAACAAAAAUGAUCAUUAGCGGCAUUUAAUUUUUAAUUGUCGCUAAAUAUGUAUUUUUAGCGACAAUUGUCACUUUGUAUAUGUCCUCAAAGCCUUUAGCGACAUUGGUUCUAAUGGCACUUAACUACUGUCGGUAAAGACUUUAGCGCUUUUUAUUAAAGUCAAUAUUUAAUGCCGCCAAAAGUUGUUUUUGUUGUAGUGUUUCUACCAAUUUUUCAAAUUAAAUAUACAUAUAUAUGAUUUUUUUUGAAAGUUAGCGAGUGCACGUGUAUCCCCUUCAUAUAGUGUCGGUCCGCCCUUGCUUAGAUGAUACGUAUAUUUAAUAGCAAAAAUAAAAUAAAUAUAUAUAAAAAAAUUAUUUCUUGAUUUUCUAAAUUAAAUAAGUAUUAUCUUCGUUUUAAAAAGAAUGUUCCUAGUUUCUUUUUAGUUUGUUUAAAAUAGAAUGACCCAUUUUUUUUUUGUCAAUAUUUUAACUAUAAUUUUUCACAUGACAUGUUUAAAACCACAAGAUUAAAAAAUAUUUCGUUACAUUGAUUAACUUUAAUUUAAAACUAUAAGACUAAAAAAUCUUUUUUCUUUAUUAAAUUUCGUUUCAAGUCAAACUAAGACAUCCUUUUUAAAAGAGAGGGAAUAUUAUUCGACGGAAGUAGUUAACGUCGGCCAGCCUCACUGCGAUAUAUGAACAUUCAUGUGCACGUACACAAGUGAUCUGACAAUAGCUCCUCUUCACCCUCUGGCCUCUAUAAUACAAUUAAAGAUUUUUAAUGUUUCAUUGCAUGUGAUAAUCAAUUACUAGGGUCUUCAUGAGUUUAGACUUUGCAAUUAAAAAAUUUAAUCACAUUAAACAAUCUUAUAUAUAUAUAUAUAUAUAUUCUUAGACAAGUCAAUAUUGUGCCCCAUCGUUUUAUAUAUUUUUUUGUUUUGAUCCACCAAAAUCUGUGAUGACUUUUUGAAGUGUUGACUUUUUAAAAAUAAAAAUAAAUUUGGACAAUCUUGAUCGAAUAGAUACAAUAUCUCAUAAACUUUAUGUUGCAUGUUCAAGGAACAUAGUACUAUUUUAAUAUGCAUGCAUCAAAAAUACAAAUAUGCUAUUAAUAGUGACCCCUUAAAAUAAGUUAAAGUCAAUUAAUGUCACACCAUAUAAUAAAAAUAAAAUUUAGUAAAAUCCACUUAUCAAAAUCUAGAAAUUAAAGGCUUUGUAAAUGGAGUAAUAAACGUGAUUCCGAAAGAAAUAAUCCCCCUUCAAUCUUCAUCGCUAAAAAAAAAUGUGAUUGAUAAUUAAGUAAGGAAAAAGUUUAAUGUUUAUAUUAAAUCAAUGUAAAAUAUAUUAUUACGUGAUUUAAUGAAGUAAAAUAAAUUAUACAUGAUAUGUAUAUAUUUGCUUAAUGUAAUUACCCCUUGAAUAACCAAUAAUUGAAGUUUUUGCACAAAUUCCUAUUAAAUGAAUUGAUAAUUAAUUUCUUUUUCUGUUGCUCAUUCAAUGAAAAUAUUUCUAUUUAUUUCUGCCACAUAAAUAUCGCCAAAUUAUACUCCACUUACUUUAAUUUUUAUUUAUAUUAAAACAUAAACAUAAUUAUCAAAAAUACCAUAUCUUUUUACAAAAUGUAGUACUAAAAUAUUAAUUAUGAUUUAUACACGUCAAUAUCGGAUCUGAGAACGUCUCCAAAGUGAAUAUAUAGUGAUUUCGUAGUUUUCUAGGUUCUCUAAUUUACUCCAGCUGCCCACCAAUUUUUUUUUUUAAAAAAACCCUUCUUCCCUCUUUUAAAUACCCCAAAAGUUUUAGAAACAUAUUUUCAAGCUAAAUUAGAAAUUUUAUCUAUUUACUCUAUCUAUCAAUGGGGCGUUCCAUCUUCAUCGUUGCUGUUUUUGUCAUGCUUUUCUUCUCUGUUUCUCAUGGUAACUGUAGUGCUUUUUUUCUUCUUUAUUAUUGGACUCUUUUCAUUUUAAUUACUCAUGAAUUGUAUUGAUUUAUGAAUUGUGUAUGUUUAGGUGUAGGAACCGGCAGAAAAAUGAUGGGUUCUUUUUCACAUGGAGACACCCGUGGAGUUUUACACCAGGUCGGUUUCUUUUUCUUCUAAUUUAAACUUGCAUCUUUAGUCCCUCAAAAAAUUGACUAUUUUUAUUUUUCAUCUUUGUAAUACUCAUGCUUCACGUUUAAGCAACUCAAAUCUGCACUUUGCUCCUGAAAUUUUAUUAAUUUGGUGAAUUAGUAUUAUGUAUCUAAUUAAUUAAUCAUUUAUUAUGUUAAAUUUAUAAAGUUAUAUUUCUAGUAACAAUCUAGAUAUGUAUUAUUUAGGUAAAGAGAUAUGUUUUUAUGGGGUUUUUUUAGUGCGUCUCCGAAACUCAUAAAUUUUGCAUUGCAAGGCCUAUUUGGAGGUGAAGUUAAUGUUGAAUUUGGACAUAAAUUUUCUCCCUUUUUUUUUUUGGCUAAAAUUAUAACUUAUGUAUGAGAUUCUGUUCAUUUUGAUCCUUCAAAUAUAACCCAUAUGAGUGAGCAUUUUUAAUCCUUUUAACUUUGCUAAAGUUCCUAACAGAACCCGGUUAAUAGCAACGAUAUUAUUAAACCUAUGUGACUUGUAAAAUAUAACAUACAUUGUUUAGAAUUCAUAUUCCUGAUAUUUGAUAGCCACAUUUCAAGGCUGAUUUGUUGAGUUUUUGACCUUGAACCAAAACUGCUUCCAUGAGAAAUCACUAGAUCAUGGGUAUCCAAUUGUUUUUGGUGUUGCUUUUCUAAGAAAUAAUAAUGAUUUUUGUUUUUAAGUAGAAUAUAUUGUUGCCUUCUAAAAAGUAUAAAUAGCUACUACUAUAUUAAUCCUAAGAAAUAAAAAUGUGCAUCAAUGAAGAAAGAAAUAGCAAUUUACAUGGUUACAAUAAUAUUUUUUUAACAUUAUUAUGUUAGGGAAACCAAAUAUGUUGAGCUUAUAUUUUUGUUUCUGUUCAUUGUUUGGGCCUCUAAAAGAGUAGCAUUGUAUUUUUUUUUGGGCUUUUGACAUAACAGGAAAAGGCAAGAGAAACUUAUGAGCUGGACUAUAUCGAUGCUGGGCCAAACUUCAAUUCUCAUGGUGGUGUUCUUGUUCCUAAUUUUCCCACACCAGAAACACCCCCUCAACAUUGAACUCAUUCUUCCUUUUAUUUUCCUAACUCUAAAAAUCUGUUUUUUUUUUUGUCUAAUUGGGCUUUAAAUAUGUUAUAGGCCUUUGUUUUUAAUAUGCUUCAUUUUCAGCUUUGUACACAAAAAUAAAUAAAUAAUUGGUUCCAAACUAAUAGAAUACCAUAAUGCAACUCUUAAGAAUUAUCAAUUGUUAAAUAUCUCUAUUCAAAAACAUUUUCCUUUAUUUAGUGAAGGAUAAUUUACUUGGGCUUGGGCAACCUAAAUCCACAAAUGACAAGUUCCAAUACACUCGGCCCAACCAUUUUCAAGUCCAAUUAUGAGUACUCAAGACAGUCAAACUUACACAAAUAUAUUAAUUAUAUAUUAUACCUUUGCUGUCUAUUUUUAGUUUAAACAAUUUGGGUGACUGGCUAUUUGGAUUAUUUCUCCCAUGAAAAGAUUUGUGAAUAGUCUCUUAAAAGUGAAUACUUCGUAUAGUAGGUCCUAACUUAUGUUUGAUGGCAAAAGCAAUAUAGUAAAAACUUUCGUAUGGUAUUUCGUUAUCCGUUUUGGAUUUGACUAAUUUGAAUUCACAAAGGGAGGUUCCACUUUGGGCAUAUAAACAUCAAUUAAUAGGGUUGUGUGAUAAUUAAUUAUAUCACUUACUGUUUUUUUAAUGUGUGUGUCAAAGUUCAAACGUGACAAGUAAAAGUGAAUGAAUGAAGUAUUAUCUUUAUUUUAAUUCAAUUUGGAAGAUGGAAUUUUGUAUUAAAACAACAUCUUUUGCCGCCUAAGAGAAUUUACACUGCAGAAAUUGAAUGAGCCAAUGGAAAAACAGAACAUUAUACAAUGAAUAUGUCAACACGGUAAAAUAGAUUUUAAAUUUAAUGUUGAAAAUUUUCAACAUAGUAGUUGAACCACCAAACAAUUCAAGUUUGUUCUAUGUUAUGCUGUUCCAGUCUUCAAUACAAAUAUGAACUCUAAUAUUGUAUGUAUAGAGUUUGAUACUUUAAUGGGUGUCAUAAAAGUAUACAAUAGGGAUUUAUAGACUUCUUCUAACUUUCUCUACAAUUUCGAAUCUGAAUGUCUAGGUAAAACGGAAAACUUCGCAAACUAUAAUUAAAAAAACCCAUAUCAUGAAGUAGUUUACAUAUGAAAUUUGGGGAUAUUGUAUAAUUACAAAGCCGGAGUGUGUAACUAGUGCAUACUGUUAUAAGAAAAAAAAAAUCACAUAUAAAGAGUUAAUAUCAAAUUUCAUCUUGUUAAGAUGGAUUCGAUAUGAAAGGAAAAUUUUAAUAAAAAAUAUCUUGUUGAAAAAUAUUUUUUAGGAAAACUAAGUGAGAUUGAUUUAUUAAUAAAAGGUUAAAUGAUAGAUUUACUGUUUGGCAGGUAUUAGUACUCCAUUUUUGACUUGUUUAGGAUAAUAUUAUAAUAUGAGAAGUCAUGGAUUUCAAUGUCAUGGUGUUUAGUUUAUGGCGGCAAAUUUGGCUAUUCUCUCAUAAGAAAAGAUUUAAUAAAGACAAAAGGUUCAUAAAAAGAAUAUAAGGAAAAUUUUGAAGGGUACUAUUAAUCUUAAUUCUUGUUUUUGGAAAGUAAUAUAUGACUUUUACAAUAUAUUUAUUUUCGUGCAUUUCACAAUUAAAACCAAUUGGUCUAAGUUUGGAAGUACUUCAUGUAUAAGUUAGAUUGAAUUGUUUCCACUUUGAAGUGUAUAUUAAGAAAGCGAAAGCUUUGAAAAUGCAAUGAGUUCCCAUUAGUGCUUAAUGCUGGCUGCUAAGAACUUUCGGUCAAUCUUUUACCAAAAGAAAAAUAGUAGAAUAAACAUGAUUUUUCCUCUCUUGUAUAAAAACAAUUAAGUUUUACUCACUUUUAUUUACGAAAAAACAUUAACUUUUACUUUACUUUCCACUUUGGAUCUUGUAGCAAAUAAGUGGUAAACGAUUAGAGUGAAUGACUAGUGUAAUUUUCCUAACAAAUUUACACGAGGAAUAUAAAAAUGUAUAAGGAAACUUCCUUCUUGUAACGGUCAAGGUCUUUUUAAUUUUUUGGGUGGCUAUAUUUGGGGCAGAAGCAAUCAGAAACUGCCAGCAAAACAAAUAAACAAAAACUAGAACAGGCCAGCCUGCCCCACCAUAUUUCCAACAAGAGGUCCCAAAAAAUUAGGAAUUGAAGAAACUUCUGUGACACUUCCAUUGAGUGCAAAGACCAAAAAUUUUCAAUGAAUUUGGUCACGAACUCCUCAAUUGCGUGCACCUACUAAGCAACUUUCAAGUUUAUAUAUAUUUCCCUUAAUCUUUCAUGAUUCUUCAUCAAAACCAAAACAAAUACUUUAACUCUGUUUUUUUCUGCAUGCAACAGUAUCACCCGCCUUUUACAACAACAAAGAGAUAUUUCUCUUCUUCUCCAUCUCAAUCAAGAACUUUAAUUUUAAUAUGGCAGCUUCUAAUUAUUUGAAUCGAUUUCCAUUCAAGAAAUUCCCUGUAACUACUAUUCCAGUUCCCUUGCUAAUUCAUGGGGCGGUGGGAUUCUUCUUUCUGUAUAUAAUCUUUGAUUGUGCACGAAGACUUUUUACCUUUUUGUCCUUUGCUGAAACCCAAGUGUGUGAAAAACACGACACUCCCAAAAAACUGAGCGAGAAAUUAGUUGAUGGAAGCUUAAACAGGGAAGAGGUGGAAAUGGUUAUGGCUAAUUUAGGUAUUUUUGCCAAUCCUGAAGGUGUGAAGAUUCAGGAGAGGUUGGACAUUUUUGAACUUUUCGGAGAGGAAUUAGAAGCUAAAGAGCAAGAAGUAAGAGAAGCUUUUGAUGUGUUUGACGAGAACAAAGAUGGAUUUAUUGAUGAAAGGGAUUUGCAGAGAGUUCUGUGUGCUCUGGGAUUAAAGGGUGUUGCAGAAUUGGAUAAUUGCAAGAAGAUGAUCAUGGCCUUUGAUGAAAAUGGAGAUGGAAGAAUCGAUUUCCAGGAAUUUGUCAAAAUGUUGUAACAACAAUCAACACAAACAUUUUGUAACAUUCUUUAAUUUGUUCCAUUUACUCUAAUUUUUAAAUAUCUUUUAUACUUAUUUAUAAUUUUUAUCUUUUAAUAUAAUUAUUUCAUGUUUGAAAAUUAGAAUUCUUAUGAUCUAAUAAAAUUAUAGUCUACAAAUGUUGAUGCAAAAGGAAUAUCAAUUCAACAAUAAUAUCGAACAUUUGUUUUUUAGUUUUAUGUUGAUUUAUACAAUUAAAAUACAUGAUCUAAUUUCAUUUUCUUUUAAUAUUUAGUCAUGUAACUAAUACUUACUAAACUUAUUUUAGCAUGAUUCGGUACUUUAAAUUAUGAUCAAUUUAGUUAUGACUUAUUAAUUUGCAAUAUUUGUUUUAUGCGAUUUUUUUAUUAUAUUAUUAUUAUUUUGGAUAUUUUAAUGUCAUUAAUUAUAUCAUAUUUUUUGUUAUUUUCUUGAGAAAUAACUUAGAUAGUUGAAUUUGGUAAGAGUAAAGAAAUAUUUGAAGUACAAGUAAAUAAUAUUUUGUUUCAGUGAGUUCGAGGGUUUAAUUGAUAAAAUCGUAAGUAGAAAAGUUCACAUAACAAAUAAAACCAAGUACAAGGGCCUCACAAAUUAUUCUGCCAUAUAAAUAUAUACUUUUCGCCAAAUAUUACUCCACAAUUUUAACAUCUAUAUACAGUUAGAUACUUAGAGGUAAUCUCAAAAAAAAAAAAAAAAUCACAGAGAAUAGGAAAGAUUUUUUUGGAUGAUAAAGAUAAUAUAUAUAAAACAUUGAGGAGUUACAAAGUUAUUAAUGGUAUAAAGAAUAAUUAUGUACUUUUUAAUUCUUAAGGAAUAACCUCACGUCUCUGAAAGCAUCAAUAAAUAGAAGCAAUUAAAUUAGUUGUAGGGAAAAUAUGCUUAGGAAAAUAUUGAGGAUUAACAGAGUUUAAAUAGCUAUUAAAAAUUAAAUAUAAUUAUUAAUGGUGCAAUGAUAAAAAAAAUGAUUUAUCUUAAAAUUAAAAAUAUAAUUAAACCCAUUUAUUUUCUAAUAUAUUACAUCUUUGAAGUAAAAAAUAAAUUAAAAAAAUUCCUAAGAUAUAUUAACAUUGUCAAAUCAUAAUUGUCCACUAUUAAUUUGACACUAUUUAAGAAAUAAUAAAUAAAAAGUGUUAUAAAUCCAUUGAAUUGUGUGGAUUGUCCUUUAGAUUUACUCAAGACUUAAUUGUAUUCAUGUAUACAUGUUCCCAAGGUGAUAAGAAUCAUUUGGAUAACUAUGUACCUACUAAUUGGACAUUUAUCAUGAGGGCUUUUGGGGUGAUAUCUCAACUCUAUAAAUAGAGAUAUCAUUCAUCUUUUGUAAUACAUACUUGAAUAAGAAAAUUAUCUCCUCUAUCUUAUACUUCUUGUCUUUUUCUUCUUAUAUUCUGAGCUUUCUUUACAACACGUUAUCAGCACGAAGUUGCUACUUGCAAAGGUAUUAUAUAAAUAUUUUUAUUUGAUUCACAUAUUCUUUCAUAAUUUCAUUAUGUCGAAUUUAUCCAAACUUGAGUUUGUGGCAUUAGAUAUUUCUGGAAAGAAUUAUCUUUCAUGGGUACUCGAUGCUGAGAUUCACUUGGCUGCUAAAGGUCUUGAUGCCGCUAUUACUCAGGGAAAUGAAGCAUCGAGUCAAGAUAAGGCAAAAACUAUGAUUUUCCUUCGUCAUCAUCUUGAUGAGGGCCUGAAGAUUGAAUAUCUGACGGUGAAAGAUCCACUUGAAUUGUGGACUGACUUAAAGGGGAGAUAUGACCACCUAAAGGCAACAGUGUUGCCAAGAGCCCGUUAUGAGUGGAUGCAUUUACGGUUUCAAGAUUUUAAGACCGUAAUUGAAUACAACUCUGCUGUAUUCAGGAUAACCUCCCAGUUAAAAUUAUGUGGGGAGACUAUAAAAGAUGAGGACAUGUUGGAAAAGACACUUACUACUUUCCAUGCCUCAAAUAUGAUAUUGCAGCAACAAUAUCGUGAAAAGGGUUUUCAGAAAUAUUCUGAACUAAUUUCAUGUCUUUUGGUGGUUGAGCAACAUAAUGCUCUUUUAAUGAAAAAUCAUGAAGCUCGUCCCACUGGAGCUGCUCCAUUACCGGAGGCAAAUGUGGUGGAAGCACGUGAUCAAUCUGAAGUAAAAAGAGAUGAUCAUCGGGGCUAUAAUAAUGCACGGGGACGUGGCAAAGAUAAAAGACGAUACACUAAUCGUCAAGGUGGUGGUCAUAAUAAAAGGGAGAACAACAUGAGUUCUCAAAAUAACCCCUCAAAAAGGAAUUGUCGUCGUUGUGGCAUGAAAGGUCAUUGGAAGAAUGAAUGUCGCACACAUGAACAUUUUGUAAGGCUCUAUCAA